AUAGAUAACUCUGCUAAUCUUGAGAGACUCUUUCCAUGCGGCGACUUAGAGGCUUCCAUUAUGCAUUCUAAAUCUUCGCAAUCGCGGACAUCAAGACAAGUCAACUCAUUUAAGCCCCUUUCAUCUAUGCUUGGCACGAUAUUAUGACAACCUAUUAACCCCCUCAAACAAAGAAAUUCCAGAUUUUGAUACAAUGCUGAAAAAAUAACGAGCGAGGUCGAAGUUUCAAUCUACGAAGUUCAUCCGACAAUUCUUCAGGAAUUUCAAUGGGAGAAUCCUCGAGAUAAAGAAGUUCAAGUCUCUUCAACUUUCCAAGAAAAGACGCGUCACUCACAUCACAUCGAAUCAACUGCAGAACUCGGAGGUUUUUGUCGAGGAAUCGAAGCGAUUUUAGUGAAAUGACUCCACCUAUUAUAGUAACAACUUUCAAUGCUGGCAUCCCUUUAAAAAAAUGUUCUGGAAUUUGCAAUUCAUAAUUAUAUACGGUGUUCACCAAUCGCAGAAUAUGAAGGUUAGGGCAUAUCAAACCACUAGGAAGCUCUUCUUCUUUUUUAUCUACGACCAAAGACAGUCCCCUACACUGUUCCAGGCCUUCUUCCACCGCCCGUUCCACCAUUUCGAUGCCAGUUAUACUAAAAAAUCUCUCCUCUUCCUCCUCCUUCUUUUUGCUUAUCCAUAUGGCUACAUCACGGACUACGUCAUGAAUUUUCACAGAUCUGUCAUUGCCAGUGUCUAACAGCAAUGAAGAAGCUUUGAGCUCUUUCAUCGUUCCACUCAGUAGGCUCCUGACUUUUUCAAUUGACUCAGCUCGAUACCAUCUCAACCCCACUGCAUAUCCAACCAAAUCAUCCAAAUAUAUCUCAUAAUCCUCUGGAAACAAAGAACACAACAAGAAGCACGACCUGGAAUCCUCACCAUUCAAAUAAUCGUAACUAAAUUUGAGACAAUGGUAAACGUCUUGGUCCUCCUUGCCAAUUCCUUCUAUUGUAUUGAGUUUUGAAUCUUGUAGUUUAUCUAGAGCUAGGUUCCACUCAUCAAAUCCUUUAGCUCUUAGUGCACUUCCAACAGCUUUAAUAGCUAAAGGCAGCCCCUUACAUUCAUUAGCAACCUGUUCUGAAACACCAAUCAAGGUUGAAUCAGCAACAUCAAUGCCAGCAAGCUUUCUUAGUAAAGCCAAUCCUUCUUCUCGCUUUAGAACACCUAGUUGAAUCUGCGGGUCACAACGCAUGCGAUCACAAACUGGCUGCAGGCGAGUGGUUAGAAGGAUUUUGCAACAAUUGUCUCCAUCACCAACAGGAAUACCUACUGUCUUCAAGUCGAGUUCAUUCCAGACAUCGUCAAGUAUUAUGAGUAUCUUGCUGCUUUUACUCUCAGAAAACAUCAAGCGCAAUCGGUCUGCUCUCUCUUUUUCAUCUUUCUCAUUUAGUGCCCAGCCUAACGACUUUGCUAGCUCACCUUGAACCUUUAUUAUAUCUGGAUCCUGAGACACAGUGGCUAUCCCCACCUCAUCGAAAAUCUUUUCUUGCCGAAGUUGAUUGCCCACAAAGUUUGCCAAAGUCGUCUUUCCGACACCACCGAUACCAUACAAUCCCACCAUCUUCGUGCUAUCUCUUUUCAGUUCUUCAAUAAUCUGAUUGCAAGUCGAUUCUGUAGUCUCGAAAGACAUAAAAUGUCUUGGUAUAUGCAAUUCUUUGUCUGAUGGUAGAGGUUUAGGAAGGGCAACUGAGCUGAAUUUGCUGCAUUUCUUUUGUAUAUCGGACAACUUGCUAGUCUUCUUUGAUGCUUUUCUACCUAGCCAAUAUCGCCAACCCCAAUUAGGACACCAUCCAUUAAGACAACUCUUCUUUUCAUCUAUCUUUGCUUUCAAAUUUCGAACGUCGGCCAUUUCUUUGUCUACAUCCUCAAGCCAUGUCUUGACAUCUUCCUCGACUUCUAUAGCACGGUGUAUUUGUCGUUCUUGUUCUACUCUUUUAUUGAUGCCAUCUUGUGCCUCCUUCAAAUUAGUUUCUUGAUCCUCAAGUUCUUUAAUAACGCUGUUGAAACAGAGCAGAUAACGAGCUUGGUUUAUGGUUGCAUCCACCAACAACUCUCCAAGCCUUGAUGCAACACCUGACAAAAGUUCCAUGCUAUUUAUCUGCAAUUAAUAAAGUUGAUCUCAGUAAGCUAUAAGCAAAACAAUGAGGCUUGAUCACAAGAUCGAACGAGAAAGUUUAAUUACCUUUUUCUAUUCUGUGAAUGCACGUUUAUUGACACUAGCUUUGACCAGUAAGAGCAAAAUGCAAACGCCGAGCUUUAAGUGGCCAUUAGCUGCAAAACAAAAGAGAGGAAAUAAGGUAAUUUAUUAUUAUUAUUAUUAUUAUUAUUUUUAAGGACGGAUAAAGGUUAGCUAGCUUGCAGACAAAUUUACUAAACUCAAGACAAACCUAAGAGUUUUCCUAAUUUGUUCAAACAUGGAAUAAGCGUUUCACAACAGUAUAUCCAUAAAGGCCCCAGCGAACGUAAUAUGUGCUGGACUAUAUUGAAAUUAGAUUAUUUUAGAAAAUUUUAAAUAAAAAAUAUCAAACAACAAAGAAAUCUAAUAGAAUCUGGAUAAACAGCAUGGGAGAAUAUGGUAAAAUUGAUAAACUUGGUUCAAAAAUUACAAUUCUUUUUGAGAUUUGAACCAACGAUUUUGACUAAGGUCUCCUAAGCCACAAAGCAUAACUCUUACUACUAAAUUACGCGCAUUUUGUUACAUUUAAAUGUGGUCAUAUUCUUUUUAUUAUCUUUUUUUAGAAGGGACUCAUGGUAUACUUAAAAGAAAUAAUAAUGAUUUAGAUGGGGCUGAAGCCCACUCAUGAAAAAAUUUAAAGGUUUUCAAGAUAAUAACCGAUUAUUUUCCACCCAAUAUUCUAAUAGAAUGGUGCCAGAAUUCUCAAAUAAUAUCUUAAUAUUAUUUAACUGGUUGGCACCCACCUAUUGGAUGAUUAAUUUAAUAAUUUGUUACAUUAUUUAAUACUCCAUCUCACUAUCUAGUGAUGUAAAUGGUGGAGAAGGAUCGUCUCCUAGACUUUUUUCUCUCACUAAUCUCUUAGUGAAAUAAGUGGCCGAAAUUGAAUUUUAAUUUUUGAUAUUGACAAUUAAAUUGGCUUGUUUCACAUUAUUAACAAUUAAGCCAAUUUUUUUUUUCUCCUUUUUUCAAUUAGAUUUGGAAGGCUAUAAGAGAGUAGGAGAGAAAAAACACUAGAAGGAGAUCUUAAUCCAUAAAUAGUACCUUAUUUGGGAUGGUAAAGAUUGAGAUAAAUUUCCUCUUAGUCUCUAAAAUUUUGGCCUAUGCGCAGCCAUAAUUUUAGUAUUUUUAAAAAGAAUGGGAUUAUUUACAUUCUAAAAUCUAUUUUGAAUACUCUUUUACUCAACACACUCAUUCAAUAAAUAAAUUUUAAAAAAUAAUUUUUACUUUACACACUAUUUCGAGAGUCAAAACUAUCCUUCAUUAGGACCAUUUCAUUAACUAAUUAUUUUCUAUUGACACCCAUAAAAUAUUCAUCAUUCUUGAACCAUGUGGCGUUAAUUAAUGAUUCCGAAGCAUUAUCAAGAUUCAAGAUUUAUGUUGAAAUUCUUUCAUCUGACAUUUGAACCCAGCCACUAGCUAUAUACAUAUAUACUUUCAAAUGCAGCUCUGGGAAUAUUUUGUGACUGAUUUUAUAAAGUGUUUUAGUUACAUUAAUGCAGUGAAACAAUAAAGAGUACGUGGCUUGCUGAUUUCCAAAUCAAGUUGGGGGAAAAAACAGAGCAUUUUUCUUUUAUAAUGGAUUAGAUUAGACGAUGAAGGACAAAUUAUUCGCGAUUAUUAGUACUUUUGUGUGUGUUAAGAGUAAUAAUAUUAUUUUAAAUUAUAUUAAUGCCUUUCGUAGUGAAUUCAAUUAGGGUUAUUUUAGUAAUAUAAAUUUUCAUUAAAAUUAAAGUGUCCAAAUUAUAAUUUAGAUUUUUCAAAUGUAAAAUAAUAUUUUUUUAUCUGAUAUAAAUUAAAAUUCAAACAAAUGUAUCAUGCAACAAAUGAAAAGUAAAGAAUAUUAAUUAGGUUUUAAUAGAAACAAAUAUAAAUAGAUGUUUUGAGUAGUUAUUUUUUGUUAUUUUAUGCUAUUGGUAGUUUGUGGAUUAAAUAAUUUGUAUAAGGAUAAAUGGGGGUUUGUAUAAUUUAGACGAAGAUAAUCUCCAAAAUAAGCUUAUAUGUCGAAUUAAAAAGUGUUAUAUAAGUAGUAAUUGUAUUUGCAUCAAAAUUUUUAAUAAAAUUUAUUUAGAAAUUGGCCAAUUGGGUUUUAUGAAGAAAAUAGAGGGGCAAGUAAUUAUGUAACAAGUAAUUUGUAGGUUGUGGUACUUCUCCAUACUUUAAAUCACUUUUAUCUAAUCAAUUGAUAAAUAUUUUUUGGGCACCAACAAAAUGAAAAGAAAAGUUUAAAAAUAAUUCUGAAAUUAAAAACGUUAGGUAUUGCCUAUAAGCUAUACAAUUUUACCUUUUCUUCUACACAAUUAGUAUUAGAAAUAAAAGUAGUUUCAAAAUAAAUGUAAUUAGGAGGUAAUAUUAUCUCAACAAUACCUUAUAGGGAAAAAGACAUCUACAUCCUAAAGUUUGGAGAAAUGGUCGUAAAGACCCUAGGUUUUCAGAAAGGGAUAUCAAGACCCUUUUUUUAUCGUAAUACCCUUUAAAUAUAGUAAUUAGAAAAUUGACUUUAAGAAUUUUUAAUUGACAAAUUUAAUAUAAAUAAUAUAAUCUAUCUAGUAGAUUAAUAAUAUUAACAAUAAAAAUAAUAUUAAAAUUUAAAUUCUUAUAUUUAUUUUAAUAAUAUAUUUUUUUUUUUAUAAAGAUUUUAAAUAAAUCCUUGGGUUAAAUAGGUUUUCCAGUUAACAAAAUAUACCCCUAUUAAUAAUAUUGAAAUUACUUUCUACAUAAUAUUUAAAAUAAUUAUAAUUUAUUUAUUUUAAUAUUAUGUUUCUAUUUAUUAAAAAUUACUUUAUUAGAGUAAAUUUUUAUUAAUUAAAGCUUUAAAAUCAAUUUUCUAAUUACUAAAUUAAAAGGGUAUUAUGGUAAAAAAGGGUCUUUCCUUUUUGAAAACUUAGGGUUUUUGCGACCAUCUCCGCAAACUUUGGAGUAUAGGUGUCCUUUUCCCUACUUCAUAUAAAGAUAUUCCAUAAGGUCUUAUAAUAACUUAUAUUAUAUGAAUUUAAUUAAAAGAUCAUUAAUACUUAAAUAAUAAUAAUUAUAGAAGACAUUGUAAUAAAUUAUUUGAUAUAUAUUAUUAAUGAUACUAUAUAUAUGUGUAUAUAACUACAUGAUGGCUUGGAUAUAUAUUGUUUAGUGGUAAUAAAUUUUUUUAAAAAAAUUUAAACUAAUGAUUUCAUGUAAUUCAAUGGUGGAUGAUUUAAAAUCAUAAAAUAUUGUUUUGACUUUCAAUAUCAACCGUUAGACUGUGAGAAAUUAAUUGCUCAAUAUUUUGUGUUAAAUUUUUGAAUUAAAAUAUCCCAAACCAUUUGUUUUACUUAAAAUACAAAAAAUAUAUAAAGAAAUUUUCUCAUUAAUUUUCAUAUUUUUAUUAGAGAUAAUAUUUUAUGUAUCGUCACCAUUAAUUGCCAUCAUUAAAGUAGUGACUCUUAGUAAUAUAAAAUUUUAUAAUUAGUUAAUUGCAAUCAAAGGAUAUCAAUAAAAUAAUAUUUUAUGAUUCAUAAAUUAAAGCUAAUUAAGAAUAUAUGUUUGUUUUAACUUUUAUGAAAUCAACUAAGUGAUAUUAGAAAAUAAAAUGAAAAUAAACUAGUGAAACUUAAAUUUUAUAAGGUUUGAAUAAUUUUCUACCAUGUAAGAAUAUUAAUUGUGACAUAAACCAUAGUUUCAUGGUAUAUGUAUGCCGAAUGGGGUAACAAAUAAUAUAUACUUCACGAUCAUGAUAGUAUAUAAAGUAGUGGAUAUUUUAAUAUAUAACAUAAAAUUCUUUAAGACAUAGGUGGUCAAUUAUAUAUUUUUUAGGACAUAGACAAUCUCAAUCAAGAGUUUAUUGAUGUGAAUAGAUGGCAUUCACUUAAAUGUAUACACUUAAUUGUGUUGUUUAUUGGUAUUAGAUAUUCACUUAAAUGUAUAUACUUAAUUGUGUUGUUUAUUGGUAUUACAUGUAACAAAAUUUUAUAUUAAAUUUUGAAGUUUUAUAUUGUUGUUUCUAUUGAAUUUAUAAAUACAAUAAAAUUAUGGCCAUCAACAAUCACAACCAACUGCCACCAACAAUUAGAUUCUCAUAUCCGUUGACGACAAUUUUUUAUACUAUUGGAACUCCAAUCUUUGAAGCUACACAAUAGUUAAAGUACCAACAUCACUAGAACUUCCGUUCAUUGUAGAUCUAUAGUCAAAGUUUCGAAUCUUAAAAAUUUGACAGCAGAUUUAUGUCAAAUGAAAGCUUGUUACCAGUGAUUCUUAUACAAUUAUGUUGUUAUAGUAAUAAGGAUUCUAGUGGUACUAAAAUGCACUCCAUUAGACAUAAAGAUCCGACGACUAGUGGCGACAACAACUAUCAUUAGUGACUUGGAGGUAAUUGCCAUUAAUAAAUUAUUUUUAACUUAAUAAUUAAUACAAACAAAUAAAAAAGUAAUUUAAUGAAAAUUAAUGUAAUAAAUAAUUGAAUUAAAAAAAUUAAAACCUAAAUUCUCGACCAUUUAUCCGUAUGUUUCGAAUCCAACGUUCAAAAUUGGAAUAAAACAUAGUAUAGCCAUUGGAAGUAAAACAAACAUUAAAGAGACUAGGAAAAAAUAUCUCAUACCUUCUAUAAUGAUACAUCCUCAAUCACUGCAGAAAGCUCCAAUUAAAAAGUCGCACAAGUUCGGAGAAAAUUACCUAACAACACAAAUAAACAUCAAAUCAAAGCAACAUAGGAUCCAGCUAAUUAACAUCAUAAGUAAGUCCUUGUUCUCAGUCAAAUCUUGCAUUCUUAGGAUAAAAAAAAAAUUGAAAGAAUAACGGUAACUGGAAAGUUUGACGACAUAAAGAUCUAGCUAAAUUUUAAGAAGCAAAAGUAAAUAAUGAAAGCUCAAUAAAAGAUCAUCAGCAUUAACAUACCGAAAUGAGAGCAGCUCACAGAACUGGUAAUUUCCAAGAACAGGAAAAAUAAGUGAGCUGAUAUUGAGGACAACUAAAGUAGUCAUGGAGUAAUUUGCUAUUGAGGACACCUAAAAUAAGAAAAUUAAUUAACAUUGCUCUAUACACCAUUUCAAUAAUUUGACUAUUAAAAAAAAAAUCUAUCUAGAUCACGAUUUCUCAAAAUGAUGCUUUUUCUAAUUAAAUAAAUCAAAAUGCUUGCUUCUUUCUUUUUCAGAAAAGAAAAAGUGGCAAUGGCAUCAAUUUUUUGCUAGAUUAUUAUCACCAAAAGCACAAGCAAGGAAUAAGGAUACUCUCUGAAACCAACCAUAUAAAGAGUAGAAAUAUUUGUUGGAGUGUAAGGUAGAAGUAAGUGGUCAAUUGUAAAUAAGUCUUUCUUUUUUCUUUGUUGUUUUUUCAUUUUUUGAAUGUGAACUAAAUAAAUUUAAGGGUGAAGCUAUUACACCUUGAAAACUAUGACUGAACACCCAUUUUUUUAAUUAAAUUUUUAUUACUAAAAUAACCAUGGAGUAAUUUGCUUCUAAGGAAAACUAGAAUAAUAACAUGAAUAAUGAUUGCUCUAUACACCCUUUUAUACGUCUAUCUUCUUCUUAAUUUCAUAAUUUGGCUGUCAAAAAGUAAUCUAUCUAGAUCACGAUUUCUCAAAAUGAUGCUUUUUAUAUCUAAAUAAAUGAAAAUGCUUGUUUCUUUCUUUCUCGAAAAGAAAAAGUGGCAAUGGCAUCAAUUUUUGCUUGCAAGCACAGCAAGUAAUCAGUAUACUCUCGGAAACUAACCAUAUUAAGAGUAGAAAUAUAUUGGGUUAUCACGAAGUAAGUUAGAAAUCAAUUAUAAAUGGUCUUUUUUUUUUUUUUUAAUGUGAACUAUAUAAAUUUAAGGUGAGGUUAUUUACACUUUGAAAAACAUUCUAAAAACCAUUAUUUCAUUAAAUUUUUUAUUAUUAAAGGUCCGUUUGCUGCCCCAAACGCUCUCUAAAAUAGCCAUGGAGUAAUUUCUUACUGAGGAAAACUAGAAUAAUAAAAUCAAUUAUCAUUCUGCCAUGACCCCGUUUCUAGAUGUAUCUUCUUCUUGAUUUGGUAACUUGGCUGUCAAAAAGAAAUCUAUCUAGAUCCCGAUUCCUCAAAAUGAUGCUUUUUCGGAUGAAAUAAAUGAAAUUGAACCUACAAUCUGUCACAAACACGUUAUAAUGAGCCUAAUGAAAAGCAGUAUGAGAAAUUUUGCUUCCAUGUUGUUUCUUCCAUAUGUAAAGGUAGUAAAAAGAAAUUUAAGUCCUAGAAACAAAUGGAUGAAGAAUUAUCAAUAAUUAAAAAUUAAAAAAAAAAACAGAGUUAUUAAAGAAUCACAGUUCCACCAAAAAUUAAGAGUUAUUUUAUUUGGUGGUUUCCUUAUCCCGAAGCAUUACUUGUAAAUAUGUGCUAACAAGUAAUAAUUAAGAAAGUUAAGGCCAAUCAUUUAGAAGGGAGAAAAAUGGAAACAUCCGGAAUAUUGUUAUGUGUUUUCAGUGCGUAUCUACCAAUCAAUAAUGAAAAAUUAAAUACGCAUGUGACGAAAAUUUAAUAAAGAGAACUGGACGUGACAAAAUUUUUAUUAUUCUAUCUUUUUCUCCUCUGAAACUUCCUUAAUUUGGUUGGGAAUUGCUUUGUCUUAGGCAGUGGAUCUGUUAUAAAUACCCUAUGCUAAAGUUAAUAUUUUGAUUGAAGAAAAAAAUAGAGGCGAAAAAUUUUAUUAAAGUAUAACAGAAUUUGAUAAAUUUAGAAUUGAGGAGAGAAAAUGAGUCUAAAUUCGAAAAUUUUGGCACUAUUUACAUAUCAUUAUUUGGGCAAAAAUUUAUUUCUCUGCUUUCAUAUGAUUUGGUCUUUUAUUGUUACGGUGCCAAUUUUUUAUUUAAAGAUGUAAGAUGGUGGUACUAUAGCUUAGAUUUUCCGUAAUUACUAUAUGGUAAGUACAAAAUAAAAUACUAGUUUAAAAUAUAAAAAUGAAAAACUAUUUUUAUAACCAAUAUUUAAUUAAAUACACUUGAAACUCUAUUUUUUCUUAAUAAAAAAAAUUCUAAUUUAUUUUCUCAAUUUAUCUAAACAACUUUACCUAAUCAAGCUAAAUCUACAUAUAACCCUAAACCUUAAUUUAUAAACACCCAAUCAAUCCAAUUGUUAAAUCCGAUUUCAUAAUUAAAAAAGUUAAAUUCUAUUUUAUUAUUUAUGGUGCAAAGUAAAAAAUGCCCUUGAAGUUAAGGGUAAAAUUGAUAUUUUAUUUAAAUUUGGGAAAUUAUCAUUCGUAUACCCUAUAUUUGCUCUGUUAUAAAAAAUACUACAACACUUUGAGGGUGUAUCAAUCGUCCACCCUAAGUUGACAAAAUGUAUCAACCGACCACUAAACCGUUAAUUGUCGUUUGAAAGUUAACGGAAUUACAGUGAAUUGACGAUUUUACCCUUGAAAAUUAUCACUUGUAUACCCUUAAAUUAUCACUUGUAUCAUAUGAAAAGACCAGAUUACCCUUCUGACGUUAUCAUAUUUAAACGGCAACUAACGGUUCGGUGGUCGGUUGAUACAUUUUGUCAACUUAGGGUGGACGAUUGAUACACCCUCAAAGUGUUGUAGUAUUCUUGAUAAUGAAGUAAACUAAGGGUAUACAAAUGAUAAUUUCCCUUUAAAUUUUGUUAAUAUUCUAAUAAUGUUAAUGUCUUAGUGGUUAAUAAAAUCACAAAGUCAAACUUUUGUAGUAUUUUUUAUAAUAAGGUAAAGAUAUAUGUUUGAUAAUUUUCCUACGUCUUUUUACGUUAAAUUGAGUCUCAAGGGAAAAAUGGUUAAUUUGCUAUAAUUCUGUCAGUUUUCUAAUGGAAGAUAAUGAUAUAAUGAAUAAAUAAUACAUAUUCUUAAAUUAGUAUAGAUGAAUGAUACAACUUGAAAAUAUUGUAGUAUUCUUAAUAGUAGAGAAAUUUAAAAGUGGAUGGUUGAUAAUUUAAUGAAGUAACUACAGAAUUUUCCUUUCAAAUAUAUUUUUUAAAAUAUAUGAUGAGUAAAAAUCAUUUUACAGAAUGAUCUUUCAAAUGCACAUUCCACAAGCCAAAAAGAAAGGGUAGCGAACAACCCUUGUUGAAAUGGCACCCCGGCUUUUGCAGCGUACCCAAGUGCAGCCACCACCCCAGAAUCUGGUACUACAAUCACAACAUCACACUCAACAGGAGCCUCGGUAGCAAGUACUUCCCCAAAAUGAUACCUCGACUCGUAAGACCUUCCAAAAACAACAGAAUUAGGCAAAGCAAAAUAAAUAUGCUCAAAGAUGCACUGCUUAGGUUCAGGGUGAGGCAUCAAACAAAGUGAUUGAACCCCAUCUUUAUCCACCAUCAAAACUUCACCGGGAUAUACCUCUCUCUCGUAUGUGGCCUCAAUCAAAUCAAGUGCGCAAGUUUCUGAUGCAAAAACCACAGCACCGUUACUCCUCCUACCCAUCACCAACGGCCUAAACCCAUACGGGUCACGAACCGCAACAAGCUUAUCCUCAGUAACAAACACCAUUGAAUAAGCACCCUCAAGCUUCUCACAAGCAUCCACAAUCCUCAAAAAGAACGGCUUAGCUUUCGAUAUCGCAAUCAAAUGGAGAACAAUCUCAGUAUCAGAACUAGUAUAAAAAAUGGAUUCAUUAUCCUCGAGCUUAGCCCUCAAAGUAUUAUAAUUACCUAAAUUCCCAUUAUGUGCAACACCAACAGAACCAAACCUGUACCCAGCAACAAAAGGCUGCACAUUCUUAAGCAUAGAACUACCCGCAGUCGAAUAUCUAACAUGACCAAUGGCCAUAUCACCCGGCAAUUGAUCAAGUUUAGACUGAUUAAACACAUCAGAGACUAAACUGUUGAUGCGAGAUUCUGGUUGUCCUCGUUCUACGACCAGGGUCUCUGCUCGAUCAACUUCACCACGACCAGGAUCUCUCCUCGUAAAGCUUCUUCUCCAGAGGUUCCUGCGCACACAGACAAGUCAGAGUACGCCGGUUAUUUUCCCGGCGCAAACCCUCCGACGCUCAAGUCAGAUAUGAAGGUUCGGGGAACACUUGCCACAGAUCUUAUGGCUUUUGGGUAGUUUUCUCUUCUUUAGAAUUUCUUUAUCUCUCUUCUAAUGUCAAAAUUGCUAACCCUUUUACCUUCGUUGGCUACCUUUUUAUAGGCUUCCUCUGAAUCCCAGUUUUCCGCAGUCUACGUCCGUUAUCCUCCCACCUCUCGAACGUGGAUUCCCCAUUUCCGUAGUCGUGGGUGGUUGCGUGGCCUUCGUGCCUAGAUUCUCGGGCUGGAGAGCAUGCCUUGCCAACUGUCGUUGACCGGGCCUCCUCGAAUCAACCCUUAGCAAGAAUACAGCAGGAAUGGCUUUAUGCUUCUUACAAGAAAUUGGCCUCGCGGAUGACGUGCUCGUGGAUGAGCAGGAUAUUCCUGCCCCUGCUCCCCUGCUACUUGGCUCUUACAGGACACACCUGCUCGCCGACUUCUGCCACCAAACAUCUGCUCAUCACGUCUGGUCUCGUCGGAGUAUUUCCCUCAAACACCGGUCCCCCAGUUUCUGGUGUUGGGUAAUGUAAUGGACCAGCAGUAGAAACUUAGCGGUUCUUGGUCGCGUGGGACUGAAAAAGGCUGCCAAGAGUCAUAUCGCAUUUAAUUGCGGACGAGGUGAUGUGGCAGAAAUCUGCCCCUCUAUUCGAAUUUCCAACCAACGGUUACGAGGCCCUUGGGAUUUGGUGCCGUUAAAUGCUGGCAACCCAAGAGUCCGUCCCCAUUAGGAAACCUAAAUCCUUUCAAACAGCAAAUUCGUCAUUCCCUCCGUCUCCGUCCCUGUCUCUCCGGCAAAGAAGUUCCAGCAUAAAGGCCUCCAUCUCUGUCUUUCACCGACUGAACCAUUACUUCAUGUAUUUCUUCUAUCUCCUUGGUCUCGGAUAGUUGUAGAUAAUUUCUGUUCUCUUUUGUUUGGGUAGUAGUUGGUGGUGGUGUUGUGGUUAGAGUUUAGGGAAUGUCGAAAGCUAAAGAGAAGGUCAUUGAAGUUGACGACGAUGAGUUAGACUUCCUGCCUAGUCUGCUCACUGAUCCUGCUUUUGACCCCGGGAUCCCCUUAGAGCCCAUUAGAUCUAGUGUCGGCACUAGCGCUAGGAGGAUGUCUCCCCAAACGACCUCCUCGAGCAGAGAUAGUGAUGAAGAGGGGUCUUCCGGCUCGGAGAACACCCUGAGUGAGGGCCGAGGAGAUGAUUCUGGCGAGGUGUCCCCAUCAGGAGCGUCGCGACCAGAAGGGCGGAGUACAAUAGGAGGUAGAGCCCUAUCGCGGGAUUACGCUAUUGAUUACAUGACAUGCACAACCACGUUUGAUGAGCUCAAUGACCUCCGGCUUAGGUAUAGUAUUCCUGGUGAAAUCCCUCUUAAGGUCCCAGGAAAGAAGGAUACUCCUAGCCGGCCUCCUAGGGGAUACGUUACCCUGUAUCUGGAUAGGUUUAAGUAUGGGCUGAGGUGUCCCGUGCAACCUUACUUUGCCCGGAUACUUAGCGGGCUGAAUCUAUCUCCUGGUCAGCUGAACCCAAAUGGUUGGAGAGUACUUUAUGGUCUGUUUAUAUUGUGGGACAGAUGUUGCCAGAGCGAGCCCACAGUUGAUGAGGUGAAGCACUUGUACCAGCUAAAGAGCAGCCCCAAAGAUGCCGGCUGGUACUACUUUCAAUCUAGUACCAAGACCAGGAAACCCAUAACCGACCUCCCUACUGGUGGUGGUGGGAAUUGGAAGAGGAAAUUCUUUUUUGCUGGGGGUCCUUGGGGUUAAGUUGCACAAAUAGACGGGAAGGAUUAUCGCGUCCCACCCCGUUUCACGGUCCCAGGUUGCCUGCUCGCUUUAGGUGUCUUGUGUCCGUAAUUGUGCUCGCUUUGUUGGUUUGUCUCUAACCAAGUGUCUAUUUGUGUUGUAGUUUCUUGGGGUGUUCAUUUCUCGCUCAAACCUGGCCAACUCAAACGGGUCGAGGCUGUGCUAGCCAAUUCCUGCUCGAGCCGGGAGCUGAUAACUACAUACAACUUGCUCGAGUCUCGCUUAAUACUCCCUGGUCAUAAGAUGGAGGACGCUGUGAUUGGGGCUCUGAACAGGAAACGUUCUCGACCUCAAACCACGAAGAGGGACCAGAAUAAGGACGCCCCUACUGCAAAGCGGGCCAACAUCGUGCAGCAGGUCUCUCCCUUGAAGACUUUACCUCCUGCUCCUGCCAAAGUCGGGGAAACUAGUGGAGGAGCAGCCACCGAUCCUGCUUCUUCUUCUCCUCAUGUCGGGCCUCGAUCUCGCUUACCUGACAGCCGAGCAGAACACUUGGUCCCCUAUCUCAAUGAGUUAUCUAAACUCGUGAGCAAGAAGGACCUGGAGGACUUUGAUGGCUGCACUCUGGGCGAGCUGGUGCGAGCCAUGCAGUAUAGCGCUUUCCAUCUCAGCUGCAUGACCACCUACUAUAAGGCCAAGGUCGGCCGUUAUGACAGGAAGAUGAAGGAGGACAUUCAGUUAGCGAUGACCAGAGCUGACGGCGCCGAGAAGAAAGCAGGAGCGCUGAAUGUCGAGAACCUGAAGCUGAUAGAGCAAGAAUCUCUUGCUCAAGCGAAAGCCAUUACCCUCGAGGAGGAGCUGACCAAGGUCAAAGAGGAUCUUCAAAGGCAGAAGGCUAUGUAUGAGGCUCAGCUCGAAUCUCUCCGUGAUUCCCACCGGGUUCAGGUCGAGAACUUAGAGAAGGAGGCUGACAACCAGUACGACCAGGGACUUCGGCAUUCCUAUCGUUGCAUCAUGGCCGUCCUCGGGAAGCAACACCCUGAUCUGAAGAUGGAUGACCUUGCAGCUGGUGUUGCUCAACAUAUGGACGAGGAGGCGGCCAAGGAAGACGCUGAAGGGGUAGAGCCGAUCGUGAUUGAGGAGGAAAACUCUCCUUCUCGUGCAGAACCUGCUGGUGUUGGCGAGGCGAGCACCCCCCGGACGCAACUGGUGAUACCCCCUGCACCUGAGGAGGUCCAGCCGACUGAUGCUGCUCGGCUUACUGAUCCACCAUCUUAUUGAUAUAUUUCUUGUAUUGUAAUGCACAAUGUUUGUGAAGAUUAUCUCCUCUGUUAAUUAUUAACAAAUUAAUAAAGAUGUUUUUGAUUACUUUCUUGUGUUGUAAUCAUGAGUUAUUUUUCGUUUGAGAAUCUGCUCGUCUUUGUCUGGUCGAGCAGGUUCUGGCUUGGCACAUGGUUUUGCCACAUGCCUUUGAAAAUUCUUCAAUGCUUGGGAUUCUGCUCGCCUUCGCAUGGUCGAGCAGAUCCUGGCAUGCUUGGCUUCUGGUCUCGCCAAAAGACAGGCUUUCAGACUUGGUGAGCUUUUGCAUGCCUUUGAUUCUGCAAUGAUUGGGAGUCUGCUCGCCUUCUCGUGGUCGAGCAGAUCCUGGCACGCAUGGCAUCUGGUCUCGCCAUAAACAGGCUUUGAGACUUGAUAAGCCUUUGCAUGCCUUUAAUAAUUUCUUGAAUGCUUUGGAGUCUGCUCGCCUUCUUGUGGUCAAACAUAUCCUGGCACGCUUGGCUUCUGUCGCAUGCCUUCAAUUCUUCAAGGAUUGAGAUUUCGCUCGCCUUCUCGUGGUCGAGCAGAUCCUGGCACGGUUGGCUGCUGUCUCGCCAUAAAACAGGCUUUGAGACUUGCCGAGCCUUUGCAUGCCUUUGAUUCUUCAAGGAUUGGGAUUCUGCUCGCCUUCUCGGGGUCGAACAGAUCCUAGCACGCUUGGCUUCUGUCUCGCCAUAAAAUAGGCUUUGAGACUUGCUGAGCCUUUGCAUGCCUUCAAUUCUUCAAGGAUUGGGAUUCUGCUCGCCUUCUCGUGGUCGAGCAGAUCCUGGCACGCUUGGCUUCUGUCUCGCCAUAAAACAAGCUUUGAGACUUGCUGAGCCUUUGCAUGCCUUUGAUUCUUCAAGGAUUGGGAUUCUGCUCGCCAUCUCGUGGUCGAGCAUAUCCUGGCACGCUUGGCUUCUGUCUCGCCAUAAAACAGGCUUUGAGACUUGCCGAGCUUUUGCAUGCCUUUGAUUCUUCAAGGAUUGGGAUUCUGCUCGCCUUCUCGUGGUCGAGCAGAUCCUGGCACGCAUGGCAUCUGGUCUCGCCAUAAACAGGCUUUGAUACUUGAUGAGCCUUUGCAUGCCUUUGAUAAUUUCUUGAAUGCUUUGGAGUCUGCUCGCCUUCUUGUGGUCAAACAUAUCCUGGCACGCUUGGCUUCUGUCGCAUGCCUUCAAUUCUUCAAGGAUUGGGAUUUCGCUCGCCUUCUCGUGGUCGAGCAUAUCCUGGCAUGGUUGGCUGCUGUCUCGCCAUAAAACAGGCUUUGAGACUUGCCGAGCCUUUGCAUGCAUUUGAUUCUUCAAGGAUUGGGAUUCUGCUCGCCUUCUCGUGGUCGAGCAGAUCCUGGCACGCUUGGCUUCUGUCUCGCCAUAAAACAGGCUUUAAGACUUGUUGAGCCUUUGCAUGCCUUUGAUUCUUCAAGGAUUGGGAUUCGGCUCGCCUUCUCGUGGUCGAGCAGAUCCUGGCACGCUUGGCUUCUGUCUUGCCAUAAAACAGGCUUUGAGACUUGAUGAGCCUUUGCAUGCCUUUGAUAAUUUCUUGAAUCCUUUGGAGUCUGCUUGCCUUCUCGUGGUCGAGCAUAUCCUAGCACGCUUGGCUUCUGUCUCGCCAUAAAACAGGCUUUGAGACUUGAUGAGCCUUUGCAUGCCUUUGAUAAUUUCUUGAAUGCUUUGGAGUCUGCUCGCCUUCUCGUGGUCGAGCAUAUCUUGGCACGCUUGGCUUCUGUCUCGCCAUAAAACAGGCUUUGAGACUUGCUGAGCCUUUGCAUGCCUUCAAUUCUUCAAGGAUUUGGAUUCUGCUCGCCUUCUCGUGGUCGAGCAGAUCCUGGCACGCUUGGCUUCUGUCUCGUCAUAAAACAGGCUUUGAGACUUGCCGAGCCUUUGCAUGCCUUUGAUUCUUCAAGGAUUGGGAUUCUGCUCGCCUUCUCGUGGUCGAGCAGAUCCUGGCACGCUUGGCUUCUGUCUCGCCAUAAAACAGGCUUUGAGACUUGCCGAGCCUUUGCAUGCCUUUGAUUCUUCAAGGAUUGGGAUUCUGCUCGCCUUCUCGUGGUCGAGCAGAUCCUGGCACGCUUGGCUUCUGUCUCGCCAUAAAACAGGCUUUGAGACUUGCCGAGCCUUUGCAUGCCUUUGAUUCUUCAAGGAUUGGGAUUCUGCUCGCCUUCUCGUGGUCGAGCAGAUCCUGGCACGCUUGGCUUCUGUCUCGCCAUAAAACAGGCUUUGAGACUUGCUGAGCCUUUGCAUGCCGUUGAUUGUUCAAGGAUUGGGAUUCGGCUCGCCUUCUCGUGGUGGAGCAGAUCCUGGCACGCUUGGCUUCUGUCUCGUCAUAAAACAGGCUUUGAGACUUGAUGAGCCUUUGCAUGCCUUUGAUAAUUUCUUGAAUGCUUUUGAGUCUGCUUGCCUUCUCGUGGUCGAGCAUAUCCUGGCACGCUUGGCUUCUGUCUCGCCAUAAAACAGGCUUUGAGACUUGCCGAGCCUUUGCAUGCCUUUGAUUCUUCAAGGAUUGGGAUUCUGCUCGCCUUCUCGUGGUCGAGCAGAUCCUGGCACGCUUGGCUUCUGUCUCGCCAUAAAACAGGCUUUGAGACUUGCUGAGCCUUUGCAUGCCGUUGAUUGUUCAAGGAUUGGGAUUCGGCUCGCCUUCUCGUGGUCGAGCAGAUCCUGGCACGCUUGGCUUCUGUCUCGCCAUAAAACAGGCUUUGAGACUUGCUGAGCCUUUGCAUGCCUUCAAUUCUUCAAGGAUUGGGAUUCUGCUCGCCUUCUCGUGGUCGAGCAGAUCCUGGCACGCUUGGCUUCUGUCUCGCCAUAAAACAGGCUUUGAGACUUGCUGAGCCUUUGCAUGCCUUUGAUAAUUUCUUGAAUGCUUUGGAGUCUGCUCGCCUUCUUGUGGUCAAACAUAUCCUGGCAAGCUUGGCUUCUGUCGCAUGGCUACAAUUCUUCCAGGAUUGGGAUUUCGCUCGCCUUCUCGUGGUCGAGCAGAUCCUGGCAUGGUUGGCUGCUGUCUCGCCAUAAAACAGGCUUUGAGACUUGCCGAGCCUUUGCAUGCCUUUGAUUCUUCAAGGAUUGGGAUUCUGCUCGCCUUCUCGUGGUCGAGCAGAUCCUGGCACGCUUGGCUUCUGUGUUGCCAUAAAAUAGGCUUUGAGACUUGCUGAGCCUUUGCAUGCCUUUGAUUCUUCAAGGAUUGGGAUUCUGCUCGCCUUCUCGUGGUCGAGCAGAUCCUGGCAUGGUUGGCUGCUGUCUCGCCAUAAAACAGGCUUUGAGACUUGCCGAGCCUUUGCAUGCCUUUGAUUGUCCCAUCGCCAUAAAACAGGCUUUGAGACUUGAUGAGCCUUUGCAUGCCUUUGAUAAUUUCUUGAAUGCUUUGGAGUCUGCUUGCCUUCUCGUGGUCGAGCAUAUCCUGGCACGCUUGGCUUCUGUCUCGCCAUAAAACAGGCUUUGAGACUUGCUGAGCCUUUGCUUGCCUUCAAUUCUUCAAGGAUUGGGAUUCUGCUCGGCUUCUCGUGGUCGAGCAGAUCCUGGCACGCUUGGCUUCUGUCUCGCCAUAAAACAGGCUUUGAGACUUGCUGAGCCUUUGCAUGCCUUCAAUUCUUCAAGGAUUGGGAUUCUGCUCGCCUUCUCGUGGUCGAGCAGAUCCUGGCACGCUUGGCUUCUGUCUCGCCAUAAAACAGGCUUUGAGACUUGCUGAGCCUUUGCAUGCCUUUGAUUCUUCAAGGAUUGGGAUUCUGCUCGCCUUCUCGUGGUCGAGCAGAUCCUGGCACGCUUAGCUUCUGUCUCGCCAUAAAACAGGCUUUGAGACAUGCCGAGCCUUUGCAUGCCUUUGAUUCUUCAAGGAUUGGGAUUCUGCUCGCCUUCUCGUGGUCGAGCAGAUCCUGGCACGCUUGGCUUCUGUCUCGCCAUAAAACAGGCUUUGAGACUUGCUGAGCCUUUGCAUGCUUUGAUUCUUCAAGGAUUGGGAUUCGGCUCGCCUUCUCGUGGUCGAGCAGAUCCUGGCACGCUUGGCUUCUGUCUUGCCAUAAAACAGGCUUUGAGACUUGAUGAGCCUUUGCAUGCCUUUGAUAAUUUCUUGAAUGCUUUGGAGUCUGCUGGCCUUCUCGUGGUCGAGCAUAUCCUGGCACGCUUGGCUUCUGUCUCGCCAUAAAACAGGCUUUGAGACUUGCUGAGCCUUUGCAUGCCUUCAAUUCUUCAAGGAUUGGGAUUCUGCUCGCCUUCUCGUGGUCGAGCAGAUCCUGGCACGAUUGGCUUCUGUCUUGCCAUAAAACAGGCUUUGAGACUUGAUGAGCCUUUGCAUGGCUUUGAUAAUUUCUUGAAUGCUUUGGAGUCUGCUUGCCUUCUCGUGGUCGAGCAUAUCCUGGCACGCUUGGCUUCUGUCUCGCCAUAAAACAGGCUUUGAGACUUGCUGAGCCUUUGCAUGCCUUCAAUUCUUCACGGAUUGGGAUUCUGCUCGCCUUCUCGUGGUCGAGCAGAUCCUGGCACGCUUGGCUUCUGUCUCGCCAUAAAACAGGCUUUGAGACUUGCUGAGCCUUUGCAUGCCUUUGAUUCUUCAAGGAUUGGGAUUCUGCUCGCCUUUUCGUGGUCGAGCAGAUCCUGGCACGCUUGGCUUCUGACUCGCCAUAAAACAGGCUUUGAGACUUGCCGAGCCUUUGCAUGCCUUUGAUUCUUCAAGGAUUGGGAUUCUGCUCGCCUUCUCGUGGUCGAGCAGAUCCUGGCACGCUUGGCUUCUGUCUCGCUAUAAAACAGGCUUUGAGACUUGCUGAGCCUUUGCAUGCCGUUGAUUGUUCAAGGAUUGGGAUUCGGCUCGCCUUCUCAUGGUGGAGCAGAUUCUGGCACGCUUGGCUUCUGUCUCGUCAUAAAACAGGCUUUGAGACUUGAUGACCCUUUGCAUGCCUUUGAUAAUUUCUUGAAUGCUUUGGAGUCUGCUUGCCUUCUCGUGGUCGAGCAUAUCCUGGCACGCUUGGCUUCUGUCUCGCCAUAAAACAGGCUUUGAGACUUGCCGAGCCUUUGCAUGCCUUUGAUUCUUCAAGGAUUGGGAUUCUGCUCGCCUUCUCGUGGUCGAACAGAUCCUAGCACGCUUGGCUUCUGUCUCGCCAUAAAACAGGCUUUGAGACUUGCCGAGCCUUUGCAUGCCUUUGAUUCUUCAAGGAUUGGGAUUCUGCUCGCCUUCUCGUGGUCGAACAGAUCCUAGCACGCUUGGCUUCUGUCUCGCCAUAAAACAGGCUUUGAGACUUGUUGAGCCUUUGCAUGCCUUUGAUUCUUCAAGGAUUGGGAUUCGGCUCGCCUUCUCGUGGUCGAGCAGAUCUUGGCACGCUUGGCUUCUGUCUCGCCAUAAAACAGGCUUUGAGACUUGAUGAGCCUUUGCAUGCCUUUGAUAAUUUCUUGAAUGCUUUGGAGUCUGCUGGCCUUCUCGUGGUCGAGCAUAUCCUGGCACGCUUGGGUUCUGUCUCGCCAUAAAACAGGCUUUGAGACUUGCUGAGCCUUUGCAUGCCUUUGAUUCUUCAACGAUUGGGAUUCGGCUCGCCUUCUCGUGGUCGAGCAGAUCCUGGCACGCUUGGCUUCUGUCUUGCCAUAAAACAGGCUUUGAGACUUGAUGAGCCUUUGCAUGCCUUUGAUAAUUUCUUGAAUGCUUUGGAGUCUGCUGGCCUUCUCGUGGUCGAGCAUAUCCUGGCACGCUUGGCUUCUGUCUCGCCAUAAAACAGGCUUGAGACUUGCUGAGCCUUUGCAUGCCUUCAAUUCUUCAAGGAUUGGGAUUCUGCUCGCCUUCUCGUGGUCGAGCAGAUCCUGGCACGAUUGGCUUCUGUCUUGCCAUAAAAACAGGCUUGAAGACUUGAUGAGCCUUUGCAUGCCUUUGAUAAUUUCUUGAAUGCUUUGGAGUCUGCUUGCCUUCUCGUGGUCGAGCAUAUCCUGGCACGCUUGGCUUCUGUCUCGCCAUAAAACAGGCUUUGAGACUUGAUGAGCCUUUUGCAUGCCUUUGAUAAUUUCUUGAAUGCUUUGGAGUCUGCUUGCCUUCUCGUGGUCGAGCAUAUCCUGGCACGCUUGGCUUCUGUCUCGCCAUAAAAUAGGCUUUGAGACUUGCUGAGCCUUUGCAUGCCUUUGAUUCUUCAAGGAUUGGGAUUCUGCUCGCCUUCUCGUGGUCGAGCAGAUCCUGGCACGCUUGGCUUCUGUCUCGCCAUAAAACAGGCUUUGAGACUUGCCGAGCCUUUGCAUGCCUUUGAUUCUUCAAGGAUUGGGAUUCUGCUCGCCUUCUCGUGGUCGAGCAGAUCCUGGCACGCUGGCUUCUGUCUCGCCAUAAAACAGGCUUGAGACUUGCUGAGCCUUUGCAUGCCUUUGAUUCUUCAAGGAUUGGGAUUCGGCUCGCCUUCUCGUGGUCGAGCAGAUCCUGGCACGCUUGGCUUCUGUCUCGCCAUAAAACAGGCUUUGAGACUUGAUGAGCCUUUGCAUGCCUUUGAUAAUUUCUUGAAUGCUUUGGAGUCUGCUCGCCUUCUUGUGGUCGANNNNNNNNNNNNNNNNNNNNNNNNNNNNNNNNNNNNNNNNNNNNNNNNNNNNNNNNNNNNNNNNNNNNNNNNNNNNNNNNNNNNNNNNNNNNNNNNNNNNNNNNNNNNNNNNNNNNNNNNNNNNNNNNNNNNNNNNNNNNNNNNNNNNNNNNNNNNNNNNNNNNNNNNNNNNNNNNNNNNNNNNNGCUCGCCUUCUCGUGGUCGAGCAGAUCCUGGCACGCUUGGCUUCUGUCUCGCCAUUAAAAGGCUUGAGACAGCCUUUGCAUGCUUUUGCCUUUGGAUCGAGCUCCUGCACGCUUGCUUCUGUCGCCAUAAAACAGGCUUUGAGACUUGCUGAGCCUUUGCAUGCCUUCAAUUCUUCAGGAUUGGAUUCUGCUCGCCUUCUCGUUGGUCAGCAGAUCCUGGCACGCUUGGUUCUGUCUCGCCAUAAAAGGCUUUGAGACUUGCUGAGCCUUUGCAUGCCCUUUGAUUCUUCAAGGAUUGGGAUUCUGCUCGCCUUCUCGUGGUCGAGCAAGAUUCCUGGCACGCUUGAGCUCUGUCUCGCCAUAAAACAGGCUUUGAGACUUGCUGAGCCUUUGCAUGCCUUUCGAUUCUUCAAGGAUUGGGAUUCUGCUCGCCUUCUCGUGGUCGAGCAGAUCCUGGCACGCUUGGCUUCUGUCUCGCCAUAAAACAGGCUUGAGACUUGCUGAGCCUUUGCAUGCCUUGAUUGUUCAAGGAUUGGGAUUCGCUCGCCUUCUCGUGGUCGAGCAGAUCCUGGCACGCUUGCUUCUGUCUGCCAUAAAACAGGCUUUGAGACUUGAUGAGCCUUUGCAUGCCUUUGAUAUUCUUGAAUGCUUUGGAGUCUGCUGCCUUCUCGUGGUCGAGCAUAUCCUGGCACGCUUGGCUUCUGUCUCGCCAUAAAACAGGCUUUGAGACUUGCUGAGCCUUUGCAUGCCGUUGAUUCGUUCAAGGAUUGGGAUUCGGCUCGCCUUCUCGUGGUCGAGCAGAUCCUGGCACGCUUGGCUUCUGUCUCGCCAUAAAACAGGCUUUGAGACUUGAUGAGCCUUUGCAUGCCUUUGAUAAUUUCUUGAAUGCUUUGGAGUCUGCUUGCCUUCUCGUGGUCGAGCAUAUCCUGGCACGCUUGGCUUCUGUCUCGCCAUAAAACAGGCUUUGAGACUUGCUGAGCCUUUGCAUGCCUUUAUUCUUCAAGGAUUGGGAUUCUGCUCGCCUUCUCGUGGUCGAGCAGAUCCUGGCACGCUUGGCUUCUGUCUCGCCAUAAAACAGGCUUUGAGACUUGAUGAGCCUUUGCAUGCCUUUGAUUCUUCAAGGAUUGGGAUCUGCUCGCCUUCUCGUGGUCGAGCAGAUCCUGGCACGCUUGGCUUCUGUCUCGCCAUAAAACAGGCUUUGAGACUUGCUGAGCCUUUGCAUGCCUUUGAUUCUUCAAGGAUUGGGAUUCUGCUCGCCUUCUCGUGGUCGAGCAGAUCCUGGCACGCUUGGCUUCUGUCUCGCCAUAAAACAGGCUUUGAGACUUGCUGAGCCUUUGCAUGCCUUUGAUUCUUCAAGGAUUGGGAUUCUGCUCGCCUUCUCGUGGUCGAGCAGAUCCUGGCACGCUUGGCUUCUGUCUCGCCAUAAAACAGGCUUUUGAGACUUGCUGAGCCUUUGCAUGCCUUUGAUUCUUCAAGGAUUGGGAUUCUGCUCGCCUUCUCGUGGUCGAGCAGAUCCUGGCACGCUUGGCUUCUGUCUCGCCAUAAAACAGGCUUGAUUGCGAGCUUUGAGCUUGACUGAGUCCUCCCUCUUGACAGAUCCGCACCUUGCUCUGUCUCGCAUAAACAGCGAACUUGUUUGCAUUUUGUUUUCAAGGAUUGGGAUUCGGCUCGCCUUCUCGUGGUGGAGCAGAUCCUGGCACGCUUGGCUUCUGUCUCGUCAUAAAACAGGCUUUGAGACUUGAUGAGCCUUUGCAUGCCUUUGAUAAUUUCUUGAAUGCUUUGGAGUCUGCUGGCCUUCUCGUGGUCGAGCAUAUCCUGGCACGCUUGGCUUCUGUCUCGCCAUAAAACAGGCUUUGAGACUUGCUGAGCCUUUGCAUGCCUUUGAUUCUUCAAGGAUUGGGAUUCUGCUCGCCUUCUCGUGGUCGAGCAGAUCCUGGCACGCUUGGCUUCUGUCUCGCCAUAAAACAGGCUUUGAGACUUGCUGAGCCUUUGCAUGCCUUUGAUUCUUCAAGGAUUGGGAUUCUGCUCGCCUUCUCGUGGUCGAGCAUAUCCUGGCACGCUUGGCUUCUGUCUCGCCAUAAAACAGGCUUUGAGACUUGCUGAGCCUUUGCAUGCCUUGAUUCUUCAAGGAUUGGGAUUCUGCUCGCCUUCUCGUGGUCGAGCAGAUCCUGGCACGCUUGCUUCUGUCUCGCCAUAAAACAGCUUUAGACUUGUGAGUUUGCUUUUUUUUUGGUUGGAUUUGCUUUUUGGUAGCAGAUCUGGCACGCUUGGCUUCUGUCUCGCAUAAAACAGGCUUUGAGACUUGAUGAGCCUUUGCAUGCCUUUGAUAAUUUCUUGAAUGCUUUGGGAUUCUGCUCGCCUUCUCGUGGUCGAGCAUAUCCUGGCACGCUUGGCUUCUGUCUCGCCAUAAAACAGGCUUUGAGACUUGAUGAGCCUUUGCAUGCCUUUGAUAAUUUCUUGAAUGCUUUGGAGUCUGCUGGCCUUCUCGUGGUCGAGCAUAUCCUGGCACGCUUGGCUUCUGUCUCGCCAUAAAACAGGCUUUGAGACUUGCUGAGCCUUUGCAUGCCUUUGAUUCUUCAAGGAUUGGGAUUCUGCUCGCCUUCUCGUGGUCGAGCAGAUCCUGGCACGCUUGGCUUCUGUCUCGCCAUAAAACAGGCUUUGAGACUUGCCGAGCCUUUGCAUGCCUUUGAUUCUUCAAGGAUUGGGAUUCUGCUCGCCUUCUCAUGGUCGAGCAGAUCCUGGCACGCUUGGCUUCUGUCUCGCCAUAAAACAGGCUUUGAGACUUGCUGAGCCUUUGCAUGCCGUUUGAUUGUUCAAGGAUUGGGAUUCGGCUCGCCUUCUCGUGGUGGAGCAGAUCCUGGCACGCUUGGCUUCUGUCUCGUCAUAAAACAGGCUUUGAGACUUGAUGAGCCUUUGCAUGCCUUUGAUAAUUUUCAAGUUGGAUUCUCGCCUUCUUGUGAGCAAUCUGGCAGCUUGGCUUCUGUCUCGUCUUUACUUUUUCUUUGAUUUUUGAUUUUGUCUCUUUCUCGUGGUCGAGCAUAUCCUGGCACGCUUGGCUUCUGUCUCGCCAUAAAAACAGGCUUUGAGACUUGCUGAGCCUUUGCAUGCCUUUGAUUCUUCAAGGAUUGGGAUUCUGCUCGCCUUCUCGUGGUCGAGCAGAUCCUGGCACGCUUGGCUUCUGUCUCGCCAUAAAACAGGCUUUGAGACUUGCUGAGCCUUUGCAUGCCGUUGAUUGUUCAAGGAUUGGGAUUCGGCUCGCCUUCUCGUGGUGGAGCAUAUCCUGGCACGCUUGGCUUCUGUCUCGCCAUAAAACAGGCUUUGAGACUUGCUGAGCCUUUGCAUGCCUUCAAUUCUUCAAGGAUUGGGAUUCGGCUCGCCUUCUCGUGGUGGAGCAUAUCCUGGCACGCUUGGCUUCUGUCUCGCCAUAAAACAGGCUUUGAGACUUGCUGAGCCUUUGCAUGCCUUCAAUUCUUCAAGGAUUGGGAUUCUGCUCGCCUUCUCGUGGUCGAGCAGAUCCUGGCACGCUUGGCUUCUGUCUCGCCAUAUAAAACAGGCUUUGAGACUUGCUGAGCCUUUGCAUGCCUUUGAUUCUUCAAGGAUUGGGAUUCUGCUCGCCUUCUCGUGGUCGAGCAGAUCUUGGCACGCUUGGCUUCUGUGUCGCCAUAAAACAGGCUUUUAGACUUGCCGAGCCUUUGCAUGCCUUUGAUUCUUCAAGGAUUGGGAUUCUGCUCGCCUUCUCGUGGUCGAGCAGAUCCUGGCACGCUUGGCUUCUGUCUCGCCAUAAAACAGGCUUUGAGACUUGCUGAGCCUUUGCAUGCCGUUGAUUGUUCAAGGAUUGGGAUUCGGCUCGCCUUCUCGUGGUGGAGCAGAUCCUGGCACGCUUGGCUUCUGUCUCGUCAUAAAACAGGCUUUGAGACUUGAUGAGCCUUUGCAUGCCUUUGAUAAUUUCUUGAAUGCUUUGGAGUCUGCUGGCCUUCUCGUGGUCGAGCAUAUCCUGGCACGCUUGGCUUCUGUCUCGCCAUAAAACAAGCUUUGAGACUUGCUGAGCCUUUGCAUGCCUUCAAUUCUUCACGGAUUGGGAUUCUGCUCGCCUUCUCGUGGUCGAGCAGAUCCUGGCACGCUUGGCUUCUGUCUCGCCAUAAAAACAGGCUUUGAGACUUACUGAGCCUUUGCAUGCCUUUGAUUCUUCAAGGAUUGGGAUUCUGCUCGCCUUCUCGUGGUCGAGCAGAUCCUGGCACGCUUGGCUUCUGUCUCGCCAUAAAACAGGCUUUGAGACUUGCCGAGCCUUUGCAUGCCUUGGAUUCUUCAAGGAUUGGGAUUCUGCUCGCCUUCUCGUGGUCGAGCAGAUCCUGGCACGCUUGGCUUCUGUCUCGCCAUAAAACAGGCUUUGAGACUUGCUGAGCCUUUGCAUGCCUUUGAUUCUUCAAGGAUUGGGAUUCUGCUCGCCUUCUCGUGGUCGAGCAGAUCCUGGCACGCUUGGCUUCUGUCUCGUCAUAAAACAGGCUUUGAGACUUGCCGAGCCUUUGCAUGCCUUUGAUAAUUUCUUGAAUGCUUUGGAGUCUGCUUGCCUUCUCGUGGUCGAGCAUAUCCUAGCACGCUUGGCUUCUGUCUCGCCAUAAAACAGGCUUUGAGACUUGCUGAGCCUUUGCAUGCCGUUGAUUGUUCAAGGAUUGGGAUUCGGCUCGCCUUCUCGUGGUGGAGCAGAUCCUGGCACGCUUGGCUUCUGUCUCGUCAUAAAACAGGCUUUGAGACUUGAUGAGCCUUUGCAUGCCUUUGAUAAUUUCUUGAAUGCUUUGGAGUCUGCUGGCCUUCUCGUGGUCGAGCAUAUCCUGGCACGCUUGGCUUCUGUCUCGCCAUAAAACAAGCUUUGAGACUUGCUGAGCCUUUGCAUGCCUUUGAUAAUUUCUUGAAUGCUUUGGAUUCUGCUCGCCUUCUCGUGGUCGAGCAGAUCCUGGCACGCUUGGCUUCUGUCUCGCCAUAAAACAGGCUUUGAGACUUGCUGAGCCUUUGCAUGCCGUUGAUUGUUCAAGGAUUGGGAUUCGGCUCGCCUUCUCGUGGUCGAGCAGAUCCUGGCACGCUUGGCUUCUGUCUCGCCAUAAAACAGGCUUUGAGACUUGCUGAGCCUUUGCAUGCCUUCAAUUCUUCAAGGAUUGGGAUUCUGCUCGCCUUCUCGUGGUCGAGCAGAUCCUGGCACGCUUGGCUUCUGUCUCGCCAUAAAACAGGCUUUGAGACUUGCUGAGCCUUUGCAUGCCUUUGAUUCUUCAAGGAUUGGGAUUCUGCUCGCCUUCUCGUGGUCGAGCAGAUCCUGGCACGCUUGGCUUCUGUCUCGCCAUAAAACAGGCUUUGAGACUUGCCGAGCCUUUGCAUGCCUUUGAUUCGUCAAGGAUUGGGAUUCUGCUUGCCUUCUCGUGGUCGAGCAGAUCCUGGCACGCUUGGCUUCUGUCUCGCCAUAAAACAGGCUUUGAGACUUGCUGAGCCUUUGCAUGCCUUUGAUUGUUCAAGGAUUGGGAUUCGGCUCUCCUUCUCGUGGUCGAGCAGAUCCUGGCACGCUUGGCUUCUUUCUCGCCAUAAAACAAGCUUUGAGACUUGCCGAGCCUUUGCAUGCCUUUGAUUCUUCAAGGAUUGAGAUUCUGCUCGCCUUCUCGUGGUCGAGCAGAUCCUGGCACGCUUGGCUUCUGUCUCGCCAUAAAACAGGCUUUGAGACUUGCUGAGCCUUUGCAUGCCUUUGAUUGUUCAAGGAUUGGGAUUCGGCUCGCCUUCUCGUGGUGGAGCAGAUCCUGGCACGCUUGGCUUCUGUCUCGUCAUAACACAAGCUUUGAGACUUGAUGAGCCUUUGCAUGCCUUUGAUAAUUUCUUGAAUGCUUUGGAGUCUGCUCGCCUUCUCGUGGUCGAGCAUAUCCUGGCACGCUUGGCUUCUGUCUCGCCAUAAAACAGGCUUUGAGACUUGCUGAGCCUUUGCAUGCCUUCAAUUCUUCAAGGAUUGGGAUUCUGCUCGCCUUCUCGUGGUCGAGCAGAUCCUGGCACGCUUGGCUUCUGUCUCACCAUAAAACAGGCUUUGAGACUUGCUGAGCCUUUGCAUGCCUUUGAUUCUUCAAAGAUUGGGAUUCUGCUCGCCUUCUCGUGGUCGAGCAGAUCCUGGCACGCUUGGCUUCUUUCUCGCCAUAAAACAGGCUUUGAGACUUGCCGAGCCUUUGCAUGCCUUUGAUUCUUCAAGGAUUGGGAUUCUGCUCGCCUUCUCGUGGUCGAGCAGAUCCUGGCACGCUUGGCUUCUGUCUCGCCAUAAAAUAGGCUUUGAGACUUGCUGAGCCUUUGCAUGCCUUUGAUUGUUCAAGGAUUGGGAUUCUGCUCGCCUUCUCGUGGUCGAGCAGAUCCUGGCACGCUUGGCUUCUGUCUCGCCAUAAAAUAGGCUUUGAGACUUGCUGAGCCUUUGCAUGCCUUUGAUUGUUCAAGGAUUGUGAUUCGGCUUGCCUUCUCGUGGUCGAGCAGAUCCUGGCACGCUUGGCUUCUGUCUCACCAUAAAACAGGCUUUGAGACUUGCUGAGCCUUUGCAUGCCUUUGAUUCUUCAAAGAUUGGGAUUUUGCUCGCCUUCUCGUGGUCGAGCAGAUCCUGGCACGCUUGGCUUCUGUCUCGCCAUAAAACAGGCUUUGAGACUUGCCGAGCCUUUGCAUGCCUUUGAUUCUUCAAGGAUUGGGAUUCUGCUCGCCUUCUCGUGGUCGAGCAGAUCCUGGCACGCUUGGCUUCUGUCUCGCCAUAAAAUAGGCUUUGAGACUUGCUGAGCCUUUGCAUGCCUUUGAUUGUUCAAGGAUUGUGAUUCGGCUUGCCUUCUCGUGGUCAAGCAGAUCCUGGCACGCUUGGCUUCUGUCUCGCCAUAAAACAGGCUUUGAGACUUGCUGAGCCUUUGCAUGCCUUCAAUUCUUCAAGGAUUGGGAUUCUGCUCGCCUUCUCGUGGUCGAGCAGAUCCUGGCACGCUUGGCUUCUGUCUCACCAUAAAACAGGCUUUGAGACUUGCUGAGCCUUUGCAUGCCUUUGAUUCUUCAAAGAUUGGGAUUCUGCUCGCCUUCUCGUGGUCGAGCAGAUCCUGGCACGCUUGGCUUCUGUCUCGCCAUAAAACAGGCUUUGAGACUUGCCGAGCCUUUGCAUGCCUUUGAUUCUUCAAGGAUUGGGAUUCUGCUCGCCUUCUCGUGGUCGAGCAGAUCCUGGCACGCUUGGCUUCUGUCUCGCCAUAAAACAGGCUUUGAGACUUGCCGAGCCUUUGCAUGCCUUUGAUUCUUCAAAGAUUGGGAUUCUGCUUGCCUUCUCGUGGUCGAGCAGAUCCUGGCACGCUUGGCUUCUGUCUCGCCAUAAAACAGGCUUUGAGACUUGCCGAGCCUUUGCAUGCCUUUGAUUCUUCAAGGAUUGGGAUUCUGCUCGCCUUCUCGUGGUCGAGCAGAUCCUGGCACGCUUGGCUUCUGUCUCGCCAUAAAAAUAGGCUUUGAGACUUGCUGAGCCUUUGCAUGCCUUUGAUUGUUCAAGGAUUGUGAUUCGGCUUGCCUUCUCGUGGUCAAGCAGAUCCUGGCACGCUUGGCUUCUGUCUCACCAUAAAACAGGCUUUGAGACUUGCUGAGCCUUUGCAUGCCUUCAAUUCUUCAAGGAUUGGGAUUCUGCUCGCCUUCUCGUGGUCGAGCAGAUCCUGGCACGCUUGGCUUCUGUCUCACCAUAAAACAGGCUUUGAGACUUGCUGAGCCUUUGCAUGCCUUUGAUUCUUCAAAGAUUGGGAUUCUGCUCGCCUUCUCGUGGUCGAGCAGAUCCUGGCACGCUUGGCUUCUGUCUCGCCAUAAAACAGGCUUUGAGACUUGCCGAGCCUUUGCAUGCCUUUGAUUCUUCAAGGAUUGGGAUUCUGCUCGCCUUCUCGUGGUCGAGCAGAUCCUGGCACGCUUGGCUUCUGUCUCGCCAUAAAACAGGCUUUGAGACUUGCUGAGCCUUUGCAUGCCUUUGAUUCUUCAAGGAUUGGGAUUCUGCUCGCCUUCUCGUGGUCGAGCAGAUCCUGGCACGCUUGGCUUCUGUCUCGUCAUAAAACAGGCUUUGAGACUUGCCGAGCCUUUGCAUGCCUUUGAUAAUUUCUUGAAUGCUUUGGAGUCUGCUUGCCUUCUCGUGGUCGAGCAUAUCCUAGCACGCUUGGCUUCUGUCUCGCCAUAAAACAGGCUUUGAGGCUUGCUGAGCCUUUGCAUGCCGUUGAUUGUUCAAGGAUUGGGAUUCGGCUCGCCUUCUCGUGGUGGAGCAGAUCCUGGCACGCUUGGCUUCUGUCUCGCCAUAAAAUAGGCUUUGAGACUUGCUGAGCCUUUGCAUGCCUUUGAUUGUUCAAGGAUUGUGAUUCGGCUUGCCUUCUCGUGGUCAAGCAGAUCCUGGCACGCUUGGCUUCUGUCUCACCAUAAAACAGGCUUUGAGACUUGCUGAGCCUUUGCAUGCCUUCAAUUCUUCAAGGAUUGGGAUUCUGCUCGCCUUCUCGUGGUCGAGCAGAUCCUGGCACGCUUGGCUUCUGUCUCGUCAUAAAACAGGCUUUGAGACUUGAUGAGCCUUUGCAUGCCUUUGAUAAUUUCUUGAAUGCUUUGGAGUCUGCUUGCCUUCUCGUGGUCGAGCAUAUCCUGGCACGCUUGGCUUCUUACUCGCCAUAAAACAGGCUUUGAGACUUGCCGAGCCUUUGCAUGCUUUUGAUUCUUCAAGGAUUGGGAUUCUGCUCGCCUUCUCGUGGUCGAACAGAUCCUAGCAUGCUUGGCUUCUGUCUCGCCAUAAAACAGGCUUUGAGACUUGUUGAGCCUUUGCAUGCCUUUGAUUCUUCAAGGAUUGGGAUUCGGCUCGCCUUCUCGUGGUCGAGCAGAUCCUGGCACGCUUGGCUUCUGUCUCGCCAUAAAACAGGCUUUGAGACUUGCUGAGCCUUUGCAUGCCUUUGAUUCUUCAAGGAUUGGGAUUCUGCUCGCCUUCUCGUGGUCGAGCAGAUCCUGGCACGCUUGGCUUCUGUCUCGCCAUAAAACAGGCUUUGAGACUUGCCGAGCCUUUGCAUGCCUUUGAUUCUUCAAGGAUUGGGAUUCUGCUCGCCUUCUCGUGGUCGAGCAGAUCCUGGCACGCUUGGCUUCUGUCUCGCCAUAAAACAGGCUUUGAGACUUGCUGAGCCUUUGCAUGCCGUUGAUUGUUCAAGGAUUGGGAUUCGGCUCGCCUUCUCGUGGUGGAGCAGAUCCUGGCACGCUUGGCUUCUGUCUCGUCAUAAAACAGGCUUUGAGACUUGAUGAGCCUUUGCAUGCCUUUGAUAAUUUCUUGAAUGCUUUGGAGUCUGCUUGCCUUCUCGUGGUCGAGCAUAUCCUGGCACGCUUGGCUUCUGUCUCGCCAUAAAACAGGCUUUGAGACUUGCCGAGCCUUUGCAUGCCUUUGAUUCUUCAAGGAUUGGGAUUCUGCUCGCCUUCUCGUGGUCGAGCAGAUCCUGGCACGCUUGGCUUCUGUCUCGCCAUAAAACAGGCUUUGAGACUUGCUGAGCCUUUGCAUGCCGUUGAUUGUUCAAGGAUUGGGAUUCGGCUCGCCUUCUCGUGGUCGAGCAGAUCCUGGCACGCUUGGCUUCUGUCUCGCCAUAAAACAGGCUUUGAGACUUGCUGAGCCUUUGCAUGCCUUCAAUUCUUCAAGGAUUGGGAUUCUGCUCGCCUUCUCGUGGUCGAGCAGAUCCUGGCACGCUUGGCUUCUGUCUCGCCAUAAAACAGGCUUUGAGACUUGCCGAGCCUUUGCAUGCCUUUGAUUCUUCAAGGAUUGGGAUUCUGCUCGCCUUCUCGUGGUCGAGCAGAUCCUGGCACGCUUGGCUUCUGUCUCGCCAUAAAACAGGCUUUGAGACUUGCCGAGCCUUUGCAUGCCUUUGAUUCGUCAAGGAUUGGGAUUCUGCUUGCCUUCUCGUGGUCGAGCAGAUCCUGGCACGCUUGACUUCUGUCUCGCCAUAAAACAGGCUUUGAGACUUGCUGAGCCUUUGCAUGCCUUUGAUUGUUCAAGGAUUGGGAUUCGGCUCUCCUUCUCGUGGUCGAGCAGAUCCUGGCACGCUUGGCUUCUUUCUCGCCAUAAAACAAGCUUUGAGACUUGCCGAGCCUUUGCAUGCCUUUGAUUCUUCAAGGAUUGAGAUUCUGCUCGCCUUCUCGUGGUCGAGCAGAUCCUGGCACGCUUGGCUUCUGUCUCGCCAUAAAACAGGCUUUGAGACUUGCUGAGCCUUUGCAUGCCUUUGAUUGUUCAAGGAUUGGGAUUCGGCUCGCCUUCUCGUGGUGGAGCUGAUCCUGGCACGCUUGGCUUCUGUCUCGUCAUAAAACAGGCUUUGAGACUUGAUGAGCCUUUGCAUGCCUUUGAUAAUUUCUUGAAUGCUUUGGAGUCUGCUCGCCUUCUCGUGGUCGAGCAUAUCCUGGCACGCUUGGCUUCUGUCUCGCCAUAAAACAGGCUUUGAAACUUGCUGAGCCUUUGCAUGCCUUCAAUUCUUCAAGGAUUGGGAUUCUGCUCGCCUUCUCGUGGUCGAGCAGAUCCUGGCACGCUUGGCUUCUGUCUCACCAUAAAACAGGCUUUGAGACUUGCUGAGCCUUUGCAUGCCUUUGAUUCUUCAAAGAUUGGGAUUCUGCUCGCCUUCUCGUGGUCGAGCAGAUCCUGGCACGCUUGGCUUCUGUCUCGCCAUAAAACAGGCUUUGAGACUUGCCGAGCCUUUGCAUGCCUUUGAUUCUUCAAGGAUUGGGAUUCUGGUCGCCUUCUCGUGGUCGAGCAGAUCCUGGCACGCUUGGCUUCUGUCUCGCCAUAAAAUAGGCUUUGAGACUUGCUGAGCCUUUGCAUGCCUUUGAUUGUUCAAGGAUUGUGAUUCGGCUUGCCUUCUCGUGGUCAAGCAGAUCCUGGCACGCUUGGCUUCUGUCUCGCCAUAAAACAGGCUUUGAGACUUGAUGAGCCUUUGCAUGCCUUAGGAAAUUUUCACAGUUUCAAGCGAAUGAAAUUCCUCAUUGAUUCAUUUAUUGCUGAGUUCGGCUUACAUGAGGUUGGUUUGAAAUAAGAAAUCAAAAAUAGAAAACAACGGACACGAACAGAAAAAAAAAAAACUUUAAAACAUGAAUAAGUCUUACUAGAAAUAUUUCCUGAGGUGUGCCGCGCUCCAUGGACGUUUCACCUCGUGGCCCUCCGUGCGAACCAACUUGUAGACUCCGGGUCCAACUAGCUGCCUUUCCCGGCUUCCACUCGGGUACCAAGGUAUGUUAUCUGCAUUGCUUCCCUUGCUGCCGAGGAGUAACAAGUUCGUGCGAUUCUCUGGUCUCCUCGUACCACUCCAACUACCCCAUUCACCCGGUACUUGAGAGCCAGAUAAUGGUUGGACAGCACCGCUUUGCUCAUCCUCAGAAAUGGCCGACCUAGGAUCAUCUGAUAAGGACCUUCCUCAUCCACUACCACAAAGUCCAGUAUCAUUGUCCUUUCUGUCGGGGAGCUCCCAAUCGUGAUAGGCAGCUCGACCACGCCCAGAGGGACCAGCUUUCCUCUUCCAAACCCCUUCAAGGAGGUAUUGGUGUAUUCCAACUUCCGGUCUACUAUUCCCAUCUCCUCCAAGGUUGACUUAAAUAAUACAUCAACUGAACUCCCUGUAUCAACCAGUAUCCGGUCACACUUCUUGCUAGCGACAGUAGCCUUGAUGACUAAAGCAUCCUCGUGGGGGUAUAGAAUUCCUUCCUCAUCUUCAUCCGUCCACAUGAUUGGCACUUGCCUGACCCUUGCUCGUUUGGCUGCUGGGGUGUUGAAGAAUACCUCUUUACUAGUCAUGGCGUAUCUAGCAUAGUUCUUCCUAGAUCUGUUGGAAUCUCCAGCCAAUGUCGGGCCCCCAGCAAUCACCCUUACUGUAGGCUGCUCGUGCCUCAAAUUUCUGCCACUCUGCUCCCCUUCACAUGUCGAGGCCACCAUCGGGAAAGUCCCAUCUACAAACUCGUCCAGGUACCGAUUUCUCACCAAAUCUUCAACCUGGGUCUUGAGAUCUUUGCAUUCUGCAGUGGUAUGGCCAUGAGUGCCAUAGAACUUACAAUGGCGUCCCCUAUCCCUCCUGCUGGGUAGCUUUGUUAUUAGGGCAGGGAGGUACAGCAAUCCUCGGUCCUUUAUGGCCUCGUAUACUUUGUCCAGGGACAUCUUCAAGGAGGUGUAUCGCCCAUACUCCUGGUUUUGGUCAAUCAGGUGCACAGCCCUUUCUCUAUUUGCUCCGUUUUGAGUUGGAGGCGAUGGCAGCAUUUCUGGUCUGCUCCCUCUACUACUGUGGGAGUGUUGAUGAAGACCACCAUAUGCCGAAUCAUGCCUUCUCCAAGGCUCCCUAGCUGGGGAACGAGGAGGGUGCGCCCUGCUGCGCUGAUACUGUGGUGGCCUCUGAUGAGGCUGGUGAGCUGUUAUCCGACCUCCUGUUCCACUACCUGAGGCCUGGAGGUCCCUCCUCCUGAUCGGCCCAUUUCCCGGUAAUGCCCUCUUCUCUUUCUUUUCCAGCCCCUCCAGCUGGUCUGUCUUAAUCCGACCUGCCUUUUCUUCCUCGAUCUCUAUGUCUCUUUUAGCCUGCUCGUAUGCGGCUGCAUACGUCUGAAUAGCUGGGCUUCUCAAGUUGUACCACAGCCUUCCUAUCUUCACUCCCUCUUUCAAUCCCCUUAGUGCCUGAGGAUGGUCGAAGGCUCCCAAAUCGAGGACAGCACGAUGAAACCUCUUGAUGAAUUCCCGAAGGGUUUCUUGCUCCCCUUGCUUCAUGCUUUUCAGCUCCAUCAUGUCAUCUUCUGGUGCCAUUGCCCCACGAAACUGCUCUGCAAACUCCUGGCACAUCUGCUCGAAGGUUUUAAUGCUCCCCCGAGGAAGUUUCUUGUACCACUCUCGUGCACGUCCCUCAAGAGAUAGUGGGAACACCCUGCACCUUUGGGAUUGAGAUAAUCCUUGUACCCCAGUUAUGUCGUUGAAACGCUCUAUGUGCACCAGCGGAUCCGUUCGUCCCGAAUACCUAAGGUCUGGGAGGCGGAAAUCUCUCGGAAUAACUGCCCUCAUGAUCUCUGCUGCGAGCGGUGAUUCUCCGUCCAGCAUUAUCCUCCAACCAGGAGCUCUGCUCCUUCCUUGCAUGUCGUCAAUUAUCUGCGCUAGUCUGCGCACUUCCUCCUCCAGCUGCACUGCGCGACUAGGGUCACGUGCUGCAGCUUGAUCCCGCUCUUGCUCUACAUCAAGCAAGUGUUGCCUCAACUCUGUUUCCUCUGCAUUUGCCACCCUGUCCACUUUAAAUCUGGUGUGGUUAAUGAACAUUUUGAGGUCACAAAAUUUGCACUACUGGAAACAAUAAAGGAAGCAGUACCAGAGAUAUGGUCACCAGAAAUGAAGAGUGCCUGGUCCGAAGCUUGCGAUCAAUUGGUUGCAGCCAUUAAGUUAGAGAUGAAGCCCUCCUCUUAGAGUUUCCUGAACAAAUUUCUCUUCCCUUGUAAUAUUAAAGAAUUUCAACAAGAUCAUUGUUUAUUUGUUAAUCUUUGCAUUGGUACCCAUGUGUGUUUCUUAUGCCUUUUUGUAUCAAUCCUUGUGUUCAACUCUUAAAUCUUAAUAAUAAAAGUUUGUUCCUAAUAUUUGCAUUUAAAUAUUAACAUGUGUGUUAGAUGAUUUGCCUCUUUGAUUCUGUUGCUUCAUUCCCGUGCAUCUAUCCAAUUAUACUGAUUAGUCCUAAACUGGUUUCAAUGCUCUUAACAAGGAAAAGCUUCAAAAUAAGCUCUUCUUUUUUAGUUGUAAGUGUGUUCUCUUCUGUUGAGUUAUUAAUGGAUCAGUGAAAAGGGCUAACAAUUCUUUUGGAAUGUGUUUGCACUAUGUAUAACAACAAUAAAUGAACUCAAAAGAUUAACGUAUAAUGAAGUUAACUUUCUAUAAUGAAGUUUGUUGUGUUUAAUUUAUAUCAUAUUUGUUCUUUUCUAUUGAUAGUGAUCCAGUUGAAAGAAAAGCAGGGGAAGAAAAAAUGGACAACAUCCAAGAAGCAUCUCAUGCCUUUAAGCCGGCAAAAAUUUCGUGCUUCUAAUGUUUUCUUGCUGCUGAAUUCUUGAAUGUAGAAGUUCAACAGUCAAUUCUCACGAACCAGUUGGCGUUUUGCAGCUUGGAAGCUCUAUACUUGAGGUUUUGCAGUUUGCAAUUUGCAGUCUGCAGAUUGUAAGUUUUGAGGGGAGUGUUAUGGUUCACGCUUGCGCAAAUAGAAGGAUAAAGAGAAUGCUCACGUGCUGCACAGGUGGAAUUAAAAGGAAAGCAAUCAAAACCAAAAAGCAAUCAAAGCAAAAGAAAAGUAAUCAAAGCAAAAAGAAAGCAAUCAAAGCAAAAUGCACCGUUUUUACCAAUAUUCCGGGGGCGGAUUCAGGGUUUAAUUCGGGGUAAAUAGCUUUUUCCCUAUUAUAAACACCUGAAGUCAAAGUUAAUGUUUUAAUUUCUUUAGUUUGGUAAAGACUGCUUAAGCUGACUUGAAAAGCUCAAAUAUAAGUUCUAUAUUAACAAAUGCCCGCAGCUUGUGAAGACAUAGAUAAUUGAAGCCGAUGAGGCAUAUUUAACAGAUGAUAAUCAAAACUAAUGUGAUUAAAAUUAUAAUUCAAUAAUUAAGCACAUAAAACAACAAGUAACUAGUUGUAUAUAUACCAAACAACAUUUUGAAGUUAAGGCGUAAAACAGCAACAUAGAACAAAUUAAUUAAAUAUACCAGCACCAAUACUCUUAUUAUUAUCCACAUAGAAAAGAACAAUAUAUCAAACAAGGAAAAUGAAAUAUUGUUAAUAACUCAAAAACCACUAGUGUCAAGGACUAGACUAAUAAGUGAAACCCAUAAUUGGAGGAUAAUUAUGUGCACAUGAGUUCGCUUAGCAAAAGUCCGCCUAGGCGUGGAGUGCGCUUAAAAGCGGGAUGCACUUAGAAGUGAGAUGCGCUUAGCAAAUCAUCCAAGCCCAACCCAAGAUCUAGAACUCUCUGUAAAUUAUUAAUAAGCUAAAGUUUUUAUGUUUCUCCAUGUAGGUCCCUAGGAUAUUUAUGGAAGUUGCUAGGAAGUUUCCUCCCCUAGAACUCUAAUACCUAUAAAUAGGGGUGGGCCGCCUCAUUUGCCCACCAAUCACACCACACACACAAACACUCCAGCACACACACACAAGCUCUCUAGCUUUUGCAAAAAACUCUCUUGUAUAUUCUCUCUUUGUGAGUAAUAAAAUCAUAUUCAGCCAUAUUGCUCUACAUAAAAUCAUAUUCGGCCAUAUUGCUCUACUUCUCUCUAGCAUUUUCCGCAAGUGUUCUUGCUUUGCUAGUUUGAGGAGUGGUCUAGGCUUGCUUAGCAACUUGUUUGCUACAAGGACAUCUUGGUCACAAAACAUGGACAUGCAAGGAAAAAAAAAUAUUGAUACGUUCUAAAAAUAAUACGCAUUCUUCUACAGUGAACCAAAAAAUUUAGGCUAAUGGUAGCAAGUGAAGGAAUUGUGAUUUCACGUGCAUUUUGUUGACAUGAAGGUAAAGAACUUUUUUAUAGUUUAUAUUGUUUAAUAUAACAUUUGAAUUGCAAAAUAGGGGUACAAAAUUGAUACACGAAGUGAGAAAACUAAGCUAAUUAUGAUAAAUAUUGAAUUAAAAGAUUUAGGUUUAAUCAUAAAGACAUAAGUGGCCCACAAAGUCAUGAAUUGAUAUCAUCCACGAUGCAAGUUCAAAAAACUGCAUAAUAAGUUGCCCCAAGCUAAACUAUUAAUCUAGUAACUAUUCUAGUCGAUGUGGGAUAAUUUUCCUAUCACCAUCUAUCACGUGCAGGCCGAAUUUGUUGCUUGGUCCUUACAUGUGGUAAGGUAAUAUGAAUCCACUUGCGCAUGAAUUUGGCUCCGAUAUUAUAUAGAAGCCUAUGACACAAAAUUAUACUUAAAGGUUAUUUCAAGAUUUGAGGGUUGCCUCAAGCUAAUAUUAUUAUUAGCCUGGUAACCCUUUUUUUUUUUGUUGAUAUGUGAUAUUUUCCCUAUAACUUUUAUUAAUCUUUAUGCUUAUGUUUUGUCAUUUAUCCCAAAAUAUAACAAUAACAAAAGUUCCAAAAUUUCCUUCAAGAGAUAUAUUUGAGACAAGUAAUUUGUGCAAUAACUUUGUGAAUUGAUGAGCAAAUUCAGAGAAAAGAAUAUAUGUGCCAAACGUAACGUUUAUUAUUGUGUUUAUUUGUAGAGCUAUUUAAAGCCCAAAAAAAAAAAAAAAGCACCGGUCCGCUAUUAUUUCAAAUAAGUUCAAGCCCUAUGUCAUUAUUGGUACAAAAAUGUAUUAGAAUGGUUAAAAACUAUUUUUAUUUAACUUAUAAACUUAGGAAAUUAUCAACUGUUCACCCUUAAAUUGCAUUGUUAUAAAAAAUAUUACAACAUUUUCAGGUUGUAUCAUUCAUCUACCAUAAAUUUACAAUUUGCAUCAUUUAUCCACCAAAUCAUUAACUUCGUUAAAAAGUGAUAGACGUCACAAGGGUAAUUUAGACAUUUAACACACAAAAAAAAUAAAAGAGAAAUUAUCUAAGCUUACCAUGUUAUCAAAAUUGCUACAAAAUUUUAAAUUUAUUCAAUUUUCCAAUCUAAGUUUAUGACCUCCAAGAUGUUAAUUGCAGUUUGUAAUUAAUGACUUCAUAAGGAUAAUUUAGACACUCAAUAUGCAAAAUAAAAAAUAAAAUAAUGGCUUAAAACAUUAAAACAAAAAACUACUUUUUAUAAUUGAUAUUCAAUUAAAUACACAUAAACUCUAUUUUUUUCUUAAUUAAAAAAAUUCUAAUUUAUUUUCUCAAUUUAUCAUCAUAAAUUUACAUUAAUAAACUAAAUCCACAAAUUACCCUAAACCCUAAUUCAUAAAUGCCCAAUCAAUCUAAUAGUUUAAUUCGAUUUCAUAAUUAAAAAAGCUAAAUUUAUUAUAUUAGUUGUGGUGCAAAGUCAAAAAUGCCCUUAAAUUCAAGGUAAAAUAACAUUUUAUGUAAAUUCUAUAAAUUAUUCUAACAAUGUUAACAUUUUGGUGGACGGUUAAUAUAAGUUACAAACUUAAAAUAGAAAAUCAAAUAAAUUCAAAAUUUCAAACUAUUUAGGGCAAAUUUAGGAUAUAUGGUUAAUAAUUUUCCCAUGUCUUUUUACAUUGGUUGAUAUAAGUUACAAACUUAAAAUAGAAAAUCAAAUAAAUUUAUAUUUUCAAACUAUUUAGGACAAACUUAGGGUAUAUGGUUAAUAAUUUUUCUUUAUCUUUUUACGUUAAAUUGAGUUUCAAAGGUAAAAUGAUCAAUUUAUUAUAAUUCUAUUCAUUUUUUAGUGGAAGCAAAUGAUAUAAUGGACGAGUGAUAUAAAUUGUAAAAUUCUAUUCAUUUAAAGUGCAUGAAUGAUACAACUUUAAAGUAUUGUAGUAAUUUUAAUAAUAGAACAAUUUAAGGGUGGAUUGGCAAUAAUUUAAACUUUAAUGAAGCAACUAAAAAAAUUUGUUAACAAAGAAAAAUAAUUGAAUGCUUGGUGAAACCAAAAGUAAUUGAAAAGCUUUAAGAAAAAUAAAGGAAAUUAAAUAUCUUUAUAAAAACAUAAUUGAGUAAAAUCAUUUUACAAAAUGCUCUUUCAAAUGCACAUUCCACAAGCCAGGGAGAACGGGUGGCUAACAAAAAUGUCACUUUUUAUGAGUUUAUAAAAUCUCACUUUCGCUAAAUUAAAAAAUAACCAAUACUAAUGACACAAAAAAUAAAAAUUAUUGCUGUCACGACAUUACACACUUUCUUCGCAGUUUAGAAAGGUGGAACAUUUUGAAGUUCCUCAAUACAAAAUGCGUGCUACUACUAAAUUGGCCCAAUUAAUGCCCAUCGAAAAGGCCAUCAAUUUAGCCGCCAAUUUUGUCAAAAUUUCAACAAUUGAAGAAAUAAUGAGCACAAAUGGAAAAAAAAAAUCAUAAAGCUACCAAAAGGAACCACAAAAUCAUCAAUAUUAUCGUUUAAUAUGGGGAACGGCCUGCGCAUCCAAAUUGUGCGAACUGAACACGUUGAAAUGUGUUUUUUUUUUUGGAUUUUUGGAAUUUUUUAAAAUCAUUUAUGUUCGCUGCCAUCUUUUUCUUCGCUGGCGUCUUCAUUGGCAUCCCUCUCUUGGCUGGCAUCUGCCUCGUCUGCAGUUUGCUGUGCCUAUAUAUCCAACCAAUAAAUUGGGCAUUAAAUACGAAUGAUGAAUAAAAUGAUUAAAAACAAACAGAGAAAAUUAUAAUAUAACACAUAUAUAUUGAAAGAGAAAUUUUGAUUUUAGGAUAGAUCAAUUAGCUAUCACAAACGAAAACAUGUACCAACUAUGUAUAGAGUCAAUUAACUAAAGUUCUCAAGAGUUGACCUGUGCUCCUGAAUCCUUGGAAUCAUCUAUCUCCUUCUGAAUUUCCACGAAGCCUGGGACAAUCUUGAACAACAACGUUAAAGGAUGGAAUUGAGAUCUGAUAACCCGCAGGCCAAAUGUUGGUGAGGUUUGGUAAGUUUAUCAGUUCCACCCGAAGUUCAUUCAUAACAAUUUCAUUGUAAUCCGUGACGUCUGCUCCAUCUUUAUGCCAGAAUACUUCUUCUAAUUCAUCAUUAGCUGCUAUGUUUAGGUUCUUCAGUUUUUGAAGACUUGGAGCUACGCUGAUAUGAAAUAGAUGCUUUAGUUUGGGGCAAUAAGCGACAGUGAUCUCUGUGAGUUUUGGGAAACAUACAGGUUGGAGAUGAUCCUCAUCCUCAUCCUCAUCAAUGAUUUGCUCUAAUUCCCAGCAAUUGCGAAUGUAUAACUCCUUCAAACAUGGGAAUAGUUUGUUUUCUGGUCCCUCAGCGAUAAUAGCUUCCAAUUGAAAUACCACCUGUACUCCAAUUUCCCUAAUAUGCAAUUCUUCCAAAUUUUUUAAUCCGUGCUUCAACAGUGCUGGAAUCGUGUCACUCAAAUGGGAACAAUUGUCCACAUCUAGAGUAUUUAAGUUCUGAGACAAAUAAAUAAAUAACUUGAUGCAAUUAAAAUUUAUUAGCAGCUAGGAUUAUCACAUGAUAAGUGAUGAACACCGCAAAAAUAUCAUAAUACAUAUGUAAACUAAUAAAAUAAUUAAAAAGUAAUGGAUUUAAAAAAAAUGAAAUUAGUUAAAAGAGAUCAUGUGAAGUGAUAUAAAUGUGACAGUAGAUUGUUUUAGAAAAAAAUAUUAUUCUAUUAAUUUAUAUGGCUUGAUAAACUAUUUAAUUGAAUUUGAAUAAUAUUAUAUACACUUCUGAAGUAUUUGCAUCAAUUCUUUCUAAACCAAAAUGAGAUAUGACUUUCAUUUGAAGAAUGGUUUUAGGCCCUAUAAUAAAGAAAUUUUCCUAAGAUAUCUGAGCAUUAUUAUUAUCAUUACCACAUCCACCACCACCAUCAUCAUCUCCAUAGGAUCAAAUAAUUGUCAAAAGUCAUGGCUGGCAUCGGCCAUCUAGAUGGCCAGUGCCAUGCGAUUCAACACGGCCCACCAUUAUUGGUGGUGCCGCGUUGACUUAUUCUAUAAAAAAAAAAAAGGAGCCAAAAUUUUGGCUAUAUAAAGAGGGCUUCCCACCCUCAUUUUGCAUUCCAUUACGAGAGAGCAAUUUAGUAGUUGAGAGAGAGUUUAGAGAGCUUGAAAUUAUAAAGCUUUUGUUAUAGUGAUUUAGAGAGUUUGGGUGUAUUGAGAUUUUUGGGAAGUGAGCUAAAAUACUACAAUACUUGUAACUCCUUUUCACUAGUAAAAUAUUUCCUUCUGUUUUUGCCCGUGGACGUAGGCUAAAAGCCGAACCACAUAAAUUCUGGUGUCCUCUAUUAUGCUUGUUCUUUAUUUUCUUCCAAUUUCACUUUAGCUGCUUGUCUGCUUCACCCACCAAUUUCCUAACAGUGGUAUCAGAGCUAUUGGUUGUAUUUUUUUGAGUCGGGUACUGUUCACGUAAGGGGUACUAUUCACGUAUACGGUACUAUUCACGUAUACAGUACUAUUCACGUAUACGGUACUAUUCAUGUAUACAGUACUAUUCACGUGAAACGGUGGGAGCGAUCCAAGAAUUUUACGGUGCAAAGCAGGGAAUAGUGGUGUGAGUAAAACAACUGUGUGGUUUUGUACAUGUCUAGGAAAGUUAUGUCACAAAGGCGAUAAGAGCUUAAGGAGUCUGGGUUUUAAGUGGGACCAUUGUGACCCCUCCAGUCUUUCCUGGGAACUUUCCUGGUGUGCAUUCUCACACAUACUUACAACUAUUCAAGGUGGUACACUAGUUUGUGUGCGGUAUUUAUCAACAAAAUGGCGGCAAAGUAUGAAAUUGAGAAAUUUAACAGAAACAAUUUUUCGUUGUGGAAAAUGAAGAUGAAAGCUGUAUUGAGGAAAAAUAAUUGCUUGGCAGGAAUUGGAGAAAGGCCCAUGGAGAUAACUGAUGACAAGUGGAAUGAGAUAGAUGGCAACGCCAUUUCUGAUCUACACUUGGCACUUGCAGAUGGAGUAUUAUCCAGUGUGGCAGAGAAAAAUACAGCGAAGGAAAUAUGGGAUACUCUUACAAAAUUGUACGAGGCCAAGUCACUACACAACAAAAUCUUCUUGAAGAGGAAACUUUAUACUCUUCGAAUGACGGAAUCUACAAUGGUGACCGACCACAUCAACACCUUGAAGACUCUAUUUUCACAACUCACAACGUUGGGUCAUAAUAUAGAGGAGAAUGAACGAGCAGAGCUUCUACUUCAAAGUCUAUCAGAUUCGUAUGAUCAACUCAUCAUCAACCUAACGAAUAAUAAUCCAGUGGACAAUCUAGUUUUCGACGAUGUUGCAGUCUCCGUAUUAAAUAAGGAGAGUAGGCGGAAAAAUAAAGAAAACAGACAAGCAAGUUCACAGCAAGCGGAGGCGCUAUCGGUGACGAGAGGGAGAUCAACAGAACGUGGCCCCAGUGAGAGCCACAAUCAUGGUAGAUCAAAAUCCAAAAGUAAGAAGAAUAUUAAAUGCUACAACUGUGGCAAGAAAGGGCACAUCAAGAAAAAGUGUUGGAGUAACCAGAAGAGAAGAGAGGGCAAAGAACCUGAGUAAUCAAAUGCUCAGGGUUGUGUAGCAAGUACCUCGGAUGAUGGCGAAAUUCUCUACAGUGAGGCAACAACUGUUUCAGAAGGCAGAAAACGACUAUUUGAUGUCUAGCUUAUAGACUCAGGAGCUACCUGGCAUAUGACCUCUCGGAGAGAAUGGUUCCACACAUAUGAACUUAUCUAAGGAGGAUCUGUAUAUAUGGGUAAUGAUCAUGCCUUGGAGAUCGCUGGUAUUGGUACUAUCAAAAUAAAAAUGUUUGAUGGUACAAUUCGCACAAUUGGGAAGGUACGACAUGUCAACGGCCUGAAGAAAAAUCUAUUGUCUUUGGGACAAAUGGAUAGUUAUGGGUAUAAAACUCAUGUGGAGAAUGUAAUUAUGAAGAUCGUUAAAGGAGCGCUUGUAUUAAUGAAGGCAUAAAAGAUCAGUGCUAAUCUAUUCAUGCUUAAAGGAGAAACACUACAGGAGGCUGAUGCGUGUGUCGCAUUUAAUGGAGAAGAAUCAACGAUGAUGUGGCAUCUCAAACUUGGCCACAUGUCAGAACAAGGUUUGAAGAUUCUCUCUGAGCGAAAAUUGCUUCUGGGGCUCAAAUCGGUAAGUUUACCAUUUUGCGAUCAUUGUGUUACAAGUAAGCAGUAUAGAUUAAAAUUUAGUAGAUCUAUUGCUAGAAGUAAAUGCAUUCUAGACUUGAUUCAUUUUGAUGUUUGGGAAUCACCGGAUAUAUCCAUGGGAGGUGCAAAGUACAUGGUGACUUUCAUUGAUGAUUAUUCCAGAAAAUGUUGGGUGUAUCCAAUUAAGAAAAAGUCAGAUGUAUUUCCAGUGUUUAAAGAAUACAAAGCGCGGGUGGAACUUGAAUCUGGUAAAAAGAUCAAGUGCUUGAGGACAGAUAAUGGUGGAGAGUAUACAGACGGCGAGUUUCUUGCUUUCUGUAAGCAAGAAGGUAUUCAGAGACAGUUCACGCUAGCAUACACUCCUCAACAAAACGGAGUGGCGAAGCGGAUGAACAGAACUCUUACAGAAAAAAUAAAAGCUAUGUUGAGGACUGCUGGUCUACCCAAUUUAUUCUGGGCAGAAGCAGCCAAAACUGCUUGUUAUAUAGUAAAUCGGUCGCCAUCUACAGUUAUUGGGCUGAAGACAGCGAUGGAGAUGUGGACUGGAAAGCCAGCUGAUUAUUCAUACCUACAUGCAUUUUGAUGUCCUGUGUAUGUGAUGUACAAUGCCCAAGAAAGAAAAAAACUGGAUCCAAAAUCUAGAAAAUGUAUCUUCUUGGGAUAUGCUGAUGGAGUAAAGGGGUAUCGUCUGUGGGACCCCACUGCCCACAAGAUCGUCAUCAGCAGAGAUGUUAUAUUUAUAGAAGAUCAACUGCAAAGGAAAGAUGAGGAUGAUAGCACUAUAAAAGAAAAGUCAGAGACUGUACCGGUAUAUGUGAAAAAUAAUCCAGAAGAUUCAUAUUCUUCUGAAGCAGCACCAGAGCACGAGGAACAAGAACCAGUCGAGUCCGAGGCUCAAGAAGUUCGUCGAUCAACUCGUGAGAGACGACCGCCAACGUGGCACUCGGAGUAUGUUACAGAGAUCAACGUUGCAUACUGUCUUCUAACAGAGAAUGGAGAGCCUUCAACUUUCCAUGAAGCUUUAAACAACUCAGAUGUUACUUUGUGGAUGACAGCAAUGCAGGAAGAAAUUGAGGCUCUACACAAGAACAAGACAUGGGAACUUGUACCACUACCACGUGGAAGAAAAGCCAUUGGAAACAAAUGGGUCUACAAGAUCAAACGUGAUGGCAAUGACCAAGUGAAGCGGUAUCGUGCGAGAUUGGUGGUGAAAGGAUAUGCUCAGAAAAAAAGUAUUGACUUCAACGAGAUAUUUUUACUGGUGGUUCGACUCAUAACAGUCAGAGUAGUCUUGGUGAUGUGUGCUACAUUUGACUUACAUCUUGACCAGUUAGAUGUGAAAACUGCAUUUCUUCAUGGAGAACUUGAAGAAGAAAUAUAUAUGCUCCAACCAGAAGGUUUUGCAGAAACAGGAAAGGAGAACUUGGUUUGCAGGUUGAACAAAUCUCCAUACGGUCUUAAACAGGUGCCGAGGUGUUGGUAUAAGAGAUUUGAUUCCUUCAUUGUGAGUCUUGGAUACAAUAGACUCAGUUCAGACUAUUGUGCAUAUUACAAGAGGUUUGAAGACAAUGAUUUCAUUAUUUUACUGUUGUAUGUGGAUGACAUGUUGGUAGCAGGCCCCAACAAAAAUCAAAUCCAAGAAUUGAAGGCACAGUUGGCUAGGGAGUUUGAAAUGAAGGACUUGGGACCAGCAAACAAGAUUUUAGGGAUGCAAAUUCACCGAGACAGAAAUAACAGGAAGAUUUGGCUUUCGCAGGAGAAUUACUUGAAGAAAAUAUUGCGGCGCUUCAACAUGCAAGAUUGUAAGUCAAUUUCUACCCUACUUCCUGUUAAUUUCAAACUAUCCUCAAGUAUGUGUCCUAGCAAUGAAGCAGAGAGGAAGGAGAUGUCUCGAGUAUCGUAUGCAUCAGCAGUGGGAAGUUUGAUGUUCGCUAUGAUAUGUACAAGACCAGACAUUGCACAAGCAGUGGGAGCAGUCAGUCGAUACAUGGCGAAUCCUAGUGGAGAGCAUUGGAUAGCUGUGAAGAGGAUUAUGAGAUACAUCAGAGGAACCAUCAGAUGUUGCAUUAUGUUAUGGAGGAUCAGAGUUUACUGUCAGGGGCUAUGUGGAUUCAGAUUUUGCAGGAGACCUUGAUAAAAUGAAAUCUACUACUGGUUAUGUGUUUACACUUGUGGGAGCAGCUGUAAGCUGUGUUUCAAAACUGCAGACCGUUGUAGUUUUAUCUACGACAGAAGCAGAAUACAUGGAAGCUACACAAGCUUGCAAGGAAGCUAUUUGGAUACAAAGGUUAUUGGAGGAGCUCGGGCACAAACAACAGAAAAUUCCUGUGUUUUGUGACAGUCAGAAUGCCUUGCACAUUGCAAGGAAUCCAGCCUUUCAUUCCAGGACAAAGCACAUAGGAGUUCAGUAUCACUUCGUUCGUGAAGUAAUGGAAGAUGGAAGUGUGGAUUUGCAGAAAAUCCAUACCAAAGAGAACCUAGCAGAUGUUUUGACCAAGCCGAUAAAUACUGAUAAGUUUGUUUGGAGUAGAUCUUCUUGUGGCCUAGCAGCAACAUAAGCAACAUGACUACGACGAAGCAGAAAGGAUAAUGUGGAGAUUGAUUAAUUCUCAAUCUAAUCUCCAAGUGGGAGAAUGUCAAAAGUCAUGGCUGGCACCGGCCAUCUAGAUGGCCAGUGCCAUGCCAUUCAACACGGCCCACCAUUAUUGGUGGUGCCGUGUUAACUUAUUCUAUUAAAAAAAAAAAGGAGCCAAAAUUUUGGCUAUAUAAAGAGGGCUUCCCACCCUCAUUUUGCAUUCCAUUAAGAGAGCAAUUUAGUAGUUGAGAGAGAGUUUAGAGAGCUUGAAAUUAUAAAGCUUUUGUUAUAGUGAUUUAGAGAGUUUGAGUGUAUUGGGAUUUUUGGGAAGUGAGCUAAAAUACUUGAUGGGUGUCGAAGCCAACAAAAAUAAAUUCCUACUCUAAAUAAAUUGUGUAUAGUGAUUGAGCAGGGUCGUGUCCACAGAGAUCGGUAAUUAUUUAAAUCCUUUUGAAACGUAAAACGUAAAAUGGGGGAAUUGUAGACAAUAAUAAAAAUCAAAUUAAAUAACAAGAAUGCAAAUUAAAGUUGUAAUUCAAAUUGGAGAAAGCUCUGGUUGAAGGAAUUAACUAAGCUUGAUUCGACUACUGAUCAUUGAUUCAAAUAUAGAUUAUUAUUACUCAUGAAUAGACCGGUUAUAGCUAUUGAGACCCUCUAAUAGCCAAUCUCUCCUUAACUAGUCGAUAACCAAGGUACGACCGUUAGUUAUUUCCCUAAUCAAUAGACAACCCUAGAUACGAUCAUAUGAUUUAAUCAAUUGACAGCCUGAAAAACCAGAGAGACCCAAAUCCUAAUCAACACAUAUGAUGAUUCAUUUAAAUUAGAUUGUUUAUUCUCACAACACAACUCUCUGCUAUGUUAUUUGUCACAAACAUUAAAUUCUUAAUACGAUGAAUCCUUUAAUUGACAAUAGAUUAAGUUGAUAAUUAAAUAGUGGUCAAUUACCUAAUUAACAAACAUAAUCAUGAAACUAAUUCAGAGAAUAAACAAAUACCCAAAAAGUAAUAAAACAAUUAAAGCAUAAGAAAGAUCUCACAGUAGUGAUGAAUCAAAGCUUCAUUAUCCUUCAACCAGAAAAAUAGGUUUAGUUCUUCAUAGAGAGAAGAGAAUCUAGGGUUUCUUUCUUCUUCUUCAAUCCAAAAAUCCCCCUUUUUCACAAUAGAUUCCUCCCUUAAAUACUCUCUCUCUCUUCUCUUUUAGAGUUCUAUUUAAAAUAAAAUACUAAUAUCUGAAAUAUUAAAUUUGUAAUUACAAAAAUAACCAAAAAUACAAAAUACGUUAAACUAAAAACUGCAGGUCCGUAGUUGACAGCACGCGCCCACGCCUUAUCAACAAAGUUCUUCUGACGCUCAUAAUUUCUCCAAGAGAACAAUCAUCAUUAAAUAUCAUCUUGUAGCUUAAUUUUAUCACCAAUCAAUAGAAUUGCACCUACAAAAGUAAAACACAAGUAAAUCACUAUUAUUAAGUGCAAAACAUCGAUAUUAAGGGAAGUAAACAAUGCAAAACUAGUGCUUAAAUUGCACUCUAACAAAUUCCCCCAUACCAAGAUGAUGCUUGUCCUCAAGCAUAUAACUCAAGACUAAUCCCAAAUCUCCACUCAAUUCUCAUCUCAACUCAUCCAAAAACAAUUUUAAGCAAGUAUACCUCAAGAAAUUAAGUCGAUCAACAUUCGAGAGACAAGGAUUUUAAAGCAUAGAAUCUCAUAAGAUAGAAUAAGAACAUUCAACCACUAAGAAGAUCCAUUCAAAAUUCAAGUGCAACAAGAUUUAAUAGCCCUCUCAUUGACUUCACUCCAUGCACUCAAAGUGUUUAGGGUGUCAUUUAUUCACUCAAAUCAAAUCAAAGAAUGCUAUUACCAUAAGCUUGCUUAUAUAUCACAUCUCAAUCCACAAAACAUGAAUUAAAUGCAAAAAUCUAAGGGUCUUAAAAGGUUGUAACGGGGUUAAAUGGGUUAAAUGAAAAAGAAAGGUUUAUGAAAGAAAAAGAGAUCAAAAUGAGAAGAAUGAACUCAUUGAACGAACUUUAUGAUAUCGAAACGCUUAUUUCUACUCAAGUCACCAAGAAUGUAAACAUUUUUUUUUUCGAUCUUUCUUUUUCUUUUUUCUUUUUUUCUUUUUUUUUUCUCUUUUUUUUGAAUCAAACAAAAGAAACGAACCUUGCACAAUUUAAUUCAAGCAUAAUGCUUGUUGAUCUAAUUGAGAAACUUUAUUACAAGGUAGAAAAAGCAACAAAAUAUAUCCACACAAUGAGUCCAAAAAUCUCCUUAAAUUGAGGCUCAAAAAGAAGAAAAAUGGUUAAGUAGACGGAGAAAAUUAGAUGGGUAAUGGUUAAGGCUCAAACAAAGAUAGCAAAUAAAGGUCUUCGAGUAGAGAAAAAAAAAUGCGAGAAUAGAAAAAUGGAAAAGGGUUUGCCCUUAUCAUUUUAAUGCAUAAAAUCCCGUAAUGCGGCUUCAACAUGCAUAACAAAGCAAGUUCUAGAAUAAACAAACUAAGAUUGAUAUUCACAUAACAAAAAUAUUAGAGCAAAGUGGUUGCUCAUAGGCUCAAAUCCUCACAAAGUUGGUAAAUUUGCCAUCAAAUCAUGUACACUCUUCAAAUGAAUCAACCAUCAAUAGUGGUGUAGAAUGAGAAGAAGGUAUGAGUGAAGGAAAGGUAAAAAUGAUAAGAAAUGAGAAAGAUGUAUGUAGUAAUAUGAAAAGUGAAAGAUAAAAUGUGAGUGAUGAAAGAAUAUGGUAAAAUAAAAAUAGAUAUGAAUAAUUUGAAAUAGAUGGGAAAAAAGUAGUGAGAAAGCGAGGAAAAGAAAAUUAAUAAUAUAUGAAGCAUACUAACUCCAAAAUCAUUUAAGGAUGAGUAGAGUGAAAAUAGAUGAGUAGAGUGAAAACAAUAAUUUCAGACAUCAAUAAUGCAAAAAUCCCUCCCCCACACCAAGAACUUACAUUGUCCUCAAUGUAAAAUAAUCAAAGCUCACAUAAAAAUUAAAGCGUAAAGAUAAAAGAUUAAAGGAAAAAAAAACUUCCCUGAAUUGUGAACUUUGAUCCACAUAACGUCUAUGGUUGCGUUGUGAUUGCUGCUCGGCUGGAGCUUGCUUGAUGGACGCGGGAUGGAGCUGAUUGUGUUGCGCGCGCGCGCUGGGGCUGCUAGAUCUGCGCGCUGCGUGGGCUGUGUUGCGCGUGAGAGCUGGGCUGACGCUGGUUCUGCGCGCUGCUGGGCGAAGGCUGGAUCUACUCACGCGGGUUGCUGCUCGCUGGACGCGGGAUGCUGGUGCUGCUGGUUGCGUUGCGCGCGCGGGACUGAUGCACUGCGCGAUGGUGAUGGCUGGAGCUUUCUGCGCCCGGGCUGGUUGCGUUGCAGGUGGGACUGAUGCGGCUGCGUUGCGCGCGCGAGAACUUGCGUUUUCCGGCGGGCUAGUUUGCUACUGGUGUGCUGCAAGCGGCUGGAGAAGAAAACAAGAUCUGGAAAAUUAGGGAUUUUGUGAACAAUAAAUUUUUUUUUUUUUUAAACAAUGAUGAUUUUUUUUAUUAUAAAUAAAUAAAUAAAUAUAUAAAAGAAGAACAAAACAAAAUCUCUUUUUUUGUUUUUUUUUUUAAAUAAAAUUAAAUUAAAAAAAAUUUUUUUUUUGAAUCACUUUGAGACACCAAAAAUUUCAAAAGUACUUUUUUAAUAAGCACGUGGGCAAGCCUUAAAACUAUUUUACUUUAAAAAUUACAGAAGUACUUUUUAGUUAAGACGUGGGCACGCCUUAUCGAAAAUUUUCUUUUGGCCAAAAUAAGCAAACACAUUAUUUUUUAAAAAAAAUCGGAAUCAAAAUUAAAAGAAAAUAUAACAAAAACCAAAAUAAAUAAAUCAUUUGGGUUGCCUCCCAAAAAGCGCCUUUGUUUUAUGUCUUUGGCUAGACACAUUGAUGCAUCAAUCUCCAUAAUUGGGACUCUCGAGAGCCACAUCUUCCACAAUAUUUACCGAAAAACCUUCAUAAAAAGGUUUUAAGCGAUGACCAUUAACCUUAAAAACUUUGUCAGAGGUCGGACUCCGAAUCUCAACUGCACCAUAAGGAAAAACAUUAGUAACAAUAAAAGGUCCAACCCAGCAAGAACGUAAUUUACCCGGAAAUUACGUCAUGCAUAUCCAUAUGGCUACAUCAUGGCUUUACUAAGAGAGCAUGCUGGCAUUGUUGUUGCUAAUUCAACCUUGAUUGGUGUUUCAGAACGAGUUGCUGAUGAAUGUAAGGGGCUGCCUUUAGCUAUUAAAGCUGUUGGAAGUGCACUAAAAGGUAAAGGAUUUGAUGAGUGGAAUCUAGCUCUAGAUAAACUACAAGAUGCAAAACUCAAUACAAUCGAAGGUAUUGGCAAUGAGGACCAAGACGUUUACCAUUGUCUCGAAUUUAGUUACGAUUAUUUGAAUGGUGAGGAUUCCAGGUCGUGCUUCUUGUUGUGUUCUUUGUUUCCAGAGGAUUGUGAGAUAUAUUUGGAUGAUUUGGUUGGAUAUGCAGUGGGGUUGAGAUGGUAUCGAGCUGAGUCAAUUGAAAAAGUCAGGAGCCUACUGAGUGGAACGAUGAAAGAGGUCAAAGCUUCUUCAUUGCUGUUAGACACUGGCAAUGACAGAUCUGUGAAAAUGCAUGACGUAGUCCAUGACGUAGUCCAUUACAUAAUUUACCUUUUAGUGCACUUCCAACAGCUUUAAUAGCUAAAGGCAGCCCCUUACAUUCAUCAGCAACUCGUUCUGAAACACCAAUCAAGGUUGAAUUAGCAACAACAAUGCCAGCAUGCUCUCUUAGUAAAGCCAAUCCUUCUUCUCGCUUUAGAACACCUAGUUGAAUCCGCGUGUCACAACCCAUGCGAUCACAAACUGGCUGCAGGCGAGUGGUUAUAAGGAUUUUGCAACAAUUGUCUUUAUCACCAACAGGAAUACCUACUGUCUCCAAGUCGAGUUCAUUCCAGACAUUAUAAGAAGAAGAAAUUAAGAACCAUAACAAAUUUGAUGAUUCUAAUUUGCUAGAAAUAUUGCAAUCCAAAACUAAGAAAGUUAAAACCAAUUAUUUGAAGAAAAAAGUAGGAUAGAAGCUCCCAGAAUAUUGUUAUGUGUUGUAUGUUUUCAGUUUGUAUUUCCCAAUCAAUAAGGAAAAGUAAGUACACAUGUUACAAAAAUUUAAUAAAAAAGAUUGGAGGUGACAAAACCUAUCAAUCUUCUAAUUAACUUUCUCUCCUUUCGAAUUUCCUGAGUUUGGUAGAGAUUGCUUAAGUAGUGUAUCUAUUAUAAACAGGCAAAACUAUGUUGCAACAGUGGUAUGGUACUACUGUUGCAACCAGCCAUUGGAUCUAUAAUUGUUCAGUUACAUUAGCAAGAUCCAAUGAUUGAAAGCAACAUUAGUACCGUAUCACUGUUGCAACAUAGCUGGACCCAUUAUAAACACCUGAAGUCAAAGUUAAUGUUUUAAUUGUUAAGAAAAGUUAGAAGAAGAAAUUUUUGUAUAAGAGAAUUGGGUUUAAAUUUAGAAUUCUUUGGGAGGAAAUGAGUCAAAAUUCCAAUAAUAUAAUUCAGCAGUAUUUAUAUAUAUCAUUAGUUGGGUGAAAAAUUAAUUUCCCUCCUUUGAUGUGAUUUUCAUAAUUUAUUUUCAUAUGAUGGUAAUUUUUUGUUUAGAGUGAAGUUAUUGGCACCCUUUCAUUAUCCUUAUAAAAUCCUACUUCAAAUAAAAUUACACUUAAAGACAAUAGAAUUAAAUAACAUAGUUUUUUUUUUCAAACAAAUUACUCACAUUCAUAAUUUUUUUUCUUCUAAUUUUCUACAGGUUGCUUUGUAUCUAACUAAAAUAAAUUGUACAAAUUUAGAAUAAUCUAUUAUUCUUUUUAAAUUUCUUAUUGAUUAAAUAUUUGUGUGCUUAAGGUAGCUUUAAAAUUAUAAGAUAAAAUAUAUAUAAUUUAAGCCAAUGAUUAACAUUCAAAAAUUUAUCUCUCAUAAAAGUUUUUAAUUUGUGCGUAGGGUAAUAAUAAAAUUGCAAAAGAAAUGAAAAAUAGCAUAGCACUAUUUUGAGUUUAAACAAUAAAAAUUUAAAUGAAAAAUUAGAAGUGUAUUUAAAAAAAAGGAUAUUUUUAAAAAUAAAAUAAAUAUAAUUAAAAAAAAAAGAGUUUCAUGAGGGGUGCAAUAGUUCAACUCUUUUGUUUAUAAGUUUUAAGAUGUUGGUAUCCGUAGCUUAGCUUUUCCCUAAUUAUUAUAUUAAAAUGUAACAACAAUGAUGAUCAACCCUAAUUUCGUGGAGGUCAAAGAUUUUGGUCAUGCCGCAUUAAUUAGUUCGGUCAUACUUUCUACAAAUUUAUUUACAUUUAAUAAUUUGACCAAGACUACGUAAGGCGCCGCCUGGAGUCAUAGAAUUUUAUAUGUCGUUUAAUAUGCUCAUUUUGUAUUUUUUUUAAAAAGUUUUAUUAAUUUUUUUUUGUUUUUAAAAAUAUCAUUUAUUUAUUUAAAUUUUUUUAAAGGUAAAGAAGUGGGUAAAGUUUAAAUUCAAUUUUUAUCCCUUACAUCAUGGCCCCUAAGAUUUGAACUAAAAUCUUAAAAAUGAAAUUGUAAAGAAAUCCCAGUUCGUAUAAAAGAAAGAAAACAAAAUUAAGGAAAACAUAAGCACAACAAAAUUUGACUGAUUAUUAAAAAUGAGAAAUGAGUUAUAAUGAGAAUUUUAGCUUUGUCGUGAAAUAAAUUGGGAAGUAUCCAAAGUACGCAUGUAAAUAAUGUAAAUGAUAAGAAGACGAAGGGAACAUAAUGAUAAUAAGCAAGCCAAAUAUUAAAAUGCAGAUUCUACGCUUCCGCCCCCAUACUUCAAGUUAGUGUCUCGCUAAUCAUUUUAGAUGUAUCAAUUACAAAGGGAGGCCAUCUAUUUAUGGUAAGCGUACGCCUCUAAUGCUUUGCCAAGUGUCCAUUGAUAAUAUCACAAGGGAAAUUAAAUUGGUGUAUGUGUAUUACACCUCCUAAAGUCAUGUUAAGAUAGUUAGUGAGCUGAUAAAGUUUGUUGCACGUGUGAGUUGGUUAAAUCUGCUAGAAAUGCAAACGUGUAAAGCUGAGUUAGCAAGUUAGUUAAGGUUGUUACGAAUUCUUAGAUUCAGCUCACGUGUAUUGUAUGUAAUACUUAGAUUCAGGUCAUGUAGAUUGUGUAAACAACUUUCUAAUAUUCUUUAGAUCUCAAUAUAAAUACUUGUAAUCAACAAAUACAAUAAUAAGAGUCAUCAUUCUUCAUUUUCUCUCUGUUUCUCCAUAUUUUCUCUACAUCCAAACACAAUAUUCUCAGUUCUUGACUUGGUAUCAGAGUUGCAGUUUAAUUGUCAUGGCUUCCUUAAGCACAAAUUCAAACACAAAUCAGUCUCCUUCAUUCUUUACCCUCACAAAUGCGAUCAAACUGGACAGAUCUAACUAUACGAUCUGGAAAUCUCAGAUCCUCUCUUCAGUGCGUGCCAAUGGACUUGAAGGCUUUCUUAAUGGAACUAAAAUUUGUCCAGAUCAGUUACUUACUCAAGAGAUUGAAAGUUAUGGUGUUGAAAAUACUGGUGGUGAAAGCUCAGCUGAUAGAUCUCAGGAGAAUCCAGCCUUUGUUGCUUGGAAAAGGUAGGAUCAAUUAUUAUUAAGUUGGCUCAUGUCCUCCAUCAGUGUUGAGAUACUUAGUCUUGUGGUAAAUUCUGAUUCUUCUCAUAAACUUUGGACUAAUCUUGAAGAAAAUUUUUGGAUUAGAAACUAUGGCUAAGAAAGCACACUUAAAAAUGAUGUUAAGCAAUCUCAGAAAGGGAUCAAUGACAAUAACUGAGUAUUUUGCCAAACUUAGAGCUGUAACUAAUAAACUUGCUGUAACUGGUAGCCCUGUUUCUACUCUAGACUAUAUUACUCAUCUAAUAUCUAAAUUAGGCCAGCCAUACUACCCUGUUGUUUUGUAUAUUGAAGCUAUUGUUUUGUAUAUUGAAGUUAAUAUGAUGAAAAUAUUUGUCAAUGAAGCAUAUUCUAUGCUUUUAACUCAUGAAGCAAGAAUUAAAGCUAAUCAUCCAAGUGCAAAUAAAGAAGCAAAGUUGAAUUAUGCUGCUAACAUAGCUUAGGCUGGACCUAGUACUAAAUAACAAUAAGAAGUCUAGUAAUCAAGCUAAUUACUAUCAGGGCAACCAAGGUAACUGGAAAAGAAAUGCUCAUUGGUGUGGUAACAAUGGAGGAAGAGGUGGCUUUGGCAGAGGUUUUUCAGGGCAAGGAAGGGGUAAUUAGAAUAAUGGUGGUCAUUGGAACAAUGGACCUUGGAGUAGUAGUUGAGGAGGCUAUAAUGGUUCUGAUAUAAACAAUAUGACAUGGUUGCUGGUGAACCUGUAAACAUAACCAAAAAAGUAAGAAGGCAUAAUUUUUUUAUAAGAAACUCAAAAAUAUAUUAAUGAUGAAAAUUUUAAAACAGAUAGUGGACCAGCUGUCCAGUAAGAAAACAAAAAAUUGAAUAUUUGUGCUAUAAAAAGGCACACCCAAUCUCACCCCUAUAAAAGGCUAGAAUCAGCUACAAAUCCCUAUCUCAAAACCCCAUCCCAGUUUAGAUGAAUGAAGAAAAAAGAUGAAUCUUGAAACUCCUUAGAAACUGAAUCCCAAAGUGAAGCAAGAAGAUGAACUCUAUCCCAAGCAAGCAAUAUGGCAUAUUUCUCCAUUAAUGGUUAAAAUAGGAUAAAAGCUCGUUUCAUCCUUAUAUUUUAAUAUUCGUGCCUAUUUAGUCUCUGUAUUUUAAAAAAUACCUCAAAACAUCCUUAUCCUUAAAUUAUUGACAUUUCUGCUGUUACUUUUUGUUUUUUUUAACUUGCUUUUACAAUAUUACCCUCUUACAAUAAUGUUUCUUUUUAUAAAGUUAAUAAAAAAAUUAAAUUAUCAAUUUAACCCCAAAAAUAAAAUAAAAACAAAAAGAAUAUAUUAAUUUUUGUGAAAGCUUACAUGUGUCUAAAAAUUUUUUUAUUGUAAAAAUAAUUAAAUUACCUUGUUUUUGGACAUUGGUAAUAAAAAAAUUAAUAUAUUAAUUCCUCAGCAGUGUGUUACAAAAAAGUAACAUAUAUUAAUUUUGUUUCUAUUUUAUUUUUUGAGAUUAAAUUAAUAAUUAUUUUUUUUCUUUUUACUAAUGUCCAAAAAAAAUAUUAUAAGAGGGUAAUAUUGUAAAAAUUAAGCCAAAAGUAACAAAAAGUAAGAGGAAAUGUGCUAAUAAUUUAAUGUCAGGGAUGUUUUGAGGUAUUUUAAAAAAUAUAGGGAGUGAACGGGUACUAACCUCAAAAUAUAGGGACUAACCGAGAUUUUACCCGUUAAAAUAAAGUAGAUGGCUGUCUUGAUGAAUGGGAAAUUGUCAAGAUCAAUAUUCAAACUCACGCAAAGUAAACGGACUUAAUUCUCAGGGGCUACUCAUUCUAAGUCUUAAAGAAAAUUUUUCUAAUUUCUAAAGAUUAUAUGGGGAAAAAUCAUUAUUUUCUAACAUGGAAAAUUUGAUACGGUGUUUAAUGUCUGAUCACAAUGAUAAUAUGAGUACUAACAAAAACAUCUUUAAUCGGCAUGGUGCGAGUAAAACACCUUUGCAAUCCAAUCAGCGAACGCCUUUGCAUUAGGCACAGUACCCGAGAGGAACACAAAUCGGGAGUCCUUUGGAGCCAUCACAAUGCUCUCUUCCCAUACCACACCUCUCUCACGAUCACGCAUGUAAUGUACCUCAUCAAAUAUAGCCCAAGCCACUUCACGCGUAAUCUCUGAGCCUUUGUACUGCAUACUACGCCAGAUUUCAGUAGUCAUCACCUGAAAUUAAACUUCAUAUAAGCAAUCCACAAAUCAAAGCGCUGCAACACCCAAAAGAUGACACUACCAAGUUGACCUACCAAACAAGAAGCAUUAGGGUCAAUUGUGACAUCCCCAGUCAUCAAACCGACAUCUGAAAACUCUUCUUUAAACUCCCUGUACUUCUGAUUGCUGAGUGCCUUAAUCGGUGAAGUAUAUAUCACACGUUGCUUAUUCCGCAACGACAUAGCAAUAGCAUACAAUGCUACCACAGUCUUCCCAGCAGAUGUAUGGUUCGAUACCUUUCAAAUAAAUGAAAGGCAAUUAAAAAAAGAAAAGAAAAAAAAAAACUAUUUUUAUUUUCACACAAGAUAACACUUCAUGCAAAACUUCUUAAUUCUUAUCGGUGAGCUGAAAAGCAGAGCGCUUUGUACAAAAGCACUUCCAAAUUCGAAUUAAAUUUUUUACAAAAAAUUACAGCUUUAUAUAUAUGUGUGUGCGCGUGCGUAUAAUAAUAAUAAUUAACGAACCGUAACGGACUGGCCGUUGUCGAGGCACUUGAUAGCUUCGGACUGGAAUGGGUCGAGAGUGAAAAGGAAUUCCUUAGCAGGUUUAGCGUCAGCUUCAGCCACUUGACCAAGACCCAUUAAACAUAAAACGCGGCGUUUUCAUGGACUAGUACAUUCCAUGCUUCGAAAGUUUUAUGUUUUAGACUGAUUGGUUUGAUACAUUAUUUGUUUAUUGCGUUUUUCUUGCUUUAAAUAUUAUGUUGGAUUGAUAAGUUUUGUACACAUUUAUAUUGCUCGCAGUAAAUAAUUUAUUACAUUUAAAAAACUAUCAACCGUCUAUCGAAAGAUUUCUACUAUAAAUAUAUAUACACAAAAAACUUUUAAUUUGGUCUAUUUGUUCUCUUAUUUAUUUUUGCUCUAUUUCUCUUUUUCUUUCCUUUCAUUUUAUUGUUUUAUGGUACAAAAAAAAAUAACCUUAAAAUUUAAGGGUAAAAUACUCAUUUUACUAAAUUCCGUUUAAUAUCAUAAUGCUGUCAAUGGACAAUGGCAAAGUACACGAGUGAUACAAAUUAAAAACAAAUAAAUUGAAAGUUUUUAUGUAUUUUCCUUUUAUUUUUUUAUAGCCGAUUGAGAUUUCCCUUCGUAUUCUUAAAUUCAAUACGUUUAGACCGUUUAAAAAAUUUUAAAUUAAAAAAAACCCGUGGUGUAAUAACAAACUCACAUCAAAUCCUGUCCACUGUCAUCCCUAAUAAUAUUUACCACUUCAUACUCAAGUGUGAUAAUAACUGUGUAUCACAAUUGAUUUUACAUACGGGUAAAAGUUCCAAGUCCGGAUAUUUAGUUAAUGAAAUUGAUGAAAAGGGCAUGAAAGAAAAUAAGAAAUUAAAUAAUACAGGUAUUAAUCAUUACAUAUUUAGUUAAUGAAAAUUGAUGAAAAUAUUUCUGCAGACAUGAGCCGUAAUUAUAAUACCGUUAAGAAUGAAGCAGCAGAGUUUCCCCAAACAAGCUAAAACACGGCACCUGAAUUUAAAGAAUUUUUAUGUCACAGUAUCGGGACAAAAAGUUUAAUGCAACAACAUACAUUAAGUUAAUUCCAUAAUCUAUCACCAAAGAAAGACAAACACAAGCUUAUAAGAUUAAAACUUUGGAAAACAUUGAAGAGUCGGACAAAAUUGUGUAACCUUCAGAGUUUAGAGCCUAGUUCAUCCAGGAAAGCAAAAGAAAAUAAUAAUAAUAAUAAUAAUAAUGGUGGUUUGAUCUCAAAAGGUGGCAUCAAAGUGGUAACUUUGAGGUAUUGGAAGCAAUAACGUCUUCAACUUUGUCCUGAUUUCGAAGUCCCUUAACCCAUCCGCCAUCAAUGGAUUGAAUGCUUCCAUUCAACCCAUCAUCCACAAAAUCACCAACCCGUUUCACCUUCAUCUCCUCCGCUUAACAGGGUACUUCCCAGAGAAGCUAGCAUAACAAAAAUUCUGAGAAUCAUUGCCUAACAACUUGUUCAAGAUGUCAAUCGGCAGAAAAGCAAGCAAAUCACACCCAAUAAACUCCCUGAUUUCCUCGACGCUCAUCCUGUUGGAAAUCAACUCCUCAGUACUCGGAGUGUCCACUCCAUAGUAACAAGAAGCUAUGAUUGGUGGGCUUGCAAUUCUCAUGUGAACCUCUUUAGCUCCAGCCUCCUCAAGCAACCUAACAAUUUUCGAUGAAGUUGUUCCUCUCACUAUCGAAUCAUCGACAACCACAACUCUCUUUCCCUCCAACACUCCCCUUACAGGAGAGAGCUUAAGCUUGACACCAAAGUCCCUAAUCUUCUGGGAAGGCUCAAUGAAAGUUCUCCCAACAUAGUGUGACCUUAUCAACCCUUGUUGAAAUGGCACCCCGGCUUUCGCAGCGUACCCAAGUGCAGCCACCACUCCAGAAUCUGGUACUGCAAUCACGACAUCACACUCAACAGGAGCCUCGGUAGCAAGUACUUCCCCAAAAUGAUUCCUCGACUCAUAAACAGACCUUCCAAAAACAACAGAAUUAGGCAAAGCAAAAUAAAUAUGCUCAAAGAUGCACUGCUUAGGUUCAGGGUGAGGCAUCAAACAAAGUGAUUGAACCCCAUCUUUAUCCACCAUCAAAACUUCUUGGGGAUGUACCUCCUCAAUCAAAUAGUGCACAAGUCUCUGACGCAAAAACCACAGCACCAUUACUCCUCCUACCUAUCACCAACGGCCUAAACCCGUACGGGUCACGAACCGCAACAAGCUUAUCCUCAGUAACAAACACCAUUGAAUAAGCACCCUCAAGCUUCUCACAAGCAUCCACAAUCUUCAAAAAGAACGGCCUAGCUUUCGAUAUCGCAAUCAAAUGGAGAACAACCUCAGUAUCAGAACUAGUAUUAAAAAUGGAACCAUUAUCUUCAAGCUUAGCCCUCAAAGUAUUAUAGUUAAAUAAAUUCCCAUUAUGUGCAACACCAACAAAACCAAACCUGUACCCAGCAACAAAAGGCUGCACAUUCUUAAGCAUGCAGUCGAAUAUCUAACAUGACCAAUGGCCAUAUCGCCAGGCAAUUGAUCAAGUUUAGACUGAUUAAACACAUCCGAGACUAAACCAACACCGGUAAUAGACUGAAGAACUUUAUUAUUCACAGCAACUAUAACUACACCUUCUUGGCCGCGAUCUGCAGAGCGUGCAGCGCCAAAUAGCACAAACGCGAGGCCUCUGGGUCACCGUAUGAAACGACCCGCCCCGAAUCCCCCGUGCGAGUCAAUCUAGUCUCAUCAAAACGGAUUUGAUAAUAAUCUAAUUAGUAAGGAUUCUGCCGAAAAUUCGGCAGAGUCUCCUUUAUAUAUAUAACACUCCCAAUCUACAAAUAUGAAUAUAACACUCAUAAUAUAAUUCAAUAUACAACAAACUCCAGUGAUCAACAUCCUCAACCAAAAUGCUGAGUUUUAUAUCUCCAGAGUCUCAAAAGAUAAUAUUAUAACUAAUAUUAAUAUCUAAGUUUAUUCUUAAUCCCAAAAGAAUAAUAUAAAAAAAUUAUACAAUCCCAACAGGACGAGAUAACCAAGAUGUCCUAACAAAAACAUUUAUAUUUUCUAACACCAUCACGUGGCCAAGACUCAAAAUAUAUUUACAGUCGCUGGGUCGGUCUGGUGUACCUGCAACCUCCUGGUGAGGGGGGGGGAAAUAUAAUAAAAACGGGGUGAGUUUAAAACUCAGUGAGAUCAAUGAGUGGAUAGUAGUUUUUGAAAAUUAAUGCUUACUUUAAAAGAAAUAUUCAUAUAAUUUCCAAACACGAUUUCAUCAAACCAUAUGCAAGAAACCAAUAGUAAAUCAUUUAACAUUUAAAUCAGAUUACUAACCAUGAAAAGCAUAUAUAAUAUCGUACCAAAUAACCAUGGAAAUCAUAUUACAAUAUCAUAUAUAAUACACAAAUUUGAAAAUCAUCACCAAACAAGUACCCAGAGAAAUAAUCUCGUCAUAUCCGGACAUCAACGGACGUGCAAUGACGUACUAUAUGGGUACCGUCACGCCCCGGAGCUACACGGAUAGACAGGGAAAUAUAAUCUCAUAUCUCAUCAUAUCUUAUCAUAUAUGUGCAUGCAUAAUCUAGUCCCCAAAGGACAAAAACGCCCAAGCACAUGGCCCAAAGCCUCUGUGUGUACUCAGACGGGCCCCAAAGGCCUGUAUCUCAUCUGUAUCAUCUGUAUCUCAAUAUCUGUCUGUAUCUCAUAUCUGUGUAUCUGUAAUCAUCAUACCGCAUGCAUAUGCCCUCAAAAGGCAAAAACGCCCAAACACACGGCCCAAAGCCUCUAUGUGUGUUCAAACGGGCCCCAAAGGCCUCUCAUCUCAUCUCAUCUAUAUCACUGUAUCUGGAGGGGAAGGGUACUGUCUAGUGAUUUCAAAAACAAUCAUUAUACUCAUAUUCACAUACUUUUUUAACCAUAUUUUAAAUCAUACCACAUUUGAAUCCACUUUUCUUAUCUUUAAAAUACUAUCAUGCUUAUUCAAAGUCGAUACGAAAAAUCAUUAACCAAACAUUUUAAUAAAAUACCAAUGCGUGGACAAAAUCCAUUUCGAGGUAAUCAUUAAAUCAGAUCAUUUAAAAUACUUAUUUCGCAAACAUACUUUACUAUCAUAAUUAACUAUGAAAAUAGGUUUUGUAUAUUCCACUCACAGUGACGGUGUUCACGCUCGGUUAUCGUCCACGUCCGCGGACCUAUUCUUGCUCGCGGAUCCUCCUAAAUCAAGGAAACGACAUAAAUAUUUUCCGUAAAACAGAAUUAAGACUAAAUUUAUGCAAUAAACUCGAAACGAACAUCUAUCCAUAAUUUACAACUCCCGUGUCGCUAAAAUUACUAAAAUGCCCUCGAGUCCGUAAAUCAGUAAAAUACUUCGAAAUCGGAAAUCACCGAAUCACCCUCGGAAUCGUAAUUACACCCAAUCCUCACUUCUAGGAAUUACUAAAAUAUCAAUAGGCUCAGAAAUUACAAAAUUGCCCUCAUAGUGUGAAAUUACCGAAAUGCCCUUGUGAUGGUUGUCGAAGCCAACAAAAAUAAAUACCUACUCUAAAUAAAUUGUGUAUAGUGAUUGAGCAGGGUCGUGUCCACAAAGAUCGGUAAUUAUUUAAAUCCUUUUGAAACGUAAAACGUAAAAUGGGAGAAUUGUUAACAAUAAUAAAAAUCAAAUUAAAAUAACAAGAAUGCAAAUUCAAGUCGUAAUUCAAAUUGGAGAAAGCUCUGGUUGAAGGAAUUAAUUCAGCUUGAUUCGACUAUUGAUAAUUGAUUCAAAUAUAAAUUAUUAUUACUUAUGAAUAGACCAAUUAUAGCUACUGAGACCCUCUAAUAGCCAAUCUCUCCUUAACUAGUCGAUAACCAAGGUACGACCGUUGGUUAUUUCCCUAAUUAAUAGACAACCCUAGAUACGAUCAUAGAAUUUAAUCAAUUGACAGCCUGAAAAACCAGAGAGACCCAAAUCCUAAUCAACAAACACAUACGAUGAUUCAUUUAAAUUAGAUUGUUUAUUCUCACAACACAACUCUCUGCUAUGUUAUUUGUCACAAACAUUAAAAUCUUCAUACGAUGAAUCCUUUAAUUGACAAUAGAUUAAGUUGAUAAUUAAAUAGUGGCCAAUUACCUAAUUAACAAACAUAAUCAUGAAAAUAAUUCAGAGAAUAAACAAAUACCCAAAAAGCAAUAAAUUAAUUAAAGCACAAGAAAGAUCUCACAGUAGUGAUGAAUCAAAGCUUCAUUAACCUUCAACCAAAAAAAUAGGUUUAGUUCUUCAUAGAGAAAAGAGAAAAUUUAGAUCUAGGGUUUCUUUCUUUUCUCCAAUCUCCCUUCUUUCACAAUAGAUUUCUCCCUUAAAUACUCUCCCUCUCUUCUCCUCUAAAAUUCUAUUUAAAAUAAAAUACUAAUAUCUGAAAUAUUAAAUUCGUAAUUACAAAAAUAACCAAAAAUACAAAACACGUUUAAACUAAAAACUGCAAGUCCGUAGUUGACAGCACGCGCCCACGCCUUAUCAACAAAGUUCUUCUAACGCUCAUAAUUUCUCCAAGAGAACAAUCAUCAUUAAAUAUCAUCUUGUAGCUUAAUUUUAUCACCAAUCAAUAGAAUUGCACCUACAAAAGUAAAACACAAGUAAAUCACUAUUAUUAAGUGCAAAACAUCGAUAUUAAGGGAAGUAAACAAUGCAAAACUAGUGCAUAAAUUGCACUCUAACACCUUGCCGGUCAACGGUCACCGAAAUUUGGUCAACGCUGGCCGGGAAGCUCAAGUCUGAAAGUUCCAAUCACGCUAAGUUCAAUGGUACCGGCGGUGAGCUCCAACGCGCAACAACGACGUCGGAAUCUAGCUCGGCAGCCGUGAAUUCCAACAAUUGACCGGCGGCGAAACAGUGACUCCCGGUGACUAUGGAUGGUUGGAAAUGGAAGAGGGAGUCGUGAGGAACAAAAUCCAACCGGUGGUGUCACCCAAAACUGGUGAAAAUCCCGGCGGAACAAAACGAUACAGUCGCGGGUUUUCAAACUUUGAUUGCCGGCGUUCCGGUUGGUUUUCGGCGGCCAGGAUGGCAGGGGAAUGAUGGCUGGCUUCUAAGUUUCAGAUUGGUACUAAGCUCGGCCGAAAUAGUGGCCGGAAAUAGAAGUUAUGGCCGGGUCAAUUUCGCGGGUCGGGUCGGGUUUUCCGGGUCAGUUGAUAGCUUCUGUUACUCUCACACGUGUGUGUAUAAGUUCCAUGUUUCUAACUUAUUCUAUUAUUUUUAAUAAAGUCUUUAACCGCCUCAAUUUCAUUUUUAAUUCACAUAUGUUACAAUCCUCCCCCCUUAUAAAAAUUUUGUCCUUGAAAUUUACGUACCUGAUAAGAAAAGAUAUGGAUACUGAGCUCGCAUUAAGUCCUCGCGUUCCCAGGUAGCCUCUUCCUUUGUAUGAUUCCUCCACCAUACUUUUACUAGAGGAAUGGUCUUAGAACGUAGAACUUGGUGUUUCUCUUCCAAUAUCUCCACUGGUUCCUCUUCGUAAGUCAAAUCUUCCUUCAACUGAAUUGGUUGCUUCGAUAACACAUGACUCGGAUCAUAUAUGUACUUCUGGAGCAUUGAGAAAUGAAAUACAUCGUGGAUUCUGGAUAACUCGGGUGGUAGUGCUAAUUGAUAAGCUAAUGGACCGAUGCGCUCAAUGAUCUCAUAUGGCCCAAUGUAACGUGGACUUAGCUUCCCACGUUUCCCAAAUCGAAGCACCCUUUUCCAAGGAAAUAUCGGUAUGAAAACUCUAUCAUCAACUUCGAAUUCAAGUUCCCGCCUACGCUUGUCUGCAUAGCUCUUUUGUCUAUCUUGAGCCACCUUUAAUCUAUCCCGGAUUAAUUGUAUCUUCUCGUUAGUAUCCUGGACAAGUUCUGGACCGAAUAACCUCCGCUCACCAACCUCAUCCCAACACAUUGGAGUCCUGCAUUUUCUACCAUACAAAGCCUCAUAUGGUGCCAUCUCGAUACUAGCUUGAUAGCUGUUGUUGUAAGCAAACUCCAUCAGAGGUAAAUGAUUGUCCUAAUUACCUUUAAACUCCAUAACACAAGCUCGCAACAUAUCCUCCAGAGUUUGAAUAGUAUGCUCUGACUGUCCAUCAGUCUGUGGAUGAAAAGUUCAACUUUGUGCCUAAGGCAUUUUGCAAGCUAGUCCAGAACUUAGAAGUAAACCGGGAAUCUCUAUCUAAAACUAUAGACACGGGUACUCCGUGAAGUCGAACUAUCUCAGCCACAUAAAUACUCCCUAACUUGUCCAUCGAAUAGGUGGUUUUGAAUGGUAAAAAAUGAGCAGAUUUUGUAAGUCGAUCAACGACCACCCAAACACUAUCAUAUCCUUUCUGAGUACGUGGAAGUCCUGCUACAAAAUCCAUGGUGAUGUGCUCCGACUUCCACUCAGGAAUAGGAAGCGGCUAAGAACACCCUGCAGGCCUCUAGUGUUCAGCCUUAAUCUGCUGACAGACUAAACAUCGAGAAACAAACUCUGCUAUCUCUCUCUUCAUACCCUGCGUCCAGUAAUGAUCCAUCAGGGUACGAUACAUCUUCGUACUACCAAGAUGCAUCGCAUAUGCUGAGCAGUGAGCUUCUUCCAUAAUCUCUUCUUUCAGAUCUUUAAUAUCAGGUACACAAAGUCUAUUACCCAUGACUAAGACUCCGUCGCCUCUCACCGUAAAAUCGGUUCGUAAACAUUUUUGCACAUCCUCUUUCAACUUCAUUAACUGUGGGUCCUGAGCUUGCAUCUGGUGAACUUUGUCCAUCAAAGUCGGCCUAACUCGAAAAUUAGCUAUCAAAACUCCACAAUCGUCAGCGUUCAACUCGACUCCCAAAGAUCUCAACUCGAUCAACAGAGGCAUCUAUUUCACUCGCAAGUGAGCUAUAGAGCUGGAAGACUUCCUACUGAGUGCAUCGACUAGAAAAAAACAUACCUCUUUGAGAUACUACAAAUUGGCUUUAAUUCAGUACUGUUGAUGGUCAAGUUGGGAAAGUAAUGAAGCUGUAACUCUUCCAAUGCUGUCCAAAUUGAACAAUAAUUUUCUGAACAGAAGCUAACGAGUUCUGGGAGACUUCGAAGUGUUAAUUCUCUUAACAAAGGGAGGGCGAGCAUCGUAUUUCCAUCUCUGACACUUAUUUCCCCUUCAUUGUGAUCAAACUUUGCUUCGACAAUACAUUCCAGCCUGUCGCAAUAAGUCACACUGAGACUUUUAAGCUGCUCCAAACUUUGAGCUUGUGAUAACGUGAAGAUAUAUGUCAAAUUAUGGCAGCCAUACACACUCAAUUCUGUAAGAGUUUGGAGGCUGAUCACAUGUUGGGCAGGCGUCUUCCAUAUCCACUUUGCUAAUCUUGAGAGCACCUCAUGAUUCCCACUCUUUCCAUGCGGCGACUGAGAGGCAUCCACUAUGCAUUCUAAAUCUUCACAAUAGUUGACAAAUAGAUGAGUCAACUCAUUUAAGCCCCCUUAAUCUAUGCUUGGAACAAUAUUAUGGAGACCUAUUAUCCUCCUCAAAUUAAGAAAUUUCAGAUUUUGACACAAUGUCGAAAAAAUACUGAGCGAGGCCGCUUCACAAUAGUUAAUCAUUAAGCACCUGCUCCGUCCAAAAAAUUCAUCUUCUUUUUUCAUUCAAACUUCAAGUUUGUUACAGUUACUGACGAAGUACAUUUGCAAUUUUGGAAAUGUAAAGUCUUUUGAAAGACGUACAAUUUUUUGUUCAAUAUGUAAAGUCUUUCCAUCAUCAUCUUGGAUUUCAUCACCGUCGGGUUGGGAGUUCAACUCAGUAGCCCUAGCGUAACUUUCUUCUGAACUCAUCCCUUCAGCCUCCCAAUCUUUUAUCCGACCAUAAAAUUCUUCUAAUUGAGGAAAUUUUUUUAUCGUAAUAGGAGAAAUAGAACCAGAAUCAAUGAAUAGAAGAAGUUUCAAUCUACUAAGUUGAUCCUCAAAUUCUUCAGGAAUUUCAAUGGGAGACCCCUUGACACAAAGAAUUUGAAGUCUCUUCAACUUUCCAAGGAAAGACGCGUCACUCACUUUACAUCGAAUCAACUGCAGAACUUGGAGGUUGGUGAGGAAUUGAAGCGAUUUAAGUGAAAGGACUCCACCUAUUAUAGUAAGAACUUUUAAUGCUGGCAUCUUUUCGAAAAAAUAUUCUGGAUCUUGCAAUCGGUCGCCAUAUUUAGCAUUCUCCAAUCGCAAAAUAUGAAGGUUAGGGCAUACCAAACCACUUGGAAGCUCUUCUUUUUCAUUUCCCAUCAAAGAGAUUCCUUUGUAUUGUUCCACUGCCUGUUCCGCCAAUCCAAUGCCAACUUUACUAGUAAAAUAUUUUUUCUCCAUUGAGCCUAUCCAUAAGGCUACAUCACGAACAAUGUCAUGCAUUUUCACAAAUCUCUCAUUACCAGCAUCUAAUAGCAGUGAAGAAGCUUUGAGCUCUUUAAUCGUUCCACUCAAUAGGCUCCUGACUUUUUCAAUUGACUCAGCUCGAUACCAUCUCAACCCCACUGCAUAUCCAACCAAAUCAUCCAAAUCUAUCUCAUAAUCCUCUGGAAACAAAGAACACAACAAGAAGCACGACCUGGAAUCCUCAUCAUUCAAAUAAUCGUAACUAAAUUUGAGACAGCGGUAAACGUCUUGGUCCUCCUUGCCGAUACCUUCUAUUGUAUUGAGUUUUGCAUCUUGUAGUUUAUCUAGAGCUAGAUUCCACUCAUCAAAUCCUUUACCUUUUAGUGCACUUCCAACAGCUUUAAUAGCUAAAGGCAGCCCCUUACAUUCAUCAGCAACCUGUUCUGAAACACCAAUCAAUUUUGAAUCAGCAACAUCAAUGCCAGCAUGCUCUCUUAGUAAAUCCAAUCCUUCUUCUGGCUUUAGAAAACCUAGUUGAAUCUGCGGGUCACAACGCAUGCUAUAACAAACUGGCGGCAGGCGAGUGGUUAGAAGGAUUUUCCAACAAUUGUCUCCAUCACCAACAGGAAUACCUAUUGUCUUCAAGUCGAGUUCAUUCCAGACAUCGUCAAGUAUUAUGAGUAUCUUGCUGCUUUUACUCUCAGAAAACAUCAAGCGCAAUCGGUCUGCUCUCUCUCUUUCAUCUUUCUCAUUUAGUGCCCAGCCUAACGACUUUGCCAGCUCACCUUGAACCUUUAUUAUAUCUGGAUCCUGAGACACAGUGGCUAUCCCCACCUCAUCGAAAAUCUUUUCUUGUCGAAGUUGAUUGCCCACAAAGUUUGCCAAAGUCGUCUUUCCGACACCACCGAUACCAUACAAUCCCACUAUCGUCGUGCUAUCUCUUUUUAGUCUUCAAUAAUCUGAUUGCAAGUCGAUUAUGUAGUCCCGAAAGACAUAAAAUGUCUUGGCAUAUGCAAUUCUUUGUCUGAUGGUAGAGGUUUAGGAAGGGCAACUGAGCUGAAUUUGCCGCAUUUCUUUUGUAGAUCAGACAACUCGCUAGUCUUCUUUGAUGGUUUUCUACCUAGCCAACAUCGCCAACCCCAAUUAGGACACCAUCCAUUAAGACAGCUCUUCUUUUCAUCUAUCUUUGCUUUCAAAUUUCGAACAUCGACCAUUUCUUUGUCUACAUCCUUCAACCACUUCUCUACAGAUUUCUCGAUUACAAUGGCUCGGUGUAUUUGUCGUUCUUGUUCUAUUUUUUCAUUGAUGCCAUCUUUUGCCUCCUUCAAAUUAGUUUCUUUAUCCUUAAGUUCGUUAAUAAUGCUGUUGAAACAGAGCAGAUAAUGAGCUUGGUUUAUGGUUGCUUCCACCAACAAUUCUCCAAGCUUUGAUGCAACACUUGAGCAAAUUUCCAUGCUAUUUAUCUGCAAUUAAUAAAGUUGAUCUCAGUAUGCUGUAAGCAAAACAACGAGGCUUGAUUACAAGAUCGAACGAGAAAGUUUAAUUACCUUUUUCUAUUAUGUGAAUGCACGUUUAUUGACCCUAGCUUUGACCAAUAAGAGCAAAAUGCAAACGCCGAGCUUUAAGUGGCCUUUAGCUGCGCAAAACAAAAGAGAAGAAACAAGGUAGCUUAUUAUUAUUAUUAUUGUUUUUAAGGACGGAUAAAGAUUAGCUAGCUUGCGGACAAAUUUACUAAAAUCAAGAUAAACCUAAGAGUUUUCCUAAUUUGUUCAAACAUAGAAUAAGCGUUUCUCAACAUUAUAUCCAUAAAUGCCCCAGCAAACGUAAUAUGUGGUGGAUUAUAUUUAAAUUAGUUUAUUUUAGAAAAUUUUAAAUAAAAAAUGUCAAACAACAAAGAAAUCUAAUAGAAUCUGGAUAAACACCGAAGAGUUCCUACAUGGGAGAAUAUGGUAAAAUUGAUGAACUUGGUUCAAAAAAUUGCAAUUCUUAUUGAGAUUAGAACCAAAGAUUUUAACUAAGGUCUCCUAAGCCAUAAAGCAUAACUCUUACUACUAAAUUACAAGUAUUUUGUUACAUUUGAAUGUGGUCUUAUUUUUUUAUUGUCUGUUUUAGAAGGGACUCAAGGUAUGUUUAAAAGAAAUAAUAAUGGUUCGGAUGGGGCUGAAGCCCACUCAUGAAAAAUUUAAAGGCUUCAACAUAAUUACCAAUUGUUUCUUCAUCCAAUUUUCUAAUAGAAUAUUGCCAGAAUUCUGAAAUAAUAUCUUAAUAUUUUUCUUCAAGUGUUUACGGCACCCUCGUAUUGGAUUGUCAAUUUAAUAACUUGUUAAAUUAUUUAAUACUUCAUCUCACGAUCUAAUGGAUAUAAAUGCUGGAGAAGGAUCAGUUCCCAGACGUUUUUCUCUCACUAGUCUUUUGGUGAAAUAAGUGACUAAGAUUAAAUUUUAAUUUUUGAUAUUGACAAUUAAAUUGGCUUGUUUCACAUUAUUAACAAUUAAGCUAGCUUUCUUUUUUUCCCCCAACUGGAUUUGGAAGGUUAUGAGGGAGUAGGAGAGAAAACACGAGAAGAACGAGAUCCUAAUUCAUAAAUAGUACCUUACUUGGGAUGGUAAAGAAUUUAAAGAUUGGGGUGAAUUCCAUUUUAGUCUCUAAAAUUUUGACUUGCGAGUAACCAUACUUUUAGUAUUUUUAAAAAGAAUGGGAUUAUUUACAUUGUAAAAUCUAUUUUGAACACUCUUUUACUUAACACAGUCAUUCAACAAAUUUUAAAAAAUAAUUUUUACUAGGGUUCGCAAUAAACUCUAGAUCCGGCCCAGAUCCGAAAUUCGGAUCCGAAAAAAUCAGGAUCGGCAUGUUAAAAAAUGCGGAUCCGGAUCUUAAAAAUCAAGAUUCAUACGGAUCUGGAUCCACAUGCAAGUGCAUCCGGAAAACCGGAUAUCCGGAUCCGCAUUAUUUUAUAAUUAAAUUAUUUAUUUAAUUAAAUUUUAAUUGAAAAAUAUAUAAAUUAAAUUAUUUAUUUAAAUGUAUAAGCAUAAUUAACUCUAAAAUCUUCAUUAAUUAUGAAAAAUAUGUUAAAAUAAUAAUAAUAAUAAUUAGAGAAUAUUGUAAUAAAUCGGUUUACCUUAGAUUUUUUUUAUGUUUGAUUUAUAUUAUGAAAUUAUUGUUUGUGAAUUUAUGGUGUUGAAUUGAUGUUAAAUUGUCGAUUGUUAAGUUAUAAUUGAAUUUUAUUUAAUAUUAUUAUGUAAAUUAUUAAAUUUAAAAUUAAAUUUAAAUUUAUUAUUAUGCGGAUCCGAAUAUUCGGAAUAUCCACCCACAAUCCGUGCGGAUAUUACCCGCAUCCAGAUCCGCAUAUUUUUUUUUACGGAUCUAAAUACAGAUCGGGAUGCCAAAAGCUUAAUCUAGAUCCGAAUUCGGAUGCACCUACAUCCGGAUCCGGAUUUGGAUUUUGCCAUCCCUAAUUUGUUACUUUACACACUAUUUCAAAUGUCAAAACUGUCCUUCAUUAGGACCAUUCAUUAACUAAUUAUUUUCUAUAAAAUAUUCAUCAUUCUUGAGCCAUGUGGCGUUAAUUAAUGAUUCCUAAGCAUUAUCAAGGUUCAAGAUUUAUGUUGAAACUCUUUCAGUUGAGAUUUGAGCCUAGGCACUAGCUAUAUACAUACAUACUCUUUCAAAUGCAGUUCUGGGAAUAUUUUGUGACUAAUUUUAUAAAAGUGUUUUAGUUACAUUAAUGCAGUGAAACAAUAAAGAGUACGUGGCUUGAUGAUUUCCAAAUCAAGUUGGGGAAAAAACAAAGCAUUUUCUUUUAUAAUGGAUUAGAUUAGACGAUGAAGGGAAAAUUAUUUACGAUUAUUACUUGUUUGUGUGUUUAGAGUAAUAAUAUUUUCUUAAAUUAUACUAAUGUCCCUAGUAGUAAAUUUAAUUAAGGUUAUUUUCGUAAUAUAAAUUUUAUUAAAAUUAAAGUGUCUAAAAUAGAAUUUAGAGUGAAAAUAGCUCUUAGACGUCCAUAUCAUUACCUUUAUAACUAUUGAAAAUAUGAAUUUUCAAAUGUAAAAUAACAUUUCUAUAUGAUAUAAAUUAAAAUUCAAUCAAAUUUAUCAUGCAACAAAUGAAAAGUAAAGAAAAUUAAAUAGGUUUUAAUAGAGACAAAAUAAGCUUCUAUGUUGAAUUUAAAAGUAUUAUAUUAGUAGUAAUCAUAUACGUAUCGAACUUUUUAAUAAAAUUUAUUUAGAAAUUGGCCAAUUGGGUUUUAUGAAGAAAAUAGAGGGGCACGAAUGGCGCCACUUUUAAUUAUUGUUGCUGUACAACUGAAAAUUGAAAUGUUGUAUUUAAAAAGUACUUGUUAGAUGUGUAAAAUGCACCAACUUGAAAUGGCACGAGAGCAUAAUGGAAUUUUGUUGGGAAAUUUACAAAAAUAACCAUAAAACUUUUACUAUUUUCACAAUUAACCCUCUAAACGUUUUUCUAUCAACAUUAACCAAACACAUGCUUUUCUCCCCAAAUUACCCUUGUAUUUGCUAACCAACCUGUCGCACAUAGUUUGGUGCGACAGGCACCUGUCGCACGAAGCUAAGUGCAACAUGCACCUGUUGCACUGUUAUAGUGCAAUUUAUGCACUAGUUUUGCAUUGUUUACUUCCCUUAAUAUCGAUGUUUUGCACUUAAUAAUGAUGAUUUACUUGUGUUUUACUUUUGUGUUAUGAGCGUCAGAAGAACUUUGUUGAUAAGGCGUGGGUGCGUGCUGUCAACUACGGACCUACAGUUUUUAGUUUAACGUGUUUUGUAUUUUUGGUUAUUUUUGUAAUUACGAAUUUAAUAUUUCAGAUAUUAGUAAUUUAUUUUAAAUAGAAUUCUAGAGAAGAAGAGAGAGAGAGUAUUUAAGAGAGGAAUCUAUUGUGAAAAAGGGGACUUUUGGAGAAGAGAAAGAAACCCUAGAUCUAAACUUUUCUCUUCUCUCUAUGAAGAACUAAACCUAUUUUUCUGGUUAAAGGAUAAUGAAGCUUUGAUUCAUCACUACUAUGAGAUCUAUUUUAUGCUUUAAUUGUUUUAUUGCUUUUUGGGUAUUUGUUUAUUCUCUGAAUUAUUUUCAUGAUUAUGUUUAUUAAUUAGGUAAUUGGCCACUAUUUAAUUAUCAACUUAAUCUAUUGUUAAUUAAAGGAUUCAUCGUAUGAAGAUUUUAAUGUUUGUGACAAAUAACAUAGCAAUGAGUUGUGUUAUGAGAAUAAACAAUCUAAUUUAAAUGAAUCAUCGUAUGUGUUGAUUAGUAUUUGGGUCUCUUUGGUCUUUCAGGCUGUCAAUUGAUUAAAUCCUAUGAUCGUAUCUAGGGUUGUCUAUUGAUUAGGGAAAUAGUCAACGGUCGUACCUUAGUUAUCGACUAGUUAAGGAGAGAUUGGCUAUUAGAGGGUCUCAGUAGCUAUAACCAGUCUAUUCAUAAGUAAUAAUAAUCUAUAUUUGAAUCAAUGAUCAGUAGUCGAAUCAAGCUGAAUUAAUUCCUUCAACCAGAGCUUUCUCCAAUUUGAAUUACAUCUUUAAUUUACAUUCUUGUUAUUUUAAUUUGAUUUUUAUUAUUGUCAACAAUUCCCCCAUUUUACGUUUUACGUUUCAAAAGGAUUUAAAUAAUUACCGAUCUCUGUGGACACGACCCUACUCAAUCACUAUACACAAUUUAUUUAGAGUAGGAAUUUAUUUUUGUUGGCUUCGACAACCAUCAAAUUUUGGCGCCGUUGCCGGGGAUUGGUGUCAUUUAUUUAAUCCUUUUUACGUUUUACUUGGUGUAUGGUUCGUUCUUCUCGUACAUGUAUACUUUCGUUUGAUCCUGAAAUUGAGAAGACAACUCGCCAACUGAGACAGCAGACGAAGCGAGCUAAGCAAUGAUCCUCGUCGCCUUUGCUUUCUGAAACAGAUAUAGUGCCUAAUUUAGUUGAAUCAUCUAGUGAUUCAGAAGAACAAGUGAUGGAUAGACCUGCACCUGUAGAAAGAACCCUUAGAGAGUUAGCUGAACCAGACUUGAAUCAACAACCACUCUGCAUUCAAUAUGUAGACUUGGAGGUAAAUUUUGAAUUAAAGUCUGGUCUUAUUCAUUUAUUACCCAAGUUUCAUGGUUUUGCAGGUGAAGAUCCUCAUAAACAUCUUAAGGAGUUUCAUGUUGUGUGUUCAAGUAUGAGACCACAAGGCGUGACUGAAGAGCAGAUUAAGCUGCGUGCUUUUCCUUUCUCUUUAGAUGGACUAGCUAAAGACUGGUUGUACUACUUGCCUCCUGGAUCAAUUACAACGUGGAAUGGUUUGAAGAAGCAAUUCCUCGAGAAGUACUUUCCUGCUUCAAGAGCUGUUAACAUCAGAAAAGACAUUUGUGGGAUCAGACAACUUCCUGGGGAGACUUUGUAUGAGCAUUGGGAGCAAUUCAAACAAUUGUGUGCCAGCUGUCCUCAGCAUCAGAUUUCUGAUCAACUUCUUAUUCAAUAUUUUUACGAAGGACUGUCAUUGAUGGAUAGGAGUAUGAUAGAUGCUGCUAGUGGAGGCGUGUUGGUGAACAAGACCCCUACUCAAGCAAGGGAGCUGAUAUCAAAUAUGGCUGCCAACGCACAACAAUUUGGCAGCAGGUAAGAUCUCACUUCAAGGAAGGUGAAUGAGGUAAAUAUUUCUUCUGUUAAACAACGUUUAGAUAAACUUACUUCUCUUGUGAAAAAGUUUGUUGUAGGUAAUGUGCAACAGGUGAAGACUUGUGGCAUUUGUUACAAUAUGGGUCAUUCAACUGAUAUGUGUCCUACACUUCAAGAAGAACCCGUUUAACAAGCCAAUGCAGUUGGAGGAUUUCCAGGCAUGCCUUAGAGGAGGUAUGAUCCUUAUGCACAAACAUACAAUCCGGGAUGGAAGGAUCAUCCCAACUUCAGCUAUGGAGUUAGGCCGUCAGGAUUCCCACAACAGUAUCCACCAAGACAACUAGCACCUCCACAGUCAAACUCCAAGUUAGGUAUAUCUCUUGAAGAAAUUGUUAAAUCACUUGCAACUAACACUCAACAAUAUUAGCAGGCAACUAUAGCAAGCAUUCAGAAUUUGGAGAACCAAAUGAGUCAAUUGGCGACUACAGUGAGCCGUCUGGAGUCUCAAGUAUUAGGGAGAUUGCCUUCACAAUCUGAGGUGAAUCAAAAGCAAAACGUUAGUGCUGUCAUCCUUAGAAGUGGGAAGGAGUUGCAAGAGCCUAGUAAGAAAGUGACAAAGCAUGUAGAAGAUGAGCUUGAGAAGAAUGAAUUGAUGCCUAAAUCUCAAGAUGCACAACUCACCAGAGCGAAACCCCUACCUAUUGUGAUACCUCCUCCUUUUCUAAGCCGGUUUGCAAAAUCCAAGAAGGAGGAACAAGAGAAAGACAUCCUGGAGACAUUUCGCAAGGUUGAGGUAAAUAUUCCUUUAUUAGAUGCUAUAAAACAAAUACCUCGAUAUGCUAAAUCUAUUUUUUAGCCCCUACCUCCUUGGCUAAGAUCUAACUUGGGUGGCAAAUUAAAUAAACUUGUUUGAAACUACUCAGCCACAUCUUUAGGGGUAUUAUUGUUAGUUGCUUAACUACUAAAUUAAUAAAAUUUGUAAUAUUUUCAAUAAAGAUUUUCCUAUAAUAUUGUAUAAGCUUUUAUAGUAUUAAUAAUGGGACUAUUGUGGACCCAUGAAUUUAAGUGUUUUAUGGUGCAUUCAGUAUUGUUUUCAAAUUUCAUUUUCUGUCUUCUAAAUUCAAGAAACAUCAAAUACAUGUUUGGUAGAUUGUUUCUAAAUAUACCUUUGAAAAUUUAAAAUUUAUUUAUACUUUUAACUAAGAAAAUAAGAAAACAACAUUUUCUUGUUUUCUUUGUUUCCCAAUUCAAUUUAAGCUUCAAUAUGAAAAAUUUUCUUCCGCCAUCUCUCAAAAUAAUAAUGACAUCAACAACAACAAAGACAACAACAACAACAUUGUUGUUGUUGUUGUUGUUAUUAUUAGACCACCUAAAAAUCAACUUCCAUUAUAAUAAUCUUUUCUUCUUUUAUGCAUUAUAAUAUUUAUGCUUUUAUAUAUUAAUUAAAUCAAGUAUGCAUAGUUUAUCAUUUUUCUUUAAACAAAAAAAGAUCACCUAAUUUAUUCUUAAAGUUAAAAAAUCAAACUAAUUAAACAAUUAAAAUCACCUAAUUACACUACUUAAUAUUAAGUUUAUGGAAAUUAUUCUAAUAAUAAUUAUUUAAGCUAUUCCUAUCGAGCAUGUUUUUCUUUUUUCUCACGUUCAAGAUUAUUUUCGAAAAUGAUAUCGAACACAUUUAAAAAUUUUUAAAAAUAAAUUCGAAAAUAGCAUUUUCAUUCUCAUUUUUUUUAAUGAAAACAACAAUUGAAAAACAAUACCUAAAUAUGAUAUAAUGAUAAAAAUUUAAUGAAAUAUAUAGUAGUGGGUAAUCUUCAGGUUAUAAGUGAAUGUAGAUAUAUAUAUAUAUAUUACUUUCAACUAAUAGAUAAAAGAAAUUUUCUAUGGUGUUGGGAUGAAAAUCCCAUUAUCAAUGAUGAGAUUAUUAUUGAUCAUUAGAUUUAAAUAUUAGAAUCUUCAACCUUAAUUUAAUUUUAAUAGUAAGUAAUUGUGUAACAAGUAAUUUGCAUGUUGUGAUAUUUCUUUAUACAUUAAUUUAUUUUUAUCCAAUCAAUUGAUAAACAUUUUUAGGUCACCAAAAAAUUGUAAAAAAAAGUAAAAGUAAUUCUGAAAUUAAAAACGUUAUAUACUGCCUAUAGCUAUAUAAUUUUACUGUUUCUUCUUUCACAAUUAAUAUUCAUAUAAAAAUAGCUUCUAAAUAAAUGUAAUAUUACUCCAACAAUAUUUUAUAGGGACAAUGACACCUAUACCCUACAGUUUAGGGAAAUGUUCACAAAUAUCUCUAAGUUUUCAGGAAGGGACAUCAACACCCAUUUUAACCAUAAUGCCCUUUGAAUUUAAUAAUUAGAAAAUUGACUUUAAGAUUUUUUAAUUGACAAAUUUAAUAUAAAUAAUAUAAUCUAUCAAGUAGACUAAUAAUACUAAAUUAUUUUUAACAUUUAAAAUAAUAUUAAAAUUUUAAAUUAUUAUAUUUAUUUUAAUAAUAUAUUUGUAUAUAUUAUAAACAUUUUAAAUAAAUCUUGGGUUAAAUAGAUUUUACAAUUAAAAAAAAUACCCCUAUUAAUAAUAUGAAAAUUAUUUUUACAUAAUAUUUAAAAUAAUUUUAAUUUUAAUUCAUUUAUUUUAAUAUUAUGUUUCUAUUUGUUAUUAAAAGUUAAUUUAUUAUCUUAAAUUUGUAUUAAUUAAAAAACUUUAAAGUAAAUUUUCUAAUUCCUAAAUUCAAAGGACAUUACGAUUAAAAAGGGGUUUCGGUGUUCCUUUUUGAAUACCUGGAGAUCUUUGCGACCAUUUCCCCAUACCUUAGAGGUGUAAGUGUUUUUUUCCUUACUUUAUAUAAAGAUAUUUCAUAGAUCUUAUAAUAAUUUAUACUGUAUGAAUUUAAUCAAAUGACCAUUAAUACUUAAACAUUAAUAAUUAUAGAAGGUAUUGUAAUAAAUUAUUUGAUAUAUAUUAUUAAUGAUACUAUAUAUGUGUGUAUAUGACUACAUGAUGGCUUGGAUAUAUAUUUUUAGUAGUAAGUAUUUUAACUUAAAUUUUUAAAACAAAAUUUAUACUAUUGAUUUCAUGUAAUUCAAUGGUGGAUGAUUUAGCAUCAUAAAAUAUUGUUUUGAUGUUUAAUAUAAUCAUUAAAUUGUGAGAGAUUAAUUUCUCAAAUUUUGUGUUAAAAUUUUAAGUUAAAAUAUCCCAAACCAAUUGUUUUAUGAAAAUACAAAAAUAUAUAAAGAAUUUUUCUCAUUAAUUUUCAUAUGAAUAUUAUUAUAGGUAAUAUUUUAUAUAUUGUCACCAUUAAUUACCAUCAUUAAAAUAGUGACUCUUAGUAAUAUAGAAUUUUAUAAUAAGUUAAUUGCAACCAAAGGAUACCAACAAAUAAUAUUUCACGAUUCAUAAACUAAAGCUAAUUAAGAAUAUAUUUUAGGUUUAACUUUUAUGAAAUCAACAAAAUGAUAUUAGAAAAUAAAAUGAAAAUAGACUAGUGAAAGCUUUGAGUAAUUUUCUGCAAUGAAAGAAUAUUAAUUGUAAUAUAAACCAUAAUUUCAUCGUAUAGCUACGCUAAAUGGGAGUAACAAAUAAUAUAUACUUUACGAUCAACUAUUAAAUGGUCCUUAAUAGCAUAUAAAGUAGUGGGUAUUUUAAUAUAUACUAUUAAACUUUUUUAAAACAUAAGUAGUUAAGUAUAUGAUUUUUAGGAUAUAAACAAUCACAACCAAAUGUUUAUUGAUGUAAAUUAUAUGGCAUUCAGUUAAAUGUACAUACUUAAUUCUAAUUGGUUAAACAAUUCUCUUUCUUUCUUCGCUCUCUUACGACUUGAGGCACAUAACUAAACGCGUGGCUAUUAGCAUUUGCCACCAUGUAUUUAACAACCCCAAAUGAAGAUAUUAAUUUUUUUAGUUUAAUUGCUGCUUCAAAAUGGGGUACUGCAUUUGGAUUUUGUUAUUCAAAUACCAAAAUGUUCCCACAUUGUGUUGGACAGUUUUUGGUUCUAAAGUUGAUGACUGGUUUUGCCAAUCAGGCUUCAAAUGAGAACUUCUAAACAAUAAGACAAAUGGGUUUUGAGUUUAUAAUCUUGUAAACUUUGUUCUAUUGUAUAAGUUAUGAAAUCGUUGAAACAUCACUACAGCUACAGGUCUUUAUGUGUCAAUGAACUGCAGAAGCUGAUGAUCUACUUGUAGUAGACUUCUAUUGCCCCUGCCAUUCUCGGAAGACAAACAAGUUCAGGAACUACUUCUGGACCAAACUCAUAAUAUUGCCACUGCUUUGUGCCAAUCUGAGACGGAAAGAAGAUUGAAGUUCCUAAAUAAGGCACAUCAUGAUUUAAUAGAAGUACCACUAUAAGGAAAAAUUGAUUUCAGGAAAGCACUAAAAUAUGACAUAAUCUCCCCCUAAUGGUCUAAAGUAGUCAAAAAAUUAUAUCAACCAAGCAAAAACACAUAAACUAGUUGAGAUACAAAGUUAUCAUAAAAGUCAAUUUUGAUCACAAAUCCAUUAAAAUUAAAAGACAUCAGAAAGUUAGAGAACAUUAUAAUUUAGGACUCAGCUAAGUUGCAGAUUCUGUAACUAACAGCUGAGUCCACAUUGGCCUUGCAUCAGCUGAGUUUGGGUUGCUUUCCUCUCUCCUGCAACGCGUGGAAGCGUCCCAUUUGCUGUGUUAUAUACAGAGUCGGUACCGUAGCAAGCUCCUAUAAUUUAAGUUUGACUACUGUGGACAAUAGUCUGCCUCUGUUCAAAAGCUAUGCUGCAAGAUAUAGCAUCUUUGCAAUGUUAUACUUUCUAAAAGUAAUAAGAAAUGAAACCAAGGGGUAAAUCGAACACCAAAAGAAAUUUAGUCGGCCAACCACAUUAUGUUCCCACACAGUCCACCAAUUAAGUUAAUAAUUAAAGGGAAUCAAAAUCUAAGAAAUCUCAUCUUCAAGCAAAAUACAAACACACCGGGAUUGAAAAUCAUAAAAUCAUAAAAAGAAGCUGACUUGAAAAGCUCAAAUAUACGUUCAUCAGCCUCUCAACUUAUAUCUAAGAACAAAUGCCUGCAGCUUGUGAAGACAUAGAUAAUUGAAGCUGAUGAGGCAUAUUUAACAGAUGAUAAUCAAAACUCGUGUGAUUAAAAUUAUAAUUCAAUAAUCGAGCACAUAAAACAAGAAGUAACUAGUUGUAUAUAUACCAAACAACUUUCUGAAGUUAAGGCGUAAAACAACAACGUAGAACAAAUUAAUUAAAUAUACCAGCACCAAUACUCUUAUUAUUAUCCAAAUAUAGAAGACCAAUGUAUCAAACAAGGAAAAUGAAAUAUUGUUAAUAACUCAAAAACCACUAGUGUCAAGAAAUAAACUAAUAAGUAAAACCCAUAACCAGACACGACCACUUCAAAAUCUCUGAAAAUUGAGGUCUAAACAUUGAAAACAAUUAGACAUAUAUAACAGUCAAUCGAAACAAAGCCUCAAAAUAAUAAUGAACUACAAUAAGACAGAAACUAAAUUGUAAACAACCGCAUACCCAAUAACAGUAAUCAAGUAACGAGUCAAAACCAGAAUCAAACGUAGAAUUUGAAAUCCAUACGAACUCUAACGUAUUAGAAUGAAAGAAUAAGGACGAUCGAUAAACUAGACUAAAAAAAAAACAUGCCCAGUUAAAAAACGAAGGUAAAUAAAUAAAAAUGGUAUAAAACUGCGAAAAAAAUUAAUUAAAUGAAGAGAAAAUCACAGGAAUCCUAUGAAAAGGAAGGUAAACAAAACCUUCGGGAGCCGAGAAGAUGCCUUUUUUUGUUCACUUUUGUGCCUAUACAUACAUUUUUUUUUUUUGUUGGUAAUUUUGAAGAAAGUAUUGGUUAAAUAUUGUUAGAACGAAAUAUUAAUAGAUGCUGGAAAUUUCAACAAGGACAAUCUUCGAUUCAAAUGUAUCCCUAUGAUAAAGAAAAAGCCUACUUGGCUAAAUUUUGAGCACCACAUUACAAGAUCUAGGUGUAUGUAACCAUGCAAAAUGAAACAUCUAUUAAUUGUAAGUCCCUUGACCUCUGGAACCAGCCAACCAGUCUCUUUCCUGCUAGACAACCUUCCAUCGAUCAGACUAAUAAUAUUUACUAAAUCAUGUUCUACAGUUAAUGGAGUUGGACCCAAGGCAAUUGUUAGAAGUCCGCCUAGACAUAGAGUGCGCUUAGAAGUGGGAUGCUUAGAGAUGGGCCGCCAACACAACCAGCCAACCGUAGUGUGCUUAGCAAAUCACCCAAGCCCGGCCCAAGAUCUAGAACUAUCUACAAAUUGUAAAUAAGCUAAAAGUUUCUAAGUUUCUCCACAUAGGUCCCUAGGAUAUUUAUGGAAGUUGCUAGGAAGUUUCCUCCCCUAGAACUCUAAUACCUAUAAAUAGGGGUAAGCCCCCUCAUUUGCCCACCAACCACACCACACACACAAACACUCUAGCACACACACAAGCUCUCUAGCUUUUGUAAAAAGCUCUCUUGUAUAUUUUCUCUUUGUGAGUAAUAAAAUCAUAUUCAGCCAUAUUGCUCUACUUCUCUCUAGCAUUUUCUGCAAGUGUUCUUGCUUCGCUAGUUUGAGGAGUGUUCUAGGGUUGCUUAACAACUUGUUCGCUAGAAGGACAUCAUGGUCACAAAACAUGGACAUGCAAGAAAAAAAUAAUAUUGAUACGUUCUAAAAAUAAUAUGCGUUCUUCUACAGUGAACCAAAAAAUUUAGGCUAAUGGUAGCAAGUGAAGGAAUUGUGAUUUCACGUGCAUUUUGUUGACAUGAACGUAAAGGACUUUUUUUUAUAGUUUAUAUUGUUUAAUAUAACAUUUGAAUUGCAAAAUAGGGGUACAAAAUAGAUACACGAAGUGAUAAAACUAAGCUGAUUAUAAUAAAUAUUGAAUUAUAAGAUUUAGGUUUAAUCAGAAAGACAUAAGUGGCGCACAAAGUCACGAAUUGAUAUCAUCCAUGAUGCAAGUUCAAACAACUGCAUAAUAAGUUGCCCCAAGCUAAACUAUUAAUCUAGUAACUAUUCCAGUCGAUGUGGGAUAAUUUUCCUAUCACCAACUAUCACGUGCAAACCGAAUUUUUUGCUUGGUCCUUACAUGUGGUAAGGUAAUAUGAAUCCACUUGUGCAUAAAUUUGGCUCAGAUACUAUAUAGAAGCCUAUGACCCAAAAUUAGACUUAAAGGUUAUCUCAAGAUUUGAGGGUUGCCUCAAGCUCAUAUUAUUAUUAGCCUGGUAACCUUUUUUGUUUGUUGAUAUGUGAUAUUUUCCCUAUAACUUUUAUUAAUCUUUAUGCUUAUGUUUUGUCAUUUAUCCCAAAAUAUAACAUUAACAAAAGUUCCAAAAUUUCCUUCAAGAGAUAUAUUUGAGACAAGGAAUUUGUGCAAUAACUUUGUAAAUUGAUGAGCAAAUUCAGAGAAAAGAAUAUAUGUGCCAAACAUAACGUUUAUUAUUGUGUUUAUUUGUAGAGCUAUUUAAAGCCCAAAAAAAAAAAAAAGCACCGGUCCGCUAUGAUUUCAAAUAAGUUCAAGCCCUAUGUCAUUAUUGGUACAAAAAUGUAUCAAAAAGGUUAAAAACUAUUUUUAAAGGUUAAAAACUAUUUUUAUUUAACUUAUAAACUUAGGAAAUUAUCAACUGUUCGCCUUUAAAUUGCGCUAUUAUAAAAAAUAUUACAAUAUUUUCAGGUUGUGUCAUUCAUCUACCAUAAAUUUACAAUAUGCAUCAUUUAUCCACCAAAUCAUUAACUUCGUCAAAAAGUGAUAGACGUCACAAGGGUAAUUUAGACAUUUAACACAAAAAAAUAAAAGAGAAAUUAUCUAAGCUUACCAUGUUAUCAAAAUUGCUACAAAAUUUUAAAUUUGUUCAAUUUUCUAAUCUAAGUUUAUGACCUCCAAGAUGUUAAUUGCAGUUUGUAAUUAAUGACUUCAUAAGGAUAAUUUAGACACUCAAUAUGCAAAAUAAAAAAUAAAAUAAUGGCUUAAAACAUUAAAACAAAAAACUACUUUUUAUAAUUGAUAUUCAAUUAAAUACACAUAAACUCUAUUUUUUCUUAAUUAAAAAUAUUCUAAUUUAUUUUCUCAAUUUAUCUUCAUAAAUUUACAUUAAUAAACUAAAUCCACAAAUUACCCUAAACCCUAAUUCAUAAAUGCCCAAUCAAUCUAAUAGUUUAAUUCGAUUUCAUAAUUAAAAAAAGCUAAAUUUAUUAUAUUAGUUAUGGUGCAAAGUAAAAAAUGUCCUUAAAUCCAAGGGUAAAAUAGCAUUUUAUUUAAAUUCUAUAAAUUAUUCUAACAAUGUUAACAUUUUGGUGGACGGUUAAUAUAAGUUACAAACUUAAAAUAGAAAAUCAAAUAAAUUCAAAAUUUCAAACUAUUUAGGGCAAAUUUAGGAUAAUAAUGGUCAAUUUAUUAUAAUUCUAUUAAUUUUUUAAUGGAAGCAAGCGAUAUAAUGGAUGAAUGAUAUAAAUUGUAAAAUUAAGGUGCAUGAACGAUAUAAUUUUAAAGUAUUGUAGUACUUUUAAUAAUAGAACAAUUUAAAGGUGGAUUGGCGAUAAUUUAAACUUUAAUGAAGCAACUAAAAAAUAUUUUUAACAAAGAAAAAUAAUUGAAUGCUUUGUGAAACCAAAAAUAUUUGAAAUGUUUUAAGAAAAAUAAAGGAAAUUAAAUAUCUUUUUAAAAAACAUAAUUGAGUAAAAUCAUUUUACAAAAUGCUCUUUCAAAUGCACAUUCCACAAGCCAAGAAGAACGGGUGGCUAACAAAAAUCUCACUUUUUAUGAGUUUAUAAAAUCUCACUUUCGCAAAAUCCAAAAAUAACCAAUACUAUCACACAAAAAAUAAAAAGUAUUGCUGUCACGACAUUACACACUUUCUUCGCCGUCUAGAAAGGUAGAACAUUUUGAAGUUCCUCAAUACAAAAUGCGUGCUAUUACUAAAUUGGCCCAAUUAAUGCCCAUCGAAAGGCCAUCAAUUUAGCCACCAAAUUUGCCAAAGUUUUAACAAUUGAAGAAAUAGUGAACUCAAAAGGAACAGAUAAAUUUUGAAGUUGAACAAACCUUAAGGUACAUACAACAAAGCCUUGAAACUUUAGUCUUCACAAUUUAAGCACGCAAUAAUAUUAAGUAUCCACCUAAAAAACAAGUAUAGAACAAAGCUUGUUAGCUUCUUGGGCAUUAACUAUGAAUGAUGAGUAAAAUUAAAAAAGCAAACAGAGAAAAUUAUAAGAAGAAGAAAAGCAAACAGUUAAAAAAAAAUUAUGAGAAGGAAAAUUUUGGUAGAACUCCGCGGCUCAUCUGUGAAAUUAAUGUCAAUAUGUAUUUUUAUGUAAAUAGGGUCUCUGGAUUUUAGGAUGAAUCAAUCAGCUACCACAAACGAAAACAUGAACCAACUAUAUAUAGAGUCAAUCAACUAUAAUUAAAGUUCUCAAGAGCUUACCUCUGCUCCAGAAUUCUCGGAAUCAUCUAUUUCCUUCUGAAUUUGCGCGAAGCUUGGGACAACUAAGAAAGCGUCCAUGUGGAGCUGGGAUCUGAUAACCCGCAGGCCAAAAGUUGGUGAGGUUUGGUAAAUCUAACAGUGUCAAGUUCCAAAAUCCAUUCAUAACAAUUUCAUUGUAAUCCGUGACAUCUGCUCCAUCUUUAUGCCAGAAUACUUCUUCUAAUUCAUAAUUACUUUCUACCCAUAGUUGAGUUAGAUUUUGAAGACUUGGAGCUACGCUAAUAUGAAAUAGAUGCUUUAGUUUGGGGCAGUUGUAGAAAGUGAUCCUUCUGAGUUUUGGGAAACAUACAGGUUGGAGAUGAUCCUCAUCCUCAUCCUCAUCAAUGAUUUGCUCUAAUUCCAAGCAUUUCCGAACAGAUAACUCCUCCAAUUGCAACAGAUUUCGAGCAAGUGUCGAUGAGAGGAGACGUUUCAACUUAGAGCACCGGAUCACGAGUAAACGGGUAAGAUUUUGCAGGCUAAAAAUAUGCGUGGGACCUUCAUGAUAUAAUACUUGCAGUUCUGGAAGAUUUUUCAAUUGCAACGACUUCAAACAUGGGAAUAGUUUGUUUUCUUGUCCCUCAGCGAUAAUAGCUUCCAAUUGAAACACCACAUGUACUCCAAGUUGGCUAAUUUUCAAAUCUUCCAAAUUUUUUAAGUCGUGCUUCAACAGUGCUGGAAUCGUGUCACUCAAAUGGGAACAAUUGUCCACAUUUAGAAUUUUUAAGUUCUGAGACAAAUAAAUAAAUAACUUGAUGUAAUUAAAAUCUAUUAGCAGCUAAGAUUAUCACAUGAUAAGUGACGAACACCGCAAAAAACAAAAAUAGAAACAAAAUCCAUACAAAAAUAUAAUAAUACAUAUGUAAACUAAUAAAAUAAUUAAAAAGUAAUAUGGAUUGAUCAUGUGAAGUGAUAUAAAGGUGACAUUAGAUUGUUUGAGAAAAAUUAGUAUUCUAUUAAUUUCUAUGGAUUGAUCAACUAAUUAAUUGAAUUUGAGUAAUAUUAUAUACACUUCAGUAAGUGUUUCUAUCAAUUCUUUCUAAACCAAAAUGAGAUAAGACUUCCAUUUGAACAAUGAUUUUAGGCCCUAAAAUAAAGAAAUUUCCCUAAGAUAUUUGAGCAUUAUUAUUAUCAUCACCACAUCCACGAUCAUCAUCAUCUCCAUAGGACCAAAUAAUUAAUGGCUGAUCAUAAAAUUUAUUGCUAAAUUAUCAUUUUGAGUAAAAUUGAAGGAAAAGAAAAAAUGUAAACACAAACAAACAUACCUCUUCAAGAUACUGCAAAUUGGCUUCAAGUUCAGUACUGCUGACGGUCAAGUUGGGACAGUGCCUAAGGUGUGACUCUUCCAAUGCUGUCCAAAUUGAACAAUAAUUUUCUGAACAGAAGCUCUUGAGUUUUGGGAGAUUGUGAAGUGUUAAUUUUGUCAACAAAGGGAGGGCAAGCAUCGUAUUUCCAUCUCCAACACUUAUUUCCCCUUCAUUAUGAUCAAACUUUGCUUCGACAAUACAUUCCAUUCUCCGGCAUCCACUUACAUAGAGACUUUUAAGCUGCUUCAAACUUCUAGCUUGUGACAACGUGAAGAUAUAUGUCAAAUUGUUGCAUCCACACACAGUCAAUUCUGUAAGAGCUUGGAGGCUGAUCACAUAUUGGGCGGGCGCCUUCCAUAUCCACUUCAGUUCUGGUAAUUGCCACAUAGAUAACUCUGCUAAUCUUGAGAGCAUCACAGGAUUCCCACUCUUUCCAUGCGGCGACUUAGAGGCAUCCAUUAUGCAUUCUAAUUCUUUGCACUCGUUGACAGAAAGACAAGUCAACUCAUUUAAGCCCCUUGGAUCUAUGCUUGGCACAAUAUUGUGACAACCUAUAAUCGUUCUUAAAUUAAGAAUUUCCAGUUCUUGAUACAAUGCCGAAAAAAUACCGAGAGAGGUUGCUUCACAAUUAUUAAUCUUUAAGCCCCUUCUCUGUCCAAAAAUUUCAUCUUCUUCUUGCAUUAGAAAUUCAAGUUUGUUACCAUUACUGACGUGGUGCCUUUCCAAUUUCGGGAAUGUAAAGUCUUUUGGAAGACGUGCAAUUUUUUUGCCAGUAUGUAAAGUCUUUCCAUCGUCAUUUUCUUCUGAACUCAUCCCUUCAGCCUCCCAAUCUUUUAUCCGACCAUAAAAUUCUUCUAAUUGAGGAAAUUUUUUUAUCGUAAUGGGAGAAAUACAACCAGAAUUAAUGAAUAUAAGAAGUUUCAAUCUACUAAGUUGAUCCCCAAAUUCUUCAGGAAUUUCAAUGGGAGACUCCUUGACACAAAGAAUUUGAAGUCUCUUCAACUUUCCAAGGAAAGAUGCGUCACUUACUUUACAUUGAAUCAACUGCAGAACUUGGAGGUUGGUGAGGAAUUGAAGCGAUUUAAGUGAAAUGACUCCACCUAUUACAGUAACAACUUUCAAUGCUGGCAUCCCUUCGAAAAAAUGCUCUGGAACGUGAAAUUGAUAGUCAUAACCACUAGGAAGCUCUUCUUUUACAUAUCCCAGGAAAGAGAUUCCUUCGUAUUGUUCCAUUGCCCGUUCCGCCAAUCCAUCUGUAGUAACAACUUUCAAUUUGUAGUUAUAUACAGUAUUCUGCAGUUGCAAAAUUUGAAGGUUAGGACAUACCAAACUGGUAGGAAGCUCUUCUUUUUUAUUUCCUACCAAUGAGAUUCCCUUGCAUUGUUCCAGGCUUUCUUCCACUACCCGUUCUGCCAAUCCAAUGCCAACUUUACUAGUAAAAUAUUUCUUUCCCACUGAGCCUAUCCAUAAGGAAACAUCACGAACAAUGUCAUGCAUUUUCACAGAUCUAUCAUUACCGGUGUCUAACAGCAGUGAAGAAGCUUUGAGCUCUUUAAUCGUUCCACUCACUAGGAUCCUGGCUUCUUCGAUUGACUCAACUUGAUACCAAUCCAACGCCACUGCAUAUCCAACCAAAUCAUUCGAAUCUAUCUCAUAAUCUUCUGGAAACAGCGAACACAACAAAAAGCAUGACCUGGAAUCCUCACCAUUCAAAUAAUCGUAACUAAAUUUGAGACAAUGGUAAACGUCUUGGUCAUCCUUACCAAUACCUUCUAUUGUAUUGAGUUUUGCAUUUUUUAGUUUAUGUAGAGCUACUUUCCAUUGACCAAAUCCUUUACCUCUUAGCGCACUUCCAACAGCCUUAAUAGCUAAAGGCAACCCCUUACAUUCAUUAGCAAUUUUUUCUGAAACACCAAUCAAGGUUGAAUCAGCAUCAAUGCCGGCAUGCUUUCUUAGUAAAGCCAAUCCUUCUUCUCGCUUUAGAACACCGAGUUGAAUCUGCGUGUCACAACCCAUGCGAUCACAAACUGGCUGAAGGCGAGUGGUUAGAAGGAUUUUGCAACAAUUGUCUCUAUCACCAACAGGAAUACCUAUUGUCUCCAAGUCAAUUUCAUUCCAGACAUCGUCAAGGAUUAUGAGGAUCUUGGGGCUUUUACUCUCAGAGAACAUCAAGCGCAAUCGGUCUGCUCUAUCCUUCUCAUCUUUCUCCGUUAAUGCCCAACCUAACGACUUUACUAGCUCACUUUGAACAUUUAUUAUAUUUGGAUCCCGAGAUAUAGUGGCUAUCCCUACGUGAUCGAAAAUCUUUUGUUGCCGAAGUUGAUUGCCCGCAAAUUUUGCCAAGGUCGUCUUUCCAACACCACCGAGACCAUGCAAUCCCACCAUCUUUGUGCUCUCUUUUUUCAGUGCUUCAAUGAUCUGAUUACAAGCCAAUUCUGUAGUCUCGAAAGACAUAAAAUGUCUUGGUGCAGGCAAUUCUUUGUUCAAUGGUAGAGGUUUAGGAUGGGCAACAGUGCUGAAUUUGCCGCGGUCUAGUAGAUCGGCCAACUUGCUAGUCUUCUUUAAUGCUUUUCUUCCCAGCCAAUAUCGGCAACCCCAAUUAGGACACCAUCCAUUAAGACAACUCUUGUUUUCAUCUAUCUUUGCUUUCAAAUUUUGAACAUUGGCCAUUUCUUUGACUACAUCCGCCAGCCACUUCUCUACAUCUUUCUCCACUACUACGGCGCGGUGUUUUUGUCGAUCUUGUUCUACUUUUUCAUUGAUGCCAUCUUGUGCCUCCUUCAAAUUAGUUUCGUUAUCCCCAAGUUCUUUAAUAAUGCUGUUGAAGCAGAAUAAAUAGCGAGCUUGGUUUAUGGUUGCGUCCGCCAAUAAUUCUCCAAGCUUUGAUGCAACACCUGAUAAAAUUUCCAUGCUAUUUAUCUGCAAUUAAUGAAAUUGAUCUCAGUAUGCUAUAAGCAAUUAAAACAACAUGGCUUGAUCGCAAGAUCGAACGUGAACGUUUAAUUACUUUAAUUUUUUUUCUUUUGGCUUAUUAACGCCAGCAUUGAUCAAUAAGAGCAAAAUGCAAAACAAAGGAGAAGAAAUAAGGUAAACGUUAUAUAUGAUGGAUUACAUUGAAAUUAGAUUACUUUAGAAAUUUUUAAAUAAAAAUUUAAUAGAAUCCGGAUAAACCUAAGAGUUUGUUGUGCAUUGCGAGUGAAGACAGGCAGUUGCAUGGGGAAUAUGAUAAAAGUGAUGAAUAACUGAAAAGCCACCCAUAAUAACAAUUAAAAAGAGUAUUAGAGAUUAGAGGAGUUCAACAUUCUAUGCAAGCCCACUCACGAUAAAAUUUGAAUGGUUUCAACAGGAUUACCAUUUUUUGACCUUUAAUAAAUAUUCUAAUAAAAUAAUACCAUAAUUCCAAACAAUAUCUGAAUUUCUUUUUCCUUCAAAUGUUCAUUAAACUCACAUAUUGGAUAAUUAAUUUAAUUAUUUUUUAAAAUUAUUUAUUACCCUAUCUUAUUGUUCAAUAGAUAUAAAUGACACCUUAUUUGGUAUGGUAAAAAUUGGGGUAAAUUUUCUUUUAUUCUCUAAAGUUUGGACCUAUUACCAGUUAUAUAUAGUAUUUGUAUUUUGUAAAAUUUUACCUAAAACGUCCAUGUCAUUACUUUUAUAGCUAUUGAACCUGAAUUUUCCAGUGUAAGAUAUUAUUUUUGUCUAUUAUAAAUUAAAAUUCAAAUAAAUCUAUCAUGCAACAAACAAAACGUAAAGAAAAUUAAUUAGGUUUUAAUUGGAAACAAAUAUAAAAUAUCGAUUUUUUUAUUAAUUUUUGUGAAUUCUUUUAUUGUUCGAAUUAGAAUUGAAUAAUUUGUAUAAGGAUAAUUUAUAUGAAGAUAAUCUGCAAAAUAAGCUUAUAUGCCGAAUUUAAAAGAGUUAUAUUAGCAAUCAUAUAUUUAUCAAAAUUUUUAAUAAAACUAUUGUUUAAAAAUUGGCCAAAUGGGUUUCAUGAAGAAAAUAGAAGGGCAUGAACAAUUUAAAAGACGUAUUAAAUGGACCAAUUUGAAAUGGUAUGAGAGCACAAUGAACUCAUGUUGGUACCUGGGUAGGCAAAUUAAUUUUAUUUUUAAAGUAUGGUUAACAGUACUGACUUGGAGGUGAUUGACGUUAAGUUAAAUUAAUGCAAACAAAUGGUAAAAAUAAUUUAAUGAAAAUUAAUUAAUAAAAAAAUGCAUUAAAAAAUUAGAACUUAAGUUCUUGAUCAUUUUGUCCGUAUGUUUUUAAUCCAACGCUCAGAAUUGGCGUAAAACUAGCCAUUGGAAGUAAAACACAAAAAUCGAAUUAAGGGCCUAUGAAACAAUAAGAUCUCAUACCUUCUUCGUUAUAAAUCCUCAAUUACUGUUGAAAGCUCCAGUUAAGAGAGUCGCACAAGUUCGGAGAAAAUUAAAAAGCUGCAUAUGGCAAUAUAAAUAAACAUCAGAUCAAAACGAUAUAGGAUAUAUCUGGCUAAUUAACAUCUUAUAUAAGUCCUUGUUCUCAGUCAAAUCUUUCAUACUUAGAAAAAAAAAAAGAUUGAAAUAAUAACUGUAUGUUUUUAAUCCAACGUGCAAAAUUGGCAUAAACAAACUAAUAUAGCAUAAAACAAACAUCAAAUUAAGAGCCUAUGAAAUAAUAAUAUCUCAUACCUUCUUCAUUAUAUAUCCCCAAUUACUACUGACAGCUCCAGUUAGAGUGGCAUAAUUUCCGAGAAAAUUAAAAGCUGCAUCUAGCAAUAUAAAUAAACAUCAGGUCAAAACAAAAUAGGAUAUAUCUAGCUAAUGAACAUCAUAUAUAAGUCCUUGUUCUCUAUCAAAAUCUUUCCUUCUUAAAAAAUAAUAAUAAUAAUAACAAUAAUAAUUGAAAUAAUAACUGUGGGUGACACAUGAAGCAAAAGUAACAUACCGAAAUGAGAGCAGCUCACAUAUCUGGUGACUUCCAAGAGAAUGAAAAAUGAAUGACCUUCGGCAGCAAGAUCCAAAUCAAGUAUCACAAAUUGCUACUGACUUCGUGGCUUCACUUUCCUUUUCUUUUUCUUUUUUUUUAUAUCACAGUGUGAAUUGAAAGGUGAAAAGUGAAAUGGUACACAUGCGUAUGAUGAGGGGGUAAUUUUUAGACACCUGCCCGAGGUUUAAGGUCUUCUGAAUUAGAUGGAUUGUAUUUUCGUAUUAUCAAAUACCUCCCCUGCCCGUUUUUAUUCCAUUUAGUAUUUUCUAAAUGGCUGAAGGUAAAUUGGUAAAAACUCAUUUAAAAUAAAAAAAAAUCAAAGAAAUUCAAGAAGAAGCUUUAUAUCUGCCAUUUGUAUUUGGGGUAUCUUUUUGGUUGUUGAGUGAAUGAGCUUAAAUCUUAAAUAUUUAUUUUCUUAUUAUAUAUUUCUUAUUGGAAAGAAUUUGAAUCUUAUUCUUAUUAAACUUAUUCUCUUUAAAUAAAAGUAGAUUUCUCUCCAUGUAUUUAGUGUGUAUUUUGAAAUUAAUGUUCAACAUAUCUUUAGAUCCUAUUAUAAAUAUUCAUAUCUAAAAUCUCAACAGAUUCCAACAUAUAAAUAUAUAUAAAGAGAGAGAGUAACGUUCUAAUAAGAAAUUUUUUAAAUUAUCAAAUUAAAGGAUAAUUCAAAAGAUAAAAAAAUACAUAAUCUAAUAUAUUAUAUAACAAAAUAUACUAUAUUAAAAUAUAUAUUUUGCUUAAUUUUUUAAUAUAUCCCAUAAUAACUUAAGAAAUCCUUUAUUUACCUGAUAUAUAUAUAUAUAUGUAUAAUUUUUUACAAAAUAAACAAUUUAGAGUAAAACAAAGGACAUUCUGGGGCCUUUUGCUAGACUACCAAUCUACCAUUUUGGAUUGCAAUAAAGUGAAAAUACUGGACUACCAAUCUACUAUUUUGGAUUGCAAUAAAGUUAAAAUGGGUUACACCAAAAAAGUAAAAAAAAAAAAAAAGUGACAAUCAAUCUUGUCGGCCAAUACAUCGAGUUUUUUGCCGGAUUAGUAUCACCGUCAAAAACAAAUUAUUGCAAGCACUAGCAAAAAGCAAUCGAUGAUUUCGCAAUUUGGUUGUUAAAAAGCAAACUAGAUCACGAUUCCUCAAUUCAAAAUGGGGCAAAAUUAUGGUAUCACAAUGUUACCGUACUACAGCUGGAUCCAGCUUACAGUUACCAUCAUAAUUGAAUCUAACAGUUGGAUCCAUCUAUAGUAUGGUAUUACUGUGGUACCAUAGCUGGACCCUUCAAAAAAAUGCUUUUUUUAAUUAAAUAAGUGAAAAUUAAACCUACAAUUCAAAAUAGAAGACUGUAGAUGCGUAUAAAUUGAAGAAGGUAAAUUUUGUGUGUGCGUAAAUAUUUUAGUCAACAACAAAAAAUUCUAACAAGUUAAUAUAAGAGUAUCAUAGCAGUACAAGAGAAUUUUUUUUUUUUUUGGAUGUUAUGAGUUAUCGAGAUACCCAAUAUAUAUGUGUGUGUGAGAGAGUGGGGAAGAAAAAAAAUAUUAAGAAUAGUUUUGGCAUUUUGAUGGGUUUUAUAGAGUAAAAUCUAUAUUUUCAAAUAUGAUAAUUCUUUAAUUUAAUUUUUUGUUAUGAAAAAAAAGGGCAUUUUAAAUAUGUUUUAAGUUAUAAAUAACUCCAUCCAAAAUUUAAAAAUGAAAUCUUAGGGGGGAAAAUUUUUCACCCAAACUAAGGCCCAAAGUAGCCGCGGCAUUUUUCACCAAUUCUCCAAUUCCCAAUGUGGUCUAAUUAUUUACAAGGAAUAUGAGUAGGGGUGGGCACGGUUCAGUCCGGUUUGGUUAGAAUCUAAAUUAAGCAGAACCGAUUUAAAUAGGUUAUUUUAUAAAAAAAACUAAAUAAGAACCGAACUCAAUAAAAAUUGGACAUAAACGGAUCUUUUCAGAUCGGUUUGGUUCGGUUCGGUUUUUUCGGUUUUGGGCGUAUUUUGAAUUUCUAAAUUUUAGCCCAUUAGGCCUCAUGAAUGUAAUGAUUUUAUUCAACAAUUAAUUUAUCCUAAUUUCAUUACAAAUAUUAACAAUAAAUACAAAGUAUUCAAAACACAUUUUAUCACUAAUAUCUUACUAACUACUAAUAAGGUACUUAUAAAAUAUGAAAUAUUAAGAUUUCAAAAUACAUAAUCAAACUCCAAUACUCCAUCUACAUAAACACAAUGUUGUAACGACAAAAAAAAAUAAUAACAACAAUUAAAACUUACAACACAAAAUAAAAAGAAAAUUUGGAAACAAACACUAACAACAAUUUUUAAAUAAAUAAAUAAAUAUAUAUAUACUCGUAAUUGUGUGUGUGCAUGUCUAUUUUAGUUAUCUUACGCAACCAAUUAAAAUUUAACAUGUGUCUAUUUAAAUAAAAUUCCAAGAAUAACUCGGUUUUUCGGUUCUGUUUUUUGGUUCAGCUGAGUGAACCGAAUACCGAACCUGUAUUUUAGUUUUUUUUACAAACCAUAUAUUUCAGUUAUUUUUUAAAAUUAAAACCAGUCCAAACGGAACGGAACGGUUCAGAUCGAUUUUCUCUAGUGCACGGUUUUUUUGCCCACCCCUAAAUAUGAGAUUCUCUACCACUCCAAUUUAUCCCAUUGUUAGCAAUCCUAUUAGAUGUUUUAUAUCCUAUUUUUAUUAUGCUCCCCAAACAAAUAUGUUUCACCUAAAGGUGCCCAACGGGCUACACCGUCCGUCUGAAUGAGCGCACGAGAGGCUCCACAGGCGUGUCUGAUAUGCUCUUUCAAGUCUACAUACCUAACGUUCUUUUUUUAAGUGCAUAUAUAUUUUUUAAAGCUCAUGUGAAAUUCAGUAGUAAGAGAAUGCAAUACUAGUUAAUAAGUUAGAGCCUACAAAAUAAUAAUAAUAAUAAUAAAAUUUUCUCUAAGGGUUAACAUUUUAUUGUUAACUUGAAUUUAUAUACAGUUAUCGAUUAUAGUCCAUAAUAAUAUUAAUACUUACAAGUUUCAAAUUAAAAUUUAAUAAUUAACAUUUCAUUAACACAACUAUAUUAUCUAAUUUUGCAAUAACCAAUUAUAAUACAACAAUACAUAAUUAUAAUUUCAUAGACCAUGGUAAUAAAAUCUCUACGUUAAUGAAAAAUUUUAUUUUGAUAUAUGUUGGUCUGCUUGCUAUUGAUGGCCGAUGGUCGUAUGCUAGCCUGCUAAUGAAACGUGUUUAUUAUUGGUUUUUUAACAUGUCUUGCUUUACCACAUCUCUAAUCAAAUUGUGCUCUUAAAAUCCAUAGCCUAACCUAGCCUCUGUGUGUAUCCUGCCGUGCCAUACUAUACAAACAUGUAUCUGGUACCAUGCCACGUACCGGUCGGCCCUUAGCCAUCUCUAGUUUCACCCCUAAAUAAAAUCUAAACGGCUACUGGCAAGUGAGAAAACUUGUUAUUCUUUAUUUUGAAAAUAAAGGGAAUUGGCGAAUUGCUUAGUUUGAUAUUGUUUUUGGUAAGUCAUUUUUUGUUUUGAAACAUUUUUCUGAGAUGUUGUUGUAUUUGGUGAAAAAUAAAUUAUUUUAUUUUAUACUUUUAAUGAAGAAAAGUAGAGAAAAACAUUUUGUUGUUUUCGACAACAUUUGCCUUAUAAGUGCACCCGUGCCACUUUUUUCUUGUUUUAUUUGUAUGAUAAUUAUCAUGGACCCACGUAACUUUCUUUUGCAUUUAAAAUUUCAUAAUAAAUUAAAUUAGACAAAAGAAAAGAGUCCCACAAAUAAUUUAUUUUAUAAUUUUUUAAAUAAUACUAUUUUAAAAUAAAUUAUCAAAACAAAUUUCAUAUUCACUAAAAUUAAUCAUAUUCAUAUUAUAAAAUUAAUAUAAAAACAAUAUCUGAAAAGUAAUGCUAAAUACACUGUUAAAUUUUAUAAACGGCAUUAGAAUUGAUGAACAAUCUGACAAAGAUGCUGCGAUUUAAGUAGGGAUGACAAUUAAAGCCGUAUUUGAAAAAUUUCGUCUCCAAAUUAAAAAAUAUGGAUUCGGAUAUGGAAAUUUGGAAUUCACAUAGAUCCAUAUAAAUUUUAUUUUAAAUUAAAAAUAUAUAUUAAAAAUUAAAUGAAAAAUUAAAAAAUAAAUUUUAUUUGUGAUUUUAUGAUGUUGUUGUAUAUUAUUCAUGUUGAAUUAUUAAUGGUUGGAUUAUGAUUGAAUUUUAUUUGAUAUUAUUAGGUAAAUUAUUAAUUUUUAUUUAAAAUAAAAAAUAUAUAUUAAAAAUUAAAUAAAAAUAAAAAAUUAUAUUUUAUUUGUAGAUUUAUGAGAUUAUUGUAUGUUAUUCAUGUUGAAUUAUUAAUUGUUGAAUUAUGAGUGAAUUUUAUUUGAUAUUAUUAGAAAAAUUAUUGAACUUUUAAAUUAUAUAUUAAAUUAUUUAAUUUUAAUUUUUACGGAUCUGGAUAUCCAGAAUAUCCUCCGGUAUCCGUUGCGGAUAUUACCCGCUUCUGGAUCCGCAUUUUUUUAUACAAAUUCAGAUAAAAUAUGAAUGCGAAUCCGAAUCUGGAUUUUACCAACCUUGAACCUAAGCAUGAAUGGGCCUAAAGUUUUUACAACAAACAUGGAUCAUUCAAUGACACGAGAUGUUUUACAGCUCUCACUAGUAUAAUUAAAUAAUUAAUUCAUCUCUAUAUUCAACUUACUCCGUCUCAAAUUGCAUGCAAAUACGAAAAUACACUUCUGAAUCGUUCACUUGAGGAAAAUUCCAAAUUCUCCACGUAGAAUUUAGAUUCAAACCAUAGCAAAUUAGACAUAAUUCUAAUUUAUAUGGGAAAUAUAAUUAGCGAAGACACUCUUUAUAUAAACAUUAUUGUCAUAGGAUGCCAAACCUAAUAAGAUUCAAGAUCUUAACAUACUUCAUAUGAAAUUUGAUCUUGACGCGUACCGACAGGCAUAACAUCAAGACUCUACUUCAUAUAUUAUAAUGUAACUUCAUGGAUUUUUCGCUCUCUUGGGGGUCUAUCGUUUGUUUGCAAACUUUUCCAUUUUAAAUUGACAAUUAUAGGCGCUCUCUUGUGGUACAUAAAAUAAACGUUUAUUUUUAGAAUAUUAUUAUUUAUCUCAAUUUUUUAUUUAAUAGUUAAUUUUAACCAAUUCUUAAACUGUCAUAAUCAAUUAAUUUUUUACAUUAUGGCGUCUUAAAUAAAUUUUGGAUCUGUAAUAAAUAAAAACUGGUAACGUUUGUUCUUUUAAAACAUAAAACAACCGUAACAUUGGUUUUUACAUUUUGAAUUUUUCUUGCAUCACUAUUUAGAAAAAUGAUGUUAAAUCAACUCACAAAAUAUAUCAAGCCAUCUAAAAUCCAAAUAUUAUUACAUUUGUAUUGCAUUGUUAAAUUGUUGGAACGACGGCAAAGCAAUUGAAAAGAUAUUAACAAAAAAAUAAAGAUUGGCCAAGGAUUAUUCAUGUUUAGGAAAUGCCUUAACUUUUGAUAUAAUCAUUGUUAUAAUUAUAUUGUAGAAAUAAUCAAUUACCUAAUGUUUGUGGUGGUAAAUAUUAUUAACUUGUUUUACUAUACCCGUGUUUAUGCUGGUCUCCUUUUUGUCCAUUUCUGUACAACGAAAUAUUUGCAUGUGUUGAUAGAAAUUGGUUUAAAUGACAUUUAAAAUAGUAUAUCCCCAGACAAUUAACGAAAUAUUUGGAUGGUAGGAUGAAGUAAUAAAUAGUUUUACAAAUUACCAUAUUAGAGGUAAAAAAAAUUCGAGAGGUUACUUGACAAUUAUGACGUUACUAACUACAAAUUUAACACAAAAAGUUUAAUUAACUUUUCUUUUUGAGAUGGCAAAAUCUCUGGUGUUGAAAACAAUGAGGUUUGAGGUUCAAGCUUGAAUAUCAAGUUACAAUUAAUAGAUGGUCUUAGGACAUAUCAAAGAUUUCUUUAAAGACAAAAUAAUAAUUACAAGCAAUAGGAAUUUAUGGUAUUCAGAACAUUUAUAUCUUCGCACAUGAAGCUUGAAUCCAGAACAAGAUGCAGCUAGCCAAUCCUUCCAAAACCCCACAAAACCUCUGUCAACAUAUCUGCUCUACUUCAAUAUUAAGCACAUUCAUAGCGGUAUCAACAGCUUACAGCGCCAAAAUAUUUUCCCCAAAAAGAGUGAGAGAUUUCACUGAAGCUAAGUUGUGACUUGUGACUGCCCAAAUGUUCUAUAACACGAUAUGAUUAUUCUAGUAACACAAAUCCAAUAGCAUGCAACAUAAUCUACUCUCUAACAUUGUGCAUUAGUAAAAUAAAACAGAGUAAAAAGAGAAACCAUGCCUGUGAAUCUCUUCUUUUCCCCCUGCCACCCCUUUUUUUGGUGAAGUCCAUCAAAUGAAAAUGCAGCAUGACCACGUUGGCCACUGCCACUGCCAUUACUUCUUCAACUGUGCCUUUUGUUGCAAGAAAUAUUCAAGUGAAAGAUUGGAUUAUAUAAUUCAAGAUUCCAAUAGACCUGAGCUGCAAAGGUUGCCUUCCACUAGCCUAUCAGAGACUAUGCUUUCUAUUUUCCUAGUUUGUUAAUCAAAAUUUUAUAAGAUUUAUUUAUGGAAAUCUUGGACAAAAUUUUACGUAAGAUACCACAAAGCCAAAUGCAAUCAUUGUAAUUCUCAGCAGCAACAUUUAAAGUGAAAAAUGGAAGCCAUAUAAACAUAACUAUGUUUGCUACGAGGAACAAUUAUUUCAAGCUUUCAGAAAUGCUAGCAAGAAAUUGUAAGAGAACUUUACCUAGUCACAGAAUAUGUCAAACAUACUACCACCGUCUUUAGCACGAUUGUUAUGGAAGUAGCUUUUGAAUCGGAAGAUUCCAGCUUCCACCAGGCACCAUUUUUUUCAUUUUUGAUACAAUCUGCAUCACUGGCAUUAGUUAUACCAUCAACAUUUGCAUCCUCACUCUCAUCAUCCCAAUCAAGGCUUCUUCUCCAGCUCUGGAUUAUAAGUCCACUCCGACAUCUUCGAACACCUCGGUCCUUCCAUUUGCCAACAACCGAUAUGGCUUCCUUCCUUGCCUUCCCCAUUAAUAUAUCACUCGAAGGCAAAAAAAGCAUCAGCAAUUCUCUUCAACGCCUCAUCGUUUAUAACCCCCCAAAAAAAGGGUCUUCAGACACCUCAACUUUGCCUUCUGCAAAACCUCCACAAAAUCUGAAUUAUCCAACACAACAGCCAGACACUCAAUCCUUCUUUUGUCCAUCAUAUCCACCGUAUGAUUCCUCAACAAAAUAUCUACAGCUUGUGGCUUUUCUAACACUGUCUUGAUCCAAAACCCUGCUCUUUUCAACUCAUCUGCCAAACCAUAACCCACUUUUGGAGUCAAAAUUGUCCUUGCAGCCCUUUUAUAUUUUUCCAUCUCCAUCGAAUACUUGCCACUCAAAUCGAAUUACCAGACAGGAAUCCCAGUAACAAGUCCACUCAACUUCUUCUCAUCUGAUCCCUCUUUCACUCUGGCGGAAACAUUAAUAACCAUUCACCAGCCACAAAUUACCCAAGUAAGUAUUCGUGUCGUCAACACUUACCCUUCACUUCAUCUACGCAAACAAGAAUUCAAAUUGCUUAUUAGCUAGUGCUCGAGCGAAAGCCAAAAUAAAUUAAAUAUGUGUGUGUGUGUGUUAAAAGAGAAACGGUAGCGAAGUUAUUACACAAUAAAGCAAACCAAAAUAAAUUCUACACUCAUGUGGGUGUUUCGCUCGCAAAAUCUGGACAAGAAAAAAUAAUAUUGAUACAAUCUCCAAAUAAAGAGCAUUCCUCUUGGUAAAAUAGACAAAUCCUAUAAAUUUUGAUUAAUGGUGCCAAAUGAAAGAGUUGUAAUUUCAUGUACAUUUUGUUAACAUGAAUAAGGGUACAAAAUAGAUAACAAAGUGACAAAAACAAAGCUAAUCACAAUGAAUGAUAAGGUUUAGAGUAAACAUAAAGUUAUAAUCUUGAACAUAAGUGGCGCUCAAAGCCAUGAAUUUGAUAUCAUCCAUGAGGGGAGUUCAAACAACACCAUGUAAGAAGCAACAAGUGUUGAGAAAAAAAAAAUUCAUUCUAACACAACAGAAUAAAUUGUAAAGAAAUCCCAGUUUGUAUAAAAGAAAGAAAACAAAAUUAAGGAAAACAUAAGCACAACAAAAUUUGACUGAUUAUUAAAAAUGAGAAAUGAGUUAUAAUGAGAAUUUUGGCUUUGUGGUGAAAUAAAUUGGGAAGUAUCAAAGUUUGCAUGUAAAUAAUAUAAAUGAUAAGAAGACGAAGGGAACAAAAUGAUAAUAAGAAUGCCAAAUAUUAAAAUGCAGAUUCUACGCUUCCGCCCCCCCAUACUUCAAGUUAGUGUCUCGCUAAUCAUUUUAGAUGUAUCAAUUACAAAGGGAGGCCAUCUAUUUAUAGUAAGUGUACGCCUCUAAUGCUUUGCCAAGUGUCCAUUGAUAAUAUCACAAGGGAAAUUAAAUUGGUGUAUGUGUAUUACACCUCCUAAAGUCAUGUUAAGAUAGUGUGCUGAUAAAGUUUGUUGCACGUAUGAGUUGGUUAAGUCUGCUAGAAAUGCAAACGUGUAAAGCUUAGUUAGUUAAGGUUGUUACGAAUGCUUAGAUUCAGUUCACGUGUAUUGUAUGUAAUGCUUAGAUUCAGGUCAUGUAGAUUGUGUAUACAACUUUCUUAUAUUCUUUAGAUCUCAAUAUAAAUACUUGUAAUCAACAAAUACAAUAAUAAGAGUCAUCAUUCUUCAUUUUCUCUCUGUUUCUCUCAUAUUUUCUCUGCAUCCAAACACAAUAUUCUCAGUUCUUGACUUGGUAUCAGAGUUGCAGUUUAAUUGUCAUGGCUUCCUUCCUUAAGCACAAAUUCAAACAUAAAUCAGUCUCCUUCAUUCUUUACCCUCACAAAUGCGAUCAAACUGGACAGAUCUAACUAUACGAUCUGGAAAUCUCAGAUCCUCUCUUCAAUUCGUGCCAAUGGACUUGAAGGCUUUCUUAAUGAAACUAAAUUUUUUCCAGAUCAGUUACUUACUCAAGAGAUUGAAAGUUAUGGUGUUGAAAAUGUUGUUGGUGAAAGCUCAGCUGAUAGAUCUCAGGAGAAUCCAGCCUUUGUUGCUUGGAAAAGGUAGGAUCAAUUGUUAUUAAGUUGGCUCAUGUCCUCCAUCAGUGUUGAGAUACUUAGUCUUGUGGUAAAUUCUGAUUCUUCUAAUAAACUUUAGACUAAUCUUGAAGAAAAUUUUUGUAUUAGAAACUAUGGCUAAGAAAGCACACUUAAAAAUGAUGUUAAGCAAUCUCAGAAAGGGAUCAAUGACAAUAACUGAGUAUUUUGCCAAACUUAGAGCUGUAACUAAUAAACUUGCUCUAACUGGUAGCCCUGUUUCUACUCUAGACUUUAUUACUCAUCUAAUCUCUAGAUUAGGCCAGCCAUACUACCCUGUUGUUUUGUAUAUUGAAGCUAAUAUGAUGAAAAUAUUUGUCAAUGAAGCCUAUUCUAUGCUUUUAACUCAUGAAGCAAGAAUUAAAUUUAAUCAUCCGAGUGCAAAUAAAGAAGCAAAGUUGAAUUAUGCUGCUAACAUAGCUUAGGCUGGACCUAGUAAUAACAAUAAGAAGUCUAGUAAUCAAGCUAAUUACUAUCAGGGCAACCAAGGUAACUGGAAUAGAAAUGCUAAUUGGUGUGGUAACAAUGGAGGAAGAGGUGGCUUUGGCAGAGGUUUUUCAGGGCAAGGAAGGGGUAAUUAGAAUAAUGGUGGUCAUUGGAACAAUGGACCUUGGAGUAGUAGUCGAGCAGGUUAUAAUUGUUCUGAUAUAAACAUUAUGACAUGGUUGCUGGUGAACCUGUAAACAUAACCACAAAAGUAAGAAGGCAUAAUCUUUUUAUAAGAAACUCAAAAAUGUAUUAAUGAUGAAAAUUUUAAAACAGAUAGUGGACCAACUGUUCACUAGGAAAACAAAAAACUGAAUAUUUGUGCUAUAAAAAGGUCACACCCAAUCUCACCCCUAUAAAAGGCUAGAAUCAGCUACAAAUCCCUAUCUCAAAACCCCAUCCCAGUUUAGAUGAAUGAAGAAAAAAGAUGAAUCUUGAAACUCCUUAGAAACUGAAGCCCAAAGUGAAGCAAGAAGAUGAACUCUAUCCCAAGCAAGCAAUAUGGCAUAUUUCUCCAUUAAUGGUUCAAAUAAAGUGAAUGGCUUUCUCUGAUGAAUGGGAAAUUGUCAAGAUCAAUAGUCAAACUCACGCAAAGUAAACGGACUUAAUUCUCAGGGGCUACUCAUUCUAAGUCUUAAAGAAUUUUUUUCUAAUUUCUAAAGAUAAUAUGGGGAAAAAUCAUUAUUUUCUAACAUGAAAAAUUUGAUAUAGUGUUUAAUGUCUGACCACAAUGAUAAUAUGAGUACUAACAAAAACAUCUUUUAUCAGCAUGUGCGAGUAAAACACCUUUGCAAUCCAUAAAUGUAAGACGCCGCCUGGAGACUGGAGUCAUCGAAUUUUAUAUGUCAAAAGCGCGUUUCAGUUCAAUAAGCCAUAAAUGUCGUUUAAUAUGCUCAUUUUGUACUUUUUAUAUAAAAAAAAUUAUUUAUUUUUUUUAAUAUUGUUUAUUUAUUUAAAUUUUUUUUAAAGCUAAAGAGGUGGGUAACAUCUAAAUUCAAUUUUUAUCCCUUAUGUCCUGACCCUAAGAUUUGAACUAAGGUGAAUAGCCAAAUGUAUAAUAACAGGUAUUUCGAAUUUCAUUUUAAAUGAUAUGCAAUUCAUUAAGUGAUUGUUAAUUUUUUAUAAGAUCAAAAUGAAUUAAUUGUAUUAUCUUACUAACUAAUUGAUGAGUGCCCUAUUAUUUGGGAUAACUUUUGAAUAAAAAAAUUUUGAUGGAUGAAAUAUUCUUUUGAGAAUUUAUUGACUUAUCUCAUUUAUGACUUAUUGUUGCAUUUAAGUGAUAUUGCAAAAAUUAUUUUGCAAUAAUAUUAUUGUUUUGACGAGUAAGUUUGGAGUAAAUAAUACAUAUGGCAAGUAAGAGGUUCGUUAUUGCAUUUAUUUUGCGGACCUAUUUUAAAGCCAAAAAAAGACAUUUCGAUUCAUUAUGAUUCCAAAUAAUUUCAAGCCAUAUGUCAUUAUUGGGAUAAAAAUAAAGUAAAAUGGUUAAAACUAUUUUUAUGUAAUUUAUAAAAAUUAAUGAAGCAACUGCACAAUUUUUUAACACGAAAAACAAUUGAAAUGUGUGUGGAAAAAGAAGAAAAAAAGAAGGCAUUUAAAUAUCUUUAAAAAAAAUAUGAUUGAGUAAAAUCAUUUUACAGAAUGCUCUUCCAAAUGCAAUUCCACUUUUUUUUUUAAUUGCAUUGGGAUAUUCCAAAAUUGGCACAAUUCAUUAAGAAUUCGGCAACUCAAAUUUUAUUUAUCUCUCUAUGCAUUUGACAAAUUAAAAAGAAAAAAAAAAUCAUAUAUCUUCUGUUCAAAAGAAACCUUGGUAAAUAUUGUAAAACAAAUUACCAAUUUUUUUAAUUUAUGCCAUUAUAUCGUCGCUAUUUUCUCGCCCACUUUCUAUCAAAUGAAAAUGUAAUUAUAUGGUUCAGGAUACCAAUAUGCCGGAGCUGCAAAGGUUGACUUCCACUAUGCUAUCAAUGUCUAUACUUUCUAUUGAAUUUCCUUGUUUUUUUUUUAAAUUGCGAGAUUUAUUUUUGGAAAUCUUUGACACAUUUUAUGUAAGAUACCAUAAAGCCAAAUACAACCUUUUUUAUUCUCAGCAGCAACUUUUUUUUUUCCUUUUAAAAAAAGGAAGCCAUAUAAAUAAUGCUUAAAACAUUAUUUGCAACAAGGAACAAUUAUUUCAUGCUUUCACAGAAUAUGUACUGCUGUUAGCCCGAUUGUUAUGAAGUGGCUUCUGCAUCAGAAGAUUCCAGCUCCCACCAAGCAUUGUUAUCUCUAUUCUAAAUACAAUCUACAUCGCUGGGCAUGAGUUAUAUCAUUAAUGUCUACAUCCUCACUUACAUCAUCCCAAUCAAGUGCUUUUUCUCCACAUCUGGAUUAUAAGCCCACUCCAAUCUCUUCAAAACAUCCCAGUCCUUCCAUCACAACUGAUACGACUUCCUUCCUUACUUCCCCAUUAAUAAAUCGCUCCGAGAAAAAAAAAAAAAAAAAAAAAAAAAAAGCAUUAGCAAUUCUCUUCAACGCCCCAUCAUUCAUAUCCCCUACAACAACCAUCUUCAGACACCUCAACGUUGCCUCUUGAAAGACCUCCACAAAAUCCAAAUCAUCCGACACAACCACCAAACACCCAAACCUUCUCUUGUCCACCAUAUCCACCAUAUAAUUCCUCAACAAAACAUCGGCAUCUUGUGGCUUAUCUAACACCAUCCUGACCCAAAACCAUGCUCUUUUUAACUCAUCUGCAAAACCAUAACCCACUUUUGGAGUCAAAAUUGCGCUUGCAGCCAUUUUAUAUUUUUCCAUCUUUGUUGAAUAGUUGCCAACCAAAAGCACUCUCACCUUCCCUCUAGCUGAUUCUAUUUGAUUCGACCUUUUCUUUUAUUCGCCCUCAUGAAUUUGCUUAGAAUGAUUAACAAGCUUGUCAUUAUUAUAAAAUCUCCUUCCACAAUCACCAAUACAUACGGCUUAGCAGGCCUAAUUACACCCUUGAUUUCUAAUUGGUUAAACAAUUCUCUUUCUUUCUUUGCUCUCUUACAACUUGAGGCACAUAACUAAACUCGUGGCUAUUAGCAUUUGCCACCAUGUAUUUAACAAUCCCAAAUGAAGAUAUUGAUUUUUUUCAGUUUAAUUGCUGCUUCAAAACGGGGUACUGAAUUUGGAUUUUGUUAUCCAAAUACCAAAAAUUUCCCACAUUGUGUUGGACAGUUUUUGGUUCUAAAGUUGAUGACUGGUUUUGCGAAUCAGGCUUCAAAUGAGAACUUCUAAACAAUAAGACAAAUGGGUUUUUGAGUUUCUAAUCUUGUAAACUUUGUUCUAUUGUAUAAGUUAUGAAAUCGCUGAAACAUCACUACAGCUACAGGUCUUUAUGUGUCAAUGAACUGCAGAAGCUGAUGAUCUACCUGUAGCAGACUUCUAUUGUCCCUGCCGUUCUAGGAAGACAAACAAGUUCAGGAACUACUUCUGGACCAAACUCAUAAUAUUGUCACUGCUUUGUGACAAUCUGAGAGGGAAAGCAUAUUGAAGUUCCUAAAUAAGGCACAUCAUGAUUUGACAGAAGUACCACUAUGAGGAACAAUUGAUUUCAGGAAAGCACUAAAAUAUGACAUAAUCUGCCCCUAAUGGUCUAAAGUAGUCAAGAAAUUAUAUCAACCAAGCAAAAACACAUAUACUAGUUGAGAUACAAAGUUAUUGUAAAAGUCAAUUUUGAUCACAAAUCCAUUAAAAUUAAAAGACAUCAGAAAGUUAGAGAACAUUAUAAUUUAGGACUCAGCUAAGUUGCAGAUUCUGUAACUAACAGCUGAGUCCACAUUGGUCUUGCAUCAGCUGAGUUUGGGUUGCUUUUCCUCUCUCCUGCAACGCGUACGUGGAAGCGCCCCAUUUGUUGUGUUAUAUACCGAGUCGGUACCGUAACAAGCUCCUAUAAUUUAAGUUUGAUUACUGUAGACAAUAGUCUGCCUCUGCUCAAAAGCUAUGCUGCAAGAUCUAACAUCUUUGCAAUGUUAUACUUUCUAAAAGUAAUAAGAAAUGAAACCAAGGGGUAAAUCGAACACCAAAAGAAAUUUAGUCGGGAAACCACAUUAUGUUCCCACACAGUCCACUAAUUAAGUUAAUAAUUAAAGGGAAUCAAAAUCUAAGAAAUCUCAUCUUCAAGCAGAAUACAAACACACCGCGAUUGAAAAUCACAAAUUCAUAAAAAGAAGCUGACUUGAAAAGCUCAAAUAUACGUUCAUCAGCCUCUCAACUUAUAUCUAAGAACAAAUGCCUGCAGCCUGUGAAGACAUAGAUAAUUGAAGCUGAUGAGGCAUAUUUAACAGAUGAUAAUCAAAACUCGUGUGGUUAAAAUUACAAUUCAAUAAUGGAGCACAUAAAACAACAACUAGUUGUAUAUAUACCAAACAACUUUCUGAAGUUAAGCCGUAAAACAAAAACAUAGAACAAAUUAAUUAAAUAUACCAGCACCAAUACUCUUAUUAUUAUCCACAUAGAAAAGAACAAUGUAUCAAACAAGGAAAAUGAAAUAUUGUUAAUAACUCAAAAACCACUAGUGUCAAGAACUAGACUAAUAAGUGAAACCCAUAAUCAGACACAACCACAUCAAAAUCUUUGAAAAUUGAGAUCUUUGAAAAUUGAGGUCUAAACAUUGAAAACAAUUAGACAUAUAUAACAGUCAAUCGAAACAAAGCCUCAAAAUAAUAAUGAACUACAAUAAGACAGAAACUAAAUUGUAAACAACCGCAUACCCAGUAACAGUAAUCAAGUAACAAGUCAAAACCAGAAUCAAACGUAGAAUUUUGAAAUCCAUACGAACUCUAACGUAUUAGAAUGAAAGAAUAAGGACGAUCGAUAAACUAGACUCAAACAAAAACAUGCCCAGUUAAAAAAUGAAGGUAAAUAAAUAAAAAUGGUAUAAAACUACGAAAAAAAUUAAUGAAAUGAAGAGAAAAUCACAGGAAUCCUAUGAAGAGGAAGGUAAACGAAACCUUCGGGACCCGAGAAGAUGCCUUUUUUGUUGACGUUUGUGCCUAUACAUAUAUAUAUUUUUUUAUUUUGAAGAAAGUAUUGGUUAACAAAACGAAAUAUUAAUAAUAGAUGCUGGCAAUUUCAACAAGGACAAUCUUCGAUUCAAAUGUACCCCUAUGAUAAAGAAAAAUCUUGAGCACCACAUUACAAGAUCUAGGUGUAUGUAACCAUGCAAAAUGAAACAUCUAUUAAUUGUAAGUCCCUUGACCUCUGGAACCAGCCAACCGGUCUCUUUCCUACUAGACAACCUUCCAUGGAUCAGACUAAUAAUAUUUACUAAAUCAUGUUCUACAGUUAAUGAAGUUGGACCCAAGGCAAUUGUUAGAAGUCCGCCUAGACAUAGAGUGCGCUUAGAAGUGGGAUGCUUAGAAAUGGACCGCCAACACAACCAGCCAACCGUAGUGUGCUUAGCAAAUCACCCAAGCCCGGCCCAAGAUCUAGAACUAUCUACAAAUUGUGAAUAAGUUAAAAGUUUCUAAGUUUCUCCACAUAGGUCCCUAGGAUAUUUAUGGAAGUUGCUAGGAAGUUUCCUCCCCUAGAACUCUAAUACCUAUAAAUAGGGGUGAGCCCCCUCAUUUGCCCACCAAUCACACCACACACACAAACACUCCUGCACACACACAAGCUCUCUAGCUUUUGUAAAAAGCACUCUUGUAUAUUCUCUCUUUGAGAGUAAUAAAAUCAUAUUCAGCCAUAUUGCUCUACUUCUCUCUACCAUUUUCCGCAAGUGUUCUUGCUUCGCUAGUUUGAGGAGUGUUCUAGGCUUGCUUUGCAACUUGUUUGCUACAAGGACAUCUUGUUCACAAAACAUGGACAUGCAAGGAAAAAAAAAUAUUGAUACAUUCUAAAAAUAAUACGCAUUCUUCUACAGUGAACCAAAAAAUUUAGGCUAAUGGUAGCAAGUGAAGGAAUUGUGAUUUCACGUGCAUUUUGUUGACAUGAACGUAAAGAAAUUUUUUAUAGUUUAUAUUGUUUAAUAUAACAUUUGAAUUGCAAAAUAGGGGUACAAAAUGGAUACACGAAGUGAUAAAACUAAGCUCAUUAUGAUAAAUAUUGAAUUAUAAGAUUUACGUUUAAUCAUAAAGACAUAAGUGGCGCACAAAGUCACGAAUUAUCAUCCAUGAUGCAAGUUCAAAUAACUACAUAAUAAGUUGCCCCAAGCUAAACUAUUAAUCUAGUAACUAUUCCAGUCAAUGUGGGAUAAUUUUCCUAUCACCAUCUAUCACGUGCAAGCCGAAUUUGUUGCUUGGUCCUUACAUGUGGUAAGGUAAUAUGAAUCCACUUGUGCAUAAAUUUGCCUCCGAUAUUAUAUAGAAGCCUAUGACCCAAAAUUAUACUUAAAGGUUAUUUCAAGAUUUGAGGGUUGCCUCAAGCUAAUAUUAUUAUUAGCCUGGUAACCUUUUUUUUUUGUUGAUAUGUGAUAUUUUCCGUAUAACUUUUAUUAAUCUUUAUGCUUAUGUUUUGUCAUUUAUCCCAAAAUAUAACAUUAACAAAAGUUCCAAAAUUUCCUUCAAGAGAUAUAUUUGAGACAAGUAAUUUGUGCAAUAACUUUGUGAAUUGAUGAGCAAAUUCAGAGAAAAGAAUAUAUGUGCCAAACGUAACGUUUAUUAUUGUGUUUAUUUGUAGAGCUAUUUAAAGCCCAAAAAAAAAAAGCACCGGUCCGCUGUGAUUUCAAAUAAGUUCAAGCCCUAUGUCAUUAUUGGUACAAAAAUGUAUCAGAAAGAUUAAAAACUAUUUUUAUUUAACUUAUAAACUUAGGAAAUUAUCAAUUGUCCGCCCUUAAAUUGCGCUAUUAUAAAAAAUAUUACAAUAUUUUCAGGUUGUAUAAUUCAUCUACCAUAAAUUUACAAUCUGCAUCAUUUAUCCACCAAAUCAUUAACUUCGUUAAAAAGUGAUAGACGUCACAAGGGUAAUUUAGACAUUUAACACAAAAAAAAAUAAAAGAGAAAUUAUCUAAGCUUACCAUGUUAUCAAAAUUGCUACAAAAUUUUAAAUUUGUUCAAUUUUCCAAUCUAAGUUUAUGACCUCCAAGAUGUUAAUUGCAGUUUGUAAUUAAUGAGUUCAUAAGGAUAAUUUAGACACUCAAUAUGCAAAAUAAAAAUAAACUAAUGGCUUAAAACAUUAAAACAAAAAACUACUUUUUAUAAUUGAUAUUCAAUUAAAUACACAUAAACUCUAUUUUUUUCUUAAUUAAAAAUAUUCUAAUUUAUUUUCUCAAUUUAUCAUCAUAAAUUUACAUUAAUAAACUAAAUCCACAAAUUACCCUAAACCCUAAUUCAUAAAUGCCCAAUCAAUCUAAUAGUUUAAUUCGAUUUCAUAAUUAAAAAAGCUAAAUUUAUUAUAUUAGUUAUGGUGCAAAGUAAACAAAUGCCCUUAAAUUCAAGGGUAAAAUAACAUUUUAUUUAAAUUCUAUAAAUUAUUCUAACAAUGUUAACAUUUUGGUGGACGGCUAAUAUAAGUUACAAACUUAAAAUAGAAAAUCAAAUAAAUUCAAAAUUUCAAACUAUUUAGGGCAAAUUUAGGAUAUAUGGUUAAUAAUUUUCCCAUGUCUUUUUACAUUGGUUGAUAUAAAUUACAAACUUAAAAUAGAAAAUCAAAUAAAUUUAUAUUUUCAAACUAUUUAGGACAAACUUAGGGUAUAUGGUUAAUAAUUUUCUUUUAUCUUUUUACGUUAAAUUGAGUUUCAAAUGUAAAAUGGUCAAUUUAUUAUAACUCUGUUAAUUUUUUAGUGGAAGCAAACGAUAUAAUGGACGAAUGAUAUAAAUUGUAAAAUUAAGGUGGAUGAAUGAUACAACUUUAAAGUAUUGUAGUAAUUUUAAUAAUAGAACAAUUUAAGGGUGGAUUGGCAAUAAUUUAAACUUUAAUGAAGCAACUAAAAAAAAUUUUAACAAAAGAAAAAUAAUUGAAAUGCUUUAAGAAAAAUAAAGGAAAAUAAAUAUCUUUAUAAAAACAUAAUUGAGUAAAAUCAUUUUACAAAAUGCUCUUUCAAAUGCACAUUCCACAAGCCAGGGAGAACGGGUGGCUAACAAAAAUCUCACUUUUUAUGAGUUGAUAAAAUCUCACUUUUGCAGAAUCCAAAAAUAACCAAUACUAAUCACACAAAAAAAUAAAAAUUAUUGCUGUCACGACAUUACACACUUUCUUCGCUGUCUAGAAAGGUAGAACAUUUUGAUGUUCCUCAAUACAAAAUGGGUGCUACUACUAAAUUGGCACGAUUAAUGCCCAUCGAAAAGGCCAUCAAUUUAGCCAGCAAUUUUGUCAAAAUUUCAACAAUUGAAGAAAUCUUGAGAUACAUACAACAAAGUCUUGAAACUUUAGUCUUCACAAUUUGAGCACGCACUAAAUAUUAACCAUCCAUCUGCAGAGCAAGUAUAGAACAAAGCUUGAACUGAACACGCUGAACACAGCUUUUUUUUUUUUGGAUUUUUAGAAUUUUUUAAAGUCAUUUAUGUUCGCUGCCAUCUUUUUCUUUGCUGGCAUCUUCAUUGGCAUCCAACCAAUAAAUUGGGCAUUAAAUACGAAUGAUGAAUAAAAUGAUUAAAAAAAAACAAACAGACCUUUCAAAAAAAAAAAAAACAGAGAAAAUUAUAAUAUAACACAUAUAUAUUGAAAGAGAAAUUUUGAUUUUAGGAUAGAUCAAUUAGCUAUCACAAACGAAAACAUGAACCAACUAUGUAUAGAGUCAAUUAACUAAAGUUCUCAAGAGUUGACCUGUGCUCCAGAAUUCUUGGAAUCAUCUAUCUCCUGAACUUGGACGAAGCUUGGGACAAUUACGAACAUCUUCAUCGGAUGCAGAUGGAAACGGGAUCUGAUAACCCGCAGGCCAAAAGUUGGUGAGGUUUGGUAAAUCUCUCAGUAUCAAGCCCCGAAGUUCAUUCAUAACAAUUUCAUUGUAAUCCGUGACGUCUGUUCCAUCUUUAUGCCAGAAUACUUCUUCUAAUUCAUCAUUACCUACUAUGUAUAGGCAAUCCAGUUUUUGAAGACUUGGAGCUACGCUGAUAUGAAAUAGAUGCUUUAGUUUGGGGCAAUAACGGACAGAGAUCCUUUUGAGUUUUGGGAAACAUACAGGUUGGAGAUGAUCCUCAUCCUCAUCAAUGAUUUGCUCUAAUUCCAAGCAAUUCGAAACAGAUAACACCUCCAAUUGCAACAGAUUUCGAGCAAGUGUUGAUGAGAAGAGACGUCUCAGCAUAGUGCACCCGUCCACUCUUAAAUAGGUAAGACUUUGCAGGCUAAAAUUAUGGGUGGGACCUUCAUGAUAUAAUAAUACUUGCAGUUCUGGAAGAUCUUCCAAUUGCAACGACUUCAAACAUGGGAAAAGUUUGUUUUCUUGUCCAUCAGCGAUAAUAGCUUCCAACUGAAAUACCACCUGUACUCCAAUUUCCCUAAUAUGCAAUUCUUCCAAAUUUUUUAAUCCGUGCUUCAACAGUGCUGGAAUCGUGUCACUCAAAUGGGAACAAUUGUCCACAUCUAGAGUAUUUAAGUUCUGAGACAAAUAAAUAAAUAACUUGAUGCAAUUAAAAUCUAUUAGCAGCUAGGAUUAUCACAUGAUAAGUGAUGAACACCGCAAAAAACAAAAACAGAAAACAAAAUCCAUACAAAAAUAUCAUAAUACAUAUGUAAACUAAUAAAAUAAUUAAAAAGUAAUGGAUUUAAAAAAAAAUGAAAUUAGUUAAAAGAGAUCAUGUGAAGUGAUAUAAAUGUGACAUUAGAUUGUUUUAGAAAAAUUAUUAUUCUAUUAAUUUAUAUGGCUUGAUCAACUAUUUUAUUGAAUUUGAAUAAUAUUAUAUACACUUCAGAAGUAUUUGCAUCAAUUCUUUCUAAACCAAAAUGAGAUAUGACUUUCAUUUGAAGAAUGAUUUUAGGCCCUAUAAUAAAGAAAUUUCUCUAAAAUAUCUUAGCAUUAUUAUUAUCACCAUCACAUCCACCACCAUCAUCAUCUCCAUAGGAUCAAAAAAUUAAUGGCUGAUCAUAAAAUUUAUUGCUAAACUAUCAUUUUGAGUAAAAUUGAAUGAAAAGAAAAAACAUGAACCCAAACAAACAUACCUCUUUGAGAUACUGUAAAUUGGCUUCAAGUUCAUUACUGUUGAUGGUCAAGUUGGGACAAUUAUGAAGGUCUAAAUUUUCCAAUGCUGUCCAAAUUGAACAAUAAUUCUCUGAACAGAACUUGGUGAGUUCUGGGAGAUCUUUAAGUUUUAAUUUUCUCAACAAAGGGAGGGCGAGCAUCGUAUUGCCAUCUCCGAAACUUAUUCCCCCUUCAUUGUGAUCAAACUUUGCUUCGACAAUAUAUUCCAGUCUCUUGCAAUAAGUCACAAUGAGACUUUUAAGCUGCUCCAAACUUCUAGCUUGUGACGACGUGAAGAUGUAUGUCAACUUGUUGCACCUAUGCACAUUCAAUUCUGUAAGAGUUUGGAGACUGAUCACAUGUUGGGCGGGCCCCUUCCAUGUCCACUUCAGUUCUGGUAAGUCCCACAUAGAUAACUCUGCUAAUCUUGAGAGACUCUUUCCAUGCGGCGACUUAGAGGCUUCCAUUAUGCAUUCUAAAUCUUCGCAAUCGCGGACAUCAAGACAAGUCAACUCAUUUAAGCCCCUUUCAUCUAUGCUUGGCACAAUAUUGUAACAACCUAUAAUCCCACUUAAAUAAAGAAUUUCCAGUUCUUGAUACAAUGCCGAAAAAAUACCGAGCGAGGUCGCUUCAGGAGGGUGGUUACCAAUCAUUAAGAUCCUUGCCUUAUCAUCAUGUUCCCUUUCAUCAUAAACUCCUUCAACUUUAUAGAUGACGUACCUUUGCAAUUUCGGGAAUGUAAAGUCUUUUGGAAGACAUACAACAGAUCUGUCGGCUUGGGAGUUCAACUCAGCAAGCCUAGCAUUACUUUCUUCUGAACUCAUCCCUUCAACCUCCCAAUCUUUUAUCCGACCAUAAAAUUCUUCCAAUUGAGGAAAUUUUUUUAUCGUAAUGGGAGAAACAGAACCAGUAUCAAUAUAUAGAAGUUUCAAUCUACCAAGUUCAUCCGACAAUUCUUCAGGAAUUUCAAUGGGAGAUGACUGGAGAUAAAGAAGUUCAAGUCUCUUCAACUUUCCAAGAAAAAACGUGUCACUCACAUCACACCGAAUCAACUGCAGAACCUGGAGGUUGGUGAGGCUCUGAAGCGAUUUAAGUGAAAGAACUCCACCUAUUAUAGUGACAACUUUCAAUGCUGGCAUCCCUUUAAAAAAAUGUUCUGGAACUUGCAAUCGGUGGUCGUAUUCAGGAUUCUCCAAUCGCAAAAUAUGAAGGUUAGGGCAUACCAAACCACUAGAAAGCUCUUAUUUUUUAUUUCCCACCAAAGAGAUUCCUCUGUAUUGUUCCAGGCCUUCUUUCAUUGCCCGUUCUGCCAAUCCAAUGCCAAAUUUACUAAAAAAUUUCUUCUCCUCUAGAACUAUUGAGCCUAUCCAUAUGGCUACAUCACGAACCAUGUCAUGCAUUUUCACAGAUCUGUCAUUACCAGUGUCUAACAGCAGUGACGCAGCUUUGAGCGCGUUAAUCGUUCCAUGCAGUCGGCUUCUGGCGUUUUCUAUUGACGGAGCACAUUGAUACCAAAUAACCCCCACUGCGUAUCCAACCAAAUCCUCCAAAUAAAUCUCAUAAUCUUCUGGAAACAGAGAACACAACAAGAAGCAUAACUUGGACUCCUCACUAUUUAAAUUGUCGUAACUGAAUUUAAGACAACCGUAAACGUCUUGGUCAUCCUUGUCAAUACCUUCUAUUGCAUAGAGUUUUGCUUCCUUUAGGUUAUUUAGUGCUAGUUUCCAUUCAUCAGAUCCUUUUUCUCUUAGUGCACUUCCAACAGCUUCAAUAGCUAAAGGCAGCCCCUUAAUUACAUUCGUCGGCAACUUGUUUUGAAACACCAUCCAAGGAGGAGUCGUUUACAUUAAUACCGGCAUUCAUUUUUAGUAGAGUCAAUCCUUCUUCUGGUGUUAUUGUACCAAGUUCAAUCUGUGGGUAACAACCGAAAGAACCACAAAUUGACUUUUUGCGAGUGGUUAGAAGGAUUUUGCAACAAUUGUCUCUAUCACCAAUGGGAAUACCUAAUUUUUUCUCCAAGUCGAGUUGUUUCCAAACAUCACCAAGGAUUAUGAGGAUUUUGCUGCUUUUACUCUCAGAAAACAUCAACCGCAAUCGAUCUGCUCUCUCUUUUUCAUCUGUCUCAUUUAACGCCCAGCCUAACGACUUUACCAGCUCACUUUGAACCUUUAUUAUAUCUGGAUCCUGAGACACAGUGACUAUCCCAACUUCAUCGAAAAUCUUUUGUUGCCGAAGUUGAUUGCCCACAAAAUUUGCCAAGGUCGUCUUCCCUACACCACCGAGACCGUGCAAUCCCACCAUCUUUGUGCUCUCUUUUUUCAGUGCUUCAGUGAUUUGAAUGCAAGCCAAAUCUGUAGCCUUGAAAGGAGAAAAAGAUCUCGGUAUAGGCAAUUCUUUGUCUGAUGGUAGAGGUUUAGGACGGGCAACUGUGCUGAAUUUGCUGCGGUCUUGUAGCAGAUCGGACAACUUGCUAGUCUUCUUUGAUGCUUUUGUACCCAGCCAGUAUCGGCAACCCCAAUUAGGACACCAUCCAUUAAGACAACUCUUCUUUUCAUCUAUCUUUGCUUUUAAAUUUCGAACGUCGGCCAUUUCUUUAUCUACAUCCUCAAGCCAUGUCUCGACAUCUUUCUCGACUACUAUAGCACGGUGUAUUUGUCGUUCUUGUUCUACUCUUUCAUUGAUGCCAUCUUUUUCCUUCUUCAAAUUGGUUUCUUUAACCUUAAGUUCUUUAUCUAUGCUGUUGAAACACAGCAGAUAACGAGCUUGGUUUAUGGUUGCAUCCACCAACAAUUCUCCAAGCCUUGAUGCAACACCUGACAAAAGUUCCAUGCUAUUUAUCUGCAAUUAAUAAAGUUGAUCUCAGUAAGCUAUAAGCAAAACAAUGAGGCUUGAUCACAAGAUCGAACGAGAAAGUUUAAUUACCUUUUUCUAUUCUGUGAAUGCACGUUUAUUGACACUAGCUUUGACCAGUAAGAGCAAAAUGCAAACGCCGAGCUUUAAGUGGCCUUUAGCUGCAAAACAAAAGAGAGGAAAUAAGGUAAUUUAUUAUUAUUAUUAUUUUUAAGGACGGAUAAAGGUUAGCUAGCUUGCAGACAAAUUUACUAAAAUCAAGACAAACCUAAGAGUUUUCCUAAUUUGUUCAAACAUGGAAUAAGCGUUUCACAACAGUAUAUCCAUAAAGGCCCCAGCGAACGUAAUAUGUGCUGGACUAUAUUGAAAUUAGAUUAUUUUAGAAAAUUUUAAAUAAAAAAUAUCAAACAACAAAGAAAUCUAAUAGAAUCUGGAUAAACAGCAUGGGAGAAUAUGGUAAAAUUGAUAAACUUGGUUCAAAAAUUACAAUUCUUUUUGAGAUUUGAACCAACGAUUUUGACUAAGGUCUCCUAAGCCACAAAGCAUAACUCUUACUACUAAAUUACGCGCAUUUUGUUACAUUUAAAUGUGGUCAUAUUCUUUUUAUUAUCUUUUUUUAGAAGGGACUCAUGGUAUACUUAAAAGAAAUAAUAAUGAUUUAGAUAGGGCUGAAGCCCACUCAUGAAAAAAUUCAAAGGUUUUCAAGAUAAUUACCGAUUUUUUUCCACCCAAUAUUCUAAUAGAAUGGUGCCAGAAUUCUCAAAUAAUAUCUUAAUAUUAUUUAACUGGUUGGCACCCACCUAUUGGAUGAUUAAUUUAAUAAUUUGUUACAUUAUUUAAUACUCCAUCUCACUAUCUAGUGAUGUAAAUGGUGGAGAAGGAUCGUCUCCUAGACUUUUUUCUCUCACUAAUCUCUUAGUGAAAUAAGUGGCCGAAAUUGAAUUUUAAUUUUUGAUAUUGACAAUUAAAUUGGCUUGUUUCACAUUAUUAACAAUUAAGCCAAUUUUUUUUUUCUCCUUUUUUCAAUUAGAUUUGGAAGGCUAUAAGAGAGUAGGAGAGAAAAAACACUAGAAGGAGAUCUUAAUCCAUAAAUAGUACCUUAUUUGGGAUGGUAAAGAUUGAGAUAAAUUUCCUCUUAGUCUCUAAAAUUUUGGCCUAUGCGCAGCCAUAAUUUUAGUAUUUUUAAAAAGAAUGGGAUUAUUUACAUUCUAAAAUCUAUUUUGAAUACUCUUUUACUCAACACACUCAUUCAAUAAAUAAAUUUUAAAAAAUAAUUUUUACUUUACACACUAUUUCGAGAGUCAAAACUAUCCUUCAUUAGGACCAUUUCAUUAACUAAUUAUUUUCUAUUGACACCCAUAAAAUAUUCAUCAUUCUUGAACCAUGUGGCGUUAAUUAAUGAUUCCGAAGCAUUAUCAAGAUUCAAGAUUUAUGUUGAAAUUCUUUCAUCUGACAUUUGAACCCAGCCACUAGCUAUAUACAUAUAUACUUUCAAAUGCAGCUCCGGGAAUAUUUUGUGACUGAUUUUAUAAAGUGUUUUAGUUACAUUAAUGCAGUGAAACAAUAAAGAGUACGUGGCUUGCUGAUUUCCAAAUCAAGUUGGGGGAAAAAACAGAGCAUUUUUCUUUUAUAAUGGAUUAGAUUAGACGAUGAAGGAAAAAUUAUUAGCGAUUAUUAGUACUUUUGUGUGUGUUAAGAGUAAUAAUAUUAUUUUAAAUUAUAUUAAUGCCUUUGGUACUGAAUUCAAUUAGGGUUAUUUUAGUAAUAUAAAUUUUCAUUAAAAUUAAAGUGUCCAAAUUAUAAUUUAGAUUUUUCAAAUGUAAAAUAAUAUUUAUUUAUUUGAUAUAAAUUAAAAUUCAAACAAAUGUAUCAUGCAACAAAUGAAAAGUAAAGAAUAUUAAUUAGGUUUUAAUAGAAACAAAUAUAAAUAGAUGUUUUGAGUAGUUAAUUUUUGUUAUUUUAUGCUAUUGGUAGUUUGUGGAUUAAAUAAUUUGUAUAAGGAUAAAUGGGGGUUUGUAUAAUUUAUACGAAGAUAAUCUCCAAAAUAAGCUUAUAUGUCGAAUUUAAAAGUGUUAUAUAAGUAGUAAUCGUAUAUGCAUCAAAAUUUUUAAUAAAAUUUAUUUAGAAAUUGGCCAAUUGAGUUUUAUGAAGAAAAUAGACGGGCAAGUAAUUUGUAGGUUGUGGUACUUCUCCAUACUUCAAAUCACUUUUAUCUAAUCAAUUGAUAAAUAUUUUUGGGCUCCAACAAAAUGAAAAGAAAAAGUUAAAAAUAAUUCUGAAAUUAAAAACGUUAGGUACUGCCUAUAAGCUAUACAAUUUUACCUUUCCUUCUAUCACAAUUAGUAUUAGAAAUAAAAAUAGUUUCGAAAUAAAUGUAAUUAGGAGGUAAUAUUAUCUCAACAAUACCUUAUAGGGAAAAAAACAUCUAUAUCCUAAAGUUUGGAGAAAUGGUCGUAAAGACCCCAGGUUUUCAGAAAGGGAUAUCAAGACCCUUUUUUGACCGUAAUACCCUUUAAAUCUAGUAAUUAAAAAAUUGACUUUAAGAUUUUUUAAUUGACAAAUUUAAUAUAAAUAAUAUAAUCUAUCUAGUAGAUUAAUAAUAUUAACAAUAAAAAUAAUAUUAAAAUUUAAAUUCUUAUAUUUAUUCUAAUAAUAUUUUUUUAUUUAUUAUAAAGAUUUUAAAUAAAUCCUUGGGUUAAAUAGGUUUUCCAGUUAACAAAAUAUACCCCUAUUAAAAAUAUUGAAAUUACUUUCUACAUAAUAUUUAAAAUAAUUACAAUUUAUUUAUUUUAAUAUUAUGUUUCUAUUUAUUAUUAAAAAUUACUUUAUUAGAGCAAAUUUUUAUUAAUUAAAGCUUUAAAAUUAAUUUUCUAAUUACUAAAUUAAAAGGGUAUUAUGGUCAAAAUGGGUCUUUCAUUUUUGAAAACUUAGGGUUUUUGCGACCAUCUCCCCAAACUUUGGAGUAUAGGUGUCCUUUUCCCGACUUCAUAUAAAGAUAUUCCAGAAGGUCUUAUAAUAACUUAUGUUAUAUGAAUUUAAUUAAAAUAUCAUUAAUACUUAAAUAAUAAUAAUUAUAGAAGACAUUGUAAUAAAUUAUUUGAUAUAUAUUAUUAAUGAUACUAUAUAUAUGUGUAUAUAACUACAUGAUGGCUUGGAUAUAUAUUGUUUAGUGGUAAUAAAUUUUUUUAAAAAAAUUUAAACUAAUGAUUUCAUGCGAUUCAAUGUUGGAUGAUUUAAAAUCAUAAAAUAUUGUUUUGACUUUCAAUAUCAACCGUUAGACUGUGAGAAAUUAAUUGCUCAAUAUUUUGUGUUAAAAUUUUAAAUUAAAAUAUCCCAAACCAUUUGUUUUACUUAAAAUACAAAAAAUAUAUAAAGAAAUUUUCUCAUUAAUUUUCAUAUUUUUAUUAGAGGUAAUAUUUUAUGUAUCGUCACCAUUAAUUGCCGUCAUUAAAGUAGUGACUCUUACUAAUAUAAAAUUUUAUAAUUAGUUAAUUGCAAUCAAAUGAUAUCAAUAAAAUAAUAUUUCAUGAUUCAUAAAUUAAAUCUAAUUAAGAAUAUAUGUUAGUUUUAACUUUUAUGAAAUCAACUAAGUGAUAUUACAAAAUAAAAUGAAAAUAAACUAGUGAAAUGAUGUGCUCAUAAUUUAUCUAUUAUUUUAAUGCUUCCAUAACUUAAUUUUAUGUUAAAUUAUAUUUUAUUAUAUUAAUUUUUAUCUUAAUUUUUAUAUUUUGUCAUUGUAGGAAUAAUGGGAAUAUUCAUGAGAAAAGAAGCUUAAAGAGGAAACAAAUUAGAGUAUAAUGAAAAUAAUGUGGAAGCAAAAGGGAAAGAAAUAAAAAGCCAAAUCAAGGCUGAUUGAAUUUAAUCAUCAUGCAUGCAACACGUGGGGGGAGCAUUAAAGAAUUAAUUUGCAAAUUGGCCAAUUAAACUUUACAAGUCACGUGGAUGGGCUUAAAAGGUGGCUAGAAUUGUUUUGUUUUAAAAAUCCCUUUCAUUUAAGGAUUCGUGGGCUGGAUUUGCAAUCCUUUUCCUUUAAGGAUUUGGAAGAAACCACAACAUUAUAAAAGAGAAGAAAGGCAGCCGCACAAGAGGGAUGGAAGCCAAGAGAAAAGAAAUAAUUGAGCAGCAACCGGAAGUCUUGAACGAAAACCGAAGAGCAGCAGCAAUAAUUUAGAGCAGAAGGAAGACACGUUAAUUCUUGAGUUUUUCUCUCUCUCUUCUCUAUUAUCUUGCUUGAAUGUUUCCAAUUAAAUUAAUGAAUUCUCUUUAUAUUCCCAUGAACUAAUUUAUUUACUAGGGCUACGAUGUAGCCUAAUUAUGAAGAUUUAAUUCCAUAAAUCUAUGUUAUUUUUUAAUUAAUUAUUCCAUGAUUGAGUGUUCAUUAUUGUGCUUAAUGCUUUUAAAUAUCUGGCCAAUAUUUGAAUGAUUCGAGGAUACAUAAUGAGACCGAGAUGAGAUUUAUGUAUUUUUGCUCUGUGUAAUGGAUGCCAUGAAUUGAACGAAAGACAUAGAUGUGCCAACGUGAUUCAUGCAGUUUUAUCUAAGAAUUUCCAUAGAACUUAAUGAAUCUUUGCAUAUUUAAAUUCACAUAGAGAUAUAGUGGGUUGAUAUGUGGAGAUAUUUUUGAUAUUACUCGAGAGAGGAUAUUGAAUAAAUUAGGGAAAUUCACUGUCAACAUGGGUAAUAAACUUUAAUAGCAUAGAUAGAGGAUUAAAUUGGAUUGGUUAUGGUGAAAUCGGAUGUCCUAGUGUUUUAAUCUCUUGGUGAUUUCUAUUACUGCCUGCGUCUUCAUUUAAUUUUUAAUUAUUUUAUUUUAUUUAACUUUAAUCUAAAUUCGCCUAAUCGAUUGUUCAAAUAAAGCAGGGUUAGAAUAAUUUCGGUAACUAAUAGGAUAUACAAUCUCUGUGGGACGAUACUCUACUCUUCAUUAUAUUACUUGUGCCGACUAGUACACUUGCUAAUUUACGCAACAAGUUUUUGAUAUAAAAUUUACACUUGCUAAAGUAGUGACUCUUACUGAUAUAAAAUUUUAUAAUUAGUUAAUUGCAAUCAAAUGAUAUCAAUAAAAUAAUAUUUCAUGAUUCAUAAAUUAAAUCUAAUUAAGAAUAUAUGUUAGUUUUAACUUUUAUGAAAUCAACUAAGUGAUAUUAGAAAAUAAAAUGAAAAUAAACUAGUGAAACUUAAAUUUUAUAAGGUUUGAAUAAUUUUCUACCACGUAAGAAUAUUAAUUGUGACAUAAACCAUAGUUUCAUGGUAUAUGUAUGCCAAAUGGGGUAACAAAUAAUAUAUACUUCAUGAUCAUGAUAGUAUAUAAAGUAGUGGAUAUUUUAAUAAAUAACAUAAAAUUCUUUAAGACAUAGGUGGUCAAUUAUAUAUUUUUUAGGAUAUAGACAAUCUCAAUCAAGAGUUUAUUGAUGUGAAUAGAUGGCAUUCACUUAAAUGUAUAUACUUAAUUGUGUUGUUUAUUGGUAUUACAUGUAACAAAAUUUUAUAUUAAAUUUUGAAGUUUUAUACUGUUGUUUCUAUUGAAUUUAUAAAUACAAUAAAAUUAUGGCCAUCAACAAUCACAACCAACUGCCACCAACAAUUACAUUCUCAUAUCUGUUGACGACAAUUUUUUAUACUAUUGGAACUCCAAUCUUUGAUGCUACACAAUAGUUAAAGUACCGACAUCAAUAGAACUUCCGUUCAUUGUAGAUCUAUAGUCAAAGUUUCGAAUCUUAAAAAAUUGACAGCAGAUUUAUGUCAAAUGAAAGCUUGUUACCAGUGAUUCUUAUACAAUUAUGUUGUUAUAGUAAUAAAGAUUCUAAUGGUACUAAAAUGCACUCCAUUAGACAUAAAGAUCCGACGACUAGUGGCGACAAUAACUAUCAUUAGUGACUUGGAGGUAAUUGCCGUUAAUAAAUUAUUUUUAACUUAAUAAUUAAUACAAACAAAUAAAAAAGUAAUUUAAGGAAAAUUAAUGUAAUAAAUAAUUGAAUUAAAAAAAUUAAAACCUAAAUUCUCGACCAUUUAUCCGUAUCUUUGGAAUCCAACGUUCAAAAUUGGAAUAAAACAUAGUAUAGCCAUUGGAAGUAAAACAAACAUUAAAGAGACUAGGAAAAAAUAUCUCAUACCUUCUAUAAUGAUACAUCCUCAAUCACUGCAGAAAGCUCCAAUUAAAAAGUCGCACAAGUUCGGAGAAAAUUACCAACUGUACCUAACAACACAAAUAAACAUCAAAUCAAAGCAACAUAGGAUCCAGCUAAUUAACAUCAUAAGUAAGUCCUUGUUCUCAGUCAAAUCUUUCGUUCUUAGGAAAAAAAAAAAAAUUGAAAGAAUAACGGUAACUGGAAAGUUUGACGACAUAAAGAUCUAGCUAAAUUUUAAGAAGCAAAAGUAAAUAAUGAAAGCUCAAUAAAAGAUCAUCAGCAUUAACAUACCGAAAUGAGAGCAGCUCACAGAACUGGUAAUUUCCAAGAACAGGAAAAAUAAGUGAGCUGAUAUUGAGGACAACUAAAGUAGUCAUGGAGUAAUUUGCUAUUGAGGACACCUAAAAUAAGAAAAUUAAUUAACAUUGCUCUAUACACCAUUUCAAUAAUUUGACUAUUAAAAAAAAAAUCUAUCUAGAUCACGAUUUCUCAAAAUGAUACUUUUUCUAAUUAAAUAAAUCAAAAUGCUUGCUUCUUUCUUUUUCAGAAAAGAAAAAGUGGCAAUGGCAUCAAUUUUUUUGCUAGAUUAUUAUCACCAAAAGCACAAGCAAGGAAUAAGAAUACUCUCUGAAACCAACCAUGUAAAGAGUAGAAGUAAGUGGUCAAUUGUAAAUUAGUCUUUCUUUUUUCUUUGUUAUUUUUUUCAUUUUUUGAAUGUGAACUAAAUAAAUUUAAGGGUGAAGCUAUUACACCUUGAAAACUAUAACUGAACACCCAUUUUUUUAAUUAAAUUUUUAUUACUAAAAUAACCAUGGAGUAAUUUGCUACUAAGGAAAACUAGAAUAAUAAAAUGAAUAAUGAUUGCUCUAUACACCCUUUUCUAAGUCUAUCUUCUUCUUAAUUUCAUAAUUUGGCUGUCAAAAAGUAAUCUAUCUAGAUCACGAUUUCUCAAAUGAUGCUUUUUCUAUCUAAAUAAAUGAAAAUGCUUGUUUCUUUCUUUCUCGAAAAGAAAAAGUGGCAAUGGCAUCAAUUUUUGCUUGCAAGCACAGCGAGGAAUCAGUAUACUCUCGGAAACUAACCAUAUUAAGAGUAGAAAUAUUUAUUUGGUUAUCACGAAGUAAGUUAGAAAUCAAUUAUAAAUGGUCUUUUUUUAUUUUUUAAUGUGAACUAUAUAAAUUUAAGGUGAGGUUAUUUACACUUUGAAAAACAUUCUGAAAACCAUUAUUUCAUUAAAUUUUUUAUUAUUAAAGGUCCGUUUGGGGCAGCUACGUUGAAGCAGCGCAGCUGCCCCAAACGCUCUCUAAAAUAGCCAUGGAGUAAUUUCUUACUGAGGAAAACUAGAAUAAUAAAAUCAAUUAUCAUUCUUCCAUGAACCCGUUUCUAGAUGUAUCUUCUUCUUGAUUUGGUAACUUGGCUGUCAAAAAGAAAUCUAUCUAGAUCACGAUUCCUCAAAAUGAUGCUUUUUCGGAUGAAAUAAAUGAAAUUGAACCUACAAUCUGUCACAAACACGUUAUAAUGAGCCUAAUGAAAAGCAGUAUGAGAAAUUUUGCUUCCAUGUUGUUUCUUCCAUAUGUAAAGGUAGUAAAAAGAAAUUUAAGUCCUAGAAACAAAUGGAUGAAGAAUUAUCAAUAAUUAAAAUUAAAAAAAGAAACAGAGUUAUAAAAGAAUCACAGUUCCACCAAAAAUUAAGAGUUAUUUUAUUUGGUGGUUUCCUAUCCCGAAAGCAUUACUUGUAAAUAUGUGCUAACAAGUAAUAAUUAAGAAAGUUAAGGCCAAUCAUUUAGAAGGGAGAAAAAUGGAAACAUCCGGAAUAUUGUUAUGUGUUUUCAGUGCGUAUCUACCAAUCAAUAAUGAAAAAUUAAAUACGCAUGUGACGAAAAUUUAAUAAAGAGAACUGGAGGUGACAAAAUUUUUAUUAUUCUAUCUUUCUCUCCUCUGAAACUUCCUUAAUUUGGUUGGGAAGUGCUUUGUCUUAGGCAGUGGAUCUGUUAUAAAUACCCUAUGCUAAAGUUAAUAUUUUGAUUGAAGAAAAAAAUAGAGGAGAAAAAUUUUAUUAAAGUAUAACAUAAUUUGAUAAAUUUAGAAUUGAGGAGAGAAAAUGAGUCUAAAUUCGAAAAUUUUGGCACUAUUUACAUAUAAUUAUUUGGGCAAAAAUUCAUUUCUCUGCUUUCAUAUGAUUUGGUCUUUCAUUGUUACGGUGCCAAUUUUUUAUUUAAAGAUGUAAGAUAGUGGUACUAUAGCUUAGAUUUUCCGUAAAUACUACAUGGUAAGUACAAAAUAAAAUACUAGUUUAAAAUAUAAAAAUGAAAAACUAUUUUUAUAACCAAUAUUCAAUUAAAUACACUUGAAACUCUAUUUUUUCUUAAUAAAAAAAUUCUAAUUUAUUUUCUCAAUUUAUCUAAACAACUUUACCUAAUCAAGCUAAAUCUACAUAUUACCCUAAACCUUAAUUCAUAAACACCCAAUCAAUCCAAUUGUUAAAUCCGAUUUCAUAAUUAAAAAAGCUAAAUUCUAUUUUAUUAUUUAUGGUGCAAAGUAAAAAAUGCCCUUGAAGUUAAGGGUAAAAUUGAUAUUUUAUUUAAAUUUUGUUAAUAUUCUAAUAAUGUUAAUGUCUUAGUGGUUAAUAAAAUCACAAAGUCAAACUUUUGUAGUAUUUUUUAUAAUAAGUUAAAGAUAUAUGUUUGAUAAUUUUCCUACGUCUUUUUACGUUAAAUUGAGUCUCAAGAGAAAAAUGAUUAAUUUGCUACAAUUCUGUCAGUUUUCUGAUGGAAGAUAAUGAUACAAUGAAUAAAUAAUACAAAUUAUUAAAUUAAUGUUGAUGAAUGAUACAACUUGAAAAUAUUGUAGUAUUCUUAAUAGUAGAGAAAUGUAAAGGUGGAUGGUUGAUAAUUUAAUGAAGUAACUACAGAAUUUUCCUUUCAAAUAUUUUUUUAAAAUAUAUAAUGAGUAAAAAUCAUUUUACAGAAUGAUCAUACGCAUUUUGUAUCACAAACGAAAACAUGAACCAACUAUGUAUAGAGUCAAUUAACUAAAGUUCUCAAGAGUUGACCUGUGCUCCUGAAUUCUUGGAAUCAUAUAUCUCCUUCUGAAUUUCCACGAAGCCUGGGACAAUUAUUAACAUAUACAAACUUGGCAGAUGGAAAUGGGAUCUGAUAACCCGUAGGCCAAAAGUUGGUGAGGUUUGGUAAAUCUGACAGUAUCAACUCCCCAAGUUCAUUCAUAACAAUUUCAUUGUACUCCGUGACGUCUGCUCCAUCUUUAUGCCAGAAUACUUCUUCUAAUUCAUCAUUACCUAUUAUCCAUAUGUACUUCAGUUUUUGAAGACUUGGAGCUACGCUGAUAUGAAAUAGAUGCUUUAGUUUGGGGCAAUAACCGACAGAGAUCCUUUUGAGUUUUGGGAAACAUACAGGUUGGAGAUGAUCCUCAUCCUCAUCCUCAUCAAUGAUUUGCUCUAAUUCGAAGCAAUUCCAAACAUAUAACGCCUCCAAUUGUAACAGAUUUCGAGCAAAUGUUGAUGAGAAGAGACGUCUCAGCAUAGUGCACCCGUCCACUGUUAAAUAGGUAAGACUUUGCAGGCCAAAAUUAUGCGUGGGACCUACGUGAUAUAAUACUUGCAGUUCUCGAAGGCUUUCCAACUGCACCUCCUUCAAACAUGGGAAUAGUUUGUUUUCUUGUCCCUCAGCGAUAAUAGCUUCCAAUUGAAAUACCACAUGUACUCCCAGUCGUCUAAUACCCAAUUCUUCCAAAUUUUUUAAGCCGUGCUUCAACAGUGCUGGAAUCGUGUCACUCAAAUGGGAACAAUUGUCCACAUAUAGAAUUUUUAAGUUCUGAGACAAAUAAAUAAAUAACUUGAUGCAAUUAAAAUUUAUUAGCAGCUAGGAUUAUCACAUGAUAAGUGAUGAACACCGCAAAAAACAAAAACAGAAAACAAAAUCCAUACAAAAAUAUCAUAAUACAUAUGUAAACUAAUAAAAUAAUUAAAAACUAAUGGAUUUAAAUAAAAAAUGAAAUUAGGUAAAAGAGAUCAUGUGAAUUGAUAUAAACGUGACAUUAGAUUGUUUUAGAAAAAUUAUUAUUCUAUUAAUUUAUAUGGCUUGAUCAACUAUUUAAUUGAAUUUGAAUAAUAUUAUAUACACUUCAGAAGUAUUUGCAUCAAUUCUUUCUAAACCAAAAUGAGAUGUGAUUUUCAUUUGAAGAAUGAUUUUAGGUCUUAUAAUAAAGAAAUUUCUCCAAAAUAUCUGAGCAUUAUUAUUAUCACCACCACAUCCACCACCAUCAUCAUCUCCAUAGGAUCAAAAGUUUAAUGGCUGAUCAUAAAAUUUAUUGCUAAACUAUCAUUUUGAGUAAAAUUGAAUGAAAAGAAAAAACAUGAACCCAAACAAACAUACCUCUUUGAGAUACUGCAAAUUGGCUUCAAGUUCAUUACUGUUGAUGGUCAAGUUGGGACAGUUAUGAAGGUCUAAAUUUUCCAAUGCUGUCCAAAUUGAACAAUAAUUCUCUGAACAGAACUUGGUGAGUUCUGGGAGAUCUUUAAGUUUUAAUUUUCUCAACAAAGGGAGGGCGAGCAUCGUAUUUCCAUCUCCGACACUUAUUCCCCCUUCAUUGUGAUCAAACUUUGCUUCGACAAUAUAUUCCAGUCUCUCGCAAUAAGUCACAAUGAGACUUUUAAGCUGCUCCAAACUUCUAGCUUGUGACAACGUGAAGAUGUAUGUCAACUUGUUGCACAUAUGCACAUUCAAUUCUGUAAGAGUUUGGAGACUGAUCGCAUGUUGGGCGGGCGCCUUCCAUAUCCACUUCAGUUCUGGUAAUUGCAACAUAAAUAACUCUGCUAAUCUUGCGAGACUCUUCCCAUGCGGCGACUUAGAGGCAUCCAUUAUGCAUUCUAAAUCUUUGCAAUCGCGGACAUCAAGACAAGUCAACUCAUUUAAGCCCCUUUCAUCUAUGCUUGGCACAAUAUUGUAACAACCUAUAAUCCCACUCAAAUAAAGAAUUUCCAGUUCUUGAUACAAUGCCGAAAAAAUAACGAGCGAGGUCGCUUCAGGAGGGUAAUUAUUAAUUAUUAAGCUCUUUCUCUGACUAACAUAUUUCAUUUUAUCAACAACUCCUUCAACUUUAUAGAUGAUGUACCUUUGCAAUUUCGGGAAUGUAAAGUCUUUUGGAAGACAUACAACAGAUCCGUCGGCUUGGGAGUUCAACUCAGCAAGCCUAGCAUUACUUUCUUCUGAACUCAUCCCUUCAACCUCCCAAUUUUUUAUCCAACCAUAAAAUUCUUCCAAUUGAGGAAAUUUUUUUAUCGUAAUGGGAGAAACAGAACCGGUAUCAAUAAAUAGAAGUUUCAAUCUACGAAGUUCAUCCGACAAUUCUUCAGGAAUUUCAAUGGGAGAAUCCUCGGGAUAAAGAAGUUCAAGUCUCUUCAACUUUCCAAGAAAAGAUGCGUCACUCACAUCACAUCCAAUCAGCUGCAGAACUCGGAGGCUGCUGGCGAGGAAUCGAAGCGAUUUUAGUGAAAGGACUCCAUCUUUUAUAGUAACAACUUUCAAUGCUGGCAUCCCUUCAAAAAAAUGUUCUGGAACUUGAAAUUUGUAGUCACAUAGAGUAUUGUCCAAUCGCAAAAUAUGAAGGUUAGGGCAUACCAAACCACUAGGAAGCUCUUCUUCUUUAUUUCCCAUUACAAAGAUUCCUCUGUAUUGUUCCAGGCCUUCUUCCAUUGCCCAUUCUGCCAAUCCAAUGCCAACUUUACCAAAAAAUUUCUUCUCCACUAGUACUUCUGACCCUAUCCAUAUGGCUACAUCACGAACUAUGUCAUGCAUUUUCACAGAUCUGUCACUACCAGUGUCUAACAGCAGUGAAGCAGCUUUGAGUCCUUCAAUUGUUCCACGCAGUAGGCUUCUGGCGUGCUCUAUUGAUUCAGCUUGAUACCAGGUCAACCCCACUACAUAUCGAACCAAAACCUCCAAAUUAAUCUCAUAAUCUUCUGGAAACAGUGAACACAACAAGAAGCAUAACUUGGAAUUGUCAUCAUUCAAAUUGUCGUAACUAAAUUUGAGACAACCGUAAACGUCUAGGUUCUCCUCAUCAAUACCUUCUAUUGCAUAGAGUUUUGCAGCCUUUAGGUUAUGUAGAGCCAGGUUCCAUUCAUUAAAUCUUUUUCCUCUUAGUGCACUUCCAACAGCUUCAAUAGCUAAAGGCAGCCCCUUACAUUCUCCAGCAACUUCUUUGGAAACAUCAUUCAACGUGGAGUCAUUUACAUCAAUGCCGGCAUUUUGUCGCAGUAAAGCCAAUCCUUCUUCUGGCGUUAGUGUACUAAGUGGAAUCUGUGUGUCACAACCCAAAGAAUCAAAAACUGACUUUUUGCGAGUGGUUAGAAGGAUUUUGCAACAAUUAUCUCUACCACCGACGGGAAUACCUAAUUUUUUCUCCGAGUCGAGUUGUUUCCAAAUAUCAUCAAGGAUUACGAGGAUUUUGCUGCUUUUACUCUCAGAAAACAUCAAGCGCAAUCGGUCUGCUCUCUCUUUUUCAUCUUUCUCAUUUAGUGCCCAGCCUAACGACUUUGCCAGCUCACCUUGAACCUUUAUUAUAUCUGGAUCCUGAGACACAGUGGCUAUCCCCACCUUAUCGAAAAUCUUUUGUUGCCGAAGUUGAUUGCCCACAGAUUUUGCCAAGGUCGUCUUUCCUACACCGCCGAGACCAUGCAAUCCCACCAUCUUUGUGCUGUCUUUUUUCAGUGCUUCAGUGAUCUGAUUACAAGCCGAUUCUGUAGUCUCGAAAGAAGAAAAAAAUCUUGGAAUAGGCAUUUCUGUGUCUGAUGGUAGAGGUUUAGGAAGGGCAACUGUGCUGAAUUUGCCGCGGUCUUGUAGAUCGGACGACUUGAGAGUCUCCUUUGAUGCUUUUCUACCCAUCCAAUAUCGGAAACCCCAAUUAGGACACCAUCCAUUAAAACAACUCUUCUUUUCAUCUAUCUCUGCUUUCAAAUUUCGGACAUCGGCCAUUUCUUCGACUACAUCCGCCAGCCACUUCUCUACAUCUUUCUCAACUACUACAGCGCAAUGUUUUUGUCGUUCUUCUUCUACUUUUUUGUUGAUGCCAUCUUGUGCCUCCUUCAAAUUAGUUUCUUUAUCCUCAAGUUCUUUAACAAUGCUGUUGAAACAGAACAGAUAGCGAGCUUGUUUUACGGUAGCAUCCACCAAUAAUUCUACAAGCUUUGAUCCAAUACCUGAUAAAAUUUCCAUGCUAUUUAUCUGCAAUUGACAAAGUUGAUCUCAGUACACUAUAAGCAAAACAACAAGGCUUGAUCACAAGAUCGAACGAUAAUGUUUAAUUACUUUUUUAUUGAAUGUUUAAUUACUUUCUUUUAUUCUAUGAAUGCACGUUUAUUAACGCCAGCUUUGAUCAAUAAGAGCAAAAUGCAAACGCCAGGCUUCAAGUAGCCUUUAGCUGCAAACAAAAGAGAAGAAAUAAGGCAAACGUGAUAGAUGGUGGAUUAUAUUGAAAUUAGAUUACUUUAGAAAUUUUUAAAUAAAAAUAUCAAACAACAAAUUUAAUAAUAGAAUCUAGAUAAAUCGAAGAGUUUGUUAUGCAUUGCGAGUGAAGACAGGCAGUUACAUGGGGGAAUCUUGUAAGAGUGAUGAAAAUUAAAAAGCCAUCCAUAAUUGAAGUUAAAAAGAGUAUUAGAGAUUAGAGGGGUUCAACAUCUUAUGCAAGCUCACUCAUGAUAAAAUUUGAAGAUAAUUAUCCCAUUUUUACUUCAAUCAAUAUUCUAAUACAAUAAUUCCAUAAAUCUCAAAUAGUAUCUUAAGAUUUUUUUUUUUCCUCAAAAUUACCAUUAAAAGUAAAACAAACAUGAAGCUAAGAGCCUAUGAAACAAUAAUAUCUCAUACCUUCUUUCUCAUAGAUCCUCAAUUACCCCUGAAAGCUCCGGUUAGAGAGUCGCACAAGCUCGGAGAAAAUUAAAAGCUGCAUCCAGCAAUAUAAAUAAACAUCAGAUCAAAACAACAAAGCAUAUAUCUAGCUAACUAAACAUCAUCUAUAACUCCUCGUUCUCAGUCAAAUCUUUCAUUCUUAGGAGAUAAAAAAAAGAUUGAAAUAAUAACUGUAACUGAUAUAGGAAGCAAAAGUAACAUACCAAAACGAGAGCGGCUAGCUCACAGAUCUGGUGACUUCCAAGAGCAUGAAAAAUGAUUGAGGUUUAAUAGCAAGUUCACAGAUGACAGAUGUGGUGACUUCAAGAGCAUGAAAAAUGAUAAAACUUUGGUAGAAAGGUCUGAGCCGUGUUUCACAAGUUGCUAUUGACUUCGUGGCUUCGCUUUUAUUUAUUAUUAUUAUUAUUUUUUUAAAUUCUAUAUCAGUGAGAAUUGAAAUGUGGAAAGUGAAAUGAUACACAUGCCUUAUCAUCUAUCAUGAGGGGUGAUUUGGUAAAACCGAUUUAAAAUAAAAAAAAGUUUAAAAAGAUGCUUUGUGUCUGACUGCUUGUAUUUGGGGUAUUUUUCGGGUUGUUGAGAGUGAGUUUAAUUAAAUAUAAGAUUUUCAUUUUUCUUAUUCUAUUUUUCUCUUUAGAAUGAAUUUAAAUCUCAUUCUUAUUAAAUCCAUUUUUUUAAAUGAAAGUAGAUUUCUCUCCACACAUUUGAGAUAUAUUUUAAAAUUAAUGUUCAGUAUAUCUCUAAAUUAUAUUAUAAAUAUUUUUAUUUAAAAUCUCAACAGAUUUCAUAACGUACAAAGAGAAAUACAUAUAUAUGUUGUAAUGUUUUAAUGAUGGAUCUCCAAAGUUAUCAAGUUAAAAAAUAAAUUAAAAAAUAAAAAAUACACACUUCAACUUAUUAUAUGAUAAAAUAUAAUAAAUUAAAGUGAGUAUUAUAUUUAUUUUUUAUUUUAUCUCUUAACUUAAUAACCUAAAAUAUAUUUAUUUAAUAAUGAUUAUAUAUAUAUCUAUAUAAUUUUUUUAAAAAAUAAACAAUUUAAGUGAAGCAAAGGACAUUUUAGAGGCAUUGCGAGACUACCAAUUUACCAUUUUGGGUUGCAAUAAAGUGAAAACUGUAGACUACCAAUCUACCAUUUUAUUGAAUCGGGUCCCGCUGACUUGGAGCUUAUGUAAAGUUACAUUCAUAACAAAUUGAUACUUGUCUUUAUUAUAAAUUAUUCUUUUAUUCAAAUAUACGUUCAUUUCUUCAAUCAAGUCCUCAUAUUUGUUCAAUUUAUGAUAAGAUCCUUGUAUGGGAGCAUAUCUGCAAAUGUAAUAAUUAUUCUUCUAUUUCAGAUAGUUUUUGUGAAAAAAUACUUUUAUCAAUUAUUUAUGUUUACUAAUUCUUAUGUCUUUUUUUAUUACUUUCCAUAGCUCUAUACAAAUGUUUGCUAUAGAAUUUGUGUUAUUUCGCUAUAAUAUAAUUUAUAUUGUAAACCUCUGUUCAUCUGUAAAUAAAAUGACAAUUUUUUUGUUUACUCCUAAAAAAUAUGAAAAUAUUAAUUUACUCUCAUAUUUAUUUAGAAGACAAUGGCAAAUAAGGUCGCAUUGAUAAUUUUUUUUAUUUACUUAUUAAUUAAUUAGAGUAAAUUAAUAUUUUCAUAAUGAGAGAUACAUUGAAGAUUGUCAUUCUUAGUAGAGGGUAAAUUAAAGUUUAUCUAAUUAAUUUAAAAUAUCAUUAAAAUUUAACAUUCUAAUCUGGAUUAGAUUUCUGGGGGGGAGGGAGGGGAACGUCCUUAUUCGGAUUAGACUCAGCUGGAAGAGGCACAUCCUUAGCUGGAUCAAUUUGUUCAAGAUUGGAUGCAUCCAUCGGUUUCAAAUUUGUCUCUUGUAAGCAUCAUCGGAUUUCUUUACUAAAAUUUAGAUUAUCAAUCACAUCUAAAACUUAUUGAAUGAUACAUUUCAUUUCUAUAAAAUUGAGUUACUAUUACCACCUCACAUCUUAUAAAUUCUAGAAAAUAAUCAAGGCUUGACAUACUUUUAUUUAUGCAAAAGCAUAAGAAAAUAAUUCAAAGUACUAAUUAGUGCAGUAUUACUCAAAAUUCUAGAAUAGAUUUGCUAGUUCUCUUUAGCCAUAGAUUGGUCCAUGAUUGGCACCGCAAUAGCUCAGAAUCACCUCAACGAUUGUUCCACACAGCCCAACAUGACACACUGUAAACUAGUCUAACAUGAACUUUCUGAGUGGCUUUCUAACAAUAGUCUUAGAGAAAGUGUUUAGUAGUAUGAAGUCUUCUUUUUUUAACAUAAAUGUUGGCAUGAUAUUCUUAAUAUAUUUCUAAAAUCAAAAUAAGAUGCAUAGAGGACGAUGAUAAUUUUAUUUCAUAAUUGAAUUUUUUGCAAAGAAAGUUUGAACAUGAGAGUGAUGAGAGAUGAGAAUAUUGAUGAUGGUGUGUACUUUAGAUGUAAAAAUAGAUUGGAAAUAUAUAUAGACAUAUUAAAAGAAAAAAAUUUGGUCUAUUUCAUAAGAGAAACAAAAAAUUAUAAACGCGGGUGUUAAAAUAUAUUCAGAAUUUAUAAAUUUUUAUAAAUAUGAUAAUCAUUAGACCCUUAUAAAAGUAUAGCAAAAAGUUUAAAUUUUUUUAAUAAAUAUCGAAGAGAUGGACGAAGAAACCAUCCACCAGUUCAGAAUUAAUAAUCAAAGAUAUGAUGACUUGAUUGAAGAAAUGGUGAAAAAUAAAAGGACAGUAGGACACUGGGUUGGUUGGCAGGACCCUAAUAUUAAUGGUUAAAAAUAAAAGGACACUGGGUUGGUAUCAAUUUCUACCGUGUAGGUUCAUAGCCGGGGAAGUAAUUGGGCACAAAUAUCUCGGAUGAGAAAUAACCAUUUUAUCCCGCAACCAUAUGUUUAUGGCCUCUAAAAAUUUUCACCUCUUUCACUUCUGGAACCCGUGGUUUCUGGCACAUGCACAAUACUUGGUUGCUACUUAUAGAGCGUUUUUAGAAUUGCAAUAUAAUCUACAGCUGGUUGUUGACAUUACACUGCGGGUGUGUAAUUAUUACAUAUGCAGAUAUUCUCCCAUGCGAGGAUCUUAUCAUAAAUUUAAAGGAUACGAGGACUUGAUUGAAGAAAUGAACGAAUAUUUGAAUAAAAAAAAAUUUUAAAAUAAAGACAAGUAUUAAUUUACUAUGAAUGCAACUUACAUAAGUUAGCGGGACAAUAUUGAAUCACACGCAAAAAACAAUCUGUCUUCUUCUUGAUUUCGUAAUUUAGCUGUCAAAAUAUAAUCUAUAAAGAUUACGAUACCUCGAUUCAAAAAAUGAUGUAUCUGAUGAAAUAAAUGAAAAUUGAACGUACAAUCUACCACGAACACUAUUCAAUUAACCGUUUAUUUCCCCUUAAAUUUUUAAUUUCAAUGAAACAUAGAUCUAAUGGGAACUACAUAUAUAUAAAAAUACUAUAGAUUGAAGAAGUUGAAUUUUUCUUGUGUGUUAAGUAUUUUUAGUUAAUACAAAAGGAUUCUAGCAAGUUAAUACAAAAGUAUCAUAAAUUCAUAGUAGUACAAGAGAUUUUUUUUUUUCUUUGAUGUUAAGAGUUUUGGAGAUAAAAAAAAAUAUAUAUAGGUGAAAGAAGAAGAUGAGAGAAGAGAAAAUAUUAAGAAUAGUUUUGGAAUUUUGAUGCGUUUUAUAGAGUAAAAUCUAUAUUUUAUAGUAUAAAAUGAUAUACCCAAAAUUUAAUGAUAAAAUUUUAAGAAAAAAUUGCACUCGUCAAAAAAAAAAAAAGCUCAGCUUAGCCCAAAAUUUUUUUAUUAAUCAUCUAGUCACUAAUGUAAUCUCUUUUUUAUGAGAUUCUUGAGCAUUUUAAUUUAGUCCAUUGUUAGCUAUCCUAAUAGCUUUUAUGUGCAUCUAUUUUUAUUUGAAAUAUGUUUCAAGCUUGAAUAAAAUCUGCGGGACAACUGGUAAGUAAUAAAGCUCAUUAAUUUUUUAUUUUGAAAAUAAAGGGAAUCACUUACACUUAGCAUGAUAUUAUUUUUGAUAAGUCAUUUUUUUGGUAGAUUAUUUUUUCUGACACGCUCUUAGAUUUAGUGAAAAUAAAUUGUAUACUUUAAACGAAGAAAAGUAAAGAUCAACCAAAUAUUUUGUUCUUUCCGACAACUUUUGCGUUCUCAAGUGCGCCUGAUACCCUUUUUUUUUUAACAUGAGCCCACGUGCCAUUGUUUCCAUUUCAAGUUCAUAAUUUAACAGUAGAAAUGGGUUCCACAGAUACUUUAUUUUAUAAUUUUUUAAAAAAUUACCAAAAUAUAAUAAAUAAGGUAAUAAUAAUUAAUAAAAAAGUAGAUUUUAAGAUGGAAAAAUCUUUUUGUGUGCUUAAUAAAAAGAUGAUAAGAAUGGGAUGCUUUUAGUUAAUUGGUUUACAUUCUCAUGGUUAUUUAUACUGAAAAAUUACAUCAAAAUUUAAUUAAUAAAUCAGUGAACUGCAGACUUAUUAAAUUUAAGCUAUUUUAAUAAGUCAUAAAUAUACUAAGUUAAAAUAGUAGUAAACCCAUUGUUACACAAUACUCUCCAUUGAGUGUUCACCAUUUUAAGAUAAUCAUAAAAUGACACCGGAAGUGCUAUUAUAGCUGUCUCAUGGAAAGCCUUCACCAAUAAAAAGGAGGAUAGAGCACAUACAUCCAGUUUUUAUACCCUUUGAUGCUCAGUCGACACGUGCCAAUGCUAUAGACUAUCGGAUAAUCUACUAAGGUGACGCAUGCCAAUGCUAUAGACUAGCUUUUCAAAGGUUGAACUGGGAAUACUUUUAGUAAAAAGACCUGCAAAAUCAUAGUGUACCUAUUUGACAUCAACUUUUUUUAUCUGCUGGAGCUUAUGAUUAUAGAAGAUCUUCGGUAAGAUGUGUUUGAUAUUAGAAAAUCUCCUUUUAUAUAUCCUCUUCUAACUUGUGUAAUAGUAGUAAACCCCUGCCCCUCUUUAUUUCGUUUAGUAUUUUCUAAAUGGCCGAAGGAAAAUUGGUAAAAACUCAUUUAAAAAUUAAAAAAUCAAAGAAACUCAAGAAGAAGCUUUUGUAUCUGCCAUUUGUAUUUGGGGUAUUUUUUUGGUUGUUAAGUGAAUAAGCUUAAAUCUAAAACAUUUAUUUAUAUAUUUCUUGUUGGAAAGAAUUUAAAUUUUAUUCUUAUUAGACUUAUUCUCUCUAAACAAAGGUAGAUUUUUCUCUAUGUGUUUAACGUGUAUUUUAAAAUUAAUGUUCAACAUAUCUUUAGAUUCUAUUAUAAAUAUUCAUAUCUAAAAUCUCAACAGAUUUCAUAAUAUAUAAAUAUAUAUAAAGAGAGAGAAUAACGUUUAUAAUAAGAAAUUUAUUAAGUUAAAGAAUAAUUCAAAAGAUAAAAUAACACACUCUAAUAUAUUAUAUAAUAAAAUAUACUAUAUUAAAAUAUAUAUUUUGUUUACUUUUUUUAAUAUAUCUCUUAAUAACUUAAGAAAUCCUUUGUUUAACACACACUCUCUCUCUCUAUAUAUAUAUAUAGAGAGAGAGAAAUGUUCGCGGAAAACCUUUAAAACCACAUGAUUUUAAAUAUUUAAACUUUAAGAACCGAUGAACAAUUUUUGACAAAGACGUUGCGACCUAAGUAGGGAUAGCAACUAAAUUCGGAUCCAACUCCGCAUGUAAGGAUCCGAAAGAUCCAGAUCCAGAAAAUUUUUAUCUGAAUAUUAAAAAAUGUUGAUCCGAAUAUAGAAAUUUGGGAUCUGCACGGAUUGGGAUGGAAGUACAUUCGGAAAAUUGGAUAUCGAGAUCUGGAUAAAUUUUGUUUCAAAUUAAAAAUUAAAUUAAAAAUUAAAUGAAAAAUUAAAAAAGUAAAUUUUAUUUGUGGAUUUAUGAUGUUGUUGUAUAUUAUUCAUGUUGAAUUAUUAAUUGUUGGAUUAUGAUUGAAUUUUGUUUGAAAUUAUUGGGUAAAUUUUUUAAUUUUAUUUUAAAUUAAAAAUAUUUAUUAAAAUUAAAUAAAAAUAAAACAUUAAAUUUUAUUUGUAAAUUUAUGAGAUUAUUGUAUGUUAUUCAUUUUGAAUUAUGAUUAAAUUUUAUUUGAUAUUAUUAGGUAAAUUAUUAAACUUUCAAAUUAUAUAUUAAAUUAUUUAAUUUUAAUUUUUUGCGGAUCCGAAUAUCUAGAAUAUCUGUCCGCAUCCGGAUCUACAUAUUUUUUUAUGAAUCCAGAUAUAAGAAUAUGAAUGCGGAUCCAAAUUCGGAUUUUGCCAACCCUAGACCUAAAAUGUUGUGACUUGUCUGUUCUACUUCAAUAUUAAGCACAAAUUCUCUGUCAACAUGUCUGUUCUACUUCAAUAUUAAGCACAUUCAUAGCGGUAUCAAAAUGUUGUGACUUGUGACUACCCAAAAUCCCCAGAAAGAGUGAGAGAUUUCACUGAAGCUAAGUUGUGACUUGUGACUACCCAAAUGUUCUAUAACACGAUAUGAUUAUUCUAGUAACACAAAUCCAAUAGCAUGCAACAUAAUCUACUCUCUAACAUUGUGCAUUAGUAAAAUAAAACAGAGUAAAAAGAGAAACCAUGCCUGUGAAUCUCUUCUUUUCCCCCUGCCACCCCUUUUUUCGGUGAAGUCCAUCAAAUGAAAAUGCAGCAUGACCACGUUGGCCACUGCCACUGCCAUUGCUUCUUCAACUGUGCCUUUUGUUGCAUGAAAUAUUCAAUUGAAAGAUGGUUUAUAUAAUUCAAGAUUCCAAUAGACCUGAGCUGCAAAGGUUGCCUUCCACUAGCCUAUCAGAGAAUAUGCUUUCUAUUUUCCUAGUUUUUUAAUCAAAAUUUUGCAAGAUUUAUUUAUGGAAUACUUGAACAAAAUUUUAUGUAAGAUACCAUAAAGCCAAAUGCAAUCUUUUUAAUCCUCAGCAGCAACAUUUAAAGUAAAAAAAUGGAAGCCAUAUAAAUAUAACUAUGUUUGGUACAAGCAACAAUUAUUUCAAGCUUUCAGAAAUGCUAGCAAGAGAUUGUAAGAGAACUUUACCUAGUCACAGAAUAUGUCAAACAUACUACCACCAACUGUCUUCAGCACGAUUGUUAUGAAGUCGCUUUUGAAUCGGAAGAUUCCAGCUUCCACCAGGCACCAUUAUUUUCAUUCUUGAUACUAUCUGCAUCACUGGCAUUAGUUAUAUCAUCAACUUUUGCAUCCUCACUCUCAUCAUCCCAAUCAAGGCUUCUUCUCCAGCUCUGGAUUAUAAGUCCACUCCGACAUCUUCAAACAUCUCGGUCCUUCCAUUUGCCAACAACCGAUAUGGCUUCCUUCCUUGCCUUCCCCAUUAAUAUAUCACUCGAAGGAAAAAUAGCCCCCACAAAAAGGGUCUUCAGACACCGCAACUUUGCCUUCUGCAAAACCUCCACAAAAUCUGAAUUAUCCAACACAACAGCCAGACACUCAAUCCUUCUUUUGUCCAUCUUAUCCACCGUAUGAUUCCUCAACAAAAUAUCUACAGCUUGUGGCUUAUCUAACACUGUCUUGAUCCAAAACCCCGCUCUUUUCAACUCAUCUGCCAAACCAUAACCCACUUUUGGAGUCAAAAUUGUCCUUGCAGCCCUUUUAUAUUUUUCCAUCUCCAUCGAAUACUUGCCACUCAAAUGGAAUUACCAGACAGGAAUCCCAGUAACAAGUCCACUCAACUUCUUCUCAUCUGAUCCCUCUUUCACUCUGGCGGAAACAUUAAUAACCAUUCACCAGCCACAAAUUACCCAAGUAAGUACUCGUGUCGUCAACACUUACCCUUCACUUCAUCGACGCAAACAAGAAUUCAAAUUGCUUAUUAGCUAGUGCUCGAGCGAAAGCCAAAAUAAAUUAAAUAUGUGUGUGUGUGUGUGUUAAAAGAGAAACGGUAGCGAAGUUAUUAUACAAUCAAGCAAACAAAAAUAAAUUCUACCCUCAUGUGGGUGUUUCGCUCGCAAAAUCUGGACAAGAAAAAAUAAUAUUGAUACAAUCUCCAAAUAAAGAGCAUUCCUCUUGGUAAAAUAGACAAAUCCUAUAAAUUUUGAUUAAUGGUGCCAAAUGAAAGAGUUGUAAUUUCAUGUACAUUUUGUUAACAUGAAUAAGGGUACAAAAUAGAUAACAAAGUGACAAAAACAAGGCUAAUCACAAUGGAUGAUAAGGUUUAGAGUAAACAUAAAGUUAUAAUCUUGAACAUAAGUGGCGCUCAAAGCCAUGAAUUUGAUAUCAUCAACAAGGGGAGUUCAAACAACGGCAUGUAAGAAGCAACAACUGUUGAGAAAAAAAAAAUUCAUAGUAACACGAGAAUAAAUUGUAAAGAAAUCCCAGUUUGUAUAAAAGAAAGAAAACAAAAUUAAGGAAAACAUAAACACAACAAAAUUUGACUGAUUAUUAAAAAUGAGAAAUGAGUUAUAAUGAGAAUUUUGGCUUUGUGGUGAAAUAAAUUGGGAAGUAUCCAAAAUUCGCAUGUAAAUAAUAUAAAUGAUAAGAAGACGAAGGGAACAAAAUGAUAAUAAGCAAGCCAAAUAUUAAAAUGUAUUACACCUCCUAAAGUCAUGUUAAGAUAGUUAGUGAGCUGAUAAAGUUUGUUGCACGUUUGAGUUGGUUUUUUUUCUUUUUAAAAGAAAGUAACCAACCCUUUCAUUAAUCACAAGAACUUGAGUACAUCGUAUAAUUCAGUUAGAAUAUUUUCCAGCCACAUAAAGGGAGAGUUUUUCUCCAAAACUAUCUUAUUUAAGUAAUGGGCACAUGCAUUACAAUGUCUUAGAAUGUGAUUGACAACAACUUUUUGGAAGUUUUUCAUCUGGUUUUGGAUUGCCAGAAUUGUCCAAAAAAAUUUUGAUCUGUUGCCCUUGGUGUUGUUCACUAGCUGGACCACCUCUAAGCAAUCUGACUCAAUGAUCAAAGAGGUUACAUCCGCACUUCUUGCCAGCUGAAGGCCCCAAAGCACAGCCUCUACUUCAGCCAAGCUUACUGACCCCUUUAGGAGGUUCUGAUUAAUCCCAGCUGCAACUAUCUUACCAUUAGAGUCUCUAAUCACAGCUCACACUCCUUCACUCAGAUUCUUUGAAUUAAUAGCAGCAUCCACGUUAACUUUGAAAACAUUCUCAGGGAGGAGCCACUCCUGAUGCUUCUCUUUUCUGUGGAGAGAGAUAUGAGCUUGCUCGGGCUUCUUAACUCUCUGAAAUGCUAUCAACACAGAUUCCACUUUAGCAGCUGAGAUAAUAGGAUUAAUCUCCCUGCCAUCGAAAAUACAUUUGUUCCUAGCCUACCAAGCAGACCAACACAGAGCUACCAUUAAUUCCAAAUCUGUUUUCCUCAGCUCCUUAGCCAUUCUUUGAAGAGUGCUGAAGAUGUCCUAAGAAUUAGCUUCUAAGUUAUGGGCUGUAAAAGGGGACUGGAGCCAAAUCUUUCUCGCAACCUUGCACUCCAAGAGGGCAUGGCUGAUAGUCUCUACACUUAUUUUGCAUCGCUUACAAGUUGGCUCCUCCACUAACUUCCUUUUCCACAAAUUUUCCACCGAUGGAAGCAGAUUAUUUGAGACCCUCCACAUGAAGAUUUUAAGCUUCUCAGGUAGCUCCAGUGACCAAAGGGCACUCCAGUACUGGUUGGAAGCCUCUGAGCAGCUGGUAGAAUCUGAAAAUUUCGUUCUCAAUGCUAGUUGGUACCCACUCUUGACAGAGUGGUUCCCUCUUUUGCCGUAAUGCCAAAGCACUUCAUCUUCCGUUUGCUCAGCUGGGAGGGAAAUCUUGAGGAUCUCUGCUGUGUCUGCAUCCAUGAAGUGCUGUCGUGGCUUGAUUUCAUCCUAUUGGUUGUUAGCCUUAAUUAAGUCUACAACAACUGAGUUUACAGGCAAUGAUGGAAAAUAGAUCUGAAGGUCUCUGGUCUUGGCAGCCAAUUGUACGAGAAAAUUGCUAUCUUCUUGCCAUUACCUAUAUGCCACUCAGGCCCUUCUUAAUCACUUGCCUACCUCAAAGGAUGCUUCUCCAAAUAUACGAGGCAUUGGCUCCUGCUUCUGCACAUAAAAAGCUGGAUUUCCUGUAAUAUCUUGCUUGAAGGACUCUUGAGACUAGGGAAUUUAGGUACUGCAAUAACCUCCAUGCUUGCUUAGCUACCAAUGCUUGAUUGAAACAAGUAAACUCUCGAAAUCCCAGCCCCCUCUAAUCUUUGCUUGGCUAAGCUUCUCCCAUUUCCGCCAAUGGAUUCCGCGCUUAUCCCCUUUCGAGCCCCACUAGAACUUCACUAUAGCUCAUUGAAUAUCAUCACAAAGGCCUUUUGGGAGCUUGAAAACACUCAUUGCAUACACUGGAAUUGCUUGGGCUGCCGCUUUGAUCAGAAUUUCCUUCCCCCCACUAGACAACAUUUUAUGCUGCCAUCCUGCAAUCUUGUUCAACACUUUCAGUUUGAUGUCAUUAAAGAACCCCAUCUUCUUCCUCCCAAUCAUUGAUAGAAGACCGAGGUAUUUCUUGUGCUUUGAGACCACAUUUAGAUUAAAGAUACCCCUUAUAGCAGCCCUUUGAUGCUCUAGAAUUUUGCCACUGAAGAACAAUGAGGAUUUCUGAAAAUUAAAGAUCUGUCUUGAUGUUGCAGCGUAUUUAUCAAAAAUCUCUUUUAAAUGAAUGCAUUCAGCCACUGAUGCACGAGAGAAGACCAAGCUGUCGUCCGCAAACAACAAGUGAGUAAUUGAAACUUCCCGUACAAAUUUGAGGCCUCGGAUUAGCUGGUUUUGUUAUGCCAAUAUCAACAAAUUGGAGAGAGCCUCUGCACAAAGAAUAACAAGGUACGGGGAUAGUGGGCAGGCCUAUCGCAAGCCUCUUUCCAGCUGGAUCAUUCCUUUUGGCACACCAUUAAUAAGCACCGAGAAUGAAACGGAAGUAACACAUCUCAUUAUCAAAGCUACCCAAUUACUAGGAAACCCCAACUUUAUCAUAGUUUGUUCUAAAAAGGGCCACUCAACUCUAUCAUAAGCCUUACUUAUGUCCAAUUUUAAAGCCAUAAGUUCGUUCUUCUUCCCUUUGCUAUGUCUUAUUUUAUGAAUGCAUUCAUAACCAAUAAUGACAUUAUCGGUAAUGAGCCUAUUAGGGAUGAAUGCACUUUACAUUGGGGAGAUGAUUUGGGAAAGGAUCGGCUUCAUUCUAUUUGCAAUGGCCUUAGCUACAACUAUAUAAAUAACAUUACAAAUGCUGAUAUGUCUAUAAUCACUCACUUUCCUAGGAUUUGCAAUUUUUGGAAUCAAAGCAAUAAAAGUGUGAUUGAGGAUAGAUGGGUUACCUUGCUCAUUAAGGACAUUAAGACACGUUGAGAUCACUCAUUUACGGACGGAUUUCUAAUGCUUCUGAAAGAAGACAGCUGGAAGACCAUCAGGCCUUAGGGCCUUUGUGGGGCACAUGUUGGCAAGGGCUUCCUCUACGUCUUCAGCGAUGAACGGCUUUUCCAGCUGAACAUUCAUCUCCAGAGUUACUUUUGCAGUCAUUCCUUGAAGGGUUGCUUGGAUUUGGCUUGGAGUCGGGCUGGAAGUAGUGAAUAGCUCUUGGAAAUGGCUGCAAAACUCCUCCUCUAUUUCAUCCAUGUCCUUCACCCAAGUGCCUUAGUCGUUUUCAAUCCCCCACACCUUGUUCUUCCUUUUGCAGGCAGAAGCUUUGGCGUGAAAAUACUUCGUGUUCUUAUCCCCUUCUCUAAGCCAGUUGGCCCUCGAACGCUGUUUCCAGUAAAUCUCCUCGUCAACUAGCAUAGAGUUAAUCUGACUUUCCAACCUCUUAAUUUCCUUGCCAUCAUCCAGCUUUGAAUUCCAUCUCAUAGCAUCUUGAAGGCUCUGCAUCAACUUUUCUUGCUUUCUUUGCCUACCAUUAAAUUCGGUUUUGCUCCAAAGUUUUAGCUGGGCCAAUGAAGCUUUGGCCCUUCUCUAAAAUUGUUGAACAGGGGAUUCCCAAGCUCUAGUCCCAUGUCGACUCCACUCUUCCUGGACUCUACUCUUGCAGCCUUCGUGAGAACUCCACAUAUCCUCAUAAUGAUCUCGGGGGAAUGAUUUGCCCACAUUUCUCGAAUUCUUGCUUCGCUCAUUGAAUUCUAGAAUGAUUGGGCAAUGGUCCAAAGUCCAGUUCACUAGAUUUGUGGCUAUAGAUUCUUGGAAUUUAAUCCCCCAAUCCUUACUACACAGAAAUCGGUAUAAUCUCUCCUCAAUGAAAUGAUCUCCGUAUCUUUUAUUUGACCACGUAUAGAGAUAUCCCUUACUACCCAUAUCCUGCAAAUUGCAGUUUUGCACAACUUCCCUAAACUCGGCAACCAUAUUCAGAUUUCUCUCAUUGCCCCCAUUUUUCUCAUGCAUAUGCAUUAUCUCAUUGAAAUCCCCAAAACAGCACCAAGGAUAGGAGAAUAGACUGGCAACCCUUUUCAUGAGAGUCCAAGUAUUAUGCUUCUGGCUGAACUCGGGAUGGCUGUAGAUCCCUAUGCAUCUCCACCUCAAUCCACUUUCAUUACUCACUAUUGCAUCUAUAUGAUGUGGGCUGUACGAGGUAAUGCUAACAUUAACAUCUGCACUCCAAAGCAAGGCUAGACCUCCCCCCAUGCCCGUUCUAUCUACUGCAAAACAAUUCUCGAGAUUAAAGUCUCUACAAAUAGAUUCAACUUGCCUAGCCAACAUCUUGGUUUCACAAUAGAAAAGAAUUUGAGGCUGGUGUAGGUGGAGAAUUUUUUUGAGAGCUAGGCGCGUUCGAGGUUUCCCCAGACCUCAAACGUUCCAACUUAGGAGUUUCAUGGUUGUCGACGGGCCUGAAAUUCAGCACCCGCCGAUACUUCUUCUUCCAUAGCUGCCACAUUUUCCCCUUCAUCUGAUAUCUCUUCUGUUAUCUUUAGCUGCCGAGCUGUUCUGUUGGAGCUAAUGUGGUUGCAGUAGUCUGAGUUUAUUGCUAAACUUAUGUGGUUUCCCACGUGUGGUUGUUUUGGUGGACUGAGCACUCUUUUUUUUUGUGGGCUGAGCUGAUUGUCAUCACUACUAGGUCUUUUUGCUCCUAUUAACCCAUGAUCCUUCGCUCCUUUUGCUAUGGGAAUUCUUGCCUUAAGUUUCCAUUUUCUUGCUUUGGGCUUCACGUUAGUCUUGCUUGGCCCACUAUCCAUUUCUUCCAUAUCUGAUCUGGCACUCUCUUCAGCCUGCUUCCUUUUAUCUUUUAUUAUUUUCAAUCUUGCUUUAUCCAUAGGAUUUUCGUUUUCCUUCAAAAUCUUUUCUCCCACCUUUGUACUUUCAUAGCUAUAAUGGCUAUCAUUACUUGCCACCCUAUUCUGCACCUCGUCGAUGUCACAGCCCAUACUUUGACUCCCCACUUGCUGAUUUUUCGUCUAUGAAGAGGUCAACAUUAAAUGUGCUUUGUCAUAUUUCAGCAUGUUUCUUGUAUCCUCUAGUUCUGCUCCAUCUUUUAUUUCCUGAUUCGAUUUGUUCAAUUUUGACCUGUCUCGAUCAAUCGGGUUGUUUGAGCUUGGGCUGGUUGUUGCUUGCACAUUUGCUUUGAGAUUGGAUUGCUCUCGAUUGCCUUUCUCUCUACUUCGAUUUUGCUUUAUCCUGUCAGCUUGUGUAACAGUUCUCAUCCAUCCACCAUAAGGCAAGUCCUCCUUUUGUUGCCCUUUGUAUCUCAGGCAUUCCCUGUACUGGUGACCGAUAUGCGCACAACAAAAGCAAAAAUCAAGAAGUUUUUCAUACAAAAUUGGCAUUGGAGUUUUGCCAUCCGCUUGUUGUAGGAACACAAUCUUUUUUAGAGGCUGUGAAAUGUCAAUGGAUAUCCUGACUCUCGCAAACUGCCCAAUACAUUCCCCAGCUUCGUCUGUCUCCACUUCCUUGACUGUACCAAUUUUUUCUCCCAGCUUUUGGAUGACCUCCUUGUUCAUACACAUUAUUGGUAUGUUAUGGAUCUGAACCCAGAAUGUGGUAUGUGUAAAAGAUUGAUUUUUGAUAUCUCCAGUCAAGACUAUCAAUACUUUGUCGAAAUGCCACGACCCUCCCAUGAGCACCCUUUUCUUUUCUUCUUCAUAGGCGAACUUGAACAUGAAAAUGUUAUCCCCCAUGCUUUCUAUUUUAACCUCUUUGACGGAUCUCCAAGCCAUUUGCAUUGCAGCUUUCAAGCCCUCCUUGUUUAUACUUCUUGAUGUUAGCACUUUGCCCACUAAACAAUUCGCAGCUACUUCCUCUCCCUUUAUCUUCAUCCGCCCCAUGAAUGUUACGUUUAAUAUUAUAACGCUGUCAAUGGCAAAGUACGUGAGUGAUACAAAUUAAAAACAAACAAAUCAAACCCUGUGCACUGUCAUCCCUAAUUAUAUUUACCACUUCAUACUCACAGUGAUAAUAACUGUGUAUCACAGUUGACUUUCCAGACGGCUAAAAGUUCCAAGUCCGGAUGCUUGGUUAUUGAAACUUGAUGAAAAGGGCAUGAAAGAAAAUAAGAAAUUAAAUAAUACAGGAGGUAUUAAUCAUAACAUCUCUAGUUAAUGAAAAUUGAUGAACGGUAAUCCAAUAUUUCUGCAGACAUGAGCCGUAAUUAUGAUACCAUUAAGAAUGAAGCAGAAGAGUUUCCCCAAAAAAGUUAAAACGCGGCACUUGGAUUUAAAGAAUUAUCAUAUCACAGUACCGGGACAAAAAAAGGUUAAUGCAACAACAUACAUCAAGUUAAUUCCAUAAUCUAUCGCCAAAGAAAGACAAACACAAGCUUAUAAGAUUAAAACUUUGGAAAACAUUAGAGUCGGACAAAAUUGUGCAAUCUUCAGAGUUUGGAGCCUAGUUCAUCCAGGAAAGCAAAAGAAAUAAUAAUAAUAAUAAUAAUAAUAGUGGUUUGAUCUCAAAAGGUGACAUCAAGGUGGUAACUUUGAGGUAUUGGAAGCUAAAACGUCUUCAACUUUGUCCUGAUUUUGAAGUCCCUUAACCCAUCCGCCAUCAAUGGAUUGAAUGCUUCCAUUCAACCCAUCAUCCACAAAAUCACCAACCCGUUUCACCUUCAUCUCCUUCGGCUUAACAGGGUACUUCCCAUAGAAGCAAGCAUAACAAAAAUUCUGAGAAUCAUCGCCUGACAACUUGUUCAGGCUGUCAAUUGGCAGAAAAGCAAGCGAGUCACACCCAAUAAACUCCCUGAUUUCCUCGACGCUCAUCCUGUUGGAAAUCAACUCCUCACUACUUGGGGUGUCCACUCCAUAGUAACAACUUAACAAGAAGCUAUGAUUGGUGGGCUUGCAAUUCUCAUGUGAACCUCUUUAGCUCCAGCCUCCUUAAGCAACCGAACAAUUUUCGAUGAAGUUGUUCCUCUCACUAUUGAAUCAUCCACAACCACAACUCUCUUUCCCUCCAACACUCCCCUUACAGGAGAGAGCUUAAGCUUGACACCAAAGUCCCUAAUUUUCUGGGACGGCUCAAUGAAAGUUCUCCCAACAUAGUGUGACCUUAUCAACCCUUGUUGAAAUGGUACCCCGGCUUUCGCAGCGUACCCAAGUGCAGCCACCACUCCAGAAUCUGGUACUGCAAUCACAGCAUCACACUCAACAGGAGCCUCGGUAGCAAGUACUUCCCCAAAAUGAUACCUCAACUCAUAAACAGACCUACCAAAUACAACAGAAUUGGGCAAAGCAAAAUAAAUAUGCUCAAAGAUGCACUGGUUAGGUUCAGGGUGAGGCAUCAAACAAAGUGAUUGAACCCCAUCUUUAUCCACCAUCAAAACUUGGAUAUACCUCUCUCUCGUAUGUGGCCUCAAUCAAAUAGUGCACAAGUCUCUGUCGCAAAAACCAGAGCACCAUUACUCCUCCUACCCAUCACCAACGGCACAAACCCAUACGGGUCACGAACCGCAACAAGCUUAUCCUCAGUAACAAACACCAUUGAAUAAUUAUAUUAUUAUUAUUAUUGUUUUUAAAAAUAUCAUUUAUUUAUUUUUUAAAAUUUUUUUAAAGGUAAAGAAGUGGGUAAAGAUCAAAUUCAAUUUUUAUUCCUUACCCCCUAAGAUUUGAACUUAAGUGACCAAAUGUAUAAUAUUAAGCAUCUCAAAUUUCAUUUCUAAUGAUAUACAAUUUAUUAAGUGAUUGUUAAUCUUUACAAGAUUCGAGUGAAUUAAUUAUAUUAUUUCACUAUUAAUAAUAUGAGUAUCAUAUUAUUUGGAAUAACUUUUGAAUAAAAACAUUGUGAUGGAUGAAAUAUUCUUUUGAGAAUUUAUUGACUUAUCUCAUUUAUGAUUUAUUGUUGCAUUUAAGUGAUAUUGCAAAUAAUCUCAGAUAAUUUCAAGCCAUAUGUCAUUAUUGGGAUAAAAAUAAAGUAAAAUGGUUAAAACUAUUUUUAUGUAAUUUAUAAAAAUUAAUGAAGCAACUACAAAAUUUUUUAAACGAAAAACAAUUGAAAUGUGUGUGGAAAAAGAAGAAAAAAAAUAAGGCAUUUAAAUAUCUUCUUAAAAAAUACGAUUGAGUAAAAUCAUUUUAACAGAAUGCUCUUCCAAAUACAAUUCCACAUUUUUUUUAUUGCAGUGGGAUAUUCCAAAAUUGGCACAACUCAUUAAGAAUUCGGCAACUCAAAUUUUAUUUAUCACUCUAUGCAUUUGACAAAUUAAAAAGAAAAAAAAAAUUCAUAUAUCUUCUGUUCAAAAGAAACCUUGGUAAAUAUUGUAAAACAAAUUACCAUUUUUUUUAAUUUAUGCCAUUAUAUCGUCGCUAUUUUCUCGCCCACUUUCUUAAAAUAGAAUCAAUAUUCAUUGAUGGGUUGGGUUCCAGAGUAAGCACCAAUUCUGCAAAAUGGUUUUAUAGUAGAAAAAGCACUUGUAAGACAUUCAGAACACAUUUUUCAAUUUUGUCUUUUGAAAAUGAGUCUUGAGUUCCACAAGCCAAGAAGAAUGGCUAAAAAAUGUAUGGUAUCAAAGAAAGAGAAACACCCACACACACAGAGAUUAAUGGGGAGAUAUAUGAUUGUGUAAUUUGCAUAUAUAUCCCCAUUAAUUGUUGAUAGUCCAAUGGGUCUAUGCAAAAGGAAAAAAUUGGCUGUCCUUAAAGACAAAAUUGACUGUCACAUGAAAAUAAAAAAAUUUGUUACCACGCAACGAAAAUAAAGAUUUCAAGAACAACUUUAUGGUCCCCUUUCUGUCCAAACAUAUGCGAUAGCAAUUAGUGUAAACGACACUUGAAAUAUAUAUAGUAGAUCCUCACGCAAUUGAUAAAUAUUUAUAGUAGGAUGGAGUGAUAAAUAGUUUCACAAAAUUAUUGGAAUUAACUAUUGAAUACAUGAGAUCUAUCUCAUUAAGGAUAAAAGAUUUGAGUGCUACUUCAAAAGCAUGACGUUGCUGGCAACAAAUUUAACACAAAAGUUUAAUUAAUUAUCUUAGUUGAGACGAUAAAAUCUUGGAUUAAGAACAAAAGGUUUGAGGUUCGAACCUUCUCAUUCAAGAAAAUCAAAAUAUUACAUCUUCCAGCACAUAUCAAACAUUUUUUCAAAGGCAGACUGACAAUUCAGGGUAAAAAAAACAAAAAAACAAAAGGAAUAUAUGCUAUUGAAGACAAGUAUACCUUGGACAUGAAGUCUGAGUCCAGAACAAGAAGCAAUUAGCUGAUCUUUCAAUUUCCAAAACCCAACAAAAUCUUUGUCAAAAUAUACGAUCUAGUCCCAUAUUAAGCACAUUCAUAGCCGUAUCACCAGGUUCAAAAUAUUUUCCCCAAAAAGAGAUAGAGAUUCCAUUGAAGUUGAGUUGUGACUGUCCCAACGUUUGUAAUUAUAUGUUUCAGGAUACCAUGCCUAUGAAUCAUUUUUUUUUUCCAUGUUUCGAAGUCUAUCAAAUGAAAAUGUAAUUAUAUGGUUCAGGAUACCAAUAUGCCAGAGCUGCAAAGGUUGACUUCUACUAUCCUAUCAAUGUCUAUACUUUCUAUUGAAUUUCCUUGUUUGUUUUUUUAAAUUGCGAGAUUUAUUUUUAGAAAUCUUUGACACAUUUUAUGAAAGAUACCAUAAAACCAAAUACAACCAUUUUGAUUCAGCAACAACUUUUUUUUUUCCUUUUAAAAAAAGGAAGCCAUAUAAAUGAUGCUUUAAACAUUAUUUGCAGCAAGGAACAAUUAUUUCAUGCUUUCAGGUAUUAGAAACUUCCCAAAAAUGCUAGCAAGAAAAUGAAAUGGAACUUUACCUAGUCACAGAAUAUGUAUUGCUGUUAGCCCAAUUGUUAUGAAGUGGCUUCUGCAUCAGAAGAUUCCAGCUCCCACCAAGCAUUGUUAUCUCUCUUCUGAAUACAAUCUGCAUCCCUGGGCAUGAGUUAUAUCAUUAAUGUCUGCAUCCUCACUUACAUCAUCCCAAUCAAGUGUUUUUUCUCCAUAUCUGGAUUAUAAGUCCACUCUAAUCUCUUCAAAACAUCCUAGUCCUUCCAUCAUACGACUUCCUUCCUAAUUACUUUCCCAUUAAUAAAUCGCUCCAAGAAAAAAAAAGCAUUAACAAUUCUCUUCAACGCCCCAUCACUCAUAUCCCCUACAACAAACAUCUUUAGACACCUCAAUGUUGCCUCUUGAAAGACCUCCACAAAAUCCGAAUCAUCUGACACAACCAUCAAACACCUAAACCUUCUUUAGUCCACCAUAUCCACCAUAUAAUUCCUUAACUAAACAUCGGCAUCUUGUGGCUUAUCUAACACCUUCCUGACCCAAAACCAUGCUCUUUUCAACUAAUCUGCAAAACCAUAACCCACUUUUGGAGUCAAAAUUGCGCUUGCAGCCAUUUUAUAUUUUUCCAUCUUUAUUGAAUAGUUGCCAACCAAAAGCACUCUCACCUUCCCUCUAGUUGAUUCUAUUUGAUUCGACCUUUUCUUUUGUUCACCCUCAUGAAUUUGCCUAAAAUGAUUAAUAAGUUUGUCAUUAUUAUAAAAUCUCCUUCCACAAUCACCAAUACAUACGGCUUAGCAGGCCUAAUUACACCCUUGAUUUAUAAUUGGAUAAACAAUUCUUUUUCUUUCUUUGCUCUCUUACAACUUGAGGCACAUAACUAAACGUGUGGCUAUUAGCAUUUGCCACCAUGUAUUUAACAACCCCAAAUGAAGAUAUUAAUUUUUUUAGUUUAAUUGCUGCUUCAAAAUGGGGUACUGCAUUUGGAUUUUGUUAUUCAAAUUCCAAAAUGUUCCCACAUUGUGUUGGACAGUUUUUGGUUCUAAAGUUUAUGACUGGUUUUGCCAAUCAGGCUUCAAAUGAGAACUUCUAAACAAUAAGACAAAUAGGUUUUGAGUUUCUAAUCUUAUAAACUUUGUUCUAUUGUAUAAGUUAUGAAAUCGCUGAAACAUCACUACAGCUACAGGUCUUUAUGUGUCAAUGAACUGCAGAAGCUGAUGAUCUACUUGUAGUAGACUCCUAUUGCCCCUGCCAUUCUAGGAAGACAAACAAGUUCAGGAACUACAUCUGGACCAAACUCGUAAUAUUGCCACUGCUUUGUGCCAAUCUGAGACGGAAAGAAGAUUGAAGUUCCUAAAUAAGGCACAUCAUGAUUUAAUAGAAGUACCAUUAUAAGGAAAAAAUGAUUUCAGGAAAGCACUAAAAUAUGACAUAAUCUCCCCCUAAUGGUCUAAAGUAGUCAAGAAAUUAUAUCAACCAAGCAAAAACACAUAAACUAGUUGAGAUACAAAGUUAUCAUAAAAGUCAAUUUUGAUCACAAAUCCAUUAAAAUUAAAAGACAUCAGAAAGUUAUAGAACAUUAUAAUUUAGGACUUAGCUAAGUUGCAAAUUCUGUAAUUAACAGCUGAGUCCACAUUGGCCUUGCAUCAGCUGAGUUUGGGUUGCUUUUCCUCUCUCCUGCAACGCGUGAAAGCGUCCCAUUUGCUGUGUUAUAUACAGAGUCGGUACCGUAGCAAGCUCCUAUAAUUUAAGUUUGAUUACUGUAGACAAUAGUCUGCCUCUGUUCAAAAGCUAUGCUGCAAGAUAUAACGUCUUUGCAAUGUUGUACUUUCUAAAAGUAAUAAGAAAUGAAACCAAGGGGUAAACCGAACACCAAAAGAAAUUUAGUCGGCCAACCAUAUUAUGUUCCCACACAGUCCACUAAUUAAGUUAAUAAUUAAAGGGAAUUAAAAUCUAAGAAAUCUCAUCUUCAAGCAGAAUACAAACACACCAGGAUUGAAAAUCACAAAAUCAUAAAAAGAAGCUGACUUGAAAAGCUCAAAUAUACGUUCAUCAGCCUCUCAACUUAUAUCUAAGAACAAAUGCCUGCAGCCUGUGAAGACAUAGAUAAUUGAAGCUGAUGAGGCAUAUUUAACAGAUGAUAAUCAAAACUCAUGUGAUUAAAAUUAUAAUUCAAUAAUGGAUCACAUAAAACAACAAGUAACUAGUUGUAUAUAUACCAAACAACUUUCUGAAGUUAAGGCGUAAAACAAAAACGUAGAACAAAUUAAUUAAAUAUACUAGCACCAAUACUCUUAUUAUUAUCCACGUAGAAAAUAACAAUGUAUCAAACAAGGAAAAUGAAAUAUUGUUAAUAACUCAAAAACCACUAGUGUCAAGAACUAGACUAAUAAGUGAAACCCAUAAUCAGACACAACCACAUCAAAAUCUCUGAAAAUUGAGGUCUAAACAUUGAAAACAAUUAGACAUAUAUAACAGUCAAUCGAAACAAAGCCUCAAAAUAAUAAUAAACUACAAUAAGACAGAACCUAAAUUGUAAACACACGCAUACCCAGUAACAGUAAUCAAGUAACAAGUCAAAACCAGAAUCAAACGUAGAAUUUUGAAAUCCAUACGAACUCUAACGUAUUAGAAUGAAAGAAUAAGGAUGAUCAAUAAACUAGACUCAAACAAAAACAUGCCCAGUUAAAAAAUGAAGGUAAAUAAAUAAAAAUGGUAUAAAACUGCGAAAAAAAUUAAUGAAAUGAAGAGAAAAUCACAGGAAUCCUAUGAAGAGGAAGGUAAAGAAACCUUCCAGAGCCGAGAAGAUGCCUUUUUGGUUGACGUUUGUGCCUAUACAUAUAUAUAUAUAUUUUUUAAUUUUGAAGAAAGCAUUGGUUAACAGAAAGGGAUGGCAACGUGGCAGAUAUAUAUUAGAUUUAUUCUACUCCAGAUUCGUAUCCAUAAUAAAAAUUAAAAUUCGUAUAUGCUCUAUAUUUGUCAUAAAUUUAUAUUUUUCGUUCCAUAUUCAGAUCUAAAAAAUAAAUAAAUAUCUAUAACUGCUCUAAAUCUGGAAAAAAAAAUUAAAAUCCAAAUAUACUUUAAAUUCAUCAUGAAUUCUAAAACUUAGUAAUAAAAAAGUAAUAAUUUUUUAGAAUGAAAAUUGAAGACUAAAAUGUAUUGAUAACAAUAAAUUAUAUAUUUUUUCUCAAAAAUAUAAUAAAUAUUGUAGCUUAUACUUUUACACUAAAACAACAAAUAAGAAAGAUAAUAAAAUAUUUUUCAAAAGUAAUUGCAGGAGUAAGAUCAAUAUAAUAUUAUACUGUCUCUUUUAUCAUUUUAAUAUCCAUGACACACCUACCCUUAUUUCUACAACAUUAGAUAAUGACAUAUAAAUUAAAUAUGAUUUAUAUUCAGUGCUUUUUAUUUUUAUUAUGACCAUAUUUAACUAAAUAUAUGAAUAAUUAUAUUCAUUAAAAAUUAUUUGGCCAAUAUAAUGAAAUAAAUUGUCAGGUUGUAUUACUUGGCUUGCAAUUUGAAUAUUGCAUGUACAUGCUUUGGGGCUGGCUGAUCUUUAAAUUUACAAAACUAAUCUUUAAGUUUUAAGAGUUUAAAUACAUGGUAAAUAUUACUAAUAUACUAUGAAUAAAAUUUAUUAUCAUUAUAAUUCCACAAUUUUUAAGAAACUUUUAAAAUAAAAUAAAAUUAAAAGAUUGGUGGAUAUGGAUAUGGAUUUAGAUAUUAUGAUAGAUCCAGACCUGCUCCAGAUCUGUCUUAGAUCCGCACAUCAAUAUCCAAAUAUGAUCUAAAUUCAUUUUAAGCUGACCCAAAUCCGAUCCGAUUGGAUUUAGAUCACGUGGAUCUUGAGUCAGAUCCAAUCAUUGCCAUUAGGGAUGGCAAUUUGCGGGCCUGGGCCGGGCUUUUUAAAGCUCAGGCCCAAGCCCACAUCAGUUAAACGAUGUCCAGGCCCUUCAAAAGCCCGCCCAACCGAACUCGGGUCAGGCCUAAGCGGGCCUAGGCUAGGCUCGGGCUUUUAAAAUUAAUUAUAAAAUAUUUUUUAAAUUAAGAAAAUUAUUUAAAUUAAAGAUAAUAAUAUAAUAUAUAAAUAGAAUAAUAGUCAAAUACAUUAAAUAUUAGCAAUACAACCUAAUAAAAUAACAAAUACUAAUAUAAAAAAUUAAAGUAAUUUAAUAUUUUGAUUUUUUUCUUUUUUAUUUAAAUUAAAUUUAUUUUUUAUUCAUAAAUUUAGAAAGCCCUUGCUUUUUUGCUAAGCCCUUGUCUAGGCCCAACAUAUGUGGGCUUUGUAAUUUUUAGGCUCAUAUCCAAGCCCACCCCCUUGCGGGCCGGGUGUUAGGCCCGCGGGCCUGGGCUGGGCUUGACCGGGCCUGGGCCGGCCCGGGCUUUUUUGCCAAAUAUGAUCUAAAUUCAUUUUAAGCUGACCCAAAUAUGAUCCGAUUGGAUUUAGAUCACGUGGAUCUUGAGUCAGAUCCAAUCCAUUGCCAUCCCUAUUAACAGAACGAAAUAUUAAUAAUAGAUGUUGGCAAUUUCAACAAGGACAAUCUUGGAUUCAAAUGUACCCCUAUGAUAAAGAAAAAGCCAGCUUGGCUAAAUUUUGAGCACCACAUUACAAGAUCUAGGUGUAUGCUUAACUAUGCAAAAUGAAACAUCUAUUAAUUGUAAGUCCCUUGACCUCUGUAACCAGCCAACCGGUCUCUUUCCUACUAGACAACCUUCCAUCGACCAGAUUAAUAAUAUUUACUAAAUCAUGUUCUAUAGUUAAUGAAGUUGGACCAAGGCAAUUGUUAGCUUAAUGUCACAGGCCGCUCAAAUUUGCCGUAAUUGGAGGAUAAUUAUGUGCACAUGAGUUUGCUUAGCAAAAGUCCGCCUCGACGUGGAGUGCGCUUAAAAGCGGGAUGCACUUAGAAGUGGGAUGCGCUUAGCAAAUCAUCCAAGCCCAACCCAAGAUCUAGAACUCUCUGCAAAUUAUAAAUAAGUUAAAAGUUUUUAUAUUUCUCCACGUAGGUCCCUAGGAUAUUUAUGGAAGUUGCUAGGAAGUUUCCUCCCCUAAAAUGUUAACAUUUUGGUGGACGGUUAAUAUAAGUUACAAACUUAAAAUAGAAAAUCAAAUAAAUUCAAAUUUUCAAACUAUUUAUGGCAAAUUUAGGACAUAUGGUUAAUAAUUUUCCCAUGUCUUUUUACAUUGGUUGGUAUAAGUUACAAACUUAAAAUAGAAAAUCAAAUAAAUUUAUAUUUUCAAACUAUUUAGGGCAAACUUAGGGUAUAUGGUUAAUAAUUUUCCUUUAUUUUUUUUUACGUUAAAUUGAGUUUCAAAGGUAAAAUGGUCAAUUUAUUAUAAAUCUGUUAAUUUUUUAGUGGAAGCAAAUGAUAUAAUGGACGAAUGAUAUAAAUUGUAAAAUUAAGUUGCAUGAAUGAUACAACUUUAAAGUAUUGUAGUAAUCUUAAUAAUAGAACAAUUUAAGGGUGGAUUGGCAAUAAUUUAAACUUUAAUGAAGCAACUAAAAAAAAUUUUUAACAAAAGAAAAAUAAUUGAAAUGCUUUAAGAAAAAUAAAGGAAAUUAAAUAUCUUUAUAAAAACAUAAUUGAGUAAAAUCAUUUUACAAAAUGCUCUUUCAAAUGCACAUUCCACAAGUCAGGGAGAACGGGUGGCUAACAAAAAUCUCACUUUUUAUGAGUUUAUAAAAUCUCACUUUUGCAGAAUUCAAAAAUAACAAAUACUAAUCACACAAAAAAUAAAAAUUAUUGCUGUCACGACAUUACGCACUUUCUUCGUUGUCUAGAAAGGUAGAACAUUUCGAUGUUCCUCAAUACAAAAUGCGUGCUACUACUAAAUUGGCCCAAUUAAUGCCCAUCGAAAAGGCCAUGAAUUUAGCCAACAAUUUUGUCAAAAUUUCAGCAAUUGAAGAAAUAAUGAUCACAAACAGAACAGUUGAAUUUUGAAGUUUGAAAAAAUCUCCAGAUACGUACAACAAAGUCUUGAAGCUCUGGUCUUUACAAUUUGAGCACAGAAUAAAUAUUAACUACCUGCCAUUUAUAAUUUGUAUUAACUCUGUACCAAAACGUUAAUCGUCAUUCAUAAUUAAUGACGUGACAAUGAUAAUUUAAACAUUUGAUAUGCUUAAUAAAAAAUAAAAUAAUAACUUUAAAUAUAAAAAUUAAAAGAUAUUUUUAUAAUCAAUUCAAUUAAAUACACUUAAAAACUCACAUUAAUCCACAAAAUGCAUACAAAUGUACAGUACCAGAGAAUGAGAAACACACAUUUAUAGGCAAUCCAUUUGAGUUUAUGAAAUCUCAGUUCCCAAAAUCCAAAAAUAUUCAAUACACUCACAAACUUAAAAAAUAAAAAUGAUUGCUGUCAAGACACUUUUUAGCUGUCUAAAAAGCUAAACAUUUGAAGUUGUUUGAUACAAAAUGCAUGCUAAAUUGGCACAAUAAAUCCCCAUCGAAAGGUUAACAAUUGAAGGACAAUGAACACAAACGUAAUCUUUAGAUACAUACAACCAAUCCUUCAAACUUUAGUCUUCACAAUUUGAGCACGCCAUAACCACCCGCAAACAAGUUUUGGUAGCUUCUUGCGCGAACUGAACCCGCUGAAAUGUUUCUCUUAUUUUGUUAUUUUUUUUCUUUUUUUUUCUUUUUAGUCAUUUAUGUUCGCUGGCAUCUUCGUUGGCGUCUCUAUCUUCGCUGGCAUCUGCCUCGCCUGUAGUUUCAGUGCUAAUAUCCAACCAAUAAAAUGGGCAUUAAAUAUGAAUGAUGAAUAAAAUAAAAUAAAACAGAGAAAAUAAUGACAAGAAGAAAAACAAACUUUAAAAAAAAUUAUUAAAAGGGAAAUUUUGAGUUUAGCAUAGAUCAAACAGGCAUCACAAACUAAAACAAGAACCAACUAUAAAUAGAGUCAAUUAAUUGAAGUUCUCAAGAGCUUACCUCUGCUCCGGAAUUCUCGGAAUCAUCCACAUAUCUCCUUUUGAAUUUGCACCAAGCUUGGGACAAUUAUAAACGUAUGCAGAUGGAAAUCGAUUUUGAAAAGAGCUGUGGAAAAAGGGAUGGCGAAUGUUGCGAUAUGGAAAAUUUAGCAGUUCAAACUCCCGAAGUUGCUUCAUAACAAUUUGAUUGCAAUCCACGACGUCUGCUCCAUUUUUAUGCCAGAAUAUUGCUUCUAAUUCAUCAUUUCGUUCUAUCCGUAAGAAAUAUAGUUUUUGAAGACUUGGAGCUACGCCGAUAUGAAAUAGAUGCUUUAGUUUGGGGCAACCACAGACAGUGAUGCUUGUGAGUUUUGGGAAACAUACAGGUUGGAGAUGAUCCUCAUCCUCAUCCUCAUCAAUGAUUUGCUCUAAUUCGAAGCAGUUAUCAAUAACCAGCCCCUGCAAUUGCAACAGAUUUCGAGCAAAUGUUGAUGUGAAGAGACGCCUGAGCAUAGUGCACCCGUCCACUCUUAAAUGGGUAAGAUUUUGGAGGCUAAAAUUAUGCGUGGGACCUUCAUGAUAUAAUAAUACUUGCAGUUCUCGAAGGUUUUCCAACUGCACCUCCUUCAAACAUGGGAAUAAUUUGUUUUCUUGUCCCUUAGCGAUAAUAGCUUCCAAUUGAAAUACCACAUGUACUCCAAGUUGGCUAAUACCCAAUUCUUCCAAAUUUUUUAAGCCGUGCUUCAACAGUGCUGGAAUCGUGUCACUCAAAUGGGAACAAUUGUCCACAUAUAGAAUUUUUAAGUUCUGAGACAAAUAAAUAAAUAACUUGAUGCAAUUAAAAUCUAUUAGCAAGCUAGGAUUAUCACAUGAUAAGUGAUGAACACUGCAAAAAACAAAAACAGAAAACAAAAUCCAAACAAAAAUAUCAUAAUACAUAUGUAAACUAAUAAAAUAAUUAAAAAGUAAUGGAUUUAAAAAAAAAUUAGUUAAAAGAGAUCAUGUGAAGUGAUAUAAAUGUGACAUUAGAUUGUUUUAGAAAAAAUAUUAUUCUAUUAAUUUAUAUGGUUUGAUCAACUAUUUAAUUGAAUUUGAUUAAUAUUAUAUACACUUCAGAAGUAUUUGAAGAAUGGUUUUAGCCUUAUAAUAAAGAAAAUUCCCUAAGAUAUCUGAGCAUUAUUAUUAUCAUUACCACAUUCACGACCACCAUCAUCAUCUCCAUAGGAUCAAAAAAUUAAUGGCUGAUCAUAAAAUUUAUUGUUAAAAUAUCCUUUUGAGUAAAAUUGAAUGAAAAGAAAAAAUAUGAACCCAAACAGACAUACCUCUUUGAGAUACUGCAAAUUGGCUUCAAGUUCAUUACUGUUGAUGGUCAAGUUGGGACAGCAAUCAAGCUGUAACUCUUCCAAUGCUGCCCAAAUUGAACAAUAAUUCUCUGAACAGAACUUGGUGAGUUCUGGGAGAUCUUCAAGUUCUAAUUUUCUCAACAAAGGGAGGGCGAGCAUCGUAUUUCCAUCUCCGACACUUAUUUCCCCUUCAUUAUGAUCAAACUUUGCUUCGACAAUACAUUCCAGUCUCUCGCAUUCCCUUACAUGGAGACUUUUAAGCUGCUCCAAACUUCGAGCUUGUGACAACGUGAAGAUAUAUGUCAACUUGUUGCACCUAACCACAUUCAAUUCUGUAAGAGUUUGGAGACUGAUCACAUGUUGGGCGGGCGCCUUCCAUAUCCACUUCAGUUCUGGUAAGUUCCACAUAGAUAACUCUGCUAAUCUUGAGAGACUCUUUCCAUGCGGCGACUUAGAGGCUUCCAUUAUGCAUUCUAAAUCUUCGCAAUCGCCGACAUCAAGACAAGUCAACUCAUUUAAGCCCCUUUCAUCUAUGCUUGGCACAAUAUUGUAACAACCUAUAAUCCAUCUUAUAUAAAGAAUUUCCAGUUCUUGAUACAAAGCCGAAAAAAUACCGAGCGAGGUCACUUCAGGAGGGUCAUUCUCAAUGAUUAAGCUCUUUCUCUGACUACCAUAUUCCAUUUUAUAAAAAACUUCUUCACCUUUACAGAUGACGUACCUUUGCAAUUUCGGGAAUGUAAAGUCUUUUGGAAGAUAUACAACAGAUCCGUCGGCUUGGGAGUUCAACUCAGCAAGCCUAGCAUUACUUUCUUCUGAACUCAUCCCUUCAACCUCCCAAUUUUUUAUCCGACCAUAAAAUUCUUCUAAUUUUUUUAUCGUAAUGGGAGAAACAGAACUAGUAUCAAUAUGUAGAAGUUUCAAUCUACCAAGUUCAUCCGACAAUUCUUCAGGAAUUUCAAUGGGAGACGACCGGAGAUAAAGAAGUUCAAGUCUCUUCAACUUUCCAAGAAAAAACGCGUCACUCAAAUCACACAAAAUCAACUGCAGAACUCGGAGGUUAUUGGCUAGGAAUCGAAGUGAUUUUAGUGAAAGGACUCCAUUUAUUAUAGUAACAACUUUCAAUGCUGGCAUCCCUUCAAAAAAAUUUUCUGGAACUUGCAAUUUGUAGUCACAUAGAGUGUUGUCCAGUCGCAAAAUAUGAAGGUUAGGGCAUACCAAACGACUAGGAAGCUCUUCUUCUUUAUUUCCCAUUACAGAGAUUCCUCUAUAUUGCUCCGGGCCUUCUUCCAUUACCCGUUCUGCCAAUCCAAUGCCAACUUUACUAAAAAAUUUCUUCUCCACUAGUACUUCUGAGCCUAUCCAUAUGGCUACAUCACGAACUAUGUCAUGCAUUUUCACAGAUCUGUCAUUACCAGUGUCUAACAGUAGUGAAGCAGCUUUGAGUCCGUCAAUUGUUCCAAGCAGUAGGCUUCUGGUGUUCUCUAUUGACUCAGCUUGAUACCAAGUCAACCCUACUGCAUAUCCAACCAAAUCCUCCAAAUUAAUCUCAUAAUCUUCUGGAAAUAGCGAACACAACAAGAAGCAUAACUUGGAAUUGUCAUCAUUCAAUUCGUCGUAACUAAAUUUGAGACAACCGUAAACGUCUAAGUUCUCCUCAUCAAUACCUUCUAUUGCAUAGAGUUUUGCAGCCUUUAGGUUAUGUAGAGCUAGGUUCCAUUCAUUAAAUCUUUUUCCUCUUAGUGCACUUCCAACAGCUUCAAUAGCUAAAGGCAGCCCCUUACAUUCUCCAGCAACUUCUUUGGAAACAUCAUUCAAGGUGGAGUCAUUUACAUUAAUUUUGGCAUUUUUUCGCAGUAAAGCCAAUCCUUCUUCUGGCGUUAGUGUACUAAGUGGAAUCUGUGUGUCACAACCCAAAGAAUCACAAACUGACUUUUUGCGAGUGGUUAGAAGGAUUUUGCAACAAUUAUCUCUACCACCGACGGUAAUACCUAAUUUUUUCUCCGAGUCGAGUGGUUUCCAAACAUCAUCAAGGAUUACGAGGAUUUUGCUGCUUUUACUCUCAGAAAACAUCAAGCGCAAUCGGUCUGCUCUCUCUUUUUCAUCUUUCUCAUUUAGUGCCCAGCCUAACGACUUUGCCAACUCACCUUGAACCUUUAUUAUAUCUAGAUCCUGAGACAUAGUGGCUAUCCCCACCUUAUCGAAAAGCUUUUGUUGCCGAAGUUGAUUGCCCACAUAUUUUGCCAGGGUUGUCUUUCCUACACCACCGAGACCAUGCAAUCCCACCAUCUUUGUGCUCUCUUUUUUCAGUGCGUCAAUGAUCUGAUUGCAAGCGGAUUCUGUGGUCUUGAAAAUAGAAGUAAAAUGCCUUGGCAAACUUAAUUCUCUUUCUAAUGGUAGAGGUUUAGGAGAGGCAACUGUGUUGAAUUGGCUGCAGCCUUGUAGCAGAUCGGACAACUUGCUAGUCUUCUCUGAUGCUUUUCUGCCCAGACGAUAUCGGCAACACCAAUUAGGACACAAUCCAUGAAGACUACUAUCCUUUUCAUCUAUCUCUGCUUUCAACUUCCAAACAUCGUCCAAUUCUUCGACUCCAUUAUUCAGCCACUCCAUUACAUUUUCAUCGACUACUAUGUCGGGGCAUUUUCGCAGUUCAUCGUCUAUUCUUGUUUUGAUGCCAUCUCGUGCCUUCUUCAACUUAGUUUCUUUAUCCUCAAGUUCUUUAACAAUGCUGUUGAAACAGAACAUAUAGCGAGCUUGGUCAAUGGCUGCAUUCACCAAUAAUUCUUCAACCUUUGAUUUUAAAGCUUCCAUGCUAUUUAUCUGCAAAUAACGAAGUUGAUCUCAGCACACUAUUAGCGAAACAACAAGGCUUGAUCACCAGACAAAAUGAGAACGUUUAAUUACCUCUUUCUGCACUGUGAAUGCACGUCUAUUAACACCAGCUUUGACCAAUAAGAGCAAAAUGCAGAGGUGGGGCCUUAAGAGUUUCGGUGGCCUUUAGCUGCAAAACGGCAGAUGACAAAUAAGGUGAACGUUCCUAGCAAACGUGAUUUACGGUGAAUUAUAUUCAAAUUAGAUUAUUUUAAAAGUUGGUAAAUUAUUUAUCACUCUAUCUUAAUGAUACCUUAUUUGGGAUGAUAAAGAUUGGGGUAAAUUCCCUUUUAUUCUCACAUGUUUAUAGUAUUUAUAUUUUUAUAAAUUACCUAAAACAUCCAUGUAACUUACUUUUAUAGCUAUUGAACAUAUCAUUUCAAAUAUAAAAUACUAUUUCUGUCUAAUAUAAAUUAAAAAUCAAACAAAUCUAUCAUGCAAUAAAUGAAAAGUAAAGAAUAUUAAUUAGGUUUUAAUGGAAACAAAUAUAAAACAUAGAGGUUUUGAGUAACUUUUGUAUUUUUUUUAAUGUUCAAUUUAGAAUUGAAUAAUUUGCAUAAUGAAAUUUUGAGGUUUCUAUAAUUUAUAUGAAGAUAAACUGCGAAAUAAGUUUAUAUGCCGAAAUUAAAAUAGUUAUAUAUUAGCAAUCAUAUAAUAAUAAAAAAUUUUAAUAAAAUUUAUUUAAAAAUUGGCCAAUUGUGUUUCAUGAGUAAAACAGAGAGCAUAAUGGACUUAUGUUGGGUCUUGGGAUUGAAAGACUAAGGGUAAGGGGCCGGGAGGUAGGACGGUAGGAAAAUUAAUUUUUGUUAUUUUUAAAGUAUGGUCAACAUUAGUGACUUGGAGGUGAUUGCCGUUAAUCAAUUACCUUUAACUUAAGAAUUAAUACAAAUAAAUGGCAAAAAUAAUUUAAUGAAAAUUAAUUUAAUAAAAAAUUGCACUAAAAACUUAGAACUCAAAUUCUCGAUCAUUUUAUCCGUACGUUUUAAUCCGACGCUCAGAAUUGGCAUAAAACAAACUAAUAUAGCCAUUGGAAAUAAAACAAACAUCAAAUCAAGAGCCUAUGAAACAAUAUUAUCUCGUACCUUCUUCCUUAUAGAUCCUCAAUUGCUGUUGAAAGCUGCAUAUGACAAUAUAAAUAAACAUGAGAUCAAAACAUCAUAGGAUAUAUCUAGCCAAUUAACAUCAUAUAUAACUCCUUGUUCUCAGUCAAAUCUUUCAUUCUUAGAUUAAAAAAAAAAUGAAAUAAUAACUGUUAAGUGAUAUAGGAAGCAAAAGUAACACACCGAAAUGAAAGCAGCUAGUUCACAGAUGACAGAUGCGGUGACUUCAAGAGCAUGAAAAAUGAUUAAACUUUGGUAGAAGGGUCUGAGCCGUGUUUCACAAGUUGCUAUUGACUUCGUGGCUUCGCUUUUAUUUAUUAUUAUUAUUUUUUUAAAUUCUAUAUCAGUGAGAAUUGAAAUGUGGAAAGUGAAAUGAUACACAUGCCUUAUCAUCUAUCAUGAGGGGUGAUUUGGUAAAACCGAUUUAAAAUAAAAAAAGUUUAAAAAAAUUUAAAAAGAUGCUUUGUGUCUGACUGCUUGUAUUUGGGGUAUUUUUCGGGUUGUUGAGACUUGAGAGUGAGUUUAAUUAAAUAUAAGAUUUUCAUUUUUCUUAUUAUAUUUUUCUCUUUAGAAUGAAUUUAAAUCUCAUUCUUAUUAAAUUCAUUUUUUUAAAUGAAAAUAGAUUUCUCUCCACACAUUUGAGAUAUAUUUUAAAAUUAAUGUUAAGCAUAUCUCUAAAUUAUAUUAUAAAUAUUUUUAUUUAAAAUCUCAACAGAUUUCAUAACACACAGAGAGAAAUACAUAUAUAUGUUGUAAUGUUUUAAUGAUGGAUCUCUAAAGUUAUCAAGUUAAAAAAUAAAUAAAUAAAUAAAAAAUACACACUUCAACUUAUUAUAUGAUAAAAUAUAGUAUAUUAAAGUGAGUAUUUUUUGUGUGAAAUAAAAUUAAAGUGAGUACUAUUACCACCUCACAUCUUAUAAAUUCUAGAAAAUAAUCAAGGCUUGACAUACUUUUAUUUAUGCAAAAGCAUAAGAAAAUAAUUCAAAGUACUAAUUAGUGUACUAUUCCUCAAAAUUCUAGAAUAGAUUUGUUAGUUCUCUUUAGCCAUAGAUUGGUCCGUGAUUGGCACCGCAAUAGCUCAUAAUCACCUCAACAAUUGUUCCACACGGCCCAACAUGACACAUUGUAAACUAGUCUACAAGAAUUUUUUGAGUGGCUUUCUAGCAAUAUUCUUAGAGAAAGUGUUUAGUAGUUUCAAAUCUUCUUUUUUUAACACAAAUGUUGGCAUGAUAUUCUUAAUAUAUUUCUAAAAUCAAAAUAAGAUGCAUAGAGGACGAUAAUUUUAUUUCAUAAUUGAAUUUUUUGCAAAGAAAGUUUGAACAUGAGAGUGAUGAGAGAUGAGAAUAUUGAUGAUGGUGUGUACUUUGAAUGGAAAAAUAGAUUGGAAAUAUAUAUAGACAUAUUAAAAGAAAAAAAUUUGGUCUAUUUCAUAAGAGAAAUAAAAAAUUAUAAACGCGGGUGUUAAAAUGUAUUCAGAAUUUAUAAAUUUUUAUAAAUAUGAUAAUCAUCAGACCCUUAUAAAAGUAUAACAAAAAAGUUUAAAAUUUUUUAAUAAAUGUAGAAGAGAUGAACGAAGAAAUCAUCCACCAGUUCAGAAUUAACAAUCAAAGAUAUGAGGACUUGAUUGAAGAAAUGAUGAAAAAUAAAAGGAAACUGGGUUGGUUAGCGGGACCCUAAUAUUAAUGGUGAAAAAUAAAAGGACACUGGGUUGGUUGGCAGGACCCUAAUAUUAAUGGCAAAAAAUAAAAGGACACUGGGUUGCUAUCAAUUUCGAUCGUGUAGGUUCAUAGCCGGGGAAGUAAUUGGGCACAAAUAUCUCGGAUGAGAAAUAACCAUUUUAUCCCGCAACCAUAUGUUUAUGGCCUCUAAAAAUUUUCACCUCUUUCACUUUCUGGAACCCGUGCUUUCUGGCACAUGCACAAAUACUUGGUUGCUACUUAUAGAGCGUUUUUGGAAUUGCAACAACAUGGUGCUCUUUGAUAAUUCAAAAAUCCAAUAUAAUUUAUAGAGAAUUACAGAAUUGUGGUACGUGAUAAUUUGCUGAUGCAAUGAGGCGCCGAAAUUCUUAUACAUGUGAUUUAAGUUAUAUAUGUAUAAUUAAGUAAUUAGAAUAUACUAGUUGGGGGUAUUUGUGUCCAUGAAAAUUUACAGCUGGUUGUUGACAUUACACUGCGGGUGUGUAAGUGUAAUCAUGGAUCUGACCAUUCAAAUUUAAAAAAUGGGGGUCCCGCUAGCUUACGGAGUUAGUAAUUAUUAGAUAUGCAUAUAUGCUCCCAUACGAUAAUCUUAUCAUAAAUUUGAAGGAUACGAGGACUUGAUUGAAGAAAUGAACGAAUAUUUGAAUUAAAAAAAAUUUUAGAAUAAAGACAAGUAUUAAUUUACUAUGAAUGCAACUUACAUAAGCUGUAAGUUAGCGGGACACUAUUAAAUCACAAGCAAAAAGCAAUCUGACUUCUUCUUGAUUCCGUAAUUUGGCUGUCAAAAUGUAAUCUAUAAAAAUUACGAUACCUCGAUUCAAAAAAAUGUUGUUUCUGAUGAAAUAAAUGAAAAUUGAACGUACAAUCUGCCACGAACACUGUUUAAUUAACCGUUUAUUUCCCCUUAAAUUUUUAAUCUCAAUGAAACAUAGAUCUAAUGGGAACUACAUAUAUAUAAAAAUACUAUAGAUUGAAGAAGUUGAAUUUUUCUUGUGUGUUAAGUAUUUUUAGUUAAUACGAAAGGAUUCUAGCAAGUUAAUACAAAAGUAUCAUAAAUUCAUAGUAGUACAAGAGAUUUUUUUUUUCUUUUGAUAUUAAGAGUUUUCGAGAUAAAAAAAAAAAAAAUAGGUGAAAGAAGAAGAUGAGAGAAGAAAAAAUAUUAAGAAUAGUUUUGGCAUUUUGAUGCGUUUUAUAGUGUAAAAUCUAUAUUUUAUAGUAUAAAAAGGUACACCCAUAAUUUAAUGAUAAAAUUUUAGGAAAAAAUUGCACUCGUCAAAAAAAAAAAGAAAAGGCUCAGCUUAGCCCAAAAAUUUUUUAUUAAUCGUCUAGUCGCUAAUGUAAUCUCUUUUUUAUGAGAUUCUUUGGCGUUUUAGUUUAGUCCAUUGUUAGCAAUCCUAAUAGCUUUUAUGUGCAUCUAUUUUUAUUUGGAAUAUGUUUCAAGCUUGAAUAAAAUCUGCGGGACAACUGGUAAGUAAUAAAGCUCAUCAUUUUUUUAUUUUGAAAAUAAAGGGAAUCACUUACACUUAGCAUGAUAUUAUUUUUGAUAAGUCAUUUUUUUGGUAGAUUAUUUUUUCUAACACGCUCUUAGAUUUAGUGAAAAUAAAUUGUAUACUUUUAAUGAAGAAAAGUAAAGAUCAACAAAAUAUUUUGUUCUUUGCGACAACUUUUGCGUUCUCAAGUGCGCCUGAUACCCUUUUUUUUUUAACAUGGGCCCACGUGCCAUGUUUCCAUUUCAAGUUUCAUAAGUUAACAGUAGAAAUGGGUUCCACAGAUAAUUUAUUUUAUAAUUUUUUUUAAAAAUUACUAAAAUAUAAUAAAUAAGGUAAUAAUAAUUAAUAAAAAAGUAGAUUUUAAGAUGGAAAAAUCUUUUUGUGUACUUAAUAAAAAGAUGAUAAGAAUGGGAUGCUUUUAGUUUACAUUCUCAUAGCUAUUUAUACUGAAAAAUUACAUCAAAAUUUAAUUAAUAAAUCAGUGAACUGCAGACUUAUUAAAUUUAAGCUAUUUUAAUAAGUCAUAAAUAUACUAAAUUAAAAUAGUAAUAAACCCAUUGUUACACAAUACUCUCCAUUGAGUGUUCACCAUUUUAAGAUAAUCAUAAAAUGACACCGGAAGUGCUAUUAUAGCUGUCUCAUGGAAAGCCUUCACCAAUAAAAAGGAGGAUAGAGCACAUACAUCCAGUUUUUAUACCCUUUGAUGCUCAGUCGACACGUGCCAAUGCUAUAGACUAGCUUUUCGAAGGUUGAAGUGGGUAUGCUAUUAGUAAAAAGACCUGCAAAAUUAUAGUGUACCUAUUUGACAUCAACUUUUUUUAUCUGCUGGAGCUUAUGAUUAUAGAAGAUCUUCGGUAAGAUGUGUUUGAUUUUAUCUUCUUUUAUAUAUCCUCCUCUAACUUGUGUAAUAGUAGUAAACCCCUGCCCGUUUUUAUUUCGUUUAGUAUUUUCUAAAUGGCCGAAGGAAAAUUGGUAAAAACUCAUUUAAAAAUAAAAAAAAAUCAAAGAAAUUCAAGAAGAAGCUUUGUAUCUGUCAUUUGUAUUUGGGGUAUUUUUUUGGUUGUUAAGUGAAUGAGCUUAAAUCUAAAACAUUUAUUUAUAUAUUUCUUGUUGGAAAGAAUUUAAAUUUUAUUCUUAUUAGACUUAUUCUCUUUAAACAAAGGUAGAUUUUUCUCUAUGUGUUUAACGUGUAUUUUAAAAUUAAUGUUCAACAUAUCUUUAGAUUCUAUUAUAAAUAUUCAUAUCUAAAAUCUCAACAGAUUUCAUAAUAUAUAAAUGUAUAUAAAGAGAGAGAAUAACGUUUCUAAUAAGAAAUUUAUUAAGUUAAAGAAUAAUUCAAAAGAUAAAUUUGUAUUCAACCCAUUUAUAUGAUUAAUUAAGGUUUUAAACAAAUUUUGGACUUGUUCUAUUGUAGAGCUUAAAUUCAAAAUGGAAGAGUGAAGAAGGGAAAAAGAAGACGAAUAAAGAAGAAAAGAGGAGAACAACUUAUACAAAAGAGGGAGAACGAAAAAGUGAAGGGCAGAAAAAGAAAAAGAAUAAAGAAGAAAUUAAUCAUCGCUGAUAUGAAAAUAAUUCCUUCUUCUUUAUUGUUCUUAGUGGUUCUACUUUUUUUUAUUGGAUUCUAAAUUUUUGUCGUAGAUGGAUUAUAAGAACUAGAAAAUUAUAAAGAUAAUUUUUUAAUUAUUCGAUUAAUUAAUUCCAGCAGAAGACAAGAAAUUGAUUCUGCUUCGUUAGAAAGCCAUCACAUUCUAUACGCAAUUGCAAAAAGUAUAUAUUUUUGUCUGUUUUAGACAAGAAUAAAAGGGAUACCUGGUAUUGCAAAUCUAGACACGUUUUAGUGCUUUAUGUCCGAAUGAAUUCUUUCUUGCAACAAUAAACUUGGCCGAUCAGGAUUUGCCGUUUACAUAUGUAGGUCCUGUUGGUUCUGUAGUAGGACUCAUAAAUUUUUAUUUUUAAUUUACUGAAUCCAUAAAUUUAAAAUAACGGUGCAACUCCUGAGGAUGACAAUGGGGCGGGUGAGGUCUUGGAGUCCUGAAAAAAUUUAUAUCUGCAUAUUAAAAAAUGUGGAUCCGAAUAAGAAAAUCCGCAUGAAUCCGAAUGCAAGUGCAUUUGGAAAAUCGGAUAUCGAGAUCUGGAUAAAAAUUUAUUUCAAAUUAAAAAUUAAAUUAAAUAUAUAUUAAAAAGUAAAUGAAAAAUUAAGAAAGUAAAUUUUAUUUGUAGAUUUAUGAUGUCAUUGUAUAUUAUUCAUGUUGAAUUAUUAAUUGUUGGAUUAUGAUUGAAUUUUAUUUGAUAUUAUUGGGUAAAUUAUUGAAUUUCAUUUUAAAUUAAAAAUAUUUAUUAAAAAUUAAAUUUUAUUUGUAGAUUUAUGAGAUUAUUGUAUGUUAUUCAUUUAAAAUUUUUAAUUAUUGAAUUAUGAUUGAAUUUUAUUUGAUAUUAUUAGGUAAAUUAUUAAACUUUUAAAUUUUAUAUUAAAUUAUAAGCAGUAGGAAAUUAUGGUAUUCAGAACAUGUAUACCUUCGCACAUGAAGCUUGAGUCCAGAACAAGAUGCAGCUAGCCAAUCCUUCAACUUCCAAAACCCCACAAAACCUCUGUCAACAUAUCUGCUCUACUUCAAUAUUAAGCACAUUCAUAGCGGUAUCAACAGCUUACAGCUCCAAAAAUAGUUUGAGAUUUCAUUGAAGCUAAGUUGUGACUUGUGACUGUCCAAAUGUUCUGUCACACGAAAUGAUUAUUCUUGUAACACAAAUCCAAUAGCAUGCAAUAUAAUCUACUCUCUAACACUGUGCAUUAGUAAAAUAAAACAGAGUAAAGCAUUAGUAAAAUAAAACAGAGUAAAAAGAGAAACCAUGCCUGUGAAUCUCUUCUCCUCCCCCCACCACCCCUUUUUUUGGUAAAGUCUAUCAAAUGAAAAUGCAGCAUGACCACAUUGGCCACUACCACUGCCAUUACUCCUUCAACUGUGCCCUUUGUUGCAAGAAAUCUUCAAGUGAAAGAUGGAUUAUAUAAUUAAAGAUUCCAAUAGAAGCAGCAAAGGUUGCCUUCCACUAGCCUAUCAGAGAAUAUGCUUUCUAUUUUCCUAGUUUUAAUCAAAAUUUUGCAAGAUUUAUUUAUGGAAAACUUGGACAAAAUUUUAUGUAAGAUACCAUAAAGCCAAACACAAUCUUUUUAAUUCUCAGCAGCAACAUUUAAAGUAAAAAGAUGGAAGCCAUAUAAAUAUAACUAUAUUUGGUACGAGGAACAAUUAUUUCAAGCUUUCAGAAAUGCUAGCAAGAAAUUGUAAGAGAACUUUACCUAGUCACAGAAUAUGUCAAGCAUACUACCACCAACUGUCUUUAGCACAAUUGUUAUGAAGUAGCCUCUGAAUCGGAAGAUUCAAGCUUCCACCAGGCACAAUUAUUUUCAUUCUCCAUACAAUCUGCAGCAGUGGCAUGAGUUAUAUCAUCAACAUUUGCAUCCUCACUCUCAUCACCCCAAUCAAGGCUUCUUCUCCACCUCUGGAUUAUAAGUCCUCUUCGACAUCUUCAAACAUCUCGGUCCUUCCAUUUGCAAACAACCGAUAUGGCUUCUUUCCUUGCCUUCCUCAUCGUUUAUAUCCCCCAAAAAAGGGUCUUUAGACACCUCAACUUUGCCUUCUGCAAAACCUCCACAAAAUCUGAAUUAUCCAACACAACAGCUAGACGCUUGAUCCUUCUUUUGUCCAUCAUAUCCACCGCAUGAUUCCUCAACAAACAUCUGCAGCUUGUGGCUUAUCUAACACUGUCCUGACCCAAAACCCCACUCUUUUCAACUCAUCUGCCAAACCAUAACCCACUUUUGGAGUCAAAAUUGUCCUUGCAGCCCUUUUAUAUUUUUCCAACUCCAUUGAAUACUUGCCACUCAAAUGCACUCUCCUACCUCUAGCUGAUUCUACUUGAUUCAACCUCUUCUUUUGUUUACACUCAUGAAUUUGGAUAAAAUAAUUAACAAGUUUGUCAUUAUUAUAAAAUCUCCUUUCACAAACACCACAUAAAUAUGGCUCAGCAGGCUUAAUUACACCCUUGCUUUCCAAUUGGUUAAACAAUUUUUCUCUUCUCUUUGCUCUCUUACAACUUGAGGCACAUAACUAAAUGCAUGGCUAUUGGCAUAUGCCACCAUGUAUUUAACAACCCAAGUGAAGAUAUUGAUUUGGGGGUUUGUUGUCCAAAUCCCUAAAAAUUCACACAUUGCGUUGGACAGUUUUUAGUUCUACAAUUAAUGAUACGUUAUGUGAAUUAAGCUCCAAAUGAGAACAUCUAAACAAUGAGACAAAUGGGCUCUAGGUUUCUAAUCAGUAAACAUCGUUCAGUCGCAUAAUUUAUGAAAUUUUUGAAACAUCACUACAGCUACAGGUCUUUAUGUGUCAAUGAACUGCAGAAACUAAUGAUCUACUAGUAGUAGACGUUUGUUGUCCCCACCGUUCCAGGAAGAAAAAUAAGUAGAAGAACUACUUUUAGACCAAAAUUAAAAAAUUGAAACUAUCUUGAAAGACUUUCCCUUCAACUAAGUAAAAAAGAAAAGAAAAAAAAAAGGUAUUAGACAAGCAUUUUCAAAGGAAAAAGAUCAUCCAUUUAUUGUAUGUACUCAGGAAAAAUAAAUGUACUAAUAGGUAGAAACACAGCAAUAAAACUCAAAAACUAACAUCUAUAAAGCUCAAUAACAAUUAUGAAUUAGAUAUUUUGGUCCCUUCAUAAUUCCUCCUCUUGACUUCACAUUUCCCCUCAGCCCGUGAUAAUUUUACCUAUUGAAUUCACAUUUCCCCUCAUCCAUUGAACUUUCCCAAUAACAAGAUGAGUCUAAAUCAUCAAUCUCAUUAAACACUCACAUCUACUAAAUAAUAUCGCAUGCAGUAACUUUAAGUAAGGAUCUAAAACUUACAAGAAAAAGAAAACUACUGUUUAUUAAUUUCAAAAUUUACACAAAAUUACAAAUGAUUUUAUAAACUGUACCAAAACAUGUUCUCUAAAAGAGAUUCAUUAUCCUGCAUUUUCAAAAACAAUAUAAACUAACACUAGAAUAGCCAUUUGAUAAUGAUGUGAAUUUGGGCAGCACCAAGAAGCAGUGAGCCCCAUUUGGUGAAAGCAAAAAGAAAAAAAAUUAAAAUAAAGCACUAUAAAUUCUAAUCAAAUUAUUAACAUUAGCUACACAUCAAGAAACCAGAAUAAAAUCGUUAUCUAAACCACAUACUGAAAAAGAAAAAACAAUGCAGUUAAAAUUCUAUCAUUUUCACUUACAAACAAAUAAAGAAAAAAUUAAGAACAAAGGUUGAAGCAAAGAAUGAUUGUACCUUGAGGUACUUGAGGUUAAUGUUUCCAUAAACGAGACCGAGCGAAAAAGCCGAAACCAGAGCAACCUAUUCUUACUACUCAAAAACACGCCCAGAUCAGAAAAUAAAUGAUCAUUCAAUAACAAUUCAUAGGAAAAUGAUGUUUGCCCCGGGUCAAACCCCGGGUCAAACCCCGAAAAUAACUUAAACGGCGUCGUUUUGAUUAUUUUUUUUCUUUUGGAAUACUCCAAAACGACGACGUUUCUGAUGAUAUUUUGAGAAGAAUAAAAUCUAUCUUCCUCUUCGUUUUCGUUUCUUCGUUUCACCUGUGAAAGAACAGAGCAACAGAGCAACAGAGAUCCCAACUUGGUCUUGUUCCGUUUGACCGUAAAUCUCUUCAUUUCUUCGUUUCUUCGUUUCUUCAAAUAACGGCAAUAUCACCCAAAACAAAGUUUCAUGCAAUGUUGUAAAAAAUAAAUUAUGAUUUGAGAACUGAAAAAAUAAUAUGAGAACUAAAAAAAUGAGACAAAUCAAGAAUAUGAGAACUGAAAAAAUUAAUUCAAUGUUACAAUGUUACAAUGUUCUAAAAACGAAGGCCAACUUCCUAAAAUAAAAUUAAAAAACAAAAUGCUACAAUGUUAAUCUUCGAAAAUUAAACUGAAAAAAUGAGACAGUACCGAAAAAAACAAAUCUUCGAAAAUUCAAGCUUGGCACAAUGUUAAUCUUUCGUCCAAACUCAGCUUUCAACCGUCCAAAUUCAGCUUGUCCAAACUCAGCUUUCAACCGUCCAAACUCAGCUUGUCCAAACUCAUCUUUCAACCGUCCAAACUCAGCUUUCAAGGACACAUUUCGCAGCCGAAACUCAGCCGAAACUCAGCUGCUGUUGGUCUUGUUCUUCAAUGGGUACCAAACGAAAAAGAAACGAAAAAGAAACUCAGACGCUUUCAACUCAGCUUCCAAGGACAAAUUUCGCAGCCGAAACUCAGUCGAAACUCAGUUGCUGUUGGUCUUGUUCUUCAAUGGGUGCGAAACGAAAAACAAACUCAGAUGAAGAGGAUGGAGCUUUAAUUAGUAGAUCCCGUUCUGCUGUCGAUGAGUGCUCCGGCUGUGGAUCUCGGUCGAGGAUGGAAGAAACGAAAAAGAAACGAACAAACGAAAAAGAAAAUAAAAGAAAACGACGCAAAUCAUUCAAUAAACAAACGAAAAAGAAAAAAAAAAAAGAAACGACGCAAACGACGCCGUUUAAGUUAUUUUCGGGGUUUGACCCGGGGCAAACAUCAGCACUCUUUCCUUUAUGAAUUGGGAAAAUGCUACUUUCCCCGGGUCAAACCCCGAAUUAUUUCAAAACGGUGUCGUUUUGUUUUUUUUUUUUUCUUUUUACUUGCAUGAAACGUGGUCGUUUGAGCUAGUAAAAACAAAACAAACUAAAGCAGAAAAAACUCAAGUGCUUAUCUUCUCUGCCCCUUUCUUAAUUUCCUUUUGACAAACCACGGAAUCACACCCACAAACAACAAUCACCCACAGUCACGCGAACAGCCGGCACAGACGAAGGAUGAGCCCACAGACGACGGACCACCGCAUUGAAAUCUCUGUCCACAUCACCGGCACCAUCAUCGUAGGUCUGUAACAAACUGUCGUAAGUUAAACCCUUCUCACCGUCGAUGAACUCGACGUAAGUACGGAAUACUUCGUCGAGAAUUGCGUUGAUUUGUUCGUCGCUGAAUUUGACUCGAGGGUUUACGGCCACCACUAAAGCCGCCAUUUCUUCUCUAUUACGGCCACCGUCGCGGUUCGUGUCAAAUUGUUGAAAAAUUCUCUUCACUUUCUCUGAUCUGCUUCCUCUCGUAGCCAUUUUUUUUUUCUGUUUUUCUGGGGGUCAGUUUGGUUUCUCAGUGUUUGUUUGAGAAAGCGGAAUUAGUAGAUAAGGGAAUAUAAGGAAAAGUUGAUAAAAAGGCAAAGGGUGGUUACUUUAAUUGUUGGUGAGAAUAAUGAUGAUGAUGGCUUAAUUCUGGGUUUUGUUGGAUCUGAAUGAAUUCUUAACGGCAAAAGUUAAAGAGUAGAAGAAGAGCAAGAGGACGGACUCUCAUUCUUUCCCUUUUUUCUUUUAAUUUUAAAUAUAUCAAAAACGGCAGCGUUUUGGAGAAACAAAAAAGAAAAAAAAAUUAAAACAAAACGACGCCGUUUUUGUUUUCGGGGUUUGACCCGGGGCAAACAUCAGCACUCAUUCAUAAAAACUCCAUCCCAUCGCAUUUAAAACAAAACAAAGAAAAUAUUGAUUAGAAAAAAAAUUACACGCAUGGAAUAAAAGAAUAUAAAAAUGGAAUUACCAGAGGGAGCUAGUGCCGGAGUAGGAACCAGAAGGCAGCGCCAUAUGAUGCUCUUGUUAUGGUUUUCCUUCUUGUGGGUCUGCGCUGAAGUCGAAGAUGAAGAAACAAGAAAGAGCCAGCAAAUUGAGAAAUCGACUACCAUCUUCGAUUCCGACUCGCAUGGCCAUUUUUCUUUGAUGAAUGAAAUAUUGUUUUACUCCCUAAUUCUUAACCAAAUUACAAGUUUUGACUUCUGUUUGUAUGUUCUUUCAUACGGGUUCUUGUUCACAGGAAUAACAAAUGGGCCGGACGUGUGGCUAAGCCCGGGCCUGGUGUCGAUAGCCAGGCCUGGGCUUUUACGAGCCCAGGCAUUUUAUUCUGAGUAUGAUCCUUAUAUCACUUCACUUUUGUAAUCGUAAUUUUAUUGUACUGAAAAUUAUAUGAACGAUUAAUAUGAAUUUAAUUAAACAAACAUGUCUUUACAACUCAUGCAACCUUACUAUUUUCUAAUCCUAAUAUGUGAUAUAAUUAAUUUUACUGAUAAAAUCAAAAUAAUUUUUAAACAAUGAAGAAAUAAAUUAUAAUAACAGUAAAUUUAUUACGAAAAAGUAUGUUUACAAAAUUUAUUUUAAAUGAUAUGAAAUCUAAUUAAAAUUCUAUUCUAAUUUUAUGCCCUUUUUUACAAUUUUAUUAAAAAGUGGGAUCUCUUAAGAUUUUAGGAGUGUUGGAAUUCUAUUUUUCCAGAUUUGAAUUUUAGUGACCUUUACUUCAUUUAAAUUUUUUGUUAUAAACUUGCAAGCAAGUGCAUUUAGGAUAUCUUUGGUGAACUGGAUUGUAACAAUAAUUUUAUUUAUUAAAAUUAUUAAAAGUAUUUAAUUAAUAAAACUUCACGUAUCCUCGGGUCUAACCAAUCAAAUUCUUUCUCUCAAAAGUACACAAAAGUGAGAUUGGCUCUUGCCUAUUAGUUAACAUAUGCAUAUUAAUUAACACUGACAGAUAUAUAGAUAUACAGCACAGCUAGCAGCACAUUCGACUUACAGAUAUACAGAACUUGAACAUAAUUCACAUAUCUGAAGGGAGAGGGAUAUCGAUGUUGCGGCCUGCAAUUCAUAACAUAUCAUCGGUCAUUUAAUCUAGAAUUGAGGAGAGAAAAUGAGUCUAAAUUCGAAAACUUUGGCACUAUUUACAUAUCAUUAUUUGGGUGAAAAUUCAUUUCUCUGCUUUGAUAUGAUUUGGUCUUUCAUUGUUACGGUGCCAAUUUUUUAUUUAAAGAUGUAAGGUAGUGGUACUAUAGCUUAUAUUUUCCGUAAUUACUAUCCGGUAAGUACAAAAAUAAAAUACUAGUUUAAAAUAUAAAAAUGAAAAAUUAUUUUUAUAACCAAUAUUCAAUUAAAUACAUUUAAAACUCUAUUUUUUCUUAAUAAAAAAAAUUCUAAUUUAUUUUCUCAAUUUAUCUAAACAACUUUACCUAAUCAAGCUAAAUCUACAUAUUACCCUAAACCUUAAUUCAUAAACACCCAAUCAAUCUAAUUGUUAAAUCUUAUUUCAUAAUAAAAAAAAAUUAAUUUCUUUUUUAUUAUUUAUGGUGCAAAGGAAAAAAUGAAUUUAAAGGUAAAAUUGAUAUUUUAUUUAAAUUUUGUUAAUAUUCUAAUAAUAUUAAUGUCUUGGUGGUUAAUAAAAGCAUAAAGUUAAACUUUUGUAGUAUUUUUAAUAAUAUGGUAAAGAUAUAUGUUUGAUAAUUUUCUUAUGUCUUUUUACGUUAAAUUGAGUCUCAAGUAUAAUGAAUAAAUAAUACAUAUUAUAAAAUUAGUGUAGAUAAAUAAUACAACUUGAAAAUAUUAUAGUAUUCUUAAUAAUAGAGAAAUUUAAAGGUGGAUAGUUGAUUGUUUAAUGAAACAACUACAGAAUUUUCCUUUCAAAUAUCUUUUUGAAAAAACAUGAUUGAGUAAAAAUUAUUUUACAGAAUGACCUUUCAAAUGCCCAUUCGACAAGCCAAGAAGAAAGGGUAGCUAACAAAUUUACAAGUACCAGAGAUCCAGAAACACAUUUAUAGCCAAUCCAUUUAUGAGUUACAUUCAACACUCUCACAAACUGAAAAAAUAAAAAUUAUUACGGUCAAGACGCACACUUUUUGACAUCCAAAAAGCUAAACAUUUGAAGUUCUUCAAUACAAAAUGCAUACUAAAUUGGCACAAUUAAUGCCCAUGGAAGGGUCAUCAAUUUAAGCCAACAAAUUUGCCAAAGUUUUAACAGUGAACACAAAAGGAACAUGUAAAAUUUGAAGUUGAACAAAUCUUCACAUGCAUACAACAAGCCUUAAAACUUUAGUCUUCACAAUUUGAGCACGCAAUAAAUAUUAAGUGACCACCCGCAGAACAAGUCUAGAAUAAACUUGUUAGGUUCUUGCGCGAACUGAACCCCUCUGAAACACUAAAAGAGAAAGUACAAAAUAAAGAAGACCAUAUUACGUGGCUAACUAACAGCCAUUCCCAAAGAAAUGAGAGUGAUGAUAACGUCUUUUUUUUUUUUUUUUCCUUUCAAUCAUAUUUCUCGUCAUCUUCUUCUUCACGGGCAUCUACACUGACGUCUCCCUCUUGGCUGGCAUCUUCCUCGUUUGUAGUCGGUCGCUAUCCAACCAACAAAUUGGGCAUUAAAGAACAAACAGAGAAAAUUAUAACAAUAAGAACUAUAAACAUGAAAAGAAAAAAAAAAAAAAGAUAUUUGAAGGGAAAUUUUGGUAGAACUCUAUGGCUCAUCCGUGAAAUUAAUGUUAAUAUAUAUGUUUAUGUAAUGACGGUCUAUUGAUUUUAGGAUAGAUCAAUAAGCUAUUACAAACGAAAACAUGAACCAACUAUAUGUAGAGUUAAUUAAUUUAAAGUUCUCAAGAGCUUACCUCUGCUCCAGAAUUCUCGGAAUCAGCGCGAAACUUGGGACAACGACAAACGCGUGCAAGUGGAACUGGGAUCUGAUAACCCGUAGGCCAAAAGUUGGUGAGGUUUGGUAAAUCUUUCAGACUCACGUACGGAAGUUCGUCCAUAACAAUUUCAUCGUAAUCCAUGACGUGUGCUCCAUCUUUAUCCCAGAAUACUUCUUCUAAUUCAUCAUUACUAAAUAUCUCUAGUUUCAUUAGUUUUUGAAGACUUGGAGCUACGCUGAUAUGAAAUAGAUACUUUAGUUUGGGGCAAUGACCGACAAAGAUCCAUGUGAGUUUUGGGAAACAUAUAGGUUGGAGAUGAUCCUCAUCCUCAUCCUCAUCAAUGAUUUGCUCUAAUUCCCAGCAUUUCCAAAUAUAUAACUUCUCCAAUUGCAACAGAUUUCGAGCAAGUGUUGAUGAGAGGAGACGUCUCAGCUUAAUGCACCCCCUUACGGUUAAAUCAGUAAGAUUUUGCAGGCUAAAAUUAUGGGUGGGACCUUCAUGAUAUAAUAAUACUUGCAGUUCUCGAAGAUCUUCCAAUUGCAACGACUCCAAACAUGGGAAUAGUUUGUUUUCUUGUCCCUCAGCGAUAAUAGCUUCCACUUGAAAUACCACCUGUACUCCAAUUUCCACAAUAUUCAAUUCUUCCAAAUUUUUUAAUCCAUGCUUCAACAGUGCGGGAAUUGUGUCACACAAAUGGGAGCAAUCUUCCACAUCUAGAGUAUUUAAGUUCUGAGACAAAUAAAUAAAUAACUUGAUACAAUUAACAUCUAUUAGCAGCUACGAUUAUCACAUGAUAAGCAAUAAACUAACACCAAAAAAAAAAAAUCUAAAUCCGUACAAAAUAGUUAUACUUUAUGAAAGUAAUGGAUUUAUUAAAAAAAUGAAAUUAGUUAAAAGAGAUCGUGUGAAGUGAUAUAAUGGUGAAAUCGGUUUGUUUAUGAAAAUUUUGUAUUCUAUUUCUAUGGCUUGAUUAACGAAUUAAUUGAAUUUGCUUAAUAUUAUAUGUACUCCACCAGUGUUUGCAUCCAUUUUUUUUUCCUUCAAAAGCGAAGCGAGAUUUGACUUUCAUUUGAAGAAUGAAUUUUAGGCCCUAAAAUAAGGAAGUUUCCCUAACAUAUUGGAUUUUAUUAUUAUCAUCACCAUUAGCACUACGAUCAUCAUCAUCAUCUCUCUCUACAAAGCCAAAUGCAAGGUGGUAUGAAUGGCGGAUCAUAAAAAUUAUUGAUAAACUAUCAAUUUGAAUAAAAUUGAAGAAAAAUAAAGAAAAAAACAUAAACACAAACGAACAUACCUCUCCAAGAUACUGCAAAUUGGCUUCAAGUUCAGUAUUGUGGACAGUCAAGUUUGGACAGCUGGUUACAUCUAACUUUUCCAACGCUGGCCAAGUUGAAUAAUAAUUUUCUGAACAAAAGCUAAUGAGUUGGGAGACCUUCAAGGCUUAAAUUUCUCAACAAAGAGAGCUCGAGUAUUCUAUUUUCAUCUGCUACACUUAUUUCCCCUUCAUUAUGAUCAAACUUUACUUUGACGAUGCAUUCCAGUCUCUCGCAUCCACUCACUUCGAGACUUUUAAGCUGCACCAAACUUCGAGCUUGUGACAACGAGAAGAUAUAUGUCAAGUUGUUGCAUCCGUACACACUCAGUGCUGUAAGAGUUUGGAGGCUCACAUGUUGGGCGGGCGCCUUCCAUAUCUGCUUCAGUUCUGGUAACUCCUGCAUAUAUAACCUUGCUAAUCUUGAGAGCAUCAUAGGAUUCCCACUCUCUCCUUGCGGCGACUGAGAGGCAUCCAUUAUGCAUUCUAAAUCUUCACAAUUGUUGACAAAAAGAAAAGUCAACUUAUUUAAGCCCCUUGGAUCUAUGCUUGGCACAAUAUUAUGACAACUUAUUAUGUCAAACAAAGGUUUCAAUGCAGAAAAUAAUUCUUUCGUAUAUUCUUCUCCAAAUCAGAGGCAAUAUAUGAAGCUAAUUACAUCCUAAAAAAGGAAGAAAUAAAUUGUUUCUAUAUUUAAAUACAAGAUUGAUCAACUAAAAAGAUUCCCGGACGUAAUAACAAAAUCAAUUCUAUAAUUGACAGCACAUGCCGACAGCUCAUGCUAGCUCAUGCCGACACUCCCCCUCAAGUUGGAGCAUAGAUAUCUAUCAUGCCCAACUUGUCAAUUAUAUCAUGAAACACCCUUCCUGAUACUGUUUUUGUGAGUAUGUCAGCCAACUGAUCUCCAGAUUGAACAAAUGGGAACUGUAUAGUUUUCUCGUCAAGCUUCUCCUUGAUGAAAUAACGAUCUACUUCAACAUGUUUUGUGCGAUCAUGUUGUACAUGAUUCUGGGCAAUCUCUAUGGCUACUUUAUUAUCACAUUUAAGAUUCAUGGGUUUUGCAUAAUCAAUCCCCAAAUCUUUCAGUAUGUUCUUGAUCCAUAACAUCUCACAUACACCUUGUGCCAUUCCACGAAAUUCCGCUUCAGCGCUUGAUCUUGCCACAACCUUCUGCUUCUUGCUUCUCCAAGUGACGAGAUUGCCUUCAACAAAUGUAAAAUAACCUGAGGUAUAUCUUCUUGUUGUCUGGUCACCUGCCCAAUCAGAGUCCGUAUAUCCUUCAAUGUUUGAGACAGUAUUUUUUGAGAACAAUAAACCUUUUCCAGGAGCACACUUCAAAUAUCUCAGAAUUCGAUAGACUGCAUCCAUAUGUUCUUCACUUGGUGAAUGCAUGAAUUGGCUUACUAUACUUACGGCAUACGCUAUGUCUGGCCUUGUGUGGGAUAAAUAGAUUAACCUCCCAACUAGCCGUUGAUAACGACCCUUAUCAUUUGGUAAAAUCCCAAGCUUGUGAUUCAUCUCUAUAGGCGUUUCAACUAGUUUACAAUCAAGCAUACCAGUUUCAGUGAGGAGAUCUAACACGUAUUUUUGUUGUGAAAGAAAAAUUCCACUUUUCGAUCUUGCUACCUCAAUCCCCAAGAAGUAUUUAAGCUGCCCAAGAUCUUUCAUUUCGAAUUCAGUAGCCAAAUGUUCUUGUAGUGCUUUCAUUUCAGAUAAAUCAUCCCCUGUUAACACCAUAUCAUCAACAUACACUAUUAACACCGUCACUUUUCCGCCUUUGUGUUUUAUAAACAAAGUAUGGUCUGAAUUACUUUGUUUAUAACCAGCAGCUUUCAUUGUCGCUGAAAACCUCCCAAACCAUGCCCUAGGUGACUGUUUUAGUCCGUACAAGGACUUCUUCAGCUUACAUACUUCAUUCCUAUGCAUAGAACUAUGUUUGACACCAGGAGGUAGCUCCAUGUAAACUUCUUCUUCUAAAUCUCCAUUGAGAAAAGCAUUUUUGACAUCGAACUAUUUUAAGGGCCAAUCUCGAUUUGCUGCUAUAGAAAUAAUAAUACGAAUGGUAUUUAUCUUGGCUACUGGUGCGAAAGUGUCUUGGUAAUCUAAUCCAUACCUUUGUGUAUAUCCCUUUGCCACUAGUCUCGCUUUAUACCUAUCAAUGAUUCCAUCCGCUCUGAGUUUUACCGUGAAUACCAUCUACAUCCAAUUGUUUUCCUUUCCUUAAGUAGUGAAACCAGUUCCCAAGUGGCAUUUUUUUGUAGAGCUUCCAUCUCUUCAUUCAUCGCCUUAGUCCAUUUUGGAUCCUCCAAAGCAUCCUGUACACUACUAGGAAUAGAUAUAGUGGAUAAUUGAUUAAUAGUAAGUGCAUAUGAUUCACACAACCUAUGAGAUGACAUGUAGUUACUGAUUGGGUAUUUUAUUUUGGAUUUGGGAUCAGGUUCAUAUUGUUUAUUUGGAAUUCCUCUAUUUGACCUUUGUGGAUAUUUAGGAUUCAUGUCUUCUACAGAAAAAAAUGGUUCAUUAGACUCAUUAGACAAUGGAUUUGAAAUUACAUGAGGAGGAACACUUUCGGUUAAUUCUUCAGUUAAUGGUGUAGACAUGGGUAGCUCUAGUGGCCUUGAUUGUGCUUCAGACAUGUCCAGAAAAUUGGAGGGAUCACAUUCGGUUUCAGUCAUGUUAUCACACCCUUGUUGAACCUCAUUUCCAUCACUGUUUUGAAGUUUUUCGACCAUGUCUUCUAAUUCUACAAAAUCACCUCCUCCUUCAUUUUCCCUUUGACCAUUCUCUUCACACAAACUCUCCCCCUGGAGGGAAUGGUAAGAGACUCCCCCUGAGUAAUAAGGUUCUAAUUCAUGAAAAGAGACAUCCAAAGUUACAUGCAAUUUUUUUGUGUGUGGAUCAUAGCACCUAUAACCUUUUUGAAGAUCAGAAUAGCCAAUAAAAACACAGCGUUUGGCACAUGGAUCAAGUUUAGUUCGUAAACUUUUUGGAAUGUAAGCAUAAACAAUACAACCAAAUAUUCGGGGUUCAAGAUUAGGAAGAUGAGGAAUUGAGAGUAAGGAUUGCAUUUUUUGUUGGGGAGUUUGAAAAUCUAGCACUCGUGAAGGGGUUCGAUUAAUGAGAUAAGCUGUCCCCAAUAAAACCGAGGCAUGUUCAUGCCAAAAAGAGAAGCACGAACCACCUCUAAAAUCUGUCUAUUUUUCCUCUCAGCCAGCCCGUUUUGUUGUGGGGUGUAAGUGCAUGAGGUCUGAUGACGAAUUCCAUGAAUGUUUAAAAACUUGCCAAGAGAGGCAUCCAUAUACUCAGUACCAUUGUCAGAUUGAAGUACACGAAUCUGCUUUUGAUAUUGAGUACUUACCAUUUUGUGAAAUUCUUGAAAGGCUAGACAUACAUCGCUUUUUUUUAUAAGUAAAGACACCUAAAUCAUUCUAGUACAUUCAUCAAUAAAUGUCACAAAAAAACGAGCUUUAGAAAGAGAAGCAACUUUUGCAGGACCCCAAACAUCGGAAUGAAUCACCACAAAAAGGUUCUAGACUUUUAUUUAAACUUGGUAAAUAAGAAGUGCGAUGGCUUUUAGCCAUCUCACAAAUGUCACAAUGAAAAUUCAAAUCAUUUAGAGUUGAAAAAAGAUGAGGCUGUAAUUUUUUGAGAUAACCAAAAGAAAGGUGUCCUAAUCUACGAUGCCAUAACCAAACAUUUGCCCGAGUUCUAUCUUUAUUAGAAGCUUGAUUUGCCUGACUGAUAUUUGGUCCCUCAUUUUCUGUCAAUUCCAAGUAAUAGAGUUUACCCCGUCUAACACCAUAAUCAAGAAUCUUCCGAGUUAGGAUGUCCUGAAAAACACAAAAAGCGGGCCAAAACGUUACAGUGCAAGCAAGUGUGGAGGUAAUUUGGCUAACCGACAAAAGAUUAUAUUCAAGAGAUGGGACAACAAGAACUGUAUCUAAUGUAAGAGUAUUACUCAAGGUAAUAGACCCUUCCCCAAUAAUAGGAGAAGUACUACCGUUUGCAGUGGAGAUAACAGAUUGAGAAGAGGGAAGAACAGAUUUUAAUUGGCUAGAAUCUCUGGUCAUAUGCUCAGAUGCACCUGUAUCAAUAAUCCAUAUUCUAUUCUUAGAAGUUACAGAACAUACAGAUGUCUUACCAAUAAUACCUGGGUGGGCAACAUUUGCUGAAGGGGAUGGUUGUUCUUCAUCCUUUGCUGCUGUCACAUUAGCCUUCCCAGAUAUUUUCUUACGGGGCUUCUUUGAGAAAUCCCACCAAUCUGGAUAGCCAAUGAUUUCAUAGCAGCGUUGUUGUGAAUGACCUUUUUCUCCGCAGUGAGUGCACACAAGGUUGUUAACUUUGCUGGAUGAUUGAUUGCCUCGAUUUUUUGAAGAUCCAUUUCGGUUUUGACUGGCCAGCAUGGCAAGGUUCUCCGAAAUUAAAUUAGAGCCUCUCAUUGUUUGUCUCUGUUGGUAAUCCCUUCUAACAUAAGCAUAUGUGCUUUCUAAAUCAAGUUUUGGGUAUUUUCGCAAUAUUUCUCCACGAACCUGUUCAAACUCUGAGUCGAGGCCACUUAGAAAAAUAUGAACUCGAAGCCUAGCCAUUGCAGAAUGCAGCUGUAAUAGCCCUUCGACUGUGCCUUCUUUAGUGGUAGUCCUAUGAUCGAUUUCCUGAAAAAUGGCAACCAGUUCAUUGUAAUACGUUGGCAAUGGUCGCCCAUCCUGUUUGGUAGAGAAAGAUCUCUGGUUCAGCUCAAAAAUACAGGUUUCAUCGGUUCCAUCAUAGAAGGUUUUCGAUACAGCCUCCCAUAUAUCUUUGGCUGUAGGGAGACGAAUAAAUCGUUGCAUCAACGAUGGACUCAUUGAGUCAAUCAACCAGCUCUUGACUCUUUGAUUUUCAGUAAUCCAUGAUCCAAGAUUAGGAUCUCCUGGUGCUGGUUUCUUCGUUUCUCCAGUAAGAUAACCAGCUUUGUUGCGAGCACUAAUCCGCAUCUCUAUGAGUUGAGACCAUAAUGAGUAGUUGGUCUCAUCCAGAGUGAUUCCAGUUGGAAAUGCCGAGUUGUCUUGAUGAACAACAACUUGUGGUGCUGGUGGUGGGAUAAUAUCCAUUGAUACGCCUGUGAUAUCAGUCAUAGAGAUCACAACAACGGUGAAUAUUCAGAAUACGAAUACAAAUUUCGAGAGAAAAAAAGAAAAAAGAAAAUAUUCGGUUGUCAACACAAAUUCUCUUGAUGAGGAACCUGCUCUGAUACCAUGUCAAACAAAGGUUUCAAUGCAGAAAAUAAUUCUUUCGUAUAUUCUUCUCCAAAUCAGAGGCAAUAUAUGAAGCUAAUUACAUCCUAAAAAAGGAAGAAAUAAAUUGUUUCUAUAUUUAAAUACAAGAUUGAUCAACUAAAAAGAUUCCCGGACGUAAUAACAAAAUCAAUUCUAUAAUUGACAGCACAUGCCGACAGCUCAUGCUAGCUCAUGCCGACAUAUUAUCCUGCUCAAAUCAAGAAAUUCCAGAUUUUGAUACAAUGCUGAAAAAAUAUUGAGCGAGGUCGCUUCAAAAGGGUAAUCAAUGAUUAAGCUCCUUGUCUUAUCAGCAUCUUCCAUUUUAUAGUCAACUCCUUCACCUUUAAUCGUGUACCUUUGCAAUUUUGGGAAUGUAAAAUCUUUUGAAAGAUAUACAACAGAUCUGCCAACUUGGAAGUUAAACUCAGCAAGCCUAGCAUUACUUUCUUCUGAACUCAUCACUUCAACCUCCCAAUCUUUUAUCCGACCAUAAAAUUCUUCUAAUUGAGGAAAUUUUUUUAUCGUAACGGGAGAAACAGAACCAGUAUCAAUAUAUAGAAGUUUCAAUCUACGAAGUUCAUCCGACAAAUCUUCAGGAAUUUCAAUGGGAGAAUUCUCGAGAUAAAGAAGUUCAAGUCUUUUCAACUUUCCAAGAAAAGACGCGUCACUCACAUGACGUCCAAUCAACUGCAGAACUCUGAGGCUAUUGGCAAGGAAUCGAAGCGAUUUUAGUGAAAGGACUCCAUUGAUUAUAGUAACAACUUUCAAUGCUGGCAUCCCUUCAAAAAAAUUUUCUGGAACUUGCAAUUUGUAGCGAUAUAGAUUAUUGUGCAGUCGCAAAAUAUGAAGGUUAGGGCAUACCAAACGACUAGGAAGCUCUUCUUGUUUAUUUCCCAUUACAGAGAUUCCUCUAUAUUGCUCCAGGCCUUCUUCCAUUGCCCGUUCUACCAAUCCAAUGCCAACUUUACUAAAAAAUUUCUUCUCCACUAGUGCUUCUGAGCCUAUCCAUAUGGCUACAUCACGAACUAUGUCAUGCAUUUUCACAGAUCUGUCAUUACCAGUGUCUAACAGCAGUGAAGCAGCUUUGAGUCCCUCAAUUAUUCCACGCAGUAGGCUUCUGGCGUUCUCUAUCGACUCAGCUGGAUGCCAAAUCAACCCCACACCGUAUCCAACCAAAACCUCCAAAUAAAUGUCAUAAUCUUCUGGAAACAUCGAACACAACAAGAAGCAUAACUUGGAAUCCUCACCAUUCAAAUUGUCGUAACUAAAUUUAAGACAACCACAAACGUUUCGCUCAUCCUUAUCAAUCCCUUCGAUUGCAUAGAGUUUUGCUUCCCUUAGGUUAUGUAGAGCUAGAUUCCAUUCAUCAAAUCCUUUUCCUCUUAGUGCACUUCCAACAGCUUCAAUAGCUAAAGGCAGCCCCUUACAUUCUCCAGCAACAUCUUUGGAAACAUCAUUGAAGGUGGAGUCAUUCACAUCAAUGCCGGCAUUUUUUUGCAGUAAAGCCAAUCCUUCUUCUGGCGUUAGUGUACCCAGUGGAAUCUGCGAGUCACAACGCAUGCGUUCACAAACUGACUGCAGGCGAGUAGUUAGAAGGAUUUUGCAGCGAUUGUCUCUAUCACCAAUGGGUAUACCUAAUUUUUCCUUCAAGUUUAGUUCGUUCCAGACAUCAUCGAGGAUUAUGAGGAUUUUGGUGCUUUCGCUCGCAGAAAACAUCGAGCGCAGUUGGUCUGCUCCAUCUUUUUCAUCUUUCUGCUUUAAUUCCCAACCUAAUGAAUUUACCAGCUCAUUUUGAACAUUUAUUAUGUUUGGAUGCUGAGAUACAGUGGCUAGCCCCACUUUAUCGAAAAUCUUUUGUUGCCGAAGUUGACUGCCCACAAAUUUUGCCAAGGUCGUCUUUCCUACACCACCGAGGCCAUGCAAUCCCACCUUCUUUGUGCUCUCUUUUUUCAGCGCGUCAAUGAUCAGAUUGUAAGCUGAUUCUGUGGUCUUGUAAGUAGAAGAAAAAUAACUUGGUAAACUUAAUUCUCUCUCUAAUGGUGGAGGUUUAGCAAGGGCAGCUGUGUUGAAUUGGCUGUAGUGUUGUAGCAGAUCAAACAACUUCCUAGUCUUCUCUGAUGCUUUUCCGCCCAGACUAUAUCGGCAACCCCAUUCAGGACACAAUCCAUGAAGACUACUAUCCUUUUUAUCUAUCUCUGCUUUCAACUUUUGAAUAUCGCCCAAUUCCCCGUCUACAUCCUUCAGCCACUCCGUUACAUUUUGAUCGACUACUAUGUCGGGGCGUUUUUGUCGUUGAUCUUCUAUUCUCUUAUUGAUGACAUCUAGUGCCUUCUUCAACUUAGUUUGUUCAACCUCAAGUUUUUUCACAAUGCGGUCGAAACAGAAUAGAUAGGAAGUUCUUUGAUUUCAUUCACCAAAUAUUUUCCAAUCGAUUCUAAAAGUGGUUUAAAAAUUUCUUUUAAACAAUCUUUUAAAAUUUCCAUGCUAUUUAUCUGCAAAUAAAAAAGUUGAUCUCAAUACGCUAUAAGCAAAAGAACGAGGCUUGAUCACAAGAUCGAAUGAAGACGUUUAAUUACCUUUUUUUGUUAUGUGAAUGCACGUUUAUUAACACCAGCUUUUUUUUUUUUGGUCUAAUCCAUCCGGUAUCCGGUGACCACAUUGGGCCCCGACUACUCCGGAUUCGGAGAGAGGGCGUAAUUCUCCUCCCAACGUAGGCGACUCCACCAAGACUCGAACUGGGGAGCAAACCCAGUCGAGCCCCUGAGGGGUUCAGCCCGCUGCCAACUGAACCAACCAGUCGUUGGUUUAUUAACACCAGCUUUGAUCAAUAAGAGCAAAAUGCAAACGCCGGGCUUCAAGAGUUCUAAGUGGCCUUUAGCUGCAGAAUAGAAGAUGACAAAUAAGGUAAAACGUUCCCAGCAAACGUGAUAUGUGGUGGACUUAAAAUGAUACCUUAUUUGGGAUGAUAAAGAUUGGGGUAAAUUCUCUUUUGUUCUCAAAAUUUUGAACCUAUUAUCAGUUGUAGUAUUUGUAUUUUUAAAAAUUACCUAAAACAUGCAUGUCACUACUUUCAUAGCUAUUGAACAUUUCAUUUCAAAUAUAAAAUACUAUAAAUUAAAAAUCAAACAAAUCUAUCAUGCAACAAACGAAAAGUAAAUACUAAUAAUUAGGUUUUAAUGGAAACUAAUAUAAAACAUAGAGGUUUUAAUUAAUUUUUGUGAUUUCUUUUAAUGUUCGAUUUAGAAUUGAAUAAUUUGUAUAAGGAAAAUAAACUGCAAAAUAAGUUUAUAUGCCGAACUUAAAAUAGUUUCAUAUUAGUAAUCAUAUAAUUAUCAAAUUUUUUAAUAAAAUUUAUUUAAAAAUUGACCAAUUGCGUUUCAUGAGGAAAACAGAGAGCAUAAUGGACUUAUGUUGCGACUUGGGAUUGAAAGGCCAGAAGGUAGUGUUAGCCUAUAUGGCUAUAAAAUAUUGAUUUUGAUGAUAACAAACCACAUGUAUUGACUAAGCAAAGAUUUAUAAAUUAUGCUUUUAUAAUAAGAAAAUAAUGUUAUGGAAUUAAAGUAUUUUGGACUAAAAUGAAAGUAUUUUAAAAUCUUUGAUAGUGUUUUUAAAUUUCGGAUUUGGACCUAUUUAAAACUAUUUAAAUGUUUUUGGGUCAUUCUAUAAGUAUGGGUCAGUUGAAAUUUAAUGGAAAAGUUUACGACAUAGUCAAAGUUCGAGAGCUAUUUUCAAUUUGAGGAUAAAACAAUGUUGCAAUUGUUGGCUUGUUGCAACAUUCCAUAACUUUUGUGUAUUUGUGGCUUAAGUAUAUGGCAGUCCUUGAUAUUGUAUAUUACAUAUAUCCUGCCUUCAACUCACUGAGAGUAAGAGUGCCACUGUUGUCAGUGUCCAUCUCUCUAAAUUUUUCCGUUAGCUUUUGCUUUUCUCCUGUUGGAAGAUUUUCCACAAUGACCUGAAAAUCCACUCAGUUUUAUCAGUAGAGGAAGCACAAUUAAAUGCAUAAAUUUAAUGGCUUGCACAUAUAUAGCUAACUGAAUAUAAUAACAAGUACUUCGCAAUAAAACAUUGUUGGUGAGGAAGUGCAGAUGCAGAAAUUCGAUCAAGCAUUUAACUAAUGAUUGUCGCUGUUGUAUCCAAUUCUCAUACUUAGCCCUAAUCUGAGCUAGCUCCUAAAUGGGAAGAAUCUUUUUAAUUACAUGCGUAUGUAUAUAAUUAUUAGUUAGCUAGUUGUGGUCAAUGUGACCUGUAUUUUAUCAAUGGAAUUUUAAUCAGGUGUGCGCGACAUCACACAUUGUGCACUAGAUCAAUCCUCUUAUCAAUUAAUAUAUAUUAUAUAUAGAUAUAGACACGUAUGUGAGUGGAGGAAGAAAAAAAAAUUAAGAAUAAUUUUGGCAUUUUGAUGGGUUUUAUAGAGUAAAAUCUAUAUUUUCAAAUAUGAUAAUUCUUUAAUUUAAUUUGGUGUUAUGAAAAAAGGGCAUUUUAAAUAUGUUUUAAGUUAUAAAUAACUCCAUCCAAAAUUUAAAAAUGAAAUCUGGGGGGGGGGGGGGGGGGAGGAGGGGGGGAAUUUCACCCGAACUAACAAAGGCCCAGAGUAGCCGCGGCUUUUUUCACCAAUUCUCUAAUUCCCAAUGUGGUCUAAUUAUUUACAAGGAAUAUGAGAUUCUCUACCACUCCAAUUUAUCCCAUUGUUAGUAAUCUUAUUAGCUGUUUUAUAUCCUAUUUUUAUUAUGCUCCCCAAACAAAUAUGUUUCACCUAAAGGUGCCCAACGGGCUGCACCGUCCGUCUGAAUGAACGCAUGAGAGGCUCCACAUGACCCGGCAAUCUUUUUCUUUUUAAUGAGGGCGUGACUGAUAUGCUUUUUCAAGUCUAACGCUCUUUUUUUUAAAAUCCAUAUAUUUUUUUAAGCUCAUGUCAAAUUCGGUAGUAAGAGAAUGCAAUGCUAGUUAAUAAGUUAAAGUGCAUCCGUGCCACUUUUUUCUUGUUGUUUUAUUUGUAUGAUAAUUAUCAUGGACCCACGUAACUUUCUUUUCCAUUUAAAAUUUUAUAAUAUAUUAAAUUAGACAAAAGAAAUGAAUCCCACAAAUAAUUUAUUUUAUAAUUUUUUAAAUAAUACUAUUUUAAAAUAAAUUAUUAAAACAAAUUUUAUAUUCACUAAAAUUAAUCAUAUUCAUAUUAUAAAAUAUAAAAACAACAUUUGAAAAAUAAUAUCAAAUACACCCUUAAAUUUUAUAUCGGCACUAGAACCGAUGAACAAUUUUUGACAAAGAUGUUGCGACCUAAGUAGGGAUAGCAACUAAAUUCGGAUCCAACUCGGAUAUGUAAGGAUCCGAAAGAUCCAGAUCCAGAAAAUUUUUUAUCUGAAUAUUAAAAAAUGUUGAUCCGGAUAUAGAAAUUUGGGAUCUGCACGGAUUGGGAUGGAAGUACAUUCGGAAAAUUGGAUGUCGAGAUCCGGAUAAAUUUUGUUUCAAAUUAAAAAUAUAUAUUAAAAAUUAAAUAAAAAUUAAAAAAGUAAAUUUUAUUUGUGGAUUUAUGAUGUUGUUGUAUAUUAUUCAUGUUGAAUUAUUAAUUGUUGGAUUAUGAUUGAAUUUUGUUUGAAAUUAUUGGGUAAAUUUUUGAAUUUUAUUUUAAAUUAAAAAUAUUUAUUAAAAAUUAAAUAAAAAUAAACAUUAAAUUUUAUUUGUAAAUUUAUGAGAUUAUUGUAUGUUAUUCAUUUUGAAUUAUUAAUUGUUGAAUUAUAAUUAAAUUUUAUUUGGUAUUAAUAGGUAAAUUAUUAAACUUUCAAAUUAUAUAUUAAAUUAUUUAAUUUUAAAUUUUGCAGAUCCGAAUAUCUAGAAUAUUUGUCCGCAUAUUUUUUUACGAAUCCAGAUAUAGAAAUAUGAAUAUGGAUCCAAAUUCGGAUUUUGACAACCCUAGACCAAAGCAUGAAUGUGCCUAAAGUUUUUACUAAGAACAUGGAUCAUUCAAUGACCCGACAUGUUUUGCAGCUCUCAUUAGUAUAAUUGAAUAAUUAAUUCAUCUCUAUAUUCAGCUUACACCGUCUCAAAUUGCAUGCAAAUACGAAAGUACACAUCUGAAUCGUUCACUUGAGGAAAAUUAAUUUUAACGCAAUAAGUCCUAAUUCUCCACGUAGAAUUUUAAUUCAAAGCAUAGCAAAUUAGACAUAAUUCUAAUUUAUAUGGGAAAUAUAAUUAGCGAAGACACUCUUUAUAUAAACAUUAUUGUCAUAGGAUGCCAAACCUAAUAAGAUUCAAGAUCUUAACAUACUUCAUAUGAAAUUUGAUCUUGGCGCGUACCGACACGCUUAACAUCAAGACUCUACUUCAUAUAAUGUAACUUCAUGGAUUUUUUGCUCUCUUGUGAAAUUGACAAUUAUUGGCGCUGUGUGGCAGUGGUACAUAAUAAAAUAAACGUUUAUUUUUAGAAUAUUAUUAUUUAUCUCAAUUUUUUAUUUAAUAGUUAAUUUUAAUAAAUUCUUAAACUGUCAUAAUCAAUUAAUUUUUUACAUUAUGGCAUCUUAAAUAAAUUUUGGAUCUAUAAUAAAUAAAAACUGGUAACGUUUGUUCUAUUAAAACAUAAAACAACCGUAACAUUGGUUUUUACAUUUUGAAUUUUUCUUGCAUCACUAUUUAGAAAAAUGAUGUUAAAUCAACUCACAAAAUAUAUCAAGCCAUCUAAAAUCCAAAUAUUAUUACAUUUGUAUUUGCAUUGUUAAAUUGUUGGAACGACGGCAAAGCAAUUGAAAAGAGAUUAACAAAAAAGUAAAGAUUGGCCAAGGAUUAUUCAUGUUUAGGAAAUGCCUUAACUUUUGAUAUAAUCAUUGUUAUAAUUAUAUUGUAGAAAUAAUCAAUUACCUAAUGUUUGUGGUGGUAAAUAUUAUUAACUUGUUUUACUAUACCCAUGUUUAUGUUGGUCUCCUUUUUGUCCAUUUCUGUACAACGAAAUAUUUGCAUGUUUCGAUAGAAAUUGGUUUAAAUGACAUUUAAAAUAGUAUAUCCCCAGACAAUUAACGAAAAAUUUGGAUGGUAGGAUGAAGUAAUAAGUAGUUUUACAAAUUACCGUAUUAGAGGUAAAAAAAAAUCAAGAGGUUACUUGACAAUUAUGACAUUACUAACUACAAAUUUAACACAAAAAGUUUAAUUAACUUUUCUUUUUGAGAUGACAAAAUCUCUGGUGUUGAAAACAAUGAGGUUUGAGGUUCAAGCUUGAAUAUCAAGUUACAAUUAGUAGAUGGUCUUAGGACAUAUCAAAGAUUUCUUUAAAGACAAAAUAAUAAUUACAAGCAAUAGGAAUUUAUGGUAUUCAGAACAUGUAUAUCUUCGCACAUGAAGCUUGAGUCCAGCAAAAGAUGCAGCUAGCCAAUCCUUCAACUUCCAAAACCCCACAAAAUCUCUGUCAACAUUGUUAGAGUUAUAAAUAUAAAGAAUAUUUUUGUAAUGAUUCUGCUGAUGUGGCAGCUGAGUAAGCAAGGCUAUUAUUGUUAGUUUGUAAGUUUGUUAUGGAGCUAAGAAGUUAGUUAAUCACAGCUCACUCUCAACACGUGUGUGAGCAAAUGCAUAAGGUUCUGGAUCUUAGUAUAUAAGGUCAACAUAUGUAUUCAUAAUUCAUUGAAUAAGAUUCGAUCUAUUUUUUCUUAUAGUUUCUCUUAUUGCUCAUUAAAUUUUCCUUCAUUUUCUCUGCAACCAAACAAGCAUAAAUAGCUUGGUUAAACUUCAAUUUGGUAUCAGAGCCACAUCUAGUCUAAUCUCAUGGCAUUAUCAAGCUUGAACACAAACAUCUCUUCUUCAGCAACAACCUGUACUUUCACAACUCCAAUAAAACUUGAUCGAUCAAAUUACUUAAUCUGGAAAUCUCAAAUUCUAUCCUCAGUUCGAGCAAAUGAGCUUAAGAGUUUGCUUGAUGGAUCCAGAAUCUGUCCAGAUCAAUUUCUCUCAAGCACUCAAGGAAAUUCAGAUGCUAUGUUCAAUGCUUCUGCAAGUUCAACUAUUGCUUCACGAGAGAAUCCUGAGUUUAAUGUGUGGAGAAAGCAAGAUCAGAUGCUACUGAGCUGGCUGCUAUCCUCUAUCAGCAUUGAAAUCCUCAGCUUGUGGUAAACUCUAAAACCUCUUAUGAACUGUGGUCUAGUUUAGAGCAACAAUUUGGAUCUGAAACUGAUGUUAAGAAAGUUCAUCUCAAAAUGAUGUUGAAUAAUCUGAAGAAAGGAUCUAUAACUAUGACAGAAUAUUUUAGUAAGUUGAAGUCAGUUACAGAUGAGCUUGCUAUUGCUGGAAGUCCUGUUAGUUCUUUGGAUUUUAUAACUCAUCUCAUCUCUGGAUUAGGUCAGCCUUAUUAUCCAGUAGUUGUGUAUAUUGAAGCAAAUGUUCUAAAAAUGAGUAUUAAUGAGGCUUAUUCAAUGUUGUUGACACAUGAGGCACGUUUAGAAAGCAAUCAAUCUAAUUCUUUCAAGGAAGUGAAACAGAACUAUGCUGCUAACUUAGCUCAGGCUGGAAAUAAUCAAAAGAAAGUUAACAAUCAGGGAGGCUGGAAUAAUAAUAGUCAAGGAGGCUGGAAUGGAAACACUGGAAACAAACCUGGAUUUCAUAACUGGAAUGGAAACUUUACAAACAGAGGAGGUUUCAAUUCAGGAAGGGGACAAAAUUCAGGUAGAGGACAAUGGAAUAAUAACUGGAAUAACUGGAAUGGAAAUCAAGGUAGAGGCAAUUUUGCUGGUGCUGCUGGAAAUUUUUCUGGUAGAUUUCCUGGUGGCUAUAAUGGAUUUGGAAGAGGAGGAGGCAGAGGAAAUAUUGUUUGUCAGAUUUGUUUCAAACACAAUCAUACUACAGUUGAUUGCAAAGAUAGAUUUAACAGAAAUUUUGUUCCUAAUUUUUCUGUGCAAGGAAAUUUUCCAGAUCAGAAUCAAACUUCUAGAUCUGCUUUCAUGGCUACAUCAGAAGGAGUUGCUGACCAAGGAUGGUAUCUGGAUAGUGGAGCAACACAUCAUCUCACAAACAAUGUGGUGAACCUAGCUGAAGGUAAACCUUAUCUUGGAUCUCAGUUGCUGUUAGUUGGUAAUGGACAAGGUCUUAGAAUCACUUCCAUAGGCAAUAUCUGUCUCUUUACAUCCUUUGGCAAUCAAUUAAACCUUUCCAAUGUUCUGUGUGUUCCCAAAAUUACCAAGAAUCUUAUUAACUUAUCUAAACUUCUCUCUGACAAUCAUAUAAUCAUUGAAUUUGUUUCUAAUCUUUGUUUCAUUAAGGACAAGAUGGUCUCUUUAAGCUACUGACUCAAGAUACACCUCUUUCUGAUUCUAAAGCCUUGGGUCUCAAACCUAGUUCAAUGUUGUCUGUUUUUUCAAAUAAAGAGAAUGUACACUCUUUGAAAGAGUUGAAUAACCAAAUAAAUGUCUGUUCAAAUUUGAUCAAUUCCAAUAAUGAGAAUUCUGUCAGUUUUUUAGCUUCCAGUAGUGAGUCUAUGUAGUUGCUACACAAUAGGUUUGGUCAUCCAACCAAACAUGUCUUGCAAACAAUAAUGAAAAGUCUUCCCAUGCAUUCAACCCAUUCUCAAUCUCUUAAUUUUUGUGAUGCUUGUCAAUAUGGCAAAUUACAUUAAUUCCAUUUUCCAGUCACUGAUAUAAAAUCAAAAUUCCCUCUCCAACUCUUAUAUGCUGACUUAUGGGGUCCAGCUUCUGUGUUGUUUAUGGACGGAUACAAGUACUAUAUUUCUUUUGUUGAUGAUUUCACAAGAUAUUGUUGGAUAUUUCCACUCACACUCAAAUCUGAGGCAUUUGACACCUUCAAAUAUUUCAAGUCUCUUGUCGAAAAACAGUUUUCUUUAUCCAUCCAAACACUACAAACUGAUAUGGGGGGUGAGUUUAUAGCUUUCAGAUCAUUUCUCCAACAAGAGGGUAUUCAAUUUAGAUAUAGUUGCCCCCACACUCACCAUCAAAAUGGUGUGGUGGAAAGGAAGCAUAUGCAUGUUGUUGAAACUGGACUCACACUCUUAGCUCAAGCUCACUUACCUCUCUCUUUUUGGUGGGAAGCUUUUCAUACAGCCACUUACUUAGUGAAUAGAAUGCCAACACCUGUUCUAAACAAUUUAUCUCCUUUUCAGAAACUAUACAAUCAGCUUCCAUAUCACAAGUUUGCUAAAGUGUUUGGAUGUUCUUGUUUUCCUUUUCUUCGAAAUAAGUGAAAAUUAAACCUACAAUUCAAAAUAGAGGACUGUAAAUGCGUAUAAAUUGAAGAAGGUAAAUUUUGUGUGUGCGUAAAUAUUUUAGUUAACAACAAAAAAUUCUAACAAGUUAAUAUAAGAGUAUCAUAGCAGUACAAGAGAAUUUUUUUUUUUUUUUAAUGUUAAGAGUUAUCGUGAUACCCAAUAUAUAUGUGUGUGUGAGAGAGUGGAGGAAGAAAAAAAUAUUAAGAAUAGUUUUGGCAUUUUGAUGGGUUUUAUAGAGUAAAAUCUAUAUUUUCAAAUAUGAUAAUUCUUUAAUUUAAUUUGGUGUUAUGAAAAAAAAAGGGUAUUUUAAAUAUGUUUUAAGUUAUAAAUAACUCCAUCCAAGAUUUAAAAAUGAAAUCUUAGGGGGGAAAAAAUUUCACCCGAACUAAGGCCCAAAGUAGCCGCGGCAUUUUUCACCAAUUCUCCAAUUCCCAAUGUGGUCUAAUUAUUUACAAGGAAUAUGAGUAGGUGUGGGCACGGUUCGGUCCGGUUCGGUUUGGAUCGAAAUUAAGCAGAACCAAUUUAAAUCGGUUAUUUUAGAAAAAGAACUAAAUAAGAACCGAACUCAAUAAAAACCGAAGAUAAACGAAUCUUUUCGGAUUGGUUCGGUUCGGUUCGGUUUUUUCGGUUUUGGGCCUAUUGGGCCUAUUUUCAAUUUUUAAAUUGUUAGCCCAUUAGGCCUCAUAAAUGUAAUAAUUUUAUUCAACAAUUAAUUUAUCCUAAUUUCAUUACAAAUAUUAACAAUAAAUACAAAGUAUUCAAAACACAUUUUAUCAUUAAUAUCUUACUAACUACUAAUAAGGUACUUACAAAAUAUGAAAUAUUAAGAUUUCAAAAUACAUAAUCAAACUCCAAUACUCCAUCUACAUAAACAUAAUGUUGUAAAGAAAAAUAAAAAUAACAACAAUUAAAACUUACAACACAAAAUAAAAAGAAAAUUUGGAAACAAACACCAACAACAAUUUUUAAAUAUAUAUAUAUACCAGUAAUUGUGUGUGUUCAUGCCUAUUUUAGUUAUCUCACGCAACCAAUUAAAAUUUAACACGUGUCUAUUUAAAUAAAAUUUCAAGAAUAACUCGGUUUUUCGGUUCGGUUUUUUGGUUCAGCUGAGUGAACCGAAUAUCGAACCUGUAUUUCGAUUUUUUUUACAAACCAUAUAUUUCAGUUAUUUUUUAAAAUUAAAACUAGUCCGAACGGAACGGAAUGGUUCGAAUCAAUUUUCUCUAGUGCACGAUUUUUUUGCCCACCCCUAAAUAUGAGAUUCUCUACCACUCCAAUUUAUCCCAUUGUUAGCAAUCCUAUUAGCUGUUUUAUAUCCUAUUUUUAUUAUGCUCCCCAAACAAAUAUGUUUCACCUAAAGGUGCCCAACGGGCUGCACCGUCCGUCUCAAUGAGCGCACGAGAUGCUCCACAUGACACGGCAAUCUUUUUCUUUUUAAUGAGGGCGUGUCUGAUAUGCUCUUUCAAGUCUACAUACCUAACGUUCUUUUUUUAAGUGCAUAUAUUUUUUUUAAAGCUCAUGUGAAAUUCAGUAGUAAGAGAAUGCAAUACUAGUUAAUAAGUUAGAGCCUACAAAAUAAUAAUAAUAAUAAUAAAAUUUUCUUUAAGGGUUAACAUUUUAUUGUUAAUUUGAAUUUACAUACAGUUAUAGAUUAUAGUCUAUAAUAAUAUUAAUACUUACAAGUUUCAAAUUAAAAUUUAAUAAUUAACGUUUCAUUAACACAACUAUAUUAUCUAAUUUUGCAAUAACCAAUUAUAAUACAACAAUACAUAAUUCUAAUUUCAUAGACCAUGGUAAUAAAAUCUAUACGUUAAUGAAAAAUUUUAUUUUGAUAUACGUCGGUCUGCUUGUUAUUGAUGGCCGAUGGUCGUAUGCUAGCCUGCUAAUGAAGUGUGUUUAUUAUUGGUUUUUUCACGUGUCUUGCUUUACCACAUCUCUAGUCAAAUUGUGUUCUUAAAAUCCACAGCCUAACCUAGCCUCUGUGUGUGUCCUGUUGUGCCAUACUAUACAAACACGUAUCCAGUACAAUGCCACAUACCGGUCGGCCCUUAGCCAUCUCUAGUUUCACCCCUAAAUGAAAUCUAAACGGCUACUGGCAAGUAAGAAAACUUGUUAUUCUUUAUUUUGAAAAUAAAGGGAAUUGCUUAGUUUGAUAUUGUUUUUGGUAAGUCAUUUUUUUGUUUUGAAACAUUUUUCUGAGAUGUUGUUGUAUUUGGUGAAAAAUAAAUUAUUUUAUUUUAUACUUUUAAUGAAGAAAAGUAGAGAAAAACAUUUUGUUGUUUUCGACAACAUUUGCCUUAUAAGUGCACCCGUGCCAUUUUUUUCUUGUUUUAUUUGUAUGAUAAUUAUCAUGGACCCACGUAACUUUCUUUUGCAUUUAAAAUUUCAUAAUAAAUUAAAUUAGACAAAAGAAAUGAGUCCCACAAAUAAUUUAUUUUAUAAUUUUUUAAAUAAUACUAUUUUAAAAUAAAUUAUCAAAACAAAUUUCAUGUUCACUAAAAUUAAUCAUAUUCAUAUUAUAAAAUAAAUAUAAAAACAAUAUCUGAAAAGUAAUGCUAAAUACACUCUUAAAUUUUCUGUACAGCAUUAGAAUUGAUGAACAAUCUGACAAAGAUGCUGCGACUUAAGUAGGGAUGACAAUUAAAGCCGAAUUUGGAAAAAUUCAUGUCUGCAAAUUAAAAAAUGUGGAUUCGGAUAUAGAAAUUCGGAAUUCAUACGGAUCCAAAUAAAUUUUAUUUUAAAUUAAAAAUAUAUAUUAAAAAUUAAAUGAAAAAUUAAAAAAUAAAUUUUAUUUGUGGUUUUAUGAUGUUGUUGUAUAUUAUUCAUGUUGAAUUAUUAAUGGUUGGAUUAUGAUUGAAUUUUAUUUAAAAUUAAAAAUAUAUAUUAAAAAUUAAAUUAAAAAAAAUUAAAUUUUAUUUGUAGAUUUAUGAGAUUAUUGUAUGUUAUUCAUGUUGAAUUAUUAAUUGUUGAGUUAUGAUUGAAUUUUAUUUGAUAUUAUUAGGUAAAUUAUUGAAAUUUUAAAUUAUAUAUUAAAUUAUUUAAUCUUAAUUUUUACAAAUAUGAAUAUCUAGAAUAUCUGCCUGCAUCCGUUGCAGAUAUUAUCUGCUUCCAGAUCCACAUCUUUUUACGAAUCUAAAUAUAGAAAUAUGAAUGCGGCUCCGAAUCUAGAUUUUACCAACCCUGAACCUAAGCAUGAAUGGGCCUAAAGUUUUCACAACAAACAUGAAUCAUUAAAUGACACGAGAUGUUUUACAGCUCUCAUUAGUAUAAUUGAAUAAUUAAUUCAGCUCUAUAUUCAGUUUACACCGUCUCAAAUUGCAUGCAAAUAGGAAAAUGCACUUCUGAAUUGUUCACUUGAGGAAAAUUAAUUUUAACUCAAUAAGUCCUAAUUGUCCACGUAGAAUUUUAACUCAAACCAUAGCAAAUUAGACAUAAUUCUAAUUUAUAUGGGAAAUAUAAUUAGCAAAGACACUCUUUAUAUAAACAUUAUUGUCAAAGGAUGCCAAACCUAAUAAGAUUCAAGGUCUUAACAUACUUCAUAUCAAAUUUGAUCUUGGCGCGUACCGACACGCAUAACAUCAAGACUCUACUUCAUAUAUAAUAAUGUAACUUCAUGGAUUUUUCGCUCUCUUGUGAAAUUGACAAUUAUAGGCGAUGUGCCAGUGAGGCAGUGGUACAUAAAAUAAAGGAUAAAAGUUCAUUUAGUCCUUAUAUUUUAAUAUUAAUGUCUAUUUAGUCCCUGUAUUUGUUAAAAUACCUCGAAACAUUCCUGCCGUUAAAGUAUUGAUGCCCUUACUGUUACUUUUUAUUUUUUUAGCUUACUUUUACAAUAUUACCCUUUUAUAAUAAAUUUUUUGUUUGGACAUUAAUCAAAAUAAAAUAAUUAAUUAUCAAUUUAACCCUAAAAAAAUUAUAUUAAUUUUUAAUUGUCAAAAAUUAAAUUGUCAAAUAUCAAGUGUGCAAAUGGUGCUUGCAAAAAAAUUAAUAUAAUUUUUUUUAGGGUUAAAUUUGGUAAUUUAAUUAUUUUAUUUUUAUUAAUGUCCAAACAAAAAAAUUAUUAUAAAAGGGCAAUAUUGUAAAAGUAAGCCAAAAGAAAUAAAAAGUAAUGGUAGGGGUAUCAAUACUUUAACGGCAUGGAUGUUUCGAGGUAUUUUUAAAAAUACGGGGACUAAAUGGACACUAAUCUCAAAAUACAGGGACUAAAUAGACUUUUACCCUAAAAUAAAUGUUUAUUUUUAGAAUAUUAUUAUUUAUCUCAAUUUUUAUUUAAUAGUUAAUUUUAAUCCAUUCUUAAACUGUCAUAAUCAAUUAAUUUUUUACAUUAUCACAUCUUAAAUAAAUUUUGGAUCUGUAAUAAAUAAAAACUGGUAACGUUUGUUCUUUUAAAACAUAAAACAACCGUAACAUUGGUUUUUACAUUUUGAAUUUUUCUUGCAUCACUAUUUAUAAAAAUGAUGUUAAAUCAACUCACAAAAUAUAUCAAGCCAUCUAAAAUCCAAAUAUUAUUACAUUUGUAUUUGCAUUGUUAAAUUGUUGGAACGACGGCAAAGCAAUUGAAAAGAGAUUAACAAAAAAGUAAAGAUUGGCCAAGGAUUAUUCAUGUUUAGGAAAUGCCUUAACUUUUGAUAUAAUCAUUGUUAUAACAAUAAUGCUACACAUCCCAAAUUUUUUAUCCCAAAAAGUUAUCCCAAAUGAUAUGUCAUUAAUUGAGUGGUUGAUAAUUCUUUACAAGAUCCAAGUGAAUUAAUUGUAUUAUCUCACCAACCAAUUGAUUAAUGCCACAUCAUUUGGGAUAACUUUUUGGGAUAAAAAAUUUGGGAUGUGUAGCAUUAUUGUUGUUAUAAUUAUAUUGUAGAAAUAAUCAAUUACCUAAUGUUUGUGGUAGUAAAUAUUAUUAACUUGUUUUACUAUACCCGUGUUUAUGUUGGUCUCCUUUUUGUCCAUUUCUGUACAACGAAAUAUUUGUAUGUUUUGAUAGAAAUUGGUUUAAAUGACAUUUAAAAUAGUAUAUCCCCAGACAAUUGACGAAAUAUUUGGAUGGUAGGAUGAAGUAAUAAAUAGUUUUACAAAUUACCAUAUUAGAGGUAAAAAAAAAUCGAGAGGUUACUUGACAAUUAUGACGUUACUAACUACAAAUUUAACACAAAAAGUUUAAUUAACUUUUCUUUUUGAGAUGGCAAAAUCUCUGGUGUUGAAAACAAUGAGGUUUGAGAUUCAAGCUUGAAUAUCAAGUUACAAUUAGUAGAUGGUCUUAGGACAUAUCAAAGAUUUCUUUAAAGACAAUAAUAAUUACAAGCAAUAGGAAUUUAUGGUAUUCAGAACAUGUAUAUCUUCGCACAUGAAGCUUGAAUCCAGAACAAGAUGCAGCUAGCCAAUCCUUCAACUUCCAAAACCCCACAAAAUCUCUGUCAACAUGUCUGUUGUACUAAGCACAUUCAUAGGGGUAUCAACAGCUUACAGCUCCAAAAUAUUUUCCCCAAAAAGAGUUGAGAGAUUUCACUGAAGCUAAUUUGUGACUUGUGACUGCCCAAAUGUUCUAUAACACGGUAUGAUUAUUCUAGUAACACAAAUCCAACAGCAUGCAACAUAAUCUACUCUCUAACAUUGUGCAUUAGCAAAAUAAAACAGAGUAAAAAGAGAAACCAUGCCUGUGAAUCUCUUCUUUUCCCCCUGCCACCCCUUUUUUUGGUGAAGUCCAUCAAAUGAAAAUGCAGCAUGACCAUGUUGGCCACUGCCACUGCCAUUACUUCUUCAACUGUGGCUUUUGUUGCAGGAAAUAUUCAAGUGAAAGAUUGGAUUAUAUAAUUCAAGAUUCCAAUAAACCUGAGCUGCAAAGGUUGCCUUCCACUAGCCUAUCAGAGACUAUGCUUUCUAUUUUCCUAGUUUUUUAAUCAUAAUUUUGCAAGAUUUAUUUAUGGAAAACUGGGACAAAAUUUUAUGUAAGAUACCAUAAAGCCAAACACAAUCUUUUUAAUUCUCAGCAGCAAGAUUUAAAGUUAAAAAAGGGAAGCCAUAUAAAUAUAACUAUGUUUGGUACAAGUAACAAUUAUUUCAAGCUUUCAGAAAUGCUAGCAAGAGAUUGUAAGAGAACUUUACCUAGUCACAGAAUAUGUCAAACAUACUACCACCAACUGUCUUUAGCACGAUUGUUAUGGAAGUAGCUUUUGAAUCGGAAGAUUCCAGCUUCCACCAGGCACCAUUAUUUUCAUUCUUGAUACAAUCUGCAUCACUGGCAUUAGUUAUAUCAUCAACAUUUGCAUCCUCACUCUCAUCAUCCCAAUCAAGGCUUCUUCUCCAGCUCUGGAUUAUAAGUCCACUCCGACAUCUUCAAACAUCUCGGUCCUUCCAUUUGCCAACAACCGAUAUGGCUUCCUUCCUUGCCUUCCCCAUUAAUAUAUCACUCGAAGGAAAAAAAGCAUCAGCAAUUCUCUUCAACGCCUCAUCGUUUAUAACCCCCCAAAAAAAGGGUCUUCAGACACUUCAACUUUGCCUUCUGCAAAACCUCCACAAAAUCUGAAUUAUCCAACACAACAGCCAGACACUCAAUCCUUCUUUUGUCCAUCAUAUCCACCGUAUGAUUCCUCAACAAAAUAUGUACAGCUUGUGGCUUAUCUAACACUGUCUUGAUCCAAAACCCCGCUCUUUUCAACUCAUCUGCCAAACCAUAACCCACUUUUGGAGUCAAAAUUGUCCUUGCAGCCCUUUUAUAUUUUUCCAUCUCCAUCGAAUACUUGCCACUCAAAUGGAAUUACCAGACAGGAAUCCCAGUAACAAGUCCACUCAACUUCUUCUCAUCUGAUCCCUCUUUCACUCUGGCGGAAACAUUAAUAACCAUUCACCAGCCACAAAUUACCCAAGUAAGUACUCGUGUCGUCGACACUUACCCUUCACUUCAUCUACGCAAACGAGAAUUCAAAUUGCUUACUAGCUAGUGCUCGAGCAAAAGCCAGAAUAAAUUAAAUAUGUGUGUGUGGUAGCGAAGUUAUCUAUAUAUAUAUAUAUAUAUAUAUAUAUAUGAAGUUGGGACACGAGGAGAUGACGUGGCAUCACCAUUUCUCAUCUUUGUAUAUUCUCUAUUAUCUAAUAAAUAGAGAAUUUUUUUUUCAGAUUUAACUUUUCAUCUUCUCAUAAUUAAUUUAAUUGUUAUUACACAAUAACAAUUAUGUAAAAAUUUUAAUGAGGCAUAUUCUUUAUAAUGAACAUCCAAAGGGAAGUGUUAUGAAUUUAUUAAAAUAAAUGUAGAUGUUCAUAACAUAUAUCUCUUAUUCUCACCACUAUCUCUCAUUAGCAACCUUUAGCUUCCCUAUAACUCCCACUAUCUCACAAGGAAUUAUGAUCCAUAAUUUUUCAUUAAUUUCAUAGAGUGAUUAUGUAACUAUAAAAGGAGAGCUCAUCUUUUGUUCUGUACACACACAAUUAGAAUGAAUAAAAUCACUCUAUAAUAUAUUCUCUCAUUUUAUUCUUUAUCUUGCGUUGCUUCUUUAUUUGUAUUGCUGGUUAAUAGUUUUUUUUUUUUGUUUUUUAUAAGGCUGCCUCAUCUUCAAAAAAAAUCAAUUCAUAUUUUUUAUCAGUUUCAUAAAGUGUAAAGUAAAAAAAAAUAAUACUAAAUUCUUUUUUCAAAGUCGCAUGAAACGCGGUUCUAUUUUUUAGUAUAUAUAUAAAGCUGGAACUGGAGGAGGUGAUGUGGCAUCACCAUUUCUCAUCUUUGUAUAUUCUCUAUUAUUUAAUAAAUAGAGAAAUUUUCUUUUAGAUUUGGCUUUUCAUCUUCUCAUAAUUAAUUUGAUUGUUAUUACACAAUAACAAUUAUGUAAAGAUUUUAAUGAGGCAUAUUCUUUGUAAUGAAUAUCCAAGGGGGAGUAUUAUGAAUUUAUUAAAAUAAAUGUAGAUGUUCAUAACAUAUAUCUCUUAGUCUCCCCACUAUCUCCCAUUAACAAUCUUUAGCUUCCCUAUAACUCCCACUAUCUCACAAGGAAUUAUGAUCCAUAAUUUUUCAUUAAUUUCAUGGAGUGAUUAUGUAACUAUAAAAGGAGAGCUCAUCUUUUUGUUUUGUACACACACAAUUGGAAUGAAUAAAAUCACUCUAUAAUAUAUUCUCUCAUUUUAUUCUUUAUCUUGCGUUGCUUCUUUAUUUGUAUUGCUGUCUAAUAGUUUUUUUUUUGUUUUUUAUAAGGCUGCCUCAUCUUAAAAAAAAAUCAAUUCAUAUUUUUUUAUCAGUUUCAUCAAAUAUAAAGUAAGAAAAAAUGAUAAUACUAAUUUUUUUUUUCAAAGCCGCGUGAAACGCGGUUCUAUUUUCUAGUUAUACAAUAAAGCAAACCAAAAUAAAUUCUACACUCAUAUAUAUAUAUAUAUAUAUAUAUAUAAAGCUGAGACUUGAGGAGGUGAUGUGGCAUCACCAUUUCUCAUCUUUGUAUAUUCUCUAUUAUCUAAUAAAUAGAGAAAUUUUCUUUUAGAUUUGACUUUUCAUCUUCUCAUAAUUAAUUUGAUUGUUAUUACACAAUAACAAUUAUGUAAAGAUUUUAAUGAGGCAUAUUCUUUGUAAUGAAUAUCCAAGGGGGAGUGUUAUGAAUUUAUUAAAAUAAAUGUAGAUGUUCAUAACAUAUAUCUCUUAGUCUCCCCACUAUCUCCCAUUAACAAUCUUUAGCUUCCCUAUAACUCCCACUAUCUCACAAUGAAUUAUGAUUCAUAAUUUUUCAUUAAUUUCAUGGAGUGAUUAUGCAACUAUAAAAGAAGAGUUUAUCUUUUUGUUUUGUACACACACAAUUGGAAUGAAUAAAAUCACUCUAUAAUAUAUUCUCUCAUUUUAUUCUUUAUCUUGGGUUGCUUCUUUAUUUGUAUUGCUGUCUAAUAACUUUUUUUUUGUUUUUUAUAAGGCUGCCUCAUCUUAAAAAAAAAAAUCAAUUUAUAUUUUUUUAUCAAUUUCAUCAAAUGUAAAGUAAGAAAAAAUGAUAAUACUAAAUUCUUUUUUCAAAGCCGCGUGAAACGCGGUUCUAUUUUCUAGUUAUACAAUAAAGCAAACCAAAAUAAAUUCUACACUCAUGUGGGUGUUUCGUUCGCAAAAUCUGGACAAGAAAAAUAAUAUUGAUACAAUCUCCAAAUAAAGAGCAUUCCUCUUGGUAAAAUAGACAAAUCCUAUAAAUUUUGAUUAAUGGUGCCAAAUGAAAGAGUUGUAAUUUCAUGUACAUUUUGUUAACAUGAAUAAGGGUACAAAAUAGAUAACAAAGUGACAAAAACAAAGCUAAUCACAAUGAAUGAUAAGGCUUAGAGUAAACAAAAAGUUAUAAUCUUGAACAUAAGUGGCGCUCAAAGCCAUGAAUUUGAUAUCAUCCAUGAGGGGAGUUCAAACAAUAGCAUGUAAGAAGCAACAAGUGUUGAGAAAAAAAAAAUUUCAUUCUACCACAACAGAAUAAAUUGUAAAGAAAUCCCAGUUUGUAUAAAAGAAAGAAAACAAAAUUAAGGAAAACAUAAGCACAACAAAAUUCGACUGAUUAUUAAAAAUGAGAAAUGAGUUAUAAUGAGAAUUUUAGCUUUGUUGUGAAAUAAAUUGGGAAGUAUCCAAAGUACGCAUGUAAAUAAUAAAAAUGAUAAGAAGACGAAGGGAACAUAAUGAUAAUAAGCAAGCCAAAUAUUAAAAUGCAGAUUCUACGCUUCUGCCCCCCCAUACUUCAAGUUAGUGUCUCGCUAAUCAUUUUAGAUGUAUCAAUUACAAAGGGAGGCCAUCUAUUUAUAGUAAGCGUACGCCUCUAAUGCUUUGCCAAGUGUCCAUUGAUAAUAUCACAAGGGAAAUUAAAUUGGUGUAUGUGUAUUACACCUCCUAAAGUCAUGUUAAGAUAGUGUGCUGAUAAAGCUUGUUGCACGUGUGAUUGGUUAAGUCUGCUAGAAAUGCAAACGUGUAAAGCUGAGUCAGCAAGUUAGUUAAGGUUAUUAUGAAUGCUUAGAUUCAGCUCACGUGUAUUGUAUGUAAUACUUAGAUUCAGGUCAUGUAGAUUGUGUAAUCUCAAUAUAAAUACUUGAUGAUCAUGAUUCGACAUUCCUCACAGCAGGAGCUGUGGAUCUUUAGACAUCAGAUUUUAAUUUCUGUAAUGUUAAAUUUGGAUCCCAUAUUCGACAUUCCUCACAUCAGGAGCUGUGGAUCUUUAGACAUCAGAUUUUAAUUUCUGUAAUGUUAAAUUUCCCAAAACAUUAAAAAAAACAAUGCUGUAUACAUGGUGAAUGAUCUGGCGUAUCUAUAGGUAUUACCCAAGACAUUUCUGAGAACCUGAACUAGGAAUCCUUGUAUUUUUCUUUAUGUCAAGACAGUGACUUGAAGAUUUUAGAUUAUUUUUUUUGGCCAUUUUAUAAUUGUUGGCAUAUUGAACUUGAGUAAUUUUGAUAAACCAUAGUUCAGGAAUGUCUGAUAGAAAUAUUGGAGACUUGAACUUGAAUAUUAGAUUUGAAAUUAAAGAGGUAAGCCAUUAAAAUACAUCAAAGGAUUUGGAAAAUGGAGGAAUUGGAAUAUUGGUAUGAUGGGAUUACAAGAAAGGGAAACUUUUGCAUCAACAUCAAGCAUUGGGCAUUUUCAUUUGUCCUAUUCUAACACCAGUUAGGAAUAUCAACAAGGAGUUACGCUAUGAAUUAAGUAAUCUGCCAGUAAUGCAAGCAUUGAAUGUGAAGAGCUUCACAUAACUUUGAAUUAGCUUAUGAUUUAACACUAUUCCUUUUUGUGUGUGAUCAUGCAUUACGCCGUACUAGAUUUUUCUCUUUCUCUGCGGGAGAGAAAAGAAAGAGAAACAAUGGAUGCAAUAUAAAAAAAGUAAUACAUAUUUACCUAUUUAGUAGGCAAUUUACGCCAACGGUGACACUAUCACAUCAUGAGCGAGUUAUGUAAUAGUUCUUAGAUGAGAUCAUUCUUGCUGCAUUAUUAUUAGAAGUAUCUAUUUAUGCAAGAUUGAUAAUUUGAAUACACGUCCAAAUUAACAAGAGUUUUUAGGCAGUUUAAUUUAACUAACUAGCUAUUUAGAAUACACAUCAUAAUAAAAAAAAAGUACAAUUUAAGAUGUAUGAUUAGACUAUCUAUCUGCUCAAUCAAGACUGAGUGUGAUAUUUCCUCCGUAAACUCAUAGUUAGUUUUGUCACGCUUACAAAUCAAACUACAUUAACAUGAUUUAGGUAUUAGGGCAAGAUUGGAAAAAAAUGUCGAUAAUGCAAUGAUUAUGACGGAGAACAAACCUACAAACAGUACAGCGCAUGGACCUUUUUUCAAAAGAAAUUAUUCUUGAAAGAUAAAAAAAUUCCUUGCUUUUUACAUUAUUUUUUAAUGUAAAAAAUAUUCUCAGUUCUUGACUUGGUAUCAGAUUUUUACGUUACUAGAAAAAUCUAGUACGGCGUAAUGCAUGAUCACACACAAAAAUUUGAGGAGUUGAUGAUAAUCUCAAUAUAAAUACUUGUAAUCAACAAAUACAAUAAUAAGAGUCAUCAUUCUUCAUUUUCUCUCAGUUUCUCUCAUAUUUUCUCUGCAUCCAAACACAAUAUUCUCAGUUCUUGACUUGGUAUCAGAUUUGCAGUUUAAUUGUCAUGGCUUCCUUCCUUAAGCACAAAUUCAAACACAAAUCAGUCUCCUUCAUUCUUUACCGUCACAAAUGCGAUCAAACUGGACAGAUCUAACUAUACGAUAUGGAAAUCUCAGAUCCUCUCUUCAGUGCGUGCCAAUGGACUUGAAGGCUUUCUUAAUGGAACUAAAAUUUGUCCAGAUCAGUUACUUACUCAAGAGAUUGAAAGUUAUGGUGUUGAAAAUGCUGUUGUUGAAAGCUCAACUGAUAGAUCUCAGGAGAAUCCAGCCUUUGUUGCUUGGAAAAGGUAGGAUCAAUUGUUAUUAAGUUGGCUCAUGUCCUCCAUCAGUGUUGAGAUACUUAGUCUUGUGGUAAAUUCUGAUUCUUCUCAUAAACUUUGGACUAAUCUUGAAGAAAAUUUUUGGAUUAGAAACUAUGGCUAAGAAAGCACACUUAAAAAUGAUGUUAAGCAAUCUCAGAAGGGGAUCAAUGACAAUAACUGAGUAUUUUGCCAAACUUAGAGCUGUAACUAAUAAACUUGCUCUAACUGGUAGCCCUGUUUCUACUCUAGACUUUAUUAAUCAUCUAAUCUCGAGAUUAGGCCAGCCAUACUACCCUGUUGUUUUGUAUAUUGAAGCUAAUAUGAUGAAAAUAUUUGUCAAUGAAGCCUACUCUAUGCUUUUAACUCAUGAAGCAAGAAUUAAAUUUAAUCAUCCGAGUGCAAAUAAAGAAGCAAAGUUGAAUUAUGCUGCUAACAUAGCUUAGGCUGGACCUAGUAAUAACAAUAAGAAGUCUAGUAAUCAAGCUAAUUACUAUCAGGGCAACCAAGGUAACGGGAAUAGAAAUGCUCAUUGGUGUGGUAACAAUGGAGGAAGAGGUGGCUUUGGCAGAGGUUUUUCAGGGCAAGGAAGGGGUAAUUAGAAUAAUGGUGGUCAUUGAACAAUGGACCUUGGAGUAGUAGUCGAGCAGGUUAUAAUUGUUCUGAUAUAAACAUUAUGACAUGGUUGCUGGUGAACCUGUAAACAUAACCACAAAAGUAAGAAGGCAUAAUUUUUUUAUAAGAAACUCAAAAAUGUAUUAAUGAUGAAAAUUUUAAAAUAGAUAGUGGACCAUCUGUCCAGUAAGAAAACAAAAAACUGAAUAUUUGUGCUAUAAAAAGGCACACCCAAUCUCACCCCUAUAAAAGGCUAGAAUCAGCUACAAAUCCCUACCUCAAAACCCCAUCCCAGUUUAGAUGAAUGAAGAAAAAUGAUGAAUCUUGAAACUCCUUAGAAACUGAAGCCCAAAGUGAAGCAAGAAGAUGAACUCUAUCCCAAGCAAGCAAUAUGGCAUAUAUCUCCAUUAAUGGUUCAAAUAAAGUGAAUGGCUUUCUCUGAUGAGUGGGAAAUUGUCAAGAUCAAUAGUCAAACUCACGCAAAGUAAACGGACUUAAUUCUCAGAGGCUACUCAUUCUAAGUCUUAAAGAAAAUUUUUCUAAUUUCUAAAGAUUAUAUGGGGAAAAAAUCAUUAUUUUUAAGAUGGAAAAUUUGAUAUGGUGUUUAAUGUCUGAUCACAAUGAUAAUAUGAGUACUAACAAAAACAUCUUUAAUAGGCAUGGUGCGAGUAAAACACCUUUGUAAUGUACCUCAUCAAAUAUAACCCAAGCCACUUCGCGCGUAAUCUCUGAGCCUUUGUACUGCAUACUACGCCAGAUUUCAGUAGUCAUCACCUGAAAUUAAACUUCAUAUAAGCAAUCCACAAAUCAAAGCGCUGCAACACCCAAAAGAUGACACUACCAAGUUGACCUACCAAACAAGAAGCAUUAGGGUCAAUUGUGACAUCCCCAGUCAUCAAACCAACAUCUGAAACUCUUCUUUAAACUCUUCUGAUUGCUGAGUGCCUUAAUCGGUGAAGUAUAUAUCACACGUUGCUUAUUCCGCAACGACAUAGCAAUAGCAUACAAUGCUACCACAGUUUUCCCAGCAGAUGUAUGGGCCGAUACCUGUCAAAUAAAUGAAAGGCAAAUCCAAAUUAAAAAAAGAAAAGAAAAAAAAAACUAUUUUUAUUUUCACACAUGAUAACACUUCAUGCAAAAAUUCUUAAUUCUUAUCGGUGAGCUGAAAAGCAGAGCGCUUUGUACCAAAGCACUUCCAAAUUCGAAUUAAUGUUUUUACAAAAAAUUACAGCUUUAUAUAUUUGUAUGUGCGCGUGCGUAUAAUAAUAAUAAUAAUAAUUAACGAACCGUAACGGACUCGCCGUUGUCGAGGCACUUGAUAGCUUCGGACUGGAAUGGGUCGAGAGUGAAAGGGAAUUCCUUAGCAUGUUUAGCGUCAGCUUCAGCCACUUGACCAAGACGCAUUAAACAUAAAACGCGGCGUUUUCAUGGACUAGUACAUUCCAUGCUUCGAAAGUUUUAUGGUUUAGACUGAUUGGUUUGAUACAUUAUUUGUUUGUUGCGUUUUUCUUGCUUUAAAUAUUAUGUUGGAUACUUGGAUUGAUAAGUUUUGUACACGUUUAUAUUGCUCGCAGUAAAUAAUUUAUGACAUUUAAAAAACUAUCAACCGUCUAUCAAAAGAUUUCUACUAUAAAUAUAUAUACACAAAAAACUUUUAAUUUGGUCAAUUUGUUCUCUUAUUUAUUUUUGUUCUAUUUCUCUUUUCCUUUCCUUUCAUUUUAUUGUUUUAUGGUAUAAAAUAAAAAAAUAACCUUAAAAUUUAAGGUGAUGUUUGGUUGGGAGGAGAGAAUGUAGGAGAGGAAAGUAAUUUAAAUUCUCUUGUUAUUUCCAUUGUUUGGUUUGACAAAAUGUAUAAGAAUUAAAUUUUUAUUAGAAUUUAAUAUCCAUCAUAAUGUAGAAUUUGAAUUCCAUAUUAAGUAGCGAAGAAUUUAAAUUUCUCUUCUAUUAGAAACUAAAGGUUCCAAAAUUACCCUUCAACUUUUUAGCUUAUUUAAUGCCAUUAAUAAUAAUAAUUUAAUAUUAUAAAUGGACCUCCACCGGAAAGUCGCCGGACUACCCCCGGAUCUCGUCGGACCACCGCCGGAAGAUCGUCGGACCACUGCCGGAAAAUCACCGGACCACCGCCGACCUCGCCGGACCUCCGCCGCCGGCCACCGGAUCGCCAUUUAUAUAUAUAUAUAUAUAUUAUUACUAAUAUAAAUAGUUUAAUAUUUAAGGUAAAAGAUAAAUUUGUCUAAAGAAAAAAAUUAUAAUUCAUUUCCUUAUCAAAUUUUAUAUCAAACCAAACAACAAAAUUUAAUUUCACUACUCUUCUCUAUUCCUUUCUUCUCCAUUCCUCUCCAUUCCACUCUUUUCCACUCCUCCAUUUUCUUCAAACCAAACAUGACCUAAGGGUAAAAUACUCAUUUUACUAAAAUUCCGUUUAAUAUCAUAACGCUGUCAAUGGAAAAAUAUACGAGUGAUAUAAAUUAAAAACAAAUAAAUUGAAAGUUUUUAUGUAUUUUCCUUUUAUUUUUUUAAUAGCCGAUUGAGAUUUCCCUUCAUAUUUUUAAAUUCAAUAGGUUUAGACCGUUUAACAAAUCUUAAAUUAAAAAAACCCGCGGUGUAAUAACAAACUCACAUCAAACCCUGUACACUGUCAUCCCUAAUUAUAUUUACCACUUCAUACUCACAGUGAUAAUAACUGUGUAUCACAAUUGAUUUUGCAUACGGGUAAAAGUUCCAAGUCCGGAUAUUUAGUUAAUGAAAUUUGAUGAAAAGGGCAUGAAAGAAAAUAAGAAAUUAAAUAAUACAGGAGGUAUUAAUCAUUACAUAUUUAGUUAAUGAAAAUUGAUGAAAAUAUUUCUGCAGACGUGAGCCAUAAUUAUAUUACCGUUAAGAAUGAAGCAGAAGAGUUUCCCCAAACAAGCUAAAACACAGCACUUCAAUUUAAAGAAUUUUUAUAUCACAGUACCGGGGUAAAAAGUUUAAUGCAACAACAUACAUUAAGUUAAUUCCAUAAUCUAUCCCCAAAGAAAGACAAACACAAGCUUAUAAGAUUAAAACUUUGGAAAACAUUAGAGUCGGACAAAAUUGUGUAAUCUUCAGAGUUUGGAGCCUAGUUCAUCCAGGAAAGCAAAAGAAAUAAUAAUAAUAAUAAUAGUGGUGGUUUGAUCUCAAAAGGUGGCAUCAAAGUGGUAACUUUGAGGUAUUGGAAGCAAUAACGUCUUCAACUUUGUCCUGAUUUCGAAGUCCCUUAACCCAUCCGCCAUCAAUGGAUUGAAUGCUUCCAUUCAACCCAUCAUCCACAAAAUCACCAACCCGUUUCACCUUCAUCUCCUUGGGCUUAACAGGGUACUUUCCAGAGAAGCAAGCAAAACAAAAAAUCCGAGAAUCAUCGCCUAACAACUUGUUCAAGCUGUCAAUCGGCAGAAAAGCAAGCGAAUCACACCCAAUAAACUCCCUGAUUUCCUCAACGCUCAUCCUGUUGGAAAACAACUCCUCAGUACUUGGAGUGUCUACUCCGUAGUAACAAGAAGCUAUGAUUGGUGGGCUUGCAGCGUACCCAAGUGCAGCCACCACUCCAGAAUCUGGUACUGCAAUCACGACAUCACACUCAGCAGGAGCCUCGGUAGCAAGUACUUCCCCAAAAUGAUACCUCGACUCAUAAACAGACCUUCCAAAAACAACAGAAUUAGGCAAAGCAAAAUAAAUAUGCUCAACGAAGCACUGCUUAGGUUCAGGGUGAGGCAUCAAACAAGGUGAUUGAACCCCAUCUUUAUCCACCAUCAAAACUUCACCGGGAUAUACCGUAUGUGGCCUCAAUCAAAUAGUGCACAAGUCUCUGACGCAAAAACCAGAGCACCAUUACUCCUCCUACCCAUCACCAAUGGCAUAAACCCAUACGGGUUACGAACCGCAACAAGCUUAUCCUCAGUAACAAACACCAUUGAAUAAGCACCCUCAAGCUUCUCACAAACAUCCACAAUCCUCAAAAAGAACGGCCUAGCUUUCGAUAUCGGAAUCAAAUGGAGAACAACCACAGUAUCAGAACUAGUAUUGAAAAUGGAUCCAUUAUCUUCAAGCUUAGCCCUCAAAGUAUUAUAAUUAACUAAUGUGCAACACCAACAGAACCAAACCUGUACCCAGCAACAAAAGGCUGCACAUUCUUAAGCAUAGAACUACCCGCAGUCGAAUAUCUAACAUGACCAAUGGCCAUAUCACCCGGCAAUUGAUCAAGUUUAGACUGAUUAAACACAUCAGAGACUAAACCAACACCAGUAAUAGACUGAAGAACUUUGUUAUUCACAGCAACUAUACCUGCACCUUCUUGGCCGCGAUGCUGCAUCGCGUGUAGCGCCAAAUAGCACAAACGCGAGGCCUCUGGGUCACCAUAGAUGCCCAUAACACCACACUCCUCACGGGGCUUAUCGUCGUCAUCAUCAUCAAAACUGCCAAAACCGUCAUCUGGAUAUUCUUUAUUUGUGGUGAAAAACUCAGAGAUGGGGUUUUUUGAUAGAACAGUGAAGUUAUUUUUGUGGAUUAAAGAUUGUUGUUUCUGAGGAAAAAAAGGGUUUUUUUGCAGGGUUUUGGAGAAAAGAGAAAGAUGGGUUUUUUGCGACGGCUUAGGGUUAACAGAUGGAGAUGGGUUUGAGAGAGGGCAGAUGUUGGCGUGCCUGUUGUGGUGGCUGCCAUUAAUGGCUGAAUUUAUUCUAUUCUAUUUUAUUUAUUGGGUUGCCUUGCCCUUGCUCAAAGAAAAAACAGAGGAGGUGUGUGGAGGGAGACAGUGGCGAAGGGUACUUUAAGUAGAGGGGAACUUGUUCUAGGUUUUUUUCUGGAAUUGUGAGGGAAUCUGAUCCUGGGUUUGUGCAUAUGAUUCAAUUACUUAUAGGUGAUACUGUUGUGUCACCACAAAUUCUAAUUGGGAAGCUUCAGCUGUCAAUUUUUUUCCAAGGGUUAAUUAGGUAGAACUUUCAUGUCGUCGAUUUUAUUUGGAGAUUCUAAAAGUAGUUUCCAAAUAAAGAGAUGGACCAAAAUCAACAAUGUGACAAAGAUACUUUAGAUUUUUUUUCCUUGUGGGACAUGAAAAUUGAUGCAUGUUCCAAUGCAUUGCUCUAUCAGAAUUGGAAUUAAACUUAGUUUGUAUUCUCCUAUUCCGAAAGCAAAACUUAUAAGUGAUAUUAUAAGAAGAAGAAAUUAAGAACCAUAACAAAUUUGAUGAUUCUAAUUUGCUAGAAAUAUUGCAAUCCAAAACUAAGAAAGUUAAAACCAAUUAUUAGAAGAAAAAAGUAGGACGGAAGCUCCCAGAAUAUUGUUAUGUGUUGUAUUUUUUCAGUUUGUAUUUCCCAAUCAAUAAGGAAAAGUAAGUACACACGUUACAAAAAUUUAAUAAAAAAGAUUGGAGGUGACAAAACCGUCAAUUUUCUAAUUAACUUUCUCUCCUUUCGAAUUUCCUGAGUUUGGUAGAGACUGCUUAAGUGGUGUAUCUAUUAUAAACAAGCAAAACUAUGUUGCAACAGUGGUACGGUACCACUGUUGCAACAGUGGUACGGUACCACUGUUGCAACCAGCUAUUGAAUCUAUAGUUGUAUAGUUACAUUAGCAAGAUCCAAUAGCUAAACGAAACAAUAGUACCGUACCACUGUUGCAAUAUAGCUAGACCCAUUAUAAAUACCUGAAGUCAAAGUUAAUGUUUUAAUUGUUAAGAAAAGUUCGAAGAAGAAAUUUUUGUAUAAGAGAAUUGGGUUUAAAUUUAGAAUUCUUUGGAAGGAAAUGAGUCUAAAUUCCAAUAAUAUAAUUCAGCUCUAUUUAUAUAUAUCAUUAGUUGGGUGAAAAAUUAAUUUCCCUCAUUUGAUGUGAUUUUCAUCAUUUAUUUUCAUAUGAUGAUAAUUUUUUGUUUAGAGUGAAGUUAUUGGCACCCUUUCAUUAUCCUUAUAAAACCCUACUUCAAAUAAAAUUACACUUAAAGACAAUAGAAUUAAAUAACAUAGUUUUUUUUUUCAAACAAAUUACUCACAUUCAUAAUUUUUUUUUCUUCUAAUUUUCUAUAGGUUGCUUUGCAUCUAACUAAAAUAAAUUGUACAAAUUUAGAAUAAUUUAUUAUUCUUUUUAAAUUUCUUAUUGAUUAAAUAUUUGUGUAUUUAAGAUAGCUUUAAAAUUAUAAGAUAAAAUAUAUAUAAUUUAAGCCAAUGAUUAACAUUCAAAAAUUUCUCUCUCAUAAAAGUUUUUAAUUUGUGCGUAGGGUAAUAAUAAAAUUGCAAAAGAAAUGAGAAAUAGCAUAACACUAUUUUGAGUUUAAACAAUAAAAAAAUUAAAUGAAAAAUUAGAAGUGUAUUUAAAAAAAGGAUAUUUUUAAAAGUAAAAUAAAUAUAAUUAAAAAAAAAGAGUUUCAUGAGGGGUGCAAGCAAUAGUUCAACUCUUUUGUUUAUAAGUUUUAAGAUGUUGGUAUCCGUAGCUUAGCUUUUCCCUAAUUAUUAUAUUAAAAUGCAACAACAAUGAUGAUCAACCCUAAUUUCAUGGAGGUCAAAGAUUUUGGUCAUGCCGCAUUAAUUAGUUCGGUCAUACUUUCUACAAAUUUAUUUACAUUUAAUAAUUUGACCAAGACUAAGGCGCCGCCUGGAGUCAUAGAAUUUUAUAUGUCAAAAAUGCAUUUCACUUCAAUUAAGCCAUAAAUGUCGUUUAAUAUGCUUAUUUUGUAUUUUUUUAAAAAGUUUUAUUAAUUUUUUUUGUUUUUAAAAAUAUCAUUUAUUUAUUUUUAAAUUUUUUUUUUUAAAGGUAAAUAAGUGGGUAAAGUUCAAAUUCAAUUUUUAUCCCUUACGUCAUGGCUCCUAAGAUUUGAACUUAAGUGACCAAAUGUAUAAUAAUAGGCAUCUCAAAUAUCAUUUCUAAUUAUAUGUAAUUUAUUAAGUGAUUGUUAAUCUUUACAAGAUCCAAGUGAAUUAAUUGUAUUAUUUCACUACUAAUUGAUGAGUAUCAUAUUAUUUGGAAUAACUUUUGAAUAAAAAAAUUGUGAUGGAUGAAAUAUUCUUUUGAGAAUUUAUUGACUUAUCUCAUUUAUGAUUUAUUGUUGCAUUUAAGUGAUAUUGCAAAUAAUUUUUCCAAUAAUAUUAUUGUUUUGACGAGUAAGUUUGGAGUAAAUAAUACAUAUGGCAAGUGUGAGGUUUGUUAUUGCAUAUAUUUUGUGGAUCCAUUUUAAAGCCAAAAAAAAGGCAUUUCAAUUCAUUAUGAUUCCAGAUAAUUUCAAGCCAUAUGUCAUUAUUGGGAUAAAAAUAAAGUAAAAUGAUUAAAACUAUUUUUAUGUAAUUUAUAAAAAUUAAUGAAGCAACUGCAAAAAUUUUUAAACGAAAAACAAUUGAAAUGUGUGUGGAAAAAGAAGAAAAAAAUAAGGCAUUUAAAUAUCUUCUUAAAAAAUACGAUUGAGUAAAAUCAUUUUAACAGAAUGCUCUUCGAAAUGCAAUUCCACAUUAUUUUUUUUAUUGCAGUGGGAUAUUCCAAAAUUGGCACAACUCAUUAAGAAUUCGGCAACUAAAAUUUUAUUUAUCACUCUAUGCAUUUGACAAAUUAAAAAGAAAAAAAAAUCAUAUAUCUUCUGUUCAAAAGAAACCUUGGUAAAUAUUGUAAAACAAAUUACCAAUUUUUUUAAUUUAUGCCAUUAUAUCGUCGCUAUUUUCUCGCCCACUUUCUUAAAAUAGAAUCAAUAUUUAUUGAUGGGUUGGGUUCCAAAGUAAGUACCAAUUCAACAAAAUGGUUUUAUAGCAGAAAAAACACUUGUAAGACAUUCAGAACACAUUUUUCAAUUUUGUCUUUUGAAAAUGAGUCUUGAGUUUCCACAAGCCAAGAAGAAUGGCUAAAAAAUGUAUGGUAUCAAAGAAAGAGAAACACACACACACACAGAGAUUAGUGAGGAGAUAUAUGAGUGUGUAAUUUGUAUAUAUAUCCCCAUUAAUUGUUGAUAGUCCAAUGGGUAUAUGCAAAAGGAAAAAAUUGGCUGUCCUUUUAAGACAAAAUUGACUGUCACAUGAAAAUGUUAGCACACUUGCCACGCAACGAAAAUAAAGAUUCCAAGAACAAACUUUAUAGUCCCCUUUCUGUCCAAACAUAUGCGAUAGAAAUUAGUGUAAACGACACUUGAAAUAUAUAUGUAGAUCCUCACACAAUUGAUUAAAUAUUUAGAGUAGGAUGGAGUGAUAAAUAGUUUCACAAAAUUAUUGGAAUUAACUACUUAAUACAUGAGAUCUAUCUCAUUAAGUAUAAAAGAUUGAGUGCUGCUUCAAAAGCAUGACGUUGCUGGCAACAAAUUUAACACAAAAAUUUAAUUAACUAUCCUAGUUGAGAUAAUAAAAUCUUGUGUUGAAAACAAAAGGUUUGAGGUUCGAACCUUCUCAUUCAAGAAAAUCAAGUCAAAAUAUUACAUCUUCCAGCACAUAUCAAAGAUUUUUUCAAAGGCAGACUGAUAAUUCAGGGUAAAACAAAAAAAAACACAAGGACUAUAUGCUAUUCAAGACAGGUAUACCUUGGACAUGAAGUCUGAAUCCAAAACAAGAAGCACCUAGCUGAUCUUUCACUUUCAAUUUCCAAAAUCCAACAAAAUCUUUGUCAAAAUAUCUGAUCUAGUCUCAUAUUAAGCACAUUCAUAGCCGUAUCAACAGGUUCAAAAUAUUUUCCCCAAAAUGAGACAGAGAUUCCACUGAAGUUGAGUUGUGAAUGUCCCAACGUUCUGUAAUUAUAUGGUUCAGGAUACCAUGCCUAUUAAUCUUUUUUUUUCCUUUUAAAAAAAGGAAGCCAUAUAAAUAAUGCUUAAAACAUUAUUUGCAACAAGGAACAAUCAUUUCAUGCUUUCAUGUAUUAGAAACUUUCCAAAAAUGCUAGCAAGAAAAUGAAAUGGAACUUUACCUAGUCACAGAAUAUGUACUGCUGUUAGCCCAAUUGUUAUGAAGUGGCUUCUGCAUCAGAAGAUUCCAGCUCCCACCAAACAUUGUUAUCUCUCUUCUGAAUACAAUCUGCAUCGUUGGGCAUGAGUUAUAUCAUUAAUGUCUGCAUCCUCACUUACAUCAUCCCAAUCAAGUGCUUUUUCUCCAUAUCUGGAUUAUAAGUCCACUCCAAUCUCUUCAAAACAUCCUAGUCCUUCCAUCACAACUGAUACGACUUCCUUCCUAAUUACUUUCCCAUUAAUAAAUCGCUCCAAGAAAAGAAAGCAUUAGAAAUUCUCUUCAACACCCCAUCACUCAUAUCCCCUACAACAACCCUCUUCAGACACCUCAACAUUGCCUCUUGAAAGACCUCCAUAAAAUCCGAAUCAUCCGACACAACCACCAAACACCCAAACCUUCUUUUGUCCACCAUAUCCACCAUAUAAUUCCUCAACAAAACAUCGGCAUCUUGUGGCUUAUCUAACACCAUCCUGACCCAAAACCAUGCUCUUUUUAACUCAUCUGCAAAACCAUAACCCACUUUUGGAGUCAAAAUUGCGCUUGCAGCCAUUUUAUAUUUUUCCAUCUUUAUUGAAUAGUUGCCAACCAAAAGCACUCUCACAUUCCCUCUAGCUGAUUCUAUUUGAUUCGACCUUUUCUUUUGUUCCUCAUGAAUUUGCCUAAAAUGAUUAACAAGUUUGUCAUUAUUAUAAAAUCUCCUUCCACAAUCACCAAUACAUACGGCUUAGCAUGCCUAAUUACACCCCUGAUUUCUAAUUGGUUAAACAAUUCUCUUUCUUUCUUUGCUCUCUUACAACUUGAGGCACAUAACUAAACGCGUGGCUAUUAGCAUUUGCCACCAUGCAUUUAACAACCCCAAAUGAAGAUAUUAAUUUUUUUAGUUUAAUUGCUGCUUCAAAAUGGGGUACUGAAUUUGGAUUUUGUUAUCCAAAUACCAAAAAUUUCCCACAUUGUGAUGGACAGUUUUUAGUUCUAAAGUUGAUGACUGGUUUUGCGAAUCAGGCUUCAAAUGAGAACUUCUAAACAAUAAGACAAAUGAGUUUUUGAGUUUCUAAUCUUGUAAACUUUGUUCUAUUGUAUAAGUUAUGAAAUCGCUGAAACAUCACUACAGUUACAGGUCUUUAUGUGUCAAUGAACUGCAGAAGCCGAUCUUCACGUUUUCACGCGGAAGUGCACAUUUGUGAGGCGUACUCUUCAUGCACGAGGACGUGCAUGGUCAUGGCGGUGGGAGAAUGUCACGGACCGCAAUCGUGGCACCCAAGAUAUGUGCUUGUAUGCUAAUGUCGAUUAUGGUUGUGCUGAUUGUUGGAGACGUGCUUCAGGGGCGUGCAUGUGGGGAAUAUAAUGGCCCUAGACUCUUUGGAGUUCAGGCAGGCCAACCCGGUUUAGUUUGGGGAGCUUGUUGCUAGUCGAGGACUUAACCUUGAAGAGGGGUCUAGGCAAAACCCUACACACACUAGUUGGGAACUGGAGUCGUUCUCCUAACAAGCCCAAGGCAGGGCGAAACCAGUCGAUAUUGUGCCACUUCCACUAGGCUUACUCUCGUAGUAUGGGAUGCGGGAGUGCCGCACGGGUUCAAAACCUCUCGUCUCGUGACACUCUGCUCAAAAGCUAUGCUGCAAGAUAUAACAUCUUUGCAAUGUUAUACUUUCUAAAAGUAAUAAGAAAUCAUUUUAAAAAAAAGUAAUAAGAAAUGAAACCAAGGGGUAAAUCGAACACCAAAAGAAAUUUAGUCGGCCAACCACAUUAUGUUCCCACACAGUCCACUAAUUAAGUUAAUAAUUAAAGGGAAUCAAAAUCUAAGAAAUCUCAUCUUCAAGCAGAAUACAAACACACCGCGAUUGAAAAUCACAAAAUCGUAAAAAGAAGUUGACUUGAAAAGGGGUGGGCCGCCUCAUUUGCCCACCAACCACACCACACACACAAACACUCCAGCACACACACAAACUCUCUAGCUUUUGUAAAAAACUCUCUUGUAUAUUCUCUCUUUGUCAGUAAUAAAAUCAUAUUCAGCCCUAUUGCUCUACUUCUCUCUAGCAUUUUCCUCAAGUGUUCUUGCUUCGCUAGUUUGAGGAGUGGUCUAGGCUUGCUUAGCAACUUGUUUGCUACAAGGACAUCUUGGUCACAAAACAUGGACAUGCAAGGAAAAAAAAAAUAUUGAUACGUUCUAAAAAUAAUACGCAUUCUUCUACAGUGAACCAAAAAAUUUAGGCUAAUGGUAGCAAGUGAAGGAAUUGUGAUUUCAUGUGCAUUUUGUUGACAUGAAGGUAAAGAACUUUUUUAUAGUUUAUAUUGUUUAAUAUAACAUUUGAAUUGCAAAAUAGGGGUACAAAAUAGAUACACGAAGGGAUAAAACUAAGCUGAUUAUGAUAAAUAUUGAAUUAUAAGAUUUAGGUUUAAUCAUAAAGACAUAAGUGGCCCACAAAGUCACGAAUUGAUAUCAUACACGAUGCAAGUUCAAACAACUGCAUAAUAAGUUGCCCCAAUCUAAACUAUUAAUCUAGUAACUAUUCUAGUCGAUGGGGGAUAAUUUUCCUAUCACCAUUUAUCACGUGCAAGCCAAAUUUGUUGCUUGGUUCUUACAUGUGGUAAGGUAAUAUGAAUCCACUUGUGCAUAAAUUUGGCUCCGAUAUUAUAUAGAAGCUUAUGACCCAAAAUUAUACUUAAAAGUUAUUUCAAGAUUUGAGGGUUGCCUCAAGGUAAUAUUAUUAUUAGCCUGGUAACCCUUUUUUUGGUUGAUAUGUGAUAUUUUCCCUAUAACUUUUAUUAAUCUUUAUGCCUAUGUUUUGUCAUUUAUCCCAAAAUAUAACAUUAACAAAAGUUCCAAAAUUUCCUUCAAGAGAUAUACUUGAGACAAGUAAUUUGUGCAAUAACUUUGUGAAUUGAUGAGCAAAUUCAGAGAAAAGAAUAUAUGUGCCAAACGUAAUGUUUAUUAUUGUGUUUAUUUGUAGAGCUAUUUAAAGCCCCAAAAAAAAAAAAAAAGCACCGGUCCGCUAUUAUUUCAAAUAAGUUCAAGCCCUAUGUCAUUAUUGGUACAAAAAUGUAUUAGAAUGGUUAAAAACUAUUUGUAUUUAACUUAUAAACUUAGGAAAUUAUCAACUGUCCACCCUUAAAUUGCAUUGUUAUAAAAAAUAUUACAACAUUUUCAGGUUGUAUCAUUCAUCUACCAUAAAUUUACAAUCUGCAUCAUUUAUCCACCAAAUCAUUAACUUUGUUAAAAAGUGAUAGACGUCACAAGGGUAAUUUAGACAUUUAACACACACAAAAAUAAAAGAGAAAUUAUCUAAGCUUACCAUGUUAUCAAAAUUGCUACAAAAUUUUAAAUUUAUUCAAUUUUCCAAUCUAAGUUUAUGCCUCCAAGAUGUUAAUUGCAGUUUGUAAUUAAUGAGUUCAUAAGGAUAAUUUAGACACUCAAUAUGCAAAAUAAAAAAUAAAAUAAUGGCUUAAAACAUUAAAACAAAAAACUUGAUAUUCAAUUAAAUACACAUAAACUCUAUUUUUUUCUUAAUUAAAAAUAUUCUAAUUUUUUUUCUCAAUUUAUCAUCAUAAAUUUACAUUAAUAAACUAAAUCCACAAAUUACCCUAAUUCAUAAAUGCCCAAUCAGUCUAAUAGUUUACUUCGAUUUCAUAAUUAAAAAAGCUAAAUUUAUUAUAUUAGUUAUGGUGCAAAGUCAAAAAUGCCCUUAAAUUCAAGGGUAAAAUAACAUUUUAUUUAAAUUCUAUAAAUUAUUCUAACAAUGUUAACAUUUUGGUGGACGGUUAAUAUAAAUUGCAAACUUAAAAUAGAAAAUCAAAUAAAUUCAAAUUUUCAAACUAUUUAGGGCAAAUUUAGGAUAUAUGGUUAAUAAUUUUCCCAUGUCUUUUUACAUUGGUUGAUACAAGUUACAAACUUAAAAUAGAAAAUCAAAUAAAUUUAUAUUUUCAAACUAUUUAAGAUAAACUUAGGGUAUAUGGUUAAUAAUAUUCCUUUAUCUUUUUACGUUAAAUUGAGUUUCAAAGGUAAAAUGAUCAAUUUAUUAUAAUUCUGUUAAUUUUUUAGUGGAAACAAAUGAUAUAAUAGACGAAUGAUAUAAAUUGUAAAAUUAAGGUGCAUGAAUGAUACAACUUUAAAAUAUUGUAGUAAUUUUAAUAAUAGAACAAUUUAAGGGUGGAUUGGCAAUAAUUUAAACUUUAAUGAAGCAGCUAAAAAAAAUUUUUAACAAAGAAAAAUAAUUGAAUGCUUUGUGAAACCAAAAAUAAUUGAAAUGCUUUAAGAAAAAUAAAGGAAAUUAAAUAUCUUUAUAAAACCAUAAUUGAGUAAAAUCAUUUUACAAAAUGCUCUUUCAAAUGCACAUUCCACAAGCCAGGGAGAACGGGUGGCUAACAAAAAUCUCACUUUUUAUGAGUUUAUAAAAUCUCACUUUUGCAGAAUCCAAAAAUAGCCAAUACUAAUCACACAAAAAAUAAAAAUUAUUGCUGUCACGACAUUACACACUUUCUUCGCGGUUUAUAAAGCUAGAACAUUUUGAAGUUCCUCAAUACAAAAUGCGUGCUGCUACUAAAUUGGCCCAAUUAAUGCCCAUCGAAAAGGCCAUCAAUUUAGCCAUCAAUUUUGUCAAAAUUUCAACAAUUAAGAAACAAUGAUCGCAAACGGAACAUGUGAAUUUUGAAGUUGAAGAAAUCUUGAGAUACAUACAACAAAGCCUUGAAACUUUAUUCUUCACAAUUUGAGCACGCACUAAAUAUUAAACAAGUAUAGAACAAAGCUUAUUUUUAGCUUCUUGUGCGAACUGAACACGCUGAAUGAAGCUUUUUUUUUUUUGGAUUUUUGGAAUUUUUUAAAGUCAUUUAUGUUCGCUGCCAUCUUUUUCUUCGCUGGCGUCUUCCUCUCGGGGCUGGCAUCUGCCUCGUCUGUAGUUUGCUGUGCCUAUAUAUCCAACCAAUAAAUUGGGCAUUAAAUACGAAUGAAUGAUGAAUAAAAUGAUUAAAAAAAAACAGAGAAAAUUAUAAUAUAACACAUAUAUAUUGAAAGAGAAAUUUUGAUUUUAGGAUAGAUCAAUUAGCUAUCACAAACGAAAACAUGAACCAACUGUGUAUAGAGUCAAUUAACUAAAGUUCUCAAGAGUUGACCUGUGCUCCUGAAUUCUUGGACUCAUCUAUCUCCUUCUGAAUUUCCACGAAGCUUGGGACAAUUACGAACAACUUUAUGGGAUGCAGAUGGAAAUGGGAUCUGAUAACCCGCAGGCCAAAAGUUGGUGAGGUUUGGUAAGUCUUCCAGUAUCAAGUCCCGAAGUUCAUUCAUAACAAUUUCAUUGUAAUCCGUGACGUCUGCUCCAUCUUUAUGCCAGAAUACUUCUUCUAAUUCAUCAUUAGCUGCUAUACAUAGGUGCUUCAGUUUUUGAAGACUUUGAGCUAUGCUGAUAUGAAAUAGAUGCUUUAGUUUGGGGCAAUCAAGGACAGCGAUAUUUGUGAGUUUUGGGAAACAAACAGGUUGGAGAUGAUCCUCAUCCUCAUCCUCAUCAAUGAUUUGCUCUAAUUCCUGACAAUUCACAAUAGAUAACACCUCCAAUUGCAACAGAUUUCGAGCAAGUGUUGAUGAGAAGAGACGUCUCAGCAUAGUGCACCCGUCCACCCUUAAUCUGGUAAGACUUUGCAGGCUAAAAUUAUGCGUGGGACCUACGUGAUAUAAUACUUGCAGUUCUCGAAUGUUUUCCAACCACAACGACUUCAAACAUGGGAAUAGUUUAUUUUCUUGUCCCUCAGCGAUAAUAGCUUCCACUUGAAAUACCACCUGUACUCCAAUUUCCAAAAUAUUCAAUUCUUCCAAAUUUUUUAAGCCGUGCUUCAACAGUGCUGGAAUCGUGUCACUCAAAUGGGAACAAUUGGCCACAUCUAGAGUAUUUAAGUUCUGAGACAAAUAAAUAAAUAACUUGAUGCAAUUAAAAUCUAUUAGCAGCUAGGAUUAUCACAUGAUAAGUGAUGAACACCGCAAAAAUAUCAUAAUACAUAUGUAAACUAAUAAAAUAAUUAAAAAGUAAUGGAUUUAAAAAAAAAUGAAAUUAGUUAAAAGAGAUCAUGUGAAGUGAUAUAAAUGUGACAUUAUAUUGUUUGAGAAAAAUUAGUAUUCUAUUAAUUUCUAUGGAUUGAUCAACUAAUUAAUUGAAUUUGAGUAAUAUAAUAUACACUUCAGUAGUGUUUGCAUCAAUUCUUUCUAAACCGAAAUGAGAUAUGACUUUCAUUUGAAAAAUGAUUUUAGGCCCUAAAAUAAAGGAAUUUCCUUAAGAUAUUUGAGCAUUAUUAUUAUCAUCAUCACAUCCACGAUCAUCAUCAUCUCCAUAGGACCAAAUAAUUAAUGGCUGAUCAUAAAAUUUAUUGCUAAACUAUCAUUUCGAGUAAAAUUGAAGGAAAAGAAAAAACAUAAACACAAACAAACAUACCUCUUUGAGAUAUUGCAAAUUGGCUUUAAGUUCAGUACUGUUGAUGGUCAAGUUGGGACAGUCAUGAAGCUGUAACUCUUCCAAUGCUGUCCAAAUUGAACAAUAAUUUUCUGAACAAAAGCUCUUGAGUUCUGGGAGUUCUUGAAGUGUUAAUCUUCUCAACAAGGGGAGGGCGAGCAUCGUAUUUCCACCUUCGACACUUAUUUCCCCUUCAUUGUGAUCAAACUUUGCUUCGACAAUACAUUCCAGUCUCUUGCAAAAAGUCACACUGAGACUUUUAAGCUGCUCCAAACUUCUAGCUUGUGACAACGUGAAGAUAUAUGUCAACUUGUUGCACCUUUGCACAUUCAAUUCUGUGAGAGUUUGGAGGCUGAUCACAUGUUGGGCGGGCGCCUUCCAUAUCCACUUCAGUUCUGGUAAUUGGAACAUAUUUAACUCUACUAAUCUUGAGAGACUCUUUCCAUGCAGCGACUUAGAGGCAUCCAUUAUGCAUUCUAAAUCUUCGCAAUCGCGAACAUCAAGACAAGUCAACUCAUUUAAGCCCCUUUCAUCUAUGCUUGGCACAAUAUUAUGACAACCUAUUAACCCCCUCAAACGAAGAAAUUUCAGAUUUUGAUACAAUGCUGAAAAAAUAACGAGCGAGGUCGCCACUUCAUGAGGGUAAUUCUCAAUGAUUAAGCUCCUUGUUUCAUCACCAUGUUCCAUGUCAUGAUCAGAUAAUUGACCAUUACCGAUGACGUACCUUUGCAUUUUCGGGAAUGUAAAGUCUUUUGGAAGACAUAUAACUUGGGAGUUCAACUCAGCAAGCCUAGCAUUACUUUCUUCUGAACUCAUCUCUUCAACCUCCCAAUCUUUUAUCCGACCAUAAAAUUCUUCCAAUUGAGGAAAUUUUUUUAUUGUAAUGGGAGAAACAGAACCAGUAUCAAUAUAUAGAAGUUUCAAUCUACCAAGUUCAUCCGACGACAAUUCUUCAGGAAUUUCAAUGGGAGAUGACUGGAGAUAAAGAAGUUCAAGUCUCUUCAACUUUCCAAGAAAAAACGCGUCACUCACAUCACACCGAAUCAACUGCAGAACCUGGAGGUUGGUGAGGCUCUGAAGCGAUUUAAGUGAAAGAACUCCACCUAUUAUAGUGACAACUUUCAAUGCUGGCAUCCCUUUAAAAAAAUGUUCUGGAACUUGCAAUCGGUGGUCGUAUUCAGGAUUCUCCAAUCGCAAAAUAUGAAGGUUAGGGCAUACCAAACUACUAGGAAGCUCUUCUACUUUAUUUCCCAUUACAGAGAUUCCUCUGUAUUGUUCCAGGCCUUCUUCCAUUGCCCGUUCUGCCAAUCCAAUGCCAACUUUACUAAAAAAUUUCUUCUCCACUAGUACUUCUGAGCCUAUCCAUAUGGCUACAUCACGAACUAUGUCAUGCAUUUUCACAGAUCUGUCAUUACCAGUGUCUAACAGUAGUGAAGCAGCUUUGAGUCCGUCAAUUGUUCCAAGCAGUAGGCUUCUGGUGUUCUCUAUUGACUCAGCUUGAUACCAAGUCAACCCUACUGCAUAUCCAACCAAAUCCUCCAAAUUAAUCUCAUAAUCUUCUGGAAAUAGCGAACACAACAAGAAGCAUAACUUGGAAUUGUCAUCAUUCAAUUCGUCGUAACUAAAUUUGAGACAACCGUAAACGUCUAAGUUCUCCUCAUCAAUACCUUCUAUUGCAUAGAGUUUUGCAGCCUUUAGGUUAUGUAGAGCUAGGUUCCAUUCAUUAAAUCUUUUUCCUCUUAGUGCACUUCCAACAGCUUCAAUAGCUAAAGGCAGCCCCUUACAUUCUCCAGCAACUUCUUUGGAAACAUCAUUCAAGGUGGAGUCAUUUACAUUAAUUUUGGCAUUUUUUCGCAGUAAAGCCAAUCCUUCUUCUGGCGUUAGUGUACUAAGUGGAAUCUGUGUGUCACAACCCAAAGAAUCACAAACUGACUUUUUGCGAGUGGUUAGAAGGAUUUUGCAACAAUUAUCUCUACCACCGACGGUAAUACCUAAUUUUUUCUCCGAGUCGAGUGGUUUCCAAACAUCAUCAAGGAUUACGAGGAUUUUGCUGCUUUUACUCUCAGAAAACAUCAAGCGCAAUCGGUCUGCUCUCUCUUUUUCAUCUUUCUCAUUUAGUGCCCAGCCUAACGACUUUGCCAACUCACCUUGAACCUUUAUUAUAUCUAGAUCCUGAGACAUAGUGGCUAUCCCCACCUUAUCGAAAAGCUUUUGUUGCCGAAGUUGAUUGCCCACAUAUUUUGCCAGGGUUGUCUUUCCUACACCACCGAGACCAUGCAAUCCCACCAUCUUUGUGCUCUCUUUUUUCAGUGCGUCAAUGAUCUGAUUGCAAGCGGAUUCUGUGGUCUUGAAAAUAGAAGUAAAAUGCCUUGGCAAACUUAAUUCUCUUUCUAAUGGUAGAGGUUUAGGAGAGGCAACUGUGUUGAAUUGGCUGCAGCCUUGUAGCAGAUCGGACAACUUGCUAGUCUUCUCUGAUGCUUUUCUGCCCAGACGAUAUCGGCAACACCAAUUAGGACACAAUCCAUGAAGACUACUAUCCUUUUCAUCUAUCUCUGCUUUCAACUUCCAAACAUCGUCCAAUUCUUCGACUCCAUUAUUCAGCCACUCCAUUACAUUUUCAUCGACUACUAUGUCGGGGCAUUUUCGCAGUUCAUCGUCUAUUCUUGUUUUGAUGCCAUCUCGUGCCUUCUUCAACUUAGUUUCUUUAUCCUCAAGUUCUUUAACAAUGCUGUUGAAACAGAACAUAUAGCGAGCUUGGUCAAUGGCUGCAUUCACCAAUAAUUCUUCAACCUUUGAUUUUAAAGCUUCCAUGCUAUUUAUCUGCAAAUAACGAAGUUGAUCUCAGCACACUAUUAGCGAAACAACAAGGCUUGAUCACCAGACAAAAUGAGAACGUUUAAUUACCUCUUUCUGCACUGUGAAUGCACGUCUAUUAACACCAGCUUUGACCAAUAAGAGCAAAAUGCAGAGGUGGGGCCUUAAGAGUUUCGGUGGCCUUUAGCUGCAAAACGGCAGAUGACAAAUAAGGUGAACGUUCCUAGCAAACGUGAUUUACGGUGAAUUAUAUUCAAAUUAGAUUAUUUUAAAAGUUGGUAAAUUAUUUAUCACUCUAUCUUAAUGAUACCUUAUUUGGGAUGAUAAAGAUUGGGGUAAAUUCCCUUUUAUUCUCACAUGUUUAUAGUAUUUAUAUUUUUAUAAAUUACCUAAAACAUCCAUGUAACUUACUUUUAUAGCUAUUGAACAUAUCAUUUCAAAUAUAAAAUACUAUUUCUGUCUAAUAUAAAUUAAAAAUCAAACAAAUCUAUCAUGCAAUAAAUGAAAAGUAAAGAAUAUUAAUUAGGUUUUAAUGGAAACAAAUAUAAAACAUAGAGGUUUUGAGUAACUUUUGUAUUUUUUUUAAUGUUCAAUUUAGAAUUGAAUAAUUUGCAUAAUGAAAUUUUGAGGUUUCUAUAAUUUAUAUGAAGAUAAACUGCGAAAUAAGUUUAUAUGCCGAAAUUAAAAUAGUUAUAUAUUAGCAAUCAUAUAAUAAUAAAAAAUUUUAAUAAAAUUUAUUUAAAAAUUGGCCAAUUGUGUUUCAUGAGUAAAACAGAGAGCAUAAUGGACUUAUGUUGGGUCUUGGGAUUGAAAGACUAAGGGUAAGGGGCCGGGAGGUAGGACGGUAGGAAAAUUAAUUUUUGUUAUUUUUAAAGUAUGGUCAACAUUAGUGACUUGGAGGUGAUUGCCGUUAAUCAAUUACCUUUAACUUAAGAAUUAAUACAAAUAAAUGGAAAAAAUAAUUUAAUGAAAAUUAAUUUAAUAAAAAAUUGCACUAAAAACUUAGAACUCAAAUUCUCGAUCAUUUUAUCCGUACGUUUUAAUCCGACGCUCAGAAUUGGCAUAAAACAAACUAAUAUAGCCAUUGGAAAUAAAACAAACAUCAAAUCAAGAGCCUAUGAAACAAUAUUAUCUCGUACCUUCUUCCUUAUAGAUCCUCAAUUGCUGUUGAAAGCUGCAUAUGACAAUAUAAAUAAACAUGAGAUCAAAACAUCAUAGGAUAUAUCUAGCCAAUUAACAUCAUAUAUAACUCCUUGUUCUCAGUCAAAUCUUUCAUUCUUAGAUUAAAAAAAAAAUGAAAUAAUAACUGUUAAGUGAUAUAGGAAGCAAAAGUAACACACCGAAAUGAAAGCAGCUAGUUCACAGAUGACAGAUGCGGUGACUUCAAGAGCAUGAAAAAUGAUUAAACUUUGGUAGAAGGGUCUGAGCCGUGUUUCACAAGUUGCUAUUGACUUCGUGGCUUCGCUUUUAUUUAUUAUUAUUAUUUUUUUAAAUUCUAUAUCAGUGAGAAUUGAAAUGUGGAAAGUGAAAUGAUACACAUGCCUUAUCAUCUAUCAUGAGGGGUGAUUUGGUAAAACCGAUUUAAAAUAAAAAAAGUUUAAAAAAAUUUAAAAAGAUGCUUUGUGUCUGACUGCUUGUAUUUGGGGUAUUUUUCGGGUUGUUGAGACUUGAGAGUGAGUUUAAUUAAAUAUAAGAUUUUCAUUUUUCUUAUUAUAUUUUUCUCUUUAGAAUGAAUUUAAAUCUCAUUCUUAUUAAAUUCAUUUUUUUAAAUGAAAAUAGAUUUCUCUCCACACAUUUGAGAUAUAUUUUAAAAUUAAUGUUAAGCAUAUCUCUAAAUUAUAUUAUAAAUAUUUUUAUUUAAAAUCUCAACAGAUUUCAUAACACACAGAGAGAAAUACAUAUAUAUGUUGUAAUGUUUUAAUGAUGGAUCUCUAAAGUUAUCAAGUUAAAAAAUAAAUAAAUAAAUAAAAAAUACACACUUCAACUUAUUAUAUGAUAAAAUAUAGUAUAUUAAAGUGAGUAUUUUUUGUGUGAAAUAAAAUUAAAGUGAGUACUAUUACCACCUCACAUCUUAUAAAUUCUAGAAAAUAAUCAAGGCUUGACAUACUUUUAUUUAUGCAAAAGCAUAAGAAAAUAAUUCAAAGUACUAAUUAGUGUACUAUUCCUCAAAAUUCUAGAAUAGAUUUGUUAGUUCUCUUUAGCCAUAGAUUGGUCCGUGAUUGGCACCGCAAUAGCUCAUAAUCACCUCAACAAUUGUUCCACACGGCCCAACAUGACACAUUGUAAACUAGUCUACAAGAAUUUUUUGAGUGGCUUUCUAGCAAUAUUCUUAGAGAAAGUGUUUAGUAGUUUCAAAUCUUCUUUUUUUAACACAAAUGUUGGCAUGAUAUUCUUAAUAUAUUUCUAAAAUCAAAAUAAGAUGCAUAGAGGACGAUAAUUUUAUUUCAUAAUUGAAUUUUUUGCAAAGAAAGUUUGAACAUGAGAGUGAUGAGAGAUGAGAAUAUUGAUGAUGGUGUGUACUUUGAAUGGAAAAAUAGAUUGGAAAUAUAUAUAGACAUAUUAAAAGAAAAAAAUUUGGUCUAUUUCAUAAGAGAAAUAAAAAAUUAUAAACGCGGGUGUUAAAAUGUAUUCAGAAUUUAUAAAUUUUUAUAAAUAUGAUAAUCAUCAGACCCUUAUAAAAGUAUAACAAAAAAGUUUAAAAUUUUUUAAUAAAUGUAGAAGAGAUGAACGAAGAAAUCAUCCACCAGUUCAGAAUUAACAAUCAAAGAUAUGAGGACUUGAUUGAAGAAAUGAUGAAAAAUAAAAGGAAACUGGGUUGGUUAGCGGGACCCUAAUAUUAAUGGUGAAAAAUAAAAGGACACUGGGUUGGUUGGCAGGACCCUAAUAUUAAUGGCAAAAAAUAAAAGGACACUGGGUUGCUAUCAAUUUCGAUCGUGUAGGUUCAUAGCCGGGGAAGUAAUUGGGCACAAAUAUCUCGGAUGAGAAAUAACCAUUUUAUCCCGCAACCAUAUGUUUAUGGCCUCUAAAAAUUUUCACCUCUUUCACUUUCUGGAACCCGUGCUUUCUGGCACAUGCACAAAUACUUGGUUGCUACUUAUAGAGCGUUUUUGGAAUUGCAACAACAUGGUGCUCUUUGAUAAUUCAAAAAUCCAAUAUAAUUUAUAGAGAAUUACAGAAUUGUGGUACGUGAUAAUUUGCUGAUGCAAUGAGGCGCCGAAAUUCUUAUACAUGUGAUUUAAGUUAUAUAUGUAUAAUUAAGUAAUUAGAAUAUACUAGUUGGGGGUAUUUGUGUCCAUGAAAAUUUACAGCUGGUUGUUGACAUUACACUGCGGGUGUGUAAGUGUAAUCAUGGAUCUGACCAUUCAAAUUUAAAAAAUGGGGGUCCCGCUAGCUUACGGAGUUAGUAAUUAUUAGAUAUGCAUAUAUGCUCCCAUACGAUAAUCUUAUCAUAAAUUUGAAGGAUACGAGGACUUGAUUGAAGAAAUGAACGAAUAUUUGAAUUAAAAAAAAUUUUAGAAUAAAGACAAGUAUUAAUUUACUAUGAAUGCAACUUACAUAAGCUGUAAGUUAGCGGGACACUAUUAAAUCACAAGCAAAAAGCAAUCUGACUUCUUCUUGAUUCCGUAAUUUGGCUGUCAAAAUGUAAUCUAUAAAAAUUACGAUACCUCGAUUCAAAAAAAUGUUGUUUCUGAUGAAAUAAAUGAAAAUUGAACGUACAAUCUGCCACGAACACUGUUUAAUUAACCGUUUAUUUCCCCUUAAAUUUUUAAUCUCAAUGAAACAUAGAUCUAAUGGGAACUACAUAUAUAUAAAAAUACUAUAGAUUGAAGAAGUUGAAUUUUUCUUGUGUGUUAAGUAUUUUUAGUUAAUACGAAAGGAUUCUAGCAAGUUAAUACAAAAGUAUCAUAAAUUCAUAGUAGUACAAGAGAUUUUUUUUUUCUUUUGAUAUUAAGAGUUUUCGAGAUAAAAAAAAAAAAAUAGGUGAAAGAAGAAGAUGAGAGAAGAAAAAAUAUUAAGAAUAGUUUUGGCAUUUUGAUGCGUUUUAUAGUGUAAAAUCUAUAUUUUAUAGUAUAAAAAGGUACACCCAUAAUUUAAUGAUAAAAUUUUAGGAAAAAAUUGCACUCGUCAAAAAAAAAAAAGAAAAGGCUCAGCUUAGCCCAAAAAUUUUUUAUUAAUCGUCUAGUCGCUAAUGUAAUCUCUUUUUUAUGAGAUUCUUUGGCGUUUUAGUUUAGUCCAUUGUUAGCAAUCCUAAUAGCUUUUAUGUGCAUCUAUUUUUAUUUGGAAUAUGUUUCAAGCUUGAAUAAAAUCUGCGGGACAACUGGUAAGUAAUAAAGCUCAUCAUUUUUUUAUUUUGAAAAUAAAGGGAAUCACUUACACUUAGCAUGAUAUUAUUUUUGAUAAGUCAUUUUUUUGGUAGAUUAUUUUUUCUAACACGCUCUUAGAUUUAGUGAAAAUAAAUUGUAUACUUUUAAUGAAGAAAAGUAAAGAUCAACAAAAUAUUUUGUUCUUUGCGACAACUUUUGCGUUCUCAAGUGCGCCUGAUACCCUUUUUUUUUUAACAUGGGCCCACGUGCCAUGUUUCCAUUUCAAGUUUCAUAAGUUAACAGUAGAAAUGGGUUCCACAGAUAAUUUAUUUUAUAAUUUUUUUUAAAAAUUACUAAAAUAUAAUAAAUAAGGUAAUAAUAAUUAAUAAAAAAGUAGAUUUUAAGAUGGAAAAAUCUUUUUGUGUACUUAAUAAAAAGAUGAUAAGAAUGGGAUGCUUUUAGUUUACAUUCUCAUAGCUAUUUAUACUGAAAAAUUACAUCAAAAUUUAAUUAAUAAAUCAGUGAACUGCAGACUUAUUAAAUUUAAGCUAUUUUAAUAAGUCAUAAAUAUACUAAAUUAAAAUAGUAAUAAACCCAUUGUUACACAAUACUCUCCAUUGAGUGUUCACCAUUUUAAGAUAAUCAUAAAAUGACACCGGAAGUGCUAUUAUAGCUGUCUCAUGGAAAGCCUUCACCAAUAAAAAGGAGGAUAGAGCACAUACAUCCAGUUUUUAUACCCUUUGAUGCUCAGUCGACACGUGCCAAUGCUAUAGACUAGCUUUUCGAAGGUUGAAGUGGGUAUGCUAUUAGUAAAAAGACCUGCAAAAUUAUAGUGUACCUAUUUGACAUCAACUUUUUUUAUCUGCUGGAGCUUAUGAUUAUAGAAGAUCUUCGGUAAGAUGUGUUUGAUUUUAUCUUCUUUUAUAUAUCCUCCUCUAACUUGUGUAAUAGUAGUAAACCCCUGCCCGUUUUUAUUUCGUUUAGUAUUUUCUAAAUGGCCGAAGGAAAAUUGGUAAAAACUCAUUUAAAAAUUAAAAAAAAAAAUCAAAGAAAUUCAAGAAGAAGCUUUGUAUCUGUCAUUUGUAUUUGGGGUAUUUUUUUGGUUGUUAAGUGAAUGAGCUUAAAUCUAAAACAUUUAUUUAUAUAUUUCUUGUUGGAAAGAAUUUAAAUUUUAUUCUUAUUAGACUUAUUCUCUUUAAACAAAGGUAGAUUUUUCUCUAUGUGUUUAACGUGUAUUUUAAAAUUAAUGUUCAACAUAUCUUUAGAUUCUAUUAUAAAUAUUCAUAUCUAAAAUCUCAACAGAUUUCAUAAUAUAUAAAUGUAUAUAAAGAGAGAGAAUAACGUUUCUAAUAAGAAAUUUAUUAAGUUAAAGAAUAAUUCAAAAGAUAAAUUUGUAUUAAACCCAUUUAUAUGAUUAAUUAAGGUUUUAAACAAAUUUUGGACUUGUUCUAUUGUAGAGCUUAAAUUCAAAAUGGAAGAGUGAAGAAGGGAAAAAGAAGACGAAUAAAGAAGAAAAGAGGAGAACAACUUAUACAAAAUAGGGAGAACGAAAAAGUGAAGGGCAGAAAAAGAAAAAGAAUAAAGAAGAAAUUAAUCAUCGCUGAUAUGAAAAUAAUUCCUUCUUCUUUAUUGUUCUUAGUGGUUCUACUUUUUUUUAUUGGAUUCUAAAUUUUUGUCGUAGAUGGAUUAUAAGAACUAGAAAAUUAUAAAGAUAAUUUUUUAAUUAUUCGAUUAAUUAAUUCCAGCAGAAGACAAGAAAUUGAUUCUGCUUCGUUAGAAAGCCAUCACAUUCUAUACGCAAUUGCAAAAAGUAUAUAUUUUUGUCUGUUUUAGACAAGAAUAAAAGGGAUACCUGGUAUUGCAAAUCUAGACACGUUUUAGUGCUUUAUGUCCGAAUGAAUUCUUUCUUGCAACAAUAAACUUGGCCGAUCAGGAUUUGCCGUUUACAUAUGUAGGUCCUGUUGGUUCUGUAGUAGGACUCAUAAAUUUUUAUUUUUAAUUUACUGAAUCCAUAAAUUUAAAAUAACGGUGCAACUCCUGAGGAUGACAAUGGGGCGGGUGAGGUCUUGGAGUCCUGAAAAAAUUUAUAUCUGCAUAUUAAAAAAUGUGGAUCCGAAUAAGAAAAUCCGCAUGAAUCCGAAUGCAAGUGCAUUUGGAAAAUCGGAUAUCGAGAUCUGGAUAAAAAUUUAUUUCAAAUUAAAAAUUAAAUUAAAUAUAUAUUAAAAAGUAAAUGAAAAAUUAAGAAAGUAAAUUUUAUUUGUAGAUUUAUGAUGUCAUUGUAUAUUAUUCAUGUUGAAUUAUUAAUUGUUGGAUUAUGAUUGAAUUUUAUUUGAUAUUAUUGGGUAAAUUAUUGAAUUUCAUUUUAAAUUAAAAAUAUUUAUUAAAAAUUAAAUUUUAUUUGUAGAUUUAUGAGAUUAUUGUAUGUUAUUCAUUUAAAAUUUUUAAUUAUUGAAUUAUGAUUGAAUUUUAUUUGAUAUUAUUAGGUAAAUUAUUAAACUUUUAAAUUUUAUAUUAAAUUAUAAGCAGUAGGAAAUUAUGGUAUUCAGAACAUGUAUACCUUCGCACAUGAAGCUUGAGUCCAGAACAAGAUGCAGCUAGCCAAUCCUUCAACUUCCAAAACCCCACAAAACCUCUGUCAACAUAUCUGCUCUACUUCAAUAUCAAGCACAUUCAUAGCGGUAUCAACAGCUUACAGCUCCAAAAAUAGUUUGAGAUUUCAUUGAAGCUAAGUUGUGACUUGUGACUGUCCAAAUGUUCUGUCACACGAAAUGAUUAUUCUUGUAACACAAAUCCAAUAGCAUGCAAUAUAAUCUACUCUCUAACACUGUGCAUUAGUAAAAUAAAACAGAGUAAAAAGAGAAACCAUGCCUGUGAAUCUCUUCUCCUCCCCCCACCACCCCUUUUUUUGGUAAAGUCUAUCAAAUGAAAAUGCAGCAUGACCACAUUGGCCACUACCACUGCCAUUACUCCUUCAACUGUGCCCUUUGUUGCAAGAAAUCUUCAAGUGAAAGAUGGAUUAUAUAAUUAAAGAUUCCAAUAGAAGCAGCAAAGGUUGCCUUCCACUAGCCUAUCAGAGAAUAUGCUUUCUAUUUUCCUAGUUUUAAUCAAAAUUUUGCAAGAUUUAUUUAUGGAAAACUUGGACAAAAUUUUAUGUAAGAUACCAUAAAGCCAAACACAAUCUUUUUAAUUCUCAGCAGCAACAUUUAAAGUAAAAAGAUGGAAGCCAUAUAAAUAUAACUAUAUUUGGUACGAGGAACAAUUAUUUCAAGCUUUCAGAAAUGCUAGCAAGAAAUUGUAAGAGAACUUUACCUAGUCACAGAAUAUGUCAAGCAUACUACCACCAACUGUCUUUAGCACAAUUGUUAUGAAGUAGCCUCUGAAUCGGAAGAUUCAAGCUUCCACCAGGCACAAUUAUUUUCAUUCUCCAUACAAUCUGCAGCAGUGGCAUGAGUUAUAUCAUCAACAUUUGCAUCCUCACUCUCAUCACCCCAAUCAAGGCUUCUUCUCCACCUCUGGAUUAUAAGUCCGCUUCGACAUCUUCAAACAUCUCGGUCCUUCCAUUUGCAAACAACCGAUAUGGCUUCUUUCCUUGCCUUCCUCAUCGUUUAUAUCCCCCCAAAAAAGGGUCUUUAGACACCUCAACUUUGCCUUCUGCAAAACCUCCACAAAAUCUGAAUUAUCCAACACAACAGCUAGACGCUUGAUCCUUCUUUUGUCCAUCAUAUCCACCGCAUGAUUCCUCAACAAACAUCUGCAGCUUGUGGCUUAUCUAACACUGUCCUGACCCAAAACCCCACUCUUUUCAACUCAUCUGCCAAACCAUAACCCACUUUUGGAGUCAAAAUUGUCCUUGCAGCCCUUUUAUAUUUUUCCAACUCCAUUGAAUACUUGCCACUCAAAUGCACUCUCCUACCUCUAGCUGAUUCUACUUGAUUCAACCUCUUCUUUUGUUUACACUCAUGAAUUUGGAUAAAAUAAUUAACAAGUUUGUCAUUAUUAUAAAAUCUCCUUUCACAAACACCACAUAAAUAUGGCUCAGCAGGCUUAAUUACACCCUUGCUUUCCAAUUGGUUAAACAAUUUUUCUCUUCUCUUUGCUCUCUUACAACUUGAGGCACAUAACUAAAUGCAUGGCUAUUGGCAUAUGCCACCAUGUAUUUAACAACCCAAGUGAAGAUAUUGAUUUGGGGGUUUGUUGUCCAAAUCCCUAAAAAUUCACACAUUGCGUUGGACAGUUUUUAGUUCUACAAUUAAUGAUACGUUAUGUGAAUUAAGCUCCAAAUGAGAACAUCUAAACAAUGAGACAAAUGGGCUCUAGGUUUCUAAUCAGUAAACAUCGUUCAGUCGCAUAAUUUAUGAAAUUUUUGAAACAUCACUACAGCUACAGGUCUUUAUGUGUCAAUGAACUGCAGAAACUAAUGAUCUACUAGUAGUAGACGUUUGUUGUCCCCACCGUUCCAGGAAGAAAAAUAAGUAGAAGAACUACUUUUAGACCAAAAUUAAAAAAUUGAAACUAUCUUGAAAGACUUUCCCUUCAACUAAGUAAAAAAGAAAAGAAAAAAAAAAGGUAUUAGACAAGCAUUUUCAAAGGAAAAAGAUCAUCCAUUUAUUGUAUGUACUCAGGAAAAAUAAAUGUACUAAUAGGUAGAAACACAGCAAUAAAACUCAAAAACUAACAUCUAUAAAGCUCAAUAACAAUUAUGAAUUAGAUAUUUUGGUCCCUUCAUAAUUCCUCCUCUUGACUUCACAUUUCCCCUCAGCCCGUGAUAAUUUUACCUAUUGAAUUCACAUUUCCCCUCAUCCAUUGAAUUUUCCCAAUAACAAGAUGAGUCUAAAUCUGUUAGGAAAUUGAUGGGUGAAGCAGACACGCAGCUAAAGUAAAAUUGGAAGAAAAUAAAGAACAAGCACAAUAGAGGACACCAGAAAUUACGUGGUUCGGCUUUUAGCCUACGUCCACGGGCGAAGACAGAAGGAAAUAUUUUACUAGUGAAAAUGAGUUACAAGUAUUGUAGUAUUUUAGCUCACUUCCCAAAACCCCAAUACACCCAAACUCUCUAACUCACUAGACACUCAAGAGUUUAUUAAACUCUUAAAACUCUCAACACUCAAGAAAGCAAUGCUUCUCUCUCGAUGGAAAUUGAAUACAAAUGAAUGAGUGAGCACUUCCUUUUAUAGCCAAAAAAUGGCUAUUAAAUUAAUAUAUAUAUGUAUAUAUUUCAAAUGUAGUUACCAACUUCUUCUUUUUCUCCAUUUGGAUGGCACCAUUUUCUUUGGCCGGCUGCACCAUUUUCUUUUUUCAAAUGUCAAACCUGUGUGCUCAUUUUCCUUUCCAACUUGCUGCAAAAUUCCUCUUCUUUGAACAACAUGGAUGUUGACCAUCUAGAUGGCUGCUUUUGACAUUUCUCCCACUUGGAGAUUAGAUUGAGAAGCAAUCAAUCUCCACACCAUCCUUUCUGCUUCGCCAUAAUCAUGUUGCCUACGUUUCUGCUAGACCACAAGAGGAUCUACUCCAGACAAACUUAUCAGUAUUUAUCGGCUUGGUCAAAACAUCUGCUAGGUUCUCUUUGGUAUGGAUUUUCUGCAAAUCCACACUUCCAUCUUCCACUACUUCUCGAACGAAGUGAUACUGAACUCCUAUGUGCUUUGUCCUGGAAUGAAAGGCUGGAUUCCUUGCAAUGUGCAAGGCACUCUGACUGUCACAAAAUACAGGAAUUUUCUGUUGUUUGUGCCCGAGCUCCUCCAAUAACCUUUGUAUCCAAAUAGCUUCCUUGCAAGCUUGUGUAGCUGCCAUGUAUUCUGCUUCUGUUGUAGAUAAAGCCACAACGGUCUGCAGUUUCGAAACCCAGCUUACAGCUGCUCCCGCAAGUGUAAACACAUAACCAGUAGUGGAUUUUCUUUUAUCAAGAUCUCCUGCAAAAUCUGAAUCCACAUAGCCCCUGACAGUAAACUCUGAUCCUCCAUAACAUAACGCAACAUCUGAGGUUCCUCUUAUGUAUCUCAGAAUCCUCUUAACAGUUAUCCAAUGCUCUCUACCAGGAUUCGCCAUGUAUCGACUAAUUGCUCCCACUGCUUGUGCAAUGUCUGGUCUUGUACAUAUCAUAGCGAACAUCAAACUUCCCACUGCUGAUGCAUACGGUACUCGAGACAUCUCCUUCCUCUCUGCUUCAUUACUAGGACACAUACUUGAGGAUAAUUUGAAAUUAACAGGAAGUGGGGUAGAAAUUGACUUACAAUCUUGCAUGUUGAAGCGUCGCAAGAUUUUCUUCAAGUAAUUCUUCUGCGAAAGCCAAAUCUUCCUGUUAUUUCUGUCUCGGUGAAUUUGCAUCCCUAGAAUCUUGUUUGUUGGUCCCAAGUCCUUCAUGUCAAACUCCCUAGCUAACUGUGCCUUCAAUUCUUGGAUUCGAUCUUUGUUGGGACCUGCUACCAACAUGUCAUCCACAUACAAUAGCAAAAUAAUGAAAUCAUUAUCUUCAAACCUCUUGUAAUAUGCACAAUGGUCUGAACUGAGUCUGUUGUAUCCAAGGCUCAUGAUGAAGGAAUCAAAUCUCUUAUACCAACACCUCGGCGCCUGUUUGAGACCGUAUAGAGAUUUGUUCAACCUGCAAACCAAGUUCUCCUUUCCUGUUUCUGCAAAACCUUCUGGUUGGAGCAUAUAUAUUUCUUCUUCAAGUUCUCCAUGAAGAAAUGCAGUUUUCACAUCUAACUGCUCUAGAUGUAAGUCAAAUGUAGCACACAUUGCCAAGACUACUCUGACUGUUGUGAGUCGAACCACGGGCGAAAAUAUCUCGUUGAAGUCAAUGCCUUCUUUCUGAGCAUAUCCUUUCACUACCAAUCUUGCACGAUACCGCUCCACUUGGUCAUUACCAUCACGCUUGAUCUUGUAGACCCAUUUGUUUCCAAUGGCUUUUCUUCCAUGUGGUAGUGGUACAAGUUCCCAUGUCUUGUUCUUGUGUAGAGCUUCAAUUUCUUCCUGCAUUGUUGUCAUCCACAAAGCAAUAUCUGAGCUUUCUAAAGCUUCAUGGAAAGUUGAUGGCUCUCCAUCCUCCGUUAAAAGACAGUAUGCAACGUUGAUCUCUGUGACAUACUCCGAGUGCCACGUUGGCGGUCGUCUCUCACGAGUUGACCGACGAACUCUGGAGCCUCGGACUCGACUGGUUCUUGUUCCUCGUUCUCUGGUGCUGCUUCAGAAGAAUCUGAAUCUUCUGGAUUAUUUUCCACAUAUACUGGUACAAUCUCUGACUUUUCUUUUACAGUGCUUUCAUCCUCAUCUUUCCUUUGCAGUUGAUCUUCUAUAAAGAUAACAUCUCUGCUGAUGACGAUCUUGUGGGCAGUGGGGUCCCACAGACGAUACCCCUUUACUCCAUCAGCAUACCCUAAGAAGAUACAUCUUCUAGAUUUUGGAUCCAGCUUUGUUCUUUCUUGGGCAUUGUACAUCACGUACACAGGACAUCCAAAUGCAUGUAGGUAGGAAUAAUCAGCUGGCUUUCCAGUCCACAUCUCCAUCGCUGUCUUCAACCCAAUAGCUGUAAAUGGCGACCGAUUUACUAUAUAACAGGCGGUUUUGGCUGCUUCUGCCCAGAAUGAAUUGGGUAAACCAGCAGUCCUCAACAUAGCUCUUAUUCUUUCUGUAAGAGUUCUGUUCAUCCGCUCCGCUACUCCGUUUUGUUGAGGAGUGUAUGCCACCGUGAACUGCCUCUGAAUACCUUCUUGCUUACAGAAAGCAAGAAACUCUCCGUCUGUAUAUUCUCCACCAUUGUCUGUCCUUAAGCACUUGAUCUUUUUACUAGAUUCAAGUUCCAACCGCGCUUUGUAUUCUUUAAACACAGGAAAUACAUCUGACUUUUUCUUAAUUGGAUACACCCAACAUCUUCUGGAAUAAUCAUCAAUGAAAGUCACCAUGUACUUUGCACCUCCCAUAGAUAUAUCCGGUGAUUCCCAAACAUCAGAAUGAAUCAAGUCUAGAAUGCAUUUACUCCUAGCAAUAGAUCUACUGAAUUUUAAUCUAUGCUGCUUACUUGUAACACAAUGCUCGCAAAAUGGUAAACUUACCGAUUUGAGCCCCGGAAGCAAUUUUCGCUCAGAGAGAAUCUUCAAACCUUGUUCUGACAUGUGGCCAAGUUUGAGAUGCCACAUCAUCGUUGAUUCUUCUCCAUUUGAUGCGACACACGCAUCAGCCUCCUGUAGUGUUUCUCCUUUAAGCAUGAAUAAAUUAGCACCGAUCUUUUCUGCCUUCAUCAAUACAAGCGCACCUUUAACGAUCUUCAUUAUUCCAUUUUCCACAUGAGUUUUGAACCCAUGACUAUCCAUUUGUCCCAAAGACAAUAGAUUUUUCUUCAGGCCAUUGACAUGUCGUACCUCCCCAAUUGUGCGAAUUGUACCAUCAAACAUUUUUAUUUUGAUAGUACCAAUACCAGCGAUCUCCAAGGCAUGAUCAUCUCCCAUAUAUACAGAUCCUCCUGAGAUAGGUUCAUAUGUGUGGAACCAUUCUCUCUUAGAGGUCAUGUGCCAGGUAGCUCCUGAGUCUAUAAGCCAGACAUCAGAUAGUCGUUUUCUGCCUUCUGAAACAGUUGUUGCCUCGCUGUAGAGAAUUUCACCAUCAUCUGAGGUACUUGCUACACAACCCUGAGCAUUUGAUGACUCAGGUUCUUUGCCCUCUCUUCUCUUCUGGUUACUCCAACACUCUUUCUUGACGUGCCCUUUCUUGCCACAGUUGUAGCAUUUAACAUUCUUCUUACUUCUGGAUUUUGAUCUACCCUGAUUUUGACUCCCACUGGGGCCACGUUCCGUUGAUCUCCCUCUCGUCACUGAUAGCGCUUCUGCUUGCUGCGAACUUGCUUGUCUGUUUUCCUUGUUUUUCCGCCUGCUCUCCUCAUUUAAUACGGAGGCUGCAACAUCGUCGAAAACUAGACCCUCCACUGGAUUGUUGUUCGUCAGGUUGAUGAUGAGUUGAUCAUACGAAUCUGGUAGACUUUGAAGUAGAAGCUCUGCACGUUCAUUUUCCUCUAUAUUAUGACCCAACGUUGUGAGUUGUGAAAAUAGAGUCUUCAAUGUGUUGAUGUGGUCGGUCACCAUUGUAGAUUCCGCCAUUCGAAGAGUAUAGAGUUUUCUCUUCAAGAAGAUUUUGUUGUGUAGUGACUUGGCCUCGUACAAUUUUGUGAGAGUAUCCCAAAUUUCCUUCGCCGUAUUUUUCUCUGCCACACUGGAUAAUACUCCAUCCGCAAGUGCCAAGUGUAGAUCAGAAAUAGCGUUGCCGUCUACCUCGUUCCACUUGUCAUCAGUUAUCUCUAUGGGCCUUUCUCCAAUUGCUGCCAAACAAUUAUUUUUCCUCAAUACAGCUUUCAUCUUCAUUUUCCACAACGAAAAAUUAUUUCCGUUAAACUUCUCAAUUUCAUAUUUUGCCGCCAUUUUGUUGAUAAUACUGCACACAAGCUAGUGUACCACCUUGAAUAGUUGUGAGUAUGUGUGAGAAUGCACACCAGGAAAGUUCCCAGGAAAGACUAGAGGGGUCACAAUGGUCCCACUUAAAACCCAAACUCCUUAAGCUCUUAUCGCCUUUGUGACAGAACUUUCCUAGACAUGUACAGAACCACACAGUUGCUUUACUCACACCACUAUUCCCUGCUUUGCACCGCAAAAUUCUUGGAUGGCUUCCACCGUUUCACGUGAAUAGUACCGUAUACGUGAAUAGUGCCGUAUACGUGAAUAGUGCCGUACACCGUAUACGUGAAUAGUGUCGUACACCGUAUACGUGAAUAGUAUCGUACACCGUAUACGUGAAUAGUGCCGUACGCCGUAUACGUGAAUAGUCCCGUACGCCGUAUACGUGAAUACGUGAACAAUUCCUGACUCCAAAAAUACAACCAAUAGCUCUGAUACCACUGUUAGGAAAUUGAUGGGUGAAGCAGACACGCAGCUAAAGUAAAAUUGGAAGAAAAUAAAGAACAAGCACAAUAGAGGACACCAGAAAUUACGUGGUUCGGCUUUUAGCCUACGUCCACGGGCGAAGACAGAAGGAAAUAUUUUACUAGUGAAAAUGAGUUACAAGUAUUGUAGUAUUUUAGCUCACUUCCCAAAACCCCAAUACACCCAAACUCUCUAACUCACUAGACACUCAAGAGUUUAUUAAACUCUUAAAACUCUCAACACUCAAGAAAGCAAUGCUUCUCUCUCGAUGGAAAUUGAAUACAAAUGAAUGAGUGAGCACUUCCUUUUAUAGCCAAAAAAUGGCUAUUAAAUUAAUAUAUAUAUGUAUAUAUUUCAAAUGUAGUUACCAACUUCUUCUUUUUCUCCAUUUGGAUGGCACCAUUUUCUUUGGCCGGCUGCACCAUUUUCUUUUUUCAAAUGUCAAACCUGUGUGCUCAUUUUCCUUUCCAACUUGCUGCAAAAUUCCUCUUCUUUGAACAACAUGGAUGUUGACCAUCUAGAUGGCUGCUUUUGACAAAAUCAUCAAUCUCAUUAAACACUCACAUCUACUAAAUAAUAUCGCAUGCAGUAACUUUAAGUAAGGAUCUAAAACUUACAAGAAAAAGAAAACUACUGUUUAUUAAUUUCAAAAUUUACACAAAAUUACAAAUGAUUUUAUAAACUGUACCAAAACAUGUUCUCUAAAAGAGAUUCAUUAUCCUGCAUUUUCAAAAACAAUAUAAACUAACACUAGAAUAGCCAUUUGAUAAUGAUGUGAAUUUGGGCAGCACCAAGAAGCAGUGAGCCCCAUUUGGUGAAAGCAAAAAGAAAAAAAAUUAAAAUAAAGCACUAUAAAUUCUAAUCAAAUUAUUAACAUUAGCUACACAUCAAGAAACCAGAAUAAAAUCGUUAUCUAAACCACAUACUGAAAAAGAAAAAACAAUGCAGUUAAAAUUCUAUCAUUUUCACUUACAAACAAAUAAAGAAAAAAUUAAGAACAAAGGUUGAAGCAAAGAAUGAUUGUACCUUGAGGUACUUGAGGUUAAUGUUUCCAUAAACGAGACCGAGCGAAAAAGCCGAAACCAGAGCAACCUAUUCUUACUACUCAAAAACACGCCCAGAUCAGAAAAUAAAUGAUCAUUCAAUAACAAUUCAUAGGAAAAUGAUGUUUGCCCCGGGUCAAACCCCGAAAAUAACUUAAACGGCGUCGUUUUGAUUUUUUUUUUUCUUUUGGAAUACUCCAAAACGACGACGUUUCUGAUGAUAUUUUGAGAAGAAUAAAAUCUAUCUUCCUCUUCGUUUUCGUUUCUUCGUUUCACCUGUGAAAGAACAGAGCAACAGAGCAACAGAGAUCCCAACUUGGUCUUGUUCCGUUUGACCGUAAAUCUCUUCAUUUCUUCGUUUCUUCGUUUCUUCAAAUAACGGCAAUAUCACCCAAAACAAAGUUUCAUGCAAUGUUGUAAAAAAUAAAUUAUGAUUUGAGAACUGAAAAAAUAAUAUGAGAACUAAAAAAAUGAGACAAAUCAAGAAUAUGAGAACUGAAAAAAUUAAUUCAAUGUUACAAUGUUACAAUGUUCUAAAAACGAAGGCCAACUUCCUAAAAUAAAAUUAAAAAACAAAAUGCUACAAUGUUAAUCUUCGAAAAUUAAACUGAAAAAAUGAGACAGUACCGAAAAAAACAAAUCUUCGAAAAUUCAAGCUUGGCACAAUGUUAAUCUUUCGUCCAAACUCAGCUUUCAACCGUCCAAAUUCAGCUUGUCCAAACUCAGCUUUCAACCGUCCAAACUCAGCUUGUCCAAACUCAUCUUUCAACCGUCCAAACUCAGCUUUCAAGGACACAUUUCGCAGCCGAAACUCAGCCGAAACUCAGCUGCUGUUGGUCUUGUUCUUCAAUGGGUACCAAACGAAAAAGAAACGAAAAAGAAACUCAGACGCUUUCAACUCAGCUUCCAAGGACAAAUUUCGCAGCCGAAACUCAGUCGAAACUCAGUUGCUGUUGGUCUUGUUCUUCAAUGGGUGCGAAACGAAAAACAAACUCAGAUGAAGAGGAUGGAGCUUUAAUUAGUAGAUCCCGUUCUGCUGUCGAUGAGUGCUCCGGCUGUGGAUCUCGGUCGAGGAUGGAAGAAACGAAAAAGAAACGAACAAACGAAAAAGAAAAUAAAAGAAAACGACGCAAAUCAUUCAAUAAACAAACGAAAAAGAAAAAAAAAAAAGAAACGACGCAAACGACGCCGUUUAAGUUAUUUUCGGGGUUUGACCCGGGGCAAACAUCAGCACUCUUUCCUUUAUGAAUUGGGAAAAUGCUACUUUCCCCGGGUCAAACCCCGAAUUAUUUCAAAACGGUGUCGUUUUGUUUUUUUUUUUUCUUUUUACUUGCAUGAAACGUGGUCGUUUGAGCUAGUAAAAACAAAACAAACUAAAGCAGAAAAAACUCAAGUGCUUAUCUUCUCUGCCCCUUUCUUAAUUUCCUUUUGACAAACCACGGAAUCACACCCACAAACAACAAUCACCCACAGUCACGCGAACAGCCGGCACAGACGAAGGAUGAGCCCACAGACGACGGACCACCGCAUUGAAAUCUCUGUCCACAUCACCGGCACCAUCAUCGUAGGUCUGUAACAAACUGUCGUAAGUUAAACCCUUCUCACCGUCGAUGAACUCGACGUAAGUACGGAAUACUUCGUCGAGAAUUGCGUUGAUUUGUUCGUCGCUGAAUUUGACUCGAGGGUUUACGGCCACCACUAAAGCCGCCAUUUCUUCUCUAUUACGGCCACCGUCGCGGUUCGUGUCAAAUUGUUGAAAAAUUCUCUUCACUUUCUCUGAUCUGCUUCCUCUCGUAGCCAUUUUUUUUUUCUGUUUUUCUGGGGGUCAGUUUGGUUUCUCAGUGUUUGUUUGAGAAAGCGGAAUUAGUAGAUAAGGGAAUAUAAGGAAAAGUUGAUAAAAAGGCAAAGGGUGGUUACUUUAAUUGUUGGUGAGAAUAAUGAUGAUGAUGGCUUAAUUCUGGGUUUUGUUGGAUCUGAAUGAAUUCUUAACGGCAAAAGUUAAAGAGUAGAAGAAGAGCAAGAGGACGGACUCUCAUUCUUUCCCUUUUUUCUUUUAAUUUUAAAUAUAUCAAAAACGGCAGCGUUUUGGAGAAACAAAAAAGAAAAAAAAAUUAAAACAAAACGACGCCGUUUUUGUUUUCGGGGUUUGACCCGGGGCAAACAUCAGCACUCAUUCAUAAAAACUCCAUCCCAUCGCAUUUAAAACAAAACAAAGAAAAUAUUGAUUAGAAAAAAAAUUACACGCAUGGAAUAAAAGAAUAUAAAAAUGGAAUUACCAGAGGGAGCUAGUGCCGGAGUAGGAACCAGAAGGCAGCGCCAUAUGAUGCUCUUGUUAUGGUUUUCCUUCUUGUGGGUCUGCGCUGAAGUCGAAGAUGAAGAAACAAGAAAGAGCCAGCAAAUUGAGAAAUCGACUACCAUCUUCGAUUCCGACUCGCAUGGCCAUUUUUCUUUGAUGAAUGAAAUAUUGUUUUACUCCCUAAUUCUUAACCAAAUUACAAGUUUUGACUUCUGUUUGUAUGUUCUUUCAUACGGGUUCUUGUUCACAGGAAUAACAAAUGGGCCGGACGUGUGGCUAAGCCCGGGCCUGGUGUCGAUAGCCAGGCCUGGGCUUUUACGAGCCCAGGCAUUUUAUUCUGAGUAUGAUCCUUAUAUCACUUCACUUUUGUAAUCGUAAUUUUAUUGUACUGAAAAUUAUAUGAACGAUUAAUAUGAAUUUAAUUAAACAAACAUGUCUUUACAACUCAUGCAACCUUACUAUUUUCUAAUCCUAAUAUGUGAUAUAAUUAAUUUUACUGAUAAAAUCAAAAUAAUUUUUAAACAAUGAAGAAAUAAAUUAUAAUAACAGUAAAUUUAUUACGAAAAAGUAUGUUUACAAAAUUUAUUUUAAAUGAUAUGAAAUCUAAUUAAAAUUCUAUUCUAAUUUUAUGCCCUUUUUUACAAUUUUAUUAAAAAGUGGGAUCUCUUAAGAUUUUAGGAGUGUUGGAAUUCUAUUUUUCCAGAUUUGAAUUUUAGUGACCUUUACUUCAUUUAAAUUUUUUGUUAUAAACUUGCAAGCAAGUGCAUUUAGGAUAUCUUUGGUGAACUGGAUUGUAACAAUAAUUUUAUUUAUUAAAAUUAUUAAAAGUAUUUAAUUAAUAAAACUUCACGUAUCCUCGGGUCUAACCAAUCAAAUUCUUUCUCUCAAAAGUACACAAAAGUGAGAUUGGCUCUUGCCUAUUAGUUAACAUAUGCAUAUUAAUUAACACUGACAGAUAUAUAGAUAUACAGCACAGCUAGCAGCACAUUCGACUUACAGAUAUACAGAACUUGAACAUAAUUCACAUAUCUGAAGGGAGAGGGAUAUCGAUGUUGCGGCCUGCAAUUCAUAACAUAUCAUCGGUCAUUUAAUCUAGAAUUGAGGAGAGAAAAUGAGUCUAAAUUCGAAAACUUUGGCACUAUUUACAUAUCAUUAUUUGGGUGAAAAUUCAUUUCUCUGCUUUGAUAUGAUUUGGUCUUUCAUUGUUACGGUGCCAAUUUUUUAUUUAAAGAUGUAAGGUAGUGGUACUAUAGCUUAUAUUUUCCGUAAUUACUAUCCGGUAAGUACAAAAAUAAAAUACUAGUUUAAAAUAUAAAAAUGAAAAAUUAUUUUUAUAACCAAUAUUCAAUUAAAUACAUUUAAAACUCUAUUUUUUCUUAAUAAAAAAAAUUCUAAUUUAUUUUCUCAAUUUAUCUAAACAACUUUACCUAAUCAAGCUAAAUCUACAUAUUACCCUAAACCUUAAUUCAUAAACACCCAAUCAAUCUAAUUGUUAAAUCUUAUUUCAUAAUAAAAAAAAAUUAAUUUCUUUUUUAUUAUUUAUGGUGCAAAGGAAAAAAUGAAUUUAAAGGUAAAAUUGAUAUUUUAUUUAAAUUUUGUUAAUAUUCUAAUAAUAUUAAUGUCUUGGUGGUUAAUAAAAGCAUAAAGUUAAACUUUUGUAGUAUUUUUAAUAAUAUGGUAAAGAUAUAUGUUUGAUAAUUUUCUUAUGUCUUUUUACGUUAAAUUGAGUCUCAAGUAUAAUGAAUAAAUAAUACAUAUUAUAAAAUUAGUGUAGAUAAAUAAUACAACUUGAAAAUAUUAUAGUAUUCUUAAUAAUAGAGAAAUUUAAAGGUGGAUAGUUGAUUGUUUAAUGAAACAACUACAGAAUUUUCCUUUCAAAUAUCUUUUUAAAAAACAACAGAAUGACCUUUCAAAUGCCCAUUCGACAAGCCAAGAAGAAAGGGUAGCUAACAAAUUUACAAGUACCAGAGAUCCAGAAACACAUUUAUAGCCAAUCCAUUUAUGAGUUACAUUCAACACUCUCACAAACUUAAAAAAUAAAAAUUAUUACUGCCAAGACGCACACUUUUUGACAUCUAAAAAGCUAAACAUUUGAAGUUCUUUGAUACAAAAUGCAUACUAAAUUGGCACAGUUAAUGCCCAUCGAAAGGGUCAUCAAUUUAGCCAACAAAUUUGCCAAAGUUUUAACAGUGACCACAAACGGAACAGGUAUAGAAUAAAAGCUUGUUCGGUUCUUGCGCGAAGUGAACCCCUCUGAAACGCUAAAAGAGGAAAUACAAAAUAAAGAAGACCAUAUUACGUGGCUAACUAACAGCCAUUCCCAAAGAAAUAGAGUGACGAUAAUGUGCUUCUUUUUUUUUUUUUAGAAAAGAACACAGACCCCUAAUAUUUAAAUAAAAAACAUAAAAUUUCUUAAUAUUUAAAAAAAAACAUUCAGACCUUAUUGUUUAACAGAAACUGUUUUUUUAACAGAAAUUAUAAUUUUAAAAUAUAAUUACCAUUAUAUCCUUAUAACAUAUUAAAACUAAUUAUUCAUUGUCCAAUUUAUCUUUAUAUUAUUAAUAAAAUUACGAAAAUAAAUUUGAUAAAGAAAAUUUCAUGCACAUCUAAAAAUUGAUAAAGAAAAAAAAAUAACAAAAGUAAUUAGUAAGAAAUCUCCAAUAAACCGACAAAUUAAGAACCCUGUUCAUCAAACUACCAUAAACCAAAAAAAAAAAUUCUCGUAAUCAUUUAUUUAUAUUCUUGCACAUACAUCACAUAUGCAUCAAGCAUGCUAGAGAAGUUAAUUUAGUAAAAAAAAAUGAAAAUUAAAGAGAAUUCAACAGGCAAGAUCAGCAACCAAACGCAAGCACAAGCAGCAGCCAAACGCGAGAUUCAACAAGCAAGAUCAGCAACCAAACGCGAGCACAAGCAGCAGCCACAAGCGAGCACAAGAAGCAGCUAAAAGCGAGCACAAGCAGCAGCCAAACGCGAGCAAUUCCAACAGCCAAACGCGAGCGAUUCCAACAGUUCCAACAGCACAAGCAGCAGCCAAACGUCGAUUGCGAGCAGAUCCAGCAACCAGACGCGGUCUCGAUCGACGCACGAGCAGUUCCAGCAGCUUCUGGUAGCGUGAGCAGUUCCAGCAACUUCCGGCAGCCCUAGCAGCUUUCGGCAAAGGCAAACCGUGAGUGUGUGUUAAAAGAUUUGUCUGGAAUCAGCGUGUGAUGUGUGUGUGGGGUUUGUUUGUGCGUGUGAUGUGCGUGUGGGGUUUUAGUCAAUUCACUUGUUUUUAAUUUAUAAUUACGAUAUUAACCUUGUAAUGAUUUAAGGAAACGAUUUCCGUUAAGUAAUGGGUCCGAAUGUUUUUUUUAAAAUAUUAAAACGUUUUGUCUCUUACUCAAACGUGGGUCUCUGUACCCUUUUCCCUUUUAUUUAUUCUUCGCUGGCAUAUUUCUCUUCAUCUUCUUCUUCACUGGCAUCUACAUUGGCGUCUCCCUCUUGGUUGGCAUCUUCCUCGUUUGUUGUUUGCGGUGGCUGUCCAACCAAUAAAUUGGGCAUUAAAGAACAAACAGAUAAAGUUAUAACAAUAAGAAUUAUAAACAUAAAAAGAAAAAAAAAAGAUAUUUGAAGGGAAAUUUUGGUAGAACUCCAUGGCUCAUCUAUGAAAUUAAUUUAAAGUUCUCGAGAGCUUACCUCUGCUCCAGAAUUCUCGGAAUCAUCCAUCUCCUUCUGAAUUUGCAGGAAGCAUGGGACAAUUACGAAUAAUUGCAUUCACUGCAGAUGGAAAUGGGAUCUGAUAUCCCGUAGGCCAAAAGUUGGUGAGGUUUGGUAAAUCUUUCAGCCUCAAGUUCCGAACUUUAUCCAGAACAAUUUCAUCGUAAUCCAUGACGUCUGCUCCAUCUUUAUGCCAGAAUACUUCUUCGAAUUCAUUAUUUUCUUCUAUGCAUAUACGAAUUAGUUUUUGAAGACUUGGAGCUACGCUGAUAUGAAAUAGAUGCUUUAGUUUGGGACAAUAACAGACAGAGAUCUCUAUGAGUUUUGGGAAACAAACAGGUUGGAGAUGAUCCUCAUCCUCAUCAAUGACUUGCUCUAAUUCCAGGCAAUAUAGAAUAUCCAACCUCUCCAAUUGCAACAGAUUUCGAGCAAGUGUUGAUGAGAGGAGACGUCUCAGCUUAGUGCACCCCCUUACGGUUAAAUCAGUAAGAUUUUGCAGGCUAAAAUUAUGCGUGGGACCUUCAUAAUAUAAUACUUGCAGUUCGUCAAGAACUUCCAAUUUCAACUCUUUCAAACAUGGGAAAUGUUUGUUUUCUUGUCCAUCAGCGAUAAUAGCUUCCGACUGAAAUAACACUUGCACUUCAAUUUCUCUUAUAUUCAAUUCUUCCAAAUUUUUUAACCCACGCUUCAACAGUGCGGGAAUUGUGUCACGCAAAUGGGAGCAAUCGUCCACGCUUAGAAUUCGUAAUUUCUGAGAAAAAUAAAUAACUUGAUGCAAUCAAAAUCUAUUAGCAGCUAGGACUAUCUCAUGAUAAUCAAUAAACUAACACCAAAAAAAAAAAAAAUUCCAAAUCCGUACAAAAUAGUUAUAUUUUAUGAAAGUAAUAUAUUUAUUAAAAAAAUAAAAUUAAUUAAAAGAGAUCAUGUGAAGUGAUAUAACGGUGAAAUCUGUUUGUUUAUGAAAAAAUUGUAUUCUAUUUCUAUGGCUUGAUAACUACUUAAUUGAAUUUGUUUAAUAUUAUAUAUGCUUCACAAGUGUUUUCAUCCGACCUUUUUUUUACCCCCUUCAAAACAAAAACGAGAAUUUGACUUUCAUUUGAAGAAUGAAUUUUAGGCCCUAAAAUAAGGAAGUUUUCCUAAGAUAUUGGAUCUUAUUGUGAUCAUCACCGUUAGCACUACCAUCAUCAUCAUCUCUCUACAAAGCCAAAUGCAAGGUGAUAUGAAUGGCGCAUCAUAAAAAUUAUUAAUAAACUAUCACUUUGAGUAAAAUUGAAGAAAAAAAAAAGAAAAAAACAUAAACACAAACGGACAUACCUCUCCAAGAUACUGCAAAUUAGCUUCAAGUUCUGUAUUGUUGGCGGUCAAGUUUGGACAGCAUCUUAGGUCUAACUUUUCCAACGCUGGCCAAGUUGAAUAAUAAUUUUCUGAACAGAAGCUGGUGAGUUCGGGGAGAUCUUCAAGGCUUAAUUUUCUCAACAAAGAUAGCUCGAGUAUUCUAUUUUCAUCUGCUACACUUAUUUCCCCUUCAUUAUGAUCAAACUCCGCUUUAACGAUAAAUUUUAUUCUCUCGCAUCUGAACACUGCAAGACUUUCAAGCUGCUUUAAACUUCGAGCUUGUGACAACGAGAAGACAUACGUCAAAUUGUUGCACGCGUACACAUGCAAUGCUGUAAGAGCUUGGAGGCUCACAUGUUGGGCGGGCGCCUUCCAUAUCUGCUUCAUUUCUGGUAACUCCAGCAUAUAUAACCUUGCUAAUUUUGAGAGCAUCAUAGGAUUCCCACUCUCUCCUUGCGGCGACUGAGAGGCAUCCAUUAUGCAUUCUAAAUCUUCACAAUUGUUGACAGAAAGAUAAGUCAACUCAUUGAAGCCCCUUGGAUCUAUGCUUGGCACAAUAUUAUGACAACCUAUUAUCCUGCUCAAAUCAAGAAAUUCCAGAUUUUGAUACAAUGCUGAAAAAAUACGGAGCGAGGUCGCUUCAAAAGGGUGAUCAAUGAUUAAACUCCUUGUCUUAUCACCAUCUUCCAUUUUAUAGCCAACUCUUUCACCUUUAAUCAUGUACCUUUGCAAUUUUGGGAAUGUAAAAUCUUUUGAAAGAUAUACAACAGGUCUGCCAACUUGGAAGUUAAACUCAGCAAGCCUAGCAUUACUUUCUUCUGAACUCAUCACUUCAACCUCCCAAUCUUUUAUCCGACCAUAAAAUUCUUCUAAUUGAGGAAAUUUUUUUAUCGUAACGGGAGAAACAGAACCAAUAUCAAUAUAUAGAAGUUUCAAUCUACGAAGUUCAUCCGACAAAUCUUCAGGAAUUUCAAUGGGAGAAUCCUCAAGAUAAAGAAGUUCAAGUCUCUUCAACUUUCCAAGAAAAGACGCGUCACUCACAUGACAUCCAAUCAACUGCAGAACUCGGAGGCUAUUGGCAAGGAAUCGAAGCGAUUUUAGUGAAAGGACUCCAUUUAUUAUAGUAACAACUUUCAAUGCUGGCAUCCCUUCAAAAAAAAUUUCUGGAACUUGCAAUUUGUAGACAAAUAGAGUAUUGUGCAGUCGCAAAAUAUGAAGGUUAGGGCAUACCAAACUACUAGGAAGCUCUUCUUUUUUAUUUCCCAAUACAGAGAUUCCUCUGUAUUGCUCCAAGCCUUCUUCCAUUGCCCGUUCUGCCAAUCCAAUGCCAACUUUACUAAAAAAUUUCUUCUCCACUAGUACUUCUGAGCCUAUCCAUAUGGCUACAUCACGAACUAUGUCAUGCAUUUUCACAGAUCUGUCAUUACCAGUGUCUAACAAUAGUGAAACAGCUUUGAGUCCGUCAAUUGUUCCAUGCAGUAGGCUUCUGGUGUUCUCUAUUGACUCAGCUUGAUACCAAGUCAACCCUACUGCAUAUCCAACCAAAUCCUCCAAAUGAAUCUCAUAAUCUUCUGGAAACAACGAACACAACAAGAAGCAUAACUUGGAAUUGUCAUCAUUCAAUUUAUCGUAACUAAAUUUGAGGCAACCGUAAACAUCUAAGUUCUCCUCAUCAAUACCUUCUAUUGCAUAGAGUUUUGCAGCCUUUAGGUUAUGUAGAGCCAAGUUCCAUUCAUUAAAUCCUUUUCCUCUUAGUGCACUUCCAACAGCUUCAAUAGCUAAAGGCAGCCCCUUACAUUCUCCAGCAACUUCUUUGGAAACAUCAUUCAAGGUGGAGUCAUUUACAUUAAUUCUGGCAUUUUUUCGCAGUAAAGCCAAUCCUUCUUCUGGCGUUAGUGUACUAAGUGGAAUCUGUGUGUCACAACCCAAAGAAUCACAAACUGACUUUUUGCGAGUCGUUAGAAGGAUUUUGCAACAAUUAUCUCUACCACCGACGGUAAUACCUAAUUUUUUCUCCGAGUCGAGUGUUUUCCAAACAUCAUCAAGGAUUACGAGGAUUUUGCUGCUUUUACUCUCAGAAAACAUCAAGCGCAAUCGGUCUGCUCUCUCUUUUUCAUCUUUCUCAUUUAGUGCCCAGCCUAACGACUUUGCCAGCUCACCUUGAACCUUGAUUAUAUCUGGAUCCUGAGACACAGUGGCUAUCCCCACCUUAUCGAAAAUCUUUUGUUGCCGAAGUUGAUUGCCCACAGAUUUUGCCAAGGUCGUCUUUCCUACACCGCCGAGACCAUGCAAUCCCACCAUCUUUGUGCUGUCUUUUUUCAGUGCUUCAGUGAUCUGAUUACAAGCCGAUUCUGUAGUCUCGAAAGAAGAAAAAAAUCUUGGAAUAGGCAUUUCUGUGUCUGAUGGUAGAGGUUUAGGAAGGGCAACUGUGCUGAAUUUGCCGCGGUCUUGUAGAUCGGACAACUUGCGAGUCUCUUUUGAUGCUUUUCUACCCAUCCAAUAUCGGAAACCCCAAUUAGGACACCAUCCAUUAAAACAACUCUUCUUUUCAUCUAUCUCUGUUUUCAAAUUUCGGACAUCGGCCAUUUCUUCGACUACAUCCGCCAGCCACUUCUCUACAUCUUUCUCAACUACUAUAGCGCAAUGUUUUUGUCGUUCUUCUUCUACUUUUUCGUUGAUGCCAUCUUGUGCCUCCUUCAAAUUAGUUUCUUUGAAACAGAACAGAUAGCGAGCUUGUUUUACAGUAGCAUCCACCAAUAAUUCUCCAAGCUUUGAUGCAAUAGCCAAUAAAAUUUCCAUGCUAUUUAUCUGCAAUUAACAAAGUUGAUCUCAGUACGCUAUAAGCAAAACAACAAGGCUUGAUCACAAUGUUUAAUAAGUUUUUUACUGAACGUUUAAUUACUUUCUUCUAUUCUGCGAAUGCACGUUUAUUAAUGCCAGCUUUGAUCAAUAAGAGCAAAAUGCAAACGCCAGACUUUAAGUAGCCUUUAGCUGCAAACAGAAGAGAAGAAAUAAGGUAAACGUGAUAGAUGGUGGAUUAUAUUGAAAUUAGAUUACUUUAGAAAUUUUUAAAAUUUGAAGAUAAUUAUCCCAUUCUUACUUCAAUCAAUAUUCUAAUACAAUAAUUCCAUAAAUCUCAAAUAAUAUCUUAAGAUUUUUUGUUUUCCUCAAACACUCAUAUGAUUAGUUUAAUUAUUUAUUACUCUAUUUUACUACAUAAUUGAUGCAAAUAACACUUUGUUUGGGAUGGUAAAGAUUGGGGUAAAUUCCCUUUUAGUCUCUAAAAUUUGGGCCUAUUAUAGCUAUUGAACAUACUUUCAAAUGUAAAAUAGUAUUUUCUGUCUAAGAUAAAUUAAAAAUCAAACAAAUCUAUCAUGCAACAAAUGAAAAAUAAAGAAUAUUAAUUAAGUUUUGAUGGAAACAAAUAUAAAAUAUAGAGGUUUUGAGUAAUUUUUGUAUUUUUUUAAUGGUUGAGUUAGAAUUGAAUAAUUUGCAUAAUGAAAAUUUGAGGUUGUAUAAUUUAUAUGAAGAUAAACUGCAAAAUAAGUUUACGUGCAGAAUUUAAGAUAGUUAUAUAUUAGUAAUUAUGCAAUUAUCAAAUUUUUUUAAUAAAAUUUAUUUAAAAAUUGGCCAAUUGUGUUUCAUGAAGUAAACAAAGAGCAUAAUGGACUUAUGUGGGUGCUUGGGAUUGAAAGACUAAGAGGCCAGAAGAUAGGACGGUACGAAAGUUAAUUUUAAUUAUAAGGUAUGCUCAACAGAAGUGACUUGGAGGUGAUUGUCGUUAAUCUAUUAUCUUUAACUUUAGAAUUAAUACAAAUAAAUGAAUGAAAAUUAAUGUAAUAAAAAAAUCGCACUAAAAACUUGGAACUUAAAUUCUCAAUCAUCUUUUCCGUAUGUUUUAAUCCAACGGUCAGAAUUGGCAUAAAACAAACUAGUAUAGCCAUUGGAAUUAAGUAAAAUAAACAUCAAACUAAGAGGCAAGAGCCUAUGAAAGCAAUAAUAUCUCAUACCUUCUUCCGUUUAUAUCUUCAAUUACUGCUGAAAGCUCUAGCUAGAGAGUCGCACAAGCUCGGAGAAAAUUAAAAGCUGCAUCUAGCAAUAUAAAUAAACAUCAGAUCAAACCAACAUAGGAUAUAUCUAGAUAAUUAACAUCAUAUAUAACUGCUUAUUCUCAGUCAAAUCUUUCAUUCUUAGAAAAAAAAAAUUGAAAUAAUAACUGUAAGUGAUAUAGGAAGCAAAAGUAACAUACCAAAACGAGAGCAGCUAGCUCACAGAUCUGGUGACUUCCAAGAGCAUGAAAAAUGAUUGAGGUUUAAUAGCAAGGUCCGAGUCAUGUUUCAUAAGUUGCUAUUGACUUCGUGGCUUCGCUUUUCUUUGUUUUUUUUCGUUUUUUGUGUUUGUUUAUAUAUAUAUAUGAUGAGGGGGUAAUAAUUUUUUUGGGUUCGGCUAUAUUGUAGUUUAUCUACGGUGGAGCGCAAAUCACAGCCACACACAUAAAGUGAUAAUUAAUAAAUAAUGAAUUAUAAUGAGAUUUUUACUAUUUAUCAUUUUGCGUGUGUGAUUGAGAUUCGUGCUCACUGUAGGUGAAAUUCAACAUAGCCAUACCCUUUUAAAAACCUUUCGUGAGGUUUAAGGUCACUCGGAUAGACUAUAUUUCGGAACUACCAAAUAUCCCCCUGCCCAUUGUACUCUGUUUAGCAUCUUUUGGAUGGUUGAGGGUAAUUUGGUAAAACUCAUUUAAAAAUAAAAAAUUUCAAAGAAAUUCUAAAAGAAGCUUUGUAUCUGGCCAUCUGGGGUAUAUCCUUGGAGUUGUCGUGGGAAUGAGUUUGAAUCUAAAGAUUUUCAUUCUCUUAUUUUAUUUAUUUCUCCUAGGAAUGAAUUUGAGCCUUAUUUUCAUGAGACUCAUUCUUUUUAAAUAAAGAUAGAUAUCUCCCUACAUAUUUGAGGUAUAUUUUUAAAAUUAAUGUUCAACAUAUCUGUGGAGUGUAUUAUAAAUAUUUAUGUCUAAAAUCUCAACAGAUUUCACUAUAUAUAUAUAUAUAUAUAUAUAUAUAUAUAUAUAUAAGCGGGAUUAGCUAAACAAUAAAAAGAACACAUUAUGAUUGGAAAUACGGAAUUAGAAUUGUGAUUAUAAUAUGAAUUUUAAUUGAAAUUGAAAUUGUAAUUGCAACUAGAAUUGUAAUUGCGAUCGGAUAUGUAAUUAUCAAUGUAAUAGAAGUUGUAAUUAUUACGGCUAUUGUAAUUGUUCUUGUGUAAUUGCAACUGUGUUUUUAAUUUUAAUUACACUUAAUAAUACAAUUAUAAUUGUGAUCAUAAUUGCAAUUGUAAUUACAAUUGUAUCUUUAAAAAAAAAUUAAUUACAGUUGUUAUUCUAUUUAUUGUUACAAUUACAAUUUUAUUAUCGUUAUUCUUAUUGUAAUUGUUGUUAAAUAUUAUUAGAAUAAAAAUAUUAUUAGAAUAGCCAUUGUAACUGUCAAUGGAAUUACGAGUACAAUUGUUAUUGUAAUUAUUAUUGUAAUUGGGAUUAAAAUUGAAAUUGUAACAAAGUAAAUGGAAUUACAAUUGAAAUUAAAUUUGUAACGGUUGUUUAAAUUAAUAAUAAAAAAAUGAAAUUGAAAUUAUUGAUGUAGUUAUUAUAAUUGCAAUUGUAAUUUUAGUUGUAAGAAAGUUCAACUGAAAUUAUCAAUCGUAAAUAUAAUUAAAAUUGCAAUUAGAAUUGUUCAACAAACAUUUACAGAAAAAAGUGUCAAUGCUAUUUUUUAUUUUUGAAAAAGAAAGAGAAGCAACAGUAACCAAAUUCUUAGAGCAGUAUAAAUGCUGCGUUUAAUUGUCAGUAAUCUAAAUGGGUUGGAAUGAGUAUGAGCUGUAAUGGAAAUGGGGAAUGAAAAUCAAAAUAAGUUGUUUACUUGAGCUAUAGGAAUCAAAAUCGAAAUAGACUGAAAUUCUAUUGAUGUGUUUAUUUUAUUUUGAAAUAAGAACCGAAAUAAGUUAAAUAAUUCUAAAUUACUAAAAUGUUGUUAGUUAAUUAUAAUAUAAUUAUUUUAUUAUCGUCGCCAUCAGGGGCGGAUUCACCUUAGGACCAGUGGGGACUUAAGCCCCCACUGGAAAAUUUUUUUUUUAAUAAUUAAUUUAGUUUUCUUAAAAUUCUCAAUAAUUUUUUCUAAAGCCCCCACUAAUUUAUAGUCAAGCCUAUAAUUUUUUCUAAAGCCCCCAGUGAAUCACUAUGAUUUUUUCUAAAGCCCCCAGUAAAUCACUAUGCUGUCUCCGCCCCUGGUCGCCAUCAUCAUCAUUAUCAUUACCAUUAUCAUAUUUUUUAAUUUUUAUUAUUAUAAAAAUAAUUGUUAAUAAUAAUAAUAUUAAAAAUAAUAUCAUUAAUAAUUUAUUAAAAUGCCUUUUGUUAAUUAUUGUCUAAUGAUGGUGGUGGUGGUGGUGGUGAUAAUAAUGGUGAUAAAUAAUAAUUAAUAAAUUAAUAACAAUAAUGACGACACCAAUAAUAAUAGUAAAAUUUGUAAUAUAAAUAAAAUAAUUAAUAAUAAUUAUUAUUAUUACAAUAAUAAAUAAAUAAUAGAAAUAAUUAAUAAAUUAAUAACAAUAACAACAAUAAUAAUAAAUUUUAUAAUAAUAUAAAUAAUAAAAUAACAACAACAACCAAUUAUAACAACAAUAAUAACUAAAUUCCAUAAUAAUAAUAAUAAUAAUUUUCAGUUUUUUUCAAUUUAUAUUUUUAAUUUCUAAAGAGGGUGUAUUUAAAACGUAUUAGAAAUAAUUUUGUUAUUCUAGGGAAUGGAGUUUCCAUUCCCAACUCUUCUUAAGAAAUCACAACUCUAACAAUCAAUCUAAAAUUUAUGAGGAGUCAUGAAACUCAUUCUGAUUCCGAAACUUAAUUUAACAAAUAAACAAAUUAUUCAUUUCAAUUCAUUUUCUCCGAUUCCCGAGUUGUAAAACACAGUAUAACUUUUUUUUUUUUUUGUUGUUGUUUCAGCUGGGCGACCACAAGUUGUUGCUGUCAGUUGCCCGCAAAUUCUCGACUAUUUCAAAAUAACUUCCAGUCGCUGAUUGUACAAGGCAUCAAAUCCAGUGCUCUAUAUUUGUUUAAAAACAUUUUAUUACAUGGGAUCUUUUAAUAGAUCCAGUGCAUGCAGCCGUAGCCGUUGUGGGGUUUCGACAACUUUUGUCUUAUAUGGCGACUUUUUGUUGUUGUUUUAUUUGUAUGAUGACUAUCAUGGACCUACGUGCCCGCAUUUAAAACUUCAUAAUAAUUUAAAAAAACAAAAGAAAUUGGUCUCACAUUAUAAUUUGUUCAAACAAUAUUAUUUUAACACAAACGAUCAAAAUAAAUUUUAUAUUCACUAAAAACUUAAUAUAUAUAUAUAUAUAUAUAUAUUAUAACAUAAAUAUGAAAACAACAUUUGAAAAAAAAAUACAUAGGCACCUUUAAAUUUGAUGUAUAGCACUAGAAUAUUCUUUGUUGUAGGUCGCUUCUUUUGUAUUUAAAAUUUUCUAAUAAUUUAAAUAAAAUAAUAGAAGUGCGUCUCACAUAUAGUUUAUUGUAUAAUUUUUUCAAACAAUAGUAUUUUAAUACAAACGACCAAAGCAAACUUCAUAUUUACUAAAAAUUAACCAUAUAUAUUAUAACAUAAAUAUGAAAACAACGUUUGACAAAAAUAUAAAGGCACCUUUAAAUUUAUUGUACAGCACUCUAUCAAUAUUUGUCGUAGGUCUUUCUUUUGCAUUUAAAAUUUCGUAAUGACUUAAAUAAGACAAAAGUAGUGGGUUUCACAUACGAUUUAUUAUAUAAUUUUUUAAACAAUAUUAUUUUAAUACAAAUGACGAAAAAAAAACUGUAUAUUCACUAAAAAUUAUAUAUAUACACACACACACAUAUACAUAUUAUUACAUAAAUAUGAAAACAACAUUUGAAAAAAAUACAAAGACACCUUUAAAUUUAUUGUAGAACACUCGAUCAAUUCUUAUCUUAGGUCCCUUCUUUUUCAUUUAAAAUUUUGUAAUAAUUUAUAUAAGACAAAAGAAAUGGACUUGACACAUAAUUUAUUGUAUUUUUUUUAAGGUUGUAUAUUUUUUUCAAAUAAUAUUAUUUUAAAAUUUCAUAAUAAUUUAAAUGAGACAAAAGAAAUGGGUCUCACAUAUAAUUUAUUGUAAAUUUUUUUUUCAAACAAUAUUAUUUUAAUACAAACGACCAAGAGAAAUUUCAUAUUCACUAAAAAUUAAUCAUAUUUACAUUAUAACAUAAGGCAAUUCCUAAGUUACGAUUUGUGUAACUUACGGCCUGGCAAAUUUUAAGUGUUAAAUGUGCUUGUAUCCAAUCCAACGGACGACAUCAAAUUUAUCACAAAGUAGUAACGAGUGGUAACUCGACUGAACUGAUUGUUUCAAGUGAUGGGCUACCUGUCCUUGCCUCUCUCUUAAGAAUCUAAGCAGCGAAGAACUUGACUUGGAAAUUGGCGAGGAAGGACUGUUUAUCGGAGAUGAGUAUAGAGGUGGUGACCUCCCAAGUAGCGUCGGCUUGUUGAAACUGAAUGAGCCACUAAUUCGCUGCCACGCGGUUGCAUAAUUAGUUCUUGUGAUUCAACCCAUGAAAAAUUGCUCCACCUGAAUUUGCAAGUCCAUCUGCAUCACAUGACAAAUUCGGUUGCGGAUUUUGAGGAGGAUGGUCUUGGAGGAUAUGAAACUCCUCUUGCUUAACAUUUUGGGUCUUCCUAAUUUUUGUUUCUUCAUACAAUAGCAAACAUUUGAGGUUAAAGCCUAUUUAAUCUAUUUAUUUUUUAAAAUAUCUUAAAACAUCCUUAUCGUUAAAGUAUUAAUACACCUGCCGUUAUUUUUAUUUAUUUUGGCUUAUUUGUACAAUAUCACCCUUUUAUAAUAAUUUUUUUAUUUAGACAUUAAUAAAAAGAAAAUAAUUAAAUUACCAAUUUAAUUAUAGAAAAUAAAAAAAAUUAUAAUAAUUUUUUUACAAGCACCAUUUGCACACUUGGUAGUUUGCAUACAAUUUUUGACAAUUAAAAAUAAUAUAAUUUUUUAUUUUAUUUUUAGGGUUAAAUUGGUAAUUUAAUUAUUUUUUUAUUAAUGUUCAAAAAAUAUUAUAAAAGGGUAAUAUUAUAAAAGUAAGCCAAAAGAAAUAAAAAGUAACGGUAGGGGUAUCAAUACUUUAACGGCAGGGAUAUUUCGAGACAUUUUAAAAAAUAUAGAAACUAAAUAAAUACUAAUCUUAAAAUAAAAGGACUAAUAAACUUUUACGUUUGGGAUUUAUUUCAGUGAAAUCCACCAUAAAGCCCUCAAAUCUCUAAUACUCGCUUCUUUGGGAAGAUCUUUCACUUAACCAAUCACAAAAAAAGAUGUCUCUCUUUAAAGUUAAGGAAAAGGCACAAAGAAACAUUAAACAUAACCGACCACAGAAAAAAUCCAAUUUUCAGUUUAAUGUUUAAAAUUCAAUAAAGUUAAGAAAGCAUGUUUCACUCUUUCAGGGAUUGCAUCCCUUGUCAAUCAAUCGUUUCUUCGUGCAUGGUCCAACCUGAAUAUGUCAUUCAACCCGUAAAAGCUUCCCUGAAGUUUUGGCAUCAAAUGGAACAUCUGCUGAACCCACAAGUUGGAGAUUAUCGGAGACAAAAAUAAGCACGCUGCCAGCGGGACUACAGAGCUGGCAAUUGAUGGUGGUGAUGGAGUGUUGGCACUGCAGGAAGGGAUGGCUAGUGAACUCAGCAACGAUAUUUUGCGAGUCUACGCCUCCCUCUCUUUUUUAAUUUCGCAUUUACUGUUUCCGCUAGAGACUCACGUGACCGAGAGAGAGAGAGAGAGGGGUCUUCUUAAUUUAAUGUUUAGAAUUUAAUCGUGAAACGACCUCGUUUUUAUUUAUCGCCAUGGAUUAUAGAAGGUAAUCUUUUACGCUACGUUUGAAAGAUAUAAUUGGAUUAAAUUAGAGUUGAUUAUAUAAUACUAUCUUUUGUUUGGUACAAUAUUAGACAAGACUAUGCUAAUUUAAUUUAAUAAAGCUAAAUACUAUUUAAAUAAUAUAAUAUUUUUAAAUUAUAUUGAUAAUUGUUUACUUUAAUAUUUAAUAUCCAAUAUUAGUUUAAGUAAAUUAAUGAAUAAAAUUUUGAUGUUCUAUAUAAAAUAAAAUUACAUGUUGAAAAAAUUAUGAAAUUAACUUCUAUGUUUAAUUUUUUUUUCUAAAUAUUAGGUUAAAUGAAAAAUAAAAUAGUGAAAAAAAUACACAAAUUCUUCAUUUAAUUUUAUCCCACCUAAACCCAUAUAAAUAUGAGGACUAAUAAUCCCAAUUUUUUUGACUAAAUCUUAAUCUAUCCUAUUAGUUCAUGACACCUAAACAUAUUUUAGGAUUAAAUUAUUUUAUUAAUCUUAAAAUAUAAUCCAAUCGCACAAUUUAUCCAACCUUCCAAACAUAACCUUAAUUGACUCUUUUACCAUCGCUCUCCAACCGUUUCAACCAAUUACAAUUUCCUUACUGUUACGUACAUGUGGCAUAUUUUUACUGGUUGACUAAUUAAAUCACGGGCUGUAACAUACAGUAAAACGUAACUUAGGGUGACCCCAUAACAUAAAUAUGAAAACGGGAAAAUUCUAUAAUGUCGUAAUUAAAUUUACGGCAUUGAUGCCGUAAUAGACGUGGACCGUUAGAUUAAAUCAACGAUUCACAAUAAUAAUAAAAUAAUAAAAAAAUUUAAUUAAAUUAUAUAUAACCGGUUUAUAACCGGUUAAGUACUUUUUAAAAUAAAAUUCCGGUGAUAUAAAUUUAAAGGAAAAAAGGAUUUACUUUUUAAAAGAAUAAAAAAAAAUACAAAGGGAAAACUUGAUCCCUAAUUAACGAAUUGCAAAAGAUAUAGUCACACCCACUGCUGCGUUAACUUCCGUUCGGGUGCACCGGCGAUACGUCUGCAGAUUGCAACCAUUCUUUGAGUUGAUUUUCUGUCUUGUUCGAAUUGUUGAGUCUCUGUCGUUGCUGCCUCUGUCUUGGUUUUGGCAGUCGUCACCUGUGCAAGGUAAGUUUAAUCCUCUUUCUCGUUCGAAUUGCUAAGCAAUUUCGUUUUCUUUGCUGAAUUUGCUAAGUAAUUUAAUUCCAGAUUUCUCAUUCAAUUUUAUAUUAACUGACAUAGUAUCAUCGUCAUAAUUUGUUCACGGAAUUCUUAGAUUCAAUUCCGCUGGAAUUAACAAGUCUCUGCACGCCGGAUUUGUUCACGGAAUUAAGAAGGUCUGUGCAAAGUGUUUGGGUUUGCUGGACCACAUAGACAUUGCCCACUUGCCUGGCAAUCUGUCACUAUACCGGCUGGACCACAUAGACAUCUUUCUCAAAGUCUUUGAGUGAAUAGUAAGUUCAUACUCUCCAUUUUCUAGUGUAUAUAUAUCUCAAUUGUGGGAAAGAAAUCUGUAAUAAUUCACUGCUACUAACAGAUCAUAAUUUAGUACAAGUUCACGCUCAUGAUAAUUUGUAAUAAGAUGUCUGUUUUCCAGCAAUUGUUAAACUUGCAAUCAUUGUUCACAAUUGCAGCCUGCAUCUUUGCCGUAUUUCUCAUUUUCAAAUGGUUUCUUAUCCAACCACUUAGCACCAAAAAAACUUCAAAGUAGGUUGAUGAUUUUCUUGAGGUAGUCAUUCAAGAACAUGAGAAUAAGAUGAGUGACAAUUCUCAAGUUGAAGAUCAUAAGGACUUUAUAGAUGUCUUGUUUUGGCUUGAGAAAGAAAAUAAUUAGCUGCUGUUUUUAGGUUAAAUUUUCUGUUGUUUCUGGGUAAAUUGGCUGGUGUUUUUCAGUUAUUUUUCUGCUGUUUUUGGGUUAUAUUUUUUGCUGUUUCCAGGUAAAAUGUUCUGGUGUUUUGGGCUUCAUUUGCUGCUGGUUCUAGGUUAAAUAUUUUGCUGUUUUUGGGUAAAUAUACUGCUAUUUUUCAGUUAAAUUUUCUGCUGUUUUUGGAUAAAAUUUUUGCUGUAUUUGGGAUGAUUUGCUACUGUUUGUGGUUAAAAUUUUCUGGUGUUUUGGGCUUCAUUUGCUGCUGUUUUUAGGUUAAAUUUUCUGCUGUUUUUGGGUAAAUUGGCUGCUGUUUUUCAGUUAAAUUGUUUGCUAUUUUUGGAUAAAUUUACUGCUGUUUUUGGGUUAUAUUUUAUGCUGUUUCCAGGUAAGUCUUUUUGGUGUUAUGGGCUUCAUUUACUGCUAUUUUUUGGUUAAAUAUUUUGCUGUUUUUGGAUAAAUUUACUGCUUUUUUGGAUAAAUUUACUGCUGUUUUUGGGUUAUAUUUUUUGCUGUUUUCCUGGCAGUCUGUCACUAUGUCGGCUGGACCACAUAGACAUCUUUCUCAAAGUCUUUGAGUGAAUUGUAAGUUCAUACUCUCCAUUUUCUAGUGUAUAUAUAUCUCAAUUGUGGGGAAGAAAUUUGUAAUAAUUCACUGCUACUAAUAGAUCAUAAUUUAGUACAAGUUCACGCAUAUGAUAAUUUGUAAUAAGAUGUCUGUUUUCCAGCAAUUGUUAAACUUGCAAUCCUUUAUCACAAUUGCAGCCUGCAUCUUUGUCGUAUUUGUCCUUUUCAAAUGGUUUCUUAUCCAACCACUUAGCACCAAAAAAUCACUACCACCUUCUCCCCCACAGCUCCCAAUCAUUGGAAACCUUCACCAACUGGGCUUGUUCCCUCAUUGCUCACUCGGUGCUUUGGCACAAUGCUAUGGCCCCCUGAUGUUGCUUCACUUAGGCAAAGUGCCAGUGCUUGUUGUCUCUUCUGCUGAUGUUGCCUGUGAGAUCGUUAGAAAUGUAAUCUUUGCAAUCAACCAAAAUUAACCCCAUUUGUAAAACUUUUAAACGGUUGUAUAGAUGUCUCUAUGACACCUUAUGGUGAGUACUUAAGAAAAGUUAAAAGCUUAUUUGUUGUACAACUUUUAAGUAACAAAAGGAUUCAUUAUUCUUUUCGUGAUGUUAGAAUAGAAAAAUAUAAUGAUCAAGGAGAAGUUGGUAGUAAGUUUAGGAAGCAGUUUAAGGACUUUAUUGAGUUGAUGGCUACUUUUCAUGUGGGAGAUUAUAUUCCAUGGCAAGGUUGGUUGUGCUAUUUUAAUAGCUUGAAUGCCAAGCUUAAGAAAACUUCAAAGGAGGUUGAUGAUUUUCUUGAGGUAGUCAUUCAAGAACAUGAGAAUAGGAUGAGUAACAAUUCUCAAGUUGAAGAUCACAAGGACUUUAUAGAUAUCUUGCUUUGGCUUCAGAAAGAAAAUAUUUUAAACUUUCCUAUUGAUAAAGCUUCAUUUGCUGCUAUUUUUAGGUUUAAUUAUCUGCUGUUUCUGGGUAAGGUGGCUGCUGUUUUUCAGUUUAUUUUUCUGCUGUUUUUGGAUAAAUUUACUGCUGUUUUUGGGUUAUAUUUUUUGCUGUUUUAAGGUAAUUUUUUUGGUGUUUUGGAUCCUCUUCUUUCUCCAAUUGCAGGGCCUGAAGAUAUAAACAUCAGCUAUCAGGAAGCCCAAAGUAACAAUGAUGAGAGUAAAACUACCAAGAAUUUCAAUAAUUCCAUAUUUAAAGUUUAUAGAAUUUGUUACUAGAAUACUCUGAAUGGCUAAGUAAUUUCUCAAAAGAUUUGGAAACAAUGAAACAUAUGUUUGACUUACAAUUGAUCAAAAAAUAGGUCCAUCAACAUUGUUUUCCCGGUCCCUACUCCCCCAUAAAGGUACAAUCCUUUGACAGGUGAGUAUGAAGAUUGUGGUAGUAAACGUGACCACAGCCACCGACUCCUGUAGACAAACAGGACUAUCUGUCAAAUAGUUAUGUAAAUUCGCACCACAUUAACAUUGUAGAAUUACAAAUUUAAAAAAAGAAAAAUAGACCAGAUGAACAGGGGAGUGAUCCUGCAAUAUUAAAAUGUAAUCCAUUAGUUGAAAUCUGAACAAAAUUAGAGUAAACUGUAAUAUUUACCUUUCAGAUUUCUCAGAAGAUGAAUAGCGAUCUAACUUCCAGGCAUCAGCUGAUUCAACAAGCUAAUCAUACAGUCUUUGAAGUUCUCCUAACGCUCCUAACUGCCAAAAAAAAAAAUUUCACUGUAAGGGCAACUUUUACAUCAUUAAACAACAUAGUAGAUGGUCCACUCACUUCUUAGUCAUCAGGGAACUGACCGUUCCAGUGGUGCCAACUUUGAUGGAUCCUCCACUGCUCUUGAUAGUUUCUAGUGUAUGAACCAUGUUUUUCCACAAGUUUCAAUUAGAAGUCUAAGAAAAGAUCUUCCAAAAGAUGAAGUUCUUUGCCCUCAAAGCUCGCUUGGAGAAAGAUUGCAGAUGAAAGGAAUUAAAAUCCUGCAAAGCAAUAACACCACCCAAUGCAUGUAGAUUUGAGUUGUAUUUUCUGGUUGAAAGGUAGCUCAUAUUCUUAACAUUAAAGUUAUUUUUUUUCCCCAAAAAAUGAUAUAGUUACACUGGCAAACUAUAAAGCUGCAAAUUGAAAGAAAAGCCGGAUAAUUCCCAGAAAAUACUAUUUUCUUCUACAGUGACGUUGAGACUUAAUGGGAAAUGUUUUUUUUUUUCCGCCUUUUAUUUUCAAAAAAGGGGAAAAAUAGAUAGUAUAAAAUUUUUUUUUUUUAACUUUUUUGCUGUUGAUGGUGCCAUAAUUGUUAUAAUAUUGAAUUUUUUUAAUAAAUAAUAACUAUAAAAAUAUUUUAAUUAAUUAUUAUAAAUUUUAAUUAGGUAAUAUUAAAUAAAUAAUAAUAAUAAAAGAUUAAUAAAUUAUAAUGAAUUAUAAUUAUAAUAAUAUUAUAAUAAAUAAUAAUGAAAUAAUUUCAUACUGAUAGUAAUACAACAAAAUUAUAAAUAUAAUAAUAUUUUUACUAAAUAACAAUAUAAUAAAAUAUUAAUAAUAAUAACUUAUUAUUAUAAUAAUUAUUAUAAAGUUUGAUUGCAAUAAUAUUUUCAUAAAUAAUAAUCAUAUAACAAAAUCAUGAAAUUAAUAAAUAAUAACAAUAAUGAAUUAGUAAUCAUAAUUAUAAUACUAUUUUAAUAAAUAUGAUGAUGAUGAUGAUGAUGAUGAUGAUGAUUAUUAUUAUUAUUAUUAUUAUUAUUAUUAUUACAAUAAUCAACAAAGGGCAUUAAAGUAAAUUAUGAUAAUUCAUUCUGAUUUCAAGACAAAUUAAACACAUCGAUGGAAAUGAAUCUCAUUCCGACUUCAAUUUCUACAACUCAAAUAAAUAACUUAUUCUUAUUCACAUUCUUGAUUCUAAUUGUAGCCCGUUCCGAUUACUGAUUAGUAAAUGCACCAUGAGCAGAUUAUUGUGGUUUAAUUGGGUCUGUUUCAUUUCAAGUUUCAUAUCAUUUUCAUUGUUCAAUUUAAAAUUUUGAUUUGACCUUCAACCUAAUCAACUUAACCAGAUGAUAUAAGGUUUGGGUAGAAUUGGGUUAAACAAGUUUAUUUAGUUAAGUUUGAUGGAUUUUAUCUCAGCUCAUUAAAAAGUAGACCAGGUUAGAAUUUCACUAACCCUAUCAAAUCCAACUCAUGCUCACCCUUAUAUCAUUCUAUCUAAAUCAUAAAAUGCCAAUAAUCCAACUCUUUAACCAUUUUCACAUUGGAUUUAAGUUGAGGCAAUUGACCUGAACUAAAUAACCUAAAUUUCAAAUAAAUGUGAAAUAACACAAAAAAUUUCUAAACCACACAUAUGACUCGUAAAUUGAAGGUAAAACAGGUAAAUUAGCGUUAGAGUGGUAAAUUGGUAUACAAAAUUUAUAAAAAAAAUAGAAAAAAAACUAGUAAAUUGAUAGAAAAUGUAGUAAAUAAAUGUUGGAGUUGUAAAUUACAAGAAGAAAUUGUAAACAAAACAAAAACUUAGAAAAAUGACAUAGAACUUGUAAAUUGAAAUUAAAUGUGAAAUGAAACAAAUAAUUUGUAAACCACACAUAAAACUAGUAAAUUAAUGGAAAAAGGGGUAAAUUAAUGUUGGAGUUGUAAUUGGCAAGAAGAACUUGUAAACAAAACAAAAACUUAGAAAACUUACAUACAACUAGUAAAUUGACAUUACGUGUGAAAUGAAACAAAAAAAAGUGUAAAUCACACAUAAAACUAGUAAAUUGAUGGAAAAAAUGGUAAAUUAAUGUUGGAGUUGUAAAUUGCAAGAAGAACUUGUAAACAAAACAAAAACUUAGAAAAAUGACGUAGAACUUGUAAAUUGACAUUAAGUGUGAAAUGAAACAAAAAAUGUGCAAAUCACACAUAAAACUAGUAAAUUGAUGGAAAAAUGAGUAAAUUAAUGUUGGAAUUGUAAUUUACACGAAGAACUUGUAAAUAAAACAAAAAAUUAUAAAAAUGACAUAGAACUAGUAAAUUCACAUUAAGUGUGAAAUAAAACAUAAAAUUUGUAAACCACACAUAACACUAGUAAAUUAAUGAAAAAAAUGGUAAAUUAAUGUUGGAAUUGUAAUUUGCACGAAUAACUUGUAAAUAAAACAAAAACUUAUAAAAAUGACAUAGAACUAGUAAAUUCACAUUAAGUGUGAAAUAAAACAUAAAAUAUGUAAACCACACAUAAAACUAGUAAAUUAAUGAAAAAAAAUGGUAAAUUAAUGUUGGAAUUGUAAUUUGCACGAAGAACUUGUAAACAAAACAAAAACUUAUAAAAAUGACAUAGAACUAGUAAAUUGACAUUAAUUGUGAAAUAAAACAAAAAAUGUGUAAAUCAUACAAAAAACUAGUAAAUUGAUGGAAAAAUGAGUAAAUUAAUGUUGGAGUUGUAAUUUGUACGAAUAACUUGUAAACAAAACAAAAACUUAGAAAAAUGACAUAGAACUAGUAAAUUCACAUUAAGUGUGAAAUAAAACAUAAAAUAUGUAAACCACACAUAAAACUAGUAAAUUAAUGAAACAAAUGGUAAAUUAAUGUUGGAAUUGUAAUUUGCACGAAGAACUUGUAAACAAAACAAAAACUUAGAAAAAUGACAUAGAACUAGUAAAUUGACAUUAAUUGUGAAAUAAAACAAAAAAUGUGUAAAUCACACAUAAAACUAGUAAAUUGAUGAAAAAAUGAGUAAAUUAAUGUUGUAGUUGUAAUUUGUACGAAAAACUUGUAAACAAAACAAAAACUUAGAAAAAUGACAUAGAACUAGUAAAUUCACAUUAAGUGUGAAAUAAAACAUAAAAUAUGUAAACCACACAUAAAACUAGUAAAUUAAUGAAACAAAUGGUAAAUUAAUGUUGGAAUUGUAAUUUGCACGAAUAACUUGUAAACAAAACAAAAACUUAGAAAAAUGACAUAGAACUAGUAAAUUCACAUUAAGUGUGAAAUAAAACAUAAAAUAUGUAAACCACACAUAAAACUAGUAAAUUAAUGAAACAAAUGGUAAAUUAAUGUUGGAAUUGUAAUUUGCACGAAGAACUUGUAAACAAAACAAAAACUUAGAAAAAUGACAUAGAACUAGUAAAUUGACAUUAAUUGUGAAAUAAAACAAAAAAUGUGUAAAUCACACAUAAAACUAGUAAAUUGAUGAAAAAAUGAGUAAAUUAAUGUUGUAGUUGUAAUUUGUACGAAAAACUUGUAAACAAAACAAAAACUUAGAAAAAUGACAUAGAACUAGUAAAUUCACAUUAAGUGUGAAAUAAAACAUAAAAUAUGUAAACAACACAUAAACAAGUAAAUUAAUGAAAAAAAUGGUAAAUUAAUGUUGGAAUUGUAAUUUGCACGAAGAACUUGUAAAUAAAACAAAAACUUAUAAAAAUGACAUAGAACUAGUAAAUUGACAUUAAUUGUGAAAUAAAACAAAAAAAAUGUGUAAAUCACACAUAAAACUAGUAAAUUGAUGGAAAAAUGAGUAAAUUAACGUUGGAGUUGUAAUUUGUACGAAUAACUUGUAAACAAAACAAAAACUUAGAAAAAUGACAUAGAACUAGUAAAUUCACAUUAAGUGUGAAAUAAAACAUAAAAUAUGUAAACAACACAUAAAACUAGUAAAUUAAUGAAACAAAUGGUAAAUUAAUGUUGGAAUUGUAAUUUGCACGAAGAACUUGUAAACAAAACAAAAACUUAGAAAAUGACAUAGAACUAGUAAAUUGACAUUAAUUGUGAAAUAAAACAAAAAAUGUGUAAAUCACACAUAAAACUAGUAAAUUGAUGAAAAAAUGAGUAAAUUAAUGCUGUAGUUGUAAUUUGUACGAAAAACUUGUAAACAAAACAAAAACUUAGAAAAAUGACAUAGAACUAGCAAAUUCACAUUAAGUGUGAAAUAAAACAUAAAAUAUGUAAACAACACAUAAAACAAGUAAAUUAAUGAAAAAAAAUGGUAAAUUAAUGUUGGGAAUGUAAUUUGCACGAAGAACUUGUAAACAAAACAAAAACUUAUAAAAAUGACAUAGAACUAGUAAAUUCACAUUAAGUGUGAAAUAAAACAUAAAAUAUGUAAACCACACAUAAAACUAGUAAAUUAAUGAAAAAAAUGGUAAAUUAAUGUUGGAAUUGUAAUUUGCACGAAGAACUUGUAAACAAAUCAAAAACUUAGAAAAAUGACAUAGAACUAGUAAAUUGACAUUAAUUGUGAAAUAAAACAAAAAAUGUGUAAAUCACACAUUAAAACUAGUAAAUUAAUGAAAAAAAUGAGUAAAUUAAUGUUGGAAUUGUAAUUUGCACGAAGAACUUGUAAACAAAACAAAAACUUAGAAAAAUGACAUAGAACUAGUAAAUUGACAUUAAGUGUGAAAUAAAACAUAAAAUAUGUAAAUCACACAUAAAACUAGUAAAUUGAUGAAAAAAUGAGUAAAUUAAUGUUGGAAUUGUAAUUUUCACGAAAAACUUGUAAACAAAACAAAAACUUAGAAAAAUGACAUAGAACUAGUAAAUUCACAUUAAGUGUGAAAUAAAACAUAAAAUAUGUAAACAACACAUAAAACAAGUAAAUUAAUGAAAAAAAUGGUAAAUUAAUGUUUGAAUUGUAAUUUGCACGAAGAACUUGUAAACAAAACAAAAACUUAGAAAAUGACAUAGAACUAGUAAAUUGACAUUAAUUGUGAAAUAAAACAAAAAAUGUGUAAAUCACACAUAAAACUAGUAAAUUGAUGAAAAAAUGAGUAAAUUAAUGCUGUAGUUGUAAUUUGUACGAAAAACUUGUAAACAAAACAAAAACUUAGAAAAAUGACAUAGAACUAGCAAAUUCACAUUAAGUGUGAAAUAAAACAUAAAAUAUGUAAACAACACAUAAAACAAGUAAAUUAAUGAAAAAAAUGGUAAAUUAAUGUUGGAAUUGUAAUUUGCACGAAGAACUUGUAAAUAAAACAAAAACUUAUAAAAAUGACGUAGAACUAGUAAAUUCACAUUAAUUGUGAAAUAAAACAAAAAAUGUGUAAACCACACAUAAAACUAGUAAAUUAAUGAAAAAAAUGGUAAAUUAAUGCUGUAGUUGUAAUUUGUACGAAGAACUUGUAAACAAAACAAAAACUUAGAAAAAUGACAUAGAACUAGUAAAUUCACAUUAAGUGUGAAAUAAAACACAAAAUUUGUAAACCACACAUAAAACUCGUAAAUUAAUGAAAAAAUGGUAAAUUAAUGUUGGAAUUGUAAUUUGCACGAAGAACUUGUAAACAAAACAAAAACUUAUAAAAAUGACAUAAAACUAGUAAAUUGAUAUUAAUUGUGAAAUAAAACAAAAAAUGUGUAAAUCACACAUAAAACUAGUAAAUUAAUGAAAAAAAUGGUAAAUUAAUAUUGGAAUUUUAAUUUGCACGAAGAACUUGUAAACAAAACAAAAACUUAGAAAAAUGACAUAGAACUAGUAAAUUGACAUUAAUUGUGAAAUAAAACAAAAAAAUGUGUAAAUCACACAUAAAACUAGUAAAUUGAUGGAAAAAUGAGUAAAUUAACGUUGGAGUUGUAAUUUGUACGAAUAACUUGUAAACAAAACAAAAACUUAGAAAAAUGACAUAGAACUAGUAAAUUCACAUUAAGUGUGAAAUAAAACAUAAAAUAUGUAAACCACACAUAAAACUAGUAAAUUAAUGAAACAAAUGGUAAAUUAAUGUUGGAAUUGUAAUUUGCACGAAGAACUUGUAAACAAAACAAAAACUUAGAAAAUGACAUAGAACUAGUAAAUUGACAUUAAUUGUGAAAUAAAACAAAAAAUGUGUAAAUCACACAUAAAACUAGUAAAUUGAUGAAAAAAUGAGUAAAUUAAUGCUGUAGUUGUAAUUUGUACGAAAAACUUGUAAACAAAACAAAAACUUAGAAAAAUGACAUAGAACUAGUAAAUUCACAUUAAGUGUGAAAUAAAACAUAAAAUAUGUAAACAACACAUAAAACAAGUAAAUUAAUGAAAAAAAUGGUAAACUAAUGUUGGAAUUGUAAUUUGCACGAAAAACUUAUAAAUAAAACAAAAACUUAUAAAAAUGACGUAGAACUAGUAAAUUCACAUUAAUUGUGAAAUAAAACAAAAAAUGUGUAAACCACACAUAAAACUAGUAAAUUAAUGAAAAAAAUGGUAAAUUAAUGAUGUAGUUGUAAUUUGUACGAAGAACUUGUAAACAAAACAAAAACUUAGAAAAAUGACAUAGAACUAGUAAAUUCACAUUAAGUGUGAAAUAAAACAUAAAAUUUGUAAACCACACAUAAAACUCGUAAAUUAAUGAAAAAAUGGUAAAUUAAUGUUGGAAUUGUAAUUUGCACGAAGAACUUGUAAACAAAACAAAAACUUAUAAAAAUGACAUAAAACUAGUAAAUUGAUAUUAAUUGUGAAAUAAAACAAUAAAUGUGUAAAUCACACAUAAAACUAGUAAAUUAAUGAAAAAAAAUGGUAAAUUAAUAUUGGAAUUUUAAUUUGCACGAAGAACUUGUAAACAAAACAAAAACUUAGAAAAAUGACAUAGAACUAGUAAAUUGACAUUAAUUGUGAAAUAAAACAAAAAAAUGUGUAAAUCACACAUAAAACUAGUAAAUUGAUGGAAAAAUGAGUAAAUUAACGUUGGAGUUGUAAUUUGUACGAAUAACUUGUAAACAAAACAAAAACUUAGAAAAAUGACAUAGAACUAGUAAAUUCACAUUAAGUGUGAAAUAAAACAUAAAAUAUGUAAACCACACAUAAAACUAGUAAAUUAAUGAAACAAAUGGUAAAUUAAUGUUGGAAUUGUAAUUUGCACGAAGAACUUGUAAACAAAACAAAAACUUAGAAAAUGACAUAGAACUAGUAAAUUGACAUUAAUUGUGAAAUAAAACAAAAAAUGUGUAAAUCACACAUAAAACUAGUAAAUUGAUGAAAAAAUGAGUAAAUUAAUUACCUGCUACUUAGGUAACAUGUUACCUAUUUAUUUAGAAUUAAUGGUAGAGAUUUUUUAUUCAAAUCUAACAGUCCACGUCCAUUACGGCAUCAAUGCCGUAAAUUUAGUUACGGCAUUAUAGAAUGACCCAUGAAAACGACAUUUGAAAAGAAAAAUACAAACGCACCUUUUCAUUUGAUGUGCAUUACUAGAACAAUUUUUGACAAAGAUCAUUUGAUGUGCAUUACUAGAACAAUUUUUGACAAAGAUGUUACAACCGAAAGAAUGAAAAGGUCUAAAGUUUUAGGGUGAACAUGGACGAAUUGAUGACACGACAUGUUUUACAGCUCAAUGUCGUUAAUUAAUAUAUAUAAUUGAGUAAUUUCAUCUCUAUAUUAAGCACGCGCCGCCUCAAAUUGCAUGCAAAUACAAAAACAAACUUUUGAAUUUGUUUUUUGAAUUUUUAGGUUAACAAUUGAUUUUUUAUUUUACAUUUUUUUGUUUUUAUUUAACAAUUAAUUUUAAUCAAAUCUUAAACUGUCGUAAUCAAUUAAGAUUUUUCAUUAUGACUCCUUAGCUAAAUUUUGCUCCUUAACUAGAUUUUGGAUCUGUAAUAAAUAAAAAAAUUGGUAACAUUUGUUCCUUUAAGAUAUAUGUUUGAGGGAAAAAUAGGAAAGGCAAUAAAGCGCUACGUGUUAACUAAUGGAAUGAUUCCGACACAAUUUGAGGUACCCCACACAAUUAAAGGUACCCUAUAUAAAUAGAGAUACCCCAUGUAAAUAGAGGUACCCACACAAUCAGAGGUACCCCGUACAAUUAGAGGUACCCCACGUAACUCGAGGUACCUUCGAAAAUAUCCGCCAUGAGAAACGUCUCCGCCUCCUAAAAGAUAUUAUUCGAUUUUAUCAGAAUUAAGAAUAAAAAACGACGCCCUAAAAGGAGGGACAGCCGCCUGCGACCUCUGCCAAAAGUGAAGGACACUGUCCCAAGGAUAGUGGUCCCCAACCGCCUACUCGACAGCUACUGCAAAGGUACCCUGGACCACUCUCCAGUGCGCGCCACGUUUCUAAAAGAUGAGAUAUGCCGCGAACAUACAGAUAACGGCCAAAAAAAUUAUAAAGAGGUAAAAGGACGUUAGCCAAAAAGGGUAUGCCACGUGGCAGCUGAGGUACUCCAUAUAUAAAGGCGCCUAGGUUUCAUUUUCCAUCAGGCUCUCAUUCGCCUAAAAAACACUCACACUCCAAAAAUAGGUUUUUUUAACCUUAAACCCUAAUUUAUAGAGGGCUAGCCAGCUCUCUUUACCAUAAAAGCUUGAGUUUGCUAACUUGAGCGUCGGAGUAUGAACGCCAGGUUACCCCGGCUUCACCUCUAACCUCUAUUUCACUGUUUUGUAGGCGUGAAGCUCAUUUUGAAGGACACCUCUCUUGUUUUUGACCUUCCACCAUUAUUACCACUCUCUCUCCCCUUCUCACCUCCCCCGAAUUUCAGAUACACUGCACCGCACCGCACACAAUAUACUAGUGAGGUACCCCAUCUCCCCCAAAAAUAUAAAUUCAUUGUUCUAGAUUGGUUUGACUUUUCCUACCCCAAAAUCAGUUGAAAACAAUUGGCGCCGUUUGUGGGAAGUCGCACAAAAAGCCUCAUCUGCGAUUACCAAACUAGUUGUUGUGUGUGCUCCAAUACAUAGCACCCGACGUACCUCCCGAAGGUUUAAUGGGGGAUCCUACAAGAAUAAGAGAUGACAGCAGCAGUGAAGGAAGUGAUCCCGCAAGAAGGGUAGCCCGCAUCAGCAAAGCAAGGGUAUCAAGUAAUCGACGGGUGUUCGCCAAGAUGAGGAACCUAUUUCUCACAAGCGUUUUGAAGAUCUUGCCCACGCAAUACUUAGGGCGUUUGGAUCUCGGGCACCCGAAAGUUCACUUCCACCAGUGACGCUAGAUGCUCCACCACCUCAAAUGGGCGACCAAGCUAUGGUCAGAAAAGAGGUACCCGAGGCCAGCAAACUAAAGCAUAGGCCAUUGGGUACCCGUUCUAAGUUUCAAACCAUGGGCUUCCGCGACAAGCGUUCCACCGCCUCUUGCAAUUCCCGUAGCAGCCAGGGUACGAGGCGUGCAAAGCAUACCCACGAGGAUCUUCGUGAGAAGUUAAACGCCAAAAAGGCUUCUCAAAUGACGGCGACAUUAUCGGGUACACCGAGGGUACCCCUCGAACUUGUGGAAAAGAUGGAGAACCUGGAAGCCCAAGUGAAGCUCCUCUCCAAGAAGCAAAACAUCACAGCUGCACCAACGCCAAUGACCUACCAAUCUCCAUUCACUAUGGAAAUUAGGACAGUAGCUCUCCCCGAGGCGUUCGUCAUGCCUCAGAUACUCCAAUACUCGGGUACCACUGAUCCCUCGGAGCAUGCUGAGCUAUACUGUGAUCAAACACUUAUCAAAGGUGUAGAUGAGAGCGCCAUGUGUAGGAUGUUUACACACACACUCACGGGCCCCGCGAAGUCGUGGUUUCGCUCUUUGAAAGCGGGUAACAUAUCUUCCCUACACCAAUUGCUAUUCGAAUUUACUAAACAGUUUUCCUACGCCUCCACUCAAGAUAGGGUAACCUCCAAACUUGGCUUUAUCAAGCAAGGGGAAGCCGAGCCUUUGGCGAAGUACGUGAGUCGUUUCCACUAAGAGGUGUUGCGAACCGGGGUAUUUGGAAACCAAUACACAUUGACCCAUUUUGAGAAAAAUUUAAAGCUGGGCAAGUUAUGGCGUUCUUUUCAAAAGAAGAGCCCACUCUCAUAUGGGGAUGCCCGUUCCCGAGCGUUCCAGCAGGUGGAAAUGGACGAAAAAUGCCAAUUGAAGCGCCAAGAAGAUAAGGCUGAUGUUACAAAGAACAAGGAGAAACCCAAGAGGGUGGAGGCCCCAAUACCACGGGUACUCUGAGCACGAAGCCCUCCACGGGCUGCCCUGCGGGGACGAGGGUAUAACCCUCAGGAUACCUCAAGGGUACCCCAACCUCCAAGAACGCCACCACCGGAUCAGCGAGAGCCACCACCGAGGCCUCGGUACGAAUCUUACCAGAAUCGAUCCCCAGAGCAUAUCUUCUACCAUAUUCGGGAUAGCGGCCUCCUCCGUCCUCCUAAGCCAAUGAAGAAGUACCCCAACAUGAAGCGUAGCCUGAAGUAUUGCGAGUUCCAUGAGGACUUUGGUCACAGCACAGCCGAGUGCUUCACCUUGCGAGAGGAAAUUAAAUCUUUGAUUCUCAGCGAGUACCUCAAAGAAUUUAUUGCUGGCAUGAGAAAAGCUCGGAAAUCUGCGGAACAAGAUAAAGGCAAGCGGGUAGCUGAUGGCAGUCCUGAACGAGAGGUACCCCCUGGACACAAAAAAUGCGUGUAUGUCUGAAUGAUCAUGGGCGGACCGACUUUAGCGGGCCAAUCUAGGAGGGCUAUUAAAAGUUAUGGUAGAUUGUUGUUAAUAACCACCAAUAUUGGCAGAGAAAUCAACCUUAAUGAAUGGGGUACACCGAAGGUACCCCACCGUGUUGUUCAUAUGAUUGAUUUUCUUAUUGUAGAUCACCCGGGUGCCUACAAUAUUAUAUUGGGUAGGCCUUUCUUAAAAGCAACUAAAGCGGUGGUAUCCAUGCACUACCUCGCCAUGAAAGUCCCGGUUGCCCAAGAAGUUAUCACCAUUAAAGGGGACAAGCAAUCGGCUCGUGGAUGUUAUUCCGUGGCCUCCAAAGUCACUUACCAAAUAGCUUCCGAUCCGCCAAUGAAAGGGUAUCCCAGUAGCAGCCAGCCCACACCUUCCCCCUCAAAGCGAGCACUUGCUAGACAGCGGAGAGCAGUACUAAAAAAAUCUCCUAAAGUAGCCCACCCACAAAAACAGUUGGAGUCUUCACCAAUGGGAGUAGAAGCAGUUACGGGGGAUAAGUUGAGGGUAUCCCACGGGGACCAGGAGGAGCCCAGAUGUGAAGUUGAGGUACUUUUGGAUCCCUGAAUAUUGAAAGAUGAAAAGCGGGGUACCCUAGUUGAAGACCUUAUUUCAGUCUCGAUUUGUGCCACAGACCCAACAAAGACUGUGAAAAUAGGCUUCAAUCUUUCGGAGGAACAAAGAGAGAGGUUCAUAACCUUCCUACGCGAGCACUACGACAUAUUCGCCUGGUCCCACUCGGAUAUGCCAGGUAUCCCACCUUCUCUCUCUUGUCAUAAACUCAAUGUCAGCUCGCAUUAUAAAUCGGUCAAACAAAAGCGUCGCACCUUCAACCACGAGAGGUACGAUGCAAUUAAACAAGAGGUAGACCGCCUAUUAGCAGCGAGGUUUAUUCGGGAAACAGUGUACCCCGAUUGGGUAUCUAACAUUGUUCUUGUCAAGAAAUCAAAUAGAAAGUAGCGUAUAUGUGUGGACUUCACCGAUUUGAACAAGUCCUGCUCCAAGGAUAGCUUCCCGCUUUCCCGGGUAGACCAGCUGGUUGAUGUAACAGCGGGGCAUGAGAUGCUUAGUUUUAUGGACGCCUUCUCCGGGUAUAACCAAAUUUCGAUGUAUGAACCCGAUCAAGAGAAAACGACCUUCAUCACCAACCAGGGGUCAUACUGUUAUAAGGUUAUGCCGUUUGGUUUGAAGAAUGCCGGGGCUACCUAUCAGCGGCUAAUGAACAAAAUUUUCAAGGAACAAAUCGGGCGCACCAUGGAGGUGUACAUAGACGACAUGAUCACAAAAUCAGUGCAUACGGGGGAACACCUGGGACACCUCAGAGAUACCUUUAUCGUUUUGAGAAGACACCAGAUGCGGUUUAACCCUGAAAAAUGUGCAUUCGGGGUCACCUCAGGAAAGUUUCUCUGGUUCAUGGUACAACAACGGGGGAUUGAAGCCAACCCCGAUAAAAUUCACACAGUUCUUGACAUGAAAUCGCCAAGCACCGUCAAAGAGGUUCAAAGCUUGGUAGGCCGGGUAGUUGCCCUGAGUUGCUUUAUCUCCAAGGCUACCGACCGGUGUAAGUCUUUUUUCAAAGCUUUGAAGACCGACAAGAAGCUCCAAUGGACACCCGAUUGCGAAGAAGCUUUCCAAGAACUGAAGGGGUACCUCGUGAAUGCUCCAGUACUUACCAAACCUGAGCUGGGAGAGGUGCUUCUGUUGUAUCUCGUCGUAUCCGAGCAUGCCACCAGCUCUGUGCUACUCCGAGAAGAUGAGAAUGGGGUACAACGACUUAUUUACUACACUAGUAAAGCUAUUGUUGAUGCCGAAAAGAGGUACCUCACCUCUGAGAAGAUCAUUUUGGCAUUGGUUGUCUCCGCACGGAAGCUCAAACCAUAUUUUCAGGCUCACACCAUUGUAGUCGUCACCAACCUUCCCCUCUGACAAAUCCUCCAAAAAUUAGACAUGUCUGGAAGGCUUCUCCGAUGGUCCCUCAAAUUAAGCAAGUUCGACAUCAUCUUCAAGCCUCGUUCCGCGAUUAAAGCCCAGGCCAUCGCGGAAUUCGCCAAUGACUCAAGUGGUGAAGGUGAUUUGAGAUACAUGUUAGAUACCCCACCCACCGAUGAAGAGGAGCAGGUCUGGGAAAUAUAUAUGCAUGGUUCCUCUAAUUCACGCGGAAGUGGUGCGGGCAUUAUUAUUAUCGACCCGAACAAGGUGAAAAUAUGCUACGCUUUGCAAUUUGGAUUCAAAGUUUCAAACAACGAAGUCGAAUAUGAGGCCAUCAUAGCGGGGUUGAAGAUGUCGAAGGCUUUGGGAGCGAAAAGAGUACACGUCAAGAGCGACUCCCAGUUGGUGAUAAGCCAAAUUACCGCACAAUAUCAAGCGAAAGAGGAAAACAUGAAAGGGUACCUCGGAAAAACCAGAGAGUUGAUGUCCCAAUUUUGUGAGGUUAAGGUGGAAAGGGUACCCCGACUGGAGAACAGCGAAGCCGACACCUUGGCGAAAAUGGCGUCCCUUGGGGUAGCCCAGUCAUCUGGCCCCAUCACAACAUAACACAUACCUGCAUCCAGUGUUGGUCUCCCAAAGCCAUUGGAAGUAAGAUCACUGUCCAAUGAGGUGUUUUGGAUGGAGCCUAUCAUAAGGUACCUCAAGAACGGAGACCUCCCCUUAGAUAAAAGUGAAGCAAGAAGACUAAAGUAUAAAAUCGCACAGUAUUGCCUGAUCCAGAAUACCCUAUACAGAAGAGAGUUCACUCUUCCUUACCUUAAAUGCUUGGAAAACGACGAGGCCGAGUAUGUCAUGAGGGAGAUACAUGAGGGGAUUUGUGGCAAUCACUAUGGACCACAAUCACCGGUGCAAAAAGCCCUCCGUCAGGGGUUGGCCAACCAUGCAGGAAGAUGCCAAGAAUAUGGUACGAAACUGUAACAAAUGUCAAAGGUUUGCCAGGGUACCCCACCUACCCUAGAGAAGCUAACAGUUAUAUCUUCCUUUUGGCCCUUCGCUAUAUGGGGAGUGGAUCUCAUUGGACCGUUACCUACCAGAAAGGGGCAAGCAAAACAUGCAAUUGUGGCGGUAGAUUUUUUUAUAAAAUGGGCGGAAGCGGAGCCACUAAUAAGCAUUACAGAAAGGAAAACUACCAAAUUCAUUUGGAAGAACCUCAUUUGCAGAUUUACGAUCCCCUAUGCAAUUGUUAGUGAUAACGACAAGCAAUUUGAUAAUGAAAAUUUUAAAAACUUUUAUUCGAAGUUGGGGAUAGCCAACCGAUUUGCUACACCUGCCCACCCCCAAUCUAAUGGGCAAGUCCAGGCCGUUAACAAGAUUAUCAAAGGUAUCCUGAAGAAGAAGCUAGAAGAAAGAAUAUGAGCAUGGGUAGACGAGCUACCUGGGGUUCUGUAGGCUUACCGGACUACUCAAAACACUUCCACCAGGGAGACCCCGUUUUUCCUCGCAUUCGGUGUUGAUACAGUGAUUCUAGCAGAAAUCGGGGUACCUUCUCACAGGGUUGAAUACUUUGAUGAGGCCGAGAACACCUCAUUGGUUGCUUCAAACCUUGAUUUGGUGGCUGAAAAAAGGGCUAAAGCAGAAUUGAGGACAGCCAUAUAUCAGCAUCGCAUUUCGGGUCUAUAUGAAAAAAGGGUACGCCCUCGAUCCUUCAAGAAAGGAGACUUCUUGAGAAGGAUAACUCAGAAUACUAGGGUACCCUGCGAAGGCACUUUUGGGGCAAAUUGGGAAGGACCCUACCGCAUCGACAAACCCAUUGAGACAGGUGCAUACAGGCUACUCCACAUGGAUGGCACAAUCGUGAGGCACCCUUGGAAUAUUGCAAUGCUACGGAAAUAUUACUAAAGGAAAAUGUCUUAACCUCUAGUCUUUUUCUGAUUAUUUACUUUCUUUAAUGUCUUUGUGUGGUAGGCCAAAUGGGGUACCCCAAAUGCCCUAUGUUGGUCAGUUGCAACUUUAGAGUUUCUUUAAUUUUCAAAUGAAAAGGAUAGGAGGCCUUGCGGUCUCUCAUUCUCCUUAGGGUAACAAAACUAAGUCAUGUAUUGAUCAACGCUUUCGUUAUCUAUAAAUGCAUUUUCUUUCUCAACAAAUAUGAUGUGGGUUCUUUCUCUAUUUUUCGCCACUUUGAUCUUAGAAUGCGGAUUAUAUUCAUUUAUCGCCAUUAAUAUACCCUCGCAUAUGGUUAUAUGCAAUUCUCGCCAUACGCUUGUCAAUUAUGACUAACCUAUCACAGGACCAGCCAGGGUACCUGAUAUGCCUAGAUCGUGACGAUCUAUGUAAAGCCAAUAUGGGCAACAAAGUGAACAGCCUUUCUGCGGAAACAUGACAAAGCCACCUAAACAAAGAGAUGGAGGGUCAAAGAGGACCCGAGGGUGGAGUAAAACCGGCAUACCCUAGCACCAUGAGGUUCAGCUUAGGUAUGAGUACACUCACACUUCCGUCCUCUUACUUGAGUAAAGUAGGGGGUAAGCUAUUCAAAAAUUCAGAGAGAACUUCUAAGGAAUAAGAAAGUGAUUGGUUGGACCAAUUGCGCACUUUCAAUUUUUGAUCGAGAUGUCGCGAUGAUGUUUUGAUUACCUAUUUGUGGGAAAUCUGCCAUGGUUGCCGAGAAGGGUAUGCACCAAAUUCGCCGAUUUGUGUAAACCAGCAGGCGCCUGAUGUUGAAUAUUUUUUAAGGUACCAGGGGUACCCCAUUUAAAAAAGAAAAAAGAGGUACCCUAGACAUUCACAAGAUAACAGUUUAGCCAAGCAUUCAUUUGCAGAAUAACAAGCAUACAAAGUACAAGAAGACUCGGUGGCAUGGUAUCAUAACAAAGGAGAAGUCCCAAUAAUACAAAAUAUCCCAAGAAACCAAAAAGAAAGAAACAAGGUCCAAAUAACAAAAUAUGGAUAGAUCCAAAAAAAUAAGAGCACAACAAAAAGGCUACACUGAGGGGGGAACGCCAUCCCCAACAUCUGUCUCCAGAGGGCGAUCAGCAGAGGACUCCGAAGUACCCGGAAUAUGAGCAGCUGAAGUAUGAGCAUCCGAGGCAGGCAACGGCUGAAGCGCACGGGGUACCCUAGGCGACCCGGAAGGGGUACCCUACCGUGCCUGGGAAGACUUCUUCCUUUCUGCAAUUGUCUUCAGAAUCGUAGCCUUGUUGACAAAUUUCUGCACACGGGGUACCUCCAGUUCUGGAUCCACACUCUACACCUCUGUCAUGAUAAGUGAGAAUGCAUCCUCCGCCAUUGUCUUUUGUCGAGAUAGCAGAUCUCCGUUGGUGGCCCUCAACUCCUCACAAUCCUUCUCCAUCCGAGCUUUCUCUCCCGACAGGCCAGCAAUGCGUUCUUGCAAAGUCUUAACUUCUCGAGCAAGAUGAUCCUCGCGAGAUUGAUGGCUUUGGAGCUCACUCCUUAACUUAUCGACCUCUGACUGGGCGACAACAAGGGAGUCGAGGUCGGAAAGGCAGUGGCUAAGGAGAAAUGAUGCUUGCGGGUCAUGAAAGACAUGUUAAAUAUAUAUGUAUGGUAAUAGGAUUAAAUAAGUAAAAAAAAUAAUGAAGGGUACACCCGGGGUACCCCAGAAAAGCCUACCUCUUGGGUAGUCCUAAGUGCUUGACCAUAGCGCUGACUCAAACUCAUCUUGUCAGCCUCUUCAGCAACCUCGGAGGUGACAUUUUCAGCAGAGUAGUAAAAACAGCGAGCCAUGUGUGAAACCUCCUUAUUGGCAGCUGGGUCUAGGUCACAUUCGCAUAACUCAUCGAGGAAAGUGGAAACUAGCCCGAAUUUUGUUUUCCUUGAGCGAGGGGUAUCCUUCGACCUGCUGUGGGAGGUACCCUGAGAUUUCCCCUUUGGAGCGGGAGCUGGAGGAGGUCAGGAGCCUUUCGGGGGUACCACCGAAUCCUGAGAUCUGGAAGCACCGCCCACUACUCCUUGGAAAAAGGAGUAAAAAGCGUCACCCGCUGAUUCCAUAAUUGCACCCAAUGCACAAACGUUGUGUUAGCCGGACAAGUACUAAGUACUACAAAAGCCAAAAUGGGAAAUGAAAAGUGGGGAAACAAAAUAAAGAUACGGUGAUAACGGGGUACUCUAGUACCGUAGAUAAUAAUAGAGUACCCCUCGACACCCGAAUCAUACAUGAGUCACCCCCGGGAGCAGAUGGAGGACUUCGGUUAAUCAGCCCCACUCUCCACAAUCUACUCUCCUCCAGCACAUCACUACCCCUUUGUGCACCUCGAAACCUGUCCACAAACUUCUUCAUCUCCCUCCCCACCUCUUGAACUGGGCAUGAUCCUUUAGCCCAUGUCACACCUGCAAAAGCAUAAAGAACCCAGGGUUAGCGAGACAUUGAGGCGAAAGACUCCGAUAAAGAACUAUAAGUAAGGGAGAUACUUACAGUCUACAUUGAAGAAAUGAGGAACCUCCACGGGGUUGCCCUUUUCACCCAAAGUCUCUGUCCCCCACCUACCCUCAGCAACGAACCAUCCCUUUCGGUAACCCUUCUUCAAGGCGGGGUUCCCCUCAACAAUAUGGCCAUGAUCCCCCCAAGGGGAGAAGUAAGCAAUACCGAGACCCUUAGGCUUUUUAAAUUGAUAAAGGCCCCUCAACUCCUGAACAGAAAUGUUGUGCUUCAAGACCUCCAACCAUAACACAUGUAAUCCUGUGAGUGUCCUCCACCCCAGAAGGGACAGCUGCCCGGGAGCUACCCGCAAGUAACUAAACAUUCUCAUAUAGAAAGGUUGGAGGGGCAGCGGAAUCCUAGAUCAAAAAGGUCAAUAUGGAGAGCAAUCCCAUCAGACUUCGGACACUCAGGUCGCUUAUCUACAUGGGGUACCCUAAGCUGAACAGAAGGAGAAAUAUUGUAUUUAGCUCUAAUUUUUUCUAAGUCCCCCAAGGUAGCCCUCCUAGAGCCUAGGAAAAAAAAAGUUGCCAGAUUUUGAAGGUGUGGCAGGGGGAGAUUUGGGAGGCUAGUCCGAGGAACGAACGGGAACCUUGGGUUUAGAUGACUUACUCUUCUUUCGAGGAUGGGGGAUUGGCUGUUUACUAGGAAAGCGUGGGCUGACACGAGGGGUACUCCUAGGGGGAGGGGGUUCAGAAUGAGAAUUACAACUCCUAGAGGAAUUAGGGGGGACCGAUCCCCCUCGUUAAUGGAGAUGUGGGAAGGGGAACCCGCAGGAGGGCUGUCAACCCUACUAGCCCCAACUGCAUGUCGCUUCCUCAGGGGUAUCGUGUGUUUCUUGCCCAUCUACUUUCCCCCAACGACAUAUCCACCAGGCCACAAGUCCCCAACAAUACACCCAACGAUACACCCAACAAUACACCCAACAAUAUAUCCAACAAGCCACAAGUUCCCCAAACAACACAUCCACAAGCCCCCAACAACACAUCCACAAGCCCCCAACAACACAUCCAACAAGCCACAUGUUUCCCAAACAGCAACAUAUUCAUACCAAGCACCAUCCACCACACAUCAACCACCAAAUGCAAACACCAACCAACAAAAAAAAAAACAAAAACAACAAAAACCAAAAAUAAAUUUUUCUCGGAGUAUGCAAAAUAGUGCCACUGUGAAUAUGCCAAAGGAGGAGAAGCAAAGAGGGAUACCUGUGAUUCACCAAUUCGGCAGAUCAAGAUUGAUAAUCGCAGCGAGACGAAGCUGCAGGCAACCAAAAAUAGUGGGUAAAAAUAUGCAAGUAUAAAAAUAAAAAUAAGCUUAAAUAUAUAUAGUUAUUUAUAAAUAAAUGAAUGAAUAAAAUGAAGAACGAAGAAGCUGCAGCAACCGGCGUCAGCUGUCAUGGCUGCAACCACCGAGAACCGACGCCGGAGAUCACGAGAAGGAUGCCGAAAACCACCAAAAGAGGACGCCGACCGAAACCAAAAAAAAAAAAAAAGGAGCUUGGAGAUAUAAAAAAAAGUCAGAAUAAAAAAAAAAAGAAAGGGAAGAGCUUGGAUGAUAAAAAAAAAAUGGGAGAAGCCUGAAGAUAAAAAAAAAAAAAAAAGAGGAAGUAAAAAAAAAAGAAGAGCUUGAAGAUAUAAAAAAAAGAAGUCAGAAUUAAAAAAAAAAAAAAAGGAAGCUUGAAGAUAUAAAAAAGGAAGCUUGGAGAUAUAUAUAAAAAAAAAAGAGGAAGUCAAAAAAAAAAAGGAAGCCUAGAGAUUAAAAAAAAAAAAAAAGAGAAAAGCCUCCAGGAUGAUUUAGAAGAAAAAGAGAGGAGCAUAGAUAAAAAAAAAAAAAAGAGGCCACAUGAAGAGACGAAGAAGCAAAAUGGGGGGUAGAAGAUGGCUUACCACAAAGAGAUCACUGCACCACCAGCCGAACGCCGUCGUCACGCCACCGGAACAUCUCGGUAGACGCCGCCGUCACAAGGCCAGCCAAAAAAAAAAGAAAAAAAAAGAGGAAGAUGAAGAAAAGAGAAAGAAAAUGACAGUGAUAAAAAAAAAAGGGGUGUGAAAGUUGCCUGGAAGGAAUUAAAGAAAAGACAAAGGAAGGAAUGCAAAAGAAAAAGAAAAUGUGACAGUAGGCUGGGAGCAAAGAAAAAAAAAAGGGAGAUGGAAGACGAAAGGACAAGAAGAAAAAAGUAGAAUAAAGAAGAAAAAGUGGAGAUGGGGAGGCGUUGGAAUGUGAAAAGUUUUUGGGGAUGGCAAAAUGAAAAAGAAUAAAGGGUGAAUGAAAACGUGCAGAAGGUGAUUUAUUUAAAAAAAUGUGAAGUUGGUGGUUGAAAUGAUUUGACUAGUUUUUGAAUUUUAAAAGCCAAAGCAAGCAAGAAGCCACUGGAAGUAAUGGGAGAUUAUGUUGGGAUUUUCAAAAUAAAUGAGAGAAAAUUGACACACGUCAGGAGUUUUUAAUUCAACUUGACAGAACACGCUGCCCAAGAAAGAAGUUAAGGGAUGUUUGCGUGAGAUUGAUAUUUUCAAAAUUUAAACUGCAUGUCAGACAGCUGCCACUUCCCAAGAAAAAGGAGAGAGACAUAUGAAGACAACUGUUUGUUCUCAUCGUAAAAAAAAAAGGGGUGGUAAAAGGAAAAGACAGAGAGAAGAUUUUUUAAUUCGAAGUACACAAAGUUUAGUCAAGGGAAGAAACUCAGUAAGGUACCCCCAGUCCAGCCACGUCGCCACGUGUCACUCAUACAAUGAGUUUCUUUUGCCUCCAAUAAUUCUCGCCAAAAAGAAACUAGGAGGAUGUUGUUUGAGGGAAAAAUAGGAAAGGCAAUAAAGCGCCACGUGUCAACCAAUUGAAUGAUUCCGGCACAAUUUGAGGUACCCCGCACAAAUAGAGGUACUCCACACAAUUAGAGGUACCCCAUAUAAAUAGAGGUACCCCGCAUAAUUAGAGAUACCCCAUGUAAAUAAAGGUACCCCACACAAUUAGAGGUACCCCGUACAAUUAGAGGUACCCCACGUAACUCGAGGUACCUCCGAAAAUAUCCGCCAUGAGAAACGUCUCCGCCUCCUAAAAGAUAUUAUUCGAUUUUGUCAGAAUUAAGAAUAAAAAACGACGCCCUAAAAGGAGGGAUAGCCGCUUGCGACCUCUGCCAAAAGUGAAGGACACUGUCCCAAGGACAGUGGUCCCCAACCGCCUACCCAACAGCUACUACAGAGGUAUCCUAGACCACUCUCCAGCGCGCGCCACGUUUCCAAAAGAUAAGAUACGCCACGAACAUGCAGAUAACGGCCCAAAAAAUUAUAAAGAGGUAAAAGGACUUUAGCCAAAAAGGGUACGCGGCGUGGCAGCUGAGGUACUCCAUAUAUAAAGGCGCCUAGGUUUCAUUCUCCAUCAGGCUCUCAUUCGCCCAAAAAACACUCACACUCCAAAAAAUAGGUUUUCUUCAACCUUAAACCCUAAUUUACAGAGGGCUAGCCAACUCUCUUUACCAUAAAAGCUUGAGUUUGCUAACUUGAGCGUCAGAGUGUGAACGCCGGAGUACUCCGGCUUCACUACUAACCUCUAUUUCACUGUUUUGCAAGCGUGAAGCUCAUUUUGAAGGACACCUCUCUUCUUUUUGACCUUCCACCAUUGUUACUACUCUCUCUACCCUUCUCACCUCCCCUGAAUUUCAGAUACACCGCACCGCACCGCAAACAAUAUACUAGUGAGGUACCCCAUCUCCCCCAAAAAUAUAAAUUCAUUGUUCUACAUUGGUUUGGCUUUUCCUACCCCAAAAUCAGUUGAAAACAAUAUAAAAUAACCGUAACAUUGGUUUUUACAUUUUGAAUUUUUCUUGAAUUACUAUUUAGAAAAAUGAUGUUAAAUAAAUCUCACAAAAUAUACAAAGCCACCUAACAUCCAAAUAUUGAUUACAUUUAUUUUGUAUUGUUGGAAUGACGCCAAAGCAAUUGAAAAGAUAUAAAAAAUAAAUAAUAAUGAUGAAGAUUGGCUACGCGAUUUCACUGAAGCUAAGUUGUGACUUGUGACCAUCCAAAUGUCCGUAACAAGUUAUGAUUAUUCUCGCAGCACAAAUCCAAUAGCAUGCAACAAAAUCCACUCUUAACACUUGCCUCUGAAGAAAAUAAAACAGAGUAAAAAGAGCAACCAUGCCAGUGAAUCUCUUUACUUUUCUCCUUAUAAUUUGGGUAAACUCUAUCAAAUGAAAAUGCACCAUGACCACUGACCACAUGGGUCACUGCCACUACCAUUUACUUCUUCAACUGUGCCUCCUGCUUUAAGAAAUCUUCAACUGAAAGAUGGACUAUAUAAUUCAAGAUAAAAAAUACACCUGAGCUGCAAAGGAUACUAUCCACUAGCCUAUCAACGACUAUACUUUAUAUUUUUCUAGUUUUUGAAUCAAAAUUCUGCAAGAUUUAGUUUGGAAAACUUCGACACAACAACCAAACACUCAGUCCUUUUGUGCAUUAUAUCCACCGUAUGAUUCCUUAACAAAACAUCGGUAGCCUGUAGCUUAUCUGACACUGUCCUGACCCAAAGCCCCGCUCUUUUCAACUCAUCUGUCAAACCAUUACCCACUUUUGGAGUCAAAACUGCCCUCGCAGCCCUUUAAUAUUUCUCCAUCUUCAUUGAAUACGUGCCACCCAAAUGCACUCUCUUCCCUCUGGCUGAUUCUGUUUGAUUCAACCUCUUUUCUUGUUUACACUCAUGAAUUUGCAGAAAAUAAUUAACAAGUUUGUCAUCAUCAUAAAAUCCUUCCACAAUCACCACAUACAUUCUGCUGAGCAGGACUCAUUACACCCUUGUUUUAAACAAUUUUUUCUCCAAUUGGUUAAACAAUUUUUUCUCUUCUCUUUGCUCUCUUACAACUUGAGGCAUAUAAUUAAAUGCGUGGCAAUUAGCAUAUGCCAUGAUGUAUUUAACAACCCCAAAUGAAGAUACUGAUUUUUUUUCGGCUUAAUGGUUGCUUCAAAUGGGGGAACUGAAUUUGGGGGUUUGUUGUCUAAAUCCCAAAAAAUUCCACAUUAUGUUGGACAGUUUUUGGUUCUACAGAUGAUGAUCGGUUUUCCAAAUAAUGGUUCAAAAGGAAACAUCUAAACAAUGAGACAAAUGGGUUCUGGAUUUCUAAUCCUGUAAAUGUUGUUCUGUCGCAUAAGUUAUGAAAUUUCUGAAGCAUCACUAUCCCCGUCGUUCCUGGGAGAAAAAAAAGUCGAAGAACUGCUCGUGGAACAAAAUUAGAAAAUUUAAACAAUGUUGAGAGACUUUCCCUUCAACUAACAGUUAAAAGAAAAAAAAGUAUUAGAUAAGCAUUUUCAAAGUAAAAUGAUCACCCAUUUGUUGUACUUAGGCAGGAAAAAUAAAUAUAUCAACCCCAUUAAACCCUCACAUCUGCUAACUAAUAAUGCAUAGACUAACUUUUACGUAAGGAUAUAAAACUUACAAGAGCAAGAAAACUACUGUUUAUUAAUUUCAAAUUUUACACAAAAUUACGAAUAAUUCUAUAAGCUGCACCAAAACAUGUUCUCUAAAAGAGAUUCAGUAUCCUACAUUUUUGGAAGCAAAAAAUUAUUUCUGGAUGGUAUAAACUAAUACUAGAAUAACCAUUCGUUAAUGAUGUGAGUUUGGGCAGCACCAUGAAGCGGUGAGCCCCGUUUGGUGAAAACGAAAAAUAAUUAAAAUAAAGCACUAUGAAUUCUAAUCAAAUUAUUAACAUUAGCUAAAUAGACAGCAAGAAACCAGAAUAAAUUCGUUAACUAAACCAAAUAUUUAAAAAAAAAAAAAAAGGCAGUUAAAUCCUUAUCAUUUUCAGUUAGAAACAAACUAAAGCACAAAUUAAGAACAAAGAUUGAAGCAAAGCAUGAUUGUACCUUGAGGCACUUGAGCUUAGUGUUCCCAUAAACAAGACCGAGCGAAAAAGCCGAAACCAGAGAAACCUAUUAUUAUCACUCAAAAACCCAGAUCACAAAAUGAAUGAUCUUUCAAUAACAAUUCAUAAAAAUUCCGUCCCAUCAUAUACAGAACAAAACAAAACAAUGAAAAUAUUGAUCAGAAAAGAAAUUACAAAAAUGGACAAAAAGAAGAUAAAAAUAUGAUGCUUUGCUAUGCUUUCCUUUCUUGUGGGUGGCAGAUAAAGAAACAAGAAAGAGCCAGCAAAUUGAAAAAUCGACUAAUAUAUUCAUUCGACUCCGACUCGUAUGGCUAUUUUUCUUUGAUGAAUGAAAUAUUAUUUCACUCUCUAAUUCGUAACAAAAUUACAAGUUUCGACUUCUGUUUGUAUGUAAUCGUAAUUUUAUUGCUUGACAGGCCUGGGCUUUUACGAGCCCAGGAAGUGUAAUCGUAAUUUUAUUGUGCUGAAAAUUAUAUAAACGUUAAAUACGAAUUUAAUCAAACUAACAUGUCUUUACAACUCAGGCAACCUUACUAUUUUCUAAAGAUAUAAUUAAUUUUACUAAUAAAAUCAAAAUUAUUUUUAAACAACAAAGAAAGAAAUUAUAAUAACAAUAAAUUAAUUAUGGAAAAGUAAGUUUACAAUAAUACGAGUCAUCAUUCUUCAUUUUCUUUCUGUUUCUCUCAUAUUUUCUCUGCAUCCAAACACAAUAUUCUCAGUUCUUGACUUGGUAUCAGAUUUGCAGUUUAAUUGUCAUGGCUUCCUUCCUUAAGCACAAAUUCAAACACAAAUCAGUCUCCUUCAUUCUUUACCCUAACAAAUGCGAUCAAACUGGACAGAUCUAACUAUACGAUCUGGAAAUCUCAGAGCCUCUCUUCAGUGCGUGCCAAUGGACUUGAAGGCUUUCUUAAUGGAACUAAAAUUUGUCCAGAUCAGUUACUUACUCAAGAGAUUGAAAGUUAUGGUGUUGAAAAUGUUAUUGGUGAAAGCUCAGCUGAUAGAUCUCAGGAGAAUCCAGCCUUUGUUGCUUGGAAAAGGUAGGAUCAAUUGUUAUUAAGUUGGCUCAUGUCCUCGAUCAGUGUUGAGAUACUUAGUCUUGUGGUAAAUUCUUAUUCUUCUCAUAAACUUUGGACUAAUCUUGAAGAAAAUUUUUGGAUUAGAAACUAUGGCUAAGAAAGCACACUUAAAAAUGAUGUUAAACAAUCUCAGAAAGGGAUCAAUGACAAUAACUGAUUAUUUUGCCAAACUUAGAGGUGUAACUAAUAAACUUGCUCUAACUGGUAGCCCUGUUUCUACUCUAGACUUUAUUACUCAUCUAAUCUCUAGAUUAGGCCAGCCAUACUACCCUGUUGUUGUGUAUAUUGAAGCUAAUAUGAUGAAAAUAUUUGUCAAUGAAGUCUAUUCUAUGCUUUCAACUCAUGAAGCAAGAAUGAAAUUUAAUCAUCCGAGUGCAAAUAAAGAAGCAAAGUUGAAUUAUGCUGCUAACAUAGCUUAGGCUGGACCUAGUGAUAACAAUAAGAAGUCUAGUAAUCAAGCUAAUUACUAUCAGGGCAACCAAGGUAACUGGAAUAGAAAUGCUAAUUGGUGUGGUAACAAUGGAGGAAGAGGUGGCUUUGGCAGAGGUUUUUCAGGGCAAGGAAGGAGUAAUUAGAAUAAUGGUGGUCAUUGGAACAACGGACCUUGGAGUAGUAGUCGAGCAGGUUAUAAUUGUUCUGAUAUAAACAUUAUGACAUGGUUGCUGGUGAACCUGUAAACAUAACCACAAAAGUAAGAAGGCAUAAUCUUUUUAUAAGAAACUCAAAAAUGUAUUAAUGAUGAAAAUUUUAAAACAAAUAGUGGACCAGCUGGUCACUAAGAAAACAAAAAACUGAAUAUUUGUGCUAUAAAAAGGCACACCCAAUCUCACCCCUAUAAAAGGCAAGAAUCAGCUACAAAUCCCUAUCUCAAAACCCCAUCCCAGUUUAGAUGAAUGAAGAAAAAAGAUGAAUCUUGAAACUCCUUAGAAACUGAAGCCCAAAGUGAAGCAAGAAGAUGAACUCUAUCCCAAGCAAGCAAUAUGGCAUAUUUCUCCAUUAAUGGUUCAAAUAAAGUGAAUGGCUUUCUCUGAUGAAUGGGAAAUUGUCAAGAUCAAUAGUCAAACUCACGCAAAGUAAACGGACUUAAUUCUCAGAGGCUACUCAUUCUAAGUCUUAAAGAAAAAUUUUCUAAUUUCUAAAGAUUAUAUGGGGAAAAAUCAUUAUUUUCUAACAUGGAAAAUUUGAUACGGUGUUUAAUGUUUGAUCACAAUCAUAAUAUGAGUACUAACAAAAACAUCUUUAAUCGGCAUGGUGCGAGUAAAACACUAUCACUUCAUCUUUGAUGGAAAGAUGAUAAUAUAAGGAGAUGGUGAAAUGGUUUUGAUCUCUGGUAGCUUGUAAUUAAAAGAAAACAAAAAACUACACUAUUAUUAAUGAUUACCGAAGCUACAGAAGUAUCAAAAUCGGAAAGCAAACAAUUGCAAAACACAUCAAUGACUGAAGGUUAGGUUCUAAAACUUCCGUAUUUAAUUUUCAGAGCAUGUUAUGUAUUAUUCAGAAAUAUGAUUUCACUUCAGGCACUAGACCAAGACGCAUUAAACAUAAAACGCGGCGUUUUCAUGGACUAGUACAUUCCAUGCUUCGAAAGUUUAUGUUUUAGACUGAUUGGUUUGAUACAUUAUUUGUUUAUUGCGUUUUUCUUGCUUUAAAUAUUAUGUUGGAUUGAUAAGUUUUGUACACAUUUAUAUUGCUCGCAGUAAAUAAUUUAUGACAUUUAAAAAACUAUCAACCGUCUAUCAAAAGAUUUCUACUAUAAAUAUAUAUACAAAAAAAAACUUUUAAUUUGGUCAAUUUGUUCUCUUAUUUAUUUUUGUUCUAUUUCUCUUUUCCUUCCCUUUCAUUUUAUUGUUUUAUGGUACAAAAUAAAAAAAUAACCUUAAAAUUUAAGGGUAAAAUACUCAUUUUACUAAAAUUCCGUUUAAUAUUAUAAAGUUGUCAAAUGUCAAUGGCAUAGUACACGAGUGAUACAAAUUAAAAACAAUAAAUUAAAAGUUUUUAUGCAUUUUCCUUUUUUUUUUUAUAGUCGAUUGAGAUUUCCCUUCAUAUUUUAAAAUUCAAUAGGUUUAGACCGUUUAACAAAUCUUAAAUUAAAAAAACCCGCGGUGUAAUAACAAACUCACACCAAACCCUGUCCACUGUCAUCCCUAAUUAUAUUUACCACUUCAUACUCACAGUGAUAAUAACUGUGUAUCACAAUUGAUUUUGCAUACGGGUAAAAGUUCCAAGUCCGGAUAUUUAGUUAAUGAAAUUUGAUGAAAAGGGCAUGAAAGAAAAUAAGAAAUUAAAUAAUACAGGAGGUAUUAAUCAUUACAUAUUUAGUUAAUGAAAAUUGAUGAAAAUAUUUCUGCAGACGUGAGCCAUAAUUAUAUUACCGUUAAGAAUGAACCAGAAGAGUUUCCCCAAACAAGCUAAAACACAGCACUUCAAUUUAAAGAAUUUUUAUAUCACAGUACCGGGGCAAAAAGUUUAAUGCAACAACAUACAUUAAGUUAAUUCCAUAAUCUAUCCCCAAAGAAAGACAAACACAAGCUUAUAAGAUUAAAACUUUGGAAAACAUUAGAGUCGGACAAAAUUGUGUAAUCUUCAGAGUUUGGAGCCUAGUUCAUCCAGGAAAGCAAAAGAAAUAAUAAUAAUAAUAAUAGUGGUGGUUUGAUCUCAAAAGGUGGCAUCAAAGUGGUAACUUUGAGGUAUUGGAAGCAAUAACGUCUUCAACUUUGUCCUGAUUUCGAAGUCCCUUAACCCAUCCGCCAUCAGUGGAUUGAAUGCUUCCAUUCAACCCAUCAUCCACAAAAUCACCAACCCGUUUCACCUUCAUCUCCUUGGGCUUAACAGGGUACUUUCCAGAGAAGCAAGCAAAACAAAAAUUCUGAGAAUCAUCGCCUAACAACUAGUUCAAGCUGUCAAUCGGCAGAAAACAAGCGAAUCACACCCAAUAAACUCCCUGAUUUCCUCAACGCUCAUCCUGUUGGAAAUCAACUCCUCAGUACUUGGAGUGUCUACUCCAUAGUAACAAGAAGCUAUGAUUGGUGGGCUUGCAAUUCUCAUGUGAACCUCUUUAGCUCCAGCCUCCUUAAGCAACCUAAAAAUUUUUGAUGAAGUUGUUUCUCACACUAUCAAAUCAUCCACAACCACAACUCUCUUUCCCUCCAACCACAACCUUACAGGAGACAGCUUAAGCUUGACACCAAAGUCCCCAAUUUUCUGGGAAGGCUCAAUGAAAGUUCUCCCAACAUAAUGUGACCUUAUCAACCCUUGUUGAAAUGGCACCCCGGCUUUCGCAGCGUACUCAAGUGCAGCCACCACUCCAGAAUCUGGUACUGCAAUCACGACAUCACACUCAACAGGAGCCUCGGUAGCAAGUACUUCCCCAAAAUGAUACCUCGACUCAUAAACAGACCUUCCACAAACAACAGAAUUAGGCAAAGCAAAAUAAAUAUGCUCAAAGAUGCACUGCUUACGUUCAGGGUGAGGCAUCAAACAAGGUGAUUGAACCCCAUCUUUAUCAACCAUCAAAACUUCACUGGGAUAUACCUCUCUCUCUCUCUCUCGCCCCCUCUCUCUCCCUCUCUCUCCCUCUCUCUCCCUCUCUCUCGUAUGUGGCCUCAAUCAAAUAGUGCACAAGUCUCUGACGCAAAAACCAGAGCACCAUUACUCCUCCUACCCAUCACCAAUGGCAUAAACCCAUACGGGUCACGAACCGCAACAAGCUUAUCCUCAGUAACAAACACCAUUGAAUAAGCACCCUCAAGCUUCUCACAAACAUCCACAAUCCUCAAAAAGAACGGCCUAGCUUUUCGAUAUCGGAAUCAAAUGGAGAACAACCACAGUAUCAGAACUAGUAUUGAAAAUGGAUCCAUUAUCUUCAAGCUUAGCCCUCAAAGUAUUAUAAUUAACUAAUGUGCAACACCAACAGAACCAAACCUGUACCCAACAACAAAAGGCUGCACAUUCUUAAGCAUAGAACUACCCGCAGUCGAAUAUCUAACAUGACCAAUGGCCAUAUCACCCGGCAAUUGAUCAAGUUUAGACUGAUUAAACACAUCAGAGACUAAACCAACACCAGUAAUAGACUGAAGAACUUUGUUAUUCACAGCAACUAUACCUGCACCUUCUUGGCCGCGAUGCUGCAUCGCGUGUAGCGCCAAAUAGCAGAAACGCGAGGCCUCUGGGUCACCAUAGAUGCCCACAACACCACACUCCUCACGGGGCUUAUCGUCGUCAUCAUCAUCAAAACUGCCAAAACCGUCAUCUGGGUAUUCUUUAUUUGUGGUGAAAAACUCAGAGAUGGGGUUUUUUUAUAGAACAGUGAAGUUAUUUUUGUGGAUUAAAGAUUGUUGUUUCUGAGGAAAAAAAGGGUUUUUUUGCAGGGUUUUGGAGAAAAGAGAAAGAUGGGUUUUUUGCGACGGCUUAGGGUUAGCAGAGGGAGAUGGGUUUGAGAGAGGGCAGAUGUUGGCGGUGCCUGUUGUGGUGGCUGCCAUUAAUGGCUGAAUUUAUUUUAUUUUAUUUUAUUUUUUGGGUUGCCUUGCUCAAAGAAAAAACAGAGGAGGUGUGUGGAGGGAGACAGUGGCGAAGGGUACUUUAAGUAGAGGGGAUCUUGUUCUAGGUUUUUUCCUGGAAUUGUGAGGGAAUCUGAUCCUGUGUUUGUGCAUAUGAUUCAAUUACUUAUAGGUGAUACUGUUGUGUCACCACAAAUUCUAACUGGGAAGCUUCAGCUGUCAAUUUUUUUCCAAGGGUUAAUUAGGUAGAACUUUCAUGUCCUCGAUUUUAUUUGGAGAUUCUAAAAGUAGCUUCCAAAAUCAACAAUGUGACACAGAUGCUUUAGAUUUUUUUCCUUGUGGGACAUGAAAAUUGAUGCAUGAUCCAAUGCAUUGCUCUAUCAGAAUUGGAAUUAAACUUAGUUUGUAUUCUCCUAUUCCGAAAGCAAAACUUAUAAGUGAUAUUCUAAGAAGAAGAAAUUAAGAACCAUAACAAAUUUGAUGAUUCUAAUUUGCUAGAAAUAUUGCAAUCCAAAACUAAGAAAGUUCAAACCAAUUAUUAGAAGAAAAAAGUAGGACGGAAGCUCCCAGAAUAUUGUUAUGUGUUGUAUGUUUUAGUUUGUAUUUCCCAAUCAAUAAGAAAAAGUAAGUACACAUGUAACAAAAAUUUAAUAAAAAAGAUUGGAGGUGACAAAACCGUCAAUCUUCUAAUUAACUUUCUCUCCUUUCGAAUUUCCUGAGUUUGGUAGAGACUGCUUAAGUGGUAUAUCUAUUAUAAACACCUGAAGUCAAAGUUAAUAUUUUAAUUGUUAAGAAAAAUUAGAAGAAGAAAUUUUUGUAUAAGAGAAUUGGGUUUAAAUUUAGAAUUCCUUGGGAGGAAAUGAGUCUAAAUUCCAAUAAUAUAAUUAAACACUAUUUAUAUAUAUAUCAUUAGUUGGGUGAAAAUUUAAUUUCCAUCCUUUGAUGUGAAAAACUCUCUUGAUCGUCUAUUUUCAUAUGAUGGUAACUUUUUGUUUAAAGUGAAGUUAUUGGCACUCUUUCAUUAUGCUUAUAAAAUCCUACUUCAAAUAAAAUUACACUUAAAGACAAUAGAAUUAAAUAAUAUAAUUUUUCUUUAAAACAAAUUACUCAUCUAAUUUUCUAUAGGUUGCUUUGUAUCGAAUUAAAAAAAAAAUUGUACAAAUUUAAAAUAAUCUAUUAUUUUUUUCAAAUUUCUUAUUGAUUAAAUAUUUGUGUGCUUAAGAUAGCUUUAAAAUUAUAAGAUAUAAUAUAUAUAAUUUAAGCCAAUGAUUAACAUUCAAAAAUUUAUCUCUCAUAAAAGUUUUUAAUUUGUGCGUAGGGUAAUAAUAAAAUUGCAAAAGAAAUGAAAAAUAGCAUAGCACUAUUUUGAGUUUAAACAAUAAAAAAAUUAAAUGAAAAAUUAGAAAUGUAUUUAAAAAAGGAUAUUUUUGAAAAUAAAAUAAAUAUAAUUUAAAAAAAAAAGAGUUUCACGAGGGGUGCAAUAGUUCAACUCUUUUGUUUAUAAGUUUUAAUGUGUUGGUAUCCUUAGCUUAGCUUUUCCCUAAUUAUUAUAUUAAAAUGUAACAACAAUGAUGAUCAAACCUAAUUUCAUGGAGGUCAAAGAUUUUGGUCAUGCCGCAUUAAUUAGCUCGAUCAUACUUUCUACAAAUUUAUUUACAUUUAAUAAUUUGCCCAAGACUAGGUAAGGCGCCGCCUGGAGUCAUAGAAUUUUAUAUGUCAACAGUGCGUUUCACUUCAAUUAAGCCAUAAAUGUCGUUUAAUAUGCUCAUUUUGUAUUUUUUAAAAAAAAGUUUUAUUAAUUUUUUUUUGUUUUUAAAAAUAUUAUUUAUUUUUUUAUUUUUUUAAAGGUAAAGAAGUGGGUAAAGUUCAAAUUUAAUUUUUAUCCCUUACGUCAUGACCCCUCAGAUUUGAACUUAGGUAGCCAAACGUAUAAUAAUGAUAUCUCAAAUUUCAUUUCAAAUGAUAUGCAAUAUAUUAAGUCAUUGUUAAUCUUUAUAAGAUCCGAGUGAAUGAAUUGUGUUAUCUCACUAAUUAAUUGAUGAGUGUCAUAUCAUUUAUGAUAACUUUUGUAUAAAAAAAAUUGCGAUGGAUGAAAUAUCCUUUUGAGAAUUUAAUGGUUUAUCUCAUUUAUGAUUUAUUGUUGCAUUUAAUGAUAUUGCAAAUAAUUUUUCUGAUAAUAUUAUUGUUUUGACGAGUAAGUUUGGAGUAAAUAAUACAUAUGGCAAGUGUGAGGUUUGUUAUUGCAUUUAUUUUGUGGAUCUCUUUAAAAGCCAAAAAAAGGCAUUUCGAUUCAUUAUGAUUCCAGAUAAUUUCAAGCCAUGUCAUUAUUGGGAUAAAAAUAAAGUAAAAUGGUUAAAACUAUUUUUAUGUAAUUUAUAAAAAUUAAUGAAGCAACUACAAAAUUUUUUAAACGAAAAACAAUUGAAAUGUGUGUGGAAAAAGAAGAAAAAAAUAAGGCAUUUAAAUAUCUUCUUAAAAAAUACGAUUGAUUAAAAUUAUUUUAACCGAAUGCUCUUCCAAAUACAAUUCCACAUUUUUUUUAUUGCAGUGGGAUAUUCCAAAAUUGGCACAACUCAUUAAGAAUUCGGCAACUCAAAUUUUAUUUAUCUCUCUAUGCAUUUGACAAAUUAAAAAGAAAAAAAAUUCAUAUAUCUUCUGUUCAAAAUAAACCUUGGUAAAUAUUGUAAAACAAAUUACCAAUUUUUUUAAAUUUAUGCCAUUAUAUUGUCGCUAUUUUCUCGCCCACUUUCUUAAAAUAGAAUCGAUAUUUAUUGAUGGGUUGGGUUCCAGAGUAAGCACCAAUUCAGCAAAAUGGUUUUAUAGCAGAAAAAGCACUUGUAAGACAUUCAGAACACAUUUUUCAAUUUUGUCUUUUGAAAAUGAGUCUUGAGUUUCCGCAAGCCAAGAAGAAUGGCUAAAAAAUGUAUGGUAUCAAAGAAAGAGAAACACACACACACACAUAGAUUAGUGGGGAGAUAUAUGAGUGUGUAAUUUGUAUAUAUAUCCCAAUUAAUUGUUCAUAUAGAUUAUAUGAACAAUUAAUGUGUAUAUGCAAAAGGAAAAAAAAUUGGCUGUCCAUUAAGACAAAAUUGACUAUCACAUGAAAAUGUUAGCACACUUGCCACGCAACGAAAAUAAAGAUUCCAAGAACAACUUUAUGGUCCCCUUUCUGUCCAAACAUAGGCGAUAGAAAUUAGUGUAAACGACACUUGAAAUAUUUAUGUAGAUCCUCACACAAUUGAUUAAAUAUUUAUAGUAGGGUGGAGUGAUAAAUAGUUUCACAAAAUUAUUGGAAUUAACUAUUUAAUACAUGAGAUCUAUCUCAUUAAGUAUAAAAGAUUGAGUCAUGCUUCAAAAGCAUAACGCUGCUGGCAACAAAUUUAACACAAAAAUUUAAUUAACUAUCCUAGUUGAGAUAAUAAAAUCUUGUAUUGAAAACAAAAGGUUUGAGGUUCGAACCUUCUCAUUCAAGAAAAUCAAGUCAAAAUAUUACAUCUUCCAGCACAUAUUAAAGAUUUUUUCAAAGGCAGACUGAUAAUUCAGGGUAAAAAAGAAGAAAAAAAAAGAAAAGGAAUAUAUGCUAUUCAAGACAGGUAUGCCUUGUACAUGAAGUCCGAGUCCAGAACAAGAAGCACCUGGUUGAUCUUUCAAUUUCCAAAACCCAACAAAAUCUUUGUCAAAAUAUCUGAUCUAGUCCCAUAUUAAGCACAUUCAUAGCCAUAUCAACAGGUUCAAAAUAUUUUCCCCAAAAAGAGAUAGAGAUUCCAUUGAAGUUGAGUUGUGACUGUCCCAACGUUUUGUAAUUAUAUGGUUCAGGAUAUCAUGCCUAUGAAUCUUUUUUUUUUCUUUUUUUCCAUGUUUCGAAGUCUAUCAAAUGAAAAUGUAAUUAUAUGGUUCAGGAUCUCAAUAUGCCGCAGCUGCAAAGGUUGACUUCUACUAUCCAAUCAAUGUCUAUACUUUCUAUUGAAUUUCCUUGUUUUUUUUUAAAUUACGAGAUUUAUUUUUUAGAAAUCUUUGACACAUUUUAUGUAAGAUACCAUAAAACCAAAUACAACCUUUUUGAUUCUCAGCAACAACGUUUUUUUUUCCUUUUAAAAAAAGGAAGCCAUAUAAAUAAUGCUUUAAACAUUAUUUGCAACAAGGAACAAUUAUUUCAUGCUUUCAUGUAUUACAAACUUUCCAAAAACGCUAGCAAGAAAAUGAAAUGGAACUUUACCUAGUCACAUAAUAUAUACUGCUGUUAGCACAAUUGUUAUGAAGUGGCUUCUGCAUCCGAUGAUUCCAGCUCCCACCAAGCAUUGUUAUCUCUAUUCUAAAUACAAUCUGCAUCGCUGGGCAUGAGUUAUAUCAUUAAUGUCUGCAUCCUCACUUACAUCAUCCCAAUCAAGUGCUUUUUCUCCACAUCUGGAUUAUAAGUCCACUCCAAUCUCUUCAAAACAUCCCAGUCCUUCCAUCACAGCUGAUACGACUUCCUUCCUUAUUACUUCCCCAUUAAUAAAUCGCUCCAAGAAAAAAAAAAAAAGCAUUAGCAAUUCUCUUCAAUGCCCCAUCAUUCAUAUCCCCUACAACAACCAUCUUCAGACACCUCAACGUUGCCUCUUGAAAGACCUCCACAAAAUCCGAAUCAUCCGACACAACCACUAAACACCCAAACCUUCUUUUGUCCACCAUAUCCACCUUAUAAUUCCUUAACUAAACAUCGACAUCUUGUGGCUUAUCUAACACCUUCCUGACCCAAAACCAUGCUGUUUUCAACUCAUCUGCAAAAACAUAACCCGCUUUUGGAGUCAAAAUUGCACUUGCAGCCAUUUUAUAUUUUGCCAUCUUUAUUGAAUAGUUGCCAACCAAAAGCACUCUCACCUUCCCUCUAGCUGAUUCUAUUUGAUUCGACCUAUUCUUUUGUUCACCCUCAUGAAUUUGCCUAAAAUGAUUAACAAGUUUGUCAUUAUUAUAAAAUCUCCUUCCACAAUCACCUAUAUGGCUUAGUAGGCCUAAUUACACCCUUGAUUUCUAUUUGGUUAAACAAUUCUCUUUCUUUCUUUGCUCUCUUACAACUUGAGGCACAUAACUAAACGCGUGGCUAUUAGCAUUUGCCACCAUGUAUUUAACAACCCCAAAUGAAGAUAUUAAUUUUUUUAGUUUAAUUGCUGCUUCAAAAUGGGGUACUGCAUUUGGAUUUUGUUAUUCAAAUACCAAAAUGUUCCCACAUUGUGUUGGACAGUUUUUGGUUCUAAAGUUGAUGAUUGGUUUUGCCAAUCAGGCUUCAAAUGAGAACUUCUAAACAAUAAGACAAAUGGGUUUUUGAGUUUCUAAUUUUGUAAACUUUGUUCUAUUGUGUAAGUUAUGAAAUCGCUGAAACAUCACUACAGCUACAGGUCUUUAUGUGUCAAAGAACUGCAGAAGCUGAUGAUCUACCAGUAGUAGACUUCUAUUGCCCCUGCCGUUCUAGGAAGACAAACAAGUUCAGGAACUACUUCUGGACCAAACUCAUAAUAUUGCCACCGCUUUGUGCCAAUCUGAGACGGAAAGAAGAUUGAAGUUCCUAAAUAAGGCACAUCAUGAUUUAAUAGAAGCACCACUAUAAGGAAAAAUGGAUUUCAGGAAAGCACUAAAAUAUGACAUAAUCUCCCCCUAAUAGUCUAAAGUAUCAACCAAGCAAAAACACAUAAACUAGUUGAGAUACAAAGUUAUCAUAAAAGUCAGUUUUGAUCACAAAUCCAUUAAAAUUAAAAGACAUUAGAAAGUUAGAGAACAUUAUAAUUUAGGACUCAGCUAAGUUGCAGAUUCUGUAACUAACAGCUGAGUCCACAUUGGCCUUACAUCAGCUGAGUUUGGGUUGCUUUUCCUCUCUCCUGCAACGCGUACGUGGAAGCGCCCCAUUUGCUGUGUUCUAUACCGAGUUGGUACCGUAACAAGCUCCUAUAAUUUAAGUUUGAUUACUGUAGACAAUAGUCUGCCUCUGCUCAAAAGCUAUGCUGCAAGAUAUAACAUCUUUACUUUCUAAAAGUAAUAAGAAAUGAAACCAAGGGGUAAAUCGAACACCAAAAGAAAUUUAGUCGGCCAACCACAUUAUGUUCCCACACAAUCCACUAAUUAAGUUAAUAAUUAAAGGGAAUCAAAAUCUAAGAAAUCUCAUCUUCAAGCAGAAUACAAACACGCCGCGAUUGAAAAUCACAAAAUCAUAAAAAGAAGCUGACUUGAAAAGGGGUGGGCCGCCUCAUUUGCCCACCAACCACACCACACACACAAACACUCCAACACACACACAAGCUCUCUAGCUUUUGUAAAAAACUCUCUUUAAUAUUCUCUCUUUGUGAGUAAUAAAAUCAUAUUCAGCCAUAUUGCUCUACUUCUCUCUAGCAUUUUCCUAGAGUGUUCUUACUUCGCUAGUUUGAGGAGUGGUCUAGGCUUACUUAGCAACUUGUUUGCUACAAGGACAUCUUGGUCACAAAACAUGGACAUGCAAGGAAAAAAAAAUAUUGAUACGUUCUAAAAAUAAUACGCAUUCUUCUAUCGUGAACCAAAAAAAUUUAGGCUAAUGGUAGCAAGUGAAGGAAUUGUGAUUUCACGUGCAUUUUGUUGACAUGAAGGUAAAGAGCUUUUUUAUAGUUUAUAUUGUUUAAUAUAACAUUUGAAUUGCAAAAUAGGGGUACAAAAUAGAUACACGAAGGGAUAAAACUAAGUUGAUUAUGAUAAAUAUUGAAUUAUAAGAUUUAGGUUUAAUCAUAAAGACAUAAGUGGCCCAAGUCACGAAUUGAUAUCAUCCAUGAUGCAAGUUCAAACAACUGCAUAAUAAGUUGCCCUAAGCUAAACUAUUAAUCUAGUAACUAUUCCAGUCGAUGUGGGAUAAUUUUCCUAUCACCAUUUAUCACGUGCAAGCCGAAUUUGUUGCUUGGUUCUUACAUGUGGUAAGAUAAUAUGAAUCCACUUGUGCAUAAAUUUUGCUCCGAUAUUAUAUAGAAGCUUAUGACCCAAAAUUAUACUUAAAGGUGAUUUCAAGAUUUCAAGGUUGCCUCAAGCUAAUAUUAUUAUUAGCCUGGUAACCCUUUUUUUUUUGUUGAUAUGUGAUAUUUUCCCUAUAACUUUUAUUAAUCUUUAUGCUUAUGUUUUGUCAUUUAUCCCAAAAAUAUAACAUUAACAAAAGUUCCAAAAUUUCCUUCAAGAGAUAUAUUUGAGACAAGUAAUUUGUGCAAUAACUUUGUGAAUUGAUGAGCAAAUUCAGAGAAAAGAAUAUAUGUGCCAAACGUAAAGUUUAUUAUUGUGUUUAUUUGUAGAGCUAUUUAAAGCCCAGAAAAAAAAAAGCACCAGUCCGCUAUGAUUUCAAAUAAGUUCAAGCCCUAUGUCAUUAUUGGUACAAAAAUGUAUCAGAAAGGUUAAAAACUAUUUUUAUUUAACUUAUAAACUUAGGAAAUUAUCAACUGCUCAGCCUUAAAUUGUGCUAUUAUAAAAAAUAUUACAAUAUUUUCAGGUUGUAUCAUUCAUCUACCAUAAAAUUAUAAUUGCAUCAUUUAUCCACCAAAUCAUUAACUUCGUUAAAAAGUGAUAGAUGUUACAAGGGUAAUUUAGACAUUUAACACACAAAAAAAAUAAAAGAGAAAUUAUCUAAGCUUACCAUGUUAUCAAAAUUGCUACAAAAUUUUAAAUUUGUUCAAUUUUUCAAUCUAAGUUUAUGACCUCCAAGAUUUUAAUUGCAAUUUGUAAUUAAUGAGUUCAUAAGGAUAAUUUAGACACUCAAUAUGCAAAAUAAAAAAAGAAAAGUAUCAUUUGUAUACCUUAAAAUUUGCUGUAUCAAUCGUCCACCUUAAAUUGAAAAAAGUUAUCUACCGACCACUAAACCAUUAGUUACCGUUUGAAAGUUAACGGAACUGUAGCGAAUUGACGAUUUUACCCUUGAAAUCUCAAAAAAAAAACUCUUAUUAUCAAUUAUAUACCCUUAAAUUAUUACUAGUAUCUAUGAAAAGACUAUAUUACCCCUUUGACGUCAUCAUGUUUAAACGGCAACUAACGCUUUGGUGGACGACAGAUACAUUUUGUCAAUUUAGGAUGGACGACUGAUAUACCCUGAAAGUGUUGUAGUAAAUUUGAUAACGGAGUAAACUAAGGGUAUACAAAUAAUAAUUUCCUAAUAAAAAAAUAAAAUAAUGGUUUAAAACAUUAAAACAAAAAACUUGAUAUUCAAUUAAAUACACAUAAACUCUAUUUUUUUCUUAAUUAAAAAUAUUCUAAUUUAUUUUCUCAAUUUAUCAUCAUAAAUUUACAUUAAUAAACUAAAUCCACAAAUUACCCUAAACCCUAAUUCAUAAAUGCCCAAUCAAUCUAAUAGUUUAAUUAGAUUUCAUAAUUAAAAAGCUAAAUUUAUUAUAUUGGUUAUGGUGCAAAGUCAAAAAUGCCCUUAAAUUCAAGGGUAAAAUAACAUUUUAUUUAAAGUCUAUAAAUGAUUCUAACAAUGUUAACAUUUUGGUGGGCGGUUAAUAUAAGUUACAAACUUAAAAUAGAAAAUCAAAUAAAUUCAAAAUUUCAAACUAUUUAGGGCAAAUUUAGGAUAUAUGGUUAAUAAUUUUCCCAUGUCUUUUUACAUUGGUUGAUAUAAGUUACAAACUUAAAAUAGAAAAUCAAAUAAAUUUAUAUUUUCAAACUAUUUAGGGAAAACUUAGGGUAUAUGGUUAAUAAUUUUCCGUUGUCUUUUUACGUUAAAUUGAGUUUCAAAGGUAAAAUGGUCAAUUUAUUAUAAUUCUGUUAAUUUUUUAGUGGAAGCAAACGAUAUAAUGGACGAAUGAUAUAAAUUGUAAAAUUAAGGUGUAUGAAUGAUACAACUUUAAAGUAUUAUAGUAAUUUUAAUAAUAGAACAAUUUAAGGGUGGAUUGGCAAUAAUUUAAACUUUAAUGAAGCAACCAAAAAAUUUUUUUAACAAAAGAAAAAUAAUUGAAAUGCUUUAAGAAAAAUAAAGGAAAUUAAAUAUCUUUAUAAAAAUAUAAUUGAGUAAAAUCAUUUUACAAAAUACUCUUUCAAAUGCACAUUCCACAAGCCAGGGAGAACGGGUGACUAACAAAAAUCUCACUUUUUAUGAGUUUAUAAAAUCUCACUUUCGCAGAAACAAAAAAUAAAAAUUAUUGCUGUCACGACAUUACGCACUUUCUUUGCCAUCUAGAAAGGUAGAACAUUUUGAAGUUCCUCAAUACAAAAUGCGUGCUACUACUAAAUUGGCACAAUUAAUGCCCAUCGAAAAGGCCAUCAAUUUAGCCAUCAAUUUUGUCAAAAUUUCAACAAUUGAAGAAACAAUGAUCACAAACGGAAUAGGUAAAUUUUGAAGUUGAAUAAAUCUUGAGAUGCAUACAACAAAGCCUUGAAACUUUAUUCUUCACAAUUUGAGCACGCACUGAAUAUUAAAGCAAAUAUAUAUGAAAAAAAAAUCAUAAAGCUACCAAAAGGAACCACAAAAUCAUCAAUAUUAUCGUUUAAUAUGGAGAACGGCCUGCGCAUCCAAAUUGUGCGAACUGAACACGCUGAAAUGUGUGUUUUGUUUUUUGGAUUUUUGGAAUUUUUUAAAAAUCAUUUAUGUUCGCCGCCAUCUUUUUCUUCACUGGCGUCUUCCUCUCUUGGCUGGCAUCUGCCUCGUCUGCAGUUUGCUGUGCCUAUUUAUCCAACCAAUAAAUUGGGCAUUAAAUACGAAUGAAUGAUGAAUAAAAUGAUAAAAAAAAAACAAACAGAGAAAAUUAUAAUAUAACACAUAUUUAUUGAAAGAGAAAUUUUGAUUUUAGGAUAGAUCAAUUAGCUAUCUCAAACGAAAACAUGAACCAACUAUGUAUAGAGUCAAUUAAUUUAAAGUUCUCAAGAAUUACCUCUGCUCCAGAAUUCUCGGAAUCAUCUUCUCCUUAUGAAUUUCCACGAAACUUGGGACAAUUAUUAACACCUCUUCUAAAGUAUGCAGAUGGAAAUGGGAUCUGAUAACCCGCAGGCCAAAAGUUGGUGAGGUUUGGUAAGUCUUCCAGUCUCAAGUCCCAAAGUUCAUUCAUAACAAUUUCAUUGUAAUCCGUGACGUCUGCUCCAUCUUUAUGCCAGAAUACUUCUUCUAAUUCAUCAUUACCUACUAUGGAUAGGCGCGACAGUUUUUGAAGACUUGGAGCUACGCUGAUAUGAAAUAGAUGCUUUAGUUUGGGGCAAUAAUAGACAGAGAUCCUUGUGAGUUUUGGGAAACAUACAGGUUGGAGAUGAUCCUCAUCCUCAUCCUCAUCAAUGAUUUGCUCUAAUUCCAAGCAAUUCGAAACAGAUAACUCCUCCAAUUGCAACAGAUUUCGAGCAAAUGUUGAUGAGAAGAGACGUCUCAGCAUAGUGCACCCGUCCACUGUUAAAUAGGUAAGACUUUGCAGGCUAAAAUUAUGAGUGGGACCUUCAUGAUAUAAUAAUAAUUGCAGGUCUCCCAGAUUGUGCAAGGUCAAUGUCUUCAAACGUGGGAAUAGUUUGUUUUCUUGUCCCUCAGCGAUAAUAGCUUCCACUUGAAAUACCACCUGUACUCCAAGUUCUCCAAUACCCAAUAUUUCCAAAUUUUUUAAUCCGUGCUUCAACAGUGCUGGAAUCGUGUGACGCAAAUGGGAGCAACUUUCCACACCUAGAGUAUUUAAGUUCUGAGACAAAUAAAUAAAUAACUUGAUGUAAUUAAAAUUUGUUAGCAGCUAGGAUUAUCACAUGAUAAGUGAUGAACACCGCAAAAAACAAAAACAGAAAACAAAAUCCAUACAAAAAUAUCAUAAUACAUAUGUAAACUAAUAAAAUAAUUAAAAAGUAAUGGAUUUAAAAAAAAUGAAAUUAGUUAAAAGAGAUCAUGUGAAGUGAUAUAAAUGUGACAUUAGAUUGUUUUAGAAAAAUUAUUAUUCUAUUAAUUUAUAUGGCUUGAUCAGCUAAUUAAUUGAAUUUGAAUAAUAUUAUACACACUUCAGAAGUAUUUGCAUCAAUUCUUUCUAAACCAAAAUGAAAUCUGAUAAAAUAAUUAUUAUCAUUACCACAUCCACCACCACCAUCAUCAUCUCCAUAGGAUCAAAUAAUUAAUGGCUGAUCAUAAAGUUUAUUGCUAAACUAUCAUUUUGAGUAAAAUUGAAUGAAAAGAAAAAACAUGAACCCAAACAAACAUACAUUUUCAAGAUACUGCAAAUUGGCUUCAAGUUCAUUAUUGUUGAUGAUCAAGUUGGGACAAUAAUCAAGGAUUAGCUCUUCCAAUGCUGUCCAAAUUGAACAAUAGUUUUCUGAACAGAAGCUGACGAGUUCUGGGAGUUCUUGAAGUGUUAAUCUUCUCAACAAGGGGAGGGCGAGCAUCGUAUUUCCACCUUCGACACUUAUUUCCCCUUCAUUGUGAUCAAACUUUGCUUCGACAAUACAUUCCAGUCUCUCGCAAUGGCUUACACAGAGACUUUUAAGCUGCUCCAAACUUCGGGCUUGUGACAACGUGAAGAUGUAUGUCAACUUGUUGCACGAAUGCACAUUCAAUUCUGCAAGAGUUUGGAGACUGAUCACAUGUUGGGCGAGUGCCUUCCAUAUCCACUUCAGUUCUGGUAAGCCCCACAUAGAUAACUUUGCUAAUCUUGAGAGACUCUUUCCAUGCGGCGACUUGGAGGCAUCCAUUAUGCAUUCUAAAUCUUCGCAACCGUGGACAUCAAGACAAGUCAACUCAUUUAAGCCCAUUUCAUCUAUGCUUGGCACAAUAUUGUAACAACCUAUAAUCCCACUUAAACAAAGAAUUUCCAGUUCUUGAUACAAAGCCGAAAAAAUACCGAGCGAGGUCGCUUCAGGAGGGUCGUUACUAAUCAUUAAGAUCCUUGCCUUAUCAAAAUGACGUACCUUUGCAAUUUCGGGAAUGUAAAGUCUUUUGGAAGACAUACAACAGAUCCGUCGACUUGGGAGUUCAACUCAGCAAGCCUAGCAUUACUUUCUUCUGAACUCAUCCCUUCAACCUCCCAAUUUUUUAUCCGACCAUAAAAUUCUUCUAAUUGAGGAAUUUUUUUUAUCGUAAUAGGAGAAACAGAACUGAUAUCAAUAUAUAGAAGUUUCAAUCUACUAAGUUCAUUCCUCAAUUCUUCUGGAAUUUUAAUGAGAGACUUCUUGAGAAAAAGAAUUUGAAGCCUCUUCAACUUUCCAAGGAAAGAUGCAUCACUCACCUUACAUCGAAUCAACUGCAGAACCUGGAGGUUGGUGAGGCUCUGAAGCGAUUUAAGUGAAAGAACUCCACCUAUUAUAGUGACAACUUUCAAUGCUGGCAUCCCUUUAAAAAAAUGUUCUGGAAUUUGCAAUUCGUAAUUAUAUACGGUGUUCUCCAAUCGCAGAAUAUGAAGGUUAGGGCAUACCAAACUACUAGGAAGCUCUUCUUCUUUAUUUCCCAUUACAGAGAUUCCUUUGCACUGUUCCAGGCCUUUUUCCACCGCCCGUUCCAGCAAUCUGAUGCCAUUUAUACUAAACAAUCUCUCCUCCUUCUCCUUCUUCUCUGUGCUUAUCCAUAUGGCUACAUCACGAACUAUGUCAUGCAUUUUCACAGAUAUGUCAUUACCAGUGUCUAACAGUAGUGAAGCAGCUUUGAGUCCGUCAAUUGUUCCAUGCAGUAGGCUUCUGGUGUUCUCUAUUGACUCAGCUUGAUACCAAGUCAACCCUACUGCAUAUCCAACCAAAUCCUCCAAAUUAAUCUCAUAAUAUUCUGGAAAUAGCGAACACAACAAGAAGCAUAACUUGGAAUUGUCAUCAUUCAAUUUGUCGUAACUAAAUUUGAGACAACCGUAAACGUCUAGGUUCUCCUCAUCAAUACCUUCUAUUGCAUAGAGUUUUGCAGCCUUUAGGUUAUAUAGAGCCAGGUUCCAUUCAUUAAGGUAGCGUUUACUUUUUGGAUUGGAUUGAGAAUCUUGGGGAGUGGGAAUCCUAAGAUUGGGAGUGUGGAGUGGGAGUGGGAGUAGGUUGUUUACUUACACUAGAAUGGAAGCAUGGAAUGGAGAUCAGAAUUCAAUUUAUGUGUUUACUUUGUCUUGGAUUGGGAGUAAAUAGUUUCAAAUUAUAAUUUUAUCCUUAUUUAAAGAAUUAUAAUUUUUAAUUACAAAACUAAUAAAAAAUAUAUUUAAUGAAUAAUAUUUAUUUUAUUAUAUUUGUAAAUUUAUUAUAAUUAUUAAUAUUCUUAAUUAUGAACAAUAAAUUAUUAAUUGUAAUUUUAAUAUAAAAUGAAAUGUUAUUUUAUUUUAUUUAAUAUAAUUAUAUUAAAUUUAUUAUUAUAUAAAAUAAUAAUAUUAUAUUAUUUAGUACAAAAUUAAUAUUUUCUUAGAAUAAAGUAUUUAUUAUUAUUAUUAAAUAAAUAUAGUACUAUUAUUUUUAAAAUAAAUAUAAUAAUAUUAUAUUUAUUAAUUCUCUAUUAAUAUAAUAAUAUUAUUUUAAAAUAAUUUUAACUUAGAAUCAAUGUAAAUUAUUAUUGAGUUAAAUAUAAUAUUAUUAUUUAAAUAAAUAUAAUAUUAUUUAUUUUAUUUUAUUAAUUAUAAAACAUAAAAUAAAAAAAAGAGUAGAAAUGGGAGAGGUGGGAGUGGAUUCCCACUCCCACCUCCCCCAAUGGGAGUCCCACUCCCACUCCCCACUCCAAAAAUGGAUGGGGCCCACGGAGUGGGACUUCCAAUCCCUCUCCAUUUUAAGUAAGCAAACGCUGGAGUGGGAGGAAUCCACACUCCUCACUCCCACUCCAACAAGUAAACACAACAUUAAAUCCUUUUCCUCUUAGUGCACUUCCAACAGCUUCAAUAGCUAAAGGUAGCCCGUUACAUUCUCCAGCAACUUCUUUGGAAACAUCAUUCAAGGUGGAGUCAUUUACAUCAAUGCCGGCAUUUUUUCGCAGUAAAGCCAAUCCUUCUUCUGGCGUUAGUGUACUAAGUGGAAUCUGUGUGUCACAACCCAAAGAAUCACAAACUGACUUUUUGCGAGUGGUUAGAAGGAUUUUGCAACAAUUAUCUCUACCACCAACGGGAAUACGUAAUUUUUUCUCCAAGUCGAGUUGUUUCCAAACAUCAUCAAGGAUUACGAGGAUUUUGUUGCUUUUACUCUCAGAAAAUAUCAAGCGCAAUCGGUCUGCUCUCUCUUUUUCAUCUUUCUCAUUUAGUGCCCAGCCUAACGACUUUGCCAGCUCACCUUGAACCUUUAUUAUAUCUGGAUCCUGAGACACAGUGGCUAUCCCCACCUUAUCAAAAAUCUUUUGUUGCCGAAGUUGAUUGCCCAGAGAUUUUGCCAAGGUCGUCUUUCCUACACCGCCGAGACCGUGCAAUCCCACCAUCUUUGUGCUCUCUUUUUUCAGUGCUUCAGUGAUCUGAUUACAAGCCGAUUCUGUAGUCUCGAAAGAAGAAAAAAAUCUCGGUAUAGGCAAUUCUUCGUCUGGUGGUAGAGGUUUAGGACGGGCAACUGUGCUGAAUUUGCUGCGGUCUUGUAGUUCGGACAACUUGCUACUCUUCUUUGAUGCUUUUCUACCCAGCCAGUAUCGCCAACCCCAAUUAGGAUACCAUCCAUUAAGACAACUCAUCUUUUCAUCUAUCUUUGCUUUCAAAUUUCGAACGUCGGCCAUUUCUUUGUCUACAUCCUCAAGCCAUGUCUUGACAUCUUCCUCGACUUCUAUAGCACGGUGUAUUUGUCGUUCUUGUUCUACUCUUUUAUUGAUGCCAUCUUUUUCCUUCUUCAAAUUGGUUUCUUUAACCUUAAGUUCUUUAUCUAUGCUGUUGAAACAGAGCAGAUAACGAGCUUGGUUUAUGGUUGCAUCCACCAACAAUUCUCCAAGCCUUGAUGCAACACCUGACAAAAGUUCCAUGCUAUUUAUCUGCAAUUAAUAAAGUUGAUCUCAGUAAGCUAUAAGCAAAACAUAUGAGGCUUGAUCACAAGAUCGAACGAGAAAGUUUAAUUACCUUUUUCUAUUAUGUGAAUGCACGUUUAUUGACACUAGCUUUGACCAGUAAGAGCAAAAUGCAAACGCCGAGCUUUAAGUGGCCUUCAGCUGCAAAACAAAAGAGAAGAAAUAAGGUAAUUUAUUAUUAUUAUUAUUAUUAUUAUUAUUAUUUUUAAGGACGGAUAAAGGUUAGCUAGCUUGCAGACAAAUUUACUAAAAUCAAGACAAACCUAAGAGUUUUCCUAAUUUGUUCAAACAUGGAAUAAGCGUUUCACAACAGUAUAUCCAUAAAGUAAUAAUAUUAUUUUAAAUUAUAUUAAUGCCUUUGGUAGUGAAUUCAAUUAGGGUUAUUUUAGUAAUAUAAAUUUUCAUUAAAAUUAAAGUGUCCAAAUUCUAAUUUAGAUUUUUCAAAUGUAAAAUAAUAUUUAUUUAUCUGAUAUAAAUUAAAAUUCAAACAAAUGUAUCAUGCAACAAAUGAAAAGUAAAGAAUAUUAAUUAGGUUUUAAUCGAAACAAAUAUAAAUAGAUGUUUUGAGUAGUUAAUUUUUGUUAUUUUAUGCUAUUGGUAGUUUGUGGAUUAAAUAAUUUGUAUAAGGAUAAAUGGGGGUUUGUAUAAUUUAUACGAAGAUAAUCUCCAAAAUAAGCAUAUAUGUCGAAUUUAAAAGUGUUAUAUAAGUAGUAAUCGUAUAUGCAUCAAAAUUUUUAAUAAAAUUUAUUUAGAAAUUGGCCAAAUGGGUUUUAUGAAGAAAAUAGACGGGCAAGUAAUUAUGUAACAAGUAAUUUGUAGGUUGUGGUACUUCUCCAUACUUCAAAUCACUUUUAUCUAAUCAAUUGAUAAAUUUUUUUGGGCUCCAACAAAAUGAAAAGAAAAAGUUAAAAAUAAUUCUGAAAUAAAAAACGUUAGGUACUGCCUAUAAGCUAUACAAUUUUACCUUUUCUUCUAUCACAAUUAGUAUUAGAAAUGAAAAUAGUUUCGAAAUAAAUGUAAUUAGGAGGUAAUAUUAUCUCAACAAUACCUUAUAGGGAAAAAGACAUCUACAUCCUAAAGUUCGGAGAAAUAGUCGUAAAGACCCCAGGUUUUCAGAAAGGGAUAUCAAGACCCUUUUUUGACCGUAAUACCCUUUAAAUCUAGUAAUUAGAAAAUUGACUUUAAGAUUUUUUAAUUGACAAAUUUAAUAUAAAUAAUAUAAUCUAUCUAGUAGAUUAAUAAUAUUAACAAUAAAAAUAAUAUUAAAAUUUAAGUUCUUAUAUUUAUUUUAAUAAUAUAUUUUUAUUUAUUAUAAAGAUUUUAAAUAAAUCCUUGGGUUAAAUAGGUUUUCCAGUUAACAAAAUAUACCCCUAUUAAUAAUAUUGAAAUUACUUUCUACAUAAUAUUUAAAAUAAUUAUAAUUUAUUUAUUUUAAUAUUAUGUUUCUAUUUAUUAUUAAAAAUUACUUUAUUAGAGUAAAUUUUUAUUAAUUAAAGCUUUAAAAUCAAUUUUCUAAUUACUAAAUUAAAGGGGUAUUAUAGUCAAAAGGAGUCUUUCCUUUUUGAAAACUUAGGGUUUUUGCGACCAUCUCCCCAAACUUUGGAGUAUAGGUGUCCUUUUCCCGACUUCAUAUAAAGAUAUUCCAUAAGGUCUUAUAAUAACUUAUAUUAUAUGAAUUUAAUUAAAAGAUCAUUAAUACUUAAAUAAUAAUAAUUAUAGAAGACAUUGUAAUAAAUUAUUUGAUAUAUAUUAUUAAUGAUACUAUAUAUAUGUGUAUAUAACUACAUGAUGGCUUGGAUAUAUAUUGUUAGUGGUAAUAAAUGUUUUAAAAAAAAUUUAAACUAAUGAUUUCAAGUGAUUCAAUGGUGGAUAAUUUAAAAUCAUAAAAUAUUGUUUUGACUUUCAAUAUCAACCGUUAGACUGUGAGAAAUUAAUUGCUCAAUAUUUUGUGUAAAAGUUUUAAAUUAAAAUAUCCCAAACCAUUUGUUUUACUUAAAAUACAAAAAAUAUAUAAAGAAAUUUUCUCAUUAAUUUUCAUAUUUUAUUAGAGGUAAUAUUUUAUGUAUCGUCACCAUUAAUUGCCAUCAUUAAAGUAGUGACUCUUAGUAAUAUAAAAUUUUAUAAUUAGUUAAUUGGAAUCAAAUGAUAUCAAAUAAAAUAAUAUUUCAUGAUUCAUAAAUUAAAGCUAAUUAAGAAUAUAUGUUAGUUUUAACUUUUAUGAAAUCAACUAAGUGAUAUUAGAAAAUAAAAUGAAAUAAACUAGUGAAACUUAAAUUUUAUAAGGUUUGAAUAAUUUUCUACCAUGUAAGAAUAUUAAUUGUGACAUAAACCAUAGUUUCAUGGUAUAUGUAUGCCAAAUGGGGUAACAAAUAAUAUAUACUUCAGGAUCAUGAUAGUAUAUAAAGUAGUGGAUAUUUUAAUAUCUAACAUAAAAUUCUUUAAGACAUAGGUGGUCAAUUAUAUAUAUUUUAGGAUAUAGACAAUCUCAAUCAAGAGUUUAUUGAUGUGAAUAGAUGGCAUUCACUUAAAUGUAUAUACUUAAUUGUGUUGUUUAUUGGUAUUACAUGUAACAAAAUUUUAUAUUAAAUUUUGAAGUUUUAUAUUGUUGUUUCUAUUGAAUUUAUAAAUACAAUAAAAUUAUACCAACAAUUAGAUUCUCAUAUCCGUUGACGACAAUUUUUUAUACUAUUGGAACUCCAAUCUUUGAAGCUACACAAUAGUUAAAGUACCGACAUCAAUAGAACUUCCGUUCAUUGUAGAUCUAUAGUCAAAGUUUCGAAUCUUAAAAAUUUGACAGCAGAUUUAUGUCAAAUGAAAGCUUGUUACCAGUGAUUCUUAUACAAUUAUGUUGUUAUAGUAAUAAGGAUUCUAAUGGUACUAAAAUGCACUCCAUUAGACAUAAAGAUCCGACGACUAGUGGCGACAAUAACUAUCAUUAGUGACUUGGAGGUAAUUGCCGUUAAUAAAUUAUUUUUAACUUAAUAAUUAAUACAAACAAAUAAAAAAGUAAUUUAAGGAAAAUUAAUGUAAUAAAUAAUUGAAUUAAAAAAAAUAAAACCUAAAUUCUCGACCAUUUAUCCGUAUGUUUCGAAUCCAACGUUCAAAAUUGGAAUAAAACAUAGUAUAGCCAUUGGAAGUAAAACAAACAUUAAAGAGACUAGGAAAAAAUAUCUCAUACCUUCUAUAAUGAUACAUCCUCAAUCACUGCAGAAAGCUCCAAUUAAAAAGUCGCACAAGUUCGGAGAAAAUUACCUAACAACACAAAUAAACAUCAAAUCAAAGCAACAUAGGAUCCAGCUAAUUAACAUCAUAAGUAAGUCCUUGUUCUCAGUCAAAUCUUGCAUUCUUAGGAUAAAAAAAAAAUUGAAAGAAUAACGGUAACUGGAAAGUUUGACGACAUAAAGAUCUAGCUAAAUUUUAAGAAGCAAAAGUAAAUAAUGAAAGCUCAAUAAAAGAUCAUCAGCAUUAACAUACCGAAAUGAGAGCAGCUCACAGAACUGGUAAUUUCCAAGAACAGGAAAAAUAAGUGAGCUGAUAUUGAGGACAACUAAAAUAGUCAUGGAGUAAUUUGCUAUUGAGGACACCUAAAAUAAGAAAAUUAAUUAACAUUGCUCUAUACAGCAUUUCAAUAAUUUGACUAUUAAAAAAAAAAAUUUAUCUAGAUCACGAUUUCUCAAAAUGAUGCUUUUUCUAAUUAAAUAAAUCAAAAUGCCUGCUUCUUUCUUUUUCAGAAAAGAAAAAGUGGCAAUGGCAUCAAUUUUUUGCUAGAUUUUUAUCACCAAAAGCACAAGCAAGGAAUAAGAAUACUCUCUGAAACCAACCAUGUAAAGAGUAGAAGUAAGUGGUCAAUUGUAAAUUAGUCUUUCUUUUUUCUUUGUUAUUUUUUCAUUUUUUGAAUGUGAACUAAAUAAAUUUAAGGGUGAAGCUAUUACACCUUGAAAACUAUAACUGAACACCCAUUUUUUUUUAAUUAAAUUUUUAUUACUAAAAUAACCAUGGAGUAAUUUGCUACUAAGGAAAACUAGAAUAAUAAAAUGAAUAAUGAUUGCUCUAUACACCCUUUUCUAAGUCUAUCGUCUUCUUAAUUUCAUAAUUUGGCUGUCAAAAAAUAAUCUAUCUAGAUCACGAUUUCUCAAAAUGAUGCUUUUUCUAUCUAAAUAAAUGAAAAUGCUUGUUUCUUUCUUUCUCGAAAAGAAAAAGUGGCAAUGGCAUCAAUUUUUGCUUGCAAGCACAGCGAGGAAUCAGUAUACUCUCGGAAACUAACCAUAUUAAGAGUAGAAAUAUUUAUUUGGUUAUCACGAAGUAAGUUAGAAAUCAAUUAUAAAUGGUCUUUUUUUUUUAUUUUUUAAUGUGAACUAUAUAAAUUUAAGGUGAGGUUAUUUACACUUUGAAAAACAUUCUGAAAACCAUUAUUUCAUUAAAUUUUUUAUUAUUAAAGGUCCGUUUGGGGCAGCUACGCUGAAGCAGCGCAGCUGCCCCAAACGCUCUCUAAAAUAGCCAUGGAGUAAUUUCUUACUGAGGAAAACUAGAAUAAUAAAAUCAAUUAUCAUUCUUCCAUGAACCCGUUUCUAGAUGUAUCUUCUUCUUGAUUUGGUAACUUGGCUGUCAAAAAGAAAUCUAUCUAGAUCACGAUUCCUCAAAAUGAUGCUUUUUCGGAUGAAAUAAAUGAAAUUGAACCUACAAUCUGCCACAAACACGUUAUAAUGAGCCUAAUGAAAAGCAGUAUGAGAAAUUUUGCUUCCAUGUUGUUUCUUCCAUAUGUAAAGGUAGUAAAAAGAAAUUUAAGUCCUAGAAUGGAUGAAGAAUUAUCAAUAAUUAAAAUAAAAAUGGAUGAAGAAUUAUCAAUAAUUAAAAAAAAAAAAAAAAACAGAGUUAUAAAAGAAUCACAGUUCCACCAAAAAUUAAGAGUUAUUUUAUUUGGUGGUUUCCUAUCCCGAAAGCAUUACUUGUAAAUAUGUGCUAACAAGUAAUAAUUAAGAAAGUUAAGGCCAAUCAUUUAGCAGGGAGAAAAAUGGAAACAUCCGGAAUAUUGUUAUGUGUUUUCAGUUAUCUACCAAUCAAUAAUGAAAAAUUAAAUACGCAUGUGACGAAAAUUUAAUAAAGAGAACUGGAGGUGACAAAAUUUUUAUUAUUCUAUCUUUCUCUCUGAAACUUCCUUAAUUUGGUUGGGAAGUGCUUUGUCUUAGGCAGUGGAUCUGUUAUAAAUACCCUUUGCUAAAGUUAAUAUUUUGAUUGAAGAAAAAAAUAGAGGAGAAAAAUUUUAUUAAAGUAUAACAUAAUUUGAUAAAUUUAGAAUUGAGGAGAGAAAAUGAGUAUAAAUUCGAAAAUUUUGGCACUAUUUACAUAUCAUUAUUUGGGCAAAAAUUCAUUUCUCUGCUUUCAUAUGAUUUGGUCUUUCAUUGUUACGGUGCCAAUUUUUUAUUUAAAGAUGUAAGAUAGUGGUACUAUAGCUUAGAUUUUCCGUAAGUACAAAAUAAAAUACUAGUUUAAAAUAUAAAAAUGAAAAACUAUUUUUAUAACCAAUAUUCAAUUAAAUACACUUGAAACUCUAUUUUUUCUUAAUAAAAAAAUUCUAAUUUAUUUUCUCAAUUUAUCUAAACAACUUUACCUAAUCAAGCUAAAUCUACAUAUUACCCUAAACCUUAAUUCAUAAACACCCAAUCAAUCCAAUUGUUAAAUCCGAUUUCAUAAUUAAAAAAGCUAAAUUCUAUUUUAUUAUUUAUGGUGCAAAGUAAAAAAUGCCCUUGAAGUUAAGGGUAAAAUUGAUAUUUUAUUUAAAUUUUGUUAAUAUUCUAAUAAUGUUAAUGUCUUAGUGGUUAAUAAAAUCACAAAGUCAAACUUUUGUAGUAUUUUUUAUAAUAAGGUAAAGAUAUAUGUUUGAUAAUUUUCCUACGUCUUUUUACGUUAAAUUGAGUCUCAAGAGAAAAAUGAUUAAUUUGCUACAAUUCUGUCAGUUUUCUGAUGGAAGAUAAUGAUACAAUGAAUAAAUAAUACAUAUUAUUAAAUUAGUGUAGAUGAAUGAUACAACUUGAAAAUAUUGUAGUAUUCUUAAUAGUAGAGAAAUGUAAAGGUGGAUGGUUGAUAAUUUAAUGAAGUAACUACAGAAUUUUCCUUUCAAAUAUUUUUUUAAAAUAUAUGAUGAGUAAAAAUCAUUUUACAGAAUGAUCAUACGCAUUUUGUAUCACAAACGAAAACAUGAACCAACUAUGUAUAGAGUCAAUUAACUAAAGUUCUCAAGAGUUGACCUGUGCUCCUGAAUUCUUGGAAUCAUCAAUCUCCUUCUGAACUUGGACGAAGCUUGGGACAUCAACGAUUACAUUGUUUGCAGAUGGAAAUGGGAUCUGAUAACCCGCAGGCCAAAAGUUGAUGAGGUUUGGUAAAUCUGACAGUAUCAAGUCCCCAAGUUCAUUCAUAACAAUUUCAUUGUACUCCGUGACGUCUGCUCCAUCUUUAUGCCAGAAUACUUCUUCUAAUUCAUCAUUACCUAUUAUCCAUAUGUACUUCAGUUUUUGAAGACUUGGAGCUACGCUGAUAUGAAAUAGAUGCUUUAGUUUGGGGCAAUAACCGACAGAGAUCCUUUUGAGUUUUGGGAAACAUACAGGUUGGAGAUGAUCCUCAUCCUCAUCCUCAUCAAUGAUUUGCUCUAAUUCGAAGCAAUUCCAAACAUAUAACGCCUCCAAUUGCAACAGAUUUCGAGCAAAUGUUGAUGAGAAGAGACGUCUCAGCAUAGUGCACCCGUCCACUGUUAAAUAGGUAAGACUUUGCAGGCUAAAAUUAUGCGUGGGACCUACGUGAUAUAAUACUUGCAGUUCUCGAAGGUUUUCCAACUGCACCUCCUUCAAACAUGGGAAUAGUUUGUUUUCUUGUCCCUCAGCGAUAAUAGCUUCCAAUUGAAAUACCACCUGUACUCCCAGUUGUCUAAUACCCAAUUCUUCCAAAUUUUUUAAGCCGUGCUUCAACACUGCUGGAAUCGUGUCACUCAAAUGGGAACAAUUGUCCACAUAUAGAAUUUUUAAGUUCUGAGACAAAUAAAUAAAUAACUUGAUGCAAUUAAAAUUUAUUAGCAGCUAGGAUUAUCACAUGAUAAGUGAUGAAUACCGCAAAAAACAAAAACAGAAAACAAAAUCCAUACAAAAAUAUCAUAAUACAUAUGUAAACUAAUAAAAUAAUUAAAAAGUAAUGGAUUUAAAAAAAAAUGAAAUUAGUUAAAAGAGAUCAUGUGAAGUGAUAUAAAUGUGACAUUAGAUUGUUUUAGAAAAAUUAUUAUUCUAUUAAUUUAUAUGGCUUGAUCAACUAUUUAAUUGAAUUUGAAUAAUAUUAUAUACACUUCAGAAGUAUUUGCAUCAAUUCUUUCUAAACCAAAAUGAGAUAUGACUUUCAUUUGAAGAAUGAUUUUAGGCCCUAUAAUAAAGAAAUUUCUCCAAAAUAUCUGAGCAUUAUUAUUAUCACCACCACAUCCACCACCAUCAUCAUCUCCAUAGGAUCAAAAAAUUAAUGGCUGAUCAUAAAAUUUAUUGCGAAACUAUCAUUUUGAGUAAAAUUGAAUGAAAAGAAAAAACAUGAACCCAAACAAACAUACCUCUUUGAGAUACUGCAAAUUGGCUUCAAGUUCAUUACUGUUGAUGGUCAAGUUGGGACAGUUAUGAAGGUCUAAAUUUUCCAAUGCUGUCCAAAUUGAACAAUAAUUCUCUGAACAUAACUUGGUGAGUUCUGGGAGAUCUUUAAGUUUUAAUUUUCUCAACAAAGGGAGGGCGAGCAUCGUAUUUCCAUCUCCAACACUUAUUCCCCCUUCAUUGUGAUCAAACUUUGCUUCGACAAUAUAUUCCAGUCUCUCGCAAUAAGUCACAAUGAGACUUUUAAGCUGCUCCAAACUUCUAGCUUGUGACAACGUGAAGAUGUAUGUCAACUUGUUGCACAUAUGCACAUUCAAUUCUGUAAGAGUUUGGAGACUGAUCACAUGUUGGGCGGGCGCCUUCCAUAUCCACUUCAGUUCUGGUAAUUGCAACAUAAAUAACUCUGCUAAUCUUGAGAGACUCUUUCUAUGCGGCGACUUAGAGGCAUCCAUUAUGCAUUCUAAAUCUUCGCAAUCGCGGACAUCAAGACAAGUCAACUCAUUUAAGCCCCUUUCAUCUAUGCUUGGCACAAUAUUGUAACAACCUAUAAUCCCACUUAAAUAAAGAAUUUCCAGUUCUUGAUACAAUGCCGAAAAAAUACCGAGCGAGGUCGCUUCAGGAGGGUAAUUAUUAAUUAUUAAGCUCUUUCUCUGACUAACAUAUUUCAUUUUAUCAACAACUCCUUCAACUUUAUAGAUGAUGUACCUUUGCAAUUUCGGGAAUGUAAAGUCUUUUGGAAGACAUACAACAGAUCCGUCGGCUUGGGAGUUCAACUCAGCAAGCCUAGCAUUACUUUCUUCUGAACUCAUCCCUUCAACCUCCCAAUUUUUUAUCCAACCAUAAAAUUCUUCCAAUUGAGGAAAUUUUUUUAUCGUAAUGGGAGAAACAGAACCGGUAUCAAUAAAUAGAAGUUUCAAUCUACGAAGUUCAUCCGACAAUUCUUCAGGAAUUUCAAUGGGAGAAUCCUCGAGAUAAAGAAGUUCAAGUCUCUUCAACUUUCCAAGAAAAGAUGCGUCACUCACAUCACAUCCAAUCAGCUGCAGAACUCGGAGGCUACUGGCGAGGAAUCGAAGCGAUUUUAGUGAAAGGACUCCAUCUUUUAUAAUAACAACUUUCAAUGCUGGCAUCCCUUCAAAAAAAUGUUCUGGAACUUGCAAUUUGUAGUCACAUAGAGUAUUGUCCAAUCGCAAAAUAUGAAGGUUAGGGCAUACCAAACCACUAGGAAGCUCUUCUUCUUUAUUUCCCAUUACAAAGAUUCCUCUGUAUUGUUCCAAGCCUUCUUCCAUUGCCCAUUCUGCCAAUCCAAUGCCAACUUUACCAAAAAAUUUCUUCUCCACUAGUACUUCUGACCCUAUCCAUAUGGCUACAUCACGAACUAUGUCAUGCAUUUUCACAGAUCUGUCAUUACCAGUGUCUAACAGCAGUGAAGCAGCUUUGAGUCCUUCAAUUGUUCCACGCAGUAGGCUUCUGGCGUGCUCUAUUGAUUCAGCUUGAUACCAGGUCAACCCCACUACAUAUCGAACCAAAACCUCCAAAUUAAUCUCAUAAUCUUCUGGAAACAGCGAACACAACAAGAAGCAUAACUUGGAAUUGUCAUCAUUCAAAUUGUCGUAACUAAAUUUGAGACAACCGUAAACGUCUAGGUUCUCCUCAUCAAUACCUUCUAUUGCAUAGAGUUUUGCAGCCUUUAGGUUAUGUAGAGCCAGGUUCCAUUCAUUAAAUCCUUUUCCUCUUAGUGCACUUCCAACAGCUUCAAUAGCUAAAGGCAGCCCGUUACAUUCUCCAGCAACUUCUUUGGAAACAUCAUUCAAGGUGGAGUCAUUUACAUCAAUGCCGGCAUUUUUUCGCAGUAAAGCCAAUCCUUCUUCUGGCGUUAGUGUACUAAGUGGAAUCUGUGUGUCACAACCCAAAGAAUCACAAACUGACUUUUUGCGAGUGGUUAGAAGGAUUUUGCAACAAUUAUCUCUACCACCGACGGGAAUACCUAAUUUUUUCUCCGAGUCGAGUUGUUUCCAAAUAUCAUCAAGGAUUACGAGGAUUUUGCUGCUUUUACUCUCAGAAAACAUCAAGCGCAAUCGGUCUGCUCUCUCUUUUUCAUCUUUCUCAUUUAGUGCCCAGCCUAACGACUUUGCCAGCUCACCUUGAACCUUUAUUAUAUCUGGAUCCUGAGACACAGUGGCUAUCCCCACCUUAUCGAAAAUCUUUUGUUGCCGAAGUUGAUUGCCCACAGAUUUUGCCAAGGUCGUCUUUCCUACACCGCCGAGACCAUGCAAUCCCACCAUCUUUGUGCUGUCUUUUUUCAGUGCUUCAGUGAUCUGAUUACAAGCCGAUUCUGUAGUCUCGAAAGAAGAAAAAAAUCUUGGAAUAGGCAUUUCUGUGUCUGAUGGUAGAGGUUUAGGAAGGGCAACUGUGCUGAAUUUGCCGCGGUCUUGUAGAUCGAACAACUUGAGAGUCUCCUUUGAUGCUUUUCUACCCAUCCAAUAUCGGAAACCCCAAUUAGGACACCAUCCAUUAAAACAACUCUUCUUUUCAUCUAUCUUUGCUUUCAAAUUUCGGACAUCGGCCAUUUCUUCGACUACAUCCGCCAGCCACUUCUCUACAUCUUUCUCAACUACUACAGCGCAGUGUUUUUGUCGUUCUUCUUCUACUUUUUUGUUGAUGCCAUCUUGUGCCUCCUUCAAAUUAGUUUCUUUAUCCUCAAGUUCUUUAACAAUGCUGUUGAAACAGAACAGAUAGCGAGCUUGUUUUACGGUAGCAUCCACCAAUAAUUCUCCAAGCUUUGAUGCAAUACCUGCUAAAAUUUCCAUGCUAUUUAUCUGCAAUUAACAAAGUUGAUCUCAGUACACUAUAAGCAAAACAACAAGGCUUGAUCACAAGAUCGAACGAUAAUGUUUAAUUACUUUUUUAUUGAAUGUUUAAUUGCUUUCUUUUAUUCUAUGAAUGCACGUUUAUUAACGCCAGCUUUGAUCAAUAAGAGCAAAAUGCAAACGCCAGGCUUUAAGUAGCCUUUAGCUGCAAACAAAAGAGAAGAAAUAAGGCAAACGUGAUAGAUGGUGGAUUAUAUUGAAAUUAGAUUACUUUAGAAAUUUUUAAAUAAAAAUAUCAAACAACAAAUUUAAUAGAAUCUAGAUAAAUCGAAGAGUUUGUUGUGCAUUGCGAGUGAAGACAGGCAGUUACAUGGGGGAAUCUGGUAAGAGUGAUGAAAAUUAAAAAGCCAUCCAUAAUUAAAGUUAAAAAGAGUAUUAGAGAUUAGAGGGGUUCAACAUCUUAUGCAAGCCCACUCAUGAUAAAAUUUGAAGAUAAUUAUCCCAUUUUUACUUCAAUCAAUAUUCUAAUACAAUAAUUCCAUAAAUCUCAAAUAAUAUCUUAAGAUUUUUUUUUCCCCAAACACUCAUCUAUUUGAUGAUUAAUUUAAUUAUUUAUUACUCUAUUUUACUACAUAAUUGAUACAAAUGACACUUUGUUUGGGAUGGUAAAGAUUGGGGUAAAUUUCCUUUUAGUCUCUAAAAUUUGGACCUAUUAUAGCUAUUGAACAUACUUUUCAAACGUAAAAUAGUAUUUUCUGUCUAAUAUAAAUUAAAAAUCAAACAAAUUUAUCAUGCAACAAAUGAAAAGUAAAGAAUAUUAAUUAAGUUUUAAUGGAAACAAAUAUAAAAUAUAGAGGUUUUGAUUAAUUUUUGUGAUUUUUUUAAUGUUUGAGUUAGAAUUGAAUAAUUUGCAUAAUGAAAAUUUGAGGUUGUAUAAUUUAUAUGAAGAUAAACUGCAAAAUAAGUUUACAUGCAGAAUUUAAGAUAGUUAUAUAUUAGUAAUCAUGCAAUUAUCAAAUUUUUUAAUAAAAUUUAUUUAAAAAUUGGCCAAUUGUGUUUCAUGAAGUAAACAGAGAGCAUAAUGGACUUAUGUGGGUACUUGGGAUUGAAAGACUAAGGGUCCGUUUGAGAUUUUUUUAGAAGGUUUAAAAGUGAUUUUGAAAAUUUAAAAGCUAAUUUUAGUGUUUGGUACAAAAAAAAUCAAAAUUACUUUUGUCAAAAUCAGCCCCUCCUAUAGCUGAUUUUGAAAAGUAGGGAAUAAGUAACUUUUAGAUUCUGAUUUCGAGAAUCUAUUUUAUCUUUUAAUACAAUUUCAUAAAUAUCGUUAAAAUUAUUAGAUAAACCCAAAAUUAUCCUUAUUCAAAUUGGAAACAAAAUAAAUAUUUUAAUAAAUUAUUAUUAUUAGUCAUUUAUUUUCUCUCAGCAGUUUAACAGUAAAAUUUACCAAAUGUCUAUAACUGCUUUCAAAACUCACAGUACUUCUCAAAACAAAAUUUACCAAAUACUUAACUUAUUUUCUUUACAGCUGAUUAUUUCUACGGCACAACUAACAACAAUUAUUUUAAAAGUUACAACAUUCCCAAACUGACCCUAAGAGGCCCGAAGAUAGGACGGUAUGAAAGUUAUGAAAGUUAAUUUUACUUGUAAGGUAUGUUCAACAGAAGUGACUUGGAGGUGAUUGCCGUUAAUCAAAUAAAUGAAUGAAAAUUAAUGUAAUAAAAAAAUCGCACUAAAAACUUGGAACUUAAAUUCUCAAUCAUCUUUUCCGUACGUUUUAAUCCAACGGUCAGAAUUGGCAUAAAACAAGCUAGUAUAGCCAUUGGAAUUAAGUAAAACAAACAUCAAACUAAGAGGCAAGAGCCUAUGAAGCAAUAAUAUCUCAUACCUUCUUCCGUUUAUAUCUUCAAUUACUGCUGAAAGCUCUAGCUAGAGAGUCGCACAAGCUCGGAGAAAAUUAAAAGCUGCAUCUAGCAAUAUAAAUAAACAUGAGAUCAAAACAACAUAGGAUAUAUCUAGCUAAUUAACAUCAUAUAUAACUCUUUGUUCUCAGUCAAAUCUUUCAUUCUUAGGAGGAUAAAAUAAAAAAAUUUAAAUUUAAAUAUUUUAUUAAUUUUUAUAAAAUAUUUAAAAAAUAUUUUAUAAAAUCAAUUAAUUCAUGGUAUUAUUAAUUUUCAUGAUUAUUUUUAAUAUUAUAUUUGUGAUUAUCAAAUCUAAUACAAUCAAAUAAUGCAAUAAAUUAUUAAAUGGUUAAUUUUAUUGAUAAAUUAUUAAAUUACAAGUAUUGAAAAUUUAAUCUCAAGAGUUAGUAGAAGUAAAAGUACAAAUUUAAUUAGAUCAUAGAUAAUACAUAAAAAAUAAAUUUUAAGUAAAUCAUAAUAAAAAAAUAAUUAUUCAAUCCAUUAAUAUUAGGUGUAAAUAAAAAAAAUGACAUAAACAAAAGUGUCAUAAAUCGACAACUUUUUUCUUUAAUCUUAUCCCAACUAAACCCAUGUGUAAAUUAGGAUUAUUGAUCUCAUGAUUUUAAGAUUAAACUCAAAUUUAGUCCCCCUUAAUCCAAUUAAACUAAACUUGCCAAACAUGGGAUAAAUAUUUAAUUCCAAAAUUAGUCCAAUCCCAUGCUUAGGGCCAGUCUAGGAAUGUUGUACUUUUUAAAAUAAUUGUUAUUAGUUGUGUUGUAGAAAUAAUCAACUGUGAAGAGAAUCAGAUAAGUGUUUGGUAAAUUUUAGUUUUAGAAGUACGAUGAGUUUUGAAAUCAGUUAUGAGCAUUUGGUAAAUUUUAUUUUUAAACUACUGAGAGAAAUCAAAUGACUAAAAUGUACAUUAUAUAGGAUAAAAUUUACUUAUACAUAUAAAACUAUGUAUAUAUAAUAUUUUUAAUUGUGUACUUUAAUAAUUUUUACUAAAAAUAAAAUUUAUAAUAUAUUUAUUUUAUUUCUUUAUUUCUUUAUCUUAAAACAAUUGAUAAUUAAAUUUAUAAUAUGGUGAAACAAAUUUAAUAAUAAUUCGACCAACAAAUUGAUAUUAAUAAAUUUAUAUUGAUAAAUUAUAAUAAAAUAUUAUUAAAAUAUUGAUUUUGUUUACAAUUUGAAUAAGGAUAAUUUUGGGUUUAGAUAAUAAUUUUAAGGAUAUUUAUAGAAUUGUAUUAAAGGAUAAAAUUGAUUUUCAAAAUCAAAAUUUAAAAAUUACUCGUUUUCUAUUUUUCAAAAUCAGUUGUGUGAUGAAUUAAUUUUGACAAAAGUAAUUUCAAUUUUUUCCACCAAACAAUAAAAUUAACUUUUAAAUUUUCAAAACCACUUUUAAACCUCUCAAAAAGCAAUUCCAAAUGGGCGCUUAAUCCAAUCAUCCAAAAUCGGGCUAAAAAGUUGCACUAAAAACAAGCUCGUAUAGCCAUUGGGAGUAAAACAAACAUCAAAUUAAGAGCCUAUGAAACAAUAAUAUCUCAUACCUUCUUUCUCAUAGAUCCUCAAUUACCCCUGAAAGCUCCGGUUAGAGAGUCGCACAAGCUCGGAGAAAAUUAAAAGCUGCAUCCAGCAAUAUAAAUAAACAUCAGAUCAAAACAACAAAGCAUAUAUCUAGCUAACUAAACAUCAUCUAUAACUCCUCGUUCUCAGUCAAAUCUUUCAUUCUUAGGAGAUAAAAAAAAGAUUGAAAUAAUAACUGUAACUGAUAUAGGAAGCAAAAGUAACAUACCAAAACGAGAGCGGCUAGCUCACAGAUCUGGUGACUUCCAAGAGCAUGAAAAAUGAUUGAGGUUUAAUAGCAAGUUCACAGAUGACAGAUGUGGUGACUUCAAGAGCAUGAAAAAUGAUAAAACUUUGGUAGAAAGGUCAGAGCCGCGUUUCACAAGUUGCUAUUGACUUCGUGGCUUCGCUUUUAUUUAUUAUUAUUAUUUUUUUAAAUUCUAUAUCAGUGAGAAUUGAAAUGUGGAAAGUGUAAUGAUACACAUGCCUUAUCAUCUAUCGUGAGGGGUGAUUUGGUAAAACCGAUUUAAAAUAAAAAAGUUUUAAAAAAUUUAAAAAGAUGCUUUGUGUCUGACUGCUUGUAUUUGGGGUAUUUUUCGGGUUGUUGAGAGUGAGUUUAAUUAAAUAUAAGAUUUUCAUUUUUCUUAUUCUAUUUUUCUCUUUAGAAUGAAUUUAAAUCUCAUUCUUAUUAAAUUCAUUUUUUUAAAUGAAAGUAGAUUUCUCUCCACACAUUUGAGAUAUAUUUUAAAAUUAAUGUUCAGUAUAUCUCUAAAUUAUAUUAUAAAUAUUUUUAUUUAAAAUCUCAACAAAUUUCAUAACACACAAAGAGAAAUACAUAUAUAUGUUGUAAUGUUUUAAUGAUGGAUCUCCAAAGUUAUCAAGUUAAAAAAUAAAUUAAAAAAAUAAAAAAUACACACUUCAACUUAUUAUAUGAUAAAAUAUAAUAAAUUAAAGUGAGUAUUAUAUUUAUUUUUUAUUUUAUCUCUUAACUUAAUAACCUAAAAUAUAUUUAUUUAAUAAUGAUUAUAUAUAUAUAUAUAUAUAUAAUUUUUUAAAAAAUAAACAAUUUAAGUGAAGCAAAGGACAUUUUAGAGGCAUUGCGAGACUACCAAUUUACCAUUUUGGGUUGCAAUAAAGUGAAAACUGUAGACUACCAAUCAACCAUUUUAUUGAAUCGGGUCCCGCUGACUUACAGCUUAUGUAAAGUUACAUUCAUAACAAAUUGAUACUUGUCUUUAUUAUAAAUUAUUCUUUUAUUCAAAUAUACGUUCAUUUCUUCAAUCAAGUCCUCAUAUUCGUUCAAUUUAUGAUAAGAUCCUUGUAUGGGAGCAUAUCUGCAUAUGUAAUAAUUAUUCUUCUAUUUCAGAUAGUUUUUGUGAAAAAAUACUUUUAUCAAUUAUUUAUGUUUACUAAUUCUUAUGUCUUUUUUUUAUUACUUUUCAUAGCUCUAUAUAAAUGUUUGCUAUAGAAUUUGUGUUAUUUCGCUAUAAUAUAAUUUAUAUUGUAAACCUCUGUUCAUCUGUAAAUAAAAUGACAAUUUUUUUGUUUACUCCUAAAAAAUAUGAAAAUAUUAAUUUACUCUCAUAUUUAUUUAGAAGACAAUGGCAAAUAAGGUCGCAUUGAUAAUUUUUUUUAUUUACUUAUUAAUUAAUUAGAGUAAAUUAAUAUUUUCAUAAUGAGAGAUACAUUGAAGAUUGUCAUUCUUAGUAGAGGGUAAAUUAAAGUUUAUCUAAUUAAUUUAAAAUAUCAUUAAAAUUUAACAUUCUAAUCUGGAUUAAAUUUCUGGGGGGGGGGGGGGGAGAACGUCCUUAUUCGGAUUAGACUCAGCUGGAAGAGGCACAUCCUUAGCUGGAUCAAUUUGUUCAAGAUUGGAUGCAUCCAUCGGUUUCAAAUUUGUCUCUUGUAAGUAUCAUCGGAUUUCUUUACUAAAAUUUAGAUUAUCAAUCACAUCUAAAACUUAUUGAAUGAUACAUUUCAUUUCUAUAAAAUUGAGUUACUAUUACCACCUCACAUCUUAUAAAUUCUAGAAAAUAAUCAAGGCUUGACAUACUUUUAUUUAUGCAAAAGCAUAAGAAAAUAAUUCAAAGUACUAAUUAGUGCACUAUUACUCAAAAUUCUAGAAUAGAUUUGCUAGUUCUCUUUAGCCAUAGAUUGGUCCAUGAUUGGCACCGCAAUAGCUCAGAAUCACCUCAACGAUUGUUCCACACAGCCCAACAUGACACACUGUAAACUAGUCUAACAUGAACUUUCUGAGUGGCUUUCUAACAAUAGUCUUAGAGAAAGUGUUUAGUAGUAUGAAGUCUUCUUUUUUUAACAUAAAUGUUGGCAUGAUAUUCUUAAUAUAUUUCUAAAAUCAAAAUAAGAUGCAUAGAGGACUAUGAUAAUUUUAUUUCAUAAUUGAAUUUUUUGCAAAGAAAGUUUGAACAUGAGAGUGAUGAGAGAUGAUAAUAUUGAUGAUGGUGUGUACUUUAGAUGGAAAAAUAGAUUGGAAAUAUAUAUAGACAUAUUAAAAGAAAAAAAAUUGGUCUAUUUCAUAAGAGAAACAAAAAAUUAUAAACGCGGGUGUUAAAAUAUAUUCAGAAUUUAUAAAUUUUUAUAAAUAUGAUAAUCAUUAGACCCUUAUAAAAGUAUAGCAAAAAGUUUAAUUUUUUUUAAUAAAUGUCGAAGAGAUGGACGAAGAAACCAUCCACCAGUUCAGAAUUAAUAAUCAAAGAUAUGAGGGCUUGAUUGAAGAAAUGGUGAAAAAUAAAAGGACAGUAGGACACUGGGUUGGUUAGCGGGACCCUAAUAUUAAUGGUUAAAAAUAAAAGAACACUGGGUUGGUUAGCGGGACCCUAAUAUUAAUGGUUAAAAAUAAAAGGACACUAGGUUGCUAUCAAUUUCUACCGUGUAGGUUCAUAGCCGGGGAAGUAAUUGGGCACAAAUAUCUCGGAUGAGAAAUAACCAUUUUAUCCCGCAACCAUAUGUUUAUGGCCUCUAAAAAUUUUCACCUCUUUCACUUCUGGAACCCGUGCUUUCUGGCACAUGCACAAUACUUGGUUGCUACUUAUAGAGCGUUUUUAGAAUUGCAACGACAUGGUGCUCUUUGAUAAUUAAAAAAUCCAAUAUAAUUUAUAGAGAAUUACAGAAUUGUUUGGUACGUGAUAAUUUGCUGAUGCAAUGAGGCGCCGAAAUUCUUAUACAUGUGAUUUAAGUUAUAUAUGUAUAGUUAAGUACUUAGCAAGCACUAGUUGGGGGUAUUUGUGUCCAUGGAAAUCUACAGCUGGUUGUUGACAUUACACUGCGGGUGUGUAAUUAUUACAUAUGCAGAUAUUCUCCCAUGCGAGGAUCUUAUCAUAAAUUUAAAGGAUACGAGGACUUGAUUGAAGAAAUGAACGAAUAUUUGAAUAUAAAAAAAAGGGUAAUUUUUAAAAACCUCUCCUGAGGUUUGGGCUUGUUGCAAGUAGAUGGCGAGAAUUUACUUAUUUGUAAAAAAUUCCCUACCAUCAGUUAACUUUAAUAUUGACCGUUAGUUGACUGUACAAAGACAAUAUUACCCUUAACAACAGUUUGUAGAUUGAAAUAACAAAAAAAAAAAUUAAAAUUGUUGGCUAUUUUACCCUCUUUAAAUUAUUGAUAUUUUCUUAAAGUUCCUACAAGAAAGAUAAAAUUAAAAAAUUAAAAAAUCUUCUUUAAAUUAUUGAUAUUUUCUUAAAGUUCCUGCAAAAAAGAUAAAAUUAAAAAUUUGAAAAUGAAAUAGUUAUAAUAUUUACCUAUGAUAUUGUAAAUCUUUGGAAUUGACAAGGAUAAAAUUGUCAAAAAAUAGGGUUUGUGCUUUUCGCGCCAACAAUUUUAAUUUUUUUUUUAGUUAUUUCCGUGUAUAAACUGUUGUUAAGGGUAAUAUUGUCUUUGCACAGUCAACUAACGGUCAAUGUUAAAGUUAACUGACGGUAGGGGGUUUUUUACAAAUAAAUAAAUUCUCGCCAUCUACUUGUAACAAGCCCAAAUCUCAGGGAGGUUUUUAAAAAUUACCCAAAAAAAAAUUUAGAAUAAAGACAAGUAUUAAUAUACUAUGAAUGCAACUUACAUAAGCUGUAAGUUAGCGGGACACUAUUGAAUCACAAGCAAAAAGCAAUCUGACUUCUUCUUGAUUCCGUAAUUUGGCUGUCAAAAUGUAAUCUAUAAAAAUUACGAUACCUCGAUUCAAAAAAAUGUUGUUUCUGAUGAAAUAAAUGAAAAUUGAACGUACAAUCUGCCACGAACACUGUUUAAUUAACCGUUUAUUUCCCCUUAAAUUUUUAAUCUCAAUGAAACAUAGAUCUAAUGGGAACUACAUAUAUAUAAAAAUACUAUAGAUUGAAGAAGUUGAAUUUUUCUUGUGUGUUAAGUAUUUUUAGUUAAUACGAAAGGAUUCUAGCAAGUUAAUACAAAAGUAUCAUAAAUUCAUAGUAGUAAAAGAGAUUUUUUUUUUCUUUUGAUAUUAAGAGUUUUCGAGAUAAAAAAAAAAAAAAUAGGUGAAAGAAGAAGAUGAGAGAAGAAAAAAUAUUAAGAAUAGUUUUGACAUUUUGAUGCGUUUUAUAGAAUAAAAUCUAUAUUUUAUAGUAUAAAAUGGUACACCCAAAAUUUAAUGAUAAAAUUUUAGGAAAAAAUUGCACUCGUCAAAAAAAAAAAAAGCUCAGCUUAGCCCAAAAUUUUUUUAUUAAUCUUCUAGUCGCUAAUGUAAUCUCUUUUUUAUGAGAUUCUUUGGCGUUUUAAUUUAGUCCAUUGUUAGCAAUCCUAAUAGCUUUUAUGUGCAUCUAUUUUUAUUUGAAAUAUGUUUCAAGCUUUAUAUAAAAAAAAAUAUAUAUAUGUUUCAAGCUUGAAUAAAAUCUGCGAGACAACUGGUAAGUAAUAAAGCUCAUCAUUUUUUAUUUUGAAAAUAAAGGGAAUCACUUACACUUAGCAUGAUAUUAUUUUUGAUAAGUCAUUUUUUUGGUAGAUUAUUUUUUCUGACACGCUCUUAGAUUUAGUGAAAAUAAAUUGUAUACUUUUAAUGAAGAAAAGUAAAGAUCAACAAAAUAUUUUGUUGUUUUCGACAAUUUUUGCGUUGUCAAGUGUGCCUAGUACCCUUUUUUUUUUGAACUUUUGAGUUGUUGUUUAAUUUGUAUUAUAAUUAAUUAUCAUGGACCCACGCGCCAUUGUUUCCAUUUCAAGUUUCAUAAUUUAACCGUAGAAAUGGGUUCCACAGAUAAUUUAUUUUAUAAUUUUUUUAAAAAUUACUAAAAUAUAAUAAAUAAGGUAAUAAUAAUUAAUAAAAAAGUAGAUUUUAAGAUGGAAAAAUCUUUUCGUGUACUUAAUAAAAAGAUGAUAAGAAUGGGAUGCUUUUGGUUUACAUUCUCAUAGCUAUUUAUACUGAAAAAUUACAUCAAAAUUUAAUUAAUAAAUCAGUGAACUGCAGACUUAUUAAAUUUAAGCUAUUUUAAUAAGUCAUAAAUAUACUAAGUUAAAAUAGUAGUAAACCCAUUGUUACAGAAUACUCUCCAUUGAGUGUUCACCAUUUUAAGAUAAUCAUAAAAUGACACCGGAAGUGCUAUUAUAGCUGUCUCAUGGAAAGCCUUCACCAAUAAAAAGGAGGAUAGAGCACAUACAUCCAGUUUUUAUACCCUUUGAUGCUCAGUCGACACGUGCCAAUGCUAUAGACUAGCUGAUAAUCUACUAAGGUGACGCAUGCCAAUGCUAUAGACUAGCUUUUCAAAGGUUGAAGUGGGUGUACAUUUAGUAAAAAGACCUGCACAAUUAUAGUGUACCUAUUUGACAUCAACUUUUUUUAUCUGCUGGAGCUUAUGAUUAUAGAAGAUCUUCGGUAAGAUGUGUUUGAUUUUAUCUUCUUUUAUAUAUCCUCCUCUAACUUGUGUAACAGUAGUAAACCCCUGCCCGUUUUUAUUUCGUUUAGUAUUUUCCAAAUGGCCGAAGGAAAAUUGGUAAAAACUCAUUUAAAAAUUAAAAAAAAAAUCAAAGAAAUUCAAGAAGAAGCUUUUGUAUCUGCCAUUUGUAUUUGGGGUAUUUUUUUGGUUGUUAAGUGAAUGAGCUUAAAUCUAAAACAUUUAUUUAUAUAUUUCUUGUUGGAAAGAAUUAUAAAUCUUAUUCUUAUUAGACUUAUUCUCUUUAAAUAAAGGUAGAUUUUUCUCUAUGUGUUUAACGUGUAUUUUAAAAUUAAUGUUCAACAUAUCUUUAGAUUCUAUUAUAAAUAUUCAUAUCUAAAAUCUCAACAUAUUUCAUAAUAUAUAAAUAUAUAUAAAGAGAGAAUAACGUUUCUAAUAAGAAAUUUAUUAAGUAAAAGAAUAAUUCAAAAGAUAAAAUAACACACUCUAAUAUAUUAUAUAAUAAAAUAUAUUGUAUUAAAAUACAUAUUUUGUUUACUUUUUUUAAUAUAUCUCUUAAUAACUUAAGAAAUCCUUUAUUUAACUAUAUAUAUAUAUAGAGAGAGAGAGAGAGAAAUGUUUGCGGGAAAUAGUUUUAAAGGUUUAAACUGUAAGCUUUGAAAGCUGUGAAGUUUUAAAAAUUUUUCGAAUUUUCCCGCACUUUAAAAUUACUGACCGGAAAACUAUUAUAUAUAUAUAUAGUUUUUUUAAAAAUAGACAAUUUAUGAGUUAAACAACGGACAUUUUUGUCGGCCAAUACAUCAACUUUUUAGCUGGAUUAUUACCACCAUCAAAACUAAAUUAUUGCAAGCACUAGCAAAAAGCAAUCAAUGAUUUCGCAAUUUGGCUGUCAAAAAGCAAACUAGAUCACGAUUCCUCAACUAAAAAUGGUGCUUUUUUUUAUUAAAUAAGUGAAAAUUAAACCAACAAUUCAAAAUAUAGGAUUGUAGAUGCGUAUAAACUGAAGAAUAAACUGAAGAAGGUAAAAUUUUUCGCGUGUGUAAAUAUUUUAGUUAACAUGAAAGAAUUCUAACAAAGUUAAUAUAAGAGUAUCAUAGCAGUACAAGAGUAAAUAUAUAUAUGUGUGUGUGAGUGAAGGAAGAAAAAAAAAUUAAGAAUAAUUUUGGCAUUUUGAUGGGUUUUAUAGAGUAAAAUCUAUAUGUUCAAAUAUGAUAAUUCUUUAAUUUAAUUUGGUGUUAUGAAAUAAAGGGCAUUUUAAAUAUGUUUUAAGUUAUAAAUAACUCCAUCCAAAAUUUAAAAAUGAAAUCUUAGGGGGUAAACAAUUUCACCCGAACUAACAAAAGCCCUAGCCCGGAGGCCCAGAGUAGCCGCGGCUUUUUUCACCAAUCUAAUUAUUUACGAGGAAUAUGAGACUGAGAUUCUCUACCACUCCAAUUUAUCGCAUUGUUAGCAAUCCUAAUAGCUGUUAUAUAUCCUAUUUUUAUUAAAAAAUGUGGAUCCGGAUAUAGAAAUUUGGGAUCCGCACAAAUCUAGAUGCAAGUGCAUUCGGAAAACCAGAUAUCGAGAUCCGGAUAAAUUUUAUUUUAAAUUAAAAAUUAAAUGAAAAAUUAAGAAAGUAAAUUUUAUUUAUGGAUUAAUGAUGUCGUUGUAUAUUAUUCAUGUUGAAUUAUCAAUUGUUGGAUUAUGAUUGAAUUUUAUUUGAUAUUAUUGGGCAAAUUAUUGAAUUUUAUUUUAAAUUAAAUAAAAAUAAAAAAUUAAAUUUUAUUUGUAGAUUUAUGAGAUUAUUGUAUGUUAUUCAUUUUGGAUUGUUAAUUGUUGAAUUAUGAUUAAAUUUUAUUUGAUAUUAUUAGGUAAAUUAUUAAACUUUUAAAUUAUAUAUUAAAUUAUUUAAUUUUAAUUUUUGCGGAUCUGAAUAUUCAGAAUAUCCGCCUGCAUCGGUUACGGAUAAUACCCGCUUCUGGAUCCACAUCUUUUUCUACGAAUCCAAAUAUAGAAAUAUGAAUGCGGAUCUAAAUUCGGAUUUUGCUGACCCUAAACUUAAGAAUGAAUGUGCCUAAAGUUUUUACAACGAACAUGGAUCAUUCAAUGACAUGACAUGUUUUGCAGCUUUCAUUAGUAUAAUUGAAUAAUUAAUUCAUCUCUAUAUUCAGCUUACACCGUCUCAAAUUACAUGCAAAUACGAAAGUACACUUCUGAAUCGUUCACUUGAGGAAAAUUAAUUUUAACUCAAUAAGUCGUAAUUCUCCACGUAGAAUUUUAAUUCAAACCAUAGCAAAUUAGACAUAAUUCUAAUUUAUAUGGGAAAUAUAAUUAGCGAAGACACUCUUUAUAUAAACAUUAUUGUCAUAGGAUGCCAAACCUAAUAAGAUUCAAGGUCUUAACAUACUUCAUAUGAAAUUUGAUCUUGGCGCGUACCGACACGCAUAACAUCAAGACUCUACUUCAUAUAUUAUAAUGUAACUUCAUGGAUUUUUCGCUCUCUUGUGAAAUUGACAAUUAUAGGCGCUGUGUGGCAGUGGUACAUAAUAAAAUAAACGUUUAUUUUUAGAAUAUUAUUAUUUAUCUCAAUUUUUUAUUUAAUAGUUAAUUUUAAUCAAUUCUUAAACUGUCAUAAUCAAUUAAUUUUUUACAUUAUGGCAUCUUAAAUAAAUUUUGGAUCUGUAAUAAAUAAAAACUGGUAACGUUUGUUCUUUUAAAGCAUAAAACAACCGUAACAUUGGUUUUUACAUUUUGAAUUUUUCUUGCAUCACUAUUUAGAAAAAUGAUGUUAAAUCAACUCACAAAAUAUAUCAAGCCAUCUAAAAUCCAAAUAUUAUUACAUUUGUAUUUGCAUUGUUAAAUUGUUGGAACGACGGCAAAGCAAUUGAAAAGAUAUUAACAAAAAAUAAAGAUUGGCCAAGGAUUAUUUAUGUUUAGGAAAUGCCUUAACUUUUGAUAUAAUCAUUGUGAUAAUUAUAUUGUAGAAAUAAUCAAUUACCUAAUGUUUGUGGUGGUAAAAAUUAUUAACUUGUUUUAGUAUACCCGUGUUUAUGGUGGUCUCCUUUUUGUCCAAUUCUGUACAACAAAAUAUUUGCAUGUUUUGAUAGAAAUUGGUUUAAAUGACAUUUGAAAUAGUAUAUCCCCAAACAAUUAACGAAAUAUUUGGAUGGUAGGAUGAAGUAAUAUAGUUUUACAAAUUACCAUAUUAGAGGUUAAAAAAAAUCAAGAGGUUACUAACUACAAAUUUUAACACAAAAAGUUUAAUUAACUUUUCUUUUUGAGAUAACAAAAUCUCUGGUGUUGAAAACAAUGAGGUUUGAGGUUCAAGCUUGAAUAUCAAGUUACAAUUAGUAGAUGGUCUUAGGACAAAUCAAAGAUUUCUUUAAAGACAAAAUAAUAAUUACAAGCAAUAGGAAUUUAUGGUAUUCAGAACAUGUAACCUUCGCACAUGAAGCUUGAAUCCAGAACAAGAUGCAGCUAGCCAAUCCUUCCAACUUCCAAAACCCCACAAAAUCUCUGUCAACAUGUCUGCUCUACUUCAAUAUUAAGCACAUUCAUAGCGGUAUCAACAGCUUACAGCUCCAAAAUAUUUUCCCCAAAAAGAGUGAGAGAUUUCACUGAAGCUAAGUUGUGACUUGUGACUUGUGAGGCCAUCUUUUUUUAUAGUAAGCGUACGCCUCUAAUGCUUUGCCAAGUGUCCAUUGAUAAUAUCACAAGGGCAAUUAAAUUGGUGUAUGUGUAUUACACCUCCUAAAGUCAUGUUAAGAUAGUUAGUGAGCCGAUAAAGUUUGUUGCACGUGUGAGUUGGUUAAGUCUGCUAGAAUUGCAAACAUGUAAAGCUGAGUCAGCAAGUUAGUUAAGGUUAUUAUGAAUGCUUAGAUUCAGCAAGUUAGUUAAGGUUAUUAUGAAUGCUUAGAUUCAGCAAGUUAGUUAAGGUUAUUAUGAAUGCUUAGAUUCAGCAAGUUAUGGUGUUGAAAAUGCUGUUGGUGAAAGCUCAGCUGAUAGAUCUCAGGAGAAUCCAGCCUUUGUUGCUUGGAAAAGGUAGGAUCAAUUGUUAUUAAGUUGGCUCAUGUCCUCCAUCAGUGUUGAGAUACUUAGUCUUGUGGUAAAUUCUGAUUCUUCUCAUAAACUUUGGACUAAUCUUGAAGAAAAUUUUUGGAUUAGAAACUAUGGCUAAGAAAGCACACGUAAAAAUGAUGUUAAGCAAUCUCAGAAAGGGAUCAAUGACAAUAACUGAGUAUUUUGCCAAACUUAGAGCUGUAACUAAUAAACUUGCUCUAACUGGUAGCCCUGUUUCUACUCUAGACUUUAUUACUCAUCUAAUCUCUAGAUUAGGCCAGCCAUACUACCCUGUUGUUUUGUAUAUUGAAGCUAAUAUGAUGAAAAUAUUUGUCAAUGAAGCCUACUCUAUGCUUUUAACUCAUGAAGCAAGAAUUAAAUUUAAUCAUCCGAGUGCAAAUAAAGAAGCAAAGUUGAAUUAUGCUGCUAACAUAGCUUAGGCUGGACCUAGUAAUAACAAUAAGAAGUCUAGUAAUCAAGCUAAUUACUAUCAGGGCAACCAAGGUAACGGGAAUAGAAAUGCUCAUUGGUGUGGUAACAAUGGAGGAAGAGGUGGCUUUGGCAGAGGUUUUUCAGGGCAAGGAAGGAGUAAUUAGAAUAAUGGUGGUCAUUGGAACAAUGGACCUUGGAGUAGUAGUCGAGCAUGUUAUAAUUGUUCUGAUAUAAACAUUAUGACAUGGUUGCUGGUGAACCUGUAAACAUAACCACAAAAGUAAGAAGGCAUAAUCUUUUUAUAAGAAACUCAAAAAUGUAUUAAUGAUGAAAAUUUUAAAACAGAUAAUGGACCAGCUGUUCAUUAAGAAAACAAAAAACUGAAUAUUUGUGCUAUAAAAAGGCACACCUAAUCUCACCCCUAUAAAAGGCUAGAAUCAGCUACAAAUCCCUAUCUCAAAACCCCAUCCUAGUUUAGAUGAAUGAAGAAAAAAGAUGAAUCUUGAAACUCCUUAGAAACUGAAGCCCAAAGUGAAGCAAGAAGAUGAACUCUAUCCCAAGCAAGCAAUAUGGCAUAUUUCUCCAUUAAUGGUUCAAAUAAAGUGAAUGGCUUUCUCUGAUGAAUGGGAAAUUGUCAAGAUCAAUAGUCAAACUCACGCAAAGUAAACGGACUUAAUUCUCAGUGGCUACUCAUUCUAAGUCUUAAAGAAAAAUUUUCUAAUUUCUAAAGAUUAUAUGGGGAAAAAUCAUUAUUUUCUAACAUGUAAAAUUUGAUACGGUGUUUAAUGUCUUAUCACAAUCAUAAUAUGAGUACUAACAAAAACAUCUUUAAUCGGCAUGGUGCGAGUAAAACACCAUCACUUCAUCUUUGAUGGAAAGAUGAUAAUAUAAGGAAAUGGUGAAAUGGUUUUGGUCCCUGGCAGCUUGUAAUCAAAAGAAAACAAAAAACUACACUAUUAUUAAUGAUUACCGAAGCUACAGAAGUAUCAAAAUCGGAAAGCAAACAAUUGCAAAACACAUCAAUGACUGAAGGUUAGGUUCUAAAACUUCCGUAUUUAAUUUUCAGAGCAUGUUAUGUAUUAUUCAGAAAUAUGCUUUCACUUCAGGCACUUGACCAACACGCAUUAAACAUAAAACGCGGCGUUUUCAUGGACUAGUACAUUCCAUGCUUCGAAAGUUUAUAUUUUAGACUAAUUGGUUUGAUACAUUAUUUGUUUAUUGCGUUUUUCUUGCUUUAAAUAUUAUGUUGGAUUGAUAAGUUUUGUACACAUUUAUAUUGCUCGCAGUAAAUAAUUUAUGACAUUUAAAAAACUAUCAACCGUCUAUCAAAAGAUUUCUACUAUAAAUAUAUAUACACAAAAAACUUUUAAUUUGGUCAAUUUUUUCUCUUAUUUAUUUUUGUUCUAUUUCUCUUUUCCUUCCCUUUCAUUUUAUUGUUUUAUGGUACAAAAUAAAAAAAAUAACCUUAAAAUUUAAGGGUAAACUACUCAUUUUACUAAAAUUCCGUUUAAUAUUAUAAAACUGUCAAAUGUCAAUGGCAUAGUACACGAGUGAUACAAAUUAAAAACAAUAAAUUGAAAGUUUUUAUGCAUUUUCGUUUUAUUUUUUUUAUAGCCGAUACAAAUUAAAAACAAUAGGUUUAGACCGUUUAACAAAUCUUAAAUUAAAAAAACCCGUGGUGUAAUAACAAACUCACAUCAAACCCUGUCCACCGUCAUCCCUAAUUAUAUUUACCACUUCAUACUCACAGUGAUAAUUAUAUUACCGUUAAGAAUGAAGCAGAAGAGUUUCCCCAAACAAGCUAAAACACCGCACUUCAAUUUAAAGAAUUUUUAUAUCACAGUACCGGGACAAAAAGUUUAAUGCAACAACAUACAUUAAGUUAAUUCCAUAAUCUAUCCCCAAAGAAAGACAAACACAAGCUUAUAAGAUUAAAACUUUGGAAAACAUUAAAGAGUCAGACAAAAUUGUGUAAUCUUCAGAGUUUGGAGCCUAGUUCAUCCAGGAAAGCAAAAGAAAUAAUAAUAAUAAUAAUAAUAGUGGUGGUUUGAUCUCAAAAGGUGGCAUCAAAGCAAUAACGUCUUCAACUUCCAUUCAACCCAUCAUCCACAAAAUCACCAACCCGUUUCACCUUCAUCUCCUUGGGCUUAACAGGGUACUUUCCAGAGAAGCAAGCAAAACAAAAAUUCUGAGAAUCAUUGCCUAACAACUUGUUCAAGCUGUCAAUCGGCAGAAAAGCAAGCGAAUCACACCCAAUAAACUCCCUGAUUUCCUCAACGCUCAUCCUGUUGGAAAUCAACUCCUCAGUACUUGGAGUGUCUACUCCGUAGUAACAAGAAGCUAUGAUUGGUGGGCUUGCAAUUCUCAUGUGAACCUCUUUAACUCCAGCCUCCUUAAGCAACCUAACAAUUUUUGAUGAAGUUGUUUCUCACACUAUCGAAUCAUCCACAACCACAACUCUCUUUCCCACCAACCACAACCUUACAGGAGAGAGCUUAAGCUUGACACCAAAGUCCCUAAUUUUCUGGGAAGGCUCAAUGAAAGUUCUCCCAACAUAAUGUGGCCUUAUCAACCCUUGUUGAAAUGGCACCCCGGCUUUUGCAGCGUACUCAAGUGCAGCCACCACUCCAGAAUCUGGUACUGCAAUCACGACAUCACACUCAACAGGAGCCUCGGUAGCAAGUACUUCCCCAAAAUGAUACCUCGACUCAUAAACAGACCUUCCAAAAACAACAGAAUUAGGCAAAGCAAAAUAAAUAUGCUCAAAGAUGCACUGCUUAGGUUCAGGGUGAGGCAUCAAACAAGGUGAUUGAACCCCAUCUUUAUCCACCAUCAAAACUUCACCGGGAUAUACCUCUCUCUCUCUCUCUCUCUCUCGCGUAUGUGGCCUCAAUCAAAUAGUGCAGUGCACAAGUCUCUGACGCAAAAACCAGAGCACCAUUACUCCUCCUACCCAUCACCAACGGCAUAAACCCAUACGGGCCACGAACCGCAACAAGCUUAUCCUCAGUAACAAACACCAUUGAAUAAGCACCCUCAAGCUUCUCACAAACAUCCACAAUCCUCAAAAAGAACGGCCUAGCUUUCGAUAUCGGAAUCAAAUGGAGAACAACCACAGUAUCAGAACUAGUAUUACAAAAUGGAUCCAUUAUCUUCAAGCUUAGCCCUCAAAGUAUUAUAAUUAACUAAUGUGCAACACCAACAGAACCAAACCUGUACCCAGCAACAAAAGGCUGCACAUUCUUAAGCAUAGAACUACCCGCAGUCGAAUAUCUAACAUGACCAAUGGCCAUAUCACCCGGCAAUUGAUCAAGUUUAGACUGAUUAAACACAUCAGAGACUAAACCAACACCAGUAAUAGACUGAAGAACUUUGUUAUUCACAGCAACUAUACCUACAUCUUCUUGGCCGCGAUGCUGCAUCGCGUGUAGCGCCAAAUAGCACAAACGCGAGGCCUCUGGGUCACCAUAGAUGCCCACAACACCACACUCCUCACGGGCUUAUCGUCGUCAUCAUCAUCAAAACUGCCAAAACCGUCAUCUGGGUAUUCUUUAUUUGUGGUGAAAAACUCAGAGAUGGGGUUUUUUGAUAGAACAGUGAAGUUUUUUUUGUGGGUUAAAGAUUGUUGUUUCCGAGGAAAAAAAGGGUUUUUUUGCAGGGUUUUGGAGAAAAGAAAAAGAUGGGUUUUUUUGCGACGGCUUAGGGUUAGCAGAGGGAGAUGGGUUUGAGAGAGGGCAGAUAUUGGCGGUGCCUGUUGUGGUGGCUGCCAUUAAUGGCUGAAUUUAUUUUGUUUUAUUUUAUUUUUUUGGGUUGACUUGCUCAAAGAAAAAAGAGAGGAGGUGUGGAGGGAGACGGUGGCGAAGGGUACUUUAAGUAGAGGGUUACUUGUUCUAGGUUUUUUUCUGGAAUUGUGAGGGAAUCUGAUCCUGUGUUUGUGCAUAUGAUUCAAUUACUUAUAGGUUUAUUGUUGUGUCACCACAAAUUCUAAUUGGGAAGCUUCAGCUGUCAAAUUUUUUCCAAGGGUUUAUUAGGUAGAACUUUCAUGUCGUCGAAUUUAUUUAGAGAUUCUAAAAGUAGUUUCCAAAUAAAGAGAUGGACCAAAAUCAACAAUGUGAAACAGAUACUUUAGAAAUUUUUUCCUAUUCCGAAAGCAAUAGGAAUGUUCCAAUGCAUUGCUCCUACCAGAUUUGGAAUUAAACUUAGUUUGUGUUUUCCUAUUCCGAAAGCAAAACUUAUACUUACUGUAUAAGUGAUAUUCUAAUAAGUAGAAAUUAAGAACCAUAACAAAUUUGAUGAUUCUAAUUUGCUAGAAAUAUUGUAAUCCAAAACUAAGAAAGUUAAAACCAAUUAUUAGAAGAAAAAAGCAAGACGGAAGCUCCCAGAAUAUUGUUAUGUGUUGUGUGUUUUCAGUGUGUAUUUCUCAAUCAAUAAUGAAAAGUAAGUACACAUGUUACAAAAAUUUAAUAAAAAAGAUUGGAGGUGACAAAACCUUCAAUCUUCUAAUUAACUUUCUCUGCAUUGGAAUUUCCUUAGUUUGGUAGAGAUUGCUUAAUUGGUGUAUCUAUUAUAAACACCGUAAGUCAAAGUUAAUGUUUUAAUUGUUAAGAAAAGUUAGAAGAAGAAAUUUUUGCAUAAGAGAAUUGGGUUUAAAUUGAGAAUUCUUUAGGAGGAAAUGAGUCUAAAUUCUAACACUAUAAUUUAGCACUAUUUAUAUAUAUAUAUAUAUAUAUCAUUAAUUGGGUGAAAAAUUAGGGUACGCCUAUGUUGUAACAGUUGCAAAGUACCACUAAUUUUUAUCUUUUGUGAUGUCAAAUUUCAUUUAAUCUCUUAUUUUUUUUUUAUAAUUUAUUUAUAACGUUAUGUGUUUUGGCAGGUGAAUUUUUAAAAUAUAAUUUUAUUUUAUUUAAUAUAAUUUAUUUUUUUUCUUUAUAAUUUAUUUAUAAGUUUAUGUGGUUUGGCUGACGAUCUAUUAAAAUGUAAUUUUAUUUCAUUUAAUAUCAUUUAACUUCUAAAAGAACAAAUAUAACAAUAAGCCUUUAACUAGAUAAUAUUAACUAAUAUUUUUAAUAAAAUAAAAUAUUAAAAAUAUAUUCUUUUAAAUAAAAUAAAUAAUAUUAAAAAAUAUUUAUUUUUUAGGACUCACAAUUGCUUAUUCUAUUUUAUUUAAUAUUAUUUAAUUUUGAAAAAUAAAUAUAAUAAUCUAUGAGUAAAUAAUAUUAAAUAAAAUCAAAUAAAAAUUAUUAAAAAUAAUAUUAAUUUUUUUUAGACUCAUUAUUGAUUAUUUCAUUUUAUUUAACAUUACUUACUUUCAUGAAGGAAUAAAUAUAACAAUAAGCCUAUGACUAUAUAAUGUAAAAUAAAAUAAAUAAAUAAUAUUAAAAAUAUUUAUAUUUAAUAAAAUAAAUAAUAUUAAAAAUUUAUCUUUUUGAAUAAAAUAAAUAAUAUUAAUUACAAAUUAUAUUUUUUUAAGACUCACAACUGAUUAUUUAUUUUAUUUAAUAUUAUUUAGUUUUUUUAAAAGAAUAAAUAUAAUAAUAACUCUAUAACUAAAUAACAUUAAAUAAAACAAAAAUAAAUACUAUACAUAAUAUUAAAUAAAAUAAAAUAAAUUAAUAUUAAAAAUUAUAUUUAUUUUUUAAUGCUUACUACUGAUUAUUUUACUUUAUUUAAAAAAAUUUAAUUUUUUGAAAGAUUAAAUACAACAAUAAACUUGUAACUAAAUAAUAUUAAAUAAAUGAGAUUAAUAAUAUUAAAUAAUAUUUUUAAUAAAUAAAUGAUAUUAAAAAUUAAUUUUUUAAAUAAAAUAUAUAAUAUUAAAAUAAAAUUUAUUUUUUAAGACUCACUACUAAUUAAACAACAUAAAAUUUUAAACAAUUUGGACUUAUGUGAUAAAAGUUUUAAUUCUUUAGCUCUUUUGCGUUUUUGAUAAAUAGCAGGGAGCAUAAUGUUAAUAUUCAAAUAAACAAAUCUCUACCCUUCAAUCUAUCUUUUCAUUAAAUCCAAUGAUGAAGAAUUGAAACCAUAAAAAAUAAAAUUAGGUGGUACCUUGCAACUGUUGCAAGGUAGUUAAGUCCAAAAAAUUACAUUUGAUGUGAUUUUGAUCGUUUAUUUUUAUAUGAUGGUAAUUUCUUGUUCAGAGUGAAACUAGGGGUGGGUACGGUUCGGUUCGGAUCGAAAUUAAGAAGAAUCGACUUAAAUCGGUUAUUUUAUAAAAAGAACCGAAUAAGAACUGAAUUCAAUAAGAACUGAUUUAACAAGAUUCGUUUGAGUUCGGUUCGGUUUGGUUUGGUUUUUUUCGGUUCUGGGCCUAUUGACCCUAUUUUGAAUUUCUAAAUUUUUAGCUCAUUGGGCCUCAUGAAUGUCAUAAUUUUUUUCAACAAUUAAUUCAUCCUAAUUUCAUUACAAAUAUUAACAAUAAAUACAAAGUAUUCAAAACACAUUUGAUCACUAAUAUCUUACUAACUACUAAUAAGGUACUCACUACUCACAAAAUAUGAAAUAUUAAGAUUUCAAAAUACAUAACCAAACUCUAAUACUCCAUCUACAUAAACAUAAUGUUGUAAAGACAAAUAAAAAUAACAACAGUGAUUCGGUUCUUCGGUUCGGUUUUUUCGGUUCAGUUGAGUGAACCGAAUAUCGAACCGGUAUUUCGGUUUUUUUAUAAAUAAUAUAUUUAAGUUUUUUUUAACAAUUAAAACCAAACCAAAUUAGAACCAAACUGUCGGUUUGGUUCUUUUUUUAAGAAUACAGUUUUUUUGUCCAGUCCUAAGUGAAGCUAUUGGCACCCUUUCGCUAUAUUUAUAAAAUCCUACUUCAAAUAAAAAUUACACUUAAAGACAAUAGAAUUAAACAAACAUGUUUUUUUUUUCCCAAACAAAUUACUUACAUUCAUAAUUAUUUUUCUUCUAAUUUUCUACAUGUUGCUUCAUAUCUAAGUAAAAUAAAUUGUAUAAAUUUAGAAUAAUCUAUUAUUCUUUUUAAAUUUCAUAUUGAUUAAAUACUUUUGUGCUUAAGAUUGCUUUAAAAUUAUAAGAUAAAAUAUGUGUAAUUUAAGCCAAUGAUUAACAUUCAAAAUUUUAUCUCUCAGAAACAUUUUUAAUUUGUGUGCAGGGUAAUAAUAAAAUCGUAAAAGAAAUAAAAAAUAGCAUAACACUACUUUGAGUUUAGAAAAUAAAAAAAUUAAACAGAAAAUUAGAAGUGUAAUCUAAAAAAAGGAUAUUUUGUAAAAUAAAAUAAAUAUAAUUAAAACAAGGUUUCAUGAGGGGUGCAAUAGUUCAACUCUUUUGUGUAAAGUUUUAAGAUGUUAGUAUCCGUAGCUUAGUUUUUCCCUAAUUAUUAUAUGAAAAUGUAAUAACAAUGCUGAUCACCCCAAUCUCAUGGAGGUCAAAGAUUUUGGUCAUACCGCAUGAAUUAGUGCUUUUGGUUGGCAAAUACUUGUAUAAAUUUAUUAACAUUAAAUAAUUUGACCAAGACUACGUAAUGCGCCGCCUGAAGACUGGAGUCAUCGUAUUUUAUACGUCAAAAGCGCGUUUCAGUUCAAUAAGCCAUACAUGUCGUUUAAUAUGACCAUUUUGUACUUUUUUUAUAAAAAAAAAAUUAUUUAUUUUAUUAAAAUAUUGUUUAUUUAUUUAUUUUUUUUAAAGGUAAAGAGGUGUGUAAAAUCUAAAUUCAAUUUUUAUCCCUUAUGUCCUGGCCCUAAGAUUUGAACUCAGGUGAACAGCCAAAUGUAUAAUAACAUGUAUUUCGAAUUUCAUUUUAAAUGAUAUGCAAUUCGUUAAGUGAUUGUUAAUUUUUUAUAAGAUACGAGUGAAAGAAUUAUAUUAUCUCACUAAUUAAUUGAUGAGUGUCAUAUCAUUAUGAUUCCAAAUAAUUUCAAGCCAUGUCAUUAUUAGGAUAAAAAUAAAGUAAAAUGGUUAAAACUAUUUUUAUGUAAUUUAUAAAAAUUAAUGAAGCAACUACAUAAUUUUUUAAACGAAAAACAAUUGAAAUGUGUGAGGAAAAAGAAGAAAAAAAUUAGGCAUUUAAAUAUCUUCUUAAAAAAUAAGAUUGAGUAAAAUCAUUUUAACAGAAUGCCUUCCAAAUACAAUUCCACAUUUUUUUUUAUUGCAGUGGGAUAUUCCAAAAUUGGCACAACUCAUUAAGAAUUCGGCAACUCAAACUUUAUUUAUCUCUCUACGCAUUUGACAAAUUAAAAAGAAAAAAAAAAUUCAUAUAUCUUCUGUUCAAAAGAGACCUUGGUAAAUAUUGUAAAACAAAUUACCAAUUUUUUUAAUUUAUGCCAUUAUAUCGUCGCUAUUUUCUCGCCCACUUUCUUAAAAUAGAAUCAAUAUUUAUUGAUGGGUUGGGUUCCAGAGUAAGCACCAAUUCAGCAAAAUGGUUUUAUAGCAGAAAAAGCACUUGUAAGACAUUCAGAACACAUUUUUCAAUUUUGUCUUUUGAAAAUGAGUCUUGAGUUUCCACAAGCCAAGUAGAAUGGCUAAAAAAUGUAUGGUAUCAAAGAAAGAGAAACACACACACACACAUAGAUUAGUGGGGAGAUAUAUGAGUGUGUAAUUUGUAUAUAUAUCCCUAUUAAUUGUUGAUAGUCCAAUGGGUAUAUGCAAAAUGAAAAAAAUUGGCUGUCCUUUAAGACAAAAUUGACUGUCACAUGAAAAUGUUAGCACACUUGCCACGCAACAAAAAUAAAGAUUCCAAGAACAACUUUAUGGUCCCCUUUCUGUCCAAACAUAUGCGAUAGAAAUUAGUGUAAACGACACUUGAAAUAUAUAUGUAGAUCCUCACACAAUUGAUUAAAUAUUUAUAGUAGGGUGGAGUGAUAAAUAGUUUCACAAAAUUAUUGGAAUUAACUGCUUAAUACAUGAGAUCUAUCUCAUUAAGUAUAAAAGAUUGAGUGCUGCUUCAAAAGCAUGACGUUGCUGGCAACAAAUUUAACACAAAAGUUUAAUUAAUUAAAAUCUCGUAUUAAGAACAAAAGGUUUGAGGUUCGAACAUUCUCAUUCAAGAAAAUCAAGUCAAAAUAUUACAUCUUCCAGCACAUAUCAAAGAUUUUUUCAAUUUCCAAAACCCAACAAAAUCUUUGUCAAAAUAUAUGAUCUAGUCCCAUAUUAAGCACAUUCAUAGCUGUAUCAACAGGUUCAAAAUAUUUUCCCCAAAAAGAGAUAGAGAUUCCAUUGAAGUUGAGUUGUGACUGUCCCAACGUUUUGUAAUUAUAUGGUUCAGGAUACCAAUAUGCCGGAGCUGCAAAGGUUGACUUCUACUAUCCUAUCAAUGUCUAUACUUUCUAUUGAAUUUCCUUGUUUUUUUUUUAAUUUGCGAGAUUUAUUUUUUGGAAAUCUUUGACACAUUUUAUGUAAGAUACCAUAAAGCCAAAUACAACCUUUUUUUAUUCUCAGCAGCAACUUUUUUUUUUCCAUUUAAAAAAAAGGAAGCCAUAUAAAUAAUGCUUAAAACAUUAUUUGCAACAAGGAACAAUUAUUUCAUGCUUUCAUGUAUUAGAAACUUUCCAAAAACGCUAGCAAGAAAAUGAAAUGGAACUUUACCUAGUCACAGAAUAUGUACUGUUGUUAGCACAAUUGUUAUGAAGUGGCUUCUGCAUCAGAAGAUUCCAGCUCCCACCAAGCAUUGUUAUCUCUCUUCUGAAUACAAUCUACAUCGUUGGGCAUGAGUUAUAUCAUUAAUGUCUGGAUCCUCACUUACAUCAUCCCAAUCAAGUGCAAAACAUCCUAGUCCUUCCAUCACAACUGAUACGACUUCCUUCCUAAUUACUUUCCCAUUAAUAAAUCGCUCCAAGAAAAAAAAGCAUUAGCAAUUCUCUUCAACGCCCCAUCACUCAUAUCCCCACAACAACCGUCUUCAGCCACCUCAACGUUGCCUCUUGAAAGACCUCCACAAAAUCCGAAUCAUCCGACACAACCACCAAACACCCAAACCUUCUUUUGUCCACCAUAGCCACCAUAUAAUUUCUCCCCAAAACAUCGGCAUCUUGUGGCUUAACUAACACCAUCCUGACCCAAAACCGUGCUCUUUUUAACUCAUCUGCAAAACCAUAACCCACUUUUGGAGUCAAAAUUGCGCUUGCAGCCAUUUUAUUUUUUUCCAUCUUUAUUGAAUAGUUGCCGACCAAAAGCACUCUCACCUUCCCUCUAGCUGAUUCUAUUUGAUUGGACCUUUUCUUUUGUUCACCCUCAUGAAUUUGCCUAAAAUGAUUAACAAGUUUGUCAUUAUUAUAAAAUCUCCUUCCAUAAUCACCAAUACAUACGGCUUAGCAGACCUAAUUACACCCUUGAUUUCUAAUUGGUAAACAAUUCUCUUUCUUUCUUUGCUCUCUUACAACUUGAGGCACAUAACCAAACGCGUGGCUAUUUGGAUUUUGUUAUCCAAAUACCAAAAAUUUCUCACAUUGUGUUGGACAGUUUUUGGUUCUAAAGUUGAUGACUGGUUUUGCGAAUCAGGCUUCAAAUGAGAACUUCUAAACAAUAAGACAAAUGGGUUUUUAGUUUAUAAUCUUGUAAACUUUGUUCUAUUGUAUAAGUUAUGAAAUCGCUGAAACAUCACUACAGCUACAGGUCUUUAUGUGUCAAUGAAUUGCAGAAGCUAAUGAUCUACUUGUAGUAGACUUCUAUUGCCCCUGCCGUUCUAGGAAGACAAACAAGUUCAGGAACUACUUCUGGACCAAACUCAUAAUAUUGCCACUGCUUUGUGCCAAAAUCUCAGAGGAAAAGAAGAUUGAAGUUCCUAAAUAAGGCACAUCAUGAUUUGAUAGAAGUACCACUAUAAGGAAAAAUUGAUUUCAGGAAAGCACUAAAUUAUGACAUAAUCUCCCCCUAAUGGUCUAAAGUAGUCAAGAAAUGAUAUUAACCAAGUAAAAACACAUAAACUAGUUGAGAUACAAAGUUAUCAUAAAAGUCAAUUUUGACCACAAAUCCAUUAAAAUUAAAAGUCAUCAGAAACUUAGAGAACAUUAUAAUUUAGGACUCAGCUAAGUUGCAGAUUCUGUAACUAACAGCUGAGUCCACAUUGGUCUUGCAUCAGCUGAGUUUAGGUUGCUUUUCCUCUCUCCUGCAACGCGUACGUGGAAGCGCCCCAUUUGCUGUGUUAUAGAACGAGUCGGUACCGUAACAAGCUCCUAUAAUUUAAGUUUGAUUACUGUAGACAAUAGUCUGCCUCUGCUCAAAAGCUAUGCUGCAAGAUAUAACAUCUUUGCAAUGUUAUACUUUCUAAAAGUAAUAAGAAAUGAAACCAAGGGGUAAAAUCGAACACCAAAAGAAAUUUAGUCGGCCAACCACAUUAUGUUCCCACACAGUCCACUAAUUAAGUUAAUAAUUAAAGGGAAUCAAAAUCUAAGAAAUCUCAUCUUCAAGCAUAAUACAAACACACCGGGAUUGAAAAUCACAAAAUCAUAAAAAGAAGCUGACUUGAAAAGCUCAAAUAUACGUUCAUCAGCCUCUCAACUUAUAUCUAAGAACAAAUGCCUGCAGCCUGUGAAGACAUAGAUAAUUGAAGCUGAGGAGGCAUAUUUAAACAGAUGAUUAAACUCAUGCGAUUAAAAUUAUAAUUCAAUAAUCGAGCACAUAAAAUAACAAGCAACUAGUUGUAUAUAUACCAAGCAACUUUAUGAAGUUAAAUAUACCAACGCCAAUACUCUUAUUUUUAUCCAAAUAUAGAAGACCAAUGCAUCAAACAAGGAAAAUGAAAUAUUGUUAAUAACUCAAAAACCACUAGUGUCAAGAACUAAAACUAAUAAGUAAAACCCAUUAAUCAGACACAACCACAUCAAAAUCUCUAAAAAUUGAGGUCUAAACAUUGAAAACAAUUAGACAUAUAUAACAGUCAAUCGAAACAAAGCCUCAAAAUAAUAAUGAACUACAAUAAGACAGAAACUAAAUUGUAAACAAGCGCAUACUCAGUAACAGUAAUCAAGUAACAAGUCAAAACCAGAAUCAAACGUAGAAUUUUGAAAUCCAUACGAACUCUAACGUAUUAGAAUGAAAGAAUAAAGGACGAUCGAUAAACUAGAAUCAAACAAAACAUGCCCAGUUAAAAAACGAAGGUAAAUAAAUAAAAAUGAUAUAAAAUUGCGAAAAAAAUUAAUGAAAUGACGAGAAAAUCAUAGGAAUCCUAUGAAGAGGAAGGUAAACAAAACCUUCGAGAGCUGAGAAGAUGCCUUUUUUGUUCACUUUUGUGCCUAUACAUACAUUUUUUUUUUUUUGUAAUUUUGAAGAAAGUAUUGGUUAAAUAUUGUCAGAACGAAAUAUUAAUAAUAGAUCCUGGCAAUUUCAACAAGGACAAUCUUCGAUUCAAAUGUACCCCUAUGAUAAAGAAAAAGCCAGCUUGGCUAAAUUUUGAGCACCACAUUACAAAAUCUAGGUGCAUGUUUAACUAUGCAUAAAAUGAAACCUCUAUUAAUUGUAAGUCCCUUGACCUCUGGAACCAGCCAACCAGUAUCUUUCCUGUUAGAACAAACUUCCAUCGAUCAGACUAAUAAUAUUUACUGAAUCAUGUUCUACAGUUAAUGGAGUUGGACCCAAGGCAAUUGUUAGAAGUCCGCCUAGACAUAGAGUGCGCUUAGAAGUGGGAUGCUUAGAAAUGGGCCGCCAACACAACCAGCCAACCGUAGUGUGCUUAGCAAAUCACUGAAACCCGGCCAAGAUCUAGAACUAUCUACAAAUUGUAAAUAAGCUAAAAGUUUCUAAGUUUCUCUACAUAGGUCCCUAGGAUAUUUAUGGAAGUUGCUAGGAAGUUUUCCUCCCCUAGAACUCUAAUACCUAUACCCCUCUCAUUUGCCACCAACCACACAGACAAACACUCCAGCACACACACAAGCUCUCUAGCUUUUGUAAAAAACUCUCUUGUAUAUUCUCUCUUUGUGAGUAAUAAAAUCAUAUUCAGCCAUAUUGCUACACUUCUCUCUAGCAUUUUCUACAAGUGUUCUUGCUUCGCUAGUUUGAGGAGUGUUCUAGGCUUGCUUAACAACUUGUUCGCUAUAACGACAUCUUGGUCACAAAACAUGGACAUGCAAGAAAAAAAAAUUGAUACGUUCUAAAAAUAAUACGCGUUCUUCUACAGUGAACCAAAAAAUUUAGGAUAAUGGUAGCAAGUGAAAGAAUUGUGAUUUCACGUGCAUUUUGUUGACAUGAACGUAAAGGACUUUUUUUUAUAGUUUAUAUUGUUUAAUAUAACAUUUGAAUUGCAAAAUAGGGGUACAAAAUAGAUACACGAAGUGAUAAAACUAAGCUGAUUAUAAUAAAUAUUGAAUUAUAAGAUUUAGGUUUAAUCAUAAAGACAUAAGUGGCGCACAAAGUCACGAAUUGAUAUCAUCCACGAUGCAAGUUCAAACAACUGCAUAAUAAGUUGCCCCAAGCUAAACUAUUAAUCUAGUAACUAUUCCAGUCGAUGUGGGAUAAUUUUCCUAUCACCAUCUAUCACGUGCAAGCCGAAUUUUUUGCUUGGUCCUUACAUGUGGUAAGGUCAUAUGAAUCCACUUGUGCAUAAAUUUGGCUCCGAUACUAUAUAGAAGCCUAUGACCCAAAAUUAUACUUAAAGGUUAUCUCAAGAUUUGAGGAUUGACUCAAGCUAAUAUUAUUAUUAGUCUGGUAACCUUUUUUUUUGUUGAUAUGUGAUAUUUUACCUAUAACUUUUAUUAAUCUUUAUGCUUAUGUUUUGUCAUUUAUCCCAAAAUAUAACAUUAACAAAGUUCCAAAAUUUCCUUCAAGAGAUAUAUUUGAGACAAGUAAUUUGUGCAAUAACUUUGUAAAUUGAUGAGCAAAUUCAGUGGUGAAAGCUUGCAUAGUAAUAUAAGGGUUGAGGUUAUCUUUUAACUAAUAAAAGUUAAAUAUGAAAUUUGCAUCUUCUUUUUGUUGUUUUUUAUUAACCGGAUGUAAUUUUUGUUUGAUAAUUUUCUAAUUAUUUUGAGGAAAAUAUGUUGCAGGAGCAUGUUGUGAUGCAUAAGUGUUCAGAACCGAAUAAAAGGAAAGAGUAGUCCAUCCAAAGUCACCACUUAUUCAAAUAUGUGCAGGCAGAACACGUUAUCGGGGGGUCUCGAUACGAAGACCUUUAAGUACUAAUGACGAGAUAUUGAUUAACUUCUGCAUGGAUGAAAAUUUGAAUAAAGGGUAACGUAUUAGUUAUGUUGUUGAACUAAUACUGGCAUGCAUAUAAAAAGUUAUUUGAUUGUGUUCGAGCUUCGAAUAAACGAAUUUAAUUGUAGGAAAUCAAUAAUUGUGGCUAAAUUGUCUCGAUGAUAGAAUUUGCAUUCCAGGAAAAUAGUUUUUAAGACGAGCUUCAAUUGCAUCACCAGACAUGAUAUUAUGUCUCUAUCUCCUAAAAGUACAAUCAAUGUGAAGGUACAACCACCUUCUGUCAAGUGUUGUACUUGUAUGAAUAGUAUAUAUUUAUAAUGAUUGCUCUUAGAAUUUACUUUGUUUUAAAGUUUUUGUUAAUUUUUUAUAUGUUGAAUGAAGUCGAUACCUCUUACAUGAAAGUGUUAAUAUUUGCACUUUUCAGAUUGUUUCUGCUGUCUCGGAAUUGUUAUUUACGAAAGCGAUUGAAACGUUGGAAACAGUCAUUUUAGCCUUUUUCUGCCAGCGUAUUCUGCUGUAAGGCGUUUCUGUUAUAUUAUAAUCUUGGAAUUUUAUCCCCUAAGGGACAACUUAACAUAUAAUUUCGUGUGUUCACUGAGUGUGGUGCAUCUGUUUACAUAUGCAUGUCAGUUGAGAAAUUGUGCUUGCAAUUACAUUUACAAGUUUAAACGAAAUUUGGUUUUCAAGUUUGGCAACCCACUAUUUCCAUUGCCUAGAAUUUUUUGUUGGGCUGUGAUAGCGUUGAUGUCCUAGAAAUUGUACAGUUGCAGGAUAACAUCGGUGGAGACCCCGCAGACCUCACUUUUGGUAUUAAACAAUUUAUCAAUGGUGAUUUAUACCUGGCGAAUAUUGGUUCGUGUAAGCAGGUAAGCAUUAUUUACUUAAGCAUUUAGUAAACCUCGUUUUUAGUUAAUUUUGAUGUUAUGUGUCAGUUUAUUUCACCCUGAUUUUGCAAUCAUCAAUAUAUUUUUGUCCCUGUGAACCAUGGUUUUACACACUUGUACUUAUUGGUUAUAUUAAUAUACGAAAUGUGGGUGGAGAUAUGGGAUUCAAUGCCCAGUGCAAUGAAGUCACAAAUGUUUGUUGUUGAAUGCAAACGAGCAGUGAGUUAACAAUCUAGAUGCCAAUGGAUGUGUACUUUCUCCAAAAAAUAAAUAAAUAAAUAAAUGAACCACUGUUGUUGUAAAUAAUCCUCCUCUGUUUUAAAAGGAAAUGUCAUGUGUUUCUAGGAUUAUAAACUGCAAUCUACCUAUUGACUGGUGUUCCUACAACUAAGAUUCAUUGAGAUGGCGUUGCAGUAUUGUGGCUCAAAUUGUUUAUUGGGAAGGUUAAACAUGAGUGAGUUCGUAAUCCAACUUUGUACCAGAAAGGACAGUAUACAUAACGAAUUAGAUUGUGCAAUAUAUGUUAUGUUGAUGAUAGAGAGGUAUAAAAUCUAGUCGUGCUUUCUGUGGAAGAGGUGCGUCAAUGUUUUAAACUAUUCAAUGCUAUAACCCAGGCCGUUCAUAAUAUUUAUAUAUUGGAGCAAUUUUUACCGCCUCCUAAUUAUUGUGUUUGUGCAUUUCAUUCAGAUAAAGUUUGAUUCAGGUAGUGAGAGGGCACGCAUUGUGAUAGAUCUCAUGAGAUACCAGUUUCAACUAUUUAAAGGACAAGGUUCGUUUUAAGGCUGAAAAGCAUCGAUGACAUCUUGACCAUGAAGCCCAUUCAAUUUAUGAAGCAAUUGAAAAAAAGCGCUUACUACAGCUUCGGACUGCGAGCCAAAUGGGCCAUGGUCGCCGCCAUUAAGCCGGAUUUGCUUUUACGUUCAAUUGUAUAAGUUAACAUCCAUGCUUUGAAGAAAGAAAAAAAAGUUAGGUUUGACAAUUGUAGUUCUUCAUUUGAAAAGCACAAUCAACCACUCAUAAUCGUGACUGCUAAACAACUCAUGUUUUGUUGCUGGCAUAGAACAAUCAAGUUUCCAUUGUGGAUGCCGCAGUGUCUCACUACUGAAUUUUAUCAUUUAUGAGUUUACAUUGUCGUCAAUUUUUAAUAUGUCUGUCAGCAGCUGUACCUGGAGUAUUAUAUCAGCGAAUGGUGUUAGCUGAAACAACGUCUCCUCUGAACUCUGCAUAUUUUAUGAUACUGAUACUUUGGCCUGGACAAGUUACUAAAAUUUUCAAUUGCCAUGGCCCUGACCCAAAGCUUUUUGUAUUAAUUGAACUCAAGGAUGGAUUGAAGUUACACAAGUUUUGCUUAUUUAUGCUUGGCAUAAGUAUAAACAAUGUUUAUCAACUGCCAUAUUAGUUAACCCCUAACAUAAUCAUGCAACCUCGUCCAAUUUUUUACUUGUCAGUACCUCUUAAAUAUUCUGUUAAUAACAAAAUAAAUGGAUACAGUGGUUGAGAACAUGUUUCCAUUACGUCCCUAACCUCUAGAUAUUUUUGGAGUAGUGCCAAUGUUAUUUUACAGAUUCCAAAUAUGGGUGUAGUUAGUUGGUGUAGAUGAUGAGGUUGCAAUGCAGUUCGAUAGACUUGCAAAGGCACUUGUGUUUAGACUGGCUGAAAAUUCACUUGUUGUACUAGCUGAAAAUUCAUGGAACCAUGACUCUGAUGUUCCCCUUAAUGGCCCACCAUUUUCUCUUAUUUGCCUCUGUAAAGGUUGCCUCCCUGGUUCAUUGAUCUGAGACAUUACCUCCAACUUUAAAGUCAAUUGGUGAAUAUCUAUAAUAGCCACAUUGUAUGCGGCCAAAACUUGAUCCAGCAAAUCUAAGUAAACUUCAGCAUGCUGCAUAUAUUUGGCCAAUACGAGCCUGCUCUGUCAUGUAAUGUGAUUUAUUAGAACUUAUAUCCAACGAAGUGUGAGCUUUUAUCUUUGCGCCUUUACUCCAUCGAGACAGAAUUAUCGAACUUGGAAUUUCUGUCAUAUUCUGAGCCUUCAACAAAAUAAAUGAAUGCGAGCAUGGAAUUCCAAUUGUCUCUAACAACUUGCAGCUGCACGAUAAGGUUUUGGUGGCCUCAUUUAUCACUACUUUCACCUCUUUUCCAACUAAGCCAAACCGCUCAACUCUGUACGUUGUUGAAAUUAUAUCCCGGUCAACAUUUCUGCAGUUAACAACGCUUCCUUGUCGAUUUCUUCUCGUACGAGGUGAAACAUUGCCCUUGUGAACUUUUCAGCUGCUUACUGCUCAUACAUCUUCAAAUGUGUAACCAAUACAGGACGUCCAUCAAAACUAUGAAAGUCAUCAUUCCCCUCUCCUUCCCUUUGCCGAUCCAUUAGUCGGUCCAUCUGUUUAACAAAUUCUGUCAAUCGGAGCCUUCUAUUCACGUAAUGGUUUAGAUACGCAUUCAUUCCUUCCAACCUCUGAGUGCUUCUCAUUCCCCCAAAAAACUUUCCAUGCAAAUAAGUCUCAGCCCACAUAUGUCUAUCCUUAAACAUAUUUACAACCCAUUCAUUUGUGGCAACAUUAUGCUUAUCCACCAUUAAUUUCCAUUUUUGGUCAAAUUCUUCUUUUGUGUAAGCGUUCAUCAUGCAGCAGCAAAAUUCGGUUGUAAAUUCAAGGUUUUUAACAUUUGUUUGAGCAUUUCAGACCAAAUGCCAAUAACACAACCUGUGAAAAGCUUCUGGAAAUGUCUUCCUUAUUGUAUUUCGCAUUACUUUAUCCCCAUCGGUUACAACUGUCCUCGGAUGCUUGUUGUUCAUUGCUAUCAUUAAUAUCUCUAACAACAACCAUGUGUACGUGUGUUCUGUCUCAUCUGAAAAUAGAGCAAACCCGAAUACAAUUAUUCGCCGAUGGUGAUUUAUCCCCAAAAUAACCACGAGAGGCUUACGAUAUGCAUUGGUCUUGUAAGUUGCAUAGAAUGCAAUAACAUCACCAAAUAAUGCAUAAUCUGUGCAUGAUCCGUCGUCACACCAAAACAAGUCCCCAAGUCGAUUGGAACUAGUGAUUGUGAAGUCAUAAAAGAAUGAUGGAUUCGAGCUUUUUCUUCCAUCGAAAUAUAAUAGGCACGUCUCAGCAUCUGAUUCUUUCAACGAUGCAUGCCUCUUCGUAACCAGCCUAUUUUCAACAUCCCUCAUGCUAUACCCAACCUUGUCGUAACCCCUGAUCUGUCAACCAUAAACUCGUGUAUUUGAGAUGGCUUCACUCCCACUUUGUGUAAUGAUAAAACAGCCGACAAGUCGGGACCAGUCACUCCUCUGUGGGACCUAAUGUGGUGCACUAGCUCAGGCGGUGUUAAAUUGUGAUUGUGCACUCUAUGAAAAAAACUACAUGCCCAUCGGCGAGUAUAUUCAUUGUAAAUAAGUCGAAAUUGUGCUCUACAUCCUGUCCUUGUCACAGCUUUGGCCUCUCGCCCUCUGCAUCUAUUUUCCAUGUGCUUUGCAGCCCUGAAUCCCUGUCGGCUGCAAAUCCACAUUCUGCCGAUGAUAUUCCCCUUCACAUUUCUCCGUUUAUUGUGUUUCCGAAUGCCGAAGCCAACUGUCCUUGCAUAUUCUUGGUAGCAUAUGCCAACCUAUUCUUCACUUGUGAAUUCUUUUGCUAACAUUUCCAGAAGCGCAUUCUCUACCUCACUACGAUCAUCGGCACACUGCUGUUAGUGAGUAUCAGUCUCCAAGUGACCACUUCCUCCACGGUUGUCACCUUGGAUGUUCAACUGGUGUUCAGUCACGAUUUCUGCCCCUUCACUAUCUGUCUCCGCUCCAUUGUGAGUCAAUGCAUCUGAGCUUCGUUCAUCGUCAGAAGUUAUAUUAAUCUGGUAGUGGAAAUCAUCUCCGUCAUAUAAUCUUUUGUCUGAAUCAAUCAUUGUGCUCAUAGGUUCACCAUUAGAUAACGUCAAAUUUCAAGUGGUUAAGACUUCUUUUUCCUCUGUUAAUAUUUUUUUUGUUGCAAGUUUUUUCUUUUCCUUUCAGUACCUUUUACGAAACUUCUUUCACUAGCGUAGGCGGCACAAAGAAGCUUCAAGUUGGUGUCUCUUCCCGCGUCCAAGAUUUUUUAAAAGUUUUAUGCUUAUUCACUUAGCGCACACCAGCACUUGAGCCCCGUCCCCCGGCCACCAAGACACUUUAUAGAAUUCCCUAACAAAUUAAUAAACUAUACCAGUUUAUUUAGUUGUUAUGUGGCCUAAUAUGACAUAUGCUUGCAUUACUAAUCCAAGGCGUUGUAUAAAGACUUGCUUGCCACUUAUUAAUUGAUGGCAAUUGAUUUAGUAAUUGUUUACGGAUCUUUAAAGCUUCAUCAAGAUAUUGCACAUUGUCACGGCACCAUGUUCAUUUCCCAUGUUGUAACACCAUCCAUUUUUUGUUUCAUCUACUAGAUUUCCAACUCCUUAUAUUCGCUAUAAAACCACAAGUAUGGACACAUUAUAUUUUUGCGUGAGUUACAAAUAUAUUUUACACUCCGUUACUCUUACAAUUCAAGUUGUCAAUAAGUAAAAUUACAUUUUCGCUAUGUUUGACUAUGCAAAACCCGUUUGAGAUCGGUGUAGCAAAUAUCAAUAUUUGCUCGGAAGUUAGAAAGCAACUACCUUUCUGUUUCAGCUAUUAUCAAUCAUAUUACUCCCUAAAAAAGAUAUGGGUCAUAACAUAUAAUUCUGUUUUACCUUAUUGACGACAUGUAUGCGACCAAACGAUCGGUCACCAAAGUUAUAAUAUACAUUAAUUGAUGGUCUCAAAUCAAAACCAGUAUAGAAUAGAACUAUAAGAUAGUGGUCAAUUACCAUCGCAAGCAAUCGACAUUUCAGAGGGGAACGUAAGUAAAACAAACUUUAUGUGCAAUCAUCUAUGGCAUCUGUGUGUUUGUAAUUCUUAUAUACUAAAUAUUCGUAGUUAAGGAAAUGCAAUGCUUAAAUCACUCGUAACACAAUUAAUUGAACUUAUUCAUAUAAUGCAUGGUUGAGCAUGAUAAACAUAUUCAUUGAUGUUUUUUUCCCAAAUAUGGGCAUCUGUGAUGAAAAUCCUAAUGCUAAAACUGUGAACUGCAAAAGAAUAUCAAUUAACCAUAACAAUUCAAUAGCAAAUGGAAGUUAUAAUCACACCAACAAUCUUCGCUCAAAGCAAAGGCUGACUUCAGCCACAAUUUCCCACUAUUCACCCACCAUCCUUUGUUACACCAAAGCAUAACAUAACACACAGAAACAUACCCUCAUAUAUGGAAGAAAAUUUCACUUACGUUCGAACCUCUUCGUAAUCGUUGCAGUUUCCGUUUGAGGGACCUGACUCUUGUUUUCGAGAUGGAUUCCUUACACCUAACGAUCAUCGUUUCCAACACUUUACUAUGCUCCAACAAGUAUUCCAACAACUAUACUUCCUCUUCAUCUCCUGUUAGCCCCCUAACGUCAAUUCUCUUUACCUGUUUUACCAAACAGUCGGGCACAUUUUCUAUUUGAAGCCAUCCAAAAUCUUCUUCGGUCACUUCAAACCAGCAUUCCUACGAAGGAUAAAAGUAAAAUAUGAUAUCAUAAACCCAUGGCGAAAAUUAAGAAGAAUAGUUGAACGCCAUCAACGAUCACGACACCCUCACCUUGUGUAAGACAAGAGUUUUUUAAGAUCGGUGAACUCCUUAGGAUGAUGGGCAUAAUUCGCCAUCCAAAUAGUCCAACCGUCACUUCAAAACUCUGUCAAAUUAGGCAAGGAGGGCUUGAAACUCUCGUAACACAAAUCCAGGGCUUGUCAACAUAGAAUAGAACUUUUGGUGUUAGAUUUAUUAAUGAACCGUUAUAUAUUACUAGCGUUUAUCAGCAGUGGCCCUUAUUGUGCCAACUAGAAAUUGUUAACUUUUUUCCCACUUGGAUAAUAACAGAUACAAACUGCUUUACCCAGCUACAACGAGCAUAUUAUCCUGUCUUAAUGCUUGGUAUCAGAAAGACAGAGAUUGCGAUAUCAAUCAUAUGGUUAUAUCAAUACACAUCAUAGGUCUUGUAGUGCACUAUAUUGGGCAUACUUACAGACACGAUGCCAGCAGAUACAGUCAGAGACUUAGUUGCAGUCACACCCUCUAGAAGCCAUACCACAUGGUUCGGAUCGCCUUGUGCCCAUUCCCUAUACAAAAUUUCCAAUUUAACUUCGUUCACGGAAUGUACACCGUGCAACUUAAACUCUCCCAACACGUCAGCAGUAAUACGGAGACAUUGCAGAUUUGGCGUUGUAAUGAUCACUGUGUAGUCAAUGUAAGUAAAAACAAAAUCCUCUAGUGCUACAGUAAAGGCAAACUUCUUCAGUGUGGACGAUGAAAUGAUGAAGUUUGGUAUGUCCCCGUCAUGUUUCAAAAUAGCCUUAAUACACAGAUCUUCUAUUUACUAAUUUUAUUUCAACCUUAGCAAACCUAGCCAUUCACCUCUUCCCAACCAAGGCAUUUCGAACACCCCAUCUUCGAAAUCCACUACAAAAUCGCAUUCACAGACGUGAAGCCUACAUAUGCAUACCAAACGAAUCUAAGAUUUUAUUUAAAUCAACAUGCAUGCAAUAAUAUCUCGAUAAUCUUCCAGUGCCUGCAAAAAUGCCAGAUUUAUAAUACCAACAAGGCCAACUUCAAUAAUCUAGACAUCAAUAGAAUAUAAUAGCAGAAAUCGACAGUAAUAUUUUUCUUAAAUGCGUCACGGCAAAAUCAAAAUCACGAGCACCAAAAUACACAAAUUCAUUUACAAUUCAAGAAAGAAUCUUUACCCUUCCUUACCUAAUGAAAUUUCGGAUAAUUUCCCUCUCUCGCAAAAGUCAGAUUUGAGAUUCAAAUCUGUAUCACAUCUUAUUCUCGUAUUUAUGUUUCCAUGGACUUCAAGAGCUUCAUUAGACAACCGGUUUAAACGAUUGUUGUUAGUAACUACGUCCGCUCUCCAAAUUUUUAUUUAAACUGUUGGAUUGAACAAACUUAUAUCCAAUGGCUUGACUAAAUAAAGACAAAAAUUAUGGCAUGGUACCACAGUGGCAUCGCAGGCAAGUCCAAAUAACAAAUAUUAAAAUGAUUAUAUUAUUAAACUUUUGGGCUUAAUUGACUAUAUUCAUAUUUGGACGAGAAAGUUAUGCCACGAAUGGAAGAAUUUAAUAUUUUGAGUUGGUACAAAACAAAUGCGCAUAAGUCUCCUAUAUUGGCACGAAUUGUUAGAGAUAUUUUAGCAAUUCCAAUUACAAAUGUUGCUUUUGAAUCAACUUUUAGCAUUAGUGGCUCGAGUACCGUAAUAGGCUUUCAUUUAAGCACAUUGGAGGCUUUAAUGUGUUGUCAAGGUUGGCUGAGAGCUUACAAUGGUAGUAAAAAUUUAUUUUAUAUUGUAAUUAUGUUAUAUAAUUAUUAAUAUUUUCACUUAUAAGUUACAUUACUUAUAAUUUCCUUUUUUAUUGUAGGAUUAUGAAGAUAAUUAUUAUGGUAAUUUUUAUUUUGUAAUGGAUUAAUGUUAAUAUAAGAUAUAUCAUCAAACUUUAUUUUUAUUUAAUUUUUUUAUUUAAUAUGGUUAAAUUAAAAUCGAAAACUAAAAAAUGUAUUAGUUAUUCGGAUAUCGGGGACUCUCGGGGAUCCUCUAUUAUUAUUCAAGGAGGGGAUGGGGAGGGAACGGGGACAUAUGCAGAAUAUCGGGGAUGGGUAUGAGGAGGUCGGUCUCCUCCCCUUCCCUCCCCAUUGCCAUCCCUACUAGAAAUAUUGCAAUCCAAAACUAAGAAAGUUAAAACCAAUUAUUGGAAGGAAAAAGUAAGAUGGAAGCUCCCAGAAUAUUGUUAUGUGUUGUUUGUUUUUUAGUGUGUAUUUCUCAAUCAAUAAUGAAAAAGUAAGUACACAUGUUACAAAAAAUUAAUAAAGAAGAUUGGAGGUGACUAAAUCUUCUAAUUAACUUUCUCUCCUUUGGAAUUCCUUAAUUUGGUAGAGAUCGCUUAAGUGGUGUAUCUAUUAUAAAUACUCCGAUGUGGAAGUUAAUGUUUUUAAUUGUUAAGAAAAGUUAGAAGAAGAAAUUUUUGUACAAAAGAAUCUGGUUUAAAUUUGGAAUUCUUUAGCUGGAAAUGAGUCUAAAUUCUAACGAUACAAUUUAGCACUAAAUAUUAGUUGGGUGAAAAAUUAAUUUCGCUCCUUUGAUGUGAUUUUGGUCGUUUAUUUUCAAAUUAGGGUAAUUUUUUGUUUAGAGUGUAGCUAUUGGCUCCCCGUCAUUAUGCUUAUAUAAUCCUACUUCAAAUAAAAUUACACUUAAGAACAAUAGAAUUAAAUAAAUAUAGUUUUUUUUUCAAAACAAAUUACUUACAUUCGUAAUCAUUUUCUUUUUAAUUUUUUACAUGUUGCUUCAUAUCUAACUAAAAUAAUUGUACAAAUUUAAAAAAAUCUUUAUUCAUUCCAAAUUUCUUAUUGAUUAAAUAUUUUUGUACUUAGGAUUGCUUUAAAAUUAUAAUGUAAAAAAAUUUAAUUUAAUCUAGUGAUUAAAAUUUAUCACCUAAAAACAUUUUUAAUUUAUGUGUAGGAAAAUAAUAAGAUUGCAAAAGACAAGAAAAAUAGUACAACACUACUCUGAGUUUUAAAAAAUAAAAAAAAUCAAAUGAAAAAUUAGAAGUGUAUUAAACAAAAAGAAUAUUUUUAGAAAUAAAAUAAAUGUACUUAAAAAAAAAAAGAGAUUUCAUGAUGAUAUUAGAUGGGUACAAUAGUCAAAUUCUUUUGUUUUAAAGUUUUAAGAUGUUGGUAUUUGUAACUUAGCCUAUCCCUAAUUAUUCUAUUAAAAUGUAUAAACAACGAUGAUCAACCCUAAUUUCAUGGAGGUCAAAGAUUUUGGUCACGCUCGCGUGAAUUACUUGGGACGUACUUUAUGUAAAUUUAUUUACAUUAAAUAAUUGGGCCAACGCUAUAUGAGGCGCCGCCUGGAGGCAUAGAAUUUUAUAUGUCAAAAGUGCGUUUCGCUUCAAUUAAGCCAUGAAUGUCGCUUAGUAUACUCAUUUUGUAUUUAAAAAAGUUUUAUUAAUUUUUUAUUUAUAAAAAUGUGGUUUAUUUAUUUAUUUUUAAAUUUUUUAAAGAUAAAGGGAUGGGUUAAAAUACAAAUUUCAAUUUUUAUCCCUUACAUUCUGUCUCCUAAGAUUUAAACUUAGUUACCAACCAAAUGCGUAAUAAUAGGUAUGUCAAAUUUCAUUUCAAAUGAUAUGUAAUUAAUUAAGUGACUGUUAAUUCUUUACAAGAUCUAAACAAAUUACUUAUAUUAUCUUAUCAACCAAUUGAUAAAAUGUCACGUUAUGAAAGGUCUUUGGAAGAAAAUUCUACUCAGCAAAUAUUGCCUUCAAUGUGUUAUAUGUAUUAUUUACUCCAAACUUACUCGUCAAAACAAUAAAUAAUAUUAUUGCCAAAAUUACUUGUAAUAUCACUUAAAUGCAACAAUAAAUCAUAAAUGAGAUAAAUCACUAAACCCUUCAAUAGAAUAUUUUAAAGCCAAAAAAAGGCAUCGAUUCAUUAUGGUUCAGAUGAUUUCAAGCCAUAUGUCCUUGUUGGGAUAAAAAUAAAGUAAAAUGGUUAAAACUAUUUUUACGUAAUUUAUAAAAAUUAAUGAAGCAAUUAAAAUUUUUUUAACUCGAAAAAAAAUUAAAAUGUGUAUGGAAAAAAGAAAAAAGAAGACACUUAAAUAUCUUUUUAAAGAACAUGAUUAAGUAAAAUCAUUUUAAAGAAUGGUCUUCCAAAUGCAAUUCCACAUUUUUUUAAUUGCAUUGGGAUAUUGCAAAAUUGGCACAACUCAUUAAGAAUUCGCAGUUCAAUUUUUAUUUAUCUCUCUAUGCAUUUGACAAAUUAAAAAAAAAUCCAUAUAUCUUCUAUUCAAAAGAAACCUUGUUAAAUACUGUAAAACACAUUACUAAUUUUUUUUUUCAUUUAUGUCAUUAUAUCGUCACUAUUUUCUCGCCCACUUUCUGAAAAUAGAAUCAAUAUUUGUUGAUGGGUUAGGUUCCAAAGUAAGCACCAAUUCAAGAAAAUGGUUUUAUAGCAGAAAAAGCACUUGUAAGACAUUCAAAGCACUUUUUUCCAUUUUGUCUUUUGAAAAUGAGUCUGGAGUCUCCGCAAGCCAAGAAGAAUGGCUAACAAAUGUAUGGUACCAAAGAAAGAGAAACACACACACACACACAGAUUAUUGUUGAGAUGUAUAUGUGUGUAUAAUAUAUUAAUAUGUAUAUAUAUCCCCAUUAAUUGUUGAUAGUCCAAUGGGUAAAAGGAAAAAAUUGGCCGUCCUUUAAGACAAAAUUCAUUGUCAUAUGAAAAUGUUAACCACAAAACAAAAAUAAAGAUUCCAAGAACAAAUUUGUGGUCCCCUUUUUGUCCAAACUUACAUGAUAGAAAUUAAUGUUUAAAUGACAGUUGAAAAAUGUAGAUCCUCACGCAAUUGAUUAAAUAUUUAUAGUAGGAUGGAGUGAUAAAUAGUUUCUCAAAAUUAUUGGAAUUAACUAUUUAAUACAUGAGAUUUAUCUCAUUAAGGAUAAAAGAUUAAGAUGCUACUUCAAAAGCAUAACGUUGCCAACAAUAAAUUUAACACAAAAGUUUAAUUAACUUUCUUAGUUGAGAUAAUAAAAUUUCGUGUUGAAAAUAAAAGGUUUGAGGUUCGAACCUUGUCAUUCAAGAAAAUCAAGUCAAAAUUAUUACAUCUUCCAGCACAUACCAAAGAUUUUUUUCAAAGGCAGACUGAUAAUUCAGGAUUAAAAAAAAACAAAAGGAAUAUAUGCUAUUCAAGACAGGUAUACCUUGAUUCUCAAAAAAAAAAAAGACAGGUAUACCUUGGACAUGAAGUCUGAGUCCAGAACAAGAAGCACCUAGCUGAUCUUUCAAUUUCCAAAACCGAACGAAAUCUUUGUCAAAAUAUCUGAUCUAGUCUCAUAUUAAGCACAUUCACAGCCGUAUCAACAGGGUCAAAAUAUUUUCCCCAAAAAGAGACACAGAUUCCCCUGAAGUUGAGUUGUGACUGUCCAAACUGCUAUAAUUAUAUGGUUCAGGAUACCAUGCCUGUGAAUCCUUUUUUUUUUUUUCAUGUUUCUAAGUCUAUCAAAUGAAAAUGUAAUUAUAUGGUUCAGGUUACCAGUAUGCCAGAGAUGCAAAGGUUGACUUCCACUAUCCUAUCAGGGCCUAUACUUUCUAUUGAAUUUCCUUUUUUUUUUUUAAAUUGCAAGAUUUAUUUUUGGAAAUCUUUGACAUUGAUUCUCAGUAGCAACUUUUUUUUUCUUUUUUCUUCUUUUAAAAAAAGGAAGCCAUAUAGAUAAUGCUUUAAACAUUAUUUGCAACAAGGAACGAUUAUUUCAUGCUUUCAGGUAUUACAAGCUUUCCAGAAAUGCUAGCAAGAAAAUAUGAAGGAACUUUACCUAGUCACAGAAUAUGUACUGCCUUUAGCACAAUUGUUAUGAAGUGGCUUCUGCAUCAGAAGAUUCUAGCUCCCACCAAGCAUCCUUAUCUUCCUUCUGGAUACAGUCUGCAUCGCUGGGCAUGAAUUAUAUGAUUGAUGUCUGCAUCCUCACUUACAUCAUCCCAAUCAAGCGCUUUUUCUCUACCUCUGAAUUAUAAGCCCACUUCAAUCUCUUCAAAACAUCCUGGUCAUUCCAUCACAGCUGAUACGUCUUCCUUCCUUGCUUCCCCAUUAAUGAAUCCCUCUAAGAAAAAAAAACAUCAGCAAUUCUCUUCAACGUCCCAUCAUUCAUAUACCCUGCAACACCCGUCUUUAGACACCUCAACGUCGCCUCCUGCAAAACCUCCACAAAAUCUGAAUCAUCCGACACAAACACCAAACACCCAAACCUUCUUUUGUCCAUCAUAUCCACCAUAUAAUUCCUCAACAAAACAUCGGCAGCUUGUAGCUUAUCUGACAUUGUCCUGACCCAAAACCACACUCUUUUCAACUUUACUACCAAACUAUAACCCACUUUUGGAGUCAAAGUUGCCUUUGAAGCCAUUUUAUAUGUUUCCAUCCUCAUUGAAUAGUUGCCAACCAAAUGCUCUCUCAUCUUCCCUUUGGCUGAUUCUAUUUGAUUUAACCUCUUCUUUUGUUCACGCUUAUGAAUUUGCUUAAAAUGAUUAACAAGCUUGUCAUUAUUAUAAAGUCUCAAGUCUCCUUCCACAAUCACCAAUACAUAUGGCUCAGCAGGCCUAAUUACACCCUUGAUUUCCAAUUGGUUAAACAAUUCUUUAAUUUUCUUCUCUUUGCUCUCUUGCAACUCGAGGCACAUAACUAAACGCUAGGCUAUUAGCAUGUGCCACCAUGUACUUAACAACCCUAAAUGACGAUAUUGAUUUUUUUCAAUUUAAUGGUCGCUUCACAAUGGGGUAUUAAUUUAGAUUUUGUUAUCCAAAUAUCAAAGAAUUCCUACAUUGUGUUGGACAGUUUCUGGUUCUAAAGUUGAUGACCGGUCUUGCCAAUUAGGCUCCGAAUGAGAACUUCUAAACAAUAAGACAAAUGGGUUCUGGGUUUCUAAUCUUGUAAACUUUGUUCUACUGUAUAACUUAUGAAAUUGCUGAAACAUCACUAUAGCUACAGGCCUUUAUGUGUCAAUGAACUACAGAAGCUAAUGAUCUACCUGUAGUAGACUUCUAUUAUCCCUGCCGUUCCAGGAAGACAAAUAAGUUGAGGAACUACUUCUGGACCAAUAUUGCCACUGCUUUGGGCCAAUCUGAGAGGGAAAGAAGGUUGAAGUUCCUAAAUUAGGUACAUCAUGAUUUGAUAGAAGUACCACUUCGAGGAACAAUUGAUUUCAGGGCAGUGCUAAAAUAUGACAUAAUCUCCCCCCAAAGGCCUAAAGCAACUUCUCUUAGCGUAUCAAGAAAUGACAUCAACCAAGCAAAAAUAUAUAAACCAGUUGAGAUACAAAGUUAUCAUAAAAUUCAAUUUUGAUCACAAAUCCAUUAAAAUUGUUGAGAUACAAAGUAAUAAGAAAUGGAACAAAGGUGUAAAUCGAACACCAAAAGAAAUUUAUUUGGCCAGCCACAUUAUGUUCCCACACAGUCAACUAAUUAAGUUAAUAAUUAAAGGGAAUCAAAAUCUAAGAAAUCCCAUCUUCAAGCAGGAUGAAGACACACUAGGACCGAGAAUCACAAAAUCAUAACAAGCUGACUUGAAAAGCUCAAAGGUACCUUCAUCAGCCCCUUAACUAAUAUCUGAGAACAAAUGCCUGCAGCUUGUGAAGGCAUAGAUCAUUCAAGCAGAUAAAACAACAAGCAACUAGUCGCAUAUGUACUCAGCAACUUUCUAAAGUUAAGGCAUAAAACAACAACAUAGAAUAAAUUAAUUAAAUGUACCAACACUACUACUCUCAUUAUUAUCCAAAUGUAGAAGCCCAAUGCAUCAAACAAGGAAAAUGAGAUACUGUUAAUAACUCAAAAACCAUGAUGGUCAAGAACUAAACAAUAGUAAACUAACAAGUAAAACCCGUAAUCAAACACAACCACAUCAAAAUUUUUGAAAAUUGAGGUCUAAACAUUGAAAACAAUUAGGCAUAUACAAUAGUUAAUCAAAACAAACCCUCAAAACAAUAAUGAACUGUCAUAAGACAGAAACUAAAGUUUAAACUAACGCAUACCCUGUAACAGUGGUCAACUAACAAGUCAAAACCACAAUCAAACAUAGAAUUUUGAAAUCCAUACGAACCCUAACAUAUUACAAUGAAAGGAUAAGGAUAACUACUUGAUAAACUAGACUCCAACAAAAACAUACCUAGUUAAAAAAUGAAGGUAAAUAAAUAAAAAUUGUAUAAAAUUGCGAAAAAAUAGACAAAAUGAUGAGAAAACAGGGAUCUUAUGAAGAGAAAUGUAGACAAAAUCUUCAGGUGUCGAGAAGAUGCCUUUCUUUGUUGACUUUUGUGCCUGUACAUACUUUUUUUUUUUCUUUGAAGAAAAUACUAGUUAUAUAUUAUCAGGACGAAAUAUUACAAGAUGCUAGCAAUUUCAACAGGGACAAUCUUCAAUCCAAAUGUACCCCUAUGAAAAAGAAAAAGCCAACUUGGCUAAUUUGUGAGCCACCACAUCACAAUAUCUAGGUACAUGUUUAACUAUAUAAAUCAGAAGCUCUAUUAAUCAUAAGUCCCUUGACCUCCAAUACUAGCCAACUAAUCUCUUUCCUGCUAGACAAGCUUCCAUCAAUCAGACUAACAAUAUUUACUGAAUCAUAUUCUAAAAUUAAUGGAGUUAGACCCACUUCAAUUGUAAGCUUAAUCUCCUUUAAAAGCGCUUCCGCUUCUGCAAAUUCCACAUCAUUAGAAAAAGACCUUCCAUUGAUUGACGCCACCGUGAAUAUGCACGUAUCAAGGAAUUUUUAAAAGCCCAAUGAUGAUUUUUUAAAAAUAUGUCAUCACAUGUGCAUUCUUUUAAUGUAUUGUUAAGAUUAAUCUUUGCUUAAAAAAUCAUAAAUAAUCAUGAAUUUUUAUUAAUGGUCUUUACCAAAUGCAUGCACAGAAGCAAAUUAUGUUCUCGUUGCAAAGUAGUCAUUUAUUCACCAUAAAUAUUAACGUCACACUUUUAGGAUGCUCAAUAUAUGCAUAAUAUUGGGUAAUUUUUAAAGACCUCCCUGAGGUUUGGGGUAUUGACACUUAAAUAGAAAGUAUGUUUGUAAUUACAUAAACCUCCCUUGCCGUUUCUAUUUCCAUCCAAUGACGGUAAGUAGAUCAAUGAAAUGACCAAAAUAUCCCUAAGGCCAAAAAGAAAUUCUUAUAGCAACUAGUAGGUCACUGUUUGUUAAUUGGAUGAAAUAUGUAUUGCUCGCAGCACACUGAUGAAAUGAUGAAAAUAACUAUGAUAACCAAAUAUUUGACAUUGCAUACUCAUUAACUAAAAAAAAAUAAUAAAAUAUUGCUGAAAAAAUUUAACAAUUUCUAAACUUCAAUUAAGAAAUCAUAUUUGCUUCAAGCAAUUCAAAAAUAAAAAUGCCAUUUUUAUCACACAACCCUCGAUUAGUAAAUUUUUAUAGUCCCAUUGAGAUUAUAAAAUCAACAGAACAUUCCAGAAGAAAAUAUACAUAUUUAUGGUUGAAACUACAAACACAAAAAUAUACCAGGUGAAAAAAAAUUUGAUUUCAAAACCAAUCAAAGAGCUUCUUUGGUCUUAGUAGUGCUCCUAGUUGCACAAUAUUUUGCAGCCAGUUCCUUUGCCUUAAGAAAUUCUUGUCCAUCUAGUUUCAAUCAUUGCCCUUUUCUCUUCUACUUCAUUGUUAAGUAAGAAUGUAAGAUCUAUCUUAUUUUUUCGUUUUUCAAGUAUAAUUCUACCUUCUUCCUCUCUAAUCAUUCCUGUCAAUUAUUGAAUAUGCUGAAGAUGAAUCGAAUUAUUUAUUAAAUAUGUGACAUUAGCAGAGAGCACACUAAAAUGCCAAAACCUAAAGGACUUGUGGUUGUGCGGGAUUUUUUUUCAAAGAAAAUAAGCAACUGAAAUUGAACUUAUAUUAUGGGAAAAACAAGAGAGUUGAAUAUGCAUUAACACAUAAAUAAGUAUUGCAUUUGAGGAUGAUGAAGAGCUUCAUAAUGUUGUUUCUAUGCAAAAUUUAUUUUGAUUAAACAUAUCAUAGCUAAGCCUGUAUUUCAUUUUUAAUCAUUUCAUAACAAGAUGAAAUCCUAAGCAAUUACUUGGAAAGAACAAUAAUCAAUAGUUUUUUAAAUGAGAAAGAAGACUCAAAAUUUAUGAAAUUUAGAGUAAACACGAGCUACAUACAAAAAAAUCACAAUAUGUAGGUAUUCACAACCAGUGAACACUAAUCAAGUUAUAGUUAGAUACACAAGGUGAAACGUUAUAUGAAAAAGUAACAUUUGAAACCCAUUUAAAUUGUAUUUGCGAUUAAACCCAUCUAAAUCUUAAAUUGUAAUCACAAAUAUAAUCCUAAAAAUUAUUUUAAUUUUAAAAAAAUCUCAAUUUUUUUUCAUUUCAAUUUUAUUAUAAAUGGAAUUGAAUUUGCGAUUACAAAGCUAAAACCCAUUUUUGUUUAACAUAAAAAUCACAGAAAACAACUAAUUUCUAAUAUGCAAUGGUUUGUUUGGCUAGUACGAGUCAAAGUUGAAUACAUGUAGUAGCUUUUUCAACAAAUCAAAGACAACAUUAAAUCUAUUUUUAAAACACAGCAUCAAAUCAACCAAACGGCUCUAACUUUAACAUGGAUUGAGUUAUUUGAAAUUUUCACCUACUACGAGGUUUAAUCAUUGUCACGUUCCUCAUCGAUCACAGGCAAUGGUCACUCAAUGGCACCAUUGUUCAUCACUUUAUUGUUCAUCACUCUUCUUCAAAACCGAGGCUUCUUCAGACUUGAGCUUCAUUUGGCGAGGUCAGAGCAUAAAGAGAAGAAUUUAUGUUUGAGAUUGUUAAUUAACGAUCAACCCCCGCUGUUGUCACUUUAUUGUUCAUCACUCUUCUUCAAAACCGACGCUUCUUCAGAUUUGAGCUUCAUUUAUUGAGGUCAGAAGCAUAAAAGAAGAAUUGAUGUUUGAGAUUGUUAAUUAACGGUCAACUCGGUCACUUUAUUGUUCAUCACUCUUCUUCAAAACCGACAUUUCUUCAUAUUUGAGCUUCAUUUGGUGAGGUCAGAAGCAUAAAGAGAAGAAUUUAUGUUUGAGAUUAUUAAUUAACGGUCAACUCGGUCAUGAGGUUGCUUUUGAUUUUUUUAUUUAAAUAACUUUUUUAUGAAAUUACCCUCGUACAUUGACAAGAUACCAAAUGAAAUACAAACGGCAUGGGAGGUCUAUAUAAUUAUGGUCACACUCUAUCUAAGUGUCAAUACGCCAAACCUCAGGGGAGGUCCCUAAAAAUUACCCAUUUAAUAUUACAUCUACACCACUAUCUCUCUUUCCACCAAUACUAUCUUUGUUUCCAAGUUGUUAAUUAUUGCUUUAUUAGGUAUGCCUCUAGUUAAACAUUAUUAAUAUCGAUUUUCAUUUGGUUUUUGAUGAAUUCAACCAUAUAUAAGAGUAAGGUCGUUGUUCAAGUACACAUUCACCAAACUUUUCCCUUGGAAUCAGGGGCGGAGACAACAUAUUAAUUGACUGGGGGCUUACUCAACGGCGAUAAAAAAAAUUUAAAAAGUAAUAAAUAAUAAAUUUAAAAGAUUUUUAUCAUACUUCAAUAUAUGUUUAUAAUUGUCCUUUACGAGUUUUCAUACAUUGAUAAUGUUGUAUUACAACUUCAUUAUCAAUAUUAUUGCGGGCUGUUUAAAAAUUUGAUUAAUAUUAAUAUUUAUGGGCUUGAUUUUAGUUUGCAAAGCCCAUCUCUUUUUAUUUGUUUUAAAAACUUAGAGUGUGAGAAUUUAAGUAUAAUUAAGUAUUAGGGACUUGAAUAUAAAUUAGUGGGGCUUAGGAAAAUUUAAUUAGAAAUUUUUGGCAAAUCAAAUUAGUUAGUAAAAGAUUUUUUUUUUUUUUUCAGUGGGGACUUAAGUCCCCACUGGUCCCAAGCUAGAUCCGCCACUGCUUGGAAUUAAGCCAUAUAAAUAAUGCUUUAAACUUUGUUUGCUACAAGGAUGUUUUGCUCACAUAAUAUGGUCAUGCAAGAAAGAAAUAAUAUUGAUACAUCCUAAAAAUAACACGCAUUCUCCUAUUGUAAACCAAACAAUUUAAGCUAAUGGUGCCAAGUGAAGGAAUUGUAAUUUCAUGUACAUUUUGUUAACACGAAAAUAGAGAACUUUAUUAUAGUUUUAUUGUUUGACACACAUUUGGGUAGCAAAAUAAGGGUACAAAAUAGACACAUGAAGUGACAAACUAAGCUUAUUAUAAUAAAUAUUUAAUGAUAAGGUAUAAAUUUAAUCGCAAAUACAUAAGUAACGCACAAAGUCACUAAUUGAUAUCAUCCACGAUGCAAGUUCAAACAACUGCAUAAUAAGUUGCCUCAUGCUAAAUUAUUAAUUUGGUAAUUAUUCCAGUCGAUAUGGGAUAAUUUUCCUAUCNNNNNUUAAUUAAUUAANNNNNAGAAGCUACGUACGGUAUAGUUAUGGCUAACCGUACACUGUACGUAGCUUGUUAUUGUUCUAAACACAAGACGACUGAAACGAGACACAUCACACGAACGACAGCAAAUAAUUAAGGUAGCCACAGCUAGCUUUCGCUGCUAACGAUGGAUAUAAUUUCUUUCAUUGAUAAGCAACUAGCACUCGAAGUAACAGAAGCACGCAUAACCAGUUCCUUGUCUGUAGCAAGCCCCGUACCUUGCAUCCUCCUGCUGCUUGCAGUGCCUGCUACAUUUCCCCGUGUUGAGACACGGCCCCGACCAUGUCUUGCUACGCCGCUGGCACACUUUUGCUUCCGCCAUUGGCACUUCUGUAACAAGCAUACAAAAUCAUUAACGUGCACUUAGAUAUAUAAGUUAUUAUCAAAGCUCAUGGGUGUCAACAAAUUCAGGUGGUAAAAUGAUCUCUUAGGUUGAAACAAGAAGUCUGAGGUUUAAACUCUGCUUACAUGAAUGGAAGAGUGCUUUAUAUUACAAUAUACCAGUAUACAAACACACACACACACACACUAAAAUCUGAAAUAAAAAAAAAAUUGUUAUGAAAGUUUAAUAUGCAUGCAUAUGAAACAUAUAUAUGAUUUUGCUUCCCCUCUGGCAUUUCUGUAACACAUACACAGCAUAUUUAAUGCACUCAGUUAGCUAAUAUUAGUUAGGCACGUGGGCUUAUGAAUGGUAUUUAGUGUCAGACUCAUGCGCAAGUAUGCCCUCAUCGCUUAAGAGCAGUUAUUCAAGAAAACUUCAACUAUAAACUAACUUUUGAGUAUGAGUUAGGCUCAAGUCUUUUUGAAACUGCACAACUUAAUAUCAUAGGCAAAACUUAAAAUUAAAUUUUGAUUGCUGAAAAACUAUUAAGUACUGGUUAACAUCAAGUCACUCACCGAAGGAAGCAAAGAGUAUGAAGAACGCAAAAAUAAGAGCAAAAGCUGUGGUAAUGCUAGCAACUGACUUAGCCAUUUUUGCACUUGCUUUGGUUUUAAUUUGAUGAAAUUGCUGAAGGCCCCAACCCCUAUUUAUACUUGGAUAUAAGCUGUCUCUUCGUCUCUAGCCAAGAUCCGCGAGAGACAAAGAAACAAUAAAUUAAUUAACCGGGGAAAUUUGAAUUAGACACUAAAAAAUGAAUUCACGCUCGGAUUAUUGACAAAAAAUUUUACAGUUUAUGCAAAUAAUUGUGAAUUAGAAUGACGUCCUGCCAAUUGCUAUAUUAUAUGCACUCUGAAGUAGUCUUAGGUAGUUGAAAUCUUCAAAUUUAAAUAUAAUACGCAAUGCGAACUUCAAUGACCCAUUCUUCCCCAUAACCUUGUCAUUGACAAAGAUUUUACAGUUUAUUCAGAUAAUUGUGAAUUGAAAUAGUGUCCUGCCAAGUGCUCUAUUCAUUAUUUCAUAUGCACUCUGAAGUAGUCUUAGUUAAAUCUUAAAAUUUAAAUAUCAUAUUCAAUGCCCGACUUCAAUGACCCAUUCUUCCCUAUAACCUUGUUAAACCACCCUAUCGGAUUCUGUAUAUUCUAUUUAUUGUGUGGUUAAUUGUUCUUAUCAAUCGGAUCUAUGACAUACAGCGCUUCAUCUACGUAGCAAAAUGAUGGUGCAAGUAUAAUUUUCUAUUGCUAUAACAGAAAAUUAAACGUUUUAUUCAUACUAUUACUUUUAUAAGUUUUAUGUAAACUUUUAAAGACCACAUUGAAAAGAUAAAUUCACUCUUGUUAUCAUUCAAUUUAGCUUAAGGUCAAUUUAUACCAGAAUAUUGAGAAGAUAGAAAGAACUUAAACAUCAUACUAAAUAGAGGAUUUCUUCCAUAUUUUUAAUACUAUAAUGUCGAUGAUACGUACUAUUUUUACAUUCAAUGAUGAAAAUGAUUUUGGCUCAUAUUAGUCUUAAUAAAGAAGAAUUAAUAUUUAGGAUCAUAAAGUGAUCCCUUUUUUAUGAAAUUCUUAUUUAUUUCUGACAAAAAAUCUUAAAGAUAACAAGACAACUGAAGAGAAAAUUCUCCAAACAUACAUAAAAACCAUGACAACAAAAAUGAAAAUGAGCCAAAGCAUUUCUUGAUUACAAAUUCUUGGGACAUAACAGAUUCGAAAAUCUUACUUUGAUACAGGUAAGUGUUAGAGAUUAGAAAUAAUAUGAAACAACUAUGUAUGAGUAUGAUGGAUACCCUAAAUCAGCUAAACAACGCACAACAUAGUCAUCCUAAUCUUAUUAAAGGGAUGUAUCUUCGACAACUUAUUUGAUCUCUUAUGCUGUGGGGCCAAAUUCAUUUAUGUGGGGGAAAUUUGUGAACUAUGACCUUCAAAUUCUUGUACGUGUAAGGUAAGAACUCUCGUCUAAAAGCCUUGUUUUAUUAGGUGAUUAUUGACAUAGACAAAUAACAUAUAGCAAUUGAUUAGUGAUUACGACAAUGUUGAUGCGUAAUCAAAUAGAAUAUUUAUGAUUUUUUUAUGCUCAUCGGAUGUUAAUAAGAUAAGAAUCGCGAUGAAAAGUUCAUCAAUGUAUAUGGUACGCAUGUUGAUAGAGGACAAAAACAUUGUUUGAAAUUAAUAUUUUUUUGGGUUUAAAGGUAUUGGACUUUUCUUCUUUGACUAUGGAUAGUAGUUUUUUUUGGAAUCAAAUACAGUAUGAUUAUUUGAACAUAUUAAAAUACUCAAUAAACAUGUUUACUAAAAUACUCUUAUUAAAGAUUUCUCUCAUUGUUUCUUUUUCAACCCUCCAUCCACUCUUAAUUCUCUCCCAUCUUUUAUCUGCCAGUAUUGUCUUAUCUAGAAUAGAAAUUUAGGCUAUGGACAUCUAGUAAUAAAAAUUUAAAAACUUAAAUAAAAAAUGAAAAAAUGAGUCUAAUGAGCAAUUUUAUGGGUUCAAAUAAUUAAUUCCGCCUACUCAAGUGCCAGUAUUGUCCUAUCUAUAAUAUAAAUUUAGGCUAUGGACAUUCUAGUAAUAAAAAUUUAAAAACUUAAAUAAAAAAUGAGUCUAAUGAGUAAUUUUAUGGGUUCAAAUAAUUAAUUCCUUCUACUCAAGUAUUAUUCUUUUAUUUCUGGAUAAUAGUAACAAAGUACGAUUUCAAAGAUAACAAUUCAGAUGGGUAGGAAAGUCUUCCAAUAAAUAUUAGAUAUUUAAAUUAGUAGUUUGAAGAUAAAAUACUAGUAGGAUCAUGGAGCGGGGACAUGACUGGAUUAGCAACAAUGUUUUUAAAAGGUAGAGAUGUGGGUAAAAAUUAAAAUGCUUUUUUAAUAUUUAACAUCAAUUAAAUAAGACUUCUUAAAAAGUAGUUGGCUAGAUCCUGGAGGUGAUUACCUGCAAAAUUCAUUACAUUGAUGAAGGAGUAUCUAAUUAGCAGAUUUGAUAUUACUCCUAUAGUUAUAGGAUGGAUAAAAGUAUUAAUUGGAAAAAAGUGUUAAUGGAGAAUAAAUGGUGGAUAUCAUUAUGUGGCUCGAACUCAUAUGCAGAUACGCUAUUACUGCACUCGCAUGAAGUGAAAAUAGAUUUGUUGGACAUCCCUUAUUCAUAUUUUUUCUCAUUAGUCAUAAUUGUCCCAUAGACAAUAACAAAUGUAGGAUUUUAAAAUGAAUAAAAAAGGUUCUUUUCAAUAAUCUCAUAUUUACAAAUUUUAUUUUCUUUUAGUGUUUCCAAAAAAGAGAAACAUGUAAAAAAUAUAUAUUAGCUUGUUAUACGAUUCUUUUUGGUCAAGUAGUGACAGUGCUUCAUAUGUGGCUCGAACUCAUACGCAGAUACGCUAUUAUAAAUUGCAAUCCUACCUAUAAUUAGGUUGAAUGACCAAAUGAAGAUACAAUAAUCUUGAACUCACAUAUAAAAUUGUAACAGUAGGAACAAAUAAUGUGAAACAUUAAACCAAACAAUAUUCAGUCAUAGUUCAAGGUAUACAUUUAUAAAAAAAAAAAAAAGCACAAUAAACAUCGAUUAUUUUCAUGAAAAUAGCCACAUAUAACCAACAGUAAGGUUACUUAUUAUUUUAAAUAUUAUUUCGUGAAACAGCUGCAGCUACAUAGCUGACCAACACAACAGUAGCUUGUUAUUUCCAAACACAAGAGGAAUAAACACCCAAAAGCAGCAAAAGGCAUGAAUGCAGCUUCUUCAAGUUGAGUAACUAUAGCUAGCAAUUGAAGAAGCAGAAGCAGGCAAAACCAAGGCCAUCUCUGUGGCAAGCACCGCUACUUGCACCCUCGCGUUCUCGGCACUGUUUAUCACAGUCUUCUGUUACGAAGCACGGGCCAGUCCAAGUCUUACUACGCCGCUCGCAUAGUGCAGCCUCUGCCGGCUUUGCCAUUUCUGUAAUACACAACACUUACACAAAAUGAUUAAUUUCUAGUUAAUUAAAUUUUAUAAUGCAUGCGUGCUUGCAGAAACUUAUCAUCAUGAAGUACACAUCAAUGUCACUCACCGAACGAAGCGAAGAUGAUGAAGAAUGCAAAAAGAAGAGCAAAAGUCAUUGUAAAGCCAGAAACAGAUUUAGCCAUUUUAAUUUUUAUUUGUUGCACUUGCUGAACUGGUUUAUUAUUUCAUGAAAAUGGUAAGUGACCGUAGCCCCAAUUUAUACACUUGCAAUGUAAGCUAUCCCUUCCCUUUUUGAGAAAGUUUCGAUGAAAUUUUUAGACCUUACUAGUUUUUUAAUAUAUCGAUAAAGUGCAAGGUUUAAUUGUUGUUUUGUAACCAUCUCCCACGUUGGGAAUAUGUAAAACAACAAAUAUAUCAGUACCAACAAAGACAGAUAAAUAUUUUCAGCCGAUGUGGCAAACAAGGUUGUGAGGCCAAAAUAAAAUAUUUACAAAGUAAUGAGGUAAAAAUGUAAAAUUUAAAAAUAGUUAAAUUUUAUAAUUUUAUAAUUAUUUUCAAAUCUUUUUCUUUUACGUUGCUUUCUAAAAAAUUUCAAAAAGUAAGCCGGGGUUUACCCUGAUUUUUUUUUUUUUUUUUGGUUUUUUUAACUUUAAAAUUUCAAAGAUAAGUUAGGGUUGCCUUGAAAGCCUUUGCUAUAGGUUGCAUUACUUUUUGAAAAAUUUUCAAAAAGUCAGGGGUCACCUUGCGCAAACGCUCUUCCGCUUCUAUAUUUAUAUUAAUCUCGAACUUACUUCAAUAUAUAUCUAGUUUCCCUAUCAAGUGAUAACAUAACAUCACUGCUACAAUAAUCCUAAACUUUCAUAUUGUUGGGUGUGGGUACAUAGAGAUACAUCAACAAUGGUACAAUGAAACUUCAUCGGGGCCAGACCAAUAACUUAAUUAUAUCUAGGAUGUAAUGGGAGGGGAAAAAAAUUCGAUCCUACACAAAUAAUUUUGGGAAAAGGACACAAGGACCCCCAACGUUUGAGUAAGGGACACAAAACUCCCUAAGGUUUUAAAAAAGAUACGCAGACCCCAAUUAAUUAACGGAAAUCGUUUCGUUAAAUCACUACAAGGUUAAUACCGUAAUUACAAAUUAAAAACAAGUGAAUUGACUAAAACCCACACACACAUCACACGGACAAACAAACCCCACACACACUGAUUCCAGACAAAUCUUUUAACACACACUCACGGUUUGCCUUGCCGAAAGCUGCUGGGGUUGCCGGAAGUUGCUGGAACUGGUCACGCUACUGGAAGCUGCUGGAACUGCUCGUGCGUCGAUCGAGACUGUGUCUGGUUGCCGGAUCUGCUCGCGAUCAACGUUUGGCUGCUGGUUGUGCUGUUGGAACUGCUGGAAUCUCGCGUUUGGCUGUUGGAACUGCUCGUGUUUGGUUGCUGCUCUUGCUUGUGGAAUCUCGCGUUUGGCUGCUGCUUGUGCUCGCGUUUGGUUGCUGAUCCUGCCUGUUGAAUCUCACGUUUGGCUGCUGCUCUUGCUUGUGGAAUCUCGCGUUUGGCUACUGCUUGUGCUCGCUUUUGGUUGCUGCUCUUGCUUGUGGAAUCCAGGGUUCAAUUCUCUUAAGUCCUAUUUUUUCUCUUUAAUUUUCAUUUUUUUUACUAAAUUAACUUCUCUAGCAUGUUUGAUGCAUAUGUGAUGUAUGUGCAAGAAUAUAAAUAAAUGAUUACGAGAAUUUUUUUUUUUUUUUUUUAUGGUUGUUUGAUGAACAGAGUUCUUAAUUUGUCUGAUUUAUUGGAGAUUUCUUGCUAAUUACUUUUGUUAUUUCUUUUCUUUAUCAAUUUUUAGAUGUGCAUGGAAUUUUCUUUAUCAAAUUUAUUUUGUUAUAUCUAACCAGUUGGGCUAGAAUUCUACCUAGGUGAGAUAUUAUGCAUUUUUUUAAUGGUCCUGGAGCAUGUGAAUUUUGUGCUUAAUUUAUUAAUGAAAAGAAUGUAUUGGUUUGCAGAUGGUUGAUCAGCCAUCCCAAAACCUGAAUACUCACUCACUUUAUUCUUUUGAACAAGAAGAUGAUGAAGCAUAUUGGUCAAAUGAUGACAAUGAAGACAUAACACCUGCUGAUGAUGAAAUAGGAUUAAAUUGGGAUGAUGAGGGAGUGGAUGUUGGGCAUAGUGAAGGUUGUGAAGAAGUGGAUUAUAAAGAUAGUGAAGAAGAAGAUAGAAUUCUUUCUAAUUGUGAGUCAGAUGAUAGAGAGCAUGGCCUGCUUUCUGAUUCUGAAGAUGAGCAAUCAUUUCAUUGUUCAAAAUCUAACCCCAAUGAAAUGAUUGAAAUCAGUGUUGGGCAGGAGUUCGACAAUGUCCAACAUUUCAGAAGAGUACUUGAAAACUACGUUAUUAAGAAUGGGUUUGAUCUUAAUAGAAUUAAGAAUGAGAAGAGAAGGUUCAGGGCAAAGUGUUCCAAUGAGGGCUGUCCGUGGUUUAUUUAUGCAGCACUAGUAGAAUCUGGGACAAAAUUCAGAAUUCAGAAGCUGAAUAAUGUACAUGAAUGUAAUGGAGUGUUAGAGAGCAAAGAGGCAUCAUAUAAAUGGAUUGCCUCUCAGUUUGAGGGAACUUUGAAGAACAACCCAAAAAUGCCAGUAAAGGGAAUGAAAGAUGAAUUGGUUUCUAAUUUAGGGAUUAAGGCAAGCAUGAAGAAAAUGUAUAGGGCCAAGAAAAGAGCAAUGGAUAAAUUAAAUGGGAACUAUGCAAAUUCUUAUCAGAGGCUAAGGGAUUAUGCCCAAAUACUCAAACAAAGCAAUCCCAAUACGUUAGUAAAGAUGAAAUUUGUGCCUAGUUUUGAUCAAGAUAGAAGACCAGCUUUGAAGUUUCAGAGAUUUAUGCUUAGCUUUGUUGCUUUGAAGAAUGGAUUCAUUAAUGGAUGUCGAUGGUUUAUUGGAUUGGAUGGUUGUCAUUUAAAGGGGCAUUUCAGAGGUGUACUAUUAUCAGCAGUGGCAUUAGAUGCAAACAAUGGAAUUUUUUCGAUUGCCGUUUGUAUUUGUGAAUCAGAAUGUGCUGAUAGUUGGAAAUGGUUUUUGGCAAUAUUGAGUGAGUGGUUGAACAUAGAGAAUCAAAGUCGAGUAACGUUUAGGACAGAUAGGCAAAAAGGAAUAUUACUAGGUUUGGAAGCAUAUUGGCAUGGUGCAACAGUGAGGCAUUGUGCCAGACAUAUAUUUGCUAACUUAAGAAGUAAUCAUCCUGAUAUCAUCUACAGAAACCUAUUUUGGACAGCAGCAAGAGCCACUAGUGAAAAAGAAUGGGAAGACAACAUGAACAAAAUAAAAACAGCUAAAAAAGACACGCAAGCUGCUUAUGAUUAUUUGAUUAAGAUUGACAAGAAACAGUGGGCUAGACAUGCAUUUCCUGAUGAUGUAAAAGUUGAUCAUGUAACUAACAACUUAAAUGAGUCAUGGAACAGCUGGUUAAAUGAAUACAAAGACAACCCUGUGUUGACACUUAUGGAAUUCAUUCGGAAGAAAGUUAUGAAAAGACUGUAUAAAAGGCAUUCUGAUGCAAGAAAAUGGAUUGGGAAGCUACCUCCAACUGUGAGGAGAAAGUUGAAUGUUUCCAGACAAGAAGGAAGAUAUGUAAGGGUGCUUAUGGCUAGUGAGUAUGAAUUUGAGGUAAUAGAUGAGAAUAAUAAAACAUUUAUAGUUAAUAUGCAGAAUAAAACUUGUGAUUGUGGUGUUUAUCAAAUUUGUGGGAUACCAUGUAAACAUAUCAUCCCAUGUAUUGCUUUAAGACAUGAAGAUGCUGCUGAUUAUGUGGAUAAAAAACUGACAGUGGAAGCAUAUUUGGCCACAUAUGCAAAUAUCAUACAUCCACUUCCAUAUCAAAGUACAUGGGCUGUUGUUGAAGGUCUAAAAGUCUUAUCUCCAUAUGUCAAAACAAGAGUUGGUAGGCCUAAAAUAGUGAGGAAAAGAGAGCCAGGGGAAGAACAAGGGAAAAGAAAGACCAAGCAAAAAUGUAGCUGUUGUGCAAUUUUCGGCCAUAAUAAAAGAUUAUAUAAAAGACCAAUUGAUUCCACUCAACACCCCUCAGGUAAGCCUAAAUUUCUUUUUUUUUUUAUUUUACUUUUUUAUAUAAAAAUAAAAUUUAUAUAUUAAUAUUUAUACAUUUAUCGUGCAGGAACAACCACACAAGAUAUGAGAUGAAGCUCACAAGCUAGUAAUCAGAGUUGUUAUACCAAUUUGUGAACAGAUUAUGUUUUUUUUUCAAAAAAUAUUAUGGUUAUUGUUGUAAUGUUUACCAGUACUAAUUUGAUACAAUAUUAUAAUACAAUUAUUUUUUGUUAUGUUUACUGGAUUGAUGGUUUUAAUGUCUAUUGGAUAUGUUAUUUAGUACAAUUAAGAUUUUGUAAUUAUUGUUGUAAAUAAUUUUUUUUUAUUUUUGAUUAUAUAAGUUUAAAUGAUUGACAUAUGGAGAAUUGUUAUUUUUAUUAUAUUAAUAAUCAAUUUAAUUUAUUUUUAUUCUUGAGCAAUGAAUUAAAUUUAUUUAGUUUGAAGAGAAAAAUUAACAAAAAUUAAAUGGAAAAAUUGGGUAAUGAAGUUAUAUUCGUAAUUAUAUUAAUAAUAUAGGGAUAAAUUGGACAAUGAACAAUUAGUUUUUAAUAUGCUAUAAGGGUAUAAUGGUAAUUGUACUUUAAAAUUAUAAUUUCACUCAAAAGAAACGGUUUCCGUUAACUAAUGGGGGUCUGAGUGUCUUUUUUGAAACAUGAGGGGUUUUAUGUCCCUUAUUCAAACGUUGGGGGUCUCUGUGUCCUUUUCCCAAUAAUUUAUCAUCAUGUGUUAAGUGACGAUUGACUUUAUUAAUUAUUGGUACAAAAUUAAUAUGCCAAGCACAAAUGAUCAACUGAGAUACAAAAUCUUGGUUCUCCACUGCGUGUGUAUAUUAUACCAUGUAAUGUUGUUAUCACCACCCAAAACUCUCUCCGAAUUAAGUAGGUAUAGGCGCUAAUUCAUCACAAGAUUAUUACUGCACUCGCAUGAAGUGAAAAUAGAUUUGUUGGAUAUCCCUUAUUCAUAUUUUUUCUCAUUAGUCAUAAUUGUCCCAUAGACAAUAACAAAUGUAGGAUUUUAAAAUGAAUAAAAAAGUUCUUUUCAAUAAUCUCAUAUUUACAAAUUAUAUUUUCUUUUAGUGUUUCCAAAAAAGAGGAACAUGUAAAAAAUAUAUAUUAGCUUGUUAUACGACUCUUUUUGGUCAAGUGAUAGUGCUUCAGGUAAUUUUUAUAAAUAAAAUUAAGUUUUGUUUCAAAUAAGCACUCCCCCCCUAAAAAAAAAGAAGGGGAGAAGGCAAAACCCAGAUUGAUUUCUUAGCGUUACUUUUCUCAAAAUCCAGACUCAAGUGGUCGGGCAAAGAAAUUUGCGUAAAAACCACUCGGUCAAGACCUUUGGCCUCAUUGAGUACUCAUUGAUGGCGAUAUAAUUAAUUAAUUCUAAUGUGACCAACUCAUUUGCACGUGAGAGAAAAUGAAUGUUAAUUAUACUUCACCAGCAACUAUAUCCAAUUUUGUUAUUUUAUAUUAUUAAGUCUCAAGAUGGUUAUGUUUCAUACACAUUUAACUAAUUAAGAACAUAAUAAAUACUUAUAUGGAAUAAAUAAUUUUCAUAAUAGUACAUGAAUGUUCAUUCCUGGUGCUUGCGUAUCAUAGUAAUAUAAAUAGCGUGAAGAGAUGGAGUAAUAACUUAUAAUUAGAUUUGUAGAGUGUGGCUCAUUAUAUUAGAAUAACACAAACAAGCAAUACAACAAAGACGCAACAAACAUUGACUCGUUCCUUAUUCAGAAGCUACGUACGGUAUAGUUAUGGCUAACCGUACACUGUACGUAGCUUGUUAUUGUUCUAAACACAAGACGACUGAAACGAGACACAUCACACGAACGACAGCAAAUAAUUAAGGUAGCCACAGCUAGCUUUCGCUGCUAACGAUGGAUAUAAUUUCUUUCAUUGAUAAGCAACUAGCACUCGAAGUAACAGAAGCACGCAUAACCAGUUCCUUGUCUGUAGCAAGCCCCGUACCUUGCAUCCUCCUGCUGCUUGCAGUGCCUGCUACAUUUCCCCGUGUUGAGACACGGCCCCGACCAUGUCUUGCUACGCCGCUGGCACACUUUUGCUUCCGCCAUUGGCACUUCUGUAACAAGCAUACAAAAUCAUUAACGUGCACUUAGAUAUAUAAGUUAUUAUCAAAGCUCAUGGGUGUCAACAAAUUCAGGUGGUAAAAUGAUCUCUUAGGUUGAAACAAGAAGUCUGAGGUUUAAACUCUGCUUACAUGAAUGGAAGAGUGCUUUAUAUUACAAUAUACCAGUAUACAAACACACACACACACACACUAAAAUCUGAAAUAAAAAAAAAAUUGUUAUGAAAGUUUAAUAUGCAUGCAUAUGAAACAUAUAUAUGAUUUUGCUUCCCCUCUGGCAUUUCUGUAACACAUACACAGCAUAUUUAAUGCACUCAGUUAGCUAAUAUUAGUUAGGCACGUGGGCUUAUGAAUGGUAUUUAGUGUCAGACUCAUGCGCAAGUAUGCCCUCAUCGCUUAAGAGCAGUUAUUCAAGAAAACUUCAACUAUAAACUAACUUUUUGAGUAUGAGUUAGGCUCAAGUCUUUUUGAAACUGCACAACUUAAUAUCAUAGGCAAAACUUAAAAUUAAAUUUUGAUUGCUGAAAAACUAUUAAGUACUGGUUAACAUCAAGUCACUCACCGAAGGAAGCAAAGAGUAUGAAGAACGCAAAAAUAAGAGCAAAAGCUGUGGUAAUGCUAGCAACUGACUUAGCCAUUUUUGCACUUGCUUUGGUUUUAAUUUGAUGAAAUUGCUGAAGGCCCCAACCCCUAUUUAUACUUGGAUAUAAGCUGUCUCUUCGUCUCUAGCCAAGAUCCGCGAGAGACAAAGAAACAAUAAAUUAAUUAACCGGGGAAAUUUGAAUUAGACACUAAAAAAUGAAUUCACGCUCGGAUUAUUGACAAAAAAUUUUACAGUUUAUGCAAAUAAUUGUGAAUUAGAAUGACGUCCUGCCAAUUGCUAUAUUAUAUGCACUCUGAAGUAGUCUUAGGUAGUUGAAAUCUUCAAAUUUAAAUAUAAUACGCAAUGCGAACUUCAAUGACCCAUUCUUCCCCAUAACCUUGUCAUUGACAAAAGAUUUUACAGUUUAUUCAGAUAAUUGUGAAUUGAAAUAGUGUCCUGCCAAGUGCUCUAUUUCAUUAUUUCAUAUGCACUCUGAAGUAGUCUUAGUUAAAAUCUUAAAAUUUAAAUAUCAUAUUCAAUGCCCGACUUCAAUGACCCAUUCUUCCCUAUAACCUUGUUAAACCACCCUAUCGGAUUCUGUAUAUUCUAUUUAUUGUGUGGUUAAUUGUUCUUAUCAAUCGGAUCUAUGACAUACAGCGCUUCAUCUACGUAGCAAAAUGAUGGUGCAAGUAUAAUUUUCUAUUGCUAUAAACAGAAAAUUAAACGUUUUAUUCAUACUAUUACUUUUAUAAGUUUUAUGUAAACUUUUAAAGACCACAUUGAAAAGAUAAAUUCACUCUUGUUAUCAUUCAAUUUAGCUUAAGGUCAAUUUAUACCAGAAUAUUGAGAAGAUAGAAAGAACUUAAACAAUCAUACUAAAUAGAGGAUUUCUUCCAUAUUUUUAAUACUAUAAUGUCGAUGAUACGUACUAUUUUUACAUUCAAUGAUGAAAAUGAUUUUGGCUCAUAUUAGUCUUAAUAAAGAAGAAUUAAUAUUUAGGAUCAUAAAGUGAUCCCUUUUUUAUGAAAUUCUUAUUUAUUUCUGACAAAAAAUCUUAAAGAUAACAAGACAACUGAAGAGAAAAUUCCUCCAAACAUACAUAAAAACCAUGACAACAAAAAUGAAAAUGAGCCAAAGCAUUUCUUGAUUACAAAUUCUUGGGACAUUAACAGAUUCGAAAAUCUUACUUUGAUACAGGUAAGUGUUAGAGAUUAGAAAUAAUAUGAAACAACUAUGUAUGAGUAUGAUGGAUAACCCUAAAUCAGCUAAACAACGCACAACAUAGUCAUCCUAAUCUUAUUAAAGGGAUGUAUCUUCGACAACUUAUUUGAUCUCUUAUGCUGUGGGGGCCAAAUUCAUUUAUGUGGGGGAAAUUUUGUGAACUAUGACUUCAAAUUCUUGUACGUGUAAGGUAAGAACUCUCGUCUAAAAGCCUUGUUUUAUUAGGUGAUUAUUGACAUAGACAAAUAAAAUAUAGGCAAUUGAUUAGUGAUUACGACAAUGUUGAUGCGUAAUCAAAUAGAAUAUUUAUGAUUUUUUUAUGCUCAUCGGAUGUUAAUAAGAUAAGAAUCGCGAUGAAAAGUUCAUCAAUGUAUAUGGUACGCAUGUUGAUAGAGGACAAAAACAUUGUUUGAAAUUAAUAUUUUUUUGGGUUUAAAGGUAUUGGACUUUUCUUCUUUGACUAUGGAUAGUAGUUUUUUUUGGAAUCAAAUACAGUAUGAUUAUUUGAACAUAUUAAAAUACUCAAUAAACAUGUUUACUAAAAUACUCUUAUUAAAGAUUUCUCUCAUUGUUUCUUUUUCAACCCUCCAUCCACUCUUAAUUCUCUCCCAUCUUUUAUCUGCCAGUAUUGUCUUAUCUAGAAUAGAAAUUUAGGCUAUGGACAUCUAGUAAUAAAAAUUUAAAAACUUAAAUAAAAAAUGAAAAAAUGAGUCUAAUGAGCAAUUUUAUGGGUUCAAAUAAUUAAUUCCGCCUACUCAAGUGCCAGUAUUGUCCUAUCUAUAAUAUAAAUUUAGGCUAUGGACAUUCUAGUAAUAAAAAUUUAAAAACUUAAAUAAAAAUGAGUCUAAUGAGUAAUUUUAUGGGUUCAAAUAAUUAAUUCCUUCUACUCAAGUAUUAUUCUUUUAUUUCUGGAUAAUAGUAACAAAGUACGAUUUCAAAGAUAACAAUUCAGAUGGGUAGGAAAGUCUUCCAAUAAAUAUUAGAUAUUUAAAUUAGUAGUUUGAAGAUAAAAUACUAGUAGGAUCAUGGAGCGGGGACAUGACUGGAUUAGCAACAAUGUUUUUUAAAAGGUAGAGAUGUGGGUAAAAAUUAAAAUGCUUUUUUAAUAUUUAACAUCAAUUAAAUAAGACUUCUUAAAAGUAGUUGGCUAGAUCCUGGAGGUGAUUACCUGCAAAAUUCAUUACAUUGAUGAAGGAGUAUCUAAUUAGCAGAUUUGAUAUUACUCCUAUAGUUAUAGGAUGGAUAAAAGUAUUAAUUGGAAAAAAGUGUUAAUGGAGAAUAAAUGGUGGAUAUCAUUAUGUGGCUCGAACUCAUAUGCAGAUACGCUAUUACUGCACUCGCAUGAAGUGAAAAUAGAUUUGUUGGACAUCCCUUAUUCAUAUUUUUUCUCAUUAGUCAUAAUUGUCCCAUAGACAAUAACAAAUGUAGGAUUUUAAAAUGAAUAAAAAAGGUUCUUUUCAAUAAUCUCAUAUUUACAAAUUUUAUUUUCUUUUAGUGUUUCCAAAAAAGAGAAACAUGUAAAAAAUAUAUAUUAGCUUGUUAUACGAUUCUUUUUGGUCAAAGUAGUGACAGUGCUUCAUAUGUGGCUCGAACUCAUACGCAGAUACGCUAUUAUAAAUUGCAAUCCUACCUAUAAUUAGGUUGAAUGACCAAAUGAAGAUACAAUAAUCUUGAACUCACAUAUAAAAUUGUAACAGUAGGAACAAAUAAUGUGAAACAUUAAACCAAACAAUAUUCAGUCAUAGUUCAAGGUAUACAUUUAUAAAAAAAAAAAAAAGCACAAUAAACAUCGAUUAUUUUCAUGAAAAUAGCCACAUAUAACCAACAGUAAGGUUACUUAUUAUUUUAAAUAUUAUUUCGUGAAACAGCUGCAGCUACAUAGCUGACCAACACAACAGUAGCUUGUUAUUUCCAAACACAAGAGGAAUAAACACCCAAAAGCAGCAAAAGGCAUGAAUGCAGCUUCUUCAAGUUGAGUAACUAUAGCUAGCAAUUGAAGAAGCAGAAGCAGGCAAAACCAAGGCCAUCUCUGUGGCAAGCACCGCUACUUGCACCCUCGCGUUCUCGGCACUGUUUAUCACAGUCUUCUGUUACGAAGCACGGGCCAGUCCAAGUCUUACUACGCCGCUCGCAUAGUGCAGCCUCUGCCGGCUUUGCCAUUUCUGUAAUACACAACACUUACACAAAAUGAUUAAUUUCUAGUUAAUUAAAUUUUAUAAUGCAUGCGUGCUUGCAGAAACUUAUCAUCAUGAAGUACACAUCAAUGUCACUCACCGAACGAAGCGAAGAUGAUGAAGAAUGCAAAAAGAAGAGCAAAAGUCAUUGUAAAGCCAGAAACAGAUUUAGCCAUUUUAAUUUUUAUUUGUUGCACUUGCUGAACUGGUUUAUUAUUUCAUGAAAAUGGUAAGUGACGCGUAGCCCCAAUUUAUACACUUGCAAUGUAAGCUAUCCCUUCCCUUUUUGAGAAAGUUUCGAUGAAAUUUUAGACCUUACUAGUUUUUUAAUAUAUCGAUAAAGUGCAAGGUUUAAUUGUUGUUUUGUAACCAUCUCCCACGUUGGGAAUAUGUAAACAACAAAUAUAUCAGUACCAACAAAGACAGAUAAAUAUUUUCAGCCGAUGUGGCAAACAAGGUUGUGAGGCCAAAAUAAAAUAUUUACAAAGUAAUGAGGUAAAAAUGUAAAAUUUAAAAAUAGUUAAAUUUUAUAAUUUUAUAAUUAUUUUCAAAUCUUUUUCUUUUACGUUGCUUUCUAAAAAAUUUCAAAAAGUAAGCCGGGGUUUACCCUGAUUUUUUUUUUUUUUUGGUUUUUUUAAACUUUAAAAUUUCAAAGAUAAGUUAGGGUUGCCUUGAAAGCCUUUGCUAUAGGUUGCAUUACUUUUGAAAAAUUUUCAAAAAGUCAGGGGUCACCUUGGCGCAAACGCUCUUCCGCUUCUAUAUUUAUAUUAAUCUCGAACUUACUUCAAUAUAUAUCUAGUUUCCCUAUCAAGUGAUAACAUAACAUCACUGCUACAAUAAUCCUAAACUUUCAUAUUGUUGGGUGUGGGUACAUAGAGAUACAUCAACAAAUGGUACAAUGAAACUUCAUCGGGCCAGACCAAUAACUUAAUUAUAUCUAGGAUGUAAUGGGAGGGAAAAAAAAUUCGAUCCUACACAAAUAAUUUUGGGAAAAGGACACAAGGACCCCCAACGUUUGAGUAAGGGACACAAAACUCCCUAAGGUUUUAAAAAAGAUACGCAGACCCCAAUUAAUUAACGGAAAUCGUUUCGUUAAAUCACUACAAGGUUAAUACCGUAAUUACAAAUUAAAAACAAGUGAAUUGACUAAAACCCACACACACAUCACACGGACAAACAAACCCCACACACACUGAUUCCAGACAAAUCUUUUAACACACACUCACGGUUUGCCUUGCCGAAAGCUGCUGGGGUUGCCGGAAGUUGCUGGAACUGGUCACGCUACUGGAAGCUGCUGGAAACUGCUCGUGCGUCGAUCGAGACUGUGUCUGGUUGCCGGAUCUGCUCGCGAUCAAACGUUUGGCUGCUGGUUGUGCUGUUGGAACUGCUGGAAUCUCGCGUUUGGCUGUUGGAACUGCUCGUGUUUGGGUUGCUGCUCUUGCUGUGGAAUCUCGCGUUUGGCUGCUGCUUGUGCUCGCGUUUGGUUGCUGAUCCUGCCUGUUGAAUCUCACGUUUGGCUGCUGCUCUUGCUUGUGGAAUCUCGCGUUUGGCUACUGCUUGUGCUCGCUUUUGGUUUGCUGCUCUUGCUUGUGGAAUCCAGGGUUCAAUUCUCUUAAGUCCUAUUUUUCUCUUUAAUUUUCAUUUUUUUUACUAAAUUAACUUCUCUAGCAUGUUUGAUGCAUAUGUGAUGUAUGUGCAAGAAUAUAAAUAAAAUGAUUACGAGAAUUUUUUUUUUUUUUGUUUAUGGUUGUUUGAUGAACAGAGUUCUUAAUUUGUCUGAUUUAUUGGAAGAUUUCUUGCUAAUUACUUUUGUUAUUUCUUUUCUUUAUCAAUUUUUAGAUGUGCAUGGAAUUUUCUUUAUCAAAUUUAUUUUGUUAUAUCUAACCCAGUUGGGCUAGAAUUCUACCUAGGUGAGAUAUUAUGCAUUUUUUUAAUGGUCCUGGAGCAUGUGAAUUUUGUGCUUAAUUUAUUAAUGAAAGAAUGUAUUGGUUUGCAGAUGGUUGAUCAGCCAUCCCAAAACCUGAAUACUCACUCACUUUAUUCUUUUGAACAAGAAGAUGAUGAAGCAUAUUGGUCAAAUGAUGACAAUGAAGACAUAACACCUGCUGAUGAUGAAAUAGGAUUAAAUUGGGAUGAUGAGGGAGUGGAUGUUGGGCAUAGUGAAGGUUGUGAAGAAGUGGAUUAUAAAGAUAGUGAAGAAGAAGAUAGAAUUCUUUCUAAUUGUGAGUCAGAUGAUAGAGAGCAUGGCCUGCUUUCUGAUUCUGAAGAUGAGCAAUCAUUUCAUUGUUCAAAAUCUAACCCCAAUGAAAUGAUUGAAAUCAGUGUUGGGCAGGAGUUCGACAAUGUCCAACAUUUCAGAAGAGUACUUGAAAACUACGUUAUUAAGAAUGGGUUUGAUCUUAAUAGAAUUAAGAAUGAGAAGAGAAGGUUCAGGGCAAAGUGUUCCAAUGAGGGCUGUCCGUGGUUUAUUUAUGCAGCACUAGUAGAAUCUGGGACAAAAUUCAGAAUUCAGAAGCUGAAUAAUGUACAUGAAUGUAAUGGAGUGUUAGAGAGCAAAGAGGCAUCAUAUAAAUGGAUUGCCUCUCAGUUUGAGGGAACUUUGAAGAACAACCCAAAAAUGCCAGUAAAGGGAAUGAAAGAUGAAUUGGUUUCUAAUUUAGGGAUUAAGGCAAGCAUGAAGAAAAUGUAUAGGGCCAAGAAAAGAGCAAUGGAUAAAUUAAAUGGGAACUAUGCAAAUUCUUAUCAGAGGCUAAGGGAUUAUGCCCAAAUACUCAAACAAAGCAAUCCCAAUACGUUAGUAAAGAUGAAAUUUGUGCCUAGUUUUGAUCAAGAUAGAAGACCAGCUUUGAAGUUUCAGAGAUUUAUGCUUAGCUUUGUUGCUUUGAAGAAUGGAUUCAUUAAUGGAUGUCGAUGGUUUAUUGGAUUGGAUGGUUGUCAUUUAAAGGGGCAUUUCAGAGGUGUACUAUUAUCAGCAGUGGCAUUAGAUGCAAACAAUGGAAUUUUUUCGAUUGCCGUUUGUAUUUGUGAAUCAGAAUGUGCUGAUAGUUGGAAAUGGUUUUUGGCAAUAUUGAGUGAGUGGUUGAACAUAGAGAAUCAAAGUCGAGUAACGUUUAGGACAGAUAGGCAAAAAGGAAUAUUACUAGGUUUGGAAGCAUAUUGGCAUGGUGCAACAGUGAGGCAUUGUGCCAGACAUAUAUUUGCUAACUUAAGAAGUAAUCAUCCUGAUAUCAUCUACAGAAACCUAUUUUGGACAGCAGCAAGAGCCACUAGUGAAAAAGAAUGGGAAGACAACAUGAACAAAAUAAAAACAGCUAAAAAGACACGCAAGCUGCUUAUGAUUAUUUGAUUAAGAUUGACAAGAAACAGUGGGCUAGACAUGCAUUUCCUGAUGAUGUAAAAGUUGAUCAUGUAACUAACAACUUAAAUGAGUCAUGGAACAGCUGGUUAAAUGAAUACAAAGACAACCCUGUGUUGACACUUAUGGAAUUCAUUCGGAAGAAAGUUAUGAAAAGACUGUAUAAAAGGCAUUCUGAUGCAAGAAAAUGGAUUGGGAAGCUACCUCCAACUGUGAGGAGAAAGUUGAAUGUUUCCAGACAAGAAGGAAGAUAUGUAAGGGUGCUUAUGGCUAGUGAGUAUGAAUUUGAGGUAAUAGAUGAGAAUAAUAAAACAUUUAUAGUUAAUAUGCAGAAUAAAACUUGUGAUUGUGGUGUUUAUCAAAUUUGUGGGAUACCAUGUAAACAUAUCAUCCCAUGUAUUGCUUUAAGACAUGAAGAUGCUGCUGAUUAUGUGGAUAAAAAACUGACAGUGGAAGCAUAUUUGGCCACAUAUGCAAAUAUCAUACAUCCACUUCCAUAUCAAAGUACAUGGGCUGUUGUUGAAGGUCUAAAAGUCUUAUCUCCAUAUGUCAAAACAAGAGUUGGUAGGCCUAAAAUAGUGAGGAAAAGAGAGCCAGGGGAAGAACAAGGGAAAAGAAAGACCAAGCAAAAAUGUAGCUGUUGUGCAAUUUUCGGCCAUAAUAAAAGAUUAUAUAAAAGACCAAUUGAUUCCACUCAACACCCCUCAGGUAAGCCUAAAUUUCUUUUUUUUUUUAUUUUACUUUUUAUAUAAAAAUAAAAUUUAUAUAUUAAUAUUUAUACAUUUAUCGUGCAGGAACAACCACACAAGAUGAGAUGAAGCUCACAAGCUAGUAAUCAGAGUUGUUAUACCAAUUUGUGAACAGAUUAUGUUUUUUUUUCAAAAAAUAUUAUGGUUAUUGUUGUAAUGUUUACCAGUACUAAUUUGAUACAAUAUUAUAAAUACAAUUAUUUUUUGUUAUGUUUACUGGAUUGAUGGUUUUAAUGUCUAUUGGAUAUGUUAUUUAGUACAAUUAAGAUUUUGUAAUUAUUGUUGUAAAUAAUUUUUUUUAUUUUGUUGAUUAUAUAAGUUUAAAUGAUUGACAUAUGGAGAAUUGUUAUUUUUAUUAUAUUAAUAAUCAAUUUAAUUUAUUUUUAUUCUUGAGCAAUGAAUUAAAUUUAUUUAGUUUGAGAGAAAAAUUAACAAAAAUUAAAUGGAAAAAUUGGGUAAUGAAGUUAUAUUCGUAAUUAUAUUAAUAAUAUAGGGAUAAAUUGGACAAUGAACAAUUAGUUUUUAAUAUGCUAUAAGGGUAUAAUGGUAAUUGUACUUUAAAAUUAUAAUUUCACUCAAAAGAAACGGUUUCCGUUAACUAAUGGGGGUCUGAGUGUCUUUUUUGAAACAUGAGGGGGUUUUAUGUCCCUUAUUCAAACGUUGGGGUCUCUGUGUCCUUUUCCCAAUAAUUUAUCAUCAUGUGUUAAGUGACGAUUGACUUUAUUAAUUAUUGGUACAAAAUUAAUAUGCCAAGCACAAAUGAUCAACUGAGAUACAAAAUCUUGGUUCUCCACUGCGUGUGUAUAUUAUACCAUGUAAUGUUGUUAUCACCACCCAAAACUCUCUCCGAAUUAAGUAGGUAUAGGCGCUAAUUCAUCACAAGAUUAUUACUGCACUCGCAUGAAGUGAAAAUAGAUUUGUUGGAUAUCCCUUAUUCAUAUUUUUUCUCAUUAGUCAUAAUUGUCCCAUAGACAAUAACAAAUGUAGGAUUUUAAAAUGAAUAAAAAAGUUCUUUUCAAUAAUCUCAUAUUUACAAAUUAUAUUUUCUUUUAGUGUUUCCAAAAAAAGGAACAUGUAAAAAUAUAUAUUAGCUUGUUUAUACGACUCUUUUUGGUCAAGUGAUAGUGCUUCAGGUAAUUUUUAUAAAUAAAUUAAGUUUUGUUUCAAAUAAGCACUCCCCCCUAAAAAAAAAAGAAGGGGAGAAGGCAAAACCCAGAUUGAUUUCUUAGCGUUACUUUUCUCAAAAUCCAGACUCAAGUGGUCGGGCAAAGAAAUUUGCGUAAAAACCACUCGGUCAAGACCUUUGGCCUCAUUGAGUACUCAUUGAUGGCGAUAUAAUUAAUUAAUUCUAAUGUGACCAACUCAUUUGCACGUGAGAGAAAAUGAAUGUUAAUUAUACUUCACCAGCAACUAUAUCCAAUUUUGUUAUUUUAUAUUAUUAAGUCUCAAGAUGGUUAUGUUUCAUACACAUUUAACUAAUUAAGAACAUAAUAAAUACUUAUAUGAAUAAAUAAUUUUCAUAAUAGUACAUGAAUGUUCAUUCCUGGUGCUUGCGUAUCAUAGUAAUAUAAAUAGCGUGAAGAGAUGGAGUAAUAACUUAUAAUUAGAUUUGUAGAGUGUGGCUCAUUAUAUUAGAAUAACACAAACAAGCAAUACAACAAAGACGCAACAAACAUUGACUCGUUCCUUAUUCAGAAGCUACGUACGGUAUAGUUAUGGCUAACCGUACACUGUACGUAGCUUGUUAUUGUUCUAAACACAAGACGACUGAAACGAGACACAUCACACGAACGACAGCAAAUAAUUAAGGUAGCCACAGCUAGCUUUCGCUGCUAACGAUGGAUAUAAUUUCUUUCAUUGAUAAGCAACUAGCACUCGAAGUAACAGAAGCACGCAUAACCAGUUCCUUGUCUGUAGCAAGCCCCGUACCUUGCAUCCUCCUGCUGCUUGCAGUGCCUGCUACAUUUCCCCGUGUUGAGACACGGCCCCGACCAUGUCUUGCUACGCCGCUGGCACACUUUUGCUUCCGCCAUUGGCACUUCUGUAACAAGCAUACAAAUCAUUAACGUGCACUUAGAUAUAUAAGUUAUUAUCAAAGCUCAUGGGUGUCAACAAAUUCAGGUGGUAAAAUGAUCUCUUAGGUUGAAACAAGAAGUCUGAGGUUUAAACUCUGCUUACAUGAAUGGAAGAGUGCUUUAUAUUACAAUAUACCAGUAUACAAACACACACACACACACACUAAAAUCUGAAAUAAAAAAAAAAAUUGUUAUGAAAGUUUAAUAUGCAUGCAUAUGAAACAUAUAUAUGAUUUUGCUUCCCCCUCUGGCAUUUCUGUAACACAUACACAGCAUAUUUAAUGCACUCAGUUAGCUAAUAUUAGUUAGGCACGUGGGCUUAUGAAUGGUAUUUUAGUGUCAGACUCAUGCGCAAGUAUGCCCUCAUCGCUUAAGAGCAGUUAUUCAAGAAAACUUCAACUAUAAACUAACUUUUUGAGUAUGAGUUAGGCUCAAGUCUUUUUGAAACUGCACAACUUAAUAUCAUAGGCAAAACUUAAAAUUAAAUUUUGAUUGCUGAAAAACUAUUAAGUACUGGUUAACAUCAAGUCACUCACCGAAGGAAGCAAAGAGUAUGAAGAACGCAAAAAUAAGAGCAAAAGCUGUGGUAAUGCUAGCAACUGACUUAGCCAUUUUUGCACUUGCUUUGGUUUUAAUUUGAUGAAAUUGCUGAAGGCCCCAACCCCUAUUUAUACUUGGAUAUAAGCUGUCUCUUCGUCUCUAGCCAAGAUCCGCGAGAGACAAAGAAACAAUAAAUUAAUUAACCGGGGAAAUUUGAAUUAGACACUAAAAAAUGAAUUCACGCUCGGAUUAUUGACAAAAAAUUUUACAGUUUAUGCAAAUAAUUGUGAAUUAGAAUGACGUCCUGCCAAUUGCUAUAUUAUAUGCACUCUGAAGUAGUCUUAGGUAGUUGAAAUCUUCAAAUUUAAAUAUAAUACGCAAUGCGAACUUCAAUGACCCAUUCUUCCCCAUAACCUUGUCAUUGACAAAAGAUUUUACAGUUUAUUCAGAUAAUUGUGAAUUGAAAUAGUNNNNNUUAAUUAAUUAANNNNNUUUUUUUUUUUUUAGAAACACUCGUGUUUAUUCAAUCAGAUUAAUGAUAGCAAUCAAAUAAAAGUAUAAGCAUUAUCUCCAGUCUAAAGCAACAUCACACCCACAUCAACCAUCCACAUGAAUAGCCCAGUAGACUUUGUUAUAGCUACUUUCAAGAAUGACAUGUCAAACCCCAAAAUCUCACUGGAAGUAGUGACACACUCUCACAAAGAAAUUAAACCCAAUAAACAUAGUCACUCCAAUGAAUGGUAAUUGAGAGAGAAAAUAAAAAGAAAUGAUAUCACAUGCUCUCACCAAGAUGAAAUAAAUAUGCCCUCAGCUUAGAAAUAAUACGAUCUCAAGUCAAAUAAAAUGUUAGUCAACCCACUUUAUUUAUCUUUUUUUUUUUUUAUUAUGCAUCACUACAUCUUUUUAGCCCAUAUAACUAGCUUCUACUUCAAACUAUAGUUCCCUAAAAUCAAGAAGGACUUUUAUUAGGACGUAACGUAGGCUAGGGAUAUGGCUAACAAAGAAGGGAAAUAAGGAAAACAAAGUGUAUGUUUGAGAAAAAUGCAGAGAAAUUUUUUUUUUUUUUGGAAGUUGCAAGGUGGAUUUCACCUAUUAUUGUUAUUUUUAUUCUUUUGAAACAACAAUUUUUUUCUUUUUUUUUUUUUUUUUUUCUUUUUUUUUUUUUUUGGGCAUAACUUCACUACAAAAUGUUUAUUUACAUUUUUCUCAAACAUAAAUAGGUGAUGGAAUUGUAAGAUAUUGGGUAAUACUCCAAAUCGGAGUGGGUCAAGAUGAUAAGUUAAACAAAGAAAAGUUUUUUUUUUUUAUUUAAAGGCUCAAAUGGUUAACUAUGGAUACUUGAUAAAGGGAUGGCUAGAAAGGCUCAAACGGAUCAAAGAUGGCCUUUCCAUCGUCUUUUAGGGCUCUAAAUAAUCAUCCAUAUCUACUAGUUAGAUGGGCCUCCCAAUGUAGCAAACACACACUUUUUUUUUUUUUUUUUUAAGGUUAACUCAAAAGAAAUCUAGAGAUCGUGUAUAAUAAUAAACUGUUAAGCUUAUAAAAGAAUGGGCAAAAGGGUUACUCUCCAAGAAAAAUGAUAGGCUCAAAAACUCACUUGGUACUUAUUAUGACAUGUUCAUUCCUUCAAGCAACUCAUAUUUGUCUCCGACAUCAACAUGUAGAGUAGCAAACAUAAUGUAACAUCACUUAAGACCAAAGAUAAUACAAAUACUAAAAUUUGAAAUUAAUCAUGUCAUCAAAGUUAAAACAAAUCACACAAUUUUUUUUUUAAACAACAUUCUACCCCCCAACCUAUUCUAAACAUGAAAGGAAAAUAUGCAUGCAGAAAUGUGAAAAUGAUGCAUAAAAACUAAUUAGAAAAGUUAUAAAAUGAUAGAAAAAAUGAAAUUUUUUUUUUUUAAUUUUUUUUUAAAGAGAAGAUGCGUUUCUAGAGGCACUACACUCCAUAUUCAGCAUCUUCGACUCAAAAGUUGAAAAUAUAUAUUUAAAGGAGAAAUUAAAAAGAAGAAGAAAAAUGAACAUCAAAACAUAAUAAAGAAAAAGAAAAUGUUUGAAUUUUUUUGUUUUUUUUUUUUUUUUUUUAAUUUUUUUUUUUUUUAAACGAUGAAGAUGCGUUUCUAGAGUCACUACACUCCAUAUUCAGCCAUCUUCAACACAAAAAGUUAGCAACAGUUAGUUUCUACAACAAAAAAUCAGUAAAACUUAACCAAGAUUCCACAAUUGUCGACUAUUCCCUCCCCCAACCAGAACGAAACAUUGUCCUCAAUGUUUUAAAGGAAAGAAGUAGAGUUUAGAAGACAUCACCUGGGUGGUGCAACACAGAAGAAAUAUUUACAGGCGGAGAGUUAAAUCUAAUUUGUACUUCUUACUGCGGCUACUGUUACCAUCAUUAUUUGGUCGCUCCAACACAAAGGUCCAGGGGUCUGGCUCCGGUUUAUAAGCUUGUAACAUAUCAAGUAGCUCAUUAGCAGUGUGCACAAAUAAAAAGUUUUUUUACAUUAGAAGGAAUGAAAUAGUUUUUUAUUGCAUGGUUAAGAAAUGCGAUAAAGCCAUCAUAAAAGUUAUUGACAUUUAACAAACCGAUGGGUUUCUGGUGGAUGUGCAGAUGGGCCCAAGAUGCUAGUGUCAUAAGUGCCUCUAGUGUUGCAAGAUCUCCUGGAAGGAAAAUAAAAGCAUCAGCAUGAUUAAGCAUUUCAGUUAUUCUUUCUUGCAUACCUGAGACGACUAACUCUUCUCCAGUUGAUGAGUCAGACGAACUGCCCAAUGGUUUUAGGACUCUUGGGAUGAUGCCUAACACUUGACUUCCUCUGAUAAAAGCUGCUUCUGAGACCAUUUUUUGAUAACCCUCGGUUACCUCCUCCAUACACCAAAUGUAAUUUUCUCGCUGCUAUGCUUCGACCAAGAUCUAUGGCUGCCUCCACGAACUCUUUAUGUUUGCCAUAGGUAAAUCCAGAAAGCACACAAAUGUUCUUGAAUUGUCUAUUGGGAGUAGCUGCCAUUGUGAUACUUCUCAAAAAUAAUUUGUGAGUGCUUGACAAAAGAUAAAUCACAUUUAAGAAUCUUGGUGACAAUGGAUCACAGCUGUGAAUGAGGUAACAUGUCAGUGUCAAAUAACGCGUAAAGCACGUGGCUCGCGAGUCAAAAAGGAAACAGUAAAAAGAAAAAGCAAACAGUAAUAAAAUUAUUAAAGACAAUAAUGCAAACAAUAAAACAACAGUGAAAUGAAAUAAAAUAACAGUAAAGUAAAAGGAUAUUUACACGUAGUUGCGACUGUGGCUCACAUCUUCCUCUGGUUUUACGUCCAGAAACGGCUUGAACGCCCUCUAUGGGUCGAGGAUAGGCUUCCCAUCCAGUUUUCUUAUAAACUGGCAAACAGGGUCGUUUAUAGUCAGAUUCCCGAGACUAUAUCGUGCAUGCUCUUUCUGGAAUAAUGGCCAUAACUGGAGAAUCGCUCCUUGCACAUAUCCACUGGGAUGCGUUUCAAGAGACAAAAGGAUAUCAUCCAAUGACUCCUUAUUCAAGCCAUCCCUAAUGAAUUGAAUCUUAUCUUCUCUGUUAUCAGACACCAUUCCUAAAUAACAUGGGUGUCUAUCGCAACUCAUUCUGGCACACUUGUGACAAGCAACAGAAAUUCUUCGAGCUCGUCGUUUUCUUGCGUAAUUUCCUUUACCACAACCAGGCAUGUAUGCAAUAAAUUUAGGAGGUAACUCACCUGCCAAUCGUACUUUAGCCUCAAUUAACCAACGAAUGUCAGCAGGUAAUGUUAUUCUUUAUGAGUAAUCGCAUGCGUUCGGUCCGAGCUUUAUAGAUCGUAAGGAGGGCAUUCUGAGGAAGUGAAUGGAAUCGCUUGUGAAGCUUCGCUAGAAUCUCGUUUUUGUCCAUACUUUCGCCUCAGAAUGUCAGUUAUUGUGGGAAACUGAAGUAACCGACUUGAUUAUCACGGAGUACCGUUAUUCGCCACUUCACCGGGGUAACAAACUAAAGCACACAAACAGAAAAACAAAUCAAAACACACAAAGAAAAUUAAAAUCGUCCUCUUAUUGAAUUUACCUCAAGCUCCAACUGGAUGUCGUAAAAACUUCUCUCAAUGUCUCUGAGUUGGCGUUCUAAACCCUCAACAUAGGCUACUAACUCUGGUGGUUGUAGAGCCCAAAUGCGUUGUGUUUUACAAAAUUGAAUCUGCUUUUGAGAUGAGUUUUGACACGUUGGAAGUGGUUUAAGAAUGUUCAGGAGGAACGGUCUAAGUAUGGUACUCAUGAUUAACAAUGAUAAGAAAAAAAAAAACUUAAUGGUAAAACAAACACACUUAUGCAAAAAUAAUUUCAAUUAGCAAAAGAAUAAUAAAAAGAAAGAAAGAAAAAUCAAAUCAACAAAAAGAAAAAAUCAAUUCAAAUCUGGUGGGUUACUCAAAUUUAUUUCGGUGUCUUCUCCAUGUGGUUGGUACUCAAGAUAUGGCUUUAAUCUUUGACCAUUAACUUUAAACGUGACACCGUUCUUUGGGUCCUUAAUUUCAAUUGCCCCAUGUGGAAAAACAGUAUGUACAAUAAAUGGGCCAGACCAACGAGAGCGUAACUUACCUGGGAAUAGGUGCAAGCGAGAAUUGAAUAAAAGCACUUUCUGACCUGGAGUGAAACGAUUUUCUCAUAAUUUGCUUAUCAUAGAAGACUUUCAUUCGUUGCUUGUAAAUCUUGGCAUUUUCGUAUGCAUCAUUGCGAAUUUCUUCAAGUUCUGCCAGCUGUAAUCUUCUUUCUGAGCUGGCUUGCUGCAUGUCAAAGUUGAAUUUCUUGAUGGCCCAAUAUGCACGAUGCUCGAGUUCCACAGGUAGGUGGCAAGCUUUUCCAUACACUAGCCUGUAGGGUGACAUCCCAAUCGGGGUCUUGAAAGCCGUUCUAUAUGCCCAUAAUGCAUCAUCAAGUCGUAAUGACCAAUCUUUCCUAUCUGGCCUCAACCGUCUUUUCUAAUAUGUGCUUUAUUUCUCGAUUGGAGAUCUCAACUUGACCACUGGUUUGCGGAUGAUACGGAGUUGCCACUUUGUGUGUGAUUGAAUACUUUGUCAAAAGAGCUUUGAAUGCUUUGUUACAAAAGUGGGCACCACCAUCACUGAUUAUUGCUCGAGGGAAUCCAAAGCGCGAAACAAUGUUACUUUUCAAAAAAUCCUAUCACCACCUUGUGAUCAUUGGUUCUACAUGGAAUUGCUUCUACCCAUUUCGAGACGUAGUCAACACCAACCAAUAUGUAUUGAUGGCCAAAAGAAUGGGGAAAGGGUCCCAUGAAGUCGAUACCCCAUACGUCAAAAAUCUCAACCACUAAAAUUGGAUUUAGUGGCAUCAUGUUCCUUCGCGUAAUGCUCCCCAUUCGUUGACACCUAUCACAUGAAGAACAGAAAGUGAAAUUCAAAAAUAUCCUUUCAUUCUGCCAAUGAACAAGCGUGUGGAGGCCAUUUUAGUGCUAAGAAAACAGCUACAAAAGUUUUACAAUGUGGUUUUUAUUGGCCAACUAUAUUUCGAGACGCUUACACUUUCUGUUCUUCAUGUGAUAGGUGUCAACGAAUGGGGAGCAUUACGCGAAGGAACAUGAUGCCACUAAAUCCAAUUUUAGUGGUUGAGAUUUUGACGUAUGGGGUAUCGACUUCAUGGGACCCUUUCCCCAUUCUUUUGGCCAUCAAUACAUAUUGGUUGGUGUUGACUACGUCUCGAAAUGGGUAGAAGCAAUUCCAUGUAGAACCAAUGAUCACAAGGUGGUGAUAGGAUUUUGAAAAGUAACAUUGUUUCGCGCUUUGGAUUCCCUCGAGCAAUAAUCAGUGAUGGUGGUGCCCACUUUUGUAACAAAGCAUUCAAAGCUCUUUUGACAAAGUAUUCAAUCACACACAAAGUGGCAACUCCGUAUCAUCCGCAAACCAGUGGUCAAGUUGAGAUCUCCAAUCGAGAAAUAAAGCACAUAUUAGAAAAGACGGUGAGGCCAGAUAGGAAAGAUUGGUCAUUACGACUUGAUGAUGCAUUAUGGGCAUAUAGAACGGCUUUCAAGACCCCGAUUGGGAUGUCACCCUACAGGCUAGUGUAUGGAAAAGCUUGCCACCUACCUGUGGAACUCGAGCAUCGUGCAUAUUGGGCCAUCAAGAAAUUCAACUUUGACAUGCAGCAAGCCAGCUCAGAAAGAAGAUUACAGCUGGCAGAACUUGAAGAAAUUCGCAAUGAUGCAUACGAAAAUGCCAAGAUUUACAAGCAACGAAUGAAAGUCUUCUAUGAUAAGCAAAUUAUGAGAAAAUCGUUCACUCCAGGUCAGAAAGUGCUUUUAUUCAAUUCUCGCUUGCACCUAUUCCCAGGUAAGUUACGCUCUCGUUGGUCUGGCCCAUUUAUUGUACAUACUGUUUUUCCACAUGGGGCAAUUGAAAUUAAGGACCCAAAGAACGGUGUCACGUUUAAAGUUAAUGGUCAAAGAUUAAAGCCAUAUCUUGAGUACCAACCACAUGGAGAAGACACCGAAAUAAAUUUGAGUAACCCACCAGAUUUGAAUUGAUUUUUUCUUUUUGUUGAUUUGAUUUUUCUUUCUUUCUUUUUAUUAUUCUUUUGCUAAUUGAAAUUAUUUUUGCAUAAGUGUGUUUGUUUUACCAUUAAGUUUUUUUUUUCUUAUCAUUGUUAAUCAUGAGUACCAUACUUAGACCGUUCCUCCUGAACAUUCUUAAACCACUUCAACGUGUCAAAACUCAUCUCAAAAAGCAGAUUCAAUUUUGUAAAACACAACGCAUUUGGGCUCUACAACCACCAGAGUUAGUAGCCUAUGUUGAGGGUUUAGAACGCCAACUCAGAGACAUUGAGAGAAGUUUUUACGACAUCCAGUUGGAGCUUGAGGUAAAUUCAAUAAGAGGACGAUUUUAAUUUUCUUUGUGUGUUUUGAUUUGUUUUUCUGUUUGUGUGCUUUAGUUUGUUACCCCGGUGAAGUGGCGAAUAACGGUACUCCGUGAUAAUCAAGUCGGUUACUUCAGUUUCCCACAAUAACUGACAUUCUGAGGCGAAAGUAUGGACAAAAACGAGAUUCUAGCGAAGCUUCACAAGCGAUUCCAUUCACUUCCUCAGAAUGCCCUCCUUACGAUCUAUAAAGCUCGGACCGAACGCAUGCGAUUACUCAUAAAGAAUAACAUACCUGCUGACAUUCGUUGGUUAAUUGAGGCUAAAGUACGAUUGGCAGGUGAGUUACCUCCUAAAUUUAUUGCAUACAUGCCUGGUUGUGGUAAAGGAAAUUACGCAAGAAAAACGACGAGCUCGAAGAAUUUCUGUUGCUUGUCACAAGUGUGCCAGAAUGAGUUGCGAUAGACACCCAUGUUAUUUAGGAAUGGUGUCUGAUAACAGAGAAGAUAAGAUUCAAUUCAUUAGGGAUGGCUUGAAUAAGGAGUCAUUGGAUGAUAUCCUUUUGUCUCUUGAAACGCAUCCCAGUGGAUAUGUGCAAGGAGCGAUUCUCCAGUUAGGCCAUUAUUCCAAAAAGAGCAUGCACGAUAUCGUCUCGGGAAUCUGACUAUAAACGACCCUGUUUGCCAGUUUAUAAGAAAACUGGAUGGGAAGCCCAUCCUCGACCCAUAGAGGGCGUUCAAGCCGUUUCUGGACGUAAAACCAGAGGAAGAUGUGAGCCACAGUCGCAACUACGUGUAAAUAUCCUUUUACUUUACUGUUAUUUUAUUUCAUUUCACUGUUGUUUUAUUGUUUGCAUUAUUGUCUUUAAUAAUUUUAUUACUGUUUGCUUUUUCCUUUUUACUGUUUCCUUUUUGACUCGCGAGCCACGUGCUUUACGCGUUAUUUGACACUGACAUGUUACCUCAUUCACAGCUGUGAUCCAUUGUCACCAAGAUUCUUAAAUGUGAUUUAUCUUUUGUCAAGCACUCACAAAUUAUUUUUGAGAAGUAUCACAAUGGCAGCUACUCCCAAUAGACAAUUCAAGAACAUUUGUGUGCUUUCUGGAUUUACCUAUGGCAAACAUAAAGAGUUCGUGGAGGCAGCCAUAGAUCUUGGUCGAAGCAUAGCAGCGAGAAAAUUACAUUUGGUGUAUGGAGGAGGUAACCGAGGGUUAUCAAAAAUGGUCUCAGAAGCAGCUUUUAUCAGAGGAAGUCAAGUGUUAGGCAUCAUCCCAAGAGUCCUAAAACCAUUGGGCAGUUCGUCUGACUCAUCAACUGGAGAAGAGUUAGUCGUCUCAGGUAUGCAAAAAGAAUAACUGAAAUGCUUAAUCAUGCUGAUGCUUUUAUUUUCCUUCCAGGAGAUCUUGCAACACUAGAGGCACUUAUGACACUAGCAUCUUGGGCCCAUCUGCACAUCCACCAGAAACCCAUCGGUUUGUUAAAUGUCAAUAACUUUUAUGAUGGCUUUAUCGCAUUUCUUAACCAUGCAAUAAAAAACUAUUUCAUUCCUUCUAAUGUAAAAAAACUUUUUAUUUGUGCUCACACUGCUAAUGAACUACUUGAUCUGUUACAAGCUUAUAAACCGGAGCCAGACCCCUGGACCUUUGUGUUGGAGCGCCCAAAUAAUGAUGGUAACAGUAGCCGCAGUAAGAAGUACAAAUUAGAUUUAACUCUCCGCCUGUAAAUAUAUUCUUUUGUGUUGCACCACCAGGUGAUGUCUUCUAAACUCUACUUCUUUCCUUUAAAACAUUGAGGACAAUGUUUCGUUCUGGUUGAGGGGAGGGAAUAGUCGACAAUUGUGGAAUCUUGGUUAAGUUUUUACUGAUUUUUUGUUUAGAAACUAACUGUUGCUAACUUUUUGUGUUGAAGAUGGCUGAAUAUGGAGUUAGUGACUCUAGAAACGCAUCUUCAUCGUUUAAAAAAAAAAAAAUUUAAAAAACUAAAAAACUAAAAAAAACAAAAAAAUUCAAACAUUUUCUUUUUCUUUAUUAUGUUUUGAUGUUCAUUUUUCUUCUUCUUUUUAAUUUCUCCUUAUAAAUAUAUAUUUUCCAACUUUUGAGUCGAAGAUAGCUGAAUAUGGAGUGUAGUGCCUCUAGAAACGCAUCUUCAUCGUUUAAAAAAAAAUUAAAAAAAAAAAAACAAAAUUUCAUUUUCGUUUUCUAUCAUUUUACGUGUAACUUUUCUAAUUAGUUUUUAUGCAUCAUUUUCACAUUUCUGCAUGCAUAUUUUCCUUUCAUGUUUAGAAUAGGUUGGGGGUAGAAUGUUGUUUAAAAAAAAAAAAGAAAAAAUUGUGUGAUUUGUUUUAACUUUAGAUGACAUGAUUAAUUUCAAAUUUUAGUAUUUGUAUUAUCUUUGGUCUUAAGUGAUGUUACAUUAUGUUUGCUACUCUACAUGUUGAUGUCGGAGACAAAUAUGAGUUGCUUGAAGGAAUGAACAUGUCAUAAUAAGUACCAAGUGAGUUUUUGAGCCUAUCAUUUUUCUUGGAGAGUAACCCUUUUGCCCAUUCUUUAUAAUGCUUAACAGUUUAUUAUUGUAUACACGAUCUCUAGAUUUCUUUUGAGUUAAGCCUUAAAAAAAAAAAAAAAAAAAAUGUGUGUGUUGCUACAUUGGGAGGCCCAUCUAACUAGUAGAUAUGGAUGAUUAUUUAGAGCCCUAAAAGACGAUGGAAAGGCCAUCUUUGAUCCGUUUGAGCCUUUCUAGCCAUCCCUCUUAUCAAGUAUCCAUAGUUAACCCAUUUGAGCCUUUUAAAUAAAAAAAAAAAAAAAAACUUUUCUUUGUUUAACUUAUCAUCUUGACCCACUCCGAUUUGGAGUAUUACCCAAUAUCUUACAAAUUCCAUCACCUAUUUAUGUUUGAGAAAAAUGUAAAUAAACAUUUUGCAUAGUGAAGUAGUUAAAAAAAAAAAAGAAAAAAUUGUUGUUGCUGAAAAAAAAAAAAAAAAAAAAAAUUGUUGUUUCAAAAGAAUAAAAAUAACAAUAAUAGGUGAAAUCCACCUUGCAACUUCCAAAAAAAAAAAAAAAAAAAUAUUCUCUGCAUUUUUCUCAAACAUACACUUUGUUUUCCUUAUUUCCCUUCUUUGUUAGCCAUAUCCCUAGCCUACGUUACGUCCUAAUAAAAGUCCUUCUUGAUUUUAGGGAACUAUAGUUUGAAGUAGAAGCUAGUUAUAUGGGCUAAAAAGAUGUAGUGAUGCAUAAUUAAAAAAAAAAAAGAUAAAUAAAGUGGGUUGACUAACAUUUUAUUUGACUUGAGAUCGUAUUAUUUCUAAGCUGAGGGCAUAUUUAUUUAAUCUUGGUGAGAGCAUGUGAUAUCAUUUCUUUAUUAUUUUCUCUCUCAAUUACCAUUCAUUGGAGUGACUAUGUUUAUUGGGUUUUAAUUUCUUUGUGAGAGUGUCACUACUUCCAGUGAGAUUUUGGGGUUUGACAUGUCAUUCUUGAAAGUAGCUAUAACAAAGUCUACUGGGCUAAUUCAUGUGGAUGGUUGAUGUGGGUGUGAUGUUGCUUUAGACUGGAGAUAAUGCUUAUACUUUUAUUUGAUUGCUAUCAUUAAUCUGAUUGAAUAAACACGAGUGUUUCUAAAAAAAAAAAAAAAAAAAAUCAUUUUGAAUUUGAAUUUUGUUUUCGCUUUAUUUGCUAGGGACUAGCAAUAAGCUGGUUGGGGGGUGUGUUGAGUGUUAGAAAAUACAUAUUUAUAAAGGAGAAAACCGUCAUUUUACAUUUCAAGUCUUACUAACAACCCUUACUUUUAUGUAUUUAACCUUCUUGUGAUGUAAUUACGUGUGUGUUAUUUUAAUUAAGUAUUUUAUGUAUUUUAGGGGCAGUAUAGUCAUUUCACAAUAAAGGAGAGAUCAGACGGCAAAACGGACAUCACUUUUGAACUCAGGACGGUCGAAAACCUUAGGAGGAGCAUAAAAGGAAAAAUGGCACUAUUCACAUGUACGGUACUAUUCACGUAUACGGUACUGUCUACGUUACUGUUCACGACACUGUUCACAUAGACGGAUCGAUGACGUGGCAUUGACCGAUGACGUGGCAUUGACCGAUGAUGUGGCAUUGACUGAUGAGUGUCACGAUCCUGUUGGGCUAAAAAUUCUUAUGUACUGUUAAUGGUGACGUGGCAGCAUAUCAGUGGACGAAAAAUCUCGUGUACGGUGCAUGCAUCACACAGGAUUAUUUUCAACCAAACCGCGUUACUGUUCAUCCGGGUCAAACCGUGUUACUGUUCAUCCGCGUGGUCAAACCGUGGACUGUUGACUGAUGACGUGGCGCAAUCCUGAGCGUCCAAACUGUUUUUAAUCCGAUGGCCAUGAUUUACUCCAUGUAUCUAUAAAAAGGGGGCCUCUCCCCCCUAAUUUGAUAUCUCUGAAUCCAUUUUUGGGAUCCAUUUUCUGUAAUUCCUUCUCCAUCUGUAUUUUCUUUGUAUUUUAAUAAAUUCCCUUUUUGCCCCUAGUUCAAUUAUGAGUAGCUAAUUUCUUUUCAAGCUUGGGUUGAAGGUGAAGUCUCAACAUGUGUCAUGGCUUUAUUUGGUAAAUUUAUUUUCUUUUCCCUCUAGUUUUUGUGGAUGAUUUGACUUAUCGUCGACAAAUAAUACUGAUCUUGUCUAGAUACCGCCUUGGUUACACCGGCUCUCUGGUAUAAGGUUAUUAUUAUUUGGCACGAUAAGCCCUUAGCACCAUAUUGAUUAGAGCGUGGUUCAUGAGGUGUGGAUUCCCCCCUCAUGAUUUAAUUGGUAUUAAUAAGGAAUAUUUAGCCCAUGAUGCAUGUUGAUACGGAUCCAGAUACCCAAGUACGUCAUUUCAAUAGAAUUCUCUUCAAUUUAUUCUCGCCAUUUUAAUUUAAGUUUUAGCAUAUUCCAAAUCAUUUCCACCACAAAUCCAAUCACCCAUUUACAAAAUUAAUUUUAUACACAAUUAAAAUCCACCUCCUCGUGGGAUCGACACUCGUCACCAUUAGUCUAUAUUACAAUAGAUUCGUGCGCUUGCGAGUACAUUAAAAUUUGCACAACAAGUUUUUGGCGCCGUUGCCGGGGAGGUAAGUAAUUUUAAUUCAUAAAAUUAAUUUUUGUGAAUAAUUUCUUUUAUUUGUUUUCUUGUAUUUUUUUUUUCUUAUUAAAAAAAAAAAGAAAAAAAAAAGAGUAAAUCUACAUUUAAAGGUUAGUAUUUCUUUUCUUUUUCUCUUCUUUAAAAUUCUGUAAUUUAAUUUUCAAUUUAUUUUUUUUUCUUUGUAAUUUUUGUUUAUUUUAUUAAUUUAAUUUUUAGUUAAUUUAUUUCACGUAUUUGUUUUUGUGUAUUUUUAUAGAAAGGUUGUAAUAGCGCAAUAAGGUUAGUAUCGUAAUUUCUCCCUCUUAUUUAUUUUAUUUGUUUUGUUCCCAUCUUUAUUUUUUGUUUUGUUUGCAUCUUUAUUUUUAUUUUCAUUUUAUUUUGCAUGCAUGGUCGUAGGUCAUUAUUACCUAAUCUUGAACCUAUAGACCUUGAAUUAGAAAAAACACUUCGCACACAAAAACACAUUAAAAAUAAAAUUGGAAUGGAUUUACAAGCACCACAGGAGAGGCCAUUUAAGGACUAUUUUAGUCCCUUAGCUAAUUUAAGCACAUCAUGUAUUAGAUACCCAAAUGUAGCUGCUAGGAACUUUGAACUAAAACCUAGUGUGCUAAAUUGUCUCCCCACAUUCUAUGGCUUAGAAAAUGAGGACCCAUAUAAUCAUCUGAAUGAUUUUCAUACCAUUUGUCAAACUUUUAAAUAUGAAAAUUUUUCAGACGAUGAUGUUAAACUCAGACUAUUCCCAUUUUCUUUAAAGGAUAGAGCUCGUUCAUGGUUAAAUACGUUGCCUGCUAAUAGCAUUUCAUCAUGGGAACAAAUGGUAACUAAAUUUUUGAAUAAAUAUUUCCCAGUGCAUAAAACCAAUUCUAUUCGCAGGGAAAUUUCAGAGUUUACACAAAGAGGACGAGCAGUUUUUUCGAAACUUGGGAGCGAUUCAAUGGCUACUCUUGAAGUGUCCACAUCAUGGGUACGAAAAAUGGCACCAAUGCCAAUACUUUUUGGAGGGAUUACUACCGAAUGUGCAAGAAUGGCUAAUGGCAACAAGUGGAGGAGAGCUAAUGUCAAAAAGUGCAUCAGAAAUUUGGGAAUUCUUCCAACGACAAGCGGAUAAUUCCCAACAACGGAGUCGAUCACUAAGGAAUACUAGAAGAAUUAAGGGAGUAAAUGAGGUUCAAAUUGGCGAGUCAACUUCGGGAAUCAAAGAAGUCAAGGAGAUGGUUGAAGGUCUCGCUCGACAAAUAGCAUCGUUAUCGACUGCUAAAUCAACAGAACCACAUGACCAUGACUCAUACUCCGAUCAAGCCAAUGCCAUAGGUGUAAUGAGAAAACCAUCGAAUUACAACCCAUACUCCAACACAUAUAACCCUGGAUGGAGAGACCACCCCAAUUUUUCAUGGUCUCAAGGAUUCCAACAGAAUGGACCAGCAGCUCCAGCUCCACCAAUGCAACAAAUUCCUCAAAAUCCUCAAGCCUCUCAGCCACCAUUCAGACCAUACAAUCAGAACCAGAACUACUCUCAACCCAGACCAUGGGAGGAUGCAUUCCAGAAUUUCAAGAAUGUUACUCACUCCACGAUUGAGCAACAGAACCGCACCAUUGAUGGACUACGAAAUGAGUUGAGAGCAGGCUUCAACUCACAAGCUCAAUCAGUUUCAAGCCUCGAGAAGAUGGUGGGACAACUUGCUUCUUCAGUUCAGACCUUGGCAAUGACUGUUGAGAAAGGAAAAUUUCCAAGUCAACCAGUGCCUAAUCCUAAAGGAGUACAUGAAGCAAGUACCAGUUCACCACAACAGCAUGGAGAGGUCAAAGCAGUCAUGACCUUGCGAAAAGGAAAGGAAGUCGACAACAAAGUGGAGAUGCCGGUGACAAAAGAAAAUCAAAUUGUACCUGUGAAUGUUGAAGACUCACCACCGGAGGAGAAGAAGAAACCAACCCACGAGAAUACGUUCCGAAAGCUCCAUUUCCUCAGAGGUUAGCUAAAGGGAAAAAGGGAAAAUCCACAGGUGAGAUUCUCGAAAUCUUCAAACAGGUAAGUGUUAACAUCCCUUUACUUGAUGCUAUUAAACAAGUUCCAUCUUAUGCCAAGUUUCUUAAAGACCUUUGUACUAAAAAGAGAAAUAUGCAUGUUCAAAAGAAGGCAUUUUUAACAGAAAAUGUUAGUUCUAUACUCCAACAUAAAAUUCCUCUAAAAUGCAAAGACCCAGGCUCCCCCACUAUCUCAUGUAGUAUAGGGAACCACACAAUUGAGAAUGCGUUGUUGGAUUUAGGAGCUAGUGUAAAUCUGUUGCCUUAUUCAGUAUUCGUGAAACUUGGACUGGGAGAAUUACACCCAACUCCAGUGGUGUUACAGCUUGCAGAUCGGUCCACGAAAAUACCUCGUGGUAUUAUGGAGGACGUGCUUAUCCAGGUAGACAAGUUUUAUUUUCCUGUUGAUUUCAUUGUAAUUGACACUCAACCAAUACAGGAUUCAAGGAAGCACAUCCCCAUUAUUCUAGGCCGACCUUUCUUGGCGACUGCGAUGCUCACAUUCAAUGCAGGACUGGAAAUAUGCAGUUGUCCUUCGGCAACAUGACUAUGGAGCUAAAUAUUUUCAACAUUGCCAAACAACCUCACAGUGCAGAUGAUGGAAUUGUUGAUGUGGAUUUAAUAGAAACAAUAGUUGAUAAUACUUUUCUUUCAAACCUUAGUGAUGAUCCUUUACAGACAUGCUUAACUCACUUUGGUUUGGAUUUUGAUAUUGAUAGAUCGGUCGAUGAGGUCAACGCCCUGCUUGACUCAGCACCAUCCAUGGACACUAAUAAAUGGAAGUCAAGAGUUGAACAACUAGCACCAUCAGAGAAGAAACUCAUUCCAUCAUCAGAAUCACCACCGAAACUCGAGCUCAAACCAUUACCCAACACUCUGGAAUAUGCAUUUUUGGGAGAAGAAAGUACUCUGCCGGUAAUCAUCUCAUCAUCCCUAAAUGACGAACAAAAAGGUAAGUUGUUGGAUGUUUUUAAAAGAGCACAAAGGAGCAUUAGGAUGGACCAUAGCAGACAUUAAAGGUAUAAACCCAGUAGACUGUAUGCAUUACAUUCACCUUGAUGAAAAUGCUAAAACUACUAGGAGAUGCAACGUCGGUUAAAUCCUAACAUGAAAGAAGUUGUUAGAACUGAAGUCCUUAAGCUAUUAGAUGCAGGUAUCAUUUACCCAAUUUCUGAUAGUUCAUGGGUCAGUCCUGUACAAGUUGUCCCCAAAAAGUCAGGAGUCACAGUAGUUACCAAUGCUGAUAAUGAAUUGAUACCAACUAGAGUAACUACAGGAUGGCGUGUAUGCAUUGAUUAUAGAAAGUUGAAUUCUGUCACACGUAAAGACCAUUUUCCUUUACCAUUUAUUGAUCAAAUGCUUGAUAGAUUAGCAGGCCAUGAAUUUUAUUGCUUUCUAGAUGGCUACUCAGGAUAUAAUCAGAUUCCCAUAGCACCAAAAGAUCAAGAGAAAACUACUUUCACUUGCCCUUUGGGCACAUAUAGGAGAAUGCCAUUUGGAAUGUAAUGCACCUGCUACAUUUCAACGAUGCAUGUUGAGCAUUUUUUCUGAUAUGGUUGAACGAUUCCUUGAAGUCUUUAUGGAUGAUUUUUCUGUCUUUGGUGACUCGUUUGAUCAAUGUUUUACAUCAUCUCGCGUUCUGCAGAGAUGUAAGAGAGCUUAGUUAAAUUGGGAGAAGUGUUAUGGUAAAAAGGUAUUGUUCUCGGUCACAUCAUUUCGGUAUGAGGUUGACAAAGCCAAGGUGGAUCUCAUUUCUAAUCUUCCUCACCUAAAACAGUCAGAGUCUUUUCCGCAUGCUGGUCUAUAGACGUUUCAUUAAAGAUUUUAGCAAAGUUUCUAGACCCUUAUGCAAUUUACUUGCUAAGGAUGUACCUUUUAUCUUUAAUGAUUCAUGUCUUAUGGCUUUUGAAAAAUUAAAGCAAUUGUUGACAUCAUCACCCAUCAUUCAGGCCCCAAACUGGAGCUUACCAUUUGAGCUCAUGUGUGAUGCAUCUGAUUAUGCAGUAGGAGCAGUAUUAGGACAAAGAGUUGAUCGAAUUCCCAACGUUAUUUACUAUGCUAGUAUGACCUUGAAUGAUGCACAGUUGAAUUAUUCAACUACUGAAAAAGAAAUGCUAGCAGUAGUUUGCAUUGGAAAAAUUUCGAUCUUAUCUCAUUGGUUGUAAAAUAAUUAUAUUCACAGAUCAUGCUGCUCUUAAAUAUCUUCUCACAAAGAAAGAUGCAAAAGCUAGACUAAUUCGUUGGGUGUUACUUUUGCAGGAAUUUGACUUGGAAUUCAAAGAUAAGAAAGGGACAGAAAAUGUUGUGGCGGACCACCUCUCUCGUCUCCAUUUUGACACAAUUACAGAGCCAUUAAUAUUAAAUGAGUCAUUUCCAGAUGAACAAUUAAUGAUGUGGAAGUAUUACCUUGGUAUGCUGAUAUAGUUAAUUAUCUUGUUACAGGUAAGCUUCCAGAGCAUUGGACCAAGCAAGACAAGGCUAAAUUCUUUGCGGAAAUAAAGAAUUUCUUUUGGGAUGACCCAUAUUUGUUCAAGUAUUGUGCAGACCAAAUUGUUAGACGAUGUGUCCCUGAAAGUGAAAUUCAGAAUAUCCUUUCAUUCUGCCAUGAACAAGCUUGUGGAGGCCAUUUCAGUGCUAAGAAAACAGCGACUAAAGUUUUACAAUGGUUUCUAUUGGCCAACUAUAUUUCGAGAUGCUUACACUUUCUGUUCUUCAUGUGAUAGGUGUCAACGAAUGGGGAGCAUUACACGAAGGAACAUGAUGCCACUAAAUCCAAUUUUAGUGGUUGAGAUUUUUGACGUAUGGGGUAUCGACUUCAUGGGACCCUUUCCCCUUCUUUUGGCCAUCAAUACAUAUUGGUUGGUGUUGACUACGUAUCGAAAUGGGUGGAAGCAAUUCCAUGCAGAACCAAUGAUCACAAGUGGUGAUAGGAUUUUUGAAAAAGCAAUAUUGUUUCGCGCUUUGGAUUCCCUCGAGCGAUAAUCAGUGAUGGUGGUGCCCACUUUUGUAACAAAGCAUUCAAGGCUCUUUUGACAAAGUAUUCAAUCACACAAAGUGGCGACCCCGUAUCAUCCGCAAACCAGUGGCCAAGUUGAGAUCUCCAAUCGAGAAAUAAAGCACAUAUUAGAAAAGACGGUGAGGCCAGACAGGAAAGAUUGGUCAUUACGACUUGAUGAUGCAUUAUGGGCAUAUAGAACGGCUUUCAAGACCCCGAUUGGGAUGUCACCCUACAGGCUAGUGUAUGGAAAAGCUUGCCACCUACCUGUGGAACUCGAGCAUCGUGCAUAUUGGGCCAUCAAGAAAUUCAACUUUGACAUGCAGCAAGCCAGCUCAGAAAGAAGAUUACAGCUGGCAGAACUUGAAGAAAUUCGCAAUGAUGCAUACGAAAAUGCCAAGAUUUACAAGCAACGAAUGAAAGUCUUCCAUGAUAAGCAAAUUAUGAGAAAAUCGUUCACUCCAGGUCAGAAAGUGCUUUUAUUCAAUUCUCGCUUGCACCUAUUCCCAGGUAAGUUACGCUCUCGUUGGUCUGGCCCAUUUAUUGUACAUACUGUUUUUCCACAUGGGGCAAUUGAAAUUAAGGACCCAAAGAACGGUGUCACGUAUAAAGUUAAUGGUCAAAGAUUAAAGCCAUAUCUAGAGUACCAACCACAUGGAGAAAACAUCGAAAUAAAUUUGAGUGACCCACUAAAUUUGAAUUGAUUUUUUUUUUCUUUUCGUUAAUUUGAUUUUUCUUUAUUUCUUUUUAUUAUUAUUCUUUUGCUAAUUGAAAUUGUUUUUGCAUAAGUGUGUUUAUUUUACCAUUAAGUUUUCUCUUAUCAUUUUUAAUCAUGAGUCUCAUACUUAGACCGUUCCUCCUGAACAUUCUUAAACCACUUCAACGUGUCAAAACUCAUCUCAAAAGGCAGAUCUAUUUUGUAAAACACAACGCAUUUGGGCUCUACAACCACCAGAGUUAGUAGCCUAUGUUGAGGGUUUAGAACGCCAACUCAGAGACAUUGAGAGAAGUGUUUACGACAUCCAGUUGGAGCUUGAGGUAAAUUCAAUAAGAGGACGAUUUUAAUUUUCUUUGUGUGUUUUUUGUUUUUCUGUUUGUGUGCUUUAGUUUGUUACCCCGGUGAAGUGGCGGAUAACGGUACUCCGUGACAAUCAAGUCGGUUAACUUCAGUUUCCCAUAAUAACUGAUAUUCUGAGGCGAAGGUAUGGACAGAAACGAGAUUCUAGCGAAGCUUCACAAGCGAUUCCCUUCACUUCCUCAGAAUGCCCUCCUUACAAUCUAUAAAGCCCGGUCUGAACGCAUGCGAUUGCUCAUGAGGAAUAACAUACCUGCAGACAUCCGUUGGUUAAUCGAGGCUAAAGUACGAUUGGCAGGUGAGUUACCUCCUAAAUUUAUUGCAUACAUGCCUGGUUGUGGUAAAGGAAAUUACGCAAGAAAACGACGAGCUCGAAGAAUUUCUGUUGCUUGUCACAAGUGUGCCAGAAUGAGUUGCGAUAGAAACCCAUGUUCUUUAGGAAUGUGUCUGAUAACAGGGAAGAUAAGAUUCAAUUCAUUAGGGAUGGCUUGAAUAAGGAGUCAUUGGAUGAUAUCCUUUUGUCUCUUGAAACGCAUCCCAGUGGAUAUGUGCAAGGAGCGAUUCUCCAGUUAAGGCCAUUAUUCCAAAAAGAGCAUGCACGAUAUCGUCUCGGGAAUCUGACUAUAAACGACCCUGUUUGCCAGUUUAUAAGAAAACUGGAUGGGAAGCCCAUCCUCGACCCAUAGAGGGUUCAAGCCGUUUCUGGACGUAAAACCAGAGGAAGAUGUGAGCCACAGUCGCAACUACGUGUAAAUAUCCUUUUACUUUACUGUUAUUUUAUUUCAUUUCACUGUUGUUUUAUUGUUUGCAUUAUUGUCUUUAAUAAUUUUAUUACUGUUUGCUUUUUCCUUUUUACUGUUUCCUUUUUGACUCGCGAGCCACGUGCUUUACGCGUUAUUUGACACUGACAUGUUACCUCAUUCACAGCUGUGAUCCAUUGUCACCAAGAUUCUUAAAUGUGAUUUAUCUUUUGUCAAGCACUCACAAAUUAUUUUUGAGAAGUAUCACAAUGGCAGCUACUCCCAAUAGACAAUUCAAGAACAUUUGUGUGCUUUCUGGAUUUACCUAUGGCAAACAUAAAGAGUUCGUGGAGGCAGCCAUAGAUCUUGGUCGAAGCAUAGCAGCGAGAAAAUUACAUUUGGUGUAUGGAGGAGGUAACCGAGGGUUAUCAAAAAUGGUCUCAGAAGCAGCUUUUAUCAGAGGAAGUCAAGUGUUAGGCAUCAUCCCAAGAGUCCUAAAACCAUUGGGCAGUUCGUCUGACUCAUCAACUGGAGAAGAGUUAGUCGUCUCAGGUAUGCAAGAAAGAAUAACUGAAAUGCUUAAUCAUGCUGAUGCUUUUAUUUUCCUUCCAGGAGAUCUUGCAACACUAGAGGCACUUAUGACACUAGCAUCUUGGGCCCAUCUGCACAUCCACCAGAAACCCAUCGGUUUGUUAAAUGUCAAUAACUUUUAUGAUGGCUUUAUCGCAUUUCUUAACCAUGCAAUAAAAAAACUAUUUCAUUCCUUCUAAUGUAAAAAAACUUUUUAUUUGUGCUCACACUGCUAAUGAACUACUUGAUCUGUUACAAGCUUAUAAACCGGAGCCAGACCCCUGGACCUUUGUGUUGGAGCGCCCAAAUAAUGAUGGUAACAGUAGCCGCAGUAAGAAGUACAAAUUAGAUUUAACUCUCCGCCUGUAAAUAUAUUCUUUUGUGUUGCACCACCCAGGUGAUGUCUUCUAAACUCUACUUCUUCCUUUAAAACAUUGAGGACAAUGUUUCGUUCUGAACUAAAGUUUUACAAUGUGGUUUCUAUUGGCCAACUAUAUUUCGAGAUGCUUACACUUUCUGUUCUUCAUGUGAUAGGUGUCAACGAAUGGGGAGCAUUACACGAAGGAACAUGAUGCCACUAAAUCCAAUUUUAGUGGUUGAGAUUUUUGACGUAUGGGGUAUCGACUUCAUGGGACCCUUUCCCCUUCUUUUGGCCAUCAAUACAUAUUGGUUGGUGUUGACUACGUAUCGAAAUGGGUGGAAGCAAUUCCAUGUAGAACCAAUGAUCACAAGUGGUGAUAGGAUUUUUGAAAAGCAACAUUGUUUCGCGCUUUGGAUUCCCUCGAGCGAUAAUCAGUGAUGGUGGUGCCCACUUUUGUAACAAAGCAUUCAAGGCUCUUUUGACAAAGUAUUCAAUCACACACAAAGUGGCGACCCGUAUCAUCCGCAAACCAGUGGCCAAGUUGAGAUCUCCAAUCGAGAAAUAAAGCACAUAUUAGAAAAGACGGUGAGGCCAGACAGGAAAAGAUUGGUCAUUAAGACUUGAUGAUGCAUUAUGGGCAUAUAGAACGGCUUUCAAGACCCCGAUUGGGAUGUCACCCUACAGGCUAGUGUAUGGAAAAGCUUGCCACCUACCUGUGGAACUCGAGCAUCGUGCAUAUUGGGCCAUCAAGAAAUUCAACUUUGACAUGCAGCAAGCCAGCUCAGAAAGAAGAUUACAGCUGGCAGAACUUGAAGAAAUUCGCAAUGAUGCAUACGAAAAUGCCAAGAUUUACAAGCAACGAAUGAAAGUCUUCCAUGACAAGCAAAUUAUGAGAAAUCGUUCACUCCAGGUCAGAAAGUGCUUUUAUUCAAUUCUCGCUUGCACCUAUUCCCAGGUAAGUUACGCUCUCGUUGGUCUGGCCCUUUAUUGUUCAUACUGUUUUUCCACAUGGGGCAAUUGAAAUUAAGGACCCAAAGAACGGUGUCACGUAUAAAGUUAAUGGUCAAAGAUUAAAGCCAUAUCUAGAGUACCAACCACAUGGAGAAACAUCGAAAUAAAUUUGAGUGACCCACUAAAUUUGAAUUGAUUUUUUUUUUUCUUUUCGUUAAUUUGAUUUUUCUUUAUUUCUUUUUAUUAUUAUUCUUUUGCUAAUUGAAAUUGUUUUUGCAUAAGUGUGUUUAUUUUACCAUUAAGUUUUCUCUUAUCAUUUUUAAUCAUGAGUCUCAUACUUAGACCGUUCCUCCUGAACAUUCUUAAACCACUUCAACGUGUCAAAACUCAUCUCAAAAGGCAGAUUCUAUUUUGUAAAACACAACGCAUUUGGGCUCUACAACCACCAGAGUUAGUAGCCUAUGUUGAGGGUUUAGAACGCCAACUCAGAGACAUUGAGAGAAGUGUUUACGACAUCCAGUUGGAGCUUGAGGUAAAUUCAAUAAGAGGACGAUUUUAAUUUUCUUUGUGUGUUUUUUGUUUUUCUGUUUGUGUGCUUUAGUUUGUUACCCCGGUGAAGUGGCGGAUAACGGUACUCCGUGACAAUCAAGUCGGUUAACUUCAGUUUCCCAUAAUAACUGAUAUUCUGAGGCGAAGGUAUGGACAGAAACGAGAUUCUAGCGAAGCUUCACAAGCGAUUCCCUUCACUUCCUCAGAAUGCCCUCCUUACAAUCUAUAAAGCCCGGUCUGAACGCAUGCGAUUGCUCAUGAGGAAUAACAUACCUGCAGACAUCCGUUGGUUAAUCGAGGCUAAAGUACGAUUGGCAGGUGAGUUACCUCCUAAAUUUAUUGCAUACAUGCCUGGUUGUGGUAAAGGAAAUUACGCAAGAAAACGACGAGCUCGAAGAAUUUCUGUUGCUUGUCACAAGUGUGCCAGAAUGAGUUGCGAUAGAAACCCAUGUUCUUUAGGAAUGGUGUCUGAUAACAGGGAAGAUAAGAUUCAAUUCAUUAGGGAUGGCUUGAAUAAGGAGUCAUUGGAUGAUAUCCUUUUGUCUCUUGAAACGCAUCCCAGUGGAUAUGUGCAAGGAGCGAUUCUCCAGUUAAGGCCAUUAUUCCAAAAGAGCAUGCACGAUAUCGUCUCGGGAAUCUGACUAUAAACGACCCUGUUUGCCAGUUUAUAAGAAAACUGGAUGGGAAGCCCAUCCUCGACCCAUAGAGGGCGUUCAAGCCGUUUCUGGACGUAAAACCAGAGGAAGAUGUGAGCCACAGUCGCAACUACGUGUAAAUAUCCUUUUACUUUACUGUUAUUUUAUUUCAUUUCACUGUUGUUUUAUUGUUUGCAUUAUUGUCUUUAAUAAUUUUAUUACUGUUUGCUUUUUCCUUUUUACUGUUUCCUUUUUGACUCGCGAGCCACGUGCUUUACGCGUUAUUUGACACUGACAUGUUACCUCAUUCACAGCUGUGAUCCAUUGUCACCAAGAUUCUUAAAUGUGAUUUAUCUUUUGUCAAGCACUCACAAAUUAUUUUUGAGAAGUAUCACAAUGGCAGCUACUCCCAAUAGACAAUUCAAGAACAUUUGUGUGCUUUCUGGAUUUACCUAUGGCAAACAUAAAGAGUUCGUGGAGGCAGCCAUAGAUCUUGGUCGAAGCAUAGCAGCGAGAAAAUUACAUUUGGUGUAUGGAGGAGGUAACCGAGGGUUAUCAAAAAUGGUCUCAGAAGCAGCUUUUAUCAGAGGAAGUCAAGUGUUAGGCAUCAUCCCAAGAGUCCUAAAACCAUUGGGCAGUUCGUCUGACUCAUCAACUGGAGAAGAGUUAGUCGUCUCAGGUAUGCAAGAAAGAAUAACUGAAAUGCUUAAUCAUGCUGAUGCUUUUAUUUUCCUUCCAGGAGAUCUUGCAACACUAGAGGCACUUAUGACACUAGCAUCUUGGGCCCAUCUGCACAUCCACCAGAAACCCAUCGGUUUGUUAAAUGUCAAUAACUUUUAUGAUGGCUUUAUCGCAUUUCUUAACCAUGCAAUAAAAAACUAUUUCAUUCCUUCUAAUGUAAAAAAACUUUUUAUUUGUGCUCACACUGCUAAUGAACUACUUGAUCUGUUACAAGCUUAUAAACCGGAGCCAGACCCCUGGACCUUUGUGUUGGAGCGCCCAAAUAAUGAUGGUAACAGUAGCCGCAGUAAGAAGUACAAAUUAGAUUUUAACUCUCGCUGUAAUAUAUUCUUUUGUGUUGCACCACCCAGGUGAUGUCUUCUAAACUCUACUUCUUUCCUUUAAAACAUUGAGGACAAUGUUUCGUUUCUGGUUGAGGGGGGAAUAGUCGACAAUUGUGGAAUCUUGGUUAAGUUUUUACUGAUUUUUUGUUGUAGAAACUAACUGUUGCUAACUUUUUGUGUUGAAGAUGGCUGAAUAUGGAGUGUAGUGACUCUAGAAACGCCAUCUUCAUCGUUUAAAAAAAAAAAAAAAUUUAAAAACUAAAAAAACUAAAAAAAACAAAAAAUUCAAACAUUUUCUUUUUCUUUAUUAUGUUUUGAUGUUCAUUUUUCUUCUUCUUUUUAAUUUCUCCUAUAAAUAUAUAUUUCCAACUUUUGAGUCGAAGAUAGCUGAAUAUGGAGAUUUGCCUCUAGAAACGCAUCUUCAUCGUUUUAAAAAAAAAAUUAAAAAAAAAAAAAACAAAAUUUCAUUUUUCGUUUUCUAUCAUUUUACGUGUAACUUUUCUAAUUAGUUUUUAUGCAUCAUUUUCACAUUUCUGCAUGCAUAUUUUCCUUUCAUGUUUAGAAUAGGUUGGGGGUAGAAUGUUGUUUAAAAAAAAAAAAAAGAAAAAAUUGUGUGAUUUGUUUUAACUUUAGAUGACAUGAUUAAUUCAAAUUUUAGUAUUUGUAUUAUCUUUGGUCUUAAGUGAUGUUACAUUAUGUUUGCUACUCUACAUGUUGAUGUCGGAGACAAAUAUGAGUUGCUUGAAGGAAUGACAUGUCAUAAUAAAGUACCAAGUGAGUUUUUGAGCCUAUCAUUUUUCUUUGGAGAGUAACCCUUUUGCCCAUUCUUUAUAAUGCUUAACAGUUUAUUAUUGUAUACACGAUCUCUAGAUUUCUUUUGAGUUAAGCCUUAAAAAAAAAAAAAAAAAAAAAAUGUGUGUGUUGCUUACAUUGGGAGGCCCAUCUAACUAGUAGAUAUGGAUGAUUAUUUAGAGCCCUAAAAGACGAUGGAAAGGCCAUCUUUGAUCCGUUUGAGCCUUUCUAGCCAUCCCUCUUAUCAAGUAUCCAUAGUUUAACCCAUUUGAGCCUUUUAAAUAAAAAAAAAAAAAAACUUUCUUUGUUUAACUUAUCAUCUUGACCCACUCCGAUUUGGAGUAUUACCCAAUAUCUUACAAAUUCCAUCACCUAUUUAUGUUUGAGAAAAAUGUAAAUAAACAUUUUGCAUAGUGAAGUUAUGCCUAGUUUCAAAAAAAAAAAGAAAAAAUUGUUGUUGCUGAAAAAAAAAAAAAAAAGAAAAAAAAUUGUUGUUUCAAAAGAAUAAAAAUAACAAUAAUAGGUGAAAUCCACCUUGCAACUUCCAAAAAAAAAAAAAAAAAAUAUUCUCUGCAUUUUUUCUCAAACAUACACUUUGUUUUCCUUAUUUCCCUUCUUUGUUAGCCAUAUCCCUAAGCCUACGUUACGUCCUAAUAAAAGUCCUUCUUGAUUUUAGGGGAACUAUAGUUUGAAGUAGAAGCUAGUUAUAUGGGCUAAAAAGAUGUAGUGAUGCAUAAUUAAAAAAAAAAAAAGAUAAAUAAAGUGGGUUGACUAACAUUUUAUUUGACUUGAGAUCGUAUUAUUUCUAAGCUGAGGGCAUAUUUAUUUAAUCUUGGUGAGAGCAUGUGAUAUCAUUUCUUUAUUAUUUUCUCUCUCAAUUACCAUUCAUUGGAGUGACUAUGUUUAUUGGGUUUUAAUUUCUUUGUGAGAGUGUCACUACUUCCAGUGAGAUUUUGGGGUUUUGACAUGUCAUUCUUGAAAGUAGCUAUAACAAAGUCUACUGGGCUAAUUCAUGUGGAUGGUUGAUGUGGGUGUGAUGUUGCUUUAGACUGGAGAUAAUGCUUAUACUUUUAUUUGAUUGCUAUCAUUAAUCUGAUUGAAUAAACACGAGUGUUUCUAAAAAAAAAAAAAAAAAAAAUCAUUUUGAAUUUGAAUUUUGUUUUCGCUUUAUUUGCUAGGGACUAGCAAUAAGCUGGUUGGGGGGUGUUGUUGAGUGUUAGAAAAUACAUAUUUUAUAAAGGAGAAAACCGUCAUUUUACAUUUCAAGUCUUUACUAACAACCCUUACUUUUAUGUAUUUAACCUUCUUGUGAUUGUAAUUACGUGUGUGUUUUUUUAAUUAAGUAUUUUAUGUAUUUUAGGGGCAGUAUAGUCAUUUCACAAUAAAGGAGAGAUCAGACGGCAAAACGGACAUCACUUUUGAACUCAGGACGGUCGAAAACCUUAGGAGGAGCAUAAAAGGAAAAAAUGGCACUAUUCACAUGUACGGUACUAUUCACGUAUACGGUACUGUCUACGUUACUGUUCACGACACUGUUCACAUAGACGGAUCGAUGACGUGGCAUUGACCGAUGACGUGGCAUUGACCGAUGAUGUGGCAUUGACUGAUGAGGUGUCACGAUCCUGUUGGGCUAAAAUUCUUAUGUACUGUUAAUGGUGACGUGGCAGCAUAUCAGUGACGAAAAAUCUCGUGUACGGUGCAUGCAUCACACAGGAUUAUUUUCAACCAAACCGCGUUACUGUUCAUCCGGGUCAAACCGUGUUACUGUUCAUCCGCUCGGUGGUCAAACCGUGGACUGUUGACUGAUGACGUGGCGCAAUCCUGAGCGUCCAAACUGUUUUUAAUCCGAUGGCCAUGAUUUACUCCAUGUAUCUAUAAAAAGGGGGCCUCUCCCCCCGAAUUUGAUAUCUCUGAAUCCAUUUUUGGGAUCCAUUUUUCUGUAAUUCCUUCUCCAUCUUGUAUUUUCUUUGUAUUUUAAUAAAUUCCCUUUUUGCCCCUAGUUCAAUUAUGAGUAGCUAAUUUCUUUUCAAGCUUGGGUUGAAGGUGAAGUCUCAACAUGUGUCAUGGGCUUUAUUUGGUAAAUUUAUUUUCUUUUCCCCUCUAGUUUUUGUGGAUGAUUUGACUUAUCGUCGACAAAUAAUACUGAUCUUGUCUAGAUACCGCCUUGGUUACACCGGCUCUCUGGUAUAAGGUUAUUAUUAUUUGGCACGAUAAGCCCUUAGCACCAUAUUGAUUAGAGCGUGGUUCAUGAGGUGUGGAUUCCCCCCUCAUGAUUUAAUUGGUAUUAAUAAGGAAUAUUUAGCCCAUGAUGCAUGUUGAUACGGAUCCAGAUACCCAAGUACGUCAUUUCAAUAGAAUUCUCUUCAAUUUAUUCUCGCCAUUUUAAUUUAAGUUUUAGCAUAUUCCAAAUCAUUUCCACCACAAAUCCAAUCACCCAUUUACAAAAUUAAUUUUAUACACAAUUAAAAUCCACCUCCUCGUGGGAUCGACACUCGUCACCAUUAGUCUAUAUUACAAUAGAUUCGUGCGCUUGCGAGUACAUUAAAAUUUGCACAACAAGUUUUUGGCGCCGUUGCCGGGGAGGUAAGUAAUUUUAAUUCAUAAAAUUAAUUUUGUGAAUAAUUUCUUUUAUUUGUUUUCUUGUAUUUUUUUUUUCUUAUAAAAAAAAAAAGAAAAAAAAAAGAGUAAAUCUACAUUUAAAGGUUAGUAUUUCUUUUCUUUUUCUCUUCUUUAAAAUUCUGUAAUUUAAUUUUCAAUUUAUUUUUUUUUCUUUGUAAUUUUUGUUUAUUUUAUUAAUUUAAUUUUUAGUUAAUUUAUUUCACGUAUUUGUUUUUGUGUAUUUUUAUAGAAAGGUUGUAAUAGCGCAAUAAGGUUAGUAUCGUAAUUUCUCCCUCUUAUUUAUUUUUAUUUGUUUUGUUCCCAUCUUUAUUUUUUGUUUUGUUUGCAUCUUUAUUUUUAUUUUCAUUUUAUUUUGCAUGCAUGGUCGUAGGUCAUUAUUACCUAAUCUUGAACCUAUAGACCUUGAAUUAGAAAAAACACUUCGCACACAAAAACACAUUAAAAAUAAAAUUGGAAUGGAUUUACAAGCACCACAGGAGAGGCCAUUUAAGGACUAUUUUAGUCCCUUAGCUAAUUUAAGCACAUCAUGUAUUAGAUACCCAAAUGUAGCUGCUAGGAAGCUUUGAACUAAAACCUAGUGUGCUAAAUUGUCUCCCCACAUUCUAUGGCUUAGAAAAUGAGGACCCAUAUAAUCAUCUGAAUGAUUUUCAUACCAUUUGUCAAACUUUUAAAUAUGAAAAUUUUUCAGACGAUGAUGUUAAACUCAGACUAUUCCCAUUUUCUUUAAAGGAUAGAGCUCGUUCAUGGUUAAAUACGUUGCCUGCUAAUAGCAUUUCAUCAUGGGAACAAAUGGUAACUAAAUUUUUGAAUAAAUAUUUCCCAGUGCAUAAAACCAAUUCUAUUCGCAGGGAAAUUUCAGAGUUUACACAAAGAGAGGACGAGCAGUUUUUCGAAACUUGGGAGCGAUUCAAUGGGCUACUCUUGAAGUGUCCACAUCAUGGGUACGAAAAAUGGCACCAAUGCCAAUACUUUUUGGAGGGAUUACUACCGAAUGUGCAAGAAUGGCUAAUGGCAACAAGUGGAGGAGAGCUAAUGUCAAAAAGUGCAUCAGAAAUUUGGGAAUUCUUCCAACGACAAGCGGAUAAUUCCCAACAACGGAGUCGAUCACUAAGGAAUACUAGAAGAAUUAAGGGAGUAAAUGAGGUUCAAAUUGGCGAGUCAACUUCGGGAAUCAAAGAAGUCAAGGAGAUGGUUGAAGGUCUCGCUCGACAAAUAGCAUCGUUAUCGACUGCUAAAUCAACAGAACCACAUGACCAUGACUCAUACUCCGAUCAAGCCAAUGCCAUAGGUGUAAUGAGAAAACCAUCGAAUUACAACCCAUACUCCAACACAUAUAACCCUGGAUGGAGAGACCACCCCAAUAUUUCAUGGUCUCAAGGAUUCCAACAGAAUGGACCAGCAGCUCCAGCUCCACCAAUGCAACAAAUUCCUCAAAAUCCUCAAGCCUCUCAGCCACCAUUCAGACCAUACAAUCAGAACCAGAACUACUCUCAACCCAGACCAUGGGAGGAUGCAUUCCAGAAUUUCAAGAAUGUUACUCACUCCACGAUUGAGCAACAGAACCGCACCAUUGAUGGACUACGAAAUGAGUUGAGAGCAGGCUUCAACUCACAAGCUCAAUCAGUUUCAAGCCUCGAGAAGAUGGUGGACAACUUGCUUCUUCAGUUCAGACCUUGGCAAUGACUGUUGAGAAAGGAAAAUUUCCAAGUCAACCAGUGCCUAAUCCUAAAGGAGUACAUGAAGCAAGUACCAGUUCACCACAACAGCAUGGAGAGGUCAAAGCAGUCAUGACCUUGCGAAAAGGAAAGGAAGUCGACAACAAAGUGGAGAUGCCGGUGACAAAAGAAAAUCAAAUUGUACCUGUGAAUGUUGAAGACUCACCACCGGAGGAGAAAGAAGAAACCAACCCACGAGAAUACGUUCCGAAAGCUCCAUUUCCUCAGAGGUUAGCUAAAGGGAAAAAGGGAAAAUCCACAGGUGAGAUUCUCGAAAUCUUCAAACAGGUAAGUGUUAACAUCCCUUUACUUGAUGCUAUUAAACAAGUUCCAUCUUAUUGCCAAGUUUCUUAAAGACCUUUGUACUAAAAAGAGAAAUAUGCAUGUUCAAAAGAAGGCAUUUUUAACAGAAAAUGUUAGUUCUAUACUCCAACAUAAAAUUCCUCUAAAAUGCAAAGACCCAGGCUCCCCCACUAUCUCAUGUAGUAUAGGGAACCACACAAUUGAGAAUGCGUUGUUGGAUUUAGGAGCUAGUGUAAAUCUGUUGCCUUAUUCAGUAUUCGUGAAACUUGGACUGGGAGAAUUACACCCAACUCCAGUGGUGUUACAGCUUGCAGAUCGGUCCACGAAAAUACCUCGUGGUAUUAUGGAGGACGUGCUUAUCCAGGUAGACAAGUUUUAUUUUCCUGUUGAUUUCAUUGUAAUUGACACUCAACCAAUACAGGAUUCAAGGAAGCACAUCCCCAUUAUUCUAGGCCGACCUUUCUUGGCGACUGCGGAUGCUCACAUUCAAUGCAGGACUGGAAAUAUGCAGUUGUCCUUCGGCAACAUGACUAUGGAGCUAAAUAUUUUCAACAUUGCCAAACAACCUCACAGUGCAGAUGAUGGAAUUGUUGAUGUGGAUUUAAUAGAAACAAUAGUUGAUAAUACUUUUCUUUCAAACCUUAGUGAUGAUCCUUUACAGACAUGCUUAACUCACUUUGGUUUGGAUUUUGAUAUUGAUAGAUCGGUCGAUGAGGUCAACGCCCUGCUUGACUCAGCACCAUCCAUGGACACUAAUAAAUGGAAGUCAAGAGUUGAACAACUAGCACCAUCAGAGAAGAAACUCAUUCCAUCAUCAGAAUCACCACCGAAACUCGAGCUCAAACCAUUACCCAACACUCUGGAAUAUGCAUUUUUGGGAGAAGAAAGUACUCUGCCGGUAAUCAUCUCAUCAUCCCUAAAUGACGAACAAAAAGGUAAGUUGUUGGAUGUUUUAAAAGAGCACAAAGGAGCAUUAGGAUGGACCAUAGCAGACAUUAAAGGUAUAAACCCAGUAGACUGUAUGCAUUACAUUCACCUUGAUGAAAAUGCUAAAACUACUAGGGAGAUGCAACGUCGGUUAAAUCCUAACAUGAAAGAAGUUGUUAGAACUGAAGUCCUUAAGCUAUUAGAUGCAGGUAUCAUUUACCCAAUUUCUGAUAGUUCAUGGGUCAGUCCUGUACAAGUUGUCCCCAAAAAGUCAGGAGUCACAGUAGUUACCAAUGCUGAUAAUGAAUUGAUACCAACUAGAGUAACUACAGGAUGGCGUGUAUGCAUUGAUUAUAGAAAGUUGAAUUCUGUCACACGUAAAGACCAUUUUCCUUUACCAUUUAUUGAUCAAAUGCUUGAUAGAUUAGCAGGCCAUGAAUUUUAUUGCUUUCUAGAUGGCUACUCAGGAUAUAAUCAGAUUCCCAUAGCACCAAAAGAUCAAGAGAAAACUACUUUCACUUGCCCUUUUGGCACAUUUGCAUAUAGGAGAAUGCCAUUUGGAUUAUGUAAUGCACCUGCUACAUUUCAACGAUGCAUGUUGAGCAUUUUUUCUGAUAUGGUUGAACGAUUCCUUGAAGUCUUUAUGGAUGAUUUUUCUGUCUUUGGUGACUCGUUUGAUCAAUGUUUACAUCAUCUAACGCUAGUUCUGCAGAGAUGUACCGAGAAGAGCUUAGUCUUAAAUUGGGAGAAGUGCCAUUUUAUGGUAAAACAAGGUAUUGUUCUCGGUCACAUCAUUUCGAGCAAAGGUAUUGAGGUUGACAAAGCCAAGGUGGAUCUCAUUUCUAAUCUUCCUCCACCUAAAACAGUCAGAGAAGUAAGAUCUUUCCUUGGGCAUGCUGGUUUCUAUAGACGUUUCAUUAAAGAUUUUAGCAAAGUUUCUAGACCCUUAUGCAAUUUACUUGCUAAGGAUGUACCUUUUAUCUUUAAUGAUUCAUGUCUUAUGGCUUUUGAAAAAUUAAAGCAAUUGUUGACAUCAUCACCCAUCAUUCAGGCCCCAAACUGGAGCUUACCAUUUGAGCUCAUGUGUGAUGCAUCUGAUUAUGCAGUAGGAGCAGUAUUAGGACAAAGAGUUGAUCGAAUUCCCAACGUUAUUUACUAUGCUAGUAUGACCUUGAAUGAUGCACAGUUGAAUUAUUCAACUACUGAAAAAGAAAUGCUAGCAGUAGUGUUUGCAUUGGAAAAAUUUCGAUCUUAUCUCAUUGGUUGUAAAAUAAUUAUAUUCACAGAUCAUGCUGCUCUUAAAUAUCUUCUCACAAAGAAAGAUGCAAAAGCUAGACUAAUUCGUUGGGUGUUACUUUUGCAGGAAUUUGACUUGGAAUUCAAAGAUAAGAAAGGGACAGAAAAUGUUGUGGCGGACCACCUCUCUCGUCUCCAUUUUGACACAAUUACAGAGCCAUUAAUAUUAAAUGAGUCAUUUCCAGAUGAACAAUUAAUGAGUGUGGAAGUAUUACCUUGGUAUGCUGAUAUAGUUAAUUAUCUUGUUACAGGUAAGCUUCCAGAGCAUUGGACCAAGCAAGACAAGGCUAAAUUCUUUGCGGAAAUAAAGAAUUUCUUUUGGGAUGACCCAUAUUUGUUCAAGUAUUGUGCAGACCAAAUUGUUAGACGAUGUGUCCCUGAAAGUGAAAUUCAGAAUAUCCUUUCAUUCUGCCAUGAACAAGCUUGUGGAGGCCAUUUCAGUGCUAAGAAAACAGCGACUAAAGUUUUACAAUGUGGUUUCUAUUGGCCAACUAUAUUUCGAGAUGCUUACACUUUCUGUUCUUCAUGUGAUAGGUGUCAACGAAUGGGGAGCAUUACACGAAGGAACAUGAUGCCACUAAAUCCAAUUUUAGUGGUUGAGAUUUUUGACGUAUGGGGUAUCGACUUCAUGGGACCCUUUCCCCUUCUUUUGGCCAUCAAUACAUAUUGGUUGGUGUUGACUACGUAUCGAAAUGGGUGGAAGCAAUUCCAUGCAGAACCAAUGAUCACAAAGUGGUGAUAGGAUUUUUGAAAAGCAAUAUUGUUUCGCGCUUUGGAUUCCCUCGAGCGAUAAUCAGUGAUGGUGGUGCCCACUUUUGUAACAAAGCAUUCAAGGCUCUUUUGACAAAGUAUUCAAUCACACACAAAGUGGCGACCCCGUAUCAUCCGCAAACCAGUGGCCAAGUUGAGAUCUCCAAUCGAGAAAUAAAGCACAUAUUAGAAAAGACGGUGAGGCCAGACAGGAAAGAUUUGGUCAUUACGACUUGAUGAUGCAUUAUGGGCAUAUAGAACGGCUUUCAAGACCCCGAUUGGGAUGUCACCCUACAGGCUAGUGUAUGGAAAAGCUUGCCACCUACCUGUGGAACUCGAGCAUCGUGCAUAUUGGGCCAUCAAGAAAUUCAACUUUGACAUGCAGCAAGCCAGCUCAGAAAGAAGAUUACAGCUGGCAGAACUUGAAGAAAUUCGCAAUGAUGCAUACGAAAAUGCCAAGAUUUACAAGCAACGAAUGAAAGUCUUCCAUGAUAAGCAAAUUAUGAGAAAAUCGUUCACUCCAGGUCAGAAAGUGCUUUUAUUCAAUUCUCGCUUGCACCUAUUCCCAGGUAAGUUACGCUCUCGUUGGUCUGGCCCAUUUAUUGUACAUACUGUUUUUCCACAUGGGGCAAUUGAAAUUAAGGACCCAAAGAACGGUGUCACGUAUAAAGUUAAUGGUCAAGAUUAAAGCCAUAUCUAGAGUACCAACCACAUGGAGAAAACAUCGAAAUAAAUUUGAGUGACCCACUAAAUUUGAAUUGAUUUUUUUUUUUUCUCUUUUCGUUAAUUUGAUUUUUCUUUAUUUCUUUUAUUAUUAUUCUUUUGCUAAUUGAAAUUGUUUUUGCAUAAGUGUGUUUAUUUUACCAUUAAGUUUUCUCUUAUCAUUUUUAAUCAUGAGUCUCAUACUUAGACCGUUCCUCCUGAACAUUCUUAAACCACUUCAACGUGUCAAAACUCAUCUCAAAAGGCAGAUUCUAUUUUGUAAAACACAACGCAUUUGGGCUCUACAACCACCAGAGUUAGUAGCCUAUGUUGAGGGUUUAGAACGCCAACUCAGAGACAUUGAGAGAAGUGUUUACGACAUCCAGUUGGAGCUUGAGGUAAAUUCAAUAAGAGGACGAUUUUAAUUUUCUUUGUGUGUUUUUUGUUUUUCUGUUUGUGUGCUUUAGUUUGUUACCCCGGUGAAGUGGCAGAUAACGGUUACUCCGUGACAAUCAAGUCGGUUAACUUCAGUUUCCCAUAAUAACUGAUAUUCUGAGGCGAAGGUAUGGACAGAAACGAGAUUCUAGCGAAGCUUCACAAGCGAUUCCCUUCACUUCCUCAGAAUGCCCUCCUUACAAUCUAUAAAGCCCGGUCUGAACGCAUGCGAUUGCUCAUGAGGAAUAACAUACCUGCAGACAUCCGUUGGUUAAUCGAGGCUAAAGUACGAUUGGCAGGUGAGUUACCUCCUAAAUUUAUUGCAUACAUGCCUGGUUGUGGUAAAGGAAAUUACGCAAGAAAACGACGAGCUCGAAGAAUUUCUGUUGCUUGUCACAAGUGUGCCAGAAUGAGUUGCGAUAGAAACCCAUGUUCUUUAGGAAUGGUGUCUGAUAACAGGGAAGAUAAGAUUCAAUUCAUUAGGGAUGGCUUGAAUAAGGAGUCAUUGGAUGAUAUCCUUUUGUCUCUUGAAACGCAUCCAGUGGAUAUGUGCAAGGAGCGAUUCUCCAGUUAAGGCCAUUAUUCCAAAAAGAGCAUGCACGAUAUCGUCUCGGGAAUCUGACUAUAAACGACCCUGUUUGCCAGUUUAUAAGAAAACUGGAUGGGAAGCCCAUCCUCGACCCAUAGAGGGCGUUCAAGCCGUUUCUGGACGUAAAACCAGAGGAAGAUGUGAGCCACAGUCGCAACUACGUGUAAAUAUCCUUUUACUUUACUGUUAUUUUAUUUCAUUUCACUGUUGUUUUAUUGUUUGCAUUAUUGUCUUUAAUAAUUUUAUUACUGUUUGCUUUUUCCUUUUUACUGUUUCCUUUUUGACUCGCGAGCCACGUGCUUUACGCGUUAUUUGACACUGACAUGUUACCUCAUUCACAGCUGUGAUCCAUUGUCACCAAGAUUCUUAAAUGUGAUUUAUCUUUUGUCAAGCACUCACAAAUUAUUUUUGAGAAGUAUCACAAUGGCAGCUACUCCCAAUAGACAAUUCAAGAACAUUUGUGUGCUUUCUGGAUUUACCUAUGGCAAACAUAAAGAGUUCGUGGAGGCAGCCAUAGAUCUUGGUCGAAGCAUAGCAGCGAGAAAAUUACAUUUGGUGUAUGGAGGAGGUAACGAGGGUUAUCAAAAAUGGUCUCAGAAGCAGCUUUUAUCAGAGGAAGUCAAGUGUUAGGCAUCAUCCCAAGAGUCCUAAAACCAUUGGGCAGUUCGUCUGACUCAUCAACUGGAGAAGAGUUAGUCGUCUCAGGUAUGCAAGAAAGAAUAACUGAAAUGCUUAAUCAUGCUGAUGCUUUUAUUUUCCUUCCAGGAGAUCUUGCAACACUAGAGGCACUUAUGACACUAGCAUCUUGGGCCCAUCUGCACAUCCACCAGAAACCCAUCGGUUGUUAAAUGUCAAUAACUUUUAUGAUGGCUUUAUCGCAUUUCUUAACCAUGCAAUAAAAAACUAUUUCAUUCCUUCUAAUGUAAAAAAACUUUUUAUUUGUGCUCACACUGCUAAUGAACUACUUGAUCUGUUACAAGCUUAUAAACCGGAGCCAGACCCCUGGACCUUUGUGUUGGAGCGCCCAAAUAAUGAUGGUAACAGUAGCCGCAGUAAGAAGUACAAAUUAGAUUUAACUCUCCGCCUGUAAAUAUAUUCUUUUGUGUUGCACCACCCAGGUGAUGUCUUCUAAACUCUACUUCUUUCCUUUAAAACAUUGAGGACAAUGUUUCGUUCUGGUUGAGGGGAGGGAAUAGUCGACAAUUGUGGAAUCUUGGUUAAGUUUUUACUGAUUUUUUGUUGUAGAAACUAACUGUUGCUAACUUUUUGUGUUGAAGAUGGCUGAAUAUGGAGUGUAGUGACUCUAGAAACGCAUCUUCAUCGUUUAAAAAAAAAAAAAAAUUUAAAAAACUAAAAAACUAAAAAAAACAAAAAAAUUCAACAUUUUCUUUUUCUUUAUUAUGUUUUGAUGUUCAUUUUUCUUCUUCUUUUAAUUUCUCCUUAUAAAUAUAUAUUUUCCAACUUUUGAGUCGAAGAUAGCUGAAUAUGGAGUGUAGUGCCUCUAGAAACGCAUCUUCAUCGUUUAAAAAAAAAUUAAAAAAAAAAAAAAACAAAAUUUCAUUUUCGUUUUCUAUCAUUUUACGUGUAACUUUUCUAAUUAGUUUUUAUGCAUCAUUUUCACAUUUCUGCAUGCAUAUUUUCCUUUCAUGUUUAGAAUAGGUUGGGGGGUUAGAAUGUUGUUUAAAAAAAAAAAAAGAAAAAAUUGUGUGAUUUGUUUUAACUUUAGAUGACAUGAUUAAUUUCAAAUUUUAGUAUUUGUAUUAUCUUUGGUCUUAAGUGAUGUUACAUUAUGUUUUGCUACUCUACAUGUUGAUGUCGGAGACAAAUAUGAGUUGCUUGAAGGAAUGAACAUGUCAUAAUAAGUACCAAGUGAGUUUUUGAGCCUAUCAUUUUUCUUGGAGAGUAACCCUUUUGCCCAUUCUUUAUAAUGCUUAACAGUUUAUUAUUGUAUACACGAUCUCUAGAUUUCUUUUGAGUUAAGCCUUAAAAAAAAAAAAAAAAAAAUGUGUGUGUUGCUACAUUGGGAGGCCCAUCUAACUAGUAGAUAUGGAUGAUUAUUUAGAGCCCUAAAAGACGAUGGAAAGGCCAUCUUUGAUCCGUUUGAGCCUUUCUAGCCAUCCCUCUUAUCAAGUAUCCAUAGUUAACCCAUUUGAGCCUUUUAAAUAAAAAAAAAAAAAAACUUUUCUUUGUUUAACUUAUCAUCUUGACCCACUCCGAUUUGGAGUAUUACCCAAUAUCUUACAAAUUCCAUCACCUAUUUAUGUUUGAGAAAAAUGUAAAUAAACAUUUUGCAUAGUGAAGUUAUGCCUAGUUCAAAAAAAAAAAGAAAAAAUUGUUGUUGCUGAAAAAAAAAAAAAAAAAGAAAAAAUUGUUGUUUCAAAAGAAUAAAAAUAACAAUAAUAGGUGAAAUCCACCUUGCAACUUCCAAAAAAAAAAAAAAAAAUAUUCUCUGCAUUUUUCUCAAACAUACACUUUGUUUUCCUUAUUUCCCUUCUUUGUUAGCCAUAUCCCUAGCCUACGUUACGUCCUAAUAAAAGUCCUUCUUGAUUUUAGGAACUAUAGUUUGAAGUAGAAGCUAGUUAUAUGGGCUAAAAAGAUGUAGUGAUGCAUAAUUAAAAAAAAAAAAGAUAAAUAAAGUGGGUUGACUAACAUUUUAUUUGACUUGAGAUCGUAUUAUUUCUAAGCUGAGGGCAUAUUUAUUUAAUCUUGGUGAGAGCAUGUGAUAUCAUUUCUUUAUUAUUUUCUCUCUCAAUUACCAUUCAUUGGAGUGACUAUGUUUAUUGGGUUUUAAUUUCUUUGUGAGAGUGUCACUACUUCCAGUGAGAUUUUGGGGUUUGACAUGUCAUUCUUGAAAGUAGCUAUAACAAAGUCUACUGGGCUAAUUCAUGUGGAUGGUUGAUGUGGGUGUGAUGUUGCUUUAGACUGGAGAUAAUGCUUAUACUUUUAUUUGAUUGCUAUCAUUAAUCUGAUUGAAUAAACACGAGUGUUUCUAAAAAAAAAAAAAAAAAAAUCAUUUUGAAUUUGAAUUUUGUUUUCGCUUUAUUUGCUAGGGACUAGCAAUAAGCUGGUUGGGGGGUGUGUUGAGUGUUAGAAAAUACAUAUUUAUAAAGGAGAAAACCGUCAUUUUACAUUUCAAGUCUUACUAACAACCCUUACUUUUAUGUAUUUAACCUUCUUGUGAUGUAAUUACGUGUGUGUUAUUUUAAUUAAGUAUUUUAUGUAUUUUAGGGGCAGUAUAGUCAUUUCACAAUAAAGGAGAGAUCAGACGGCAAAACGGACAUCACUUUUUGAACUCAGGACGGUCGAAAACCUUAGGAGGAGCAUAAAAGGAAAAAUGGCACUAUUCACAUGUACGGUACUAUUCACGUAUACGGUACUGUCUACGUUACUGUUCAUGACACUGUUCACAUAGACGGAUCGAUGACGUGGCAUUGACCGAUGACGUGGCAUUGACCGAUGAUGUGGCAUUGACUGAUGAGGUGUCACGAUCCUGUUGGGCUAAAAUUCUUAUGUACUGUUAAUGGUGACGUGGCAGCAUAUCAGUGGACGAAAAAUCUCGUGUACGGUGCAUGCAUCACACAGGAUUAUUUUCAACCAAACCGCGUUACUGUUCAUCCGGGUCAACCGUGUUACUGUUCAUCCGCGUGGUCAAACCGUGGACUGUUGACUGAUGACGUGGCGCAAUCCUGAGCGUCCAAACUGUUUUUAAUCGAUGGCCAUGAUUUACUCCAUGUAUCUAUAAAAAGGGGCCUCUCCCCCGAAUUUGAUAUCUCUGAAUCCAUUUUUGGGAUCCAUUUUCUGUAAUUCCUUCUCCAUCUUGUAUUUUCUUUGUAUUUUAAUAAAUUCCCUUUUUGCCCCUAGUUCAAUUAUGAGUAGCUAAUUUCUUUUCAAGCUUGGGUUGAAGGUGAAGUCUCAACAUGUGUCAUGGGCUUUAUUUGGUAAAUUUAUUUUCUUUUCCCCUCUAGUUUUUGUGGAUGAUUUGACUUAUCGUCGACAAAUAAUACUGAUCUUGUCUAGAUACCGCCUUGGUUACACCGGCUCUCUGGUAUAAGGUUAUUAUUAUUUGGCACGAUAAGCCCUUAGCACCAUAUGAUUAGAGCGUGGUUCAUGAGGUGUGGAUUCCCCCUCAUGAUUUAAUUGGUAUUAAUAAGGAAUAUUUAGCCCAUGAUGCAUGUUUGAUACGGAUCCAGAUACCCAAGUACGUCAUUUCAAUAGAAUUCUCUUCAAUUUAUUCUCGCCAUUUUAAUUUAAGUUUUAGCAUAUUCCAAAUCAUUUCCACCACAAAUCCAAUCACCCAUUUACAAAAUUAAUUUUAUACACAAUUAAAAUCCACCUCCUCGUGGGAUCGACACUCGUCACCAUUAGUCUAUAUUACAAUAGAUUCGUGCGCUUGCGAGUACAUUAAAAUUUGCACAACAAGUUUUUGGCGCCGUUGCCGGGGAGGUAAGUAAUUUUAAUUCAUAAAAUUAAUUUUUGUGAAUAAUUUCUUUUAUUUGUUUUCUUGUAUUUUUUUUUCUUAUUAAAAAAAAAAGAAAAAAAAAGAGUAAAUCUACAUUUAAAGGUUAGUAUUUCUUUUCUUUUUCUCUUCUUUAAAAUUCUGUAAUUUAAUUUUCAAUUUAUUUUUUUUUCUUUGUAAUUUUUGUUUAUUUUAUUAAUUUAAUUUUUAGUUAAUUUAUUUCACGUAUUUGUUUUUGUGUAUUUUUAUAGAAAGGUUGUAAUAGCGCAAUAAGGUUAGUAUCGUAAUUUCUCCCUCUUAUUUAUUUUUAUUUGUUUUGUUCCAUCUUUAUUUUUUGUUUUGUUUGCAUCUUUAUUUUUAUUUUCAUUUUAUUUUGCAUGCAUGGUCGUAGGUCAUUAUUACCUAAUCUUGAACCUAUAGACCUUGAAUUAGAAAAAACACUUCGCACACAAAAAACAAUUAAAAAUAAAAUUGGAAUGGAUUUACAAGCACCACAGGAGAGGCCAUUUAAGGACUAUUUUAGUCCCUUAGCUAAUUUAAGCACAUCAUGUAUUAGAUACCAAAUGUAGCUGCUAGGACUUUGAACUAAAACCUAGUGUGCUAAAUUGUCUCCCCACAUUCUAUGGCUUAGAAAAUGAGGACCCAUAUAAUCAUCUGAAUGAUUUUCAUACCAUUUGUCAAACUUUUAAAUAUGAAAAUUUUUCAGACGAUGAUGUUAAACUCAGACUAUUCCCAUUUUCUUUAAAGGAUAGAGCUCGUUUCAUGGUUAAAUACGUUGCCUGCUAAUAGCAUUUCAUCAUGGGAACAAAUGGUAACUAAAUUUUUGAAUAAAUAUUUCCCAGUGCAUAAACCAAUUCUAUUCGCAGGGAAAUUUCAGAGUUUACACAAAGAGAGGACGAGCAGUUUUUCGAAACUUGGGAGCGAUUUCAAUGGGCUACUCUUGAAGUGUCCACAUCAUGGGUACGAAAAAUGGCACCAAUGCCAAUACUUUUUGGAGGGAUUACUACCGAAUGUGCAAGAAUGGCUAAUGGCAACAAGUGGAGGAGAGCUAAUGUCAAAAAGUGCAUCAGGAAAUUUGGGAAUUCUUCCAACGACAAGCGGAUAAUUCCCAACAACGGAGUCGAUCACUAAGGAAUACUAGAAGAAUUAAGGGAGUAAAUGAGGUUCAAAUUGGCGAGUCAACUUCGGGAAUCAAAGAAGUCAAGGAGAUGGUUGAAGGUCUCGCUCGACAAAUAGCAUCGUUAUCGACUGCUAAAUCAACAGAACCACAUGACCAUGACUCAUACUCCGAUCAAGCCAAUGCCAUAGGUGUAAUGAGAAAACCAUCGAAUUACAACCCAUACUCCAACACAUAUAACCCUGGAUGGAGAGACCACCCCAAUUUUUCAUGGUCUCAAGGAUUCCAACAGAAUGGACCAGCAGCUCCAGCUCCACCAAUGCAACAAAUUCCUCAAAAUCCUCAAGCCUCUCAGCCACCAUUCAGACCAUACAAUCAGAACCAGAACUACUCUCAACCCAGACCAUGGAGGAUGCAUUCCAGAAUUUCAAGAAUGUUACUCACUCCACGAUUGAGCAACAGAAACCGCACCAUUGAUGGACUACGAAAUGAGUUGAGAGCAGGCUUCAACUCACAAGCUCAAUCAGUUUCAAGCCUCGAGAAGAUGGUGGGACAACUUGCUUUCUUCAGUUCAGACCUUGGCAAUGACUGUUGAGAAAGGAAAAUUUCCAAGUCAACCAGUGCCUAAUCCUAAAGGAGUACAUGAAGCAAGUACCAGUUCACCACAACAGCAUGGAGAGGUCAAAGCAGUCAUGACCUUGCGAAAAGGAAAGGAAGUCGACAACAAAGUGGAGAUGCCCGGUGACAAAAGAAAAUCAAAUUGUACCUGUGAAUGUUGAAGACUCACCACCGGAGGAGAAAGAAGAACCAACCCACGAGAAUACGUUCCGAAAGCUCCAUUUCCUCAGAGGUUAGCUAAAGGGAAAAAAGGGAAAAUCCACAGGUGAGAUUCUCGAAAUCUUCAAACAGGUAAGUGUUAACAUCCCUUUACUUGAUGCUAUUAAACAAGUUCCAUCUUAUGCCAAGUUUCUUAAAGACCUUUGUACUAAAAAGAGAAUAUGCAUGUUCAAAAGAAGGCAUUUUUAACAGAAAAUGUUAGUUCUAUACUCCAACAUAAAAUUCCUCUAAAAUGCAAAGACCCAGGCUCCCCAUAUCUCAUGUAGUAUAGGGAACCACACAAUUGAGAAUGCGUUGUUGGAUUUAGGAGCUAGUGUAAAUCUGUUGCCUUAUUCAGUAUUCGUGAAACUUGGACUGGGAGAUUACACCCAACUCCAGUGGUGUUACAGCUUGCAGAUCGGUCCACGAAAAUACCUCGUGGUAUUAUGGAGGACGUGCUUAUCCAGGUAGACAAGUUUUAUUUUCCUGUUGAUUUCAUUGUAAUUGACACUCAACAAUACAGGAUUCAAGGAAGCACAUCCCAUUAUUCUAGGCCGACCUUUCUUGGCGACUGCGGAUGCUCACAUUCAAUGCAGGACUGGAAAUAUGCAGUUGUCCUUCGGCAACAUGACUAUGGAGCUAAAUAUUUUCAACAUUGCCAAACAACCUCACAGUGCAGAUGAUGGAAUUGUUGAUGUGGAUUUAAUAGAAACAAUAGUUGAUAAUACUUUUCUUUCAAACCUUAGUGAUGAUCCUUUACAGACAUGCUUAACUCACUUUGGUUUGGAUUUUGAUAUUGACAGAUCGGUCGAUGAGGUCAACGCCCCUUGACUCAGCACCAUCCAUGGACACUAAUAAAUGGAAGUCAAGAGUUGAACAACUAGCACCAUCAGAGAAGAAACUCAUCCCAUCAUCAGAAUCACCACCGAAACUCGAGCUCAAACCAUUACCCAACACUCUGGAAUAUGCAUUUUUGGGAGAAGAAAGUACUCUGCCGGUAAUCAUCUCAUCAUCCCUAAAUGACGAACAAAAAGGUAAGUUGUUGGAUGUUUUAAAAGAGCACAAAGGAGCAUUAGGAUGGACCAUAGCAGACAUAAAAGGUAUAAACCCAGUAGACUGCAUGCAUUACAUUCACCUUGAUGAAAAUGCUAAAUACUAGGGAAAUGCAACGUCGGUUAAAUCCUAAUAUGAAAGAAGUUGUUAGAACUGAAGUCCUUAAGCUAUUAGAUGCAGGUAUCAUUUACCCAAUUUCUGAUAGUUCAUGGGUCAGUCCUGUACAAGUUGUCCCAAAAAGUCAGGAGUCACAGUAGUUACCAAUGCUGAUAAUGAAUUGAUACCAACUAGAGUAACUACAGGAUGGCGUGUAUGCAUUGAUUAUAGAAAGUUGAAUUCUGUCACACGUAAAGACCAUUUUCCUUUACCAUUUAUUGAUCAAAUGCUUGAUAGAUUAGCAGGCCAUGAAUUUUAUUGCUUUCUAGAUGGCUACUCAGGAUAUAAUCAGAUUCCCAUAGCACCAAAAGAUCAAGAGAAAACUACUUUCACUUGCCCUUUUGGCACAUUUGCAUAUAGGAGAAUGCCAUUUGGAUUAUGUAAUGCACCUGCUACAUUUCAACGAUGCAUGUUGAGCAUUUUUUCUGAUAUGGUUGAACGAUUCCUUGAAGUCUUUAUGGAUGAUUUUUCUGUCUUUGGUGACUCGUUUGAUCAAUGUUUACAUCAUCUAACGCUAGUUCUGCAGAGAUGUACCGAGAAGCUUAGUCUUAAAUUGGGAGAAGUGCCAUUUUAUGGUAAAACAAGGUAUUGUUCUCGGUCACAUCAUUUCGAGCAAAGGUAUUGAGGUUGACAAAGCCAAGGUGGAUCUCAUUUCUAAUCUUCCUCCACCUAAAACAGUCAGAGAAGUAAGAUCUUUCCUUGGGCAUGCUGGUUUCUAUAGACGUUUCAUUAAAGAUUUUAGCAAAGUUUCUAGACCCUUAUGCAAUUUACUUGCUAAGGAUGUACCUUUUAUCUUUAAUGAUUCAUGUCUUAUGGCUUUUGAAAAAUUAAAGCAAUUGUUGACAUCAUCACCCAUCAUUCAGGCCCCAAACUGGAGCUUANNNNNNNNNNNNNNNNNNNNNNNNNNNNNNNNNNNNNNNNNNNNNNNNNNNNNNNNNNNNNNNNNNNNNNNNNNNNNNNNNNNNNNNNNNNNNNNNNNNNNNNNNNNNNNNNNNNNNNNNNNNNNNNNNNNNNNNNNNNNNNNNNNNNNNNNNNNNNNNNNNNNNNNNNNNNNNNNNNNNNNNNNNNNNNNNNNNNNNNNNNNNNNNNNNNNNNNNNNNNNNNNNNNNNNNNNNNNNNNNNNNNNNNNNNNNNNNNNNNNNNNNNNNNNNNNNNNNNNNNNNNNNNNNNNNNNNNNNNNNNNNNNNNNNNNNNNNNNNNNNNNNNNNNNNNNNNNNNNNNNNNNNNNNNNNNNNNNNNNNNNNNNNNNNNNNNNNNNNNNNNNNNNNNNNNNNNNNNNNNNNNNNNNNNNNNNNNNNNNNNNNNNNNNNNNNNNNNNNNNNNNNNNNNNNNNNNNNNNNNNNNNNNNNNNNNNNNNNNNNNNNNNNNNNNNNNNNNNNNNNNNNNNNNNNNNNNNNNNNNNNNNNNNNNNNNNNNNNNNNNNNNNNNNNNNNNNNNNNNNNNNNNNNNNNNNNNNNNNNNNNNNNNNNNNNNNNNNNNNNNNNNNNNNNNNNNNNNNNNNNNNNNNNNNNNNNNNNNNNNNNNNNNNNNNNNNNNNNNNNNNNNNNNNNNNNNNNNNNNNNNNNNNNNNNNNNNNNNNNNNNNNNNNNNNNNNNNNNNNNNNNNNNNNNNNNNNNNNNUAGAAAAUGAGGACCCAUAUAAUCAUCUGAAUGAUUUUCAUACCAUUUGUCAAACUUUUAAAUAUGAAAAUUUUUCAGACGAUGAUGUUAAACUCAGACUAUUCCCAUUUUCUUUAAAGGAUAGAGCUCGUUCAUGGUUAAAUACGUUGCCUGCUAAUAGCAUUUCAUCAUGGGAACAAAUGGUAACUAAAUUUUUGAAUAAAUAUUUCCCAGUGCAUAAAACCAAUUCUAUUCGCAGGGAAAUUUCAGAGUUUACACAAAGAGAGGACGAGCAGUUUUUCGAAACUUGGGAGCGAUUCAAUGGGCUACUCUUGAAGUGUCCACAUCAUGGGUACGAAAAAUGGCACCAAUGCCAAUACUUUUUGGAGGAUUACUACCGAAUGUGCAAGAAUGGCUAAUGGCAACAAGUGGAGGAGAGCUAAUGUCAAAAAGUGCAUCAGAAAUUUGGGAAUUCUUCCAACGACAAGCGGAUAAUUCCCAACAACGGAGUCGAUCACUAAGGAAUACUAGAAGAAUUAAGGGAGUAAAUGAGGUUCAAAUUGGCGAGUCAACUUCGGGAAUCAAAGAAGUCAAGGAGAUGGUUGAAGGUCUCGCUCGACAAAUAGCAUCGUUAUCGACUGCUAAAUCAACAGAACCACAUGACCAUGACUCAUACUCCGAUCAAGCCAAUGCCAUAGGUGUAUGUAAUGAGAAAACCAUCGAAUUACAACCCAUACUCCAACACAUAUAACCCUGGAUGGAGAGACCACCCCAAUUUUUCAUGGUCUCAAGGAUUCCAACAGAAUGGACCAGCAGCUCCAGCUCCACCAAUGCAACAAAUUCCUCAAAAUCCUCAAGCCUCUCAGCCACCAUUCAGACCAUACAAUCAGAACCAGAACUACUCUCAACCCAGACCAUGGGAGGAUGCAUUCCAGAAUUUCAAGAAUGUUACUCACUCCACGAUUGAGCAACAGAACCGCACCAUUGAUGGACUACGAAAUGAGUUGAGAGCAGGCUUCAACUCACAAGCUCAAUCAGUUUCAAGCCUCGAGAAGAUGGUGGGACAACUUGCUUCUUCAGUUCAGACCUUGGCAAUGACUGUUGAGAAAGGAAAAUUUCCAAGUCAACCAGUGCCUAAUCCUAAAGGAGUACAUGAAGCAAGUACCAGUUCACCACAACAGCAUGGAGAGGUCAAAGCAGUCAUGACCUUGCGAAAAGGAAAGGAAGUCGACAAAAGUGGAGAUGCCGGUGACAAAAGAAAAUCAAAUUGUACCUGUGAAUGUUGAAGACUCACCACCGGAGGAGAAAGAAGAAACCAACCCACGAGAAUACGUUCCGAAAGCUCCAUUUCCUCAGAGGUUAGCUAAAGGGAAAAAGGGAAAAUCCACAGGUGAGAUUCUCGAAAUCUUCAAACAGGUAAGUGUUAACAUCCCUUUACUUGAUGCUAUUAAACAAGUUCCAUCUUAUGCCAAGUUUCUUAAAGACCUUUGUACUAAAAAGAGAAAUAUGCAUGUUCAAAAGAAGGCAUUUUUAACAGAAAAUGUUAGUUCUAUACUCCAACAUAAAAUUCCUCUAAAAUGCAAAGACCCAGGCUCCCCCACUAUCUCAUGUAGUAUAGGGAACCACACAAUUGAGAAUGCGUUGUUGGAUUUAGGAGCUAGUGUAAAUCUGUUGCCUUAUUCAGUAUUCGUGAAACUUGGACUGGGAGAAUUACACCCAACUCCAGUGGUGUUACAGCUUGCAGAUCGGUCCACGAAAAUACCUCGUGGUAUUAUGGAGGACGUGCUUAUCCAGGUAGACAAGUUUUAUUUUCCUGUUGAUUUCAUUGUAAUUGACACUCAACCAAUACAGGAUUCAAGGAAGCACAUCCCCAUUAUUCUAGGCCGACCUUUCUUGGCGACUGCGGAUGCUCACAUUCAAUGCAGGACUGGAAAUAUGCAGUUGUCCUUCGGCAACAUGACUAUGGAGCUAAAUAUUUUCAACAUUGCCAAACAACCUCACAGUGCAGAUGAUGGAAUUGUUGAUGUGGAUUUAAUAGAAACAAUAGUUGAUAAUACUUUUCUUUCAAACCUUAGUGAUGAUCCUUUACAGACAUGCUUAACUCACUUUGGUUUGGAUUUUGAUAUUGAUAGAUCGGUCGAUGAGGUCAACGCCCUGCUUGACUCAGCACCAUCCAUGGACACUAAUAAAUGGAAGUCAAGAGUUGAACAACUAGCACCAUCAGAGAAGAAACUCAUUCCAUCAUCAGAAUCACCACCAAAACUCGAGCUCAAACCAUUACCCAACACUCUGGAAUAUGCAUUUUUGGGAGAAGAAAGUACUCUGCCGGUAAUCAUCUCAUCAUCCCUAAAUGACGAACAAAAAGGUAAGUUGUUGGAUGUUUUAAAAGAGCACAAAGGAGCAUUAGGAUGGACCAUAGCAGACAUUAAAGGUAUAAACCCAGUAGACUGUAUGCAUUACAUUCACCUUGAUGAAAAUGCUAAAACUACUAGGGAGAUGCAACGUCGGUUAAAUCCUAACAUGAAAGAAGUUGUUAGAACUGAAGUCCUUAAGCUAUUAGAUGCAGGUAUCAUUUACCCAAUUUCUGAUAGUUCAUGGGUCAGUCCUGUACAAGUUGUCCCCAAAAAGUCAGGAGUCACAGUAGUUACCAAUGCUGAUAAUGAAUUGAUACCAACUAGAGUAACUACAGGAUGGCGUGUAUGCAUUGAUUAUAGAAAGUUGAAUUCUGUCACACGUAAAGACCAUUUUCCUUUACCAUUUAUUGAUCAAAUGCUUGAUAGAUUAGCAGGCCAUGAAUUUUAUUGCUUUCUAGAUGGCUACUCAGGAUAUAAUCAGAUUCCCAUAGCACCAAAAGAUCAAGAGAAAACUACUUUCACUUGCCCUUUUGGCACAUUUGCAUAUAGGAGAAUGCCAUUUGGAUUAUGUAAUGCACCUGCUACAUUUCAACGAUGCAUGUUGAGCAUUUUUUCUGAUAUGGUUGAACGAUUCCUUGAAGUCUUUAUGGAUGAUUUUUCUGUCUUUGGUGACUCGUUUGAUCAAUGUUUACAUCAUCUAACGCUAGUUCUGCAGAGAUGUACCGAGAAGAGCUUAGUCUUAAAUUGGGAGAAGUGCCAUUUUAUGGUAAAACAAGGUAUUGUUCUCGGUCACAUCAUUUCGAGCAAAGGUAUUGAGGUUGACAAAGCCAAGGUGGAUCUCAUUUCUAAUCUUCCUCCACCUAAAACAGUCAGAGAAGUAAGAUCUUUCCUUGGGCAUGCUGGUUUCUAUAGACGUUUCAUUAAAGAUUUUAGCAAAGUUUCUAGACCCUUAUGCAAUUUACUUGCUAAGGAUGUACCUUUUAUCUUUAAUGAUUCAUGUCUUAUGGCUUUUGAAAAAUUAAAGCAAUUGUUGACAUCAUCACCCAUCAUUCAGGCCCCAAACUGGAGCUUACCAUUUGAGCUCAUGUGUGAUGCAUCUGAUUAUGCAGUAGGAGCAGUAUUAGGACAAAGAGUUGAUCGAAUUCCCAACGUUAUUUACUAUGCUAGUAUGACCUUGAAUGAUGCACAGUUGAAUUAUUCAACUACUGAAAAAGAAAUGCUAGCAGUAGUGUUUGCAUUGGAAAAAUUUCGAUCUUAUCUCAUUGGUUGUAAAAUAAUUAUAUUCACAUCAUGCUGCUCUUAAAUAUCUUCUCACAAAGAAAGAUGCAAAAGCUAGACUAAUUCGUUGGGUGUUACUUUUGCAGGAAUUUGACUUGGAAUUCAAAGAUAAGAAAGGGACAGAAAAUGUUGUGGCGGACCACCUCUCUCGUCUCCAUUUUGACACAAUUACAGAGCCAUUAAUAUUAAAUGAGUCAUUUCCAGAUGAACAAUUAAUGAGUGUGGAAGUAUUACCUUGGUAUGCUGAUAUAGUUAAUUAUCUUGUUACAGGUAAGCUUCCAGAGCAUUGGACCAAGCAAGACAAGGCUAAAUUCUUUGCGGAAAUAAAGAAUUUCUUUUGGGAUGACCCAUAUUUGUUCAAGUAUUGUGCAGACCAAAUUGUUAGACGAUGUGUCCCUGAAAGUGAAAUUCAGAAUAUCCUUUCAUUCUGCCAUGAACAAGCUUGUGGAGGCCAUUUCAGUGCUAAGAAAACAGCGACUAAAGUUUUACAAUGUGGUUUCUAUUGGCCAACUAUAUUUCGAGAUGCUUACACUUUCUGUUCUUCAUGUGAUAGGUGUCAACGAAUGGGGAGCAUUACACGAAGGAACAUGAUGCCACUAAAUCCAAUUUUAGUGGUUGAGAUUUUUGACGUAUGGGGUAUCGACUUCAUGGGACCCUUUCCCCCUUCUUUUGGCCAUCAAUACAUAUUGGUUGGUGUUGACUACGUAUCGAAAAUGGGUGGAAGCAAUUCCAUGCAGGAACCAAUGAUCACAAAGUGGUGAUAGGAUUUUUGAAAGCAAUAUUGUUUUCGCGCUUUGGAUUCCCUCGAGCGAUAAUCAGUGAUGGUGGUGCCACUUUUGUAACAAAGCAUUCAAGGCUCUUUUGACAAAGUAUUCAAUCACACACAAAGUGGCGACCCCGUAUCAUCCGCAAACCAGUGGCCAAGUUGAGAUCUCCAAUCGAGAAAUAAAGCACAUAUUAGAAAAGACGGUGAGGCCAGACAGGAAAGAUUGGUCAUUACGACUUGAUGAUGCAUUAUGGGCAUAUAGAACGGCUUUCCAAGACCCCGAUUGGGAUGUCACCCUACAGGCUAGUGUAUGGAAAAGCUUGCCACCUACCUGUGGAACUCGAGCAUCGUGCAUAUUGGGCCAUCAAGAAAUUCAACUUUGACAUGGCAGCAAGCCAGCUCAGAAAGAAGAUUACAGCUGGCAGAACUUGAAGAAAUUCGGCAAUGAUGCAUACGAAAAUGCCAAGAUUUACAAGCAACGAAUGAAAGUCUUCCAUGAUAAGCAAUUAUGAGAAAAUCGUUCACUCCAGGUCAGAAAGUGCUUUUAUUCAAUUCUCGCUUGCACCUAUUCCCAGGUAAGUUACGCUCUCGUUGGUCUGGCCCAUUUAUUGUACAUACUGUUUUUCCACAUGGGGCAAUUGAAAUUAAGGACCCAAAGAACGGUGUCACGUAUAAAGUUAAUGGUCAAAGAUUAAAGCCAUAUCUAGAGUACCAACCACAUGGAGAAAACAUCGAAAUAAAAUUUGAGUGACCCACUAAAUUUGAAUUGAUUUUUUUUUUUUCUCUUUUCGUUAAUUUGAUUUUUCUUUAUUUCUUUUUAUUAUUAUUCUUUUGCUAAUUGAAAUUGUUUUUGCAUAAGUGUGUUUUAUUUUAACCAUUAAGUUUUCUCUUAUCAUUUUUAAUCAUGAGUCUCAUACUUAGACCGUUCCUCCUGAACAUUCUUAAACCACUUCAACGUGUCAAAACUCAUCUCAAAAGGCAGAUUCUAUUUUGUAAAAACACAACGCAUUUGGGCUCUACAACCACCAGAGUUAGUAGCCUAAUGUUGAGGGUUUAGAACGCCAACUCAGAGACAUUGAGAGAAGUGUUUUACGACAUCCAGUUGGAGCUUGAGGUAAAAUUCAAUAAGAGGACGAUUUUAAUUUUCUUUGUGUGUUUUUUGUUUUUUCUGUUUGUGUGCUUUAGUUUGUUACCUCCGGUGAAGUGGCGAGAUAACGUACUCCGUGACAAUCAAGUCGGUUAACUUCAGUUUCCCAUAAUAACUGAUAUUCUGAGGCGAAGGUAUGGACAGAAACGAGAUUCUAGCGAAGCUUCACAAGCGAUUCCCUUCACUUCCUCAGAAUGCCCCUCCUUACAAUCUAUAAAGCCGGUCUGAACGCAUGCGAUUGCUCAUGAGGAAUAACAUACCUGCAGACAUCCGUUGGUUAAUCGAGGCUAAAGUACGAUUGGCAGGUGAGUUACCUCCUAAAUUUAUUGGCAUACAUGCCUGGUUGUGGUAAAGGAAAUUACGCAAGAAAACGACGAGCUCGAAGAAUUUCUGUUGCUUGUCACAAGUGUGCCAGAAUGAGUUGCGAUAGAAACCCAUGUUCUUUAGGAAUGGUGUCUGAUAACAGGGAAGAUAAGAUUCAAUUCAUUAGGAUGGCUUGAAUAAGGAGUCAUUGGAUGAUAUCCUUUUGUCUCUGAAACGCAUCCCAGUGGAUAUGUGCAAGGAGCGAUUCUCCAGUUAAGGCCAUUAUUCCAAAAAGAGCAUGCACGAUAUCGUCUCGGGAAUCUGACUAUAAACGACCCUGUUUGCCAGUUUAUAAGAAAACUGGAUGGGAAGCCCAUCCUCGACCCAUAGAGGGCGUUCAAGCCGUUUCUGGACGUAAAACCAGAGGAAGAUGUGAGCCACAGUCGCAACUACGUGUAAAUAUCCUUUUACUUUACUGUUAUUUUAUUUCAUUUCACUGUUGUUUUAUUGUUUGCAUUAUUGUCUUUAAUAAUUUUAUUACUGUUUGCUUUUUCCUUUUUACUGUUUCCUUUUUUGACUCGCGAGCCACGUGCUUUACGCGUUAUUUGACACUGACAUGUUACCUCAUUCACAGCUGUGAUCCAUUGUCACCAAGAUUCUUAAAUGUGAUUUAUCUUUUGUCAAGCACUCACAAAUUAUUUUUGAGAAGUAUCACAAUGGCAGCUACUCCCAAUAGACAAUUCAAGAACAUUUGUGUGCUUUCUGGAUUUACCUAUGGCAAACAUAAAGAGUUCGUGGAGGCAGCCAUAGAUCUUGGUCGAAGCAUAGCAGCGAGAAAAUUACAUUUGGUGUAUGGAGGAGGUAACCGAGGGUUAUCAAAAAAUGGUCUCAGAAGCAGCUUUUAUCAAGGAAGUCAAGUGUUUAGGCAUCAUCCAAGAGUCCUAAAACCAUUGGGCAGUUCGUCUGACUCAUCAACUGGAGAAGAGUUAGUCGUCUCAGGUAUGCAAGAAAGAAUAACUGAAAUGCUUAAUCAUGCUGAUGCUUUAUUUUCCUUCCAGGAGAUCUUGCAACACUAGAGGCACUUAUGACACUAGCAUCUUGGGCCCCAUCUGCACAUCCACCAGAAACCCAUCGGUUGUUAAAUGUCAAUAACUUUUAUGAUGGCUUUAUCGCAUUUCUUAACCAUGCAAUAAAAAACUAUUUCAUUCCUUUCUAAUGUAAAAAAAACUUUUUAUUUGUGCUCACACUGCUAAUGAACUACUUGAUCUGUUACAAGCUUAUAAACCGGAGCCAGACCCCUGGACCUUUGUGUGGAGCGCCCAAAUAAUGAUGGUAACAGUAGCCGCAGUAAGAAGUACAAAUUAGAUUUAACUCUCCGCCUGUAAAUAUAUUCUUUUGUGUUGCACCACCCAGGUGAUGUCUUCUAAACUCUACUUCUUUCCUUUAAAACAUUGAGGACAAUGUUUCGUUCUGGUUGAGGGGAGGGAAUAGUCGACAAUUGUGGAAUCUUGGUUAAGUUUUUACUGAUUUUUUGUUGUAGAAACUAACUGUUGCUAACUUUUUGUGUUGAAGAUGGCUGAAUAUGGAGUGUAGUGACUCUAGAAAACGCAUCUUCAUCGUUUAAAAAAAAAAAAAAAAUUUAAAAAAACUAAAAAACAAAAAAACAAAAAAAUUCAAACAUUUUCUUUUUCUUUAUUAUGUUUGAUGUUCAUUUUUCUUCUUCUUUUUAAUUUCUCCUUAUAAAUAUAUAUUUUCCAACUUUUGAGUCGAAGAUAGCUGAAUAUGGAGUGUAGUGCCUCUAGAACGCAUCUUCAUACGUUUAAAAAAAAAUUAAAAAAAAAAAACAAAAUUUCAUUUCGUUUUCUAUCAUUUACGUGUACUUUUCUAUUAGUUUUAGCAUCAUUUUCACAUUUCUGGCAUGCAUAUUUUCCUUUCAUGUUUAGAAUAGGUUGGGGGUAGAAUUUGUUUAAAAAAAAAAAAAGAAAAAAUUGUUGUGAUUUGUUUUAACUUUAGAUGACAUGAUUAAUUUUCAAAUUUUAGUAAUUUGUAUUAUCUUUGGUCUUAAGUGAUGUUACAUUAUGUUUGCUACUCUACAUGUUGAUGUCGGAGACAAAUAUGAGUUGCUUGAAGGAAUGAACAUGUCAUAAAUAAGUACCAAGUGAGUUUUUGAGCCUAUUCAUUUUUUCUUGGAGAGUAACCCUUUUGCCCAUUCUUUAUAAUGCUUAACAGUUUAUUAUUGUAUACACGAUCUCUAGAUUUCUUUUGAGUUAAGCCUUAAAAAAAAAAAAAAAAAAAAAAAUGUGUGUGUUGCUACAAUUGGGAGGCCCAUCUAACUAGUAGAUAUGGAUGAUUAUUUAGAGCCUAAAAAGACGAUGGAAAGGCCAUCUUUGAUCCGUUUGAGCCUUUCUAGCCAUCCCUCUUAUCAAGUAUCCAUAGUUAACCCAUUUGAGCCUUUUAAAUAAAAAAAAAAAAAAACUUUCUUUGUUUAACUUAUCAUCUUGACCCACUCCGAUUUGGAGUAUUACCCAAUAUCUUACAAAUUUCCAUCACCUAUUUAUGUUUGAGAAAAAUGUAAAUAAACAUUUUGCAUAGUGAAGUUAUGCCUAGUUCAAAAAAAAAAAAGAAAAAAUUGUUGUUGCUGAAAAAAAAAAAAAAAAAAAAAAAAGAAAAAAAAUUGUUGUUUCAAAAGAAUAAAAAUAACAAUAAUAGGUGAAAUCACCUUGCAACUUCCAAAAAAAAAAAAAAAAAAAUAUUCUCUGCAUUUUUCUCAAACAUACACUUUGUUUUCCUUAUUCCUUCUUUGUUAGCCAUAUCCCUAGCCUAUACGUUACGUCCUAAUAAAAGUCCUUCUUGAUUUUAGGGAACUAUAGUUUGAAGUAGAAGCUAGUUAUAUGGGCUAAAAAGAUGUAGUGAUGCAUAAUUAAAAAAAAAAAAGAUAAAUAAAGUGGGUUGACUAACAUUUUAUUUGACUUGAGAUCGUAUUAUUUCUAAGCUGAGGGCAUAUUUAUUUAAUCUUGGUGAGAGCAUGUGAUAUCAUUUCUUUAUUAUUUUCUCUCUCAAUUACCAUUCAUUGGAGUGACUAUGUUUAUUGGGUUUUAAUUUCUUUGUGAGAGUGUCACUACUUCCAGUGAGAUUUUGGGGUUUGACAUGUCAUUCUUGAAAGUAGCUAUAACAAAGUCUACUGGGCUAAUUCAUGUGGAUGGUUGAUGUGGGUGUGAUGUUGCUUUAGACUGGAGAUAAUGCUUAUACUUUUAUUUGAUUGCUAUCAUUAAUCUGAUUGAAUAAACACGAGUGUUUCUAAAAAAAAAAAAAAAAAUCAUUUUGAAUUUGAAAUUUUGUUUUCGCUUUAUUUGCUAGGGACUAGCAAUAAGCUGGUUGGGGGUGUGUUGAGUGUUAGAAAAUACAUAUUUAUAAAGGAGAAAACCGUCAUUUUACAUUUCAAGUCUUACUAACAACCCUUACUUUUAUGUAUUUAACCUUCUUGUGAUGUAAUUACGUGUGUGUUAUUUUAAUUAAGUAUUUUAUGUAUUUUAGGGGCAUUAUAGUCAUUUCACAAUAAAGGAGAGAUCAGACGGCAAAAACGGACAUCACUUUUGAACUCAGGACGGUCGAAAACCUUAGGAGGAGCAUAAAAGGAAAAAUGGCACUAUUCACAUGUACGGUACUAUUCACGUAUACGGUACUGUCUACGUUACUGUUCACGACACUGUUCACAUAGACGGAUCGAUGACGUGGCAUUGACCGAUGAUGUGGCAUUGACUGAUGAGGUGUCACGAUCCUGUUGGACUAAAAUUCUUAUGUACUGUUGAUGGUGACGUGGCAGCAUAUCAGUGGACGAAAAAUCUCGCGUACGGUGCAUGCAUCACACAGGAUUAUUUUCAACCAAACCGCGUUACUGUUCAUCCGGGUCAAACCGUGUUACUGUUCAGCGGUCAAACCGUUACUGUUCAUCCGCGUGGUCAAACCGUGGACUGUUGACUGAUGACGUGGCGCAAUCCUGAGCGUCCAAACUGUUUUUAAUCCGAUGGCCAUGAUUUACUCCAUGUAUCUAUAAAAAGGGGGCCUCCCCCCCUAAUUUGAUAUCUCUGAAUCCAUUUUUGGGAUCCAUUUUCUGUAAUUCCUUCUCCAUCUUGUAUUUUCUUGUAUUUUAAUAAAUUCCUAUUUUGCCCCUAGUUCAAUUAUGAGUAGCUAAUUUCUUUUCAAGCUUGGGUUGAAGGUGAAGUCUCAACAUGUGUCAUGGGCUUUAUUUGGUAAAUUUAUUUUCUUUUCCCCUCUAGUUUUUGUGGAUGAUUUGACUUAUCGUCGACAAAUAAUACUGAUCUUGUCUAGAUACCGCCUUGGUUACACCGGCUCUCUAGUAUAAGGUUAUUAUUAUUUGGCACGAUAAGCCCUUAGCACCAUAUUGAUUAGAGCGUGGUUCAUGAGGUGUGGAUUCCCCCUCAUGAUUUAAUUGGCAUUAAUACGGAUUAUUUAGCCCAUGAUGCAUGUUGAUACGGAUCCAGAUACCCAAGUACGUCAUUUCAAUAGAUUCUCUUCAAUUUAUUCUCGCCAUUGCAAUUCCAAUUUAGAAUUUAUUUGCAUUUAUUAAGUUUUAGCAUAUUCAAAUCAUUUCCACCACAAUCCAACCACCCAUUUACAAAAUUAAUUCUAUAUACAAUUAAAAUCCACCUCCUCGUGGGAUCGACACUCGUCACCAUUAGUCUAUACUACAAUAGAUUCGUGCGCUUGCGAGUACAUUAAAAUUUGCACAACAAGUUUUUGGCGCCGUUGCCGGGAGGUAAGUAAUUUUAAUUCAUAGAAUUAAUUUUUGUGAAUAAUUUCUUUUAUUUGUUUUCUUGUAUUUUUUUUUAUUAAAAAAAAAAAGAAAAAAAAAGUAAAUCUACAUUUAAAGGUUAGUAUUUCUUUUCUUUUUCUCUUCUUUAAAAAUUCUGUAAUUUAAUUUUCAAUUUAUUUUUUUUCUUUGUAAUUUUUGUUUAUUUUAUUAAUUUAAUUUUUAGUUAAUUUAUUUCACGUAUUUGUUUUUGUGUAUUUUUAUAGAAAGGUUGUAAUAGCGCAAUAAGGUUAGUAUCGUAAUUUCUCCCUCUUCUUUAUUUUUAUUUGUUUUGUUCCCAUCUUUAUUUUUUUUAUUUUUAUUUUAUUUUGCAUGCAUGGUCGUAGGUCAUUAUUACCUAAUCUUGAACCUAUAGACCUUGAAUUAGAAAAAACACUUCGCACACACAAACACAUUAAAAAUAAAAUUGGAAUGGAUUUACAAGCACCACAGGAGAGGCCAUUUAAGGACUAUUUUAGUCCCUUAGCUAAUUUGAGCACAUCAUGCAUAAGAUACCCAAAUGUAGCUGCUAGGAGUUUUGAACUAAAACCUAGUGUGCUAAAUUGUCUCCCCACAUUCUAUGGCUUAGAAAAUGAGGACCCAUAUAAUCAUCUGAAUGAUUUUCAUGCCAUUUGUCAAACUUUUAAAUAUGAAAAUUUUUCAGACGAUGAUGUUAAACUCAGAUUAUUCCCAUUUUCUUUAAAGGAUAGAGCUCGUUCAUGGUUAAAUACUUUGCCUGCUAAUAGCAUUUCAUCAUGGGAACAAAUGGUAACGAAAUUUUUGAAUAAAUAUUUCCCAGUGCAUAAAACCAAUUCUAUUCGCAGGGAAAUUUCAGAGUUUACACAAAGAGAGGACGAGCAGUUUUUCGAAACUUGGGAGCGAUUCAAUGGGCUACUCUUGAAGUGUCCACAUCAUGGGUACGAGAAAUGGCACCAAUGCCAAUACUUUUUGGAGGGAUUAUUGCCGAAUGUGCAAGAAUGGCUAAUGGCAACAAGUGGAGGAGAGCUAAUGUCAAAAAGUGCAUCAGAGAUUUGGGAAUUCUUCCAGCGACAAGCGGAUAAUUCCCAACAACGGAGUCGAUCACUCAGGAAUACUAGAAGAAUUAAGGGAGUAAAUGAGGUUCAAAUUGGCGAGUCAACUUCGGAAAUCAAAGAAGUCAAGGAGAUGGUUGAAGGUCUCUGCUCGACAAAUAGCAUCGUUAUCGACUGCUAAAUCAACAGAACCACAUGACCAUGACUCAUACUCAGAUCAAGCCAAUGCCAUAGGUGUAAUGAGAAAACCAUCGAAUUACAACCCAUACUCCAACACAUAUAACCCUGGAUGGAGAGACCACCCCAAUUUUUCAUGGUCUCAAGGAUUCCAACAGAAUGGACCAGCAGCUCCAGCUCCACCAAUGCAACAAAUUCCUCAAAAUCCUCAAGCCUCUCAGCCACCAUUUAGACCAUACAAUCAGAACCAGAACUACUCUCAACCCAGACCAUGGGAGGAUUCAUUCCAGAAUUUCAAGAAUGUUACUCACUCACGAUUGAGCAACAGAACCGCACCAUUGAUGGACUACGAAAUGAGUUGAGAGCAGGCUUCAACUCACAAGCCCAAUCAGUUUCAAGCCUCGAGAAGAUGGUGGGACAACUUGCUUCUUCAGUUCAGACCUUGGCAAUGACUGUUGAGAAAGGUAAAUUUCCAAGUCAACCAGUGCCUAAUCCUAAAGGAGUACAUGAAGCAAGUACCAGUUCACCACAGCAGCAUGGAGAGGUCAAAGCAGUCAUGACCUUGCGAAAAGGAAAGGAAGUCGACAACAAAGUGGAGAUGCCGGUGACAAAAGAAAAUCAAAUUGUACCUGUGAAUGUUGAAGACUCACCACCGGAGGAAAAGAAGAAACCAACCCACGAGAAUACGUUCCAAAGCUCCAUUUCCUCAGAGGUUAGCUGAAAGGAAAGAAGGGAAAAUCCACAGGUGAGAUUCUCGAAAUCUUCAAACAGGUAAGUGUUAACAUCCCUUUACUUGAUGCUAUUAAACAAGUUCCAUCUUAUGCCAAGUUUCUUAAAGACCUUUGUACUAAAAAGAGAAAUAUGCAUGUUCAAAAGAAGGCAUUUUUAACAGAAAACGUUAGUUCUAUACUCCAACAUAAAAUUCCUUUAAAAUGCAAAGACCCAGGCUCCCCCACUAUCUCAUGUAGUAUAGGGAACCACACAAUUGAGAAUGCUUUGUUGGAUUUAGGAGCUAGUGUAAAUUUGUUGCCUUACUCUGUAUUCGUGAAACUUGGACUGGGAGAAUUACACCCAACUCCAGUGGUGUUACAGCUUGCAGAUCGGUCCACGAAAAUACCUCGUGGUAUUGUGGAGGACGUGCUUAUCCAGGUAGACAAGUUUUAUUUUCCUGUUGAUUUCAUUGUAAUUGACACUCAACCAAUACAGGAUUCAAGGAAGCACAUCCCCAUUAUUCUAGGCCGACCUUUCUUGGCAACUGCGGAUGCUCACAUUCAAUGCAGGACUGGAAAUAUGCAAUUGUCCUUCGGCAACAUGACUAUGGAGCUAAACAUUUUCAACAUUGCCAAACAACCUCACAGUGCAGAUGAUGGAAUUGUUGAUGUGGAUUUAAUAGAAACAAUAGUUGAUAAUACUUUUCUUUCAAACCUUAGUGAUGAUCCUUUACAAACAUGUUUAACUCACUUUGGUUUGGAUUUUGAUAUUGACAGAUCGGUCGAUGAGGUCAACGCCCUACUUGACUCAGCACCAUCCAUGGACACUAAUAAAUGGAAGUCAAGAGUUGAACAACUAGCACCAUCAGAGAAGAAACUCAUCCCAUCAUCAGAAUCACCACCGAAACUCGAGCUCAAACCAUUACCCAACACUUGGAAUAUGCAUUUUUGGGAGAAGAAAGUACUCUGCCGGUAAUCAUCUCAUCAUCCCUAAAUGACGAACAAAAAGGUAAGUUGUUGGAUGUUUUAAAAGAGCACAAAGGAGCAUUAGGAUGGACCAUAGCAGACAUAAAAGGUAUAAACCCAGUAGACUGCAUGCAUUACAUUCACCUUGAUGAAAAUGCUAAAUCUACUAGGGAAAUGCAACGUCGGUUAAAUCCUAAUAUGAAAGAAGUUGUUAGAACUGAAGUCCUUAAGCUAUUAGACGCAGGUAUCAUUUACCCAAUUUCUGAUAGUUCAUGGGUCAGUCCUGUACAAGUUGUCCCCAAAAAGUCAGGAGUCACAGUAGUUACCAAUGCUGAUAAUGAAUUGAUACCAACUAGAGUAACUACAGGAUGGCGUGUAUGCAUUGAUUAUAGAAAGUUGAAUUCUGUCACACGUAAAGACCAUUUUCCUUUACCAUUUAUUGAUCAAAUGCUUGAUAGAUUAGCAGGCCAUGAAUUUUAUUGCUUUCUAGAUGGCUACUCAGGAUAUAAUCAGAUUCCCAUAGCACCAAAAGAUCAAGAGAAAACUACUUUCACUUGCCCUUUUGGCACAUUUGCAUAUAGGAGAAUGCCAUUUGGAUUAUGUAAUGCACCUGCUACAUUUCAACGAUGCAUGUUGAGCAUUUUUUCUGAUAUGGUUGAACGAUUCCUUGAAGUCUUUAUGGAUGAUUUUUCUGUCUUUGGUGACUCGUUUGAUCAAUGUUUACAUCAUCUAACGCUAGUUCUGCAGAGAUGUAUCGAGAAGAACUUAGUCUUAAAUUGGGAGAAGUGCCAUUUUAUGGUAAAACAAGGUAUUGUUCUCGGUCACAUCAUUUCGAGCAAAGGUAUUGAGGUUGACAAAGCCAAGGUGGAUCUCAUUUCUAAUCUUCCUCCACCCAAAACAGUCAGAGAAGUAAGAUCUUUCCUUGGGCAUGCUGGUUUCUAUAGACGUUUCAUUAAAGAUUUUAGCAAAGUUUCUAGACCCUUAUGCAAUUUACUUGCUAAGGAUGUACCUUUUAUCUUUAAUGAUUCAUGUCUUAUGGCUUUUGAAAAAUUAAAGCAGUUGUUGACAUCAUCACCCAUCAUUCAGGCCCCAAACUGGAGCUUACCAUUUGAGCUCAUGUGUGAUGCAUCUGAUUAUGCAGUAGGAGCAGUAUUAGGACAAAGAGUUGAUCGAAUUCCCCAUGUUAUUUACUAUGCUAGUAUGACAUUGAAUGAUGCACAGUUGAACUAUUCAACUACUGAAAAAGAAAUGCUAGCAGUAGUGUUUGCAUUGGAAAAAUUUCGAUCUUAUCUCAUUGGUUGUAAAAUAAUUAUAUUCACAGAUCAUGCUGCUCUUAAAUAUCUUCUCACAAAGAAAGAUGCAAAAGCUAGACUAAUUCGUUGGGUGUUACUUUUGCAGGAAUUUGACUUGGAAUUCAAAGAUAAGAAAGGCACAGAAAAUGUUGUGGCGGACCACCUCUCUCGUCUCCAUUUUGACACAAUUACAGAGCCAUUAAUAUUAAAUGAGUCAUUUCCAGAUGAACAAUUAAUGAGUGUGGAAGUAUUACCUUGGUAUGCUGAUAUAGUUAAUUAUCUUGUUACAGGUAAACUUCCAGAGCAUUGGACCAAGCAAGACAAGGCUAAAUUCUUUGCGGAAAUAAAGAAUUUCUUUUGGGAUGACCCAUAUUUGUUCAAGUAUUGUGCAGACCAAAUUGUUAGACGAUGUGUCCCUGAAAGUGAAAUUCAGAAUAUCCUUUCAUUCUGCCAUGAACAAGCUUGUGGAGGCCAUUUCAGUGCUAAGAAAACAGCGACUAAAGUUUUACAAUGUGGUUUCUAUUGGCCAACUAUAUUUCGAGAUGCUUACACUUUCUGUUCUUCAUGUGAUAGGUGUCAACGAAUGGGGAGCAUUACACGAAGGAACAUGAUGCCACUAAAUCCAAUUUUAGUGGUUGAGAUUUUUGACGUAUGGGGUAUCGACUUCAUGGGACCCUUUCCCCCUUCUUUUGGCCAUCAAUACAUAUUGGUUGGUGUUGACUACGUAUCGAAAUGGGUAGAAGCAAUUCCAUGCAGAACCAAUGAUCACAAAGUGGUGAUAGGAUUUUUGAAAAGCAACAUUGUUUCACGCUUUGGAUUCCCUCGAGCGAUAAUCAGUGAUGGUGGUGCCCACUUUUGUAACAAAGCAUUCAAAGCUCUUUUGACAAAGUAUUCAAUCACACACAAAGUGGCGACCCCGUAUCAUCCGCAAACCAGUGGCCAAGUUGAGAUCUCCAAUCGAGAAAUAAAGCACAUAUUAGAAAAAACGGUGAGGCCAGACAGAAAAGAUUGGUCAUUAAGACUUGAUGAUGCAUUAUGGGCAUAUAGAACGGCUUUCAAGACCCCGAUUGGGAUGUCACCCUACAGGCUAGUGUAUGGAAAAGCUUGCCACCUACCUGUGGAACUCGAGCAUCGUGCAUAUUGGGCCAUCAAGAAAUUCAACUUUGACAUGCAGCAAGCCAGCUCAGAAAGAAGAUUACAACUGGCAGAACUUGAAGAAAUUCGCAAUGAUGCAUACGAAAAUGCCAAGAUUUACAAGCAACGAAUGAAAGUCUUUCAUGACAAGCACAUUAUGAGAAAAUCGUUCACUCCAGGUCAGAAAGUGCUUUUAUUCAAUUCUCGCUUGCACCUAUUCCCAGGUAAGUUACGCUCUCGAUGGUCUGGUCCCUUUAUUGUUCAUACUGUUUUUCCACAUGGGGCAAUUGAAAUUAAGGACCCAAAGAACGGUGUCACGUUUAAAGUUAAUGGUCAAAGAUUAAAGCCAUAUCUAGAGUACCAACCACAUGGAGAAGACACCGAAAUAAAUUUGAGUGACCCACCAGAUUUGAAUUGAUUUUUUUUUCUUUUCGUUGAUUUGAUUUUUCUUUCUUUCUUUUUAUUAUUCUUUUGCUAAUUGAAAUUAUUUUUGCAUAAGUGUGUUUGUUUAACUAUUAAGUUUUCUCUUAUCAUUUUUAAUCAUGAGUACCUUACUUAGACCGUUCCUCCUGAACAUUCUUAAACCACUUCAACGUGUCAAAACUCAUCUCAAAAAGCAGAUUCAAUUUUGUAAAACACAACGCAUUUGGGCUCUACAACCACCAGAGUUAGUAGCCUAUGUUGAGGGUUUAGAACGCCAACUCAGAGACAUUGAGAGAAGUGUUUACGACAUCCAGUUGGAGCUUGAGGUAAAUUCAAUAAGAGGACGAUUUUAAUUUUCUUUGUGUGUUUUAAUUUGUUUUUCUGUUUGUGUGCUUUAGUUUGUUACCCCGGUGAAGUGGCGGAUAACGGUACUCCGUGACAAUCAAGUCGGUUACUUCAGUUUCCCAUAAUAACUGAUAUUCUGAGGCGAAGGUAUGGACAGAAACGAGAUUCUAGCGAAGCUUCACAAGCGAUUCCCUUCACUUCCUCAGAAUGCCCUCCUUACAAUCUAUAAAGCCGGUCGAACGCAUGCGAUUCUCAUGAGAAUAACAUACCUGCGACAUCCGUUGGUUAAUCGAGGAAAGUACGAUGGCAGGUAGUUACUAAUUUGCAUAUCUGUUAUGCGAAACAGUCGAAUUCUGUCAAGAAAUAAGGAUAAUAAUAUCUUUGUUCAGAUCAAAAAAAUUUCCAUAAAAAAAAGCAUGUAUGCAAUCAUUCUGCACACUUUGACAAGCAACAGAAAUUCUUCGAGCUGUCGUUUUCUUGCAUAAUUUCUUUACCACAACCAGCAUGAUGCAAUAAAUUUGGAGGUAACUCACCUGCCAUCGUACUUUAGCCUCGAUUAACCAACGGAUGUCGCAGGUAUGUUAUUCCUCAUGAGCAAUCGCAUGCGUUCGACCGGCUUUAUAGAUGUAAGGAGGGCAUUCUGAGGAAGUGAAGGGAAUCGCUUGUGAAGCUUCGCUAGAAUCUCGUUUCUGUCCAUACCUUCGCCUCAGAAUAUCAGUUAUUAUGGGAAACUGAAGUAACCGACUUGAUUGUCACGGAGUACCGUUAUCCGCCACUUCACCGGGGUAACAAACUAAAGCACACAAACAGAAAAACAAAUUAAAACACACAAAGAAAAUUAAAAUCGUCCUCUUAUUGAAUUUACCUCAAGCUCCAACUGGAUGUCGUAAACACUUCUCUCAAUGUCUCUGAGUUGGCGUUCUAAACCCUCAACAUAGGCUACUAACUCUGGUGGUUGUAGAGCCCAAAUGCGAUGUGUUUUACAAAAUUGAAUCUGCCUUUUGAGAUGAGUUUUGACACGUUGAAGUGGUUUAAGAAUGUUCAGGAGGAACGGUCUAAGUAAGGUACUCAUGAUUAAAAAUGAUAAGAGAAAACUUAAUAGUUAAACAAACACACUUAUGCAAAAAUAAUUUCAAUUAGCAAAAGAAUAAUAAAAAGAAAGAAAGAAAAAUCAAAUCAACGAAAAGAAAAAAAAAUCAAUUCAAAUCUGGUGGGUCACUCAAAUUUAUUUCGGUGUCUUCUCCAUGUGGUUGGUACUCUAGAUAUGGCUUUAAUCUUUGACCAUUAACUUUAAACGUGACACCGUUCUUUGGGUCCUUAAUUUCAAUUGCCCCAUGUGGAAAAACAGUAUGAACAAUAAAGGGACCAGACCAUCGAGAGCGUAACUUACCUGGGAAUAGGUGCAAGCGAGAAUUGAAUAAAAGCACUUUCUGACCUGGAGUGAACGAUUUUCUCAUAAUGUGCUUGUCAUGAAAGACUUUCAUUCGUUGCUUGUAAAUCUUGGCAUUUUCGUAUGCAUCAUUGCGAAUUUCUUCAAGUUCUGCCAGUUGUAAUCUUCUUUCUGAGCUGGCUUGCUGCAUGUCAAAGUUGAAUUUCUUGAUGGCCCAAUAUGCACGAUGCUCGAGUUCCACAGGUAGGUGGCAAGCUUUUCCAUACACUAGCCUGUAGGGUGACAUCCCAAUCGGGGUCUUGAAAGCCGUUCUAUAUGCCCAUAAUGCAUCAUCAAGUCUUAAUGACCAAUCUUUUCUGUCUGGCCUCACCGUCUUUUCUAAUAUGUGCUUUAUUUCUCGAUUGGAGAUCUCAACUUGGCCACUGGUUUGCGGAUGAUACGGGGUCGCCACUUUGUGUGUGAUUGAAUACUUUGUCAAAAGAGCUUUGAAUGCUUUGUUACAAAAGUGGGCACCACCAUCACUGAUUAUCGCUCGAGGGAAUCCAAAGCGUGAAACAAUGUUGCUUUUCAAAAAUCCUAUCACCACUUUGUGAUCAUUGGUUCUGCAUGGAAUUGCUUCUACCCAUUUCGAUACGUAGUCAACACCAACCAAUAUGUAUUGAUGGCCAAAAGAAGGGGGAAAGGGUCCCAUGAAGUCGAUACCCCAUACGUCAAAAAUCUCAACCACUAAAAUUGGAUUUAGUGGCAUCAUGUUCCUUCGUGUAAUGCUCCCCAUUCGUUGACACCUAUCACAUGAAGAACAGAAAGUGUAAGCAUCUCGAAAUAUAGUUGGCCAAUAGAAACCACAUUGUAAAACUUUAGUCGCUGUUUUCUUAGCACUGAAAUGGCCUCCACAAGCUUGUUCAUGGCAGAAUGAAAGGAUAUUCUGAAUUUCACUUUCAGGGACACAUCGUCUAACAAUUUGGUCUGCACAAUACUUGAACAAAUAUGGGUCAUCCCAAAAGAAAUUCUUUAUUUCUGCAAAGAAUUUAGCCUUGUCUUGCUUGGUCCAAUGCUCUGGAAGUUUACCUGUAACAAGAUAAUUAACUAUAUCAGCAUACCAAGGUAAUACUUCCACAUUCAUUAAUUGUUCAUCUGGAAAUGACUCAUUUAAUGUUAAUGGCUCUGUAAUUGUGUCAAAAUGGAGACGAGAGAGGUGGUCCGCCACAACAUUUUCUGUGCCUUUCUUAUCUUUGAAUUCCAAGUCAAAUUCCUGCAAAAGUAACACCCAACGAAUUAGUCUAGCUUUUGCAUCUUUCUUUGUGAGAAGAUAUUUAAGAGCAGCAUGAUCUGUGAAUAUAAUUAUUUUACAACCAAUGAGAUAAGAUCGAAAUUUUUCAAUGCAAACACUACUGCUAGCAUUUCUUUUUCAGUAGUUGAAUAGUUCAACUGUGCAUCAUUCAAUGUCAUACUAGCAUAGUAAAUAACAUGGGGAAUUCGAUCAACUCUUUGUCCUAAUACUGCUCCUACUGCAUAAUCAGAUGCAUCACACAUGAGCUCAAAUGGUAAGCUCCAGUUUGGGGCCUGAAUGAUGGGUGAUGAUGUCAACAACUGCUUUAAUUUUUCAAAAGCCAUAAGACAUGAAUCAUUAAAGAUAAAAGGUACAUCCUUAGCAAGUAAAUUGCAUAAGGGUCUAGAAACUUUGCUAAAAUCUUUAAUGAAACGUCUAUAGAAACCAGCAUGCCCAAGGAAAGAUCUUACUUCUCUGACUGUUUUGGGUGGAGGAAGAUUAGAAAUGAGAUCCACCUUGGCUUUGUCAACCUCAAUACCUUUGCUCGAAAUGAUGUGACCGAGAACAAUACCUUGUUUUACCAUAAAAUGGCACUUCUCCCAAUUUAAGACUAAGUUCUUCUCGAUACAUCUCUGCAGAACUAGCGUUAGAUGAUGUAAACAUUGAUCAAACGAGUCACCAAAGACAGAAAAAUCAUCCAUAAAGACUUCAAGGAAUCGUUCAACCAUAUCAGAAAAAAUGCUCAACAUGCAUCGUUGAAAUGUAGCAGGUGCAUUACAUAAUCCAAAUGGCAUUCUCCUAUAUGCAAAAGUGCCAAAAGGGCAAGUGAAAGUAGUUUUCUCUUGAUCUUUUGGUGCUAUGGGAAUCUGAUUAUAUCCUGAGUAGCCAUCUAGAAAGCAAUAAAAUUCAUGGCCUGCUAAUCUAUCAAGCAUUUGAUCAAUAAAUGGUAAAGGAAAAUGGUCUUUACGUGUGACAGAAUUCAACUUUCUAUAAUCAAUGCAUACACGCCAUCCUGUAGUUACUCUAGUUGGUAUCAAUUCAUUAUCAGCAUUGGUAACUACUGUGACUCCUGACUUUUUGGGGACAACUUGUACAGGACUGACCCAUGAACUAUCAGAAAUUGGGUAAAUGAUACCUGCGUCUAAUAGCUUAAGGACUUCAGUUCUAACAACUUCUUUCAUAUUAGGAUUUAACCGACGUUGCAUUUCCCUAGUAGAUUUAGCAUUUUCAUCAAGGUGAAUGUAAUGCAUGCAGUCUACUGGGUUUAUACCUUUUAUGUCUGCUAUGGUCCAUCCUAAUGCUCCUUUGUGCUCUUUUAAAACAUCCAACAACUUACCUUUUUGUUCGUCAUUUAGGGAUGAUGAGAUGAUUACCGGCAGAGUACUUUCUUCUCCCAAAAAUGCAUAUUCCAAUGUGUUGGGCAAUGGUUUGAGCUCGAGUUUCGGUGGUGAUUCUGAUGAUGGGAUGAGUUUCUUCUCUGAUGGUGCUAGUUGUUCAACUCUUGACUUCCAUUUAUUAGUGUCCAUGGAUGGUGCUGAGUCAAGUAGGGCGUUGACCUCAUCGACCGAUCUGUCAAUAUCAAAAUCCAAACCAAAGUGAGUUAAACAUGUUUGUAAAGGAUCAUCACUAAGGUUUGAAAGAAAAGUAUUAUCAACUAUUGUUUCUAUUAAAUCCACAUCAACAAUUCCAUCAUCUGCACUGUGAGGUUGUUUGGCAAUGUUGAAAAUGUUUAGCUCCAUAGUCAUGUUGCCGAAGGACAACUGCAUAUUUCCAGUCCUGCAUUGAAUGUGAGCAUCCGCAGUUGCCAAGAAAGGUCGGCCUAGAAUAAUGGGGAUGUGCUUCCUUGAAUCCUGUAUUGGUUGAGUGUCAAUUACAAUGAAAUCAACAGGAAAAUAAAACUUGUCUACCUGGAUAAGCACGUCCUCCACAAUACCACGAGGUAUUUUCGUGGACCGAUCUGCAAGCUGUAACACCACUGGAGUUGGGUGUAAUUCUCCCAGUCCAAGUUUCACGAAAUACAGAGUAAGGCAACAAAUUUACACUAGCUCCUAAAUCCAACAAAGCAUUCUCAAUUGUGUGGUUCCCUAUACUACAUGAGAUAGUGGGGGAGCCUGGGUCUUUGCAUUUUAAAGGAAUUUUAUGUUGGAGUAUAGAACUAACGUUUUCUGUUAAAAAUGCCUUCUUUUGAACAUGCAUAUUUCUCUUUUUAGUACAAAGGUCUUUAAGAAACUUGGCAUAAGAUGGAACUUGUUUAAUAGCAUCAAGUAAAGGGAUGUUAACACUUACCUGUUUGAAGAUUUCGAGAAUCUCACCUGUGGAUUUUCCCUUCUUUCCUUUCAGCUAACCUCUGAGGAAAUGGAGCUUUGGAACGUAUUCUCGUGGGUUGGUUUCUUCUUUUUCCUCCGGUGGUGAGUCCUCAACAUUCACAGGUACAAUUUGAUUUUCUUUUGUCACCGGCAUCUCCACUUUGUUGUCGACUUCCUUUCCUUUUCGCAAGGUCAUGACUGCUUUGACCUCUCCAUGCUGCUGUGGUGAACUGGUACUUGCUUCAUGUACUCCUUUAGGAUUAGGCACUGGUUGACUUGGAAAUUUACCUUUCUCAACAGUCAUUGCCAAGGUCUGAACUGAAGAAGCAAGUUGUCCCACCAUCUUCUCGAGGCUUGAAACUGAUUGGGCUUGUGAGUUGAAGCCUGCUCUCAACUCAUUUCGUAGUCCAUCAAUGGUGCGGUUCUGUUGCUCAAUCGUGGAGUGAGUAACAUUCUUGAAAUUCUGGAAUGAAUCCUCCCAUGGUCUGGGUUGAGAGUAGUUCUGGUUCUGAUUGUAUGGUCUAAAUGGGGGCUGAGAGGCUUGAGGAUUUUGAGGAAUUGUUGCAUUGGUGGAGCUGGAGCUGCUGGUCCAUUCUGUUGGAAUCCUUGAGACCAUGAAAAAUUGGGGUGGUCUCUCCAUCCAGGGUUAUAUGUGUUGGAGUAUGGGUUGUAAUUCGAUGGUUUUCUCAUUACACCUAUGGCAUUGGCUUGAUCUGAGUAUGAGUCAUGGUCAUGUGGUUCUGUUGAUUUAGCAGUCGAUAACGAUGCUAUUUGUCGAGCAGAGACCUUCAACCAUCUCCUUGACUUCUUUGAUUCCGAAGUUGACUCGCCAAUGUGAACCUCAUUUACUCCUUAAUUCUUCUAGUAUUCCUGAGUGAUCGACUCCGUUGUUGGGAAUUAUCCGCUUGUCGCUGGAAGAAUUCCCAAAUCUCUGAUGCACUUUUUGACAUUAGCUCUCCUCCACUUGUUGCCAUUAGCCAUUCUUGCACAUUCGGCAAUAAUCCCUCCAAAAAGUAUUGGCAUUGGUGCCAUUUUCUCGUACCCAUGAUGUGGACACUUCAAGAGUAGCCCAUUGAAUCGCUCCCAGUUUCGAAAAACUGCUCGUCCUCUCUUUGUGUAAACUCUGAAAUUUCCCUGCGAAUAGCAUUGGUUUUAUGCACUGGGAAAUAUUUAUUCAAAAAUUUCGUUACCAUUUGUUCCCAUGAUGCAAUGCUAUUAGCAGGCAAAGUAUUUAACCAUGAACGAGCUCUAUCCUUUAAAGAAAAUGGGAAUAAUCUAAGUUUAACAUCAUCGUCUGAAAAAUUCUCAUAUUUAAAAGUUUGACAAAUGGCAUGAAAAUCAUUCAGAUGAUUAUAUGGGUCCUCAUUUUCUAAGCCAUAGAAUGUGGGGAGACAAUUUAGCACACUAGGUUUUAAUUCAAAACUCCUAGCAGCUACAUUUGGGUAUCUUAUGCAUGAUGUGCUCAAAUUAGCUAAGGGACUAAAAUAGUCCUUAAAUGGCCUCUCCUGUGGUGCUUGUAAAUCCAUUCCAAUUAUUUUUAAUGUGUUUGUGUGUGCGAAGUGUUUUUUCUAAUUCAAGGUCUAUAGGUUCAAGAUUAGGUAAUAAUGACCUACGACCAUGCAUGCAAAAUAAAUAAAAUAAAAAUAAAGAUGGGAACAAAACAAAUAAAAAUAAAGAAGAGGGAGAAAUUACGAUACUAACCUUAUUGCGCUAUUACAACCUUUCUAUAAAAAUACACAAAAACAAAUACGUGAAAUAAAUUAACUAAAAAUUAAAUUAAUAAAAUAAACAAAAAUUACAAAGAAAAAAAAUAAAUUGAAAAUUAAAUUACAGAAUUUUAAAGAAGAGAAAAAAGAAAAGAAAUACUAACCUUUAAAUGUAGAUUCACUUUUUUUUUUUUUUUUUUUUAAUAAAAAAAAUACAAGAAAACAAAUAAAAGAAAUUAUUCACAAAAAAUUAAUUCUAUGAAUUAAAAUUACUUACCUCCCCGGCAACGGCGCCAAAAACUUGUUGUGCAAAUUUUAAUGUACUCGCAAGCGCACGAAUCUAUUGUAGUAUAGACUAAUGGUGACGAGUGUCGAUCCCACGAGGAGGUGGAUUUUAAUUGUGUAUAGAAUUAAUUUUGUAAAUGGGUGGUUGGAUUUGUGGUGGAAGUGAUUUGAAUAUGCUAAAAUUAAAUUAAAAUGGCGAAAUAAAUCUAAAAUUGGAAUUGAAAUGGCGAGAAUAAAUUGAAGAGAAAUCUAUUGAAAUGACGUACUUGGGUAUCUGGAUCCGUAUCAACAUGCAUCAUGGGCUAAAUAAUCCGUAUUAAUGCCAAUUAAAUCAUGAGGGGGGAAUCCACACCUCAUGAACCACGCUCUAAUCAAUAUGGUGCUAAGGGCUUAUCGUGCCAAAUAAUAAUAACCUUAUACUAGAGAGCCGGUGUAACCAAGGCGGUAUCUAGACAAGAUCAGUAUUAUUUGUCGACGAUAAGUCAAAUCAUCCACAAAAACUAGAGGGGAAAAGAAAAUAAAUUUACCAAAUAAAGCCCAUGACACAUGUUGAGACUUCACCUUCAACCCAAGCUUGAAAGAAAAUUAGCCACUCAUAAUUGAACUAGGGGCAAAAUGGGAAUUUAUUAAAAUACGAAGAAAAUACAAGAUGGAGAAGGAAUUACAGAAAAUGGAUCCCAAAAAUGGAUUCAGAGAUAUCAAAUUAGGGGGGGAGGCCCCCUUUUUAUAGAUACAUGGAGUAAAUCAUGGCCAUCGGAUUAAAAACAGUUUGGACGCUCAGGAUUGCGCCACGUCAUCAGUCAACAGUCCACGGUUUGACCACGCGGAUGAACAGUAACACGGUUUGACCCGGAUGAACAGUAACGCGGUUUGGUUGAAAAUAAUCCUGUGUGAUGCAUGCACCGUACGCGAGAUUUUUCGUCCACUGAUAUGCUGCCACGUCACCAUCAACAGUACAUAAGAAUUUUAGUCCAACAGGAUCGUGACACCUCAUCAGUCAAUGCCACAUCAUCGGUCAAUGCCACGUCAUCGAUCCGUCUAUGUGAACAGUGUCGUGAACAGUAACGUAGACAGUACCGUACACGUGAAUAGUACCGUACAUGUGAAUAGUGCCAUUUUUCCUUUUAUGCUCCUCCUAAGGUUUUCGACCGUCCUGAGUUCAAAAGUGAUGUCCGUUUUGCCGUCUGAUCUCUCCUUUAUUGUGAAAUGACUAUAAUGCCCCUAAAAUACAUAAAAUACUUAAUUAAAAUAAACACACGUAAUUAAUCACAAGAAGGUUAAAUACAUAAAAGUAAGGGUUGUUAGUAAGACUUGAAAUGUAAAAUGACGGUUUUCUCCUUUAUAAAUAUAGCAUUUUCUAACACUCAACACACCCCCCAACCAGCUUAUUGCUAGUCCCUAGCAAAUAAAGCGAAAACAAAAUUCAAAUUCAAAAUGAUUUUUUUUUUUUUUUUUUAGAAACACUCGUGUUUAUUCAAUCAGAUUAAUGAUAGCAAUCAAUAAAAGUAUAAGCAUUAUCUCCAGUCUAAAGCAACAUCACACCCACAUCAACCAUCCACAUGAAUUAGCCCAGUAGACUUUGUUAUAGCUACUUUUCAAGAAUGACAUGUCAAACCCCAAAAUCUCACUGGAAGUAGUGACACUCUCACAAAGAAAUUAAAACCCAAUAAACAUAGUCACUCCAAUGAAUGGUAAUUGAGAGAGAAAAUAAUAAAGAAAUGAUAUCACAUGCUCUCACCAAGAUGAAAUAAAUAUGCCCUCAGCUUAGAAAUAAUACGAUCUCAAGUCAAAUAAAAUGUUAGUCAACCCACUUUAUUUAUCUUUUUUUUUUUUAUUAUGCAUCACUACAUCUUUUUAGCCCAUAUAACUAGCUUCUACUUCAAACUAUAGUUCCCUAAAAUCAAGAAGGACUUUUAUUAGGACGUAACGUAGGCUAGGGAUAUGGCUAACAAAGAAGGGAAAUAAGGAAAACAAAGUGUAUGUUUGAGAAAAAUGCAGAGAAAUUUUUUUUUUUUUUUUGGAAGUUGCAAGGUGGAUUUCACCUAUUAUUGUUAUUUUUAUUCUUUUGAAACACACUUUUUUUUUUUUUUUUUUUUUUUUUUUUUUUUUUUUUUGCUAGGCAUAACUUCACUGCAAAAUAAUUAUUUACAUUUUCUCAAACAUAAAUAGGUGAUGGAAUUUGUAAGAUAUUGGGUAAUACUCCAAAUCGGAGUGGGUCAAGAUGAUAAGUUAAACAAAAAAAAGUUUUUUUUUUUUUUUAAAAGGCUCAAAGGGGUAACUAUGGAUAUUUAUAAAGGGAUGGCUAGAAAGGCUCAAACGGAUCAAAGAUGGCCUUUCCAUCGUCUUUUAGGGCUCUAAAUAAUUCCAUAUCUACUAGUUAGAUGGGCCUCCCAAUGUAGCAACACACACUUUUUUUUUUUUUUUUUUUAAGGCUUAACUCAAAGAAAUCUAGAGAUCGUGUAUACAAUAAUAAACUGUAAGCAUUAUAAAGAAUGGGCAAAAGGGUUACUCUCCAAAAAAAUGAUAGGCUCAAAACUCACUUGGUACUUAUUAUAUGACAUGUUCAUUCCUUCAAGCAACUCAUAUUUGUCUCCGACAUCAACAUGUAGAGUAGCAAACAUAAUGUAACAUCACUUAAGACCAAAGAUAAUACAAAUACUAAAAUUUUGAAAUUAAUCAUGUCAUCUAAAGUUAAAACAAAUCACACAAUUUUUUUUUUUUUUUUUUAAACAACAUUCUACCCCCAACCUAUUCUAAACAUGAAAGGAAAAUAUGCAUGCAGAAAUGUGAAAAUGAUGCAUAAAAACUUAAUUAGAAAAGUUACAGUAAAUAAUAGAAAAAGAAAAUGAAAUUUUGUUUUUUUUUUUUUAUUUUUUUUUUAAACGAUGAAGAUGCGUUUCUAGAGGCACUACACUCCAUAUUCAGCCAUCUUCGACUCAAAAGUUGGAAAAUAUAUAUUUAUAAGGAGAAAUUAAAAAGAAGAAGAAAAAUGAACAUCAAAACAUAAUAAAGAAAAAGAAAAUGUUUGAAUUUUUUUGUUUUUUUUUAGUUUUUUUAGUUUUUUAAUUUUUUUUUUUUUUUAAACGAUGAAGAUGCGUUUCUAGAGUCACUACACUCCAUAUUCAGCCAUCUUCAACACAAAAAGUUAGCAACAGUUAGUUUCUACAACAAAAAAUCAGUAAAAAACUUAACCAAGAUUCCACAAUUGUCGACUAUUCCCUCCCCCAACCAGAACGAAACAUUGUCCUCAAUGUUUAAAAAUAAAAAAGACAAACACGAAUAUUUACAGCGGAGAGUUAAAUCUAAUUUGUACUUCUUACUGCGGCUACUGUUACCAUCAUUAUUUGGUCGCUCCAACACAAAGGUCCAGGGGUCUGGCUCCGGUUUAUAAGCUUGUAACAUAUCAAGUAGCUCAUUAGCAGUGUGAGCACAAAUAAAAAAGUUUUUUACAUUAGAAGGAAUGAAAUAGUUUUUUAUUGCAUGGUUAAGAAAUGCGAUAAAGCCAUCAUAAAAGUUAUUGACAUUUAACAAACCGAUGGGUUUCUGGUGGAUGUGCAGAUGGGCCAAGAUGCUAGUGUCAUAAGUGCCUCUAGUGUUGCAAGAUCUCCUGAAGGAAAAUAAAAGCAUCAGCAUGAUUAAGCAUUUCAGUUAUUCUUUCUUGCAUACCUGAGACGACUUAACUCUUCUCCAGUUGAUGAGUCAGACGAACUGCCCAAUGGUUUUAGGACUCUUGGGAUGAUGCCUAACACUUGACUUCCUCUGAUAAAAGCGCUUCUGAGACCAUUUUUGAUAACCUCGGUUACCUCUCCAUACACCAAAUGUAAUUUUCUCGCUGCUAUGCUUCGACCAAGAUCUAUGCUGCCUCCACGAACUCUUUAUGUUUGCCAUAGGUAAAUCCAGAAAGCACACAAAUGUUCUUGAAUUGUCUAUUGGGAGUAGCUGCCAUUGUGAUACUUCUCAAAAAUAAUUUGUGAGUGCUUGACAAAAGAUAAAUCACAUUUAAAAUCUUGGUGACAAUGGAUCACAGCUGUGAAUGAGGUAACAUGUCAGUGUCAAAUAACGCGUAAAGCACGUGGCUCGCGAGUCAAAAAGGAAACAGUAAAAAGGAAAAAGCAAACAGUAAUAAAAUUAUUAAAGACAAUAAUGCAAACAAUAAAACAACAGUGAAAUGAAAAAAUAACAGUAAAGUAAAGGAUAUUUACACGUAGUUGCGACUGUGGCUCACAUCUUCCUCUGGUUUUACGUCCAGAAACGGCUUGAACGCCCUCUUGGGUCGAGGAUGGGCUUCCCAUCCAGUUUUCUUAUAAACUGGCAAACAGGGUCGUUUAUAGUCAGAUUCCCGAGACUAUAUCGUGCAUGCUCUUUCUGGAAUAAUGGCCAUAACUGGAGAAUCGCUCCUUGCACAUAUCCACUGGGAUGCGUUUCAAGAGACAAAAGGAUAUCAUCCAAUGACUCCUUAUUCAAGCCAUCCCUAAUGAAUUGAAUCUUAUCUUCCCUGUUAUCAGACACCAUUCCUAAAGAACAUGGGUUUCUAUCGCAACUCAUUCUGGCACACAACAGAAAUUCUUCGAGCUCGUCGUUUUCUUGCAUAAUUUCCUUUACCACAACCAGGCAUGUAUGCAAUAAAUUUAGGAGGUAACUCACCUGCCAAUCGUACUUUAGCCUCGAUUAACCAACGGAUGUCUGCAGGUAUGUUAUUCUCAUGAGCAAUCGCAUGCGUUCAGACCGGGCUUUAUAGAUCGUAAGGAGGGCAUUCUGAGGAAGUGAAGGGAAUCGCUUGUGAAGCUUCGCUAGAAUCUCGUUUCUGUCCAUACUUCGCCUCAGAAUAUCAGUUAUUAUGGGAAACUGAAGUAACCGACUUGAUUGUCACGGAGUACCGUUAUCCGCCACUUCACCGGGGUAACAAACUAAAGCACACAAACAGAAAAACAAAAAACACAAAAGAAAAUUAAAAUCGUCCUCUUAUUGAAUUUACCUCAAGCUCCAACUGGAUGUCGUAAACACUUCUCUCAAUGUCUCUGAGUUGGCGUUCUAAACCCUCAACAUAGGCUACUAACUCUGGUGGUUGUAGAGCCCAAAUGCGAUGUGUUUUACAAAAUUGAAUCUGCCUUUUGAGAUGAGUUUUGACACGUUGAAGUGGUUUAAGAAUGUUCAGGAGGAACGGUCUAAGUAAGGUACUCAUGAUUAAAAAUGAUAAGAGAAAACUUAAUAGUAAAAAAACACACUUAUGCAAAAAUAAACACACUUAUGCAAAAACAAUUUCAAUUAGCAAAGAAUAAUAAUAAAAAGAAAUAAAGAAAAUCAAAUUAACGAAAAGAGAAAAAAAAAUCAAUUCAAAUUUAGUGGGUCACUCAAAUUUAUUUCGAUGUUUUCUCCAUGUGGUUGGUACUCUAGAUAUGGCUUUAAUCUUUGACCAUUAACUUUAUACGUGACACCGUUCUUUGGGUCCUUAAUUUCAAUUGCCCCAUGUGGAAAAACAGUAUGUACAAUAAAUGGGCCAGACCAACGAGAGCGUAACUUACCUGGGAAUAGGUGCAAGCGAGAAUUGAAUAAAAGCACUUUCUGACCUGGAGUGAACGAUUUUCUCAUAAUUUGCUUAUCAUGGAAGACUUUCAUUCGUUGCUUGUAAAUCUUGGCAUUUUCGUAUGCAUCAUUGCGAAUUUCUUCAAGUUCUGCCAGCUGUAAUCUUCUUUCUGAGCUGGCUUGCUGCAUGUCAAAGUUGAAUUUCUUGAUGGCCCAAUAUGCACGAUGCUCGAGUUCCACAGGUAGGUGGCAAGCUUUUCCAUACACUAGCCUGUAGGGUGACAUCCCAAUCGGGGUCUUGAAAGCCGUUCUAUAUGCCCAUAAUGCAUCAUCAAGUCGUAAUGACCAAUCUUUCCUGUCUGGCCUCACCGUCUUUUCUAAUAUGUGCUUUAUUUCUCGAUUGGAGAUCUCAACUUGGCCACUGGUUUGCGGAUGAUACGGGGUCGCCACUUUGUGUGUGAUUGAAUACUUUGUCAAAAGAGCCUUGAAUGCUUUGUUACAAAAGUGGGCACCACCAUCACUGAUUAUCGCUCGAGGGAAUCCAAAGCGCGAAACAAUAUUGCUUUUCAAAAAUCCUAUCACCACUUUGUGAUCAUUGGUUCUGCAUGGAAUUGCUUCCACCCAUUUCGAUACGUAGUCAACACCAACCAAUAUGUAUUGAUGGCCAAAAGAAGGGGGAAAGGGUCCCAUGAAGUCGAUACCCCAUACGUCAAAAAUCUCAACCACUAAAAUUGGAUUUAGUGGCAUCAUGUUCCUUCGUGUAAUGCUCCCCAUUCGUUGACACCUAUCACAUGAAGAACAGAAAGUGUAAGCAUCUCGAAAUAUAGUUGGCCAAUAGAAACCACAUUGUAAAACUUUAGUCGCUGUUUUCUUAGCACUGAAAUGGCCUCCACAAGCUUGUUCAUGGCAGAAUGAAAGGAUAUUCUGAAUUUCACUUUCAGGGACACAUCGUCUAACAAUUUGGUCUGCACAAUACUUGAACAAAUAUGGGUCAUCCCAAAAGAAAUUCUUUAUUUCCGCAAAGAAUUUAGCCUUGUCUUGCUUGGUCCAAUGCUCUGGAAGCUUACCUGUAACAAGAUAAUUAACUAUAUCAGCAUACCAAGGUAAUACUUCCACACUCAUUAAUUGUUCAUCUGGAAAUGACUCAUUUAAUAUUAAUGGCUCUGUAAUUGUGUCAAAAUGGAGACGAGAGAGGUGGUCCGCCACAACAUUUUCUGUCCCUUUCUUAUCUUUGAAUUCCAAGUCAAAUUCUGCAAAAGUAACACCCAACGAAUUAGUCUAGCUUUUGCAUCUUUCUUUGUGAGAAGAUAUUUAAGAGCAGCAUGAUCUGUGAAUAUAAUUAUUUUACAACCAAUGAGAUAAGAUCGAAAUUUUUUCCAAUGCAAACACUACUGCUAGCAUUUCUUUUUCAGUAGUUGAAUAAUUCAACUGUGCAUCAUUCAAGGUCAUACUAGCAUAGUAAAUAACGUUGGGAAUUCGAUCAACUCUUUGUCCUAAUACUGCUCCUACUGCAUAAUCAGAUGCAUCACACAUGAGCUCAAAUGGUAAGCUCCAGUUUGGGGCCUGAAUGAUGGGUGAUGAUGUCAACAAUUGCUUUAAUUUUUCAAAAGCCAUAAGACAUGAAUCAUUAAAGAUAAAAGGUACAUCCUUAGCAAGUAAAUUGCAUAAGGGUCUAGAAACUUUGCUAAAAUCUUUAAUGAAACGUCUAUAGAAACCAGCAUGCCCAAGGAAAGAUCUUACUUCUCUGACUGUUUUAGGUGGAGGAAGAUUAGAAAUGAGAUCCACCUUGGCUUUGUCAACCUCAAUACCUUUGCUCGAAAUGAUGUGACCGAGAACAAUACCUUGUUUUACCAUAAAAUGGCACUUCUCCCAAUUUAAGACUAAGCUCUUCUCGGUACAUCUCUGCAGAACUAGCGUUAGAUGAUGUAAACAUUGAUCAAACGAGUCACCAAAGACAGAAAAAUCAUCCAUAAAGACUUCAAGGAAUCGUUCAACCAUAUCAGAAAAAAUGCUCAACAUGCAUCGUUGAAAUGUAGCAGGUGCAUUACAUAAUCCAAAUGGCAUUCUCCUAUAUGCAAAUGUGCCAAAGGGCAAGUGAAAGUAGUUUUCUCUUGAUCUUUUGGUGCUAUGGGAAUCUGAUUAUAUCCUGAGUAGCCAUCUAGAAAGCAAUAAAAUUCAUGGCCUGCUAAUCUAUCAAGCAUUUGAUCAAUAAAUGGUAAAGGAAAAUGGUCUUUACGUGUGACAGAAUUCAACUUUCUAUAAUCAAUGCAUACACGCCAUCCUGUAGUUACUCUAGUUGGUAUCAAUUCAUUAUCAGCAUUGGUAACUACUGUGACUCCUGACUUUUUGGGGACAACUUGUACAGGACUGACCCAUGAACUAUCAGAAAUUGGGUAAAUGAUACCUGCAUCUAAUAGCUUAAGGACUUCAGUUCUAACAACUUCUUUCAUGUUAGGAUUUAACCGACGUUGCAUCUCCCUAGUAGUUUUAGCAUUUUCAUCAAGGUGAAUGUAAUGCAUACAGUCUACUGGGUUUAUACCUUUAAUGUCUGCUAUGGUCCAUCCUAAUGCUCCUUUGUGCUCUUUUAAAACAUCCAACAACUUACCUUUUUGUUCGUCAUUUAGGGAUGAUGAGAUGAUUACCGGCAGAGUACUUUCUUCUCCCAAAAAUGCAUAUUCCAGAGUGUUGGGUAAUGGUUUGAGCUCGAGUUUCGGGUGGUGAUUCUGAUGAUGGAAUGAGUUUCUUCUCUGAUGGUGCUAGUUGUUCAACUCUUGACUUCCAUUUAUUAGUGUCCAUGGAUGGUGCUGAGUCAAGCAGGGCGUUGACCUCAUCGACCGAUCUAUCAAUAUCAAAAUCCAAACCAAAGUGAGUUAAGCAUGUCUGUAAAGGAUCAUCACUAAGGUUUGAAAGAAAAGUAUUAUCAACUAUUGUUUCUAUUAAAUCCACAUCAACAAUUCCAUCAUCUGCACUGUGAGGUUGUUUGGCAAUGUUGAAAAUAUUUAGCUCCAUAGUCAUGUUGCCGAAGGACAACUGCAUAUUUCCAGUCCUGCAUUGAAUGUGAGCAUCCGCAGUCGCCAAGAAAGGUCGGCCUAGAAUAAUGGGGAUGUGCUUCCUUGAAUCCUGUAUUGGUUGAGUGUCAAUUACAAUGAAAUCAACAGGAAAAUAAAACUUGUCUACCUGGAUAAGCACGUCCUCCAUAAUACCACGAGGUAUUUUCGUGGACCGAUCUGCAAGCUGUAACACCACUGGAGUUGGGUGUAAUUCUCCAGUCCAAGUUUCACGAAUACUGAAUAAGGCAACAGAUUUACACUAGCUCCUAAAUCCAACAACGCAUUCUCAAUUGUGUGGUUUCCCUAUACUACAUGAGAUAGUGGGGGAGCCUGGGUCUUUGCAUUUUAGAGGAAUUUUAUGUUGGAGUAUAGAACUAACAUUUUCUGUUAAAAAUGCCUUCUUUUGAACAUGCAUAUUUCUCUUUUUAGUACAAAGGUCUUUAAGAAACUUGGCAUAAGAUGGAACUUGUUUAAUAGCAUCAAGUAAAGGGAUGUUAACACUUACCUGUUUGAAGAUUUCGAGAAUCUCACCUGUGGAUUUUCCCUUUUUCCCUUUAGCUAACCUCUGAGGAAAUGGAGCUUUCGGAACGUAUUCUCGUGGGUUGGUUUCUUCUUUCUCCUCCGGUGGUGAGUCUUCAACAUUCACAGGUACAAUUUGAUUUUCUUUUGUCACCGGCAUCUCCACUUUGUUGUCGACUUCCUUUCCUUUUCGCAAGGUCAUGACUGCUUUGACCUCUCCAUGCUGUUGUGGUGAACUGGUACUUGCUUCAUGUACUCCUUUAGGAUUAGGCACUGGUUGACUUGGAAAUUUUCCUUUCUCAACAGUCAUUGCCAAGGUCUGAACUGAAGAAGCAAGUUGUCCCACCAUCUUCUCGAGGCUUGAAACUGAUUGAGCUUGUGAGUUGAAGCCUGCUCUCAACUCAUUUCGUAGUCCAUCAAUGGUGCGGUUCUGUUGCUCAAUCGUGGAGUGAGUAACAUUCUUGAAAUUCUGGAAUGCAUCCUCCCAUGGUCUGGGUUGAGAGUAGUUCUGGUUCUGAUUGUAUGGUCUGAAUGGUGGCUGAGAGGCUUGAGGAUUUUGAGGAAUUUGUUGCAUUGGUGGAGCUGGAGCUGCUGGUCCAUUCUGUUGGAAUCCUUGAGACCAUGAAAUAUUGGGGUGGUCUCUCCAUCCAGGGUUAUAUGUGUUGGAGUAUGGGUUGUAAUUCGAUGGUUUUCUCAUUACACCUAUGGCAUUGGCUUGAUCGGAGUAUGAGUCAUGGUCAUGUGGUUCUGUUGAUUUAGCAGUCGAUAACGAUGCUAUUUGUCGAGCGAGACCUUCAACCAUCUCCUUGACUUCUUUGAUUCCCGAAGUUGACUCGCCAAUUUGAACCUCAUUUACUCCCUUAAUUCUUCUAGUAUUCCUUAGUGAUCGACUCCGUUGUUGGGAAUUAUCCGCUUGUCGUUGGAAGAAUUCCCAAAUUUCUGAUGCACUUUUUGACAUUAGCUCUCCUCCACUUGUUGCCAUUAGCCAUUCUUGCACAUUCGGUAGUAAUCCCUCCAAAAAGUAUUGGCAUUGGUGCCAUUUUUCGUACCAUGAUGUGGACACUUCAAGAGUAGCCCAUUGAAUCGCUCCCAAGUUUCGAAAAACUGCUCGUCCUCUCUUUGUGUAAACUCUGAAAUUUCCCUGCGAAUAGAAUUGGUUUUAUGCUGGGAAAUUUUAUUCAAAAAUUUAGUUACCAUUUGUUCCCAUGAUGAAAUGCUAUUAGCAGGCAACGUAUUUAACCAUGAACGAGCUCUAUCCUUUAAAGAAAAUGGGAAUAGUCUGAGUUUAACAUCAUCGUCUGAAAAAUUUUCAUAUUUAAAAGUUUGACAAAUGGUAUGAAAAUCAUUCAGAUGAUUAUAUGGGUCCUCAUUUUCUAAGCCAUAGAAUGUGGGGAGACAUUUAGCACACUAGGUUUUAGUUCAAAGUUCCUAGCAGCUACAUUUGGGUAUCUAAUACAUGAUGUGCUUAAAUUAGCUAAGGGACUAAAAUAGUCCUUAAAUGGCCUCUCCUGUGGUGCUUGUAAAUCCAUUCCAAUUUUUUUUUAAUGUGUUUUUGUGUGCGAAGUGUUUUUUCUAAUUCAAGGUCUAUAGGUUCAAGAUUAGGUAAUAAUGACCUACGACCAUGCAUGCAAAAUAAAAUGAAAUAAAAAAAAGAUGCAAACAAAACAAAAAUAAAGAUGGGAACAAAACAAAUUAAAAUAAAUAAGAGGGAGAAAUUACGAUACUAACCUUAUUGCGCUAUUACAACCUUUCUAUAAAAAUACACAAAAACAAAUACGUGAAAUAAAUUAACUAAAAAUUAAAUUAAUAAAAUAACAAAAAUUACAAAGAAAAAAAAUAAAUUGAAAAUUAAAUUACAGAAUUUUAAAGAAGAAAAAAGAAAGAAAUACUAACCUUUAAAUGUAGAUUUACUCUUUUUUUUUCUUUUUUUUUUUAAUAAGAAAAAAAAAUACAAGAAAACAAAUAAAAGAAAUUAUUCACAAAAAUUAAUUUUAUGAAUUAAAAUUACUUACCUCCCCGGCAACGGCGCCAAAAACUUGUUGUGCAAAUUUUAAUGUACUCGCAAGCGCACGAAUCUAUUGUAAUAUAGACUAAUGGUGACGAGUGUCGAUCCCACGAGGAGGUGGAUUUUAAUUGUGUAUAAAAUUAAUUUUGUAAAUGGGUGAUUGGAUUUGUGGUGGAAAUGAUUUGGAAUAUGCUAAAACUUAAAUUAAAAUGGCGAGAAUAAAUUGAAGAGAAUUCUAUUGAAAUGACGUACUUGGGUAUCUGGAUCCGUAUCAACAUGCAUCAUGGGCUAAAUAUUCCUUAUUAAUACCAAUUAAAUCAUGAGGGGGGAAUCCACACUCAUGAACCACGCUCUAAUCAAUAUGGUGCUAAGGGCUUUAUCGUGCCAAAUAAUAUAACCUUAUACCAGAGAGCCGGUGUAACCAAGGCGGUAUCUAGACAAGAUCAGUAUUAUUUGUCGACGAUAAGUCAAAUCAUCCACAAAAACUAGAGGGGAAAAGAAAAUAAAUUUACCAAAUAAAGCCCAUGACACAUGUUGAGACUUCACCUUCAACCCAAGCUUGAAAAGAAAUUAGCUACUCAUAAUUGAACUAGGGGCAAAAAGGGAAUUUAUUAAAAUACAAAGAAAAUACAAGAUGGAGAAGGAAUUACAGAAAAUGGAUCCCAAAAAUGGAUUCAGAGAUAUCAAAUUCGGGGGGAGAGGCCCCCUUUUUAUAGAUACAUGGAGUAAAUCAUGGCCAUCGGAUUAAAAACAGUUUGGACGCUCAGGAUUGCGCCACGUCAUCAGUCAACAGUCCACGGUUUGACCACGCGGAUGAACAGUAACACGGUUUGACCCGGAUGAACAGUAACGCGGUUUGGUUGAAAAUAAUCCUGUGUGAUGCAUGCACCGUACACGAGAUUUUUCGUCCACUGAUAUGCUGCCACGUCACCAUUAACAGUACAUAAGAAUUUUAGCCCAACAGGAUCGUGACACCUCAUCAGUCAAUGCCACAUCAUCGGUCAAUGCCACGUCAUCGGUCAAUGCCACGUCAUCGAUCCGUCUAUGUGAACAGUGUCGUGAACAGUAACGUAGACAGUACCGUACGUGAAUAGUACCGUACAUGUGAAUAGUGCCAUUUUUCCUUUUAUGCUCCUCCUAAGGUUUUCGACCGUCCUGAGUUCAAAAGUGAUGUCCGUUUUGCCGUCUGAUCUCUCCUUUAUUGUGAAAUGACUAUACUGCCCCUAAAAUACAUAAAAUACUUAAUUAAAAUAACACACACGUAAUUACAUCACAAGAAGGUUAAAUACAUAAAAGUAAGGGUUGUUAGUAAGACUUGAAAUGUAAAAUGACGGUUUUCUCCUUUAUAAAUAUGUAUUUUCUAACACUCAACACACCCCCCAACCAGCUUAUUGCUAGUCCCUAGCAAAUAAAGCGAAAACAAAAUUCAAAUUCAAAAUGAUUUUUUUUUUUUUUUUUUUUAGAAACACUCGUGUUUAUUCAAUCAGAUUAAUGAUAGCAAUCAAAUAAAAGUAUAAGCAUUAUCUCCAGUCUAAAGCAACAUCACACCCACAUCAACCAUCCACAUGAAUUAGCCCAGUAGACUUUGUUAUAGCUACUUUCAAGAAUGACAUGUCAAACCCCAAAAUCUCACUGGAAGUAGUGACACUCUCACAAAGAAAUUAAAACCCAAUAAACAUAGUCACUCCAAUGAAUGGUAAUUGAGAGAGAAAAUAAUAAAGAAAUGAUAUCACAUGCUCUCACCAAGAUUAAAUAAAUAUGCCCUCAGCUUAGAAAUAAUACGAUCUCAAGUCAAAUAAAAUGUUAGUCAACCCACUUUAUUUAUCUUUUUUUUUUUUAAUUAUGCAUCACUACAUCUUUUUAGCCCAUAUAACUAGCUUCUACUUCAAACUAUAGUUCCCUAAAAUCAAGAAGGACUUUUAUUAGGACGUAACGUAGGCUAGGGAUAUGGCUAACAAAGAAGGGAAAUAAGGAAAACAAAGUGUAUGUUUGAGAAAAAUGCAGAGAAUAUUUUUUUUUUUUUUUUUGGAAGUUGCAAGGUGGAUUUCACCUAUUAUUGUUAUUUUUAUUCUUUUGAAACAACAAUUUUUUUUUUUUUUUUUUUUUUUCAGCAACAACAAUUUUUUCUUUUUUUUUUUUUGAACUAGGCAUAACUUCACUAUGCAAAAUGUUUAUUUACAUUUUUCUCAAACAUAAAUAGGUGAUGGAAUUUGUAAGAUAUUGGGUAAUACUCCAAAUCGGAGUGGGUCAAGAUGAUAAGUUAAACAAAGAAAAGUUUUUUUUUUUUUUUAUUUAAAAGGCUCAAAUGGGUUAACUAUGGAUACUUGAUAAGAGGGAUGGCUAGAAAGGCUCAAACGGAUCAAAGAUGGCCUUUCCAUCGUCUUUUAGGGCUCUAAAUAAUCAUCCAUAUCUACUAGUUAGAUGGGCCUCCCAAUGUAGCAACACACACAUUUUUUUUUUUUUUUUUUUUUAAGGCUUAACUCAAAAGAAAUCUAGAGAUCGUGUAUACAAUAAUAAACUGUUAAGCAUUAUAAAGAAUGGGCAAAAGGGUUACUCUCCAAGAAAAAUGAUAGGCUCAAAAACUCACUUGGUACUUAUUAUGACAUGUUCAUUCCUUCAAGCAACUCAUAUUUGUCUCCGACAUCAACAUGUAGAGUAGCAAACAUAAUGUAACAUCACUUAAGACCAAAGAUAAUACAAAUACUAAAAUUUGAAAUUAAUCAUGUCAUCUAAAGUUAAAACAAAUCACACAAUUUUUUCUUUUUUUUUUUUAAACAACAUUCUACCCCCCAACCUAUUCUAAACAUGAAAGGAAAAUAUGCAUGCAGAAAUGUGAAAAUGAUGCAUAAAAACUAAUUAGAAAAGUUACACGUAAAAUGAUAGAAAACGAAAAUGAAAUUUUGUUUUUUUUUUUUUUAAUUUUUUUUUAAACGAUGAAGAUGUUUCUAGAGGCACUACACUCCAUAUUCAGCUAUCUUCGACUCAAAAGUUGGAAAAUAUAUAUUUAUAAGGAGAAAUUAAAAAGAAGAAGAAAAAUGAACAUCAAAACAUAAUAAAGAAAAAGAAAAUGUUUGAAUUUUUGUUUUUUUUAGUUUUUUAGUUUUUUAAAUUUUUUUUUUUUUUAAACGAUGAAGAUGCGUUUCUAGAGUCACUACACUCCAUAUUCAGCCAUCUUCAACACAAAAAGUUAGCAACAGUUAGUUUCUACAACAAAAAAUCAGUAAAAACUUAACCAAGAUUCCACAAUUGUCGACUAUUCCCCUCAACCAGAACGAAACAUUGUCCUCAAUGUUUUAAAGGAAAGAAGUAGAGUUUAGAAGACAUCACCUGGGUGGUGCAACACAAAAGAUAUAUUUACAGGCGGAGAGUUAAAUCUAAUUUGUACUUCUUACUGCGGCUACUGUUACCAUCAUUAUUUGGGCGCUCCAACACAAAGGUCCAGGGGUCUGGCUCCGGUUUAUAAGCUUGUAACAGAUCAAGUAGUUCAUUAGCAGUGUGAGCACAAAUAAAAAGUUUUUUUACAUUAGAAGGAAUGAAAUAGUUUUUUAUUGCAUGGUUAAGAAAUGCGAUAAAGCCAUCAUAAAAGUUAUUGACAUUUAACAAACCGAUGGGUUUCUGGUGGAUGUGCAGAUGGGCCCAAGAUGCUAGUGUCAUAAGUGCCUCUAGUGUUGCAAGAUCCUGGAAGGAAAAUAAAAGCAUCAGCAUGAUUAAGCAUUUCAGUUAUUCUUUCUUGCAUACCUGAGACGACUAACUCUUCUCCAGUUGAUGAGUCAGACGAACUGCCCAAUGGUUUUAGGACUCUUGGGAUGAUGCCUAACACUUGACUUCCUCUGAUAAAAGCUGCUUCUGAGACCAUUUUUGAUAACCCUCGGUUACCUCCUCCAUACACCAAAUGUAAUUUUCUCGCUGCUAUGCUUCGACCAAGAUCUAUGGCUGCCUCCACGAACUCUUUAUGUUUGCCAUAGGUAAAUCCAGAAAGCACACAAAUGUUCUUGAAUUGUCUAUUGGGAGUAGCUGCCAUUGUGAUACUUCUCAAAAAUAAUUUGUGAGUGCUUGACAAAAGAUAAAUCACAUUUAAGAAUCUUGGUGACAAUGGAUCACAGCUGUGAAUGAGGUAACAUGUCAGUGUCAAAUAACGCGUAAAGCACGUGGCUCGCGAGUCAAAAAGGAAACAGUAAAAAGGAAAAAGCAAACAGUAAUAAAAUUAUUAAAGACAAUAAUGCAAACAAUAAAACAACAGUGAAAUGAAAUAAAAUAACAGUAAAGUAAAAGGAUAUUUACACGUAGUUGCGACUGUGGCUCACAUCUUCCUCUGGUUUUACGUCCAGAACGGCUUGAACGCCCUCUAUGGGUCGAGGAUGGGCUUCCCAUCCAGUUUUCUUAUAAACUGGCAAACAGGGUCGUUUAUAGUCAGAUUCCCGAGACGAUAUCGUGCAUGCUCUUUUUGGAAUAAUGGCCUUAACUGGAGAAUCGCUCCUUGCACAUAUCCACUGGGAUGCGUUUCAAGAGACAAAAGGAUAUCAUCCAAUGACUCCUUAUUCAAGCCAUCCCUAAUGAAUUGAAUCUUAUCUUCCCUGUUAUCAGACACCAUUCCUAAAGAACAUGGGUUUCUAUCGCAACUCAUUCUGGCACACUUGUGACAAGCAACAGAAAUUCUUCGAGCUCGUCGUUUUCUUGCGUAAUUUCCUUUACCACAACCAGGCAUGUAUGCAAUAAAUUUAGGAGGUAACUCACCUGCCAAUCGUACUUUAGCCUCGAUUAACCAACGGAUGUCUGCAGGUAUGUUAUUCCUCAUGAGCAAUCGCAUGCGUUCAGACCGGGCUUUAUAGAUUGUAAGGAGGGCAUUCUGAGGAAGUGAAGGGAAUCGCUUGUGAAGCUUCGCUAGAAUCUCGUUUCUGUCCAUACCUUCGCCUCAGAAUAUCAGUUAUUAUGGGAACUGAAGUUAACCGACUUGAUUGUCACGGAGUACCGCCACUUCACCGGGGUAACAAACUAAAGCACACAAACAGAAAACAAAAAACACACAAAGAAAAUUAAAAUCGUCCUCUUAUUGAAUUUACCUCAAGCUCCAACUGGAUGUCGUAAACACUUCUCUCAAUGUCUCUGAGUUGGCGUUCUAAACCCCUCAACAUAGGCUACUAACUCUGGUGGUUGUAGAGCCCAAAUGCGUUGUGUUUUACAAAAUAGAAUCUGCCUUUUGAGAUGAGUUUUGACACGUUGAAGUGGUUUAAGAAUGUUCAGGAGGAACGGUCUAAGUAUGAGACUCAUGAUUAAAAAUGAUAAGAGAAAACUUAAUGGUAAAAUAAACACACUUAUGCAAAAACAAUUUCAAUUAGCAAAAGAAUAAUAAUAAAAAGAAAUAAAGAAAAAUCAAAUUAACGAAAAGAGAAAAAAAAAAUCAAUUCAAAUUUAGUGGGUCACUCAAAUUUAUUUCGAUGUUUUCUCCAUGUGGUUGGUACUCUAGAUAUGGCUUUAAUCUUUGACCAUUAACUUUAUACGUGACACCGUUCUUUGGUCCUUAAUUUCAAUUGCCCCAUGUGGAAAAACAGUAUGUACAAUAAAUGGGCCAGACCAACGAGAGCGUAACUUACCUGGGAAUAGGUGCAAGCGAGAAUUGAAUAAAAGCACUUUCUGACCUGGAGUGAACGAUUUUCUCAUAAUUUGCUUAUCAUGGAAGACUUUCAUUCGUUGCUUGUAAAUCUUGGCAUUUUCGUAUGCAUCAUUGCGAAUUUCUUCAAGUUCUGCCAGCUGUAAUCUUCUUUCUGAGCUGGCUUGCUGCAUGUCAAAGUUGAAUUUCUUGAUGGCCCAAUAUGCACGAUGCUCGAGUUCCACAGGUAGGUGGCAAGCUUUUCCAUACACUAGCCUGUAGGGUGACAUCCAAUCGGGGUCUUGAAAGCCGUUCUAUAUGCCCAUAAUGCAUCAUCAAGUCGUAAUGACCAAUCUUUCCUGUCUGGCCUCACCGUCUUUUCUAAUAUGUGCUUUAUUUCUCGAUUGGAGAUCUCAACUUGGCCACUGGUUUGCGGAUGAUACGGGGUCGCACUUUGUGUGUGAUUGAAUACUUUGUCAAAAGAGCCUUGAAUGCUUUGUUACAAAAGUGGGCACCACCAUCACUGAUUAUCGCUCGAGGGAAUCCAAAGCGCGAAACAAUAUUGCUUUUCAAAAAUCCUAUCACCACUUUGUGAUCAUUGGUUCUGCAUGGAAUUGCUUCCACCCAUUUCGAUACGUAGUCAACACCAACCAAUAUGUAUUGAUGGCCAAAAGAAGGGGGAAAGGGUCCCAUGAAGUCGAUACCCCAUACGUCAAAAAUCUCAACCACUAAAAUUGGAUUUAGUGGCAUCAUGUUCCUUCGUGUAAUGCUCCCCAUUCGUUGACACCUAUCACAUGAAGAACAGAAAGUGUAAGCAUCUCGAAAUAUAGUUGGCCAAUAGAAACCACAUUGUAAAACUUUAGUCGCUGUUUUCUUAGCACUGAAAUGGCCUCCACAAGCUUGUUCAUGGCAGAAUGAAAGGAUAUUCUGAAUUUCACUUUCAGGGACACAUCGUCUAACAAUUUGGUCUGCACAAUACUUGAACAAAUAUGGGUCAUCCCAAAAGAAAUUCUUUAUUUCCGCAAGAAUUUAGCCUUGUCUUGCUUGGUCCAAUGCUCUGGAAGCUUACCUGUAACAAGAUAAUUAACUAUAUCAGCAUACCAAGGUAAUACUUCCACACUCAUUAAUUGUUCAUCUGGAAAUGACUCAUUUAAUAUUAAUGGCUCUGUAAUUGUGUCAAAAUGGAGACGAGAGAGGUGGUCCGCCACAACAUUUUCUGUCCCUUUCUUAUCUUUGAAUUCCAAGUCAAAUUCCUGCAAAAGUAACACCCAACGAAUUAGUCUAGCUUUUGCAUCUUUCUUUGUGAGAAGAUAUUUAAGAGCAGCAUGAUCUGUGAAUAUAAUUAUUUUACAACCAAUGAGAUAAGAUCGAAAUUUUUCCAAUGCAAACACUACUGCUAGCAUUUCUUUUUCAGUAGUUGAAUAAUUAACUGUGCAUCAUUCAAGGUCAUACUAGCAUAGUAAAUAACGUUGGGAAUUCGAUCAACUCUUUGUCCUAAUACUGCUCCUACUGCAUAAUCAGAUGCAUCACACAUGAGCUCAAAUGGUAAGCUCCAGUUUUGGGGCCUGAAUGAUGGGUGAUGAUGUCAACAAUUGCUUUAAUUUUUCAAAAGCCAUAAGACAUGAAUCAUUAAAGAUAAAAGGUACAUCCUUAGCAAGUAAAUUGCAUAAGGGUCUAGAAACUUUGCUAAAAUCUUUAAUGAAACGUCUAUAGAAACCAGCAUGCCCAAGGAAAGAUCUUACUUCUCUGACUGUUUUAGGUGGAGGAAAGAUUAGAAAUGAGAUCCACCUUGGCUUUGUCAACCUCAAUACCUUUGCUCGAAAUGAUGUGACCGAGAACAAUACCUUGUUUUACCAUAAAAUGACACUUUCCCAUUUAAGACUAAGCUCUUCUCGGUACAUCUCUGCAGAACUAGCGUUAGAUGAUGUAAACAUUGAUCAAACGAGUCACCAAAGACAGAAAAAUCAUCCAUAAAGACUUCAAGGAAUUCAACCAUAUCAGAANGAUAAUUAACUAUAUCAGCAUACCAAGGUAAUACUUCCACACUCAUUAAUUGUUCAUCUGGAAAUGACUCAUUUAAUAUUAAUGGCUCUGUAAUUGUGUCAAAAUGGAGACGAGAGAGGUGGUCCGCCACAACAUUUUCUGUCCCUUUCUUAUCUUUGAAUUCCAAGUCAAAUUCCUGCAAAAGUAACACCCAACGAAUUAGUCUAGCUUUUGCAUCUUUCUUUGUGAGAAGAUUUUAAGAGCAGCAUGAUCUGUGAAUAUAAUUAUUUUACAACCAAUGAGAUAAGAUCGAAAUUUUUCCAAUGCAAACACUACUGCUAGCAUUUCUUUUCAGUAGUUGAAUAGUUCAACUGUGCAUCAUUCAAGGUCAUACUAGCAUAGUAAAUAACAUGGGAAUUCGAUCAACUCUUUGUCCUAAUACUGCUCCUACUGCAUAAUCAGAUGCAUCACACAUGAGCUCAAAUGGUAAGCUCCAGUUUGGGGCCUGAAUGAUGGGUGAUGAUCAACAAUUGCUUUAAUUUUUCAAAAGCCAUAAGACAUGAAUCAUUAAAGAUAAAAGGUACAUCCUUAGCAAGUAAAUUGCAUAAGGGUCUAGAAACUUUGCUAAAAUCUUUAAUGAAACGUCUAUAGAAACCAGCAUGCCAAGGAAAGAUCUUACUUCUCUGACUGUUUUAGGUGGAGGAAGAUUAGAAAUGAGAUCCACCUUGGCUUUGUCAACCUCAAUACCUUUGCUCGAAAUGAUGUGACCGAGAACAAUACCUUGUUUUACCAUAAAAUGACACUUCUCCCAAUUUAAGACUAAGUUCUUCUCGUACAUCUCUGCAGAACUAGCGUUAGAUGAUGUAAACAUUGAUCAAACGAGUCACCAAAGACAGAAAAUCAUCCAUAAAGACUUCAAGGAAUCGUUCAACCAUAUCAGAAAAAAUGCUCAACAUGCAUCGUUGAAAUGUAGCAGGUGCAUUACAUAAUCCAAAUGGCAUUCUCCUAUAUGCAAAUGUGCCAAAAGGGCAAGUGAAAGUAGUUUUCUCUUGAUCUUUUGGUGCUAUGGGAAUCUGAUUAUAUCCUGAGUAGCCAUCUAGAAAGCAAUAAAAUUCAUGGCCUGCUAAUCUAUCAAGCAUUUGAUCAAUAAAUGGUAAAGGAAAAUGGUCUUUACGUGUGACAGAAUUCAACUUUCUAUAAUCAAUGCAUACACGCCAUCCUGUAGUUACUCUAGUUGGUAUCAAUUCAUUAUCAGCAUUGGUAACUACUGUGACUCCUGACUUUUUGGGGACAACUUGUACAGGACUGACCCAUGAACUAUCAGAAAUUGGGUAAAUGAUACCUGCAUCUAAUAGCUUAAGGACUUCAGUUCUAACAACUUCUUUCAUAUUAGGAUUUAACCGACGUUGCAUUCCCUAGUAGUUUUAGCAUUUUCAUCAAGGUGAAUGUAAUGCAUGCAGUCUACUGGGUUUAUACCUUUAAUGUCUGCUAUGGUCCAUCCUAAUGCUCCUUUGUGCUCUUUUAAAACAUCCAACAACUUACCUUUUUGUUCGUCAUUUAGGGAUGAUGAGAUGAUUACCGGCAGAGUACUUUCUUCUCCCAAAAAUGCAUAUUCCAGAGUGUUGGGUAAUGGUUUGAGCUCGAGUUUCGGUGGUGAUUCUGAUGAUGGAAUGAGUUUCUUCUCUGAUGGUGCUAGUUGUUCAACUCUUGACUUCCAUUUAUUAGUGUCCAUGGAUGGUGCUGAGUCAAGCAGGGCGUUGACCUCAUCGACCGAUCUAUCAAUAUCAAAAUCCAAACCAAAGUGAGUUAAGCAUGUCUGUAAAGGAUCAUCACUAAGGUUUGAAAGAAAAGUAUUAUCAACUAUUGUUUCUAUUAAAUCCACAUCAACAAUUCCAUCAUCUGCACUGUGAGGUUGUUUGGCAAUGUUGAAAAUAUUUAGCUCCAUAGUCAUGUUGCCGAAGGACAACUGCAUAUUUCCAGUCCUGCAUUGAAUGUGAGCAUCCGCAGUCGCCAAGAAAGGUCGGCCUAGAAUAAUGGGGAUGUGCUUCCUUGAAUCCUGUAUUGGUUGAGUGUCAAUUACAAUGAAAUCAACAGGAAAAUAAAACUUGUCUACCUGGAUAAGCACGUCCUCCAUAAUACACGAGGUAUUUUCGUGGACCGAUCUGCAAGCUGUAACACCACUGGAGUUGGGUGUAAUUCUCCCAGUCCAAGUUUCACGAAUACUGAAUAAGGCAACAGAUUUACACUAGCUCCUAAAUCCAACAAACGCAUUCUCAAUUGUGUGGUUCCCUAUACUACAUGAGAUAGUGGGGGAGCCUGGGUCUUUGCAUUUUAGAGGAAUUUUAUGUUGGAGUAUAGAACUAACAUUUUCUGUUAAAAAUGCCUUCUUUUGAACAUGCAUAUUUCUCUUUUUAGUACAAAGGUCUUUAAGAAACUUGGCAUAAGAUGGAACUUGUUUAAUAGCAUCAAGUAAAGGGAUGUUAACACUUACCUGUUUGAAGAUUUCGAGAAUCUCACCUGUGGAUUUUCCCUUUUUCCCUUUAGCUAACCUCUGAGGAAAUGGAGCUUUCGGAACGUAUUCUCGUGGGUGGUUUCUUCUUUCUCCUCCGGUGGUGAGUCUUCAACAUUCACAGGUACAUUUGAUUUUCUUUUGUCACCGGCAUCUCCACUUUGUUGUCGACUUCCUUUCCUUUUCGCAAGGUCAUGACUGCUUUGACCUCUCCAUGCUGUUGUGGUGAACUGGUACUUGCUUCAUGUACUCCUUUAGGAUUAGGCACUGGUUGACUUGGAAAUUUUCCUUUCUCAACAGUCAUUGCCAAGGUCUGAACUGAAGAAGCAAGUUGUCCCACCAUCCUUCUCGAGGCUUGAAACUGAAUUGAGCUUGUGAGUUGAAGCCUGCUCUCAACUCAUUUCGUAGUCCAUCAAUGGUGCGGUUCUGUUGCUCAAUCGUGGAGUGAGUAACAUUCUUGAAAUUCUGGAAUGCAUCCUCCAUGGUCUGGGUUGAGAGUAGUUCUGGUUCUGAUUGUAUGGUCUGAAUGGUGGCUGAGAGGCUUGAGGAUUUUGAGGAAUUUGUUGCAUUGGUGGAGCUGGAGCUGCUGGUCCAUUCUGUUGGAAUCCUUGAGACCAUGAAAUAUUGGGGUGGUCUCUCCAUCCAGGGUUAUAUGUGUUGGAGUAUGGGUUGUAAUUCGAUGGUUUUCUCAUUACACCUAUGGCAUUGGCUUGAUCGGAGUAUGAGUCAUGGUCAUGUGGUUCUGUUGAUUUAGCAGUCGAUAACGAUGCUAUUUGUCGAGCGAGACCUUCAACCAUCUCCUUGACUUCUUUGAUUCCCGAAGUUGACUCGCCAAUUUGAACCUCAUUUACUCCCUUAAUUCUUCUAGUAUUCCUUAGUGAUCGACUCCGUUGUUGGGAAUUAUCCGCUUGUCGUUGGAAGAAUUCCCAAAUUUCUGAUGCACUUUUUGACAUUAGCUCUCCUCCACUUGUUGCCAUUAGCCAUUCUUGCACAUUCGGGUAGUAAUCCCUCCAAAAAGUAUUGGCAUUGGUGCCAUUUUUUCGUACCCAUGAUGUGGACACUUCAAGAGUAGCCCAUUGAAUCGCUCCCAAGUUUCGAAAAACUGCUCGUCCUCUCUUUGUGUAAACUCUGAAAUUUCCCUGCGAAUAGAAUUGGUUUUAUGCACUGGGAAAUAUUUAUUCAAAAAUUUAGUUACCAUUUGUUCCCAUGAUGAAAUGCUAUUAGCAGGCAACGUAUUUAACCAUGAACGAGCUCUAUCCUUUAAAGAAAAUGGGAAUAGUCUGAGUUUAACAUCAUCGUCUGAAAAAUUUUCAUAUUUAAAAGUUUGACAAAUGGUAUGAAAAUCAUUCAGAUGAUUAUAUGGGUCCUCAUUUUCUAAGCCAUAGAAUGUGGGGAGACAAUUUAGCACACUAGGUUUUAGUUCAAAGUUCCUAGCAGCUACAUUUGGGUAUCUAAUACAUGAUGUGCUUAAAUUAGCUAAGGGACUAAAAUAGUCCUUAAAUGGCCUCUCCUGUGGUGCUUGUAAAUCCAUUCCAAUUUUAUUUUUAAUGUGUUUUUGUGUGCGAAGUGUUUUUUCUAAUUCAAGGUCUAUAGGUUCAAGAUUAGGUAAUAAUGACCUACGACCAUGCAUGCAAAAUAAAAUGAAAAUAAAAAUAAAGAUGCAAACAAAACAAAAAAUAAAGAUGGGAACAAAACAAAUUAAAAUAAAUAAGAGGGAGAAAUUACGAUACUAACCUUAUUGCGCUAUUACAACCUUUCUAUAAAAAUACACAAAAAACAAAUACGUGAAAUAAAUUAACUAAAAAUUAAAUUAAUAAAAUAAACAAAAAUUACAAAGAAAAAAAAAUAAAUUGAAAAUUAAAUUACAGAAUUUUAAAGAAGAGAAAAAGAAAAGAAAUACUAACCUUUAAAUGUAGAUUUACUCUUUUUUUUUUCUUUUUUUUUUUAAUAAGAAAAAAAAAAUACAAGAAAACAAAUAAAAGAAAUUAUUCACAAAAAUUAAUUUUAUGAAUUAAAAUUACUUACCUCCCCGGCAACGGCGCCAAAAACUUGUUGUGCAAAUUUUAAUGUACUCGCAAGCGCACGAAUCUAUUGUAAUAUAGACUAAUGGUGACGAGUGUCGAUCCCACGAGGAGGUGGAUUUUAAUUGUGUAUAAAAUUAAUUUUGUAAAUGGGUGAUUGGAUUUGUGGUGGAAAUGAUUUGGAAUAUGCUAAAACUUAAAUUAAAAUGGCGAGAAUAAAUUGAAGAGAAUUCUAUUGAAAUGACGUACUUGGGUAUCUGGAUCCGUAUCAACAUGCAUCAUGGGCUAAAUAUUCCUUAUUAAUACCAAUUAAAUCAUGAGGGGGGAAUCCACACCUCAUGAACCACGCUCUAAUCAAUAUGGUGCUAAGGGCUUAUCGUGCCAAAUAAUAAUAACCUUAUACCAGAGAGCCGGUGUAACCAAGGCGGUAUCUAGACAAGAUCAGUAUUAUUUGUCGACGAUAAGUCAAAUCAUCCACAAAAAACUAGAGGGGAAAAGAAAAUAAAUUUACCAAAUAAAGCCCAUGACACAUGUUGAGACUUCACCUUCAACCCAAGCUUGAAAAGAAAUUAGCUACUCAUAAUUGAACUAGGGGCAAAAAGGGAAUUUAUUAAAAUACAAAGAAAAUACAAGAUGGAGAAGGAAUUACAGAAAAUGGAUCCCAAAAAUGGAUUCAGAGAUAUCAAAUUAGGGGGAGAGGCCCCCUUUUUAUAGAUACAUGGAGUAAAUCAUGGCCAUCGGAUUAAAAACAGUUUGGACGCUCAGGAUUGCGCCACGUCAUCAGUCAACAGUCCACGGUUUGACCACGCGGAUGAACAGUAACACGGUUUGACCCGGAUGAACAGUAACGUGGUUUGGUUGAAAAUAAUCCUGUGUGAUGCAUGCACUGUACACGAGAUUUUUCGUCCACUGAUAUGCUGCCACGUCACCAUUAACAGUACAUAAGAAUUUUAGCCCAACAGGAUCGUGACACCUCAUCAGUCAAUGCCACAUCAUCGGUCAAUGCCACGUCAUCGGUCAAUGCCACGUCAUCGAUCCGUCUAUGUGAACAGUGUCGUGAACAGUAACGUAGACAGUACCGUAUACGUGAAUAGUACCGUACAUGUGAAUAGUGCCAUUUUUCCUUUUAUGCUCCUCCUAAGGUUUUCGACCGUCCUGAGUUCAAAAGUGAUGUCCGUUUUGCCGUCUGAUCUCUCCUUUAUUGUGAAAUGACUAUACUGCCCCUAAAAUACAUAAAAUACUUAAUUAAAAUAACACACACGUAAUUACAUCACAAGAAGGUUAAAUACAUAAAAGUAAGGGUUGUUAGUAAGACUUGAAAUGUAAAAUGACGGUUUUCUCCUUUAUAAAUAUGUAUUUUCUAACACUCAACACACCCCCCAACCAGCUUAUUGCUAGUCCCUAGCAAAUAAAGCGAAAACAAAAUUCAAAUUCAAAAUGAUUUUUUUUUUUUUUUUUUUUUAGAAACACUCGUGUUUAUUCAAUCAGAUUAAUGAUAGCAAUCAAAUAAAAGUAUAAGCAUUAUCUCCAGUCUAAAGCAACAUCACACCCACAUCAACCAUCCACAUGAAUUAGCCCAGUAGACUUUGUUAUAGCUACUUUCAAGAAUGACAUGUCAAACCCCAAAAUCUCACUGGAAGUAGUGACACUCUCACAAAGAAAUUAAAACCCAAUAAACAUAGUCACUCCAAUGAAUGGUAAUUGAGAGAGAAAAUAAUAAAGAAAUGAUAUCACAUGCUCUCACCAAGAUUAAAUAAAUAUGCCCUCAGCUUAGAAAUAAUACGAUCUCAAGUCAAAUAAAAUGUUAGUCAACCCACUUUAUUUAUCUUUUUUUUUUUUUUAAUUAUGCAUCACUACAUCUUUUUAGCCCAUAUAACUAGCUUCUACUUCAAACUAUAGUUCCCUAAAAUCAAGAAGGACUUUUAUUAGGACGUAACGUAGGCUAGGGAUAUGGCUAACAAAGAAGGGAAAUAAGGAAAACAAAGUGUAUGUUUGAGAAAAAUGCAGAGAAUAUUUUUUUUUUUUUUUUUGGAAGUUGCAAGGUGGAUUUCACCUAUUAUUGUUAUUUUUAUUCUUUUGAAACAACAAUUUUUUUCUUUUUUUUUUUUUUUUUCAGCAACAACAAUUUUUUCUUUUUUUUUUUUGAACUAGGCAUAACUUCACUAUGCAAAAUGUUUAUUUACAUUUUUCUCAAACAUAAAUAGGUGAUGGAAUUUGUAAGAUAUUGGGUAAUACUCCAAAUCGGAGUGGGUCAAGAUGAUAAGUUAAACAAAGAAAAGUUUUUUUUUUUUUUUUAUUUAAAAGGCUCAAAUGGGUUAACUAUGGAUACUUGAUAAGAGGGAUGGCUAGAAAGGCUCAAACGGAUCAAAGAUGGCCUUUCCAUCGUCUUUUAGGGCUCUAAAUAAUCAUCCAUAUCUACUAGUUAGAUGGGCCUCCCAAUGUAGCAACACACACAUUUUUUUUUUUUUUUUUUUUUAAGGCUUAACUCAAAAGAAAUCUAGAGAUCGUGUAUACAAUAAUAAACUGUUAAGCAUUAUAAAGAAUGGGCAAAAGGGUUACUCUCCAAGAAAAAUGAUAGGCUCAAAAACUCACUUGGUACUUAUUAUGACAUGUUCAUUCCUUCAAGCAACUCAUAUUUGUCUCCGACAUCAACAUGUAGAGUAGCAAACAUAAUGUAACAUCACUUAAGACCAAAGAUAAUACAAAUACUAAAAUUUGAAAUUAAUCAUGUCAUCUAAAGUUAAAACAAAUCACACAAUUUUUUCUUUUUUUUUUUUUAAACAACAUUCUACCCCCCAACCUAUUCUAAACAUGAAAGGAAAAUAUGCAUGCAGAAAUGUGAAAAUGAUGCAUAAAAACUAAUUAGAAAAGUUACACGUAAAAUGAUAGAAAACGAAAAUGAAAUUUUGUUUUUUUUUUUUUUAAUUUUUUUUUUAAACGAUGAAGAUGCGUUUCUAGAGGCACUACACUCCAUAUUCAGCUAUCUUCGACUCAAAAGUUGGAAAAUAUAUAUUUAUAAGGAGAAAUUAAAAAGAAGAAGAAAAAUGAACAUCAAAACAUAAUAAAGAAAAAGAAAAUGUUUGAAUUUUUUAGUUUUUUUUAGUUUUUUAGUUUUUUUAAAUUUUUUUUUUUUUUUUAAACGAUGAAGAUGCGUUUCUAGAGUCACUACACUCCAUAUUCAGCCAUCUUCAACACAAAAAGUUAGCAACAGUUAGUUUCUACAACAAAAAAUCAGUAAAAACUUAACCAAGAUUCCACAAUUGUCGACUAUUCCCUCCCCUCAACCAGAACGAAACAUUGUCCUCAAUGUUUUAAAGGAAAGAAGUAGAGUUUAGAAGACAUCACCUGGGUGGUGCAACACAAAAGAAUAUAUUUACAGGCGGAGAGUUAAAUCUAAUUUGUACUUCUUACUGCGGCUACUGUUACCAUCAUUAUUUGGGCGCUCCAACACAAAGGUCCAGGGGUCUGGCUCCGGUUUAUAAGCUUGUAACAGAUCAAGUAGUUCAUUAGCAGUGUGAGCACAAAUAAAAAGUUUUUUUACAUUAGAAGGAAUGAAAUAGUUUUUUAUUGCAUGGUUAAGAAAUGCGAUAAAGCCAUCAUAAAAGUUAUUGACAUUUAACAAACCGAUGGGUUUCUGGUGGAUGUGCAGAUGGGCCCAAGAUGCUAGUGUCAUAAGUGCCUCUAGUGUUGCAAGAUCUCCUGGAAGGAAAAUAAAAGCAUCAGCAUGAUUAAGCAUUUCAGUUAUUCUUUCUUGCAUACCUGAGACGACUAACUCUUCUCCAGUUGAUGAGUCAGACGAACUGCCCAAUGGUUUUAGGACUCUUGGGAUGAUGCCUAACACUUGACUUCCUCUGAUAAAAGCUGCUUCUGAGACCAUUUUUGAUAACCCUCGGUUACCUCCUCCAUACACCAAAUGUAAUUUUCUCGCUGCUAUGCUUCGACCAAGAUCUAUGGCUGCCUCCACGAACUCUUUAUGUUUGCCAUAGGUAAAUCCAGAAAGCACACAAAUGUUCUUGAAUUGUCUAUUGGGAGUAGCUGCCAUUGUGAUACUUCUCAAAAAUAAUUUGUGAGUGCUUGACAAAAGAUAAAUCACAUUUAAGAAUCUUGGUGACAAUGGAUCACAGCUGUGAAUGAGGUAACAUGUCAGUGUCAAAUAACGCGUAAAGCACGUGGCUCGCGAGUCAAAAAGGAAACAGUAAAAAGGAAAAAGCAAACAGUAAUAAAAUUAUUAAAGACAAUAAUGCAAACAAUAAAACAACAGUGAAAUGAAAUAAAAUAACAGUAAAGUAAAAGGAUAUUUACACGUAGUUGCGACUGUGGCUCACAUCUUCCUCUGGUUUUACGUCCAGAAACGGCUUGAACGCCCUCUAUGGGUCGAGGAUGGGCUUCCCAUCCAGUUUUCUUAUAAACUGGCAAACAGGGUCGUUUAUAGUCAGAUUCCCGAGACGAUAUCGUGCAUGCUCUUUUUGGAAUAAUGGCCUUAACUGGAGAAUCGCUCCUUGCACAUAUCCACUGGGAUGCGUUUCAAGAGACAAAAGGAUAUCAUCCAAUGACUCCUUAUUCAAGCUAUCCCUAAUGAAUUGAAUCUUAUCUUCCCUGUUAUCAGACACCAUUCCUAAAGAACAUGGGUUUCUAUCGCAACUCAUUCUGGCACACUUGUGACAAGCAACAGAAAUUCUUCGAGCUCGUCGUUUUCUUGCGUAAUUUCCUUUACCACAACCAGGCAUGUAUGCAAUAAAUUUAGGAGGUAACUCACCUGCCAAUCGUACUUUAGCCUCGAUUAACCAACGGAUGUCUGCAGGUAUGUUAUUCCUCAUGAGCAAUCGCAUGCGUUCAGACCGGGCUUUAUAGAUUGUAAGGAGGGCAUUCUGAGGAAGUGAAGGGAAUCGCUUGUGAAGCUUCGCUAGAAUCUCGUUUCUGUCCAUACCUUCGCCUCAGAAUAUCAGUUAUUAUGGGAAACUGAAGUUAACCGACUUGAUUGUCACGGAGUACCGUUAUCUGCCACUUCACCGGGGUAACAAACUAAAGCACACAAACAGAAAAACAAAAAACACACAAAGAAAAUUAAAAUCGUCCUCUUAUUGAAUUUACCUCAAGCUCCAACUGGAUGUCGUAAACACUUCUCUCAAUGUCUCUGAGUUGGCGUUCUAAACCCUCAACAUAGGCUACUAACUCUGGUGGUUGUAGAGCCCAAAUGCGUUGUGUUUUACAAAAUAGAAUCUGCCUUUUGAGAUGAGUUUUGACACGUUGAAGUGGUUUAAGAAUGUUCAGGAGGAACGGUCUAAGUAUGAGACUCAUGAUUAAAAAUGAUAAGAGAAAACUUAAUGGUAAAAUAAACACACUUAUGCAAAAACAAUUUCAAUUAGCAAAAGAAUAAUAAUAAAAAGAAAUAAAGAAAAAUCAAAUUAACGAAAAGAGAAAAAAAAAAUCAAUUCAAAUUUAGUGGGUCACUCAAAUUUAUUUCGAUGUUUUCUCCAUGUGGUUGGUACUCUAGAUAUGGCUUUAAUCUUUGACCAUUAACUUUAUACGUGACACCGUUCUUUGGGUCCUUAAUUUCAAUUGCCCCAUGUGGAAAAACAGUAUGUACAAUAAAUGGGCCAGACCAACGAGAGCGUAACUUACCUGGGAAUAGGUGCAAGCGAGAAUUGAAUAAAAGCACUUUCUGACCUGGAGUGAACGAUUUUCUCAUAAUUUGCUUAUCAUGGAAGACUUUCAUUCGUUGCUUGUAAAUCUUGGCAUUUUCGUAUGCAUCAUUGCGAAUUUCUUCAAGUUCUGCCAGCUGUAAUCUUCUUUCUGAGCUGGCUUGCUGCAUGUCAAAGUUGAAUUUCUUGAUGGCCCAAUAUGCACGAUGCUCGAGUUCCACAGGUAGGUGGCAAGCUUUUCCAUACACUAGCCUGUAGGGUGACAUCCCAAUCGGGGUCUUGAAAGCCGUUCUAUAUGCCCAUAAUGCAUCAUCAAGUCGUAAUGACCAAUCUUUCCUGUCUGGCCUCACCGUCUUUUCUAAUAUGUGCUUUAUUUCUCGAUUGGAGAUCUCAACUUGGCCACUGGUUUGCGGAUGAUACGGGGUCGCCACUUUGUGUGUGAUUGAAUACUUUGUCAAAAGAGCCUUGAAUGCUUUGUUACAAAAGUGGGCACCACCAUCACUGAUUAUCGCUCGAGGGAAUCCAAAGCGCGAAACAAUAUUGCUUUUCAAAAAUCCUAUCACCACUUUGUGAUCAUUGGUUCUGCAUGGAAUUGCUUCCACCCAUUUCGAUACGUAGUCAACACCAACCAAUAUGUAUUGAUGGCCAAAAGAAGGGGGAAAGGGUCCCAUGAAGUCGAUACCCCAUACGUCAAAAAUCUCAACCACUAAAAUUGGAUUUAGUGGCAUCAUGUUCCUUCGUGUAAUGCUCCCCAUUCGUUGACACCUAUCACAUGAAGAACAGAAAGUGUAAGCAUCUCGAAAUAUAGUUGGCCAAUAGAAACCACAUUGUAAAACUUUAGUCGCUGUUUUCUUAGCACUGAAAUGGCCUCCACAAGCUUGUUCAUGGCAGAAUGAAAGGAUAUUCUGAAUUUCACUUUCAGGGACACAUCGUCUAACAAUUUGGUCUGCACAAUACUUGAACAAAUAUGGGUCAUCCCAAAAGAAAUUCUUUAUUUCCGCAAAGAAUUUAGCCUUGUCUUGCUUGGUCCAAUGCUCUGGAAGCUUACCUGUAACAAGAUAAUUAACUAUAUCAGCAUACCAAGGUAAUACUUCCACACUCAUUAAUUGUUCAUCUGGAAAUGACUCAUUUAAUAUUAAUGGCUCUGUAAUUGUGUCAAAAUGGAGACGAGAGAGGUGGUCCGCCACAACAUUUUCUGUCCCUUUCUUAUCUUUGAAUUCCAAGUCAAAUUCCUGCAAAAGUAACACCCAACGAAUUAGUCUAGCUUUUGCAUCUUUCUUUGUGAGAAGAUAUUUAAGAGCAGCAUGAUCUGUGAAUAUAAUUAUUUUACAACCAAUGAGAUAAGAUCGAAAUUUUUCCAAUGCAAACACUACUGCUAGCAUUUCUUUUUCAGUAGUUGAAUAAUUCAACUGUGCAUCAUUCAAGGUCAUACUAGCAUAGUAAAUAACGUUGGGAAUUCGAUCAACUCUUUGUCCUAAUACUGCUCCUACUGCAUAAUCAGAUGCAUCACACAUGAGCUCAAAUGGUAAGCUCCAGUUUGGGGCCUGAAUGAUGGGUGAUGAUGUCAACAAUUGCUUUAAUUUUUCAAAAGCCAUAAGACAUGAAUCAUUAAAGAUAAAAGGUACAUCCUUAGCAAGUAAAUUGCAUAAGGGUCUAGAAACUUUGCUAAAAUCUUUAAUGAAACGUCUAUAGAAACCAGCAUGCCCAAGGAAAGAUCUUACUUCUCUGACUGUUUUAGGUGGAGGAAGAUUAGAAAUGAGAUCCACCUUGGCUUUGUCAACCUCAAUACCUUUGCUCGAAAUGAUGUGACCGAGAACAAUACCUUGUUUUACCAUAAAAUGACACUUCUCCCAAUUUAAGACUAAGCUCUUCUCGGUACAUCUCUGCAGAACUAGCGUUAGAUGAUGUAAACAUUGAUCAAACGAGUCACCAAAGACAGAAAAAUCAUCCAUAAAGACUUCAAGGAAUCGUUCAACCAUAUCAGAAAAAAUGCUCAACAUGCAUCGUUGAAAUGUAGCAGGUGCAUUACAUAAUCCAAAUGGCAUUCUCCUAUAUGCAAAUGUGCCAAAAGGGCAAGUGAAAGUAGUUUUCUCUUGAUCUUUUGGUGCUAUGGGAAUCUGAUUAUAUCCUGAGUAGCCAUCUAGAAAGCAAUAAAAUUCAUGGCCUGCUAAUCUAUCAAGCAUUUGAUCAAUAAAUGGUAAAGGAAAAUGGUCUUUACGUGUGACAGAAUUCAACUUUCUAUAAUCAAUGCAUACACGCCAUCCUGUAGUUACUCUAGUUGGUAUCAAUUCAUUAUCAGCAUUGGUAACUACUGUGACUCCUGACUUUUUGGGGACAACUUGUACAGGACUGACCCAUGAACUAUCAGAAAUUGGGUAAAUGAUACCUGCAUCUAAUAGCUUAAGGACUUCAGUUCUAACAACUUCUUUCAUGUUAGGAUUUAACCGACGUUGCAUCUCCCUAGUAGUUUUAGCAUUUUCAUCAAGGUGAAUGUAAUGCAUACAGUCUACUGGGUUUAUACCUUUAAUGUCUGCUAUGGUCCAUCCUAAUGCUCCUUUGUGCUCUUUUAAAACAUCCAACAACUUACCUUUUUGUUCGUCAUUUAGGGAUGAUGAGAUGAUUACCGGCAGAGUACUUUCUUCUCCCAAAAAUGCAUAUUCCAGAGUGUUGGGUAAUGGUUUGAGCUCGAGUUUUGGUGGUGAUUCUGAUGAUGGAAUGAGUUUCUUCUCUGAUGGUGCUAGUUGUUCAACUCUUGACUUCCAUUUAUUAGUGUCCAUGGAUGGUGCUGAGUCAAGCAGGGCGUUGACCUCAUCGACCGAUCUAUCAAUAUCAAAAUCCAAACCAAAGUGAGUUAAGCAUGUCUGUAAAGGAUCAUCACUAAGGUUUGAAAGAAAAGUAUUAUCAACUAUUGUUUCUAUUAAAUCCACAUCAACAAUUCCAUCAUCUGCACUGUGAGGUUGUUUGGCAAUGUUGAAAAUAUUUAGCUCCAUAGUCAUGUUGCCGAAGGACAACUGCAUAUUUCCAGUCCUGCAUUGAAUGUGAGCAUCCGCAGUCGCCAAGAAAGGUCGGCCUAGAAUAAUGGGGAUGUGCUUCCUUGAAUCCUGUAUUGGUUGAGUGUCAAUUACAAUGAAAUCAACAGGAAAAUAAAACUUGUCUACCUGGAUAAGCACGUCCUCCAUAAUACCACGAGGUAUUUUCGUGGACCGAUCUGCAAGCUGUAACACCACUGGAGUUGGGUGUAAUUCUCCCAGUCCAAGUUUCACGAAUACUGAAUAAGGCAACAGAUUUACACUAGCUCCUAAAUCCAACAACGCAUUCUCAAUUGUGUGGUUCCCUAUACUACAUGAGAUAGUGGGGGAGCCUGGGUCUUUGCAUUUUAGAGGAAUUUUAUGUUGGAGUAUAGAACUAACAUUUUCUGUUAAAAAUGCCUUCUUUUGAACAUGCAUAUUUCUCUUUUUAGUACAAAGGUCUUUAAGAAACUUGGCAUAAGAUGGAACUUGUUUAAUAGCAUCAAGUAAAGGGAUGUUAACACUUACCUGUUUGAAGAUUUCGAGAAUCUCACCUGUGGAUUUUCCCUUUUUCCCUUUAGCUAACCUCUGAGGAAAUGGAGCUUUCGGAACGUAUUCUCGUGGGUUGGUUUCUUCUUUCUCCUCCGGUGGUGAGUCUUCAACAUUCACAGGUACAAUUUGAUUUUCUUUUGUCACCGGCAUCUCCACUUUGUUGUCGACUUCCUUUCCUUUUCGCAAGGUCAUGACUGCUUUGACCUCUCCAUGCUGUUGUGGUGAACUGGUACUUGCUUCAUGUACUCCUUUAGGAUUAGGCACUGGUUGACUUGGAAAUUUUCCUUUCUCAACAGUCAUUGCCAAGGUCUGAACUGAAGAAGCAAGUUGUCCCACCAUCUUCUCGAGGCUUGAAACUGAUUGAGCUUGUGAGUUGAAGCCUGCUCUCAACUCAUUUCGUAGUCCAUCAAUGGUGCGGUUCUGUUGCUCAAUCGUGGAGUGAGUAACAUUCUUGAAAUUCUGGAAUGCAUCCUCCCAUGGUCUGGGUUGAGAGUAGUUCUGGUUCUGAUUGUAUGGUCUGAAUGGUGGCUGAGAGGCUUGAGGAUUUUGAGGAAUUUGUUGCAUUGGUGGAGCUGGAGCUGCUGGUCCAUUCUGUUGGAAUCCUUGAGACCAUGAAAUAUUGGGGUGGUCUCUCCAUCCAGGGUUAUAUGUGUUGGAGUAUGGGUUGUAAUUCGAUGGUUUUCUCAUUACACCUAUGGCAUUGGCUUGAUCGGAGUAUGAGUCAUGGUCAUGUGGUUCUGUUGAUUUAGCAGUCGAUAACGAUGCUAUUUGUCGAGCGAGACCUUCAACCAUCUCCUUGACUUCUUUGAUUCCCGAAGUUGACUCGCCAAUUUGAACCUCAUUUACUCCCUUAAUUCUUCUAGUAUUCCUUAGUGAUCGACUCCGUUGUUGGGAAUUAUCCGCUUGUCGUUGGAAGAAUUCCCAAAUUUCUGAUGCACUUUUUGACAUUAGCUCUCCUCCACUUGUUGCCAUUAGCCAUUCUUGCACAUUCGGUAGUAAUCCCUCCAAAAAGUAUUGGCAUUGGUGCCAUUUUUCGUACCCAUGAUGUGGACACUUCAAGAGUAGCCCAUUGAAUCGCUCCCAAGUUUCGAAAAACUGCUCGUCCUCUCUUUGUGUAAACUCUGAAAUUUCCUUGCGAAUAGAAUUGGUUUUAUGCACUGGGAAAUAUUUAUUCAAAAAUUUAGUUACCAUUUGUUCCCAUGAUGAAAUGCUAUUAGCAGGCAAUGUAUUUAACCAUGAACGAGCUCUAUCCUUUAAAGAAAAUGGGAAUAGUCUGAGUUUAACAUCAUCGUCUGAAAAAUUUUCAUAUUUAAAAGUUUGACAAAUGGUAUGAAAAUCAUUCAGAUGAUUAUAUGGGUCCUCAUUUUCUAAGCCAUAGAAUGUGGGGAGACAAUUUAGCACACUAGGUUUUAGUUCAAAGUUCCUAGCAGCUACAAUUGGGUAUCUAAUACAUGAUGUGCUUAAAUUAGCUAAGGGACUAAAAUAGUCCUUAAAUGGCCUCUCCUGUGGUGCUUGUAAAUCCAUUCCAAUUUUAUUUUUAAUGUGUUUUUGUGUGCGAAGUGUUUUUUCUAAUUAAAGGUCUAUAGGUUCAAGAUUAGGUAAUAAUGACCUACGACCAUGCAUGCAAAAUAAAAUGAAAAUAAAAAUAAAGAUGCAAACAAAACAAAAAAUAAAGAUGGGAACAAAACAAAUUAAAAUAAAUAAGAGGGAGAAAUUACGAUACUAACCUUAUUGCGCUAUUACAACCUUUCUAUAAAAAUACACAAAAACAAAUACGUGAAAUAAAUUAACUAAAAAUUAAAUUAAUAAAAUAAACAAAAAUUACAAAGAAAAAAAAAUAAAUUGAAAAUUAAAUUACAGAAUUUUAAAGAAGAGAAAAAGAAAAGAAAUACUAACCUUUAAAUGUAGAUUUACUCUUUUUUUUUUCUUUUUUUUUUUAAUAAGAAAAAAAAAAUACAAGAAAACAAAUAAAAGAAAUUAUUCACAAAAAUUAAUUUUAUGAAUUAAAAUUACUUACCUCCCCGGCAACGGCGCCAAAAACUUGUUGUGCAAAUUUUAAUGUACUCGCAAGCGCACGAAUCUAUUGUAAUAUAGACUAAUGGUGACGAGUGUCGAUCCCACGAGGAGGUGGAUUUUAAUUGUGUAUAAAAUUAAUUUUGUAAAUGGGUGAUUGGAUUUGUGGUGGAAAUGAUUUGGAAUAUGCUAAAACUUAAAUUAAAAUGGCGAGAAUAAAUUGAAGAGAAUUCUAUUGAAAUGACGUACUUGGGUAUCUGGAUCCGUAUCAACAUGCAUCAUGGGCUAAAUAUUCCUUAUUAAUACCAAUUAAAUCAUGAGGGGGGAAUCCACACCUCAUGAACCACGCUCUAAUCAAUAUGGUGCUAAGGGCUUAUCGUGCCAAAUAAUAAUAACCUUAUACCAGAGAGCCGGUGUAACCAAGGCGGUAUCUAGACAAGAUCAGUAUUAUUUGUCGACGAUAAGUCAAAUCAUCCACAAAAACUAGAGGGGAAAAGAAAAUAAAUUUACCAAAUAAAGCCCAUGACACAUGUUGAGACUUCACCUUCAACCCAAGCUUGAAAAGAAAUUAGCUACUCAUAAUUGAACUAGGGGCAAAAAGGGAAUUUAUUAAAAUACAAAGAAAAUACAAGAUGGAGAAGGAAUUACAGAAAAUGGAUCCCAAAAAUGGAUUCAGAGAUAUCAAAUUAGGGGGGAGAGGCCCCCUUUUUAUAGAUACAUGGAGUAAAUCAUGGCCAUCGGAUUAAAAACAGUUUGGACGCUCAGGAUUGCGCCACGUCAUCAGUCAACAGUCCACGGUUUGACCACGCGGAUGAACAGUAACACGGUUUGACCCGGAUGAACAGUAACGCGGUUUGGUUGAAAAUAAUCCUGUGUGAUGCAUGCACCGUACACGAGAUUUUUCGUCCACUGAUAUGCUGCCACGUCACCAUUAACAGUACAUAAGAAUUUUAGCCCAACAGGAUCGUGACACCUCAUCAGUCAAUGCCACAUCAUCGGUCAAUGCCACGUCAUCGGUCAAUGCCACGUCAUCGAUCCGUCUAUGUGAACAGUGUCGUGAACAGUAACGUAGACAGUACCGUAUACGUGAAUAGUACCGUACAUGUGAAUAGUGCCAUUUUUCCUUUUAUGCUCCUCCUAAGGUUUUCGACCGUCCUGAGUUCAAAAGUGAUGUCCGUUUUGCCGUCUGAUCUCUCCUUUAUUGUGAAAUGACUAUACUGCCCCUAAAAUACAUAAAAUACUUAAUUAAAAUAACACACACGUAAUUACAUCACAAGAAGGUUAAAUACAUAAAAGUAAGGGUUGUUAGUAAGACUUGAAAUGUAAAAUGACGGUUUUCUCCUUUAUAAAUAUGUAUUUUCUAACACUCAACAAUUAUCACAUGAUAAGUGAUGAACACCGCAAAAAACAAAAACAGAAAACAAAAUCCAUACAAAAAUAUCAUAAUACAUAUGUAAACUAAUAAAAUAAUUAAAAAGUAAUGGAUUUAAAAAAAAUGAAAUUAGUUAAAAGCGAUCAUGUGAAGUGAUAUAAAUGUGACACUAGAUUGUUUUAGAAAAAUUAUUAUUCUAUUAAUUUAUAUGGCUUGAUCAACUAUUUAAUUGAAUUUGAAUAAUAUUAUAUACACUUCAGAAGUAUUUGCAUCAAUUCUUUCUAAACCAAAAUGAGAUAUGACUUUCAUUUGAAGAAUGGUUUUAGGCCCUAUAAUAAAGAAAAUUCCCUAAGAUAUCUGAGCAUUAUUAUUAUCAUUACCACAUCCACCACCACCACCAUCAUCUCCAUAGGAUCAAAUAAUUAAUGGCUGAUCAUAAAAUUUAUUGUUAAACUAUCAUUUUGAGUAAAAUUGAAUGAAAAGAAAAAACAUGAACCCAAACAAACAUACCUCUUCAAGAUACUGCAAAUUGGUUUCAAGUUCAGUACUGUUGACAGUCAAGUUGGGACAGUGCUUAAGGCGUAACUUUUCCAAUGCUGACCAAAUUGAACAAUAAUUUUUUGAACAGAAGCUGAUGAGUUCUGGGAGAUUAUGAAGUGUUAAUUUUCUCAACAAAGGGAGGGCGAGCAUCGUACUUCCAUCUCGGACACUUAUUUCCCCUUCAUUGUGAUCAAACUUUGCUUUGACAAUACAUUCCAGUCUCUUGCAUUCCCUUACAUAGAGACUUUUAAGCUGCUCCAAACUUCGAGCUUGUGACAACGUGAACAUAUAUGUCAACUUGUUGCACCUAUGCACAUUCAAUUUUGUAAGAGUUUGGAGACUGAUCACAUGUUGGGCGGGCGCCUUCCAUAUCCACUUCAGUUCUGGUAAUUGCCACAUAUUUAACUCUGCUAAUCCUGAGAGACUCUUUCCAUGCAGUGACUUAGAGGCAUCCAUUAUGCAUUCUAAAUCUUCGCAAUCGCCGACAUCAAGACAAGUCAACUCAUUUAAGCCCCUUUCAUCUAUGCUUGGCGCAAUAUUGUAACAACCUAUAAUCCCACUUAAAUAAAGAAUUUCCAGUUCUUGAUACAAAGCCGAAAAAAUACCGAGCGAGGUCACUUCAGGAGGGUCAUUCUUAAUUAUUAAGCUCUUUCUCUGACUACCAUAUUUCAUUUUAUCAACAACUUGUUUACCUUUACCCAUGA
rnacentral:lncRNA from 1 species